CCCCAACGCCUGAAGCUAUUGAAGAAGAGGAAGAGAGUGUCCUUAGGAAGAUCAAGCCUGAGCGUCGACUUAGCACUAUGCAUUUUCUAGGAACUUUUUGGUAACUUGUUGCCAAAGGGGGAGAAGAUGUAUAGAUCAUAGGCUUCGAGAGAGAGUGUGUUGCUUUUCUCUCUUGUUUUUAUUUGGUGGUUUUUCGAACUUUGUUUGCUUGUGUGUGAGAUACUAUGUCGUUAUUCGUGAGACAUCGAUGAUCAUGUGUUUGAUCAUAAGCUACACUUAAUGUUUGCUUAAUGCUUGCUAUAUAUUAUCAUUCCAUCUAUCGUUUGUGAUCAUUCACUAUUCUUGGUGAUGAGUGCAUGUAUUUCAAUCUUAUCAUUUUUGAGCGCUCCACCAAGAUGUAUGUGACAUGGAAGAGUAACCCAUGAUUCUAACUCCAUGUGCAUUUGCAGUCCAAAGCAAAUUUUAAAUACGCACAAAUUUAGGGGGAGCUCUUAUUUGUCACAUACUUCUGAAAGCGACGAUAUAUUUCAUGCUUAUUAUCAUUUGUCGAAGCUUUGAUCUAUAUGUUGUCAUCAAUUACCAAAAAGGGGGAGAUUGAAAGUGCAACUAUCCCUAGGUGGUUUUGGUAAUUCAUAACAACAUAUAGCUCAUUGAGCUAAUGCUAUUUCAAGAUGAUUAUUUCAGGAAAGCUCAAUGAUUGGCAUGGCAUGGAUGUGAAAGUGGAACCCUCAAAAUGCUAAGGAAAAAGAAUUGGCUCAAGCUCAAAAGUUCAAGACUCUUCAUUUUAUAUUUUAGUGAUCCAAGAUCACAUUGAGUCUUUAGGAAAAGCCAAUACUAUUAAGGAGGGAUGAGGUGUUGCUUAAUGAGCCUCUUGCUCUAUGUGCUUAGUGAUAUGCUCCAAAAUCCUCAACCACUUUUCCAUAUCCACAAAUGACCUAAACCCUAAGCCAAACUCGGUCUUACCGAUUCUGUCAAUCCGGCGCCACCGAGUUUCACUUGUCAUUUGCCACUGCCAAACCCUAGCAAUUCAGUCCUACCGAUAAGGUUCUCGGUCUCACCGAGAUGGGCUUGCAAACUCUCUGUUUCCCUUUUGUAACUUUUCGGUCUCACCGAAAGAGCGAAUCAGUCCCACCGAGAAUGCAAGGUAAACUCUAUGUUUCCUCUUGUAACAUUUCGGUCUCACCGAAAGAGCAAGUCGGUCCCACCGAGUUUGCCUGACCAACUCUCUCGUUAGCUAAUUGCCGAACUCGGUCUCACCGAGUUUGUGCGAUCGGUCUCACCGAGAUUACGUUAUGCCCAAACCCUAACCGAAUCGGUCCUACCGAGUUGCAUCUCAGUCCCACCGAAAUUCCUAACGGUCACUAGGUUUACCAUUUCGGUCCGACCGAGUUUGAUUAUUCGGUCCCACCGAGAUUGGAAAACUGUGUGUAACGGUUGGAUUUUGUGUGGAGGCUAUAUAUACCCCUCCACCACCUCUUCAUUCGAAGAGAGAGCAAUCAGAACACAUACAUCAUUCCUACUCAUAUGUUCUGAGAAAGAACCACCUACUCAUGUGUUGAGACCAAGAUAUUCCAUUCCUACCUUAUGAAUCUUGAUCUCUAGCCUUUCCCAAGUUGCUUUCCACUCAAAUCUUCUUUCCACCAGAUCCAAAUCCUAUGAGAGAGAGUUGAGUGUUGGGGAGACUAUCAUUUGAAGCACAAGAGCAAGGAGUUCAUCAUCAACACACCAUUUUUUACUUCUUGGAGAGUGGUGUCUCCUAGAUUGGCUAGGUGUCACUUGGGAGCCUCCGACAAGAUUGUGGAGUUGAACCAAGGUGUUUGUAAGGGCAAGGAGAUCGCCUACUUCGUGAAGAUCUACUGCUAGUGAGGCAAGUCCUUCGUGGGUGAUGGCCAUGGUGGAAUAGACAAGGUUGCUUCUUCGUGGACCCUUCGUGGGUGGAGCCCUCCGUGGACUCGCGCAACCGUUACCCUCCGUGGGUUGAAGUCUCCAUCAACGUGGAUGUAGGAUAGCACCACCUAUCCGAACCACGGGAAAACAUCCGUGUCUCCAAUUGCGUUUGAAUCCUCCAAACCCUUACCUUUACAUUCUUGCAAGUUGCAUGCUUUACUUUCCGCUGCCAAUAAACUCUUUGCAUGCUUGCUUGAAUUGUGUGAUGAUUGCUUGACUUGCUCUAAGAUAGCUAAAAUCUGCCAAGAACUAAAAUUGGGAAAAGGCUAAGUUUUUAAUUGGUCAAGUAGUCUAAUCACCCCCCCUCUAGACAUACUUUCGAUCCUACAAUGACGAAAUCGAGGAGCUCUUCGAGGAGAACGCCAUAAAGGAGUUCGACCUAGAUAGCAGGAAGGGCAGCGACUUCGACGAGGAUGCCAUCGACGACCUAUCUGAGGUAGUACUCUGUUUUUGCUCUGUUUUUUUCAUGACAUUGGGGUUUUUCUUGUUAACUACAUGAGCAUCAAUUUCACUUGGGCGUGCUAGUUGUACGUAUGUAGGAUUGUAGGGAUCUAGCAUAGAUCUUCAUGUUGGAUGUGGUUUUUUAAAUCUGAUUGACAUUCUGAUUCCAGCAAAUACUUUGGGUUUUUUUCAUGGCAUUGGGGUUUGUCUUGUUAACUAGAUGAGCAUAAGUUCCACAAGGGAUACAUUAAUGAAAGAAGUGGGGUAAUGAACCCAACUACAAGAUAAUGUUCAUGGCAGGGAUACAUUAAUGGAAAAAGUGGGUUAAACAAUGGAUAUAUGGCAGGAUUCUCCAUUGGCUUCCCCAGGACAGUGACAAAAUGCUGCAGUUCCUGAUUCAUUUUAGUUUAUGUAGAUGAAUUAAUUUGCACACAUGUUCAUAGAUGAUUAGUUUGCACACAUGUUCAUAGAUGAUCCAUUUGCAAAUUCUAUACAGCUUUCCAUUUUGCAAAGGAAGUGAUCGCUCCCUUAAUAAUUAUGGGCUGACAGUACAUAUCCACUGGAUACCAAAAAAUCAAAACAUUUCAUCUAGCCAAUUUUCCACAGUAUGUUAUCUAGAUGAUCACAGCCACAUCUCUCAUCAAUAUGAGCAGUGAGACACCCCAUAGCUCCUUUACCAAUUUCCUUCUGAAACUUAUCAGGGUCUAACAAUGUUGGACAAGCAGUAUUGCCGGUGUCAGAAAGAAUAAUGGUUUCUUCAUUCCAGUAGAUAGAACAAACCCCCCUUGUGUGAAACAUGGAGGAGUACAAUGAAGCCAUUUUUCUGAUUCCAAUAAGAAUUACACCUGUAACAAGUAUCAAAUAUCAUUAAACCAAGCCACUUCAUGAAGUCUUUCAUGUGUUAAUUAUGUACUACUUGUGCACUAAUCUAUAAAUGCAACUAUUCCACCAUCCGUAUUUAUGCAUGUCAGUUUCUUUGGCUCAAUUAUGUAUGUGCACAUACGCCUUGUUUCUAGCAAAUAGAUAGUUGCCAUGUUACACGUGUGUACUUUCAAAACAUUGUAAUUAAAGUCAAUGUACCAUAAUGGAUUAGCUGAGUUCUUCUAUGUGUACUAAUUCACUAAUUCACAGGAGGAUGACGACGAUGUGGACUACUGCAUGGACAGCAGGCACAACAAGAGCCGGUACACCCUGAGGCAUCUGAUUGCUGGGAAGAUCAAGUACCGUUUCUUUGGCAAGAUUGGGUGCCCUUUCUGUUGCAAGGUGAUCGGUGGCGGCAUAGAUGGCAUGAUCCAGCAUGCCUUCAGCACUGGCAAUGGACAUGGUAAGAAGCAUAAAGCCAGUACUUUGGCUAAACAUGCUGCCUACGCACGCUUCCUCGAGAUUGUGAAAGUCAAUGAGCCCUACAACAUGCAUUGAACAAGGGAGAGAAGUGAUGUGCUGCUAGAGUGCUGCUGCUGCCCCAGGACCCCCGUGUCCUGUUAUGUUAUGUAUGUUUGUUUGUUGUUGGAGUCUAAAACUGAUGUCCUAUGGUGUGUCUGAACCUAUGCUGAGCGGUGGUUGAUCUGCCGUUUAUGUUAAGAGUUUGCUGCUACUCUAGUUUAGUGUUCCUAGUUGUUAAUACUAUUUUGGUGAUGCAUGUUUAAGCCUUGUACAAUGCUAGAUGCUUAGGGUGGUGCUUAGAAAAAUAAACAGGGUUUUUUUGAAGCACCAGUGCCUAUUUCUACAGGAGAGACGCCUAGUUAUGCGUCUACCCUGUACAAAUAAGCACCUGUGCUUAAGAAAAGCCUAGUUUAUUUCUAUAAGCAACUCCCCUAAGCGCCUUGCAUUGUACAAGGCCUUAGCAACUCAAGUAUCGUACGGUGGUCUACGUUAUGGUUGCUGUGUUAUUCUGCCGUACGGUGAUGCAUGCUAGGAACUGUCAUAAUAUGACUAUGGUAGUUAUAGCUUCGCAUGAUUAUGUUUAGUGUAUAACUCAGCAUGUUCCUACCAUAUCUAUGGGUAAUUACAACUGAACUAUGCAUUAAUUUUUGACAAAAUGAAAGCAUGCAAAUGAUUGCCGAUUCCACCUAUUGGAAAAUCAAGCUUUGGACUGAUGAUGCAUUAUAUAUUGCAAUAAGUAGAGGAUGCUCAUGAUUGCCAAAAGUACCUAUUUCCACUUUCUGAUAAGAACUAAACGUGUAUCAAAUGAUGCUAAAAGUAGAGCAUGAGCAUAAGCAUGUAUCAAUGCAUUAGAUAUUGCAAUAAGUAGAGGAUGCUCAUGAUUGCCAAAAGUACCUAUUUCCACUUUCUGAUAAGAACUAAACGUGUAUCAAAUGAUGCUAAAAGUAGAGCAUGAGCAUGAGCAUGUAUCAAUUGAUGCUACCUAUUUGUGUUUGAAUGGGCUCAAUAAAGCUGGUGCUGGUUUAUGCUCUCUGCGUGACCGUGAUGGUAACGAAGACACUUGGUUGGCUAUGGUCUUGCUGUCAAAUUUAAGUUUCAGUUCUUUAAGAUUCUUUGUUUUUGCUGCUUGCUCGGGAUCGACUAGCUUUCUCGGGCGUCCACGUGCUCUCUUCCUUUUGGGGGAGUUGGGUGCACCAUUUUUGGGGGAGUUGGCUGCACCGGUAUCCUUCUGGGAGUUGGAUGUGUCAGGUUCGUUGGAACCAUCGGGAUUGUUGACUAAUUGUACGUCCUCUUCUGAAGCAUCAGGUAGAACUGCUUGCUGGGCAUCGUACACCUCCUUCUGUAUAAGAGAGAGUGCUGCGUUAGUUCUAAUCAUGAGACUUAUGAAAUAAAUGAUAUAUUCUUCAUGUAGCGCUAACCGUUAUGGGGAACUUAUAUGAUUCGAGACGAAGCGCAUUGCAAUUUGAAUGCAGUAAGGCUGUACAUAUUUUCCACCUGAAAAUAUCUAUCCUUGCCUAUAUUGGAUAACCGACACUGACGUCAGCAUAGCUUUCAAGCUAAACAAAUUACAAAUUUAAAUUAGGCAUUCAAUUACCUGGUUCAAAAUAUCGGUCAUUUCAUCCCCGUUCCAUGACAACAUGUACUGCAGUGUCCAAACCGCACAGGAAGUCUUGCAAUGUUUAGUUAAAGAUCAGUAAUCUUAUUCGUGUACGCAAAUAAUAAUUUAUGAGGCCAUGCGUACCCAUCGGUCUGUUGUGGUAUGUUCUCAUAGUGUUUUUUGGUCCAUUUGGCAAAAUUGAUGUUAUUAGCUGGUGAUAUCAACCCUUUCUUGACCGCUUCGUCAAUGCAGAACUGAAUCGAGUCCACCUAGGUUACGACAAGUUAUACAUAGGGUUACGGUACUUUGGGAGCUCAUGUUCCAUGCGGAUCAAGAGAGGCAGCAAGAGAACACUUACAAGAGAAUCUUCCUUGGUCUUGUUGCAAUGAUAAUUCAUGGAGUUCAGAGUCUGAAUUUCUUUUUUGUCAAAAUUAAACAUCAUUAGCAUCCAAUGGUUUUGGUGUACAUUGAGUGGGACAUGCACCUGCAGUAAAAUUUGGGUUGGGUUGAGAACCGAAAUUUGUCGUGUACAGUGUGUACGUAAACUAUAAAAGUGUGGAAAACGUGUACCUUUCGGCGCCCUACAAAUUUUCCUGCUACACGAGCUAACCAUGAUGCUGCACGUCCAACAGGAACCACCCCCUUCAUUUGUAACAGCUUUUCGGUUUCUUGAGGGGAUAUGAUUGAGGUAGUAUCAUUCUCAAUUUGGCUAAUGAGAGCAUAUGCCAUAAUAACCUGCCAAAUUUUCAAUCAUACAAUAAUAAGACAGUUGUUGCAGUAAUGAUGUACAAUAGAGUAUAAUGGGCUUACAUCACCAUAAAUGUAUUUCUCGUCCAAAUUUCGCUUCAGAUUUUCUGCUGUGAGGGAAAUGUCUCCGAUUCUAGCUAUUUCAACAGGGUCAUAUGUUCCGCGGGUGUAAACGGCUGUCUCUAUGUCCUCAUCCGUGAACUUGUAAUCAUUACCAAAGACAGGCUUCAUCGGAGUUAAUUGUGGUUCCUCAUUGUUUUCCCUCACAUGUCUUGCACUUGGUGUACUCAAAGUCCCUGUCGUGAUUUGGCUAGCCCUAGGAGUUCCUGUCAGGGAUGAAUUGCACACAUUGACUUGAUCCUACAAUGAACAAAGGUAGUUCAUCAUUAGUUUGUUACUUUUAGAUAUUAACGUGUUGGGCCAAUUUUGAUCACCUGCACGCCUCCUUUCUGUGACACUGAUUGUCGGUUCCUUGUAAAUUCGUAUUUUAAGUCCUGUAACAAUGCAAACAAUAAUGAACAUGAAGGAACAUAUUCAUAAAAAAUACAAAAUGCACAGUAUGACAUACAUGGAGUUCCCUCCUUAAGUCUUUAAUUUCGUCCUCGGCCUUCGACAACCUAGGAUUAGUGCCAGUUUUAGUCUUCAUGUCGAUCAAGUCUUCACCUAGAGUCUGGUAUUUGACAUCAAAUCUGUGCUCAAUUUCCAUUAACUUCCUGCAUACCUUCUUUUCAUGAUCAGCAAUGCGUGCAUUCAUGACUUCAACUACCAUUUCAAUCUGUGUAAACAAAAUAAAACCCCAUUGGUAACAAUAGCUAAAUGAAUGAGGUUCCAUGACACCUAUUUGUGAUAUUGCAAAAACAAAUAGUCUUUGGAGUACAUACUUGCUGGCUACUAAAUUGCUGUCCUUGUGAUGGUGCUCGAUACGAAUCAUGUUGAUGCACAUGUUCAUCUUUUUUUCUUGGAAAAUUAUUAGAAUUAUCGGACGGUCGUUGAGGAGCACAAAUUUCCAUGACAACCUAUUUUUUUAAAAUAUAAUGAACCAUUAGUACCAAAUAAAAAAUCGAAUAUAGAAAGUUCAAUUGUAGAUAGGUACCAGCCCGUUAUGAAGACCUCCUUUCUCGUAAGCAUCGCUUCUUAAAGUAGCCAUCAUUUCGUCCCAUCGUGCGAUCAAUGGAGGGGGUCUAGAAGCAUACAUUAAUCGGCCACUACGCACGUGCUCCCAGUACCAAUACUACACAAUAAAUUAGUUCAUCACCAUACAGAUAUGCAACAGAACAAUAAUUAAAGGACAUUAAGUAGUGAUCUAUCACUAACCUAGAGCAGAAUUAGAUUUCAUUGUAGAUUUACGUGAUCUCGAUUUCUAAACUUGUGAACGGACUUGAAGAAGUGAUUAAGUGUGAAACAUCCCCAGUUAAAUUUCCGAAGGUUUUCAAGAUCUGUAACGAGGUUGAGAAAUUUCGAGUCCACAUAAUGUUGUGCUGUUGGUGCUAGAACAGUACCAAUUGCGUACAGAAUGAACCGCCUCAGGAAAUCGCCGUCUGGGGCUUUGGAAGCUCGGAUCAUUGUUUCAAGGUCAGAAAUCAAAAUUUGCCCAUUGUUUGCAUAGGCGGUAAACAAUUCUGUGUCGGUUUGCAUUUCCAGAUGUGGCUCUAUAUCCUCCCCUUCUAUCGGAAUGCCAAAUAUACCUUGCACGUCCUCUUUUGUUAUAGGAAUUGGCGUUUUACCGAUGGUAAUGGAUUGCGUGUCCAUAUCUAUGCUCUUGGCUAGUCUAACCAACAUUAUGCGCCGUAGAGUCACUUCAUGCAUCUGGGUCAGACCGCCAAGACUGGUUUCUGAUAUGAUGUACUUUCUGUGGUCUUAUGAAAACAGUUUCAUGGUUUUUCCGAACCUUGUCUGUGAGCAUACUAACUUCAUAUGACCAUGCUUUUCGGCGAGUUCCUGUUACAUGCCAUUAAAUAUUACUGAGUACACAUGAAUUAUGUGUACGAAACGAUUGUACACAAACAGUAAAUUACUUACCACAUCGGUAAUUUCGGAGAUGGGCUUUUCUCCAUUAUUAAGGUUCGUAUCUGAAACUGACAUUGCUGCCUCGUAUGCAAUGAUAAAAUCAGGCUCAAUUAAUCUGAACAAAAUUGGAAAAUCUAUAACAAAAUUAGCAGAGAAUUAAUUUUAACAAAAUUAACUGGGUCAUUUAACAUAUGAUCCACUUAUGGGUUUAAGCACAGAACCUACUUGGGUGCAAAACCUAUGAGGGUUCAACAACUAAAGCAUCGGCGAACAACGAUUAUAAAGAGUUACAAUCAGCUAAGACCUUACCUCGGAGAUGGUGCCACCGAGUAGAUGGCGGCGGUUAGUGCGUCGGAAACUAUAAGUGCCGGUAUAGCGCGGUCGACGGCGCAAAGGAAAAACGGCACGUUCACGCGAGGAGGAGGCGGCGAGAAGAACACUGACGUCCGAGCCCUUAGAUCACGUUGGCGGUGGGCGGCGAGUGGUGGUCGCCGACUCCUGUAUUCCAUGGGCGACCGGCGUCUCCGAUCUGAUCUUGCAGCGGUCGUGGGAGGUGCAGACGACCCGGGUGGUUAGAAUGCGGAGCUGUAAUCGCGGGAUUUAGGGAGGGGUGGGCCGCGUGAGUUAUGUGAGAUUUGGAUAAAUGAUAUAAAGAAAUAAGAAAAUCUUGUGAACUCGGUGUGGGGUUUAUGGGCUUUAGGGUUUAGGGGUUUAGGGUUAUUAGGGUUUAGGGAUUUAGGGGUUUAGGGUUAUCAGGGGUUAGGGUUAUCAGGGUUUAGGGUUGAGUGUUUACAUGCAAGCCCGGAAAUGCGCGUGUCAGAGAACAUACUUGCAUGUGUAUGUACUAAUGAUCCCAAACUUUCUUAAUGGCAUCCCAUGACCACAUAGAGAAUGAAUGCAUAAUGGUUUCCAUGUUGGGCAAAAUUUUGAAUGUUUUUACGGUUUAGUGGGGGGGGUGGGGUUAGGGUUAUCAGGGUUUAGGGUUUAAGGGUUCUAGGGUUGACGGAACUAUGUUUGUCUUACGGUGGACGUAGCACACACACCGGACAUUGGUGGAGCGUUGGUCUACAAUGGAUUCCCUCUGGUAGCAUCGAUCCGAUCCAUUGAAUGGCUCGGCCAACAAACUUCGUGCCACAUAGAGCAUGCAUCCAUCCACUGGACCGGAUCAAUGUUGGGUUGGUUUCAUACAGGUGAGGAAAGCAGCUAGUGCUUUCGGGGUGUUGACAUGCUAGGCCGGAAAUGCGCGUGUCAGAGAUCGUACUUGCAUGUAUAACCCCAAACUUUUUUCAUGGCAUCCCAUGACCCCAUAGAGAAUGCAUGCAUAAUGGUUUCCAUGUGGGGCAAAAAUUUGAAUGUUUUUACGGUUUAGUGGGGGGUGGUGGUUAGGGUUAUCAGGGUUUAGGUUUUAAGGGUUUUAGGGUUAACGGAACUAUGUUUUUCUUACGGUGGACUUAGCACACACACCGGACAUUGAUGGAGCGUUGGUCUACAAUGAAUUCCCUCCGGUACCAUCGAUCCGGUCCGUUGACUGGCUCGGCCGACAAACUUCGUGCCACAUAGAGCAUGCAUCCAUCCACUGGACCGGAUCGAUGUUUGCUUGGUUUCAUACAGGUGAGGAACCCAGCUAGUGCUUUCGGGGUGUUGACAUGCUAGGCUGGAAAUGUGCGUGUCAGAGAUCAUACUUGCGUGUAUAAUCCCAAAAAUCUUUCAUGGCAUCCCAUGACCACAUAGAGAAAUUUUGAAUGUUUUUACGGUUUAGUGGGGGGGAGGGGGUGGGGUUAGGGUUAUCAGGGUUUAGGGUUUACGGGCUCUAGGGUUGACGGAACUAUGUUUGUCUUACGGUGGACGUAGCACACACACCGGACAUUGGUGGAGCGUUGGUCUACAAUGGAUUCCCUCUGGUAGCAUCGAUCCGAUCCGUUGAAUGGCUCGGCCGACAAACUUCGUGCCACAUAGAGCAUGCAUCCAUCCACUGGACAGAAUCAAUGUUGGGUUGGUUUCAUACAGGUGAGGAAAGUAGCUAGUGCUUUCGGGGUGUUGACAUGCUAGGCCGGAAAUGUGCGUGUCAGAGAUCGUACUUGCAUGUAUAAUCCCAAACUUUUUUCAUGGCAUCCCAUGACCCCAUAGAGAAUGCAUGCAUAAUGCUUUCCAUGUGGGGCAAAAAUUUGAAUGUUUUUAUGGUUUAGUGGGGGGGGGGUGGUUAGGGUUAUCAGGGUUUAGGUUUUAAGGGUUUUAGGGUUAACGGAACUAUGUUUGUCUUACGGUGGACUUAGCACACACACCGGACAUUGAUGGAGCGUUGGUCUACAAUGGAUUCCCUCUGGUAGCAUCGAUCCGAUCCGUUGAAUGGCUCGGCCGACAAACUUCGUGCCACAUAGAGCAUGCAUCCAUCCACUGGACCGGAUCGAUGUUUGGUUGGUUUCAUACAUGUGAGGAACCCAGCUAGUGCUUUCGGGGUGUUGACAUGCUAGGCCGGAAAUGUGCGUGUUAGAGAUCGUACUUGUGUGUAUAAUCCCCAAAAAUCUUUCAUGGCAUCCCAUGACCACAUAGAGAAUGCAUGCAUAAUGGUUUCCAUGUGGGGCAAAAAUUUGAAUGUUUUUACGGUUUAGUGNNNNNNNNNNNNNNNNNNNNNNNNNNNNNNNNNNNNNNNNNNNNNNNNNNNNNNNNNNNNNNNNNNNNNNNNNNNNNNNNNNNNNNNNNNNNNNNNNNNNNNNNNNNNNNNNNNNNNNNNNNNNNNNNNNNNNNNNNNNNNNNNNNGGUUUUAGGGUUGACGGAGCACACACAUCGGACAUUGAUGGAGCGUUGGUCUACAAUGGAGUCCCUCCUGUAGCAUCGAUCUGGUCCGUCGACUGGCUCGGCCGACAUACUUUGUGCCACAUAGAGCAUGCAUGCAUCCACUGAACCGGAUCAAUGUUGGGUUGGUUUACAUGUACAUGUACAGGGACCCGAAAUGCGCGUGUUAGAGAUCGUACUUGCGUGUACAUGUACCAUCCUUCCAUCCACUGGCUGGGCCGACAACCUUCGUGCCACAUUGUUCACAUUGUCCAAUUAACACUUUGUAUAGAUUUUUUUCAUAAAAAAUGAACGAAAUAAUGCAACUAAUCUGAACGUAACGUUUGGCAUGUAUCAAACCAAGUUGCCACUAUUCCUCAAAAAAAGAACCCAGUUAGCCACUAAUUGCGCCAAACAUAUCUCGUAAUUACGAACGAAAAUGGGUUGACAAUUAUAUCUGGAAAUUCUUGGACUGAAUUUAUUGCUCUUCGUUUUUUAGAGAACAAUAAGUUAGAAUGGUGGGCGGCGGGUUGGCAUGGGCACGACCAUGGCUCGGGCUUGUGUCAUAUGUGGUUCGACCCGCGGUCAGUGCACAUGUUUUCGAAGCCCCGAAAAGAUCGUGCUCGUUAAAAAAAAAACUUGCAUCGACGCGCAUUACUUCAAAAUAACUAAUUAACCCUACAAUCACGGAUAUAGACCUUCCCAUUCUACCGCAUAUCUACCCUAUCCUAACCACCCCCAUCUACCUUGUUUCUCCUCACAUAGCCAUCGCCGGGAUCGCGCCAUCACUUCUCAAGCGACCACGCCGACGCCGGAUUACAAAAGGUCUCUUCCACGGCUUCUCUCAUCUUCGAUUGCAGUGAUGAUUAUUUUUUCCAUUGAUUCGACCAACAAGUAAUUUCCGAAGAGAUUAGAAAAUCCAGCUUUUACUAUGGUUGAGUAGUUCUGUUGUGAUUCGAGUACAGGAUGUCAUGCAAGAGCUUUUUGAUUGAUAGUUUGUACUAGUUGAUCGUGUGAACUUAUUAUGAAUAUUUUUUCACAGUCGUAUUGUUUCGAAUUAGUUGGAUGAGGGUGUGGAUACAGUUUUCAUACUAUGGGUAUAUGUGUUGCUGUAGGGACCAUGGUCUCAGAGGCGCAUAACAACCGUGCGGAGUACGACAAGUCUUUGCAUGAAGCGCGUCGGGAGAUCGACUUGAAGGUGCAAAAGGAUCGCGCUGAGGUAGAUAAGAAACAGAAAAAAGAACGUUCAUACGUGGACAGGAUGAUAAAGGAGGAGCGUGAGGAGUUUUCCCUUAAGAUGGCGAAGAUGCGUCUUGAGAUUGAAGAAAAGUAUAAGAGGGACUGUGAGCACAUGGAAAAAAAGUUUGUCUUAGGCUACAAGGAAAUGCAUCAAAUGUUGCAGAAGGACCGGAAGCUUGUGGACAGUAUUAUACAGACAGAGCGAGUCAGGAUGGAUGCCUAUGUGUUGCAGGCAUGUGCGGAUAUGGACAGUAAGCUGCUACAGGAGCGGUCGGACAUGGAUUAUAAGGCCAUGCUGGAGAAGGUCCGCUUGGAAGGACAUAUGUUAGAAGACCGUGCGAUCUCACGGCCACCCCGACAACAUGUCUUCAAUUAUUCUCCCCCUGUCAGUAUCUCGCACCGAUUCUAUAUAUUAAGGACCUACGUAUUCUAUGAUAUAAACAUCUUCAAUUUGUGGCAACCUUAUGUCGGCGAUUGUAUGUAGGCUAAGCAUCAUGACACGACACAGUCGCCAUUCACUCGACACAUUGCGAUAGAGUCACCCGUUCAAUGCCACAUCAGUCCACCCCAACAACAUAUCGUCAAUUCUCCCCUUGUAAGUACCCCGCAACAAUGCAUACCCAAUAUAUGGUAUGACCUUUCAAAACUUGUGUGUAAACCCACUAUCGACGUUUCAUACGCAGGAUAAGAAACCUGUGAUGGCAGAGUCCCCAGUCACACCACAUGAAGGAUACAUUCCACAUAAUAAGGUGAGAAGGUUUGAGAUGGCACAACCCCCAGUCACUCCACAUGAAGGAUACAUUCCACAAAAGCAGGUAACAACGCCGCAAUGUUGCUAUGCACAUAAAAAAUUAUGUUUGCCCCUUUACUCAUUGAAUGUAUUAACUCCGAUGUGAGAUACUAGGUGCUGGUCAUGGAAUUUUUUGUUAGUAGGGAUCAUGAGAUGUCACAUGUCCCGAGAGCAUACUUUGAUGAACACCCGGCAGAAGUCAGAAUUUUUGAACCCGCCAAAGUUACCUACGAUCUCAUUAUGAGUGAAAUGAGAGAUACUUUUGGUUGCAAACUGGGAGCAGAACUGUACUACUUCUUACCCGGGUCUGCGUGGAAGCUGCCAGAAGGAAUGUUCUUGAUUGCAGGACCAGAUGAUGUACAAAAAAUGCUUUCUGAUCUGAAUGGCAGCAAGACAUGUCACCUGUACAUUGUGUACAAUAGAACUACGGGUUGUUUUCCCGAGGAUGACGUUGAUUCCGAGGUUCAAAUUUUACAUGUUACAUGCAUCUAGUUUAUGGCUACGUCUUUUUUGAGUUCUUCCUAAUACAAUUCCUAUGGUUUUCUACAGGAAGUGAGAAUCCAAGAAAUGGAGUGUCUUGCUAGAGAGUUGGCAGAGAAAGACCAAGAACAACUUAAGUUGUAUGGUUACAUUGAUGUUAAAGAGAAAAAGAUUGAAGCACGUGGGUCGUCGCCAAGCCCGACGCAAUCUCCAACGACGCAACGCAAGAGGUCACUGGAUUUUGGUAGUGCAGAAGACAAUAUGGAGUAGGCUCAAUUGUUUUUCAACCAGUUAAAGCUUCAAACCAGGAUUAUUUAGUUGCAAACAAACAUUUUGUUUUCUGUUUCACACUAUGUUCGCAAUUAUGGUACAAUUUAUUCAUGAGACAUUUCGUUGAACAACAAUGCAUGUGUUUUAUGAUCAAUCAUACAGUUGUUUCUGAGUUGUUUUUGAGAUGGCAUUGUGUCUAAAGAAGUUUCCAUCUAUAAAACUUGCCACGCAGUCGCAUCGGAAUCGCGUAUCACGCGAGAGGCGUGCGUCGCACGGGAGAGCGUCGCACGCGAGCUUGUUUUCGGGUAGAAAUCAUAACAUAUUUCGGAUAGAUAAAGUUCACGUCCUCCACCCGCGCAUGCAAACCCACGUCGCCGCCAUUCCCAUGCACGCAUGCCUCAGGCGCAGACAACGAGACGGCCCAUCCGAAUUAGGCCCAUCCGAAGUAGGACAUUAGAACCCUCCCCCCACUCCACCUAUUCCCCUCGCACUGUGGCCUCCCUCCCUCCAUCGCCAGAUCCCCCACUCGUCCCCCUCUGUCCGCCGCCCCUGCAUGCCGUCAGCGACUUCACCUCCGCCGCCCCCGCACCCCCCGAACGAGAUCGGCCAGAUCCAUCUCCUCAACCAUCGCAGGACAACGCAGGUACCCCAGUUUCUGUUGACGUCUCAAUGGUAUCCAUGCUGAUAAUGCUAGGUAGAUCGACUGAGUGUAGCAAUUUUGUGCCACCAUCUGAAACUUGUGAUGCUUCCUACUGUACAAUAUAGGACUUUUCAAAGUUCUGUUAUGAUGGCACUUUUUGACACAUACAGUAGAGCUGCGUUUUUAGUUGUUAUACUUUCAGUUACCAUCACUGCUUGGGAAAGGACGAAUUGGAUGCAUUCAGGUCUGCAGUUGAUAGUGUAUCAUCAUAAUAUAGGUGCUGUGUUGUGUGAUUCUUCAUGCUGAGAACUUCAGCUUUUUCAGUUAUAGUGAAAGGCUUCUGUAUAAAAAAAACUACUAAAUGAUCACAAAAACUUCUAGACAACAUUUUGUAUGAUCUGACCAAAACUUGAACUAAAUGAUCACCAAAAGUUGAAGGAUUUUGCAUCACAUCACAACCAUAAGUCUUCUGCACCAGCAUCAUAACAAUCACAUAACUACAUAACAAAAGCAAACUUGUUCAUCAUUACAAAAGAAAACUUGUUCAACAUAAGAAAAGCUAACUUGUUCAGCAUUACAAAAGCAAACUUGUUCAACAUAACAAAAGCUAACUUGUUCAGCAUUACAAACGCAAACUUGUUCAACCACAUAACUGCAAACUGAGACACAUAAUACCACAAACAACUCAAUAUCCCAGUAGUAGGGGUCAUCCCAAUGAUCCUCCACCUCUUGCCAGUACUCCAAACCUUCUUUGACGAUAUCGAUUUUCUUCCAUGCCUCGUAGGUGACGUACGCAUCUUUCGCUGCGUACUCGAUGAGGUUGUUUGGCAGUGGGCUGUCCCCCCAUAGUUUGUGGUCCAAUUCCUUGUUGAUCUUCUUCUUCAUUUCCUUGUACGAUGGGUGGAUGAGGCUGGCUGCAAACUCAGCCAAAGCCUGCCACUUCUUUCCAUUCCUUGGAACUCUCCAUUUGCGCUGCAUGUCGACGUACUUGUCGGGGUUGAUCUCCAAACCAGACAAUUUCAGCUUCUCCUUGUCACCUCCAAUGGAGAAGCCAACAAAGGUGUAGAGCUUCUUCUCCUGCAGGAGUGGGCGGAGUUCCUUAGGCCUGCAUCAAAUUAAUCUGGUGCAUCAAAUUCAUCCACUUCAAAAACUUCAGAAACUACUAAUUAGACAUAAAAUUCAGAACUAGUAUUGCAUCUACUCCAGAACUUCAGAACUAGUAUUGCAUCUACUUCAGAACUUCAGAACUAUUGCAUCUACUUGAGAAACUUCUGAAACUUCAGAACUAUUGCAUCUACUUGAGAAACUUCAGAAACUACUAAUUAGACAGAAACUUCAGAACUUCAGAACUAGUAUUGCAUCUACUUCAGAACUUCAGAACUAUUGCAUCUACUUCAGAAACUACAGAAACUACUAAUUAGACAGAAAGUUCAGAACUUCAGAACUAGUAUUGCAUCUACUUCAGAACUACAGAACUAUUGCGUCUACUUCAGAAACUUCAGAAAUUACUAAUUAGACAGAAACGUCAGAACUUCAGAAACUUCAGAACUGGAUGUUUUUACCAUUUGGUUGCCGCGGUGAUGUGGUAUACCAGGACGAGAUCCUCCACGCAUAACUGUAGAACUGCAGCCUUUUGCGGAGGUUCAUCUUCCCUCGUAUACUCGACAUCAACGCCGAUCGACUGAGGAAACAUGCCGCCGAGCCUCCUCCUGAUCUCGCGGAUCCUCUUGUCGGCUUCGUAUGGAUUGCUGGUGCAUACGACAUCCAGCUUCUCCUUCAGGUGGAUAUCAACCAUGAGCUUCACGGUGUAGUCCUGCUUCUGCCCAGGGAUCGGAACGUCGUCGUCGACCACCAGCGGCUCCUUGCCAGACGCCUCACCUUGGUGAUGCUUGCCAGAUGGAGGGGAGUUGCUCCACGAUGCCUCCGCCAUUCUCUUGGCAGACGGAGGGGAGUUGCUCCACGAUUCCUCCGCCAUUGCCCUCCUGGCCAGCGAUGGUGGAGGCAGAGGGGAGUUGCUUGAUGGUGGAGGCAGAGGGAGGAAGAUGGAGCGGCAAUGGAAUAAGGAGGGAGGCAGAGGGAGGCAGAUUGAGCGGCAAUGGAAUAGGAGGGGAGUUCCCUGCGUCGUGGGGAGUUGCCAGUGGAGGGGAGUCGUGGGGAGUUGCCAGUGGAAGGGAGGCGUGGGGAGUUGCCUCGAAAACUCAAACGUCCUGCCCUUUGGCCCUCGAAAAAUCUGGAGGGGAGACGUGGGCUCUUUGGUUUGUCCCGUUUCUGAAACAAAAAAAAAAUAACAGCCAUAUUUUGCUCUCACUGCAACCAUAUUAAGAGAUGAAAAAUGGCACCAAAAAGUCACUGCAGCCAUCCUCAAUGGCACGAAAACAGCACCAAAACAACAUCAGCCAAAACAACAAAAAAUGCAUCCAUUGAUCGUUCUUUAUUUCUUCUAACAUUCCGUGUUCUGUGCAGUGAGAUAGACACAACACUACAAAUGCAGGCUGACAACGCCCGCGAUUUCAUGACCAUCAGGACAGACGGCGGCUUCAUCCACGCUCCGGUCCCAUGAGUCGAGUCGAAAGUAGUGAUGCUAUGUGUAGUUCUGAAACAUUGAUUGGCUCAUGUUGUAAUUAAACUUUAAUGAAUUGUAUGUCUCUUUGGUUUGGACAGUCGUUAAACUUAGAUGUACUCGAUGCUAUUUAUUACUAGGACCAUGAAUUGUGCUAUUAAUGUCUUGCUUUUCUCUUCCGAUCCUUUUGUUGCAUACUUAUUUAUUGCUUAUGUAUUGUCUGUUGUUUGGCUUGUGCAUAGAGAUGCCGUCGUAUGUCGUGUACAAGGUAAGGUUCCCGGAGUCUACGAUGACUGGGAGGAGUGUCGGAGACAGGUUCACCGUUUCAGCGGUAACAGUUACAAAGGGUACACCACUAGGGUGGAGGCGGAAUCUAGAUAUGCCCGCUAUCUAGCGGGAGAGAGGAGGGAGCGUUGGAGGAAACGGAUGAAGACCAAUUUCAUCGCGAUGAUGCUCAUCGUGAUGACCGCAACUCUCUUCUAUGUGAUGGUAGUUUAGAUGAUCGAUAUCGACUUGUAAUGUGAAGACAAACUCGCUACUCGCGGUCUCGAGACUUGUAAUGUUCUAUCUUUGUUCGGUCUUGUGAAUUCAGAGACUAAUAUGAUGAAUUGUAUUCGGAGAGCUAUCUUCUAUUGUAUUGGAUGAAUGUGCUGUUGCUGUGUGGUGUUGUCUAUAUUCUCUCCAAUAAUAUAUUUUGUAACCUGUGAAAAUAUCAGAAAUGUGCAUUUUUUCGACCACCUCCAAAUCACCUCAGUUUUGGAACACAUGAUCUCUUCCACAAACAAAACUAGGUUUCCAAGUUUUUGUAUUUUUUUAAAUUUUUUUGAAUUUAUAAUGCCCUCUAGACUGACUGCUGAAAACAUCGGUCUAUGCCUCAAGGGGGCAUUGUAAAAUAUUUUUUUUAAAAUUUUCUUGCAUACACAUGUUUUGCACAUGUGGGUCACCAUGUACAAGAAAAUUUGGGUGAUUUGGAGGUGGUGGAAAAAUUCACAUUUUUUCAAAAACUGACUUAAGUUAAGACCAAAUGGUCCCUCCGGGAAUGCGGGCAUUUUUUCGACCACCUCCAAAUCACCUCAGUUUUGGCACACAUGAUCUCUUCCACAAACAAAACUAGGUUUCCAAGUUUUUGUAUUUUUUUAAUUUUUUUUGAAUUUAUAAUGCCCUCUAGACUGACUCCUGAAAACAUCGGUCUAUGCCUCAAGGGGGCAUUGUAAAAUAAAUUUUUUCAAAAUUUUCUUGCAUACACAUGUUUUGCACAUGUGGGUCACCAUGUAUAAGAAAUUUUGGGUGAUUUGGAGGUGGUGGAAAAAUUCAUGCAAGACUCGGGGACCUGCAUGCAAGACUCGGGGACCUGCAUGCAAGAGUCGGGGACCUGCAUGUGAAUAGUGAUUCAUCAAGGCCAUGACAGCUAUUGGCACAGCGGCUGCCGCCCGAUUUGUAUGCAGCGAAGAUGAACGUGCAUGGAGGUUUUUCAAAGAUUUCCAAGCACACCCCAGUGGGCCCCGCUUAUUUAAAAAAGACGUCAGUCAUUAUUGCUCUGUAAAUGAAGAAUAUGCAUGAUGAUUAUGAAUACGCAUGACAACCAUAGUAAGGGUGAAGAAUCAUAGUGCCCAAUUUGUCGAAAUACAUCAUCAUUCUUAAAGUUGGACAUCAAAUGAUACACACAGAAAAUGGAAACGAAAGAUGUCGAACUAAUAUAGUAACAUGCCAGUACAACUGCACUUCACUAAAUUACUGUCACGAUGAAAUAGAAUGUAAAGACCACGUCACACAAACAUGAAUGACACACGACUUUCUCUGGCUCAUCGUCGGUUCAUGCUGUAUGUAGAUAUCACAGUUCAGCCUCGAUAUCCUACACAGAAGAAUAGAAUAAAUCACAUGGACAUCAAUUAUGAGUAAAACACAUGCAAAAAAAAUAUGAAAAUAUUUUGUACCUCUAGCAAUUUAGCGCAUUUACGUCGAUUGUGACCUGGUUUCUUGCAAUAGCCACAGAUAUUCUGUGAUGUUGACUUCUUUGUCUUUGCCUGCAGCCUUUUCUUCGGUGCACCUCGUCCUGGCACAUGCACGGGAUCCAGAACCUUAUCAACUUUCUGUGAGUGUGGCAUCAACGGGCCAAACCUAAUGCUGUUAUGCUGAGCAUUAGUUGACUCCUUGCUGUCAGCUUGUUCAAAACUUGAUUGCUUGCCAUGAUGUUGUGCUUGCAAAAGCAUCUUUAGACGGUGAUAGUCCUCAUCAGAGUGGCAUGCCUGGAAACUUGCGGCGUGACUACAAUUCCGCAACUCGCGGUACCUCUGCAGGCUUAGCGAAUAGUCAUACAUCUGGUUUUUUCUGGUAGGUGCGUAUGCACAUUUUGCAUUCAUAGUCCACCUAGUGGGAACGCAACAACCGGGCAGAAUUGUUUGUUUUAAAAUCCCCAAUAUGUAAAAAAAUGUGGGAACAUGGUGUGCCUGCGCAUUCCAGCUUAUGGCAAGAACAACUCACCCUGUGCAAAAGACCUCCUUGCUCUUCAAUGCGCACUCCAAACUUUUUAUCCAUUCUUUCCUGCUUGGACACAACAUAAGUGGAAUCUUCUGAUCCAUCUAGUAUCUCUCUAAUCUGACAUUUGCUGACAGAAUCUAUGCUCCAUAAGACCAUCUUAAAGACACUAGGUGUGAAAACUGUUGCGGCGUGUUUCUCAAGCGGCGAAGCAUUUUCCUCUGUAAAUGGAACGGACUGCAAGGCUUCAACGUCAUGGAGAGCUUCGUUAAUCCGUCGCGACGCAAGGCAACGCUCAUAGUGCUCUAGCCUUUCAAACAACGACAUCUUACCCUCAAGAUGCGUAUGUAGCACAGAGUUCAAGCUCUCACUCCUCUGAUUACUGCUCAAUCCUAGGAAACAACGCCCCUCAAGAUAUGGAGCACACCACAACUUUCUCAUCUGAUACAUCUGAUGCAGCCAAGACUCCUCACUGGUUACUUUAUUCCGUUGUAAGAAUUGUAUUCAUUUUAUCUCAUGCUCUUCAAUGGAAGAAGUAUCAUAAAUGAAAGAUCUGAAUUCCUCCUUUACGUCGUCAUCAUGCAGAUGGCGUACAAUGUUCUGCUGAAUGUGCCAUAUACAUAGUCUAUGGUUUGAGUCUGGCCAGACCACCCUUAUUGCUCUCUGCAUUGCAAGGUCCCCAUCUGUGAUCACAGAUAUCGGAUGCUUCUGUGCCAUGCAAUCAGAAAAGGUCCGCAACAUCCACUCGUAUGCCUGGCUUGUUUCAUGAGAAAUUAAUUAUACCACAGCCAAAUAUAACAGUGCUGCGGUGGUGAUUCAACCCGACAAAAGGCACGAAUGGCAGAUUGUAUUUUUUGGUUCUGUAUGUGCUAUCGAAAACAAUGACGUCUCCGAAAGCCUCGUAGUCAAGUCGCGAUUGACUGUCAGCCCAGAACAGUCCCUUCAGAUGGCCAUGCUCGUCUACCAAGUACUUGAAGAAAAAAAUCCACAUCUCGCUCUCGCCUCGCCAUCAUAUGCAUGAUCACCGUUUUAGCAUCACCGGCACUGAUUGUCUCUUGCUUAUUAGCAUGGCAGAAAUUAUAAACGUCCCUCUUUAUGCAUCCAACCUUAUCAAAUCCACCGUAUUGGAAGCACAAAAUAUCCAUAAUACGGUAUUUGUGGAUCCCACAUUUUCCAUGUCCGCAAUGUCCGCUUUCUGCUCAUCGCUAAUUCGUCUGUGCAAACGCAACAGACAAGAAAGAUCCCAUGGGGCUAGAGGAUGGUUGUGCUCAUCGAUGAAAUCCUUGACAAACCACCGACCGGUUUCCUCUUGUCUCGUAAUGACCAAUUUAGCAUUACAUCCAACACGAGUUAAACUUUGUGGCCUCCUUUUUCUAUCUUCCAUCUUUCUUUUCAUGUGCUUAUCUUCGCGAAACCCUUGACGACUACACACAAUUUUCCUUAAAAUUAUGUAUUUGUUGGAUCCAUCCCACUCAACGUAGCUUUUCCUCACACUAAAACCUUUUUCAAGAGCAUAUUUGUUGUAGAAUUCAUAGCCUUCAGCCUCACUAUCAAACAUCUUGCUGACAACAUUUACAUACUCGAACAUACUCUCAUCACUUGCAUACGCCAUGUCUUCCUGCAUAUGACAUGUGAGGGAAACCAAUCAUCAACAUCUUUCUGUUUAUCAAUGUUGCAGGUGUAAAAUAGCUCAUAGGCAAAGACAAGUGCAUGGAAAAGACUUUGCUGGUUUGACAUGUGAGGGAAACCAAUCAUCAACGUCCAACAAGUACUAUCCUAGCAUGGAUGAUGACUCUAAUAAACUGGAUUCAUACCUGGUACGCGCGAAGAGAUGGGAUCGCCCGCCGCCGUCGCCGCCUAUUCCGUCGGCACAGAUCCGGCCUUCUUCUUCUUCGGUGACAGCGUGGGGGGCUGGGGUUGGUUGGGUGGAGGACGAGGACGAUGAAUUUAUUCCUCUCACCAGGCAGGUCGAGGACGGAGAAGGUCAGGAGCGGCGACGAAUAGAUCGGAGGAGGUUUCUGAUCUGGAUCGAGUAUACAUGGAUCUGGUCUUCGGGUGAUCGGUUCAAGAAAAGAUUUUUGUCCCUGGACCAUUAUGCCCUUAUCGCUUAAAUUUAAUCAAGUUUAAUUCCCUGCAAGAUCGGUUUUCUAAUAAUAAUCAGACGUCACCAGACAUGUAAGUACUGCUAAGUACUCCGAGUACUAACCUAAUCACCGUAAAACUGCUCCCAAAUAGGAUGACCGCUUUAGAGAAAGCAAUAAGGGAAUUCAUGGACAAUCAAACUGAGAAUGUAAUUGUAUUUGUACCGAUGAUGGGAACGAGUUCACAGAUUCUCUGACUUAGCCGAGACUAUGGCAGAGGGAUGUCAAAUUCAUAUAACUGUUCAUGCACCAUCCGACGGCAGCAAGCAAAGCCCAUGGACACACAGCAUUAUCGACCUAGAAGGGUGAUGCUGCCCAGUCCAACGCAUAGGCGAAGCAGGAAAAACGGUGCGAGGCAGCCGAAGUAUGAAUGAAGGAACCGAUCACCAAGCUGCCGAAGGAUGAGCUGCUCUGCUCUUGUGAGAGAUGUUAAAUUUUGUAGUGUUCAUUUUACCAUUCUGUAAUGUGCACUUAUGUUGCUGCUCAAUUCAGUUCCCUUCUCCCACUUGCAUUUCACAGUCAUGUCCAGUUCAGUGAGCAAAGUCUCUAAAAUUCAGCUCAUUCAAUUAUAGCAUUCAUUCACAACAACCACACUGAGAGAUCUCAACCCCUUCUGCCACUGAGUGAUCUCAACCCCUUUUGCCAUACUCAAUUCUGUUAUCAAUUUUACAACAUCAAGUGAUAUGCUCACAAAUUGACAAUGUCAAUGACCUGCUCUUAAUUUACAACAUCAUUGAUAUGCUAAAAAAUGAUAAUGUCAAUGAUCUGCUCUCAAAGUACUUCCUCUGUCCCAUAAUAUAAGAGCGUUUUUGACACUGUCUGAAACUCUCUUGUUGUUUUGUGUAAAUCAGUUUACAAUCUGAAACUCAACUGAUGUUUGCUUGUAAAUCAGUUAAUAAUGUGCUCUCAAUUUCCAGGCUAGCUUCGCCGGCGCCUGCUCGACGGAGUGGUGCAUCGAUGGCAGCCACGGCCGUCCUCCUCUUGCGAUGGUGCGGGGUCAGCGAUAUGGUGCUUGCUUAGUGCCUCCAGCAACAGCGGCGCGACCUCGCGGCGUGAUACAACCAUGACUUGUAGCCAAGGCAGCGGCAGUCGUCCUCCCAGGGCGAUCGCGAGCAAUGGCGACGGUGAGCGAUGGGUUGUUUAUGGGCUGCACAGCAUUGUUGUUAUUCUUAUUUGUUUUCACCUUGCUGCUGUCGAAUGACGCAUGUGAUUUGGAUUAGACGUCCGUCUAGCGUAAAAAUAAUACUCGAUGCUAUACAGCCCAGGUCGGGAAUCUCGAAGUGAGUUCACGAUGGAGAUAGCGAGAGUAUCUGAGCUCGUGCUCAGAACAUCACUUUCCUUAGGAAAGGGGGAACCAGGAUCGAUUCCUGGUCUCAAAGGUGACAGCGGGUGCUGCUACCAGUCCGAUCAAGUUCCGUUCGUGAUAAGUUGUAGGUGCGCGUCGUACUUGAGCCGAUUCAAGCCGGUUUUCUUUGAGUUUUUUUCCUUCUUCAUUUUUUUCAUUCUUUUUUGCACUCGUUUCUUCAUUUUUUUUCAUUUUUUUCUUUUGUUUAUUUUCUUUGUUCUUUUGGUUAUUAUUGUGCAUUUUUUGUAUACGUCAACAAUAUUUUUUUAAUACACGUCUAACAUUUUUCAAAUACAAAUCAACAAUUUUUGCAAUACAUGGCCUACAUUUUUGUAUACACAUUUUUUAAAUGCUUGAUUAUCAUUUUUCAAAUACAAUAUUAACAAUUUUAAUACAUGGUUAACAUUUUUUUAUCAUUUUUACAAAAAAAUAUAUUAAAUGCUUGAUUAACAUUUUCUUAAUAGAUGGUCAACCUUUUUUUCAUACACAUUUAACAUUUUUUCCAAACGCUUGAUUAACUUUUUCAGACCCUUGUUCGACAUUUCUUUCAAAUGCUGGAUUACAUUUCUAUAUACUUAAUCAAAUAUUUCUAUCAUUUUUAAUACAUGGUCAACAUUAUUAACAUACACAUUUAACAAUUUCCCAAUUCUUGAUUAAUAUUUUUUAAAUACUCGUUUAACAUUUCCCAAUUUUAGCUAGUUAUGGUGCAAACUAAGUGUUGUGCCUCGUCUUAAUCUAUCUAUAUAUCCUAUCUUCUAUUCGGCGACGUGGUUGCGCCCGUGGCGGAUGUGGUCGCCGCCAUGACUUGGUCGAUCUCCCUCUUCUGUAUUCGAGAAAAAAAGAUCUCCGUCUUCUCUUUAGAUGAGAUGGGGAGGAGAUGGUGAGAGAUGAGGUCAACGGCAUUGGGGAGAGGAUAAGGGUAGACGCCAGUGGUGAGGCGGCGUGAGGAAGACGAGGUGGUUGGCGGCUAGGACGCAUGAGGGGAGGGGAAGGGUGGGGAGUGGUGCGUGGAGGGAAGUGGGUGUGCGGCGUGCCCAAUUCACGAGAGAGGAGAGAGGUCGGCAAGGGAGCGACCCAUGGGAGUUUUUUUUCUUCUGAGUGAGCCUAGUUGGGCUAUCUGCUGCGUCCAAGGCCCAAUGCACCACAUGUCUUCAAAUUGGCCACCAGUAGCAGCCCUUAGAACAGACAUGGCCAUUUUGCAAAUUUAAAGACAUAAGUUUUUUGCACGCAUGAAAAACAUAACACGUAUCUUUUCACACAUAAUGAACUAUAGGUACUACCCAAAAAAACAUAAUGAACUAUAGGUUGUCACAAGAACUCAUGCCAUCCCACAACCUCCCUCUGACCCUGCCAACAUUGUUGCAACUGCACUCGCAAGUGUUAUCGUAGAUGAUCAUUUGCAUGAUUUCCCGUAAAACAAAAUAAGAUCUACAAACGAAUAGAAGCUACACAUACCUUGGCAUGCACACACAUUGCAAGCCAUACUAAGCAGAUAAGUGUUAAAAACUUGUACUCCCUCAUCUCAGUUUACAAGUCUUCCACGUGUAUCUAGGUCGUCAAUUUAAUUAUAUAAAAUAAAUUGUUUGACAUAAAUUAUAUCAUUAGAAAAUAGAAAUAUAUAUUUUGUAAUGUAUGCCUCUUAUUAAGUUGGUCAAAUUAACAAUCUAGGUACACAUGCAAGACUUUUAAACUAAGAUGGAGGGAGUACAACAUAUACAACACUUACGACAAGUAAAAGCAAUUUGAUGAGUCAUGGUCUAUCAAAGCAAGCUACAUUACUAAUCUAAUCUAUGUUAACAUGUCACACAUGAUUACAAUCUUUUUUGUGUGCAAGUCAAGCCUAUCUAGUCUACAUGUAACAACUUGUAGAACAUUACAAAAUUGAUGUUUGCUAAUAACUUUUAGAACACUACAACACUUGACAUGUAAAAAGAGUUUGAUGAGUCAUGACCUACUAAAGCAAGUUACAUUACUAGUCUCAUCUAUCUUAACAGGUCACACAAGAUUAAAAACUAAGUUCUGUGCAAGCAAUGCUUAUCUAUUUUACACAUAACAACUUGCAUAACAUUACAAACUUAGUUUUAGAAAAUUAGGCAACCUAGAUUAGUGUUUAGUUGUAAAGUGAAUAAGAUGAGUCAUGUGUGUUAUCACACCUUUUUAUGGUGGAAUGAUAGUGCCACCAAACACAACAUACCAAAAUAUGAUUUUGGGAAGCAUCCAAGCACUUUCCAGACAAGCAAAUGCCAAUUGUGAAAGAGAUAAUGCCAUGGCAGCUAUAAAUAGGCCUGUUGCAUGAUGAUCAUCCUUCCUCAUUCAUCAUUCUCAUAAGUAGAGUGCAUCAUUCAAGCCAAGCAAGCACUGGUCAAUACAAAUCCAUCAUGAAGACAUUUCUCAUCAUUUCCCUCCUUGCUAUCGUGGCGACCACCGCCACAACUGCAGUUAGAGUUCCAGUGCCACAAUUGCAGCCGCAAAAUCCAUCUCUGCAACAACCACAAGAGCAAGUUCCAUUGGUGCAACAACAACAAUUUCCAGGGCAGCAACAAACAUUUCCACCACAACAACCAUAUCCGCAGCCGCAACCAUUUCCAGGACAACAACCAUAUCCGCAGCCGCAACUAUUUCCACAGCCGCAACCUUUUCCGCCACAACUUCCAUAUCCGCAGCCGCAACCAUUUCCCCCACAACAACCAUAUCCACAACCGCAAACACAUCAUCUGCAACCACAACAACCAAUUUCGCAGCAACAAGUACAACAACAACAACAACAACAACAACAACAACAACAACAACAACAACAACAACAACAACAACAACAACAACUACUACUACAACAACAAAUCCUUCAACAAAUUCUGCAACAACAACAACUGAUUCCAUGCAGGGAUGUCAUCGUCUUGCAACAACACAACAUAGCGCAUGAAAGCUCACAAGUAUUGCAGCAAAGUAGUUACCAAGUGUUGCAACAAUUAUGUUGUCAGCAGCUGCGGCUGAUCCCCGAGCAGUCGCGGUGCCAAGCCAUCCACAAUGUCGUUCAUGCUAUUAUUCUACAUCAACAACAACAACAACAACAACAACAACAACAACAAGGACAACAUCAACCGUCGAGCCAGGUCUCCUACCAGCAGCCUCAGCAACAAUAUCCAUCAGGCCAGGGCUCCUUCCAGCCAUCUCAGCAAAAUCCACAGGCCCAGGGCUUUGUCCAACCUCAACAUCUGCCCCAACUCGAGGAAAUAAGUAACCUAGCGCUGCAGACGCUACCAGCAAUGUGCAAUGUCUACAUCCCUCCAUAUUGCUCGACCACCAUUGCGCCAUUUGGCAUCUUCGGUACUAACUGAGAAGAGAAGAACUCUAGUACUAGAUAUAUGAAACACCGUGUUCUUAGUCCAUGGUUUGGUCGUUGUACCGUUGAAAAUAUAAGGUGACAUGCACUAUCAUGUAAGAACCCGAACUAUACUAGUUCAAACAUGGGAAUAAAAGACAAACACAUGUCUUGUCUGCAUAUGAUUGUUUAUUUGAGUUCCAUUCCUAUGCCCAUUCACAAGUUCACCCGUAAUUAUAUAUAUUACACAUUAAGUAGAUAUUUAUGUUGCAUUAAUAUGAAGAUAACAAAAUGAGUCUGAAACUUGAAUUAAAUUGAAGUAUUUUCUUGGACUUUCAAAUUGUGUAUUAUUAAAGUAGUAAGGAUUAUCCACAUCCUUGGCUUGCCCUUCAUCAAUUAUUCCCAGAGAAGCUUUCAGUUCAUAAAUCAAUUACAUUGAUUUUUGUGAAUGGUACAUCUCCUCAUCACGAGUAUCAUUACGGCUACUCCAAAUCGCUCACAUAACCGAAGCAUUAAUAGCGCCCUUCUUGCAUCCGGAAAUAUGGAUCGAAGAUAUCACUUGACCAUGUUUCCAGGUGCAACCUUGGGAUUUUUAUGUCAAAAUAUUCUCAAGCAAAAUCCAAGAAUAAACUUGCAUGCUCACGUGUGAUGAGGGCAGAUGAAGUAACAUUUCCUCCCCAUGGCCACACAUAGGGCACACACAUAACCCCAUCACAUGCCUUUUUAGUUAUGCAUAUGAAAGGUAGGAUGUUUUUAAUUACUCUCUACCAAAAUACUCUUAACUUGGCUUGUACCCUAAUAUUUCGUUGCCUUUUCAAUUGUUCUUCCCCAUUAGACAAAGUAGACAGUCCAUCUACCACACCGUACCUUGUGUCCAUCAUUGCUCUGUACAACAAUUGAACAGAACAAAUGUCAUUUCUUUACGAUACCCACGACCAAAUGUCCUUUGCUGGAUUGUUUGGUCGUGGCAUAUUAAGGAUGGCCACCUCAUCUCAUGGGGUAAACACCUAAUGAAUGAAAGGAUUGUUCUAGUCGCCCGUGUUUUUCAUCGAUAAGAUCAUCUACAAGUUGGACCGAAGUUUCUCACAUGCAUCAUAGUGGUUUCAUUAGCGGCGUGCCCUGCACCCAUUUAUCACGUCGUAUCUCUGUAGUAUGUGCAUUCCCAAUUUGUCACAGCAUACCCUCCUUCAAACCUUCUUUCCCUUUCAGAUUAGCACGCCAAGUUAGCUAUGCACUAUGCGGGAACCAGCAUUUGAAAAAAAAGAAUCUCAUUUCAUGGUAUCUUCCAUGAAGGACCCUCGUACAUUAGCUAUCUAGGUAGAAAUAGCCAUGUAUGUUUGGCAAACUUUGCAUAAGUGAAUAGAUCAAGGUCGUGGAACCCCAAGCCUCCAAUUACACACGGCCUCUCUACCAAUAAGAUCUCCAAAGACAUCAAGGAUACAGACAGCCAAAAAAGAAAAUAAAAAGAAAAAAAAUAAAAAAUACCCUGCCAUGGUGAUCAAUCACAAGCAUCAGCAGCACUCUAACCACCACCAAAGACAAUGCCCAGAUUACAAAAAAAAAUUAUCCAAAAACAAUGCCCCCAAGAAGGAAACAAUACACAAGCGUUGUCGUUGCCCGAUCGAAGAUCGUGGGUUUUCACCCUGGAAAAUUUUUGAGUUCACCCAAAAACAAUGCCUUCAACAAGGCCAUUGCCAAGUACAACAAAUAUGGUCGAGACCUUGGGUUUUCACCCUAGGAAUUGAGACUCGAUGCUCGAGGAGUACCAGCAAAAAUGCAGUCCACUAGUGUUGCCGCCCCCACUUGGCAAGGCCACUGUUGCAAGUCACCAAACACCUGGCAUAUAGUUGUCAUCGCAUCCAAUACACCCUUCGGCCGAAGCUUCAAGACCUUGAUCCGUCUCCAGCGUAUCUAUAAUUUUUGAUUGUUCCAUGCUAUUAUAUUAUCUGUUUUGGAUGUUUUAUAUGAUUAUUAUGGUAUUUUAUAUGAUUUUUGGGACUAACCUAUUAAACUAGAGCCCAGUGUCAGUUCCUGUUUUUUCCUUGUUUUAGAGUUUCGUAGAAAAGGAGUACCAAACGGAGUCCAAACGGAAUUAAACUUUUGCGAUGAUUUUUCUUAGACCAGAAGACAUCUAGAGGACUUGGAGUGCAUGUUAGGAAAGCCACGAGGCUGCCACAACGACAGAGGUGCGCCCCCACCCUUGUGGGCCCCUCGUGACUCUACCGACAUAUUUCUUCCGCCUAUAUAUUCUCAAAUAUUCCAAAACAUACUAGGAGAGCCACAAAAACACUUUUCCACCGCCGCAACCUUCUGUACCCGUGAGAUCCAAUGUAGGGGCCUUUCCCGGCAUCCUGUCGGCGGGGGAUUCGAUCACUUAGGGCUUCUACAUCAACACCAUUGCCUCUCCGAUGAAGCGUGAGUAGUUUACCACAGACCUAUGGGUCCAUAGCUAGUAUCUAGAUGGCUUCUUCUCUCUCUUUGAUUCUCAAUACCAUGUUCUCCUCGAUGUUCUUGGAGAUCUAUUCGAUGUAAUACUCUUUUUGCGGUGUGUUUGCCAAGAUCCAAUGAAUUGUGGAUUUAUGAUCAGGUUAUCUAUGAGUAUUAUUUGAAUCUCCUAUGAAUUCUUAUAUGCAUGAUUUGAUAUCUUUGCAAGUCUCUUCGAACUAUCGAUUUGGUUUGGCCAACUAGAUUGGUUUUUCUUGCAAUGGGAGAAGUGCUUAACUUUGGGUUCAAUCUUGCGGUGCUCGAUCCCAGUGACAGAAGGGGAUGAUACGUCCCCAACGUAUCUAUAAUUUUUGAUUGUUCCAUGCUAUUAUAUUAUCAACCUUGGAUGUUUUAUAUGCAUUUAUAUGCUAUUUUAUAUGAUUUUUGGGACUAACCUAUUAACCCAGAGCCCAGUGCUAGUGCCAGUUUCUGUUUUUUCCUUGUUUUAGGGUUUCGAAGAAAAGGAAUAUCAAAUGGAGUCCAAACGGAAUGAAACCUUCAGAAAAUUUAUUUUUGGAAAGAAAGUAAUACGGGAGACUUGGAGUGCACGUCCGGGGAUCAACGAGGAAGCCACGAGGCAGGGGGCGCGCCCACCCCUCUUGGGCGCGCCCUCCACCCUCGUGGGCCCCUCGUGGCUCCCCAAAUGUAUUUCUUCCGCCUAUAUAUAUCCAUAUACCCCAAAACGACCGGGGAGCACAAUAGAUCGGGAGUUUCUCCGCCAGAAGCCUCCGUAGCCACCGAAAGCUAAUCUAGACCCGUUCCGGCACCCUGCCGGAGGGGGAAUCCCUCUCCGGUGGCCAUCUUCAUCAUCCCGGUGCUCUCGAUGACGAGGAGGGAGUAGUUCUCCCUCGGGGCUAAGGGUAUGUACCAGUAGCUAUGUGUUUGAUCUCUCUCUCUCUCUCUCUCUCUCUCUCUCGUGUUCUUGAGGUGAUACGAUCUUGAUGUAUCGCGAGCUUUGCUAUUAGAGUUGGAUCUUAUGUUGCUUCUCCCCCUCUACUCUCUUGUAAUGGAUUGAGUUUCCCCUUCGAAGUUAUCUUAUCGGAUUGAGUCUUUAAAAAUUUGAGAACACUUGAUGUAUGUCUUGCCGCGUGUAUCUGUGGUGACAAUGGGAUAUCACGUGAUUCACUUGAUGUAUGUUUUCGUGAUCAACUUGCGGGUUCCGCCCAUGAACCUAUGCAUAGGGGUUGGCACACGUUUUCGUCGUGAUUCUUUGGUAGAAACUUUGGUGCACUCUUUGAGGUUCUAUGUGUUGGUUGAAUAGAUGAACUUGAGAUUGUGUGAUCCAUAUCAUAUAAUCAUACCCACGGAUACUUCAGGUGACAAUGGAGUAUCUAGGUGACAUUAGGGUUUUGGUUGAUUUGUGUCUUAAGGUGUUAUUCUAGUACGAACUCUAGGGCUGUUUGUGACACUUAUAGGAAUAGCCCAACGGAUUGAUUGGAAAGAAUAACUUUGAGGUGGUUUCGUACCCUACCAUAAUCUCUUCGUUCGUUCUCUGCUAUUAGUGACUUUGGAGUGACUCUUUGUUGCAUGUUGAGGGAUAAUUAUGUGAUCCAAAUAUGUUAUUAUUGUCGAGAGAACUUGCACUAGUGAAAGUAUGAACCCUAGGCCUUGUUUCGACGCAUUGCAAUACCGUUUACGCUCACUUUUAUCAUUAGUUACCUUGCUGUUUUUAUAUUUUCAAAUUACAAAAACCUUUAUCUACCAUCCAUAUACCACUUGUAUCACCAUCUCUUCACCUAUACAAUUUACCAUUGUAUUGGGUGUGUUGGGGACACAAGAGACUCUUUGUUAUUUGGUUGCAGGGUUGCUUGAGAGAGACCAUCUUCAUCCUACGCCUCCUACGGAUUGAUAAACCUUAGGUCAUCCACUUGAGGGAAAUUUGCUACUGUCCUACAAACCUCUGUACUUGGAGGCCCAACAACGUCUACAAGAAGAAGGUUGUGUAGUAGACAUCAAGCUCUUUUCUGGCGCAGUUGCCGGGAAGGUGAGUGCUUGAAGUUAUAUCUUUAGAUCUUGCAAUCGAAUCUUUUUGUUUCUUGUUUUAGCACUAGUUUAGUUUAUAAAAGAAAACUACAAAAAAACGGAAUUGAGUUUACCUCACACGCUUCAUCUUUUUAAUAUCUUUCGUGAGUAUGAUGGAAAGAAAAAUUGUGCCAAAGUGUUAGAAGAAGAAUGCAUUAAACUGUUUGGCAUUAAAUAUUUGAAUGAUGAGCAUUAUUGCAAUGUUGUUAGUAUGAAUUCCUUGAAUAUCCAUAGUACUAAUGAUGAUUGCACUAGUUAUGAUGAAAAUGUCUCAUGUAAACAUGUCAAUUUUUGUGGAGUGCAUUGGGUUUGCAAGUACACACCAAUUAGGGAAGAUAGAUUUUGCAAGAGGCAUAAGUACUUAGAAACUAAAUUGUUGCAAGAAAGGCUAGAUGAAUGUGCUGAAAAUUUAAAUUUUCUUGGCCAUACUUGUGAGCUUUGCAAUGAACAUGGUUAUUUAACCAUCCGAUGCAAAUUGUUUCAUGAUCUAAUCGUUUCCAAAAAUUGUGAUGACUUGAUUUCCCUUGCACAUCAUAAUGAACUUAGUUUGCUUAUGGGUUAUGAGGAAAUGAAAUGUAUAACUAACUAUCUUCCAGUAUUUUCCCAUGAUAAACUUCUUGGAUUUGACCUAGAGGAAAUUUAUAUGUAUUGUGCGGUGAAUUGCAUUGAAAACCCCUAUAUUGUCAAUUACAUAAAGAAAAGAAAACAAAUAGAGGAUGAACAGAAUACUAAUGAAAGGGAAGAGACCUCCCAAUAUCCUCCUAUUAUUUCUUAUGAUGAACCAGGUAACGAGGAGGAGCCUCCUAUUCAACCAAUCUCAUUAAUAAGGAGCUCCAAAAAGAGGAUUGAACCCACACACGAUGUAGUGAAGAAGAAGAAAAGAAAGAGGAAGAGAGGUAAAAAGAUAUCUCUCCCAAAUAAUGCUGCUCCUAUUACUAUUGUGCCUCAUGAAAAUAUAAUUGUGGAAAAUAAUGAUACUUCUUAUGAUCUUGAAAAUCCUUUUGUCACUUGCUUGGAAGAAUAUGAUAAUUGCUAUACUAUUGGUGCUAUCCAUACUAUUAAUGAUGAGAGUGAUUAUGCUUAUGAUAUGAAAAGGCCCAAGCUUUGGGAUGCUAUGUUUGAUGAAGAUGAUGUUUUUGAGAAUAUAUUUGCUACAAUUAAUGUUUGUCCCAAGCUUGGGGAUGCUAUGUUUAAUCAAGAUGAUAUUUUUAGUCUCCCAAGUUUUGAUAUGCAAAUUUAUAAUGAUGAUAGCAUGCCUCCUACUUAUGAUGAUUAUUGUGAUGAUACUUAUGCUAUAAAAAGUAAUGAUUAUAUUUAUAAAACUUGUCAUGAUUAUGGUUACCCCUUUUCUGAACAUUACUCUUUUAAUGUGGAAACAAUUUAUAGUAUUCGAGUUUCUUAUGAUACUCCCACUAUUCCGAAUGAGAAGAAUUUUGCUUGUGUAGAGAGUAAUAAAAUUUCUAUGCUUGUAGAUCAUGAAAAGAAUGCUUUAGGUGCUGGUUAUAUUUUUGAAUUCAUUCAUGAUGCUACUGAAAAUUAUUAUGAGGGAGGAACAUAUGCUUGUAGGAAUUGCAAUAAUAUCAAGUUUCCUCUCUAUGUGCUUAAAGUUUUGAAGUUAUGCUUGUUUUGCCCUCCUAUGCUAGUUGAUUAUUGUUCCCAUAAGUUGUUUGCUCACAAAAUUCCUACACAUAGGAAGUGGGUUAGACUUACAUGUUCUAGUCAUAUGCUUCAUGAUGCUCUCUUUAUGUUUCAAUUCUUAUCUUUUAUGUGAGCAUCAUUGAAAUCGUCAUGCCUAGCUAGGGGCGUUAAACGAUAGCGCUUGUUGAGAGGAAACCCAACUUUAUUUUUGUUCCUUGAUUUUUGCUCCUGUCUAGCAAUAAAUAAUUUAUCUAGCAUCUGUUAUGAUUGAGUUUUUAUGUUAGAACCGUUGGGAAGACUUGGGGAAAGUCUUGGCGAUCAUGCUGUAAAAAAACAGAAACUUUAGCGCUCACGAGAAUUGCUGACAUUUUUUAUUGGAGAGUGCUAUUUGGUUAAUUAUUUUUGCAGAUGAUUAAUAGAUAAAUUCCUCACGUCCAGCAAUUUAUUUUAGAAUUUUUGAGGCUCCAGAAGUUUGCGUUAGUUACAGAUUACUACAGACUGUUCUGUUUUUGACAGAUUCUGUUUUUCGUGUGUUGUUUGCUUAUUUUGAUGAAUCUAUGGCUAGUAAAAUAGUUUAUAAACCAUAGAGAAGUUUUAAUACAGUAGGUUUAACACCAAUAUAAAUAAAUAAUGAGUUCAUUACAGUACCUUUAAGUGGUGUUUUAUUUUCUUUCGCUAACGGAGCUCACGAGUUUUCCAUUUUAAGUUUUGUGUUGUGAAGUUUUCAAGUUUUGGGUAAAGAUUUGAUGGAUUAUGGAAUAAGGAGUGGCAAGAGAAUAAGCUUGGGGAUGCCGAAGGCACCCCAAGGUAAUAUUCAAGGACAACCAAAAGCCUAAGCUUGGGGAUGCCCCGGAAGGCAUCCCCUCUUUCGUCUUCGUUCAUCGGUAACUUUACUUGGAGCUAUAUUUUUAUUCACCACAUGUUACGUGUUUUGCUUGGAGCGUCAUUUUAUUUCAUUUUUUUGCUUGCUGUUUGAAUAAAGUAUCAAGAUAUGAAAUUAUUAAGUGGGAGAGUCUUCACAUAGUUGCAUAAGUAUUCGACUACUCAUUGAUCUUCACUUACAUCUUUCAGAGUAGUUUGUCAUUUUCUCUAGUGCUUCACUUAUAUCUUUUGAGAGCACGGUGGUGGUUUUAUUUUGUAGAAAUAGAUGAACUCUCGUGCUUCACUAAUAUUAUUUUGAGAGUCCUCAGAACAGCAUGGUAAUUUGCUUUGGUUAUGAAUUUAGUCCUAAUAAGAUGGGCAUCCAAGAGGGAUAUAAUAAAAACUUUCAUAUAAGUGCAUUGAAUACUAAGAGAAGUUUGAUACUUGAUGAUUGUUUUGAGAUAUGGAGAUAGUGAUAUUAAAGUUGUGCUAUUUGACACUACUAGGAAAAGGCCUACUAAUGGCGCACCAGUUUUGCCUACUAAUGGCGCAUCACUGGUGCGCCAUUACUAGCACGCCAUUAGUAAUUUUUAGUAAUGGCGCACCACUGGUGCGCCAUUAGUAUCGGCCACGGUGCGCCAUUCGUAUAGGCCACUGGUGCGCCAUUAGUAUAGGCCACGGUGCGCCAUUAGUAUUUUUGGAUUUUGAAGGCGGGAAAAUAGUAGUGGCGCACCGUCUAACCCCCACCGUGCGCCAUUACUAUUUUUGAAUUUUGAAUUUGGAUCUGGAUCGUGAUUUUUUUGCCCAUUUUUUGCUCGUUUUUUUGCUCGUUUUUUGGCACAAUAUUAUUUCAAAUUUUGUUCUUGUUUUUGGAUCUUGUACGUUCUUUUGCCGUGUUCUUUUGCCGGAGAGGAGUUCGCCGGAGAGGAGGAGGAGGAGGUCACCGGAGAGGCGCUCGCCUACAUCGCCGGAGAGGAGGAGGAGGUCGCCGGAGAGGAGUUCACCGAAGCAUCGGAGAGGAGGAAGGAGAAACCAUGAGGGAAUGGGAGGAGAGGAGGGAGGAGAAACCAUGAGGGGAGGGGAGGAGAGGAGGGAGNNNNNNNNNNNNNNNNNNNNNNNNNNNNNNNNNNNNNNNNNNNNNNNNNNNNNNNNNNNNNNNNNNNNNNNNNNNNNNNNNNNNNNNNNNNNNNNNNNNNNNNNNNNNNNNNNNNNNNNNNNNNNNNNNNNNNNNNNNNNNNNNNNNNNNNNNNNNNNNNNNNNNNNNNNNNNNNNNNNNNNNNNNNNNNNNNNNNNNNNNNNNNNNNNNNNNNNNNNNNNNNNNNNNNNNNNNNNNNNNNNNNNNNNNNNNNNNNNNNNNNNNNGGAGAGGAGAAGGAGGUCGCCGGAGAGGAGGAGAUGGAGUGGAGGAGAGGAGGAGAUGGAGUGGAGGAGAGGAGAGGAGGAGAUGGAAUGGAGGAGAGGUGGAGUGGAGGAGGUGCGCCCAGCCAUGUAUACGACAUAGUAAUGGCGCACCGUGGGCAGGUGCGCCAUUACUAACUUUUUUUAUUUUUUGAUUUAUUUUGAAUUUUGAAGGCGGGAAGAUACUAAUGGCGCACCGUGGGCAGGUGCGCCAUUAGUAACUUUUUUUUUAUUUUUGACUAAUUUUGAAUUUUGAAGGCGGGAAGAUACUAAUGGCGCACCGUGGGCAGGUGCGCCAUUAGUAACUUUUUUUGACUAAUUUUGAAUUUUGAAGGUGGGAAGAUACUAAUGGCGCACCACGGGGUGGUGCGCCAUUAGUAACUUUUUUUUAUUUUGUUGACUUAUUUUGAAUUUUGAAGGCGGGAAGAUACUAAUGGCGCACCAUGGGCAGGUGCGCCAUUAGUAAGUUUGAAUUAUUUUUAAUUUUUUUGCCUCUCCAGAUCUUAAAAGCCCCAUAUAUUUUUUUCUGUUAGGUUUUUGAGGAUUUUAAAAAUGUUUAACGGAUUCCCCGGUUAAAUUUGGAUGUAACUUUUCGAGUAGAUGAUUUUUCAUAUAAAAAACUUUUUCAUCCGAGUUAGUAUGCAAAAGUUAUGCCCAUUUUUACAAAUUNNNNNNNNNNNNNNNNNNNNNNNNNNNNNNNNNNNNNNNNNNNNNNNNNNNNNNNNNNNNNNNNNNNNNNNNNNNNNNNNNNNNNNNNNNNNNNNNNNNNNNNNNNNNNNNNNNNNNNNNNNNNNNNNNNNNNNNNNNNNNNNNNNNNNNNNNNNNNNNNNNNNNNNNNNNNNNNNNNNNNNNNNNNNNNNNNNNNNNNNNNNNNNNNNNNNNNNNNNNNNNNNNNNNNNNNNNNNNNNNNNNNNNNNNNNNNNNNNNNNNNNNNNNNNNNNNNNNNNNNNNNNNNNNNNNNNNNNNNNNNNNNNNNNNNNNNNNNNNNNNNNNNNNNNNNNNNNNNNNNNNNNNNNNNNNNNNNNNNNNNNNNNNNNNNNNNNNNNNNNNNNNNNNNNNNNNNNNNNNNNNNNNNNNNNNNNNNNNNNNNNNNNNNNNNNNNNNNNNNNNNNNNNNNNNNNNNNNNNNNNNNNNNNNNNNNNNNNNNNNNNNNNNNNNNNNNNNNNNNNNNNNNNNNNNNNNNNNNNNNNNNNNNNNNNNNNNNNNNNNNNNNNNNNNNNNNNNNNNNNNNNNNNNNNNNNNNNNNNNNNNNNNNNNNNNNNNNNNNNNNNNNNNNNNNNNNNNNNNNNNNNNNNNNNNNNNNNNNNNNNNNNNNNNNNNNNNNNNNNNNNNNNNNNNNNNNNNNAAUUUUUUUACUAAUGGCGCACCGUGGAUGUGGUGCGCCAUUACUAGUUCAACUAGUAAUGGCGCACCACCCCCACGGUGCGCCAUUAGUAGUUUUGAAAAAAAUUAAAUUUUUUUACCAAUGGCGCACCGUGGAUGUGGUGCGCCAUUAGUAUUUGGACACUAAUGGCGUACCAACACAUGGUGCGCCAUUAGUAUAUAGUAAUGGCGCACCACAUGUCUGGUGCGCCAUUAGUGUCAAUUCCAUCUAUAGCCCUUUUCCUAGUAGUGUGAGUAGUUGUGAAUUUGAGAAAUACUUGUGUUGAAGUUUGCAAGUCCCGUAGCAUGCACGUAUGGUAAACGUUAUGUAACAAAUUUGAAACAUGAGGUGUUCUUUGAUUGUCCUCCUUAUGAAUGGCGGUCGGGGACGAGCGAUGGUCUUUUCCUACCAAUCUAUCCCCCUAGGAGCAUGCGUGUAGUGCUUGGUUUUUGAUGACUUGUAGAUUUUUGCAAUAAGUAUAUGAGUUCUUUAUGACUAAUAUUGAGUCCAUGGAUUAUAUGCAUUCUCACCCUUCCAUCAUUGCUAGCCUCUUCGGUACCGUGCAUUGCCCUUUCUCACAUUGAGAGUUGGUGCAAACUUCGCUGGUGCAUCCAAACCCCGUGAUAUGAUACACUCUUUCACACAUAAACCUCCUUAUAUCUUCCUCAAAACAGCCACCAUACCUACCUAUUAUGGCAUUUCCGUAGCCAUUCUGAGAUAUAUUGCCAUGCAACUUUCCACCAUUCUGUUUGUCAUGACACAUUCAUCAUUGUCAUAUUGCUUAGCAUGAUCAUGUAGUUGACAUAGUAUUUGUGGCAAAGCCACCGUUCAUAAUUAUUUCAUACAUGUCACUCUUGGUUCAUUGCAUAUCCCGGUACACCGCCGGAGGCAUUCAUAUAGAGUCAUAUCUUGUUCUAGUAUCGAGUUGUAAAUAAAUAGAAGUGUGAUGAUCAUCAUUAAUAGAGCAUUGUCCCAAAAAAAGGAAGAGAACGACCAAAUAAAAAAGGGAAGCCCCCCACCCAAAAAAGAAAAGAAAGGCCAGAUAAAAAAUAAAAAAAAUAAAAAAAAUAAAAGGGACAAUGCUACUAUCCUUUUUCCACACUUGUGCUUCAAAGUAGCACCAUGAUCUUUAUGAUAGAGAGUCUCUUGUUUUGUCACUUUCAUAUACUAGUGGGAAUUUUUUAUUAUAGAACUUGGCUUGUAUAUUCCAACAAUGGGCCUCCUCAAGUGCCCUAGGUCUUUGUGAGCAAGCAAGUUGGAUGCACACCCACUUAGUUUCUUUUGUUGAGCUUUCAUACAUUUAUGGCUCUAGUGCAUCCGUUGCAUGGCAAUCCCUAAUCCUUGCAUUGACAUCAAUUGAUGGGCAUCUCCCUAGCCCAUUGAUUAGCCGCGUCGAUGUGAGACUUUCGCCUUUUGGUCUUCUCCACAUAACCCCCUCAUUAUAUUCUAUUCCACCCAUAGUGCUAUAUCCAUGGCUCACGCUCAUGUAUUGCGUGAAAGUUGAAAAAAGUUUGAGAUUACUAAAGUAUGAAACAAUUACUUGGCUUGUCAUCGGGGUUGUGCACAAUGAGAGCAUUCUUGUGUGACGAAAAUGGAGCAUGGCCAAACUAUAUGAUUUUGUAGGGAUGAACUUUCUUUGGCCAUGUUAUUUUGAGAAGACAUGAUUGCUUAGUUAGUAUACUUGAAGUAUUAUUAUUUUUAUGUCACUAUUAAACUUUUGUCUUGAAUCUUAUGGAUCUGAAUAUUCUUGCCACAAUAAAGAGAACUACAUGGAUAAAUAUGUUAGGUGGCAUUCUACAUCAAAAAUUCUGUUUUUAUCUUUUAGCUACUCCAGGACGAGCAGGAAUUAAGCUUGGGGAUGCUGAUACGCCUCCAACGUAUCUAUAAUUUUUAUUGUUCCAUGCUAUUAUAUUAUCAACCUUGGAUGUUUUAUAUGCAUCUUUAUGCUAUUUUAUAUCAUUUUUGGGACUAACCUAUUAACCUAGAGCCCAGUGCCAGUUUCUGUUUUUUCCUUGUUCUAGGGUUUCGAAGAAAAGGAAUAUCAAAUGGAGUCCAAACGGAAUGAAACCUUCGGAAAAGUUGUUUUUGGAAAGAAAGCAAUACAGGAGACUUGGAGUGCACGUCAGCGGAUCAACGAGGAAGCCACGAGGCAGGGGGCGCGCCCACCCCCUGGGCGCGCCCUCCACCCUCGUAGGCCCCUCGUGGCUCCCCUAAUGUAUUUCUUCCGCCUGUAUGUACCAAUAUACCCUAAAACGAUCGGGGAGCACAAUAGAUUGGGAGUUCCGCCGCCAGAAGCCUCUGUAGCCACUAAAAGUGAAUCUAGACCCGUUCCGGCACCCUGCCGGAGGGUGAAUCCCUCUCCGGUGGCCAUCUUCAUCAUCCCGGUGCUCUCCAUGACGAGGAGGGAGUAGUUCUCCCUUGGGGCUGAGGGUAUGUACCAGUAGCUAUGUGUUUAAUCUCUCUCUCUCUCUCUCUCGUGUUCUUGAGGUGAUACGAUCUUGAUGUAUCGCGAGCUUUGCUAUUAUAGUUGUAUCUUAUGUUUCUUCUCCUCCUCUACUCUCUUGUAAUGGAUUGAGUUUCCCCUUCGAAGUUAUCUUAUCGGAUUGAGUCUUUAAAGAUUUGAGAACACUUGAUGUAUGUCUUGCCGCGUGUAUCUGUGGUGACAAUGGGAUAUCACGUGAUUCACUUGAUGUAUGUUUUCGUGAUCAACUUGCGGGUUCCGCCCAUGAACCUAUGCAUAGGGGUUGGCACACGUUUUCGUCGUGAUUCUUUGGUAGAAACUUUGGUGCACUCUUUGAGGUUCUAUGUGUUGGUUGAAUAGAUGAACUUGAGAUUGUGUGAUGCAUAUCGUAUAAUCAUACCCACAGAUACUUGAGGUGACAAUGGUUUGCUCACAAAAUCCCUAUGCAUAGGAAGUGGGUUAGACUUAAAUGUUCUAGUCAUAUGCUUCAUGAUGCUCUCUUUAUGUUUCAGUUCUUAUCUUUUAUGUGAGCAUCAUUGAAAUCAUCAUGCCUAGCUAGGGGCGUUAAACGAUAGCGCUUGUUGGGAGGAAACCCAACUUUAUUCUUGUUCCUUGCUUUUUGCUCCUGUUUAGCAAUAAAUAACUUAUCUAGCCUCUGUUAUGAUUGAGUUUUUAUGUUUUAAUUAGUGUUUGUGCCAAGUAGAACCGUUGGGAAGACUUGGGGAAAGUCUUUGCGAUCAUACUGUAAAAAACAGAAACUUCAGCGCUCACGAGAAUUGAUGGGCAUCUCCUUAACCCAUUGAUUAGCCGCGUCGAUGUGAGACUUUCUCCUUUUUGUCUUCUCCACAUAACCCCCUCAUUAUAUUCUAUUCCACCCAUAGUGCUAUAUCCAUGGCUCACGCUCAUGUAUUGCGUGAAAGUUGAAAAAAGUUUGAGAUUACUAAAGUAUGAAACAAUUGUUUGGCUUGUCAUCGGGGUUGUGCAUGAUGAGAGCAUUCUUGUGUGACGAAAAUGGAGCAUGACCAAACUAUAUGAUUUUGUAGGGAUGAACUUUCUUUGGCCAUGUUAUUUUGAGAAGACAUGAUUGCUUAGUUAGUAUGCUUGAAGUAUUAUUAUUUUUAUGUCAAUAUUAAACUUUUUUCUUGAAUCUUAUGUAUUUGAAUAUUCUUGCCGGAAUAAAGAGAACUACAUGGAUAAAUAUGUUAGGUAGCAUUCCACAUCAAAAAUUCGGUUUCAUUAGCGGCGUGCCCUGCACCCAUUUAUCACGUCGUAUCUCUGUAGUAUGCGCAUUCCCAAUUUGUCACGGCAUACCCUCCUUCAAACCUUCUUGCCCUUUCAGAUUAGCACGCCAAGCUAGCUAUGCACUAUGCGGGAACCUGCAUUUGAAAAAAAAGAAUCUCAUUUCAUGGUAUCUUCCAUGAAGGACCCUCGUACAUGAGCUAUCUAGAUAGAAAUAGCCAUGUAUGUUUAGCAAACUUUGCAUAAGUGAAUAGAUCAAGGUCGUGGAACCCCAAGCCUCCAAUUACACACGGCCUCUCUACCAAUAAGAUCUCCAAAGACAUCAAGGAUACAGACAGCCAAAAAAGAAAAUAAAAAGGAAAAAAAUAAAAAAUACCCCACCAUGGUGAUCAAUCACAAGCAUCAGCAGCACUCUAACCACCACCUAAGACAACGCCCAGAUUACAAAAAAAAUUCUCCAAAAGCAAUGCCCCCAAGAAGGAAACAAUACACAAGCGUUGUCGUUGCCCGAUCGAAGAUCGUGGGUUUUCACACUGGAAAAUUUUUGAGUUCACCCAAAAACAAUGCCUUCAACAAGGCCAUUGCCAAGUACAACAAAUAUGGCUGAGACCUUGGGUUUUCACCCUAGGAAUUGAGAGUCGAUGCUCGAGGAGUACCACCAAAAAUGCAGUCCACUAGUGUUGCCGCCCCCACUUGGCGAGGCCGCUGUUGCAAGUCACCAAACACCUGGCAUAUAGUUGUCAUCGCAUCCAAUACACCCUUCGGCCGAAGCUUCAAGACCUUGAUCCGUCUCCAACGUAUCUAUAAUUUUUGAUUGUUCCAUGCUAUUAUAUUAUCUGUUUUGGAUGUUUUAUAUGAGUAGGGCGUUUUGGUGCCCAGGCUCAUCUGCACCCGGUUAGAAAAAAUUCAUAAAAAAUUUAAACAAAUUCAAAAAAUUCCAAAUAAAAUUUGUAUGGUAGACAAUUUGAUGCGUGAGGCCCGCCUCAAAUUUCAAGUCAUUUGGAUAUAUGAGAAGCUCUCAGCAAAAAAGACAAAUCGGACUAAAACAGUACAUGAACAGUAAACAUUUUUACAGACCCUCAAUUUGUCUUUUUUGCUGAGAGCUGCUCAUAUGUUCAAAUGACUUGAAAUUUGGAGCGUGCCUCACGCAUCAAAAUUUCUAUCACACAAAUUUUAUUUGGAAUUUUUCGAAUUUUUCUAGUAUUUGUUUUGAUUUUUUUCGUCGGCACAGGUGCAGAUGAGCUCAGGUGCAGAAAUGGAUUUUCGGUUUUAUUUGCACUAUUAUGCUAUUUUAUAUGAUUUUUGCGACUAACCUAUUAAACUAGAGCCCAGUGCCAGUUCCUGUUUUUUCCUUGUUUUAGAGUUUCACAGAAAAGGAAUACCAAACGGAGUCCAAACGGAAUGAAACUUUUGCGAUGAUGUUUCUUAGACCAGAAGACAUCUAGAGGACUUGGAGUGCACGUUAGGAAAGCCAUGAGGUGGCCACAAUGACGGAGGGCACGCCCCCACCCUUGUGGGCUCCUCGUGACUCUACCGACCUAUUUCGUCCGCAUAUAUAUUCUCAAAUAUUCCAAAACCUACUAGGAGAGCCACAAAAAAACUUUUCCACCGUCGCAACCUUCUGUACCCAUGAGUUCCCAUCUAGGGGCCUUUUCCGGCAUCCCGUCGGAGGGGGAUUCGAUCACGGAGGGCUUCUACAUCAACACCAUUGCCUCUCCGAUGAAGCGUGAGUAGUUUACCACAGACCUAUGAGUCCAUAGCUAGUAUCUAAACGGCUUCUUCUCUCUCUUUGAUUCUCAAUACCAUGUUCUCUUCGAUGUUCUUGGAGAUCUAUUCGUUGUAAUACUCUUUUUGCGGUGUGUUUGCCGAGAUCCGGUGAAUUGUGGAUAUAUGAUCAGGUUAUCUAUGAAUAUUAUUUGAAUCUCCUAUGAAUUCUUAUAUGCAUGAUUUGAUAUAUUUGCAAGUCUCUUCGAACUAUCGAUUUGGUUUGGCCAACUAGAUUGGUUUUUCUUGCAAUGGGAGAAGUGCUUAACUUUGGGUUCAAUCUUGCGGUGCUCGAUCCCAGUGACAGAAGGGGAUGAUACGUCUCCAACGUAUCUAUAAUUUUUGAUUGUUCCAUGCUAUUAUAUUAUCAACCUUGGAUGUUUUAUAUGCAUUUAUAUGCUAUUUUAUAUGAUUUUUGGGACUAACCUAUUAACCUAGAGCCCAGUGCCAGUGCCAGUUUCUGUUUUUUCCUUGUUUUAGGGUUUCAAAGAAAAGGAAUAUCAAACAGAGUCCAAACGGAAUGAAACCUUCGGAAAAGUUAUUUUUGGAAAGAAAGCAAUACGAGAGACUUGGAGUGCACGUCAGGGGAUCAACGAGGAAGCCACGAGGCAGGGGCACGCCCUCCACCCUCGUGGCUCCCCUAAUGUAUUUCUUCCGCCUAUAUAUAUCCAUAUACCCUAAAAUGAUCGGGGAGCACAAUAGAUCGGGAGUUCCGCCACCAGAAGCCUCCGUAGCCACCGAAAGCCAAUCUAGACCCGUUCCGGCACCCUGCCGGAGGAGGAAUCCCUCUUCGGUGUCCAUCUUCAUCAUCCCGGUGCUCUCCAUGACGAGGAGGGAGUAGUUCUCCCUCAGGGCUGAGGGUAUGUACCAGUAGCUAUGUGUUUGAUCUCUCUCUCUCUCUCUCUCUCUCUCUCUCGUGUUCUUGAGGUGAUACGAUCUUGAUGUAUCGCGAGCUUUGCUAUUAGAGUUGGAUCUUAUGUUUCUUCUCCCCCUCUACUCUCUUGUAAUGGAUUGAGUUUCCCCUUCGAAGUUAUCUUAUCGGAUUGAGUCUUUAAAGAUUUGAGAACACAUGAUGUAUGUCUUGCCGUGCGUAUCUGUGGUGACAAUGGGAUAUCACGUGAUUCAUUUGAUGUAUGUUUUGGUGAUCAAGUUGCGGGUUCCACCCAUGAACCUAUGCAUAGGGGUUGGCACACAUUUUCGUCAUGAUUCUCCGGCAGAAACUUUGGGGCACUCUUUGAGGUUCUAUGUGUUGGUUGAAUAGAUGAAUCUGAGAUUGUGUGAUGCAUAUCGGAUAAUCAUACCCACGGAUACUUGAGGUGACAAUGGAGUAUCUAGGUGACAUUAGGGUUUUGGUUGAUUUGUGUCUUAAGGUGUUAUUCUAGUACGAACUCUAGGGCUGUUUGUGACACUUAUAGGAAUAGCCCAAUGGAUUGAUUGGAAAGAAUAACUUGGAGGUGGUUUCGUACCCUACCAUAAUCUCUUCGUUCGUUCUCCGCUAUUAGUGACUUUGGAGUGAUUCUUUGUUGCAUGUUGAGGGAUAGUUAUGUGAUCCAAUUAUGUUAUUAUUGUUGAGAGAACUUGCACUAGUGAAAGUAUGAACCCUAGGUCUUGUUUCAACGCAUUGCAAUACCGUUUACGCUCACUUUUAUCAUUAGUUACCUUGCUGUUUUUAUAUUUUCAGAUUACAAAAACCUUUAUCUACCAUCCAUAUACCACUUGUAUCACCAUCUCUUCGCCGAACUAGUGCACCGAUACAAUUUACCAUUGUAUUGGGUGUGUUGGGGACACAAGAGACUCUUUGUUAUUUGGUUGCAGGGUUGGUUGAGAGAGACCAUCUUCAUCCUACGCCUCCUACAGAUUGAUAAACCUUGGGUCAUCCACUUGAGGAAAAUUUGCUACUGUCCUACAAACCUUUGCACUUGGAGGCCCAACAACGUCUACAAGAAGAAGGUUGUGUAGUAGACAUCAGGGGAACCGACACAUAUUGUAGUGUUUCCAUCGAGGAUAACAAGAUGGGGUUUUCGUCAUAUUGCUUGAGUUUAUCCCGCUACAUCAAGUCAUCUUACUUAAUGCGUUAUCCUGUUCUUAUGAACUUAGUACUCUAGGUGCAGGCAGGAGUCAGUGGACGUGUGGAGUAAUAGUAGUAGAUGCAAGCAGGAGUCCGUCUACUUGAUACAAACAUGAUGCUUAUGUUCAUGAUCAUUGCCUUAGAUAUCGUCAUAAGUUUGCACUUUUCUAUCAAUUGCUCAGCAGUAAUUUGUUCACCCACCGUAAGAUUUUCUAUCUUGAGAGAAGCCUCUAGUGAAACCUAUGGCCCCGGGGUCUACUUUCCAUCAUAUAAGUUUCUGAUCUACAAUUGUGUUGGUUGAAUAGAUGAAUCUGAGAUUGUGUGAUGCAUAUCGUAUAAUCAUACCCACGGAUACUUGAGGUGACAAUGGAGUACCUAGGUGACAUUAGUGUUUUGGUUGAUUUGUGUCUUAAGGUGUUAUUCUAGUACGAACUCUAGGGCUGUUUGUGACACUUAUAGGAAUAGCCCAACGGAUUGAUUGGAAAGAAUAACUUUGAGGUGGUUUCGUACCCUACCAUAAUCUCUUCGUUCGUUCUCCGCUAUUAAUGACUUUGGAGUGACUCUUUGUUGCAUGUUGAGGGAUAGUUAUGUGAUCCAAUUAUGUUAUUAUUGUUGAGAGAACUUGCACUAGUGAAAGUAUGAACCCUAGGCCUUGUUUCAACGCAUUACAAUACCGUUUACGCUCAGUUUUAUCAUUAGUUACCUUGCUGUUUUUAUAUUUUCAGAUUACAAAAACCUUUAUCUACCAUCCAUAUACCACUUGUAUCACCAUCUCUUCGCUGAACUAGUGCACCUAUACAAUUUACCAUUGUAUUGGGUGUGUUGGGGACACAAGAGACUCUUUGUUAUUUGGUUGCAGGGUUGCUUGAGAGAGACCAUCUUCAUCCUACACCUCCUACGGAUUGAUAAACCUUAGGUCAUCCACUUGAGGGAAAUUUGCUACUGUCCUACAAACCUCUGCACUUGGAGGCCCAACAACGUCUACAAGAAGAAGGUUGUGUAGUAGACAUCAGGGGAACCGACACAUAUUGUAUUGUUUCCAUCGAGGAUAACAAGAUGGGGUUUUCGUCAUAUUGCUUGAGUUUACCCCGCUACAUCAAGUCAUCUUACUUAAUGCGUUAUCCUGUUCUUAUGAACUUAAUACUCUAGAUGUAGGCAGGAGUCGGUGGACGUGUGGAGUAAUAGUAGUAGAUGCAAGCAGGAGUCAGUCUAGUUGAUACAAACGUGAUGCUUAUGUUCAUGAUCAUUGCCUUAGAUAUCGUCAUAACUUUGCGCUUUUAUAUCAAUUGCUCAACAGUAAUUUGUACACCCACUGUAAGAUUUUCUAUCUUGAGAGAAGCCUCUAGUGAAACUAUGGCCCCGGGGUCUACUUUCCAUCAUAUAAGUUUCCGAUCUACAAUUUUAGUUUCCUAUCACUUCCUUUGCAAUCUUUUACUUUCCAUUCCAUAAACCAAAAAUACCAAAAAUAUUACUUUACCGAUUAUCCAUCUCUAUCAGAUCUCACCUUGCAAAUAACCAUGAAGGAUUGACAACCCCUUUGUCGCAUUAGGUGUAAGUUGCUAUUUGUUUGAGCAUGUAUUCAGUGACUUGUGCAUUGUCUCCUACUGGAUUGAUACCUUGGUUCUCAAAACUGAGGGAAAUACUUACUCUACUUUGCUGCAUCACCCUUUCCACUUCAAGGGAAAAACCAACGCAAGCUCAAGAGGAAGUAGGAAGAAUUUCUGGCACCGUUGCCGGGGACAUCUACGCCAAGUCAAGACAUACCAAGUACCCAUCAUAAACUCUCAUCUCUUGCAUUAUAUUAUUUGCCAUUCGCCUCUCGUUUUCCUCUCCCCCACUUCUAAAAUGAUUUGCCUUUUCUUCGCCCUCUUCCAUUCAUCUUCUUCGCUUGCUUUUUGUGUGCUCAUGUGUUGGAUUGCUUGCUUUGUCACGAUGUCUCAAGAGAAUACCAAAUUGUGUGACUUUUCCAAUACCAACAACAAUGAUUUUAUUAGUACCCCGAUUGCUCCCGCUACUAAUGCGGAAUCUUGUGAAAUUAAUGCUGCUUUGCUGAGUCUUGUUAUGAAAGAUCAAUUUUCCGGCCUUCCCAAUGAAGAUGCCGCAUCCCAUCUAAACAAUUUCGUUGAUUUGUGUGAUAUGAAAAAGAAAAAAGAUAUGGAUAAUGAUAUUGUUAAAUUGAAGCUAUUUCCGUUGUCACUUCGAGAUCGUGCUAAAACUAGGUUUUCAUCUUUGCCUAAAAAUAGCGAGUGUCAUUUUUUAAUGCGAGUGAUUAGUUUUUAAAGAAUGAUUGGCAUUCUUUCUUAAUUGCUCAUCUACUAAUCGUUUGGCGUGUUUUCUUAUCUUGUCAAAAUCAUAUCCCCUGGCUGUAAAUAUCAAAGAAUAAUUUCAUUUGUUGGGCUUGGACUGUACUGUCCGAGAGUCAGAGUAUAAAUACCAUACGAUUUCAAGAGCAAUAGCAACGGGGCAACCAUUAGUCCAUACUCUACACCAUAUGGCUAGAAAUUUUAUAUUAUAUAUAACAAAGUUGUGACAAAUUGGAAAUGGAAAGCAAUAAAAUGAAUAUGUUGCUAUAGGUUAUUAUUAUUACACAUGCACGUGUACCUUGAUCCUUGCUUGGACAUAGGGUCCGAGGAAGUUACAUUGCUUUGACUACUGAUAUUGUUUGUGUUAAAGUGUGCCACAAUGGCAUAAAUAUUGUCGUUGCAUAAUGGGAAACCACGUCAUAUUUAUCGAUGAUAUGUGGAAAUAGGGAUAAGCUACUUUAUGAAGAUAUAUAAGGAUGUAUGGGUUACGUUGGUGGAAAAUGUUGUUAUGAACACAAAUGCAGUUGCAUUUAUCAUGCAUUCGCGGUGAAGUGCGCUAUUGUGGCAUAUAUCUUCCUUUUUGCCACAGAAGCAUGGUAGAAUUAUAAAGAGAGUAUGUUUCUAUAGACAUUUCAAAAAAGAGAUUUGUGUAUACUCUCAUUAUACUGUAAUCACCAUAGAUUAUUCAGAUUAGAAGUUGUUGUCUCUACCACAUAUUUAGAUUUUCUAUACAUACUAAUAUCUAUAUCGCAUAGAAAAUCAUGUAUUUAUAUGAGAUCUUUGUGGUGCAUGAUAAAGCAAGAUUCCUUUUGUUAUUGCAGCAAUUUAUAAGUAUUUAAAUAUAUACUAAUAGCUAGUUUCUUCUGUGUUAUAAGGACAAAAUAAGACAUGCAUAGACAUGCAAAUACGUAUUAGAAAUCUGCUACUCCAAAUGUAUCAUGUUAAUCCAUGUAAGCCACGAAUCGCGUGCAUAUCAGGCAAAGCAGUUUUUUUUGUAAAAACAAUACAUAAUACUAAUCGAUGGUAUAGACGAUUCAAUACAUAUGCAUCAAGACACCGCUACCUUGCACAUAGUGAUAUAGGAUGGAAUUGAAUCUGAUCCGCUCCUUUCCAACUUAAUCGAGUAAUGUGUACUUCUCAUAAAUAGGCAUGUAUAUAGUAAUUGUUCUUUUGACCAAACGCUUGGUAUAUUAAUGAUCACAUUAUACAUUUAUGUAACAUUUCUUACUUGCGAAAUCUUUUACAAAUUGGAAUAUGGGAAUUUUAUUAAUACCUAGAAGAAAUACUACUAUUUAGAACAUAUAAUAACUGGUACUAUACUUUUUCUUAAUAUUGGUACUAUACUUAAUUGGACCAAAAGUUGCACAUAUUUUUGAUUAGUUCAUUUUUUUCUACAGAUUUAUCGGCGCCAUUAUUUCUCUAUGGUUGACAUGUAUAUGAACUACUGUCUGUAUAUAUUGAUCUGCAUUUAGACAAAUAUCAGGGACAAACACACAUACUGUUUAGCAUGUGUAGUUGUAAAGGUAGAAUACUGAUUUGUAGUAUUAAGAAAAUAUAUUUAUAAGAUCUUACUACAAUGUAUAUGGAUUGAGAAUCAGAGAAAUAACCAAGUGUUGUGCAAGGAUCAUUCUGACUAUCCAGUGGCAGAAUAAAAAUAGGAUGCUAAGCGCGGGGAGAAUACUUAUGUCCUAUAAACCUGCAAAUAAGAAGCAUGCAUUCACCAUAUAUUAGAAUUCCAAAUUUUAUAGUUCCUUUGCAUGUUGGAAAUAAGCUUUGCCCCUUGUGAUAUGGAUUAUCACGUAGAAUGGAAAGAGGAGAAAAAAAUUAUGGCUUAGCAGAAUCAAUGAGGAAAAGCACUACAUGUGAAGUAUCAAAACGUUGUGAUAGCACGAACCCCACCAGAUUUGAACUCGUGCUCUUAGUAUGACAUGAAAAGAGGGGCUACUCUCCAAUCGAAGUGAAAAUAGUAGAACUUUGAACUUAUAUAUAUAUACGCUUAAAAAUUCUAAAAGCAAAUGGUCAAAAACUCAGAAUAGCUUGAGCGGGCACUACUUGCUAACUCAAGCACAUGGCAACACAGUAUUAAGUCAAGAUUUUGCAACCGAGAGGGAAAGUCAAAUAAAUAAAUAAAUAAAUAAGGAUUCUCAUCAAACCUGUGAAUCCAAGCUAGUAUCUAACUAUUGUAUUGCUCAUAGUUUUGCAUACACCAUGGAACGUACGAUACAUAGCAUGUUGAAAAAUUAUAACCAAUUAAAUAGAAGAUAAAGGCAUAGUGCUAGGAGAUCAUCUCUCAGAGCAAUCAUCGCUGACAUAAACCUUCGGUUAAAUCACAUGUCUAAUUAGAACCUAGAGGUCUUUUACUUUUCCUUUAUAUGGAACCUUUAUUUUGACCUUUGGGGACUAUAGCCGCCUCAAAUAUGCAACUUUUUUUCGAAAUUUUAGUAUAGUGUAGUUGGAGCUUUUCCUGGUGUUCCAUAAAAAUAGCAAAGGGCAUAUUUCCUUUAGCCUACUUAUAUAUAAAAAAACGGCGUUCCUUAAUUAUUAUUCAAACUGAAAACACAUGCUAUCUUUAAAAGCAAAGAUGUACCUUAUGUGAGAAUCAUGCAUGUGUUAUUUCUAAUUAGUUAGGCAAUAAAAUAAUAGCAUCGUAUCAUUAGAUAAAUUAUUUUUCAACUGAAUCAGACAUGUGGGGUUUGACAAAAUUGAAAGUAUAUGCGAAGAUGUUAAGGAGAAAAUGUCAAUAUAAAAAAACUGUUUCUAUAGGCAGAUGUGAAUUACGUACAAAAAUAGGUCUGUUCGCUUUACAAAAGUUCUGGUGAAACCAAACUCCUGAGUUACUACAUGUAGAGCUCAAAAAUACCAGAUAUAGAGUAUAAAAUGAGAAUGGAAUACUAAGUGCAUCUUACAGAAAUUAUAAGAUCUUUUUAAUAGCUUCCUCAAUAUUACAUAGCAUACACAACAAUGAGGCAUCAAAUGAAUCAGUAUUCUAAAUAUGUAAAGAAGAAUAAGAAACACAAAGUAGCUGCUGCUCGAGCAACUACUACAUGCAAAUACAAUGCUUGAGAAUUUUCAAGCGUUCUGUUCGCUUUUUACCCUGAUUCAGCAUGGAUUAAAAAACCACAGUACUUAAUUCCGUGUAUCCUAAAUUCAAGCGUCAUGUUCGACGAAUUUCACCAUAGAUUUACAUGCCUGUGGACUUGUAGAACCAACAGCGCACUCUACAACAUCCGACAGAUAAAUCGAUCUGCUUUCCGUUCGCUGUAGGUUGUUCAUUGGGAAGCAGCACGAUCCACUUUAGACCACCAUCAGUAGACCUGAUCCUACGCUGCAUCGCAUUGUUAUAUUGCAGUCAGCUCGGAACUUAUGUCAAGGAGAAUAGUUAGACGAUGGAUUUGAUAUUUGGCCUUUUUGAGAUCUGAAACGUGUGUGUACUUCGUAGCUGUCAGCAGGUGGAAGGCCGUCCUGACAAAGAGGCAUAUUGCAUCCUAAAUUCAAGCACCAUGUUCGAAAAAAAAUCAGUAUGGGUUUACUUGCCUGUGGACUUGUAGAACCAACAUCAAACCCGACAAAAUCGGACAGAUAAAUCGAUCUGCUUUCCGUUCGUAGUAGGUUCUCCAAUGGGCAGCAGCACGAUCCACUUUAGACCACCUGAUCCUACGCUGCAUCUUGCAGUCAGCUCCGAACUUAACCCAGAAGAAUAGUUAGACGAUGGAUUUGAUAGUUGGCCUUUUUUUAGAUCAGAAUUGUAGGUGCAGGGUGGCUCGGCGAUCCUGACAAAGAUGAGAUUGAUCGGGGUCGCUAAUAAUCCCUUGUAGCACCUGCCGGGAUCCUUUGUGGUUCGCCGAGUGCACUUGAUGGCGAUGGGAUCAAGGGAAGAGAAGAAUUGAAGGAGGUGGGGUCGAGGGACAUGUUUUUCCUAUUUUAGGGGGAGAUAUCUUUCCUUUCUGUUUUUGCGUGAUUGUUUUCGUUUUUCAAUCGGCCGAAGAUUUUAUUGACAGAUCUAUUUUCUUUUUCUUUUCAUCACGGGAUUUUACAUGAAAGGAGGCUAUCUUUUUUUAGCAUGGAAGGAAGAUAUCUUUUUUAAAGGAACCGAUGGAUGCUUUGUUUGUUUGUUAAGCCAAUCUUGACGGUGUCGCGUUCCUUUAUUUUUUACGGGGCCAUAUAUGCUACCAUUGAUUGCAAUUAGUUUUUUUCUCUUGGAGAUGGAUUAUUUGUUUGUUGAACGUGUCUGCCUUAAUUAUGGAUGGACCAUCUGUGUAACGCAUGUUUACUUUUUAUCUUGGACGUUAAUUCUAUAAUCUAUCGGUGUAAUUAAUUUUGAUGAUGUGGAUUAAUGAGAAGGCCUUAAAAGGUGCCUCCAAUUAGUAAAUAUAUAAGAUAUAAGAUAUUGAUUCAUGGAAUAAGUUUAAGGAUGAAUUUAUUUCCAAGUAUUUUCCUCCCGCUAAGAUCAUCUCUCUUAGGAACGACAUUAUGAAUUUUAACCAACUUGAUCAUGAACAUGUUGCACAAUCUCCGUAGAGGAUGAAAUUGAUGAUAUGAAAUUGCCCUACACAUGGUUUGAAUAUGUGGAUGAUUAUACAAUUUUUUAUGCCGGAUUGAAUUUUGCUUCUAGAAAUCUUUUAGAUUCGGCCGUGGGAGGUACUUUUAUGGAAAUUACUUUAGGAGAAGCUACUAAACUCCUAGAUAAUAUUACGGUUAAUUAUUCUCAAUGGUAUACUGAAAGAUCUUCCACUAGUAAAAAAGUGCAUGCGAUUGAUGAGUUUAAUGUUUUGAGUGGAAAGAUGGAUGACCUUAUGAAAUUAUAUGCUAGCAAGAGUGCUUCUGUUGAUCCUAAUGAUAUGCCUUUGUCUACUUUGAUUGAGAAUAAUAAUGAAUCUAUGUAUGUGAAUUUUGUUGGUAGGAACAAUUUUGGUAAUAACGCUUAUGGAGGUAAUUUUAAUCCUAGACUGCUUCCUAAUAAUUCCCCUAAUAAUUAUGGCAAUUCCUACAACAAUUCUUCACUGGUAGAAAAAGGGCCUGUAGUCCCGGUUCGUAAGGGCCUUUAGUCCCGGUUCCUGAACCGGGACUAAAGUGUCGGUACUAAUACCUCCCACCUUUAGUCCCGGUUCAAUCCAGAACCGGGACUAAAGCCCAUCCACGUGGGCAGUGUGCAGAGCCCAGUCAGGAGACCCUUUGGUCCCGGUUGGUGGCACCAACCGGGACCAAUAGGCAUCCACGCGUCAGCAUUUCUGUGNNNNNNNNNNNNNNNNNNNNNNNNNNNNNNNNNNNNNNNNNNNNNNNNNNNNNNNNNNNNNNNNNNNNNNNNNNNNNNNNNNNNNNNNNNNNNNNNNNNNNNNNNNNNNNNNNNNNNNNNNNNNNNNNNNNNNNNNNNNNNNNNNNNNNNNNNCCGGUUCAAUCCAGAACCGGGACUAAAGCCCAUCCACGUGGGCAGUGCGCAGAGCCCAGUCAGGAGACCCUUUGGUCCCGGUUGGUGGCACCAACCGGGACCAAUAGGCAUCCACGCGUCAGCAUUUCUGUGGCUAGGGUUUUUAUUUUUAUUUUUUGAAAGGGGGGGGGGGUUGGGGGUUUUGGGGGGUUAAUUUAGGUGUUUCAUAUAUUGUGUUAGCUAGCUAUAAUUAAUAUAGAGAAGUGUCCUCUCUUAUGUCCGUGCUUGGUCGACGCUACGUACUAUACAUACGUAUAGAGAGGACUAGACACGCUGGCUAGCUAGUAAAGCAAACGAAGGAAACAGAAGAUCGUCAUGAACAUAUAUGCAUACAGAGAGAAGUGAUAUCGACCACCUCUCCUUCUCCGAGAGAUUGGUCGAACAACAAGUUCUCGUAUAUCUAUCUGACAGUACCGGCUACAUAUAUACAGUAAUUAUCUCUUACAAAUAUAAUCAUACGGACUCAGGUUUAACAUAGAAUUCUCCGUCUUCAGGGAUCACGUGGUCAAAAAAGAAUGCCGCCAAUUCCUCUUGAAUUGCUCGCAUGCGAGCUGGUGCUAGGAGUUCAUCCCGCUUCCGAAACAUCUAAUUUGAAGAAGGGGGUCAAUACAUAUAUAUAUAUAUAUGAAUGAAUGAAACUCAACACAAAUGAUGGUAAUAAAAUAAAAUUGUGAAUAUUGUUAUUUACGUACUUCAUAUUGUUCGUUAGAGUACCCGCCCCGCUCACACGUCGUGUGACGGAUGGACUCGCAGAUGUAGUAUCCACAGAAAUCAUUCCCUUGUUCCUGCCACAACCACUUUACAAGAAAUAGAGGUCAAUCAAACUGAUAAGCAAGAAUGCUAAAUGGUAUUGAUGAAACUAGCGCUUGAAUCACUAGGAGAUGCGCGGAACAUGCUACUAUAGUACUUACUUUCGGGUGUCUAAAUUCUAGCUCCUUCGGCAGUCCCGGAACUUUUUUGGUGAAUUUUCUCCAAACCAUGCCGGACAAAGAAAACAAUUACUUGAUAUCAGGAAAUGAACAAAGUUGCUGAUAUGGUGGAUAAUGAUCGAUUUAACUUACUUCUUGAGGAUUUCAGUCAUGUCUGCAUAGUCCUGCGGAUCUUUUCGUUUUGAGUCUAAGAAGGUUACUAGUCCCUGCUCAAGCUUAAUCUCUAGGAGAAUAUAGUGGAAACUGCACACGCAUGCAUAACUUAUGAAUUACAUUACUAUAACCUUGAGUAAUAUAUAAGGGAAACCGAAUACGCACAAGACAGUAGCACUCACUUGAAGUUGUAAGGAAAGAGUAUUAUAUCUUUGUUUUGAUUUAUUACGAACGAUUGUAGAAAGUUGGCCUCGGUAGCUGUGACAUGAAGUUUAACCUGAAUUGCAUCUAUGAGAUAUGUGUUAAUGAACCCAAUAUCACCGACUUGUCUUUUCUUCAAUUCGACGAUCUUCAAUCUGCAUAAUAUAGUGAGGAUGAUUAUAAAUACAUGCAAUGAAAGAGCUAAGCUAUAUAGAGAAACUUAAUGACAGAAGUAGUACUACUUACAGACAGUAGCAGGCGACCGUUGUUUUAUCGAGGGCCAAUUGAUUGAAAAACUGAUAGAACUCCUCAAAUGGAACAGGCAACAGAUCAAUUCCAACGAGGUCAUGCUCCUUUUUAACUCUCACAUACAAAGUACUCCUCCCCCAGAGUCUCUGCAGAUUUUCAAGUACCAAUCAUGCAAUCUUCGCAUCAUCGUUGAUAGAGAUCUUUCAUCUUUGACGAGAGGCUUCCCGUACUCGUAUCUUUGCAUCUGCAUGUCCAUGGGUUCAUAAUGUACUUCGUCGGGUAGGUAAUCUGCAAGAUUAUUAUAACCGGGCACCAUCCUCGGAUCAUUAGCGACUUUGUGGCUAGGCACCUUGAGCGAGGGGCAUGAUUGCUUCGCUUGUUUGCCGAGCUGGGCAAUUUGUUUCCCAGCUCGUCGUUUUUUCAGCCUUUCAUCACUGACAGUAGUUCCCGACCGCUCCGCUUCGGCAAAUUCCUUUCCAAUAAUGCGGUCAUAGUUUCCUUUCGGCGGAUCAGACUUUGGUGGUUUUGUCAGGGCAGCCAGAGUGCGCUUCACUUUCACCCCAUCUACCUUCUCCUCUGGAGGUGGAUGUUUCUUUGCUUUCACCCCUUCAAAGAAUUUCCUCACUUCUUCUCACGCGAUCUCGGCGUUCUCCUCCUGGGUCCUCUCGUAUGGUAACUUCUCUGGAGUCUUCAGAGAAGGACCGAAUCUGUAUGUCCUCCCGCCUCUGGUUGUACUGCUAGACGCCGACCGAGCAAACGAAGCGGUUGUCUUCUUUACUUGCUUAAGAGGCGGAGGAGAAGGACUACGACCCGCCGGAGCAGCUGGAGCGGCGGCAGGUCUCUUCUGCCCUUGCUGACGAGGCGGAGAAGGAGGAGGUUGGCUGCUCGGGCGCGUCGGCGCAGGCGGAGACGGAGGCGGAGUGCCGCCACGCGCCGGAGAAGGAGCCGGCCGAGGGCCCUGAUCCUCACUCGCCGGAGGAGGAGGUGGUGGAGGAGGCGGAGUGCCCUGACUCGCCGGAGGAGGAGGAGGAGGCGGAGGCGUCCAGUUCGGAAGGUUGAUGAGGUCCUUCCGCCAUAGGCAUGGAGUCUUCAGAGCAGACCCCAGCCGAGUCUCCCCUUCACCGGUAGGGUGGUCAAGCUGGAGGUCCUCAAAUCCCUCCGUUAUCUCAUCCACCAUCACCCUAGCAUAUCCUUCUGGAAUCGGCAUGCAGUGAAAAGUUGCGCCGGGUUCAGUAGGAUAAACAGAGCCAACAGCCGCCUUGACCUUCAAAUUCAUCCAUUGCGUCAUAAGGUGGCAAUUUUGAGACUCCGUUAUAGCAUCCACAGGAUAGCUGGCAGGAGCCGUCAAGGCAUGCUGCAGCUGAAGCUGCUCGGUGGAAGCCACGCUGCUUCUGCGCUGAGAUGGCGGGGUAGCUUCGGGGGAGGCUUCGGCAGUACGUUUGUUGCGAUUUGCUUCUCGUUCCUCUAUCGCUUGUACCCUUGCGUGCAGCGCCUGCAGUUCGGUCUGCUGCACUUUUUUCCUCCUCUCAUGGGAUUUGUAACCGCCUGCGUCCGGAAACCCAACCUUCCACGGAACGGAGCCUGGCGUGCCUCGUGUCCGUCCAGGGUGCUCAGGAUUCCCGAGGGCCAUUGUGAGCUCGUUGUGCUCUCUGUCUGGAAAGAACGUCCCUUCCUGCGCUGCGUCGAUAUAGUGCUUAAGCUUACUGACUGGUAUGUCCAUUUGUUCGUUCGUCCAAAUGCAGUUCCCUAUUUCAGGGUCCAAGGUUCCGCCACCCCCGAAGAACCAAGUCCGGCAACGGUCUGGCCAGUUAUUUGUCUCUGGUCCGAUCCCUUUAUGAACCAGAUCAUUCUCAACCAUGGACCACUUAGGCCGGGCUACGAGGUAGCCACCUGACCCCGUGCGAUGGUGAAGCUUCUUCUUCGCGGCAUUCUGCUUGUUUGUCGCCGACAUCUUCUUACUCUUUUCCGAUGUCUUGUAGGCCACAAAUGCGGGCCAGUGAUCUCUGAUCUUCUCAUAUCUUCCCUUGAAUUCUGGUGUCUCUUUUUUAUCGACAAACCUAUUCAGCUCUUUCUUCCACCUCCUGAAUAGAUCUGCCAUCCUCUUCAGAGAAAAAGACUUGAUUAAUUUCUCUUUAAUUGGGUUCUCUGGAUUAUCCUCUGGCGGUAGGGUGAAAUUUGACUUCAGCUCAGUCCAAAGAUCAUUUUUCUGCAUAUCAUUGACAUAAGACACCUCAGGGUCUUCUGUAGCCGGCUUAAACCAUUGCUGGAUGCUUAUCGGGAUCUUGUCCCUAACCAGAACCCCGCACUGAGCAACAAAUGCCCUCUUUGUCCGGAGGGGUUCAAUAGGUUGGCCGUCGGGCGCGAUUGCUGUGAUCUCAAGCUUUUCAUCCGAGCUCAACUUUUUCUUCGGGCCUCGUCUCUUUACCGAAGUUGUGCUCGAUCCGGAGGGCUAGAAAAAAGAACAAAGACUUAAUUAAUAUGUGUACAUACCAAAACAAUGAAUGCAUCAAUCAGCUAGUCAGCAUAGGCUUAACUAAUAUAUAUACCUGGCCGGACUCGGUUCGGUCACCGGAGCCGUCAUCACGGUCUCCUUCUUGCACCGGCAUUGGGUCACCGGCGCCGUCCUCAUGUUCUUCUUCUUGCACCGGCAUUAGGUCACCGUAGCCAGCUUGUUCACCCUCUCCUUCCGGACCAUCGAUGAUAUCGUUGAGAUAGUACGAGACGGCAUCACUUCCUUGUGCGAUUAUCUCCCUCAACAACGCUUCUUUUGUUGCUUCGUCUAGGGCGGUGUCCAUAGUUUCUACAAAUAUUUACAACAUGGCAAUUAUUAUUCAAACAUGACAGAUGGAUAUAUUAGUGCCAAACGUAGAACUACCUACCUAAUCAUAGUAAGCUAUCGGGAGGGGGUAUAUAUCGACAACGACGACACUACAUCUAUAUAUGUCCCUCGAUGACCCUCGUUCCUGAUAAAAAAAGAGGAAGAAGAAGAAAAAAAAGAGGAGAAGAAAGAAUAGAGGAGAAGAACUCCUCUAUUCUUUCUUCUCCUCUUUUUUCUUCUUCUUCCUCUUCUUUUUUUAUCCUCUUCUUCCUCUCAUGUUCGAGAGGAUCGCCUUGGGGUCGGGAGGUUGCCUAGUGUCAAAGGAUUCAACAAAACCAUGUCUUCAUCAUUAGGCGAAAGUAACAUGUGCAUGAUGGUAGGAAGCUCUUCAAAGUUGUUCUGGAACGGAGUCCCAGAUAGGAUAAUUCGCUUUUUGGUACAAAGUUCAGCAAGAGCCUUCCGAAUAUCGCUAUUUGGAAGGCCUUUGCUGAAUUCGUACCAAAAGGCGGAUUAUUCUAUCCGGGACUCCAUUCCAGAACAACUUUGCAGAACUUCAUACCAACAUGCCCUGGUUACUUCCGGCUAAUGAUGAAGGCAUGGAUUUCUUCAAUACUUUGACACUAGGAAACCUCUCUCGACCCCUCGGCGAUUCUUGACCCCUCGAACCCUCAACGACCCUGAAACCCUCGACGCUUGACCCCUUAACGACCCUCGACCCUCUACCCUAGUUCCCGACCCUCGACCAAUAGAGGAGAAGAAGAAAGGAAUAGCUAGAGGAGAAGAUCGAAGAAAAAAAAGAAGAAACAAAAGAGGAGAAGAAGAAAGGAAUAGUGGAGAAGAAGAGAAAAUAGAAUAUAUAUUCUAUUUUCUCUUCUUCUCCACUAUUCCUUUCUUCUUCUCCUCUUCUUUUUCUUCUGUUUUCUUCUUCUUAUUUAUUUCUCCUCUUCUUUUCGGUAGAGGAAACCCUAAAUAGCUAGCAAGUAUCGUGGGUGUGAGAUACAUGUGGCCUUCGGUGUCGGACACUACAUCCACGUCCCACAAGUGACGUGGGCGUCGAAACCCGCGCCACUUGUGGGAUGUGGAUGUAGUGUCCGACACCGACGGUACAUGUAUCUCACACCGACGAUACUUUCUAUUUAGGGUUUCUCCUCUACCACUCGGCGGCCCUCUCGACGACCCUCGUUCCCGAUAAUAUAAAGAGGAAGAAGAAGAAGAAAAAAGAAGAGAAGAAAGAAUAGAGGAGACGAACCCUCGAACCCUCGAACCCUAGACGACCCUCUUCUUCCUCUCAUGUUCGAGAGGAUCGCCGAGGGGUCGGGAGGUUGCCUAGUGUCAAAGGAAACCCUAAAUAGCUAGCAAGUGUCAUGGGUGUGAGAUACAUGUGGCCUUCGGUGUCGGACACUACAUCCACGUCCCACAAGUGACGUGGGCGUCGAAGCCCGCGCCACUUGUGGGAUGUGGAUGUAAUGUCCGACACCGACGGUACAUGUAUCUCACACCGACGAUACUUUCUAUUUAGGGUUUCUCCUCUACCACUCGGCGGCCCUCUCGACGACCCUCGUUCCCGAUAAAAUAAAGAGGAAGAAGAAGAAGAAAAAAGAAGAGAAGAAAGAAUAGAGGAGAAGUCUCCUCUAUUCUUUCCUCGCCUCUCUCAUGAAUGUCCGGCGUUCUCGACCCCCCCCCCUCCCCACGUGUCGAAGAAAAAAAAGAAGAAAAAAAAGAGGAGAAGAAGAAAGGAAUAGAGGAGAAAAGAGAAAAAUAGAAUAUUCNNNNNNNNNNNNNNNNNNNNNNNNNNNNNNNNNNNNNNNNNNNNNNNNNNNNNNNNNNNNNNNNNNNNNNNNNNNNNNNNNNNNNNNNNNNNNNNNNNNNNNNNNNNNNNNNNNNNNNNNNNNNNNNNNNNNNNNNNNNNNNNNNNNNNNNNNNNNNNNNNNNNNNNNNNNNNNNNNNNNNNNNNNNNNNNNNNNNNNNNNNNNNNNNNNNNNNNNNNNNNNNNNNNNNNNNNNNNNNNNNNNNNNNNNNNNNNNNNNNNNNNNNNNNNNNNNNNNNNNNNNNNNNNNNNNNNNNNNNNNNNNNNNNNNNNNNNNNNNNNNNNNNNNNNNNNNNNNNNNNNNNNNNNNNNNNNNNNNNNNNNNNNNNNNNNNNNNNNNNNNNNNNNNNNNNNNNNNNNNNNNNNNNNNNNNNNNNNNNNNNNNNNNNNNNNNNNNNNNNNNNNNNNNNNNNNNNNNNNNNNNNNNNNNNNNNNNNNNNNNNNNNNNNNNNNNNNNNNNNNNNNNNNNNNNNNNNNNNNNNNNNNNNNNNNNNNNNNNNNNNNNNNNNNNNNNNNNNNNNNNNNNNNNNNNNNNNNNNNNNNNNNNNNNNNNNNNNNNNNNNNNNNNNNNNNNNNNNNNNNNNNNNNNNNNNNNNNNNNNNNNNNNNNNNNNNNNNNNNNNNNNNNNNNNNNNNNNNNNNNNNNNNNNNNNNNNNNNNGGGACUAAAGGGGGGCAAUGGUCACGGUUGGUGCCACGAACCGUGACCAAUGCCACCUUUAGUCCCGGUUGGUGCCACCAACCGGGACCAAUGCCCUUGUGCGCCCCGCGCCCAGAAGUUUAGUCCCACAUCGCUAGCUGAAGGGCGCCGAUACUGGUUUAUAAGCGCUGCUCUGCCUCCCCUUUCGAGCUCCUCUCAAAUGCAGGCUUUCGGGCCUAAACUGCUACUGCCUGUGGGCCUAUUGGGCCUCUGCGGGCCUGAAUCCUGGCCCAUGUAGGGUUUCUAGUCGUAUUCAGGCCGUGGAGGCCCAGUAGGAGGCAUUUUUUUUGGUUUUUUCUUUUUUGUUUCUAUAUUUUUUUGGUUUUUUAUUUUUUUUAUUUCUACUUACAACUAAAUACUUACAGUUUUUUAGUGAUUUCUUUUUGCUUUUAGGUCACAAAAAUUAUAAACUUUCUAUUAGUGCCAUUAGUUUUAAAUUUUAAAUAGUUUAAAUUUGAAUUUUUAAAAAUUUGUGUGAAUCACUAGUUUAUGAAUAACUUUACUAUAAAGUUAGAAUUUGUUUUCUAUUUAUUUUUUAUUUCUACUUACAACUAAAUACUUACAGUUUUUUAGUGAUUUGUUUUUGCUUUUAGGUCACAAAAAUUAUAAACUUUCUGUUAGUGCCUUUAGUUUUAAAUUUUAAAUAGUUUAAAUUUGAAUUUUUAAAAAUUUGUGUGAAUCACUAGUUUAUGAAUUUUUUUCUUCUUUGCUAUUUAUUUUUGAUUUAUACUUACAAUUAAAUACUUAUAGUUUGCUUUUAGGUCACACAAAUUAUAUUCUUUUUGCUAUUGAAGAAUAUUAUAGUUUUAUUUUAGUUGAUCAUAACAUAAUAUUUUAAUUGAUUGUUUUUAUUUUCAUAAAAGUUUUGUAGUUCAUUCUGUUUGCUAUUAAUUCAUUCUUUGAGCUAAAUGACUCUGAAAUUGGAAAGCAUUUCAAAAUGAACUCUGAAAAGGUUGAAAGUUGGCAUGGUAUCAUCAUUUCACCCACAUAGCAUGUUCCAAAAAGUAGAGAGGGUUACGACAAAAACUUGAUGCACUUCGUGUACAAAAUGGACAAUCACUUUCGAAGUAUCAAAGUUUCAAACCAUAAGACAUGAAAGCAUUUCGAAUGAACUCUGAAAAAGUUGAAAGUUGGGAUGCAUGGUAUCAUAAUUUCACCCACAUAGCAUUUUCUUAUUGCGGGAGAAAGUCUUCACUUUUUCUUCGCUUGUGUCAUUUGCUUAUUGCGCCGUAACCAUGGAUAAUCUUCAUUGUUUUUAAGGAUGCUUGGGUCAGCCUUGACAUUGAAGGGAGGAAUUUCAUGAAACUUUUCAUAAUCUUCAGACAUGUCUGUCUUGCCGUCCACUCCCAGGAUGUCCCUUUUUCCUGAAAGAACUAUGUGGCGCUUUGGCUCAUCGUAUGAUGUAUUCGCUUCCUUAUCUUUUCUUUUUCUCGGUUUAGUAGACAUGUCCUUCACAUAGAUAACCUGUGCCACAUCAUUGGCUAGGACGAACGGUUCGUCAGUGUACCCAAGAUUUUUCAGAUCCACUGUUGUCAUUCCGUACUGUGGGUCUACUUGUACCCCACCGCCAAACAGAAUGACCCAUUUGCACUUAAACAAAGGGACCUUAAAAUCAGGUCCGUAGUCAAGUUCCCAUAUGUCCACUAUGUAACCAUAAUAUGUGUCCUUUCCUCUCUCGGUUGCUGCAUCAAAGCGGACACCGCUGUUUUGGUUGGUGCUCUUUUGAUCUUGGGCGAUCGUGUAAAAUGUAUUCCCAUUUAUCUCGUAUCCUUUGUAAGUCAAUACAGUCAAAGAUGGUCCCCUGGACAACAAGUACAACUCAUCACAAACAGUGUUGUCACCUCUGAGACGUGUUUCCAACCAACUCCUGAAAGUCCUGAUGUGUUCACAUGUAAUCCAGUCGUCGCAUUGCUCCGGGUGUUUGGAGCGCAGACUGUUCUUGUGUUCAUCGACAUACGGGGUCCCCAAGGUAGAGUUCUGUAGAACUGUGUAGUGUGCUUGAGACCAAGAAUAUCCGUCCCUGCAUAUUAUUGAGUCUCUUCCAAGAGUGCCUUUUCCAGUCAGUCUCCCCUCAUACCGCGAUUUAGGGAGACCUAUCUUGUUAAGGCCAGGAAUGAAGUCAACACAAAACCCGAUAACAUCCUCUGUUUGAUGGCCCAUGGAGAUGCUUCCUUCUGGCCUAGCGCGGUUACGGACAUAUUUCUUUAGGACUCCCAUGAACCUCUCAAAGGGGAACAUAUUGUGUAGAAAUACGGGCCCCAGGAUGACAAUCUCGUCGACUAGAUGAACUAGGACGUGCGUCAUGAUAUUGAAGAAGGAUUGUGGGAACACCAGCUCGAAACUGACAAGACAUUGCGCCACAUCACUCCUUAGCCUUGGUACCAUUUCUGGAUCGAUCACCUUCUAAGAGAUUGCAUUGAGGAAUGCACAUAGCUUCACAAUGGCUAAUCGGACGUUUUCCGGUAAAAGCCCCCUCAAUGCAACCAGAAGCAGUUGCGUCAUAAUCACGUGGCAGUCAUGAGACUUUAGGUUCUGAAACUUUUUCUCUGGCAUAUUUAUUAUUCCCUUUAUAUUCGAUGAGAAGCCAGUCAUGACCUUCAUACUAAGCAGGCAUUCAAAGAAGAUUUCUUUCUCUUCUUUCGUAAGAGUGUAGCUGGCAGGACCUUUAUACUGCUUCGGAGGCAUGUCAUCUUUUUUGUGCAAACGUUGCAGGUCCUCCCAUGCCUCCGGCGUAUCUUUUGUCUUCCCAUACACGCCCAAGAAGCCUAGCAGGUUCACGCAAAGGUUCUUCGUCACGUGCAUCACGUUGAUUGAGGAGCGGACCUCUAGGUCUUUCCAGUAGGGUAGGUCCCAAAAUAUAGAUUUCUUCUUCCACAUGGGUGUGUGUCCCUCAGCGUCAUUCGGAACAGCUAGUCCACCGGGACCCUUUCCAAAGAUGACGUAGGGUAAAUCAUUGACCAUAGCAAGCACGUGAUCACCGGUGCGCAUGGCGGGCUUCUUUCGGUGAUCUGCCUCGCCUUUGAAAUGCUUGCCUUUCUUUCGACAUUGAUGGUUGGUCGGAAGAAAUCGACGAUGGCCCAGGUGCACAUUCUUCCUGCAUUUGUCCAGGUAUAUACUUUCAGUGUCAUCUAAACAGUGCGUGCAUGCGUGGUAUCCUUUGUUUGUCUGUCCUGAAAGGUUACUGAGAGCGGGCCAAUCGUUGAUGGUCACGAACAGCAACGCCUUAAGGUUAAAUUCCUCCUGUCUGUGCUCAUCCCACGUACGUACACCAUUUUCAUUCCACAGCUGUAAAAGUUCUUCAACUAAUGGACUUAGGUACACAUCAAUUUCGUUGCCGGGUUGCUUAGGGCCUUGGAUGAGAACUGGCAUCAUAAUGAACUUCCGCUUCAUGCACAUCCAAGGAGGAAGGUUAUACAUACAUAGAGUCGCGGGCCAGGUGCUGUGAUUACUGCUCUGCUCCCCGAAAGGAUUAAUGCCAUCCGCGCUUAAAGCAAACCAUACAUUCCUAGGGUCCUUUGCAAACUCAUCCCAGUACUUUCUCUCGAUUUUUCUCCACUGCGACCCGUCAGCGGGUGCUCUCAACUUCCCAUCUUUCUUUCGUUUCUCACUGUGCCAUCGCAUCAACUUGGCAUGCUCUUCGUUUCUGAACAGACGUUUCAACCGUGGUAUUAUAGGAGCAUACCACAUCACCUUUGCAGGGACCCUCUUCCUGAGGGGCUCGCCGUCAACAUCACCGGGGUCAUCUCGUCUGAUCUUAUACCGCAACGCACCGCAUACCGGGCAUGCGUUCAGAUCCUUGUAUGCACCGCGGUAGAGGAUGCAGUCAUUAGGGCAUGCAUGUAUCUUCUCCACCUCCAAUCCUAGAGGGCAUACGACCUUCUUUGCUGCGUAUGUACUGUCGGGCAAUUCGUUAUCCUUUGGAAGCUUCUUCUUCAAUAUUUUCAGUAGCUUCUCAAAUCCUUUGUCAGCCACAGCAUUCUCUGCCUUCCACUGCAGCAAUUCUAGUACGGUACUGAGCUUUGUGUUGCCAUCUUCGCAAUUGGGGUAUAACCCUUUUUUGUGAUCCUCUAACAUGCGAUCGAACUUCAGCUUCUCCUUUUGACUAAUGCAUUGCGUCCUUGCAUCGACAAUGACCCGGCGGAGAUCAUCAUCAUCGGGCACAUCGUCUGGUUCCUCUUGAUCUUCAGCAGCUUCACCUGUGGCAGCAUCAUUGGGCACAUCAUCAUCUGGUUCCUCUUGAUCUUCACCAGCUCCCCCCGUUGCAGCAUCACCGUAUUCAGGGGGCACAUAGUUGUCAUCGUACUCUUCUUCUUCGCCGUCUUCCAUCAUAACCCCUAUUUCUCCGUGCCUCGUCCAAACAUUAUAGUGUGGCAUGAAACCCUUGUAAAGCAGGUGGGAGUGAAGGAUUUUCCGGUUAGAGUAAGACCUCGUAUUCCCACAUUCAGUGCAUGGACAACACAUAAAACCAUUCUGCUUGUUUUCCUCAGCCGCAUCGAGAAACUCAUGCACACCCUUAAUGUACUCGCGGGUGUGUCUGUCACCGUACAUCCAUUGCCGGUUCAUCUGCGUGCAUUAUAUAUAAUUAAGUGUCCAAAUUAAUAGAAGUUCAUCAUCACAUUAAAACCAAAGUGCAUACAUAGUUCUCAUCUAACAACAUAUAGCUCUCCAGAGCAUCUAAUUAAUUAAACCAUACAUUGAAACUAUGUAAAACAUUUCAAUGCGAAAACAAAUGCGAUCAUAAUCGCAACCAAGGUAACAAUUGAUCCAACGGCAUAAUGAUACCAAGCCUCGGUAUGAAUGGCAUAUUUUCUAAUCUUUCUAAUCUUCAAGCGCAUUGCAUCCAUCUUGAUCUUGUGAUCAUCGACGACAUCCGCAACAUGCAACUCCAAUAUCAUCUUCUCCUCCUCAAUUUUUUUUAUUUUUUCCUUCAACAAAUUGUUUUCUUCUUCAACUAAAUUUAACCUCUCGACAAUAGGGUCGGUUGGCAUUUCCGAUUCACAUACAUCCUAGAUAAAUAAAAUCUAUGUCACGUUGGUCAGCAUAAUUUUCAUAAACAAUAAAUGAACCAAUAGUUAUAAAGAUAAUAUACAUACCACAUCCGAAUCAUAGACAGGACGAGGGCCGACGGGGGCGGAUACCAAAACCAUCGCACUAUAUAAGAUGCAAUAAUAAAUGUAAGAAAAUGAUACAAGUAUCUAUCUAAACAUACAAGUAAGAAUAUUUUUCCUUUCAGAAAGAAGAUAAGAACAAGAGGCUCACCACGGUGGUGUCGGUGAUGAGAUCGGCGCGGGUGAUCGACGGCAGUGAAGACGGGGACGGGGCGUGACGGACCGCUAAAUCUAGACAAAUCUCGAGGAAAAUGGAGCUUGGAGGUCGAGCUUCGAGAGGAGAAAGCUUAAGUAGUGUGGCUCGGGCAUUCCAUCGAACACCUCAUGUGCAUAGGAGGUGAGCUAGAGCACCACAAAGCCCUCUCCCCCUCGGCCAGAGAAAACAGAGCACUGGGGUGCUCUGCUCACGAGCGAGGGGUAUAUAUAGGCACCUCAUUGGUCCCGGUUGGUGGCAUGAGCCGGGACUAAAGGGAAGCCUUUGGUCCCGGUUCGGGCCACCAACCGGGACCAAUGAUGGUGGGCCAGGAGGGAGGCCCAUUGGUCCCGGUUCGUCCCACCAACCGGGACCAAAAGGUCCAUACGAACCAGGACCAAUGGCCCACGUGGCCCGGCCGGCCCCCUGGGCUCACGAACCGGGACCAAUUCCCACAUUGGUCCCGGUUCAAGACUGAACCGGGACUAAUGGGCUGAGGCGGCCUGGACCAUAGCCCCUUUUUCUACUAGUGCUUAUGGAAAUUAUAAUAAGAUGCCCUCUAAUUUUGAGAAUAGUGUUAAAUAAUUUAUGAGUUCGCAAAAGAAUUUCAAUGCUUUGAUUGAAGAAAAAUUGCUUAAGAUUGGUGAUUUGGCUAGGAACGUGGAUAGAACUACCCUUGAUGUCGAUUCUUUGAAACUUAGAUCUAUUUCACAUAAGCAUGAUAUCAAUGAGUCUCUCAAGGCUAUGAGAAUUCCCAUUGAUGAGUGCAAGGAAAGAACCGCUAAGAUGCGUGCUAAAAAAGAUUGGUUUAUAAAAGCGUGUUCUUCUAGCUAGUUUCCGUGAAAAUAAUGAUGAAGAUCUUAAAGUGAUUGAUGUGACUCCUAUUGAAUUUUUGUUUUCCAAUAUAAAUCUUGAGAAAGAUGGGACUGGAUAUGAGUCAACUUUAGUUAGAAGGCGUCCCAAUGAUUCGGAGUUUUUAGAUAUUAAUGCAAAAAUUGAUAAAAGUGGGAUUGGAGAGGUUAAAACUUUAGGUAGUAAUGAACCCACUCUUUUGGAUUUCAAGGAAUUUAAUUAUAAUAAUUUCUCUUUAAUAGAUUGUAUUUCCUUGUUGCAAUCCAUGUUGAAUUUUCCUCAUGCUUAUAAUCAAAACAAAGCUUUUACUAAACAUAUCAUUGAUGCUAUGAUGCAAUCCUUUGAAGAAAAGCUUGAAUUGGAAGUUUCUAUUCCUACACUAGUAGACAAAGGGUCAAACAUGAAGCACAUUAGUGCCGGUUUGAAUUUGAGCCGGCACUAAUGUGUGCAUUAGUGCCGGUUCCAACGGCUAGCCGGCCGCUCUCAUUAGUACCGGUUCAUGGCGAACCUUUAGCACCGGUUCGUGCCACGAACCGGUACUAAAGUGAGUGGUGGCAGGAUGUUGUCACUCCGGGGCCCCUCCAGCACCUUUAGUACCGGGUCGUAUCACGAACCGGUCCUAAAGGCCGUCCUACAUAGACCCUUCGUCCACCCGAGCUCGCUCUGUUCUUCCCCUUUCCCCUCUCCUCUUUGUACUUUUCCCUCUUCCUCUCAAUCUCAUCACACAUUUUGCCCAAAAUUUGUCAAGAUUUGAAGGCCCCCAUCCAUUCAAAUGAUCACAAAGGUUAGCAACUUUUUCCUUUCAUCUCUCAUUGCUAGAUUAGCUCGUGCAAUGCUUUAUAUAGUGAUUGAUUUUUGAGUUUAGUAAUUUGGGAGGAAUUAUAUAUAUGUGCUAGUAUUUGAUUUAUAUGCAAUUUUAGGUCAAAAAUAACACUUAGUUUGCAUAUGUAGGUGUGGUUUACGUAGUACCUUCUAAAUCUCCGUCGUAACCACCGUCGAUCGCUCGCAACGUCCCGUCACCAGCACCACCUUUUGGUGAGCCUCUUGUUCAUGAAGUUUUAUAUAAAAAAUUGAUGUUUGUGUGAUUUGGAUAUAUAGUUACUCGUAUAAUUAUCUUACCCAUACGUUGUUUGUUAUACAUAGUGCCAUGGUUUUGAUAUCCGUCCCCGUUGGCCCUCGUCCGGGUUAUGAUUCGGAUGUGGUAUAUUCUAUUUUAAAACUAUUCAUUGCAUUUCGUGUUUAUGACAAAUUAUGCCCAUCAAGUUGACAUAGAUAUUUGUAUGUAGGAGGUAGUUGAAACGGAAAUUCCAACCGACCCUAUUGUCGAGAGGUUAAAUUUAGUUGAAAGAGAAAACGAGGAUUUGAAGGAAAAAUUGAAAAGAAUUGAGGGGGAGAAGAUGGAAUUGGAGUUGCAUGUUGCCGAUGUCGUCGAUGAUCACAAGAUUAAGAUGGAGAAAAUGCGCUUGAAGAUUAGAAAGAUUAGAAAAUAUGCCAUUCAUAGUGAGGCUUGGUAGCAUUAUGCUGUUGGAUCAAUUGUUACCUUAGUUGCGAUCUUGAUCGCAUUUGUUGUUGCAUUUAAAUUCUUUAGCUAGGGACUUAUUUGUUUGUUGCAUUUAAGUGUUGUAUGAUCUUUAUGUAUGAACCUUAUGUAUUGUAUUAAUUUGAUGUUUUCGGUGUUGUGUAUUGAAGAUGAGCCGGCAAUGGAUGUACGAUGACUGAUGCUCUCCCAAGUUCAUUAAUGGCGUGCGUACUUUUCUGCUUGCGGCUGAGGCAAACAAGCGAGCGGAUGGUUGUAUGCCUUGUCCAUGUGCUGGCUGUAAGAAUGGUCACAGUUACUCUACGUCAAGAACCAUUCACGUCCACCUGUUUGAGUCUGGUUUCAUGCCCCACUAUAAUGUUUGGACCAAGCAUGGAGAAAGAGGGGUUAUGAUGGAAGACAAUGAAGAAGAAGAGGACGACGAAAGCUAUCCUGGCCAUGGGUUCCCUGAAUACGGUGAUACAACAAUGAGGGAAGAAGCUGAGCCGGUAAUGCGGGAAGAAGCUGAGCCGGCAAUGCGGGAAGAAGCUGAACAAGAGGCACGGAUGAGCCCGUUGAUGAUCUAGGUCGGGCCAUUGCCGAUGCAAAGAGAAACCGCGCUAGUGAUUUGGAGAAGAAGAAGUUGCAGCGCAUGUUAGAGGAUCACAAAAAUUGUUGUACCCGAAUUGCGUAGGUGACAAGAAAAAGCUAGGCACCACACUGGAAUUGCUGCAAUGGAAGGCAAAGAAUGGUGUAUCUGACAUGGGAUUUGGAAAGUUGCUGGUAAUGAUAAAGGAUAUGCUUCCAAAGGACAACAAAUUGCUCGAGAGUACGUACGAAGCAAAGAAGAUUGUCUGCCCUCUAGGGUUAGAGGUGCAGAUGAUACAUGCAUGCCCUAAUGAUUGCAUCCCCUACCACGGUGAGUAUGAGGAUUUGAAAGCUUGCCCGGUAUGAGGUGCAUUGCGCUAUAAGAUCAGCCACGAUGACCAUGGUGAUGUCGAGGGCGAGCGCCCCAGGAAGAAGAUACCUGCCAAGGUGAUGUGGUAUGCUCCUAUAAUACCAUGGCUGAAACGUUUGUUCCAAAACAAUGAGCAUGCCAAGGCGAUGUGAUGGCACAGAGAAGACCGUAAGAAAGACGGAAAGUUGAGAGUACCCGCUGACGGGUCGCAGUGGAGAAAAAUCGAAAGAAAGUACGGGAAGGAGUUUGCAGAUGACGCAAGGAACGUAUGGUUUGGUCUAAGCGCAGAUGGCAUUAAUCCUUUUGGGGAGCAGAGCAGCAACCAUAGCACCUGGCCUGUGACUCUAUGUUUGUAUAACCUUCCUCCUUGGUUGUGCAUGAAGCGGAAGUUCAUUAUGAUGCCAGUGCUCAUCCAAGGCCCUAAGUGUCAGGACCCCGAUUCCAAGUCACAUCGUUCUAGCCGGUAACACCUCAUAUCACUUUGCGGCCUCAUGCACGGUAUCCCACAGGUGUCGCCUUACCAUGGCCCGGGACCGUUUGCGCCUUUUGGCUCACGUAUAUGAUAGUGUCGCUAGCAUCCAUAUGACAGAGAACCCGGGCCGACAUGGCUAGUCGUGAACCCAAAGCGGCACAGACCUAUGGAGACAGGCAUACAUGAAUCACAUCAAGCAUGUCAGUCAUCAGUGAGUGAAUCCGGGCUGUAGCACUGGGCUAACAGGACUCCGGGGAACCCGGGCUGUAGCAGGCUAGGCAGGACUCCGGAUGUCACCGCGUGACAUUUCCCCGAAGGGACAGACAUAGGAACGACGUGAAACACAUGCCGGCCAGUCAAGUGUCCUGAGCAGUAGUGCUGGGCUAGCAGGACUCCGGUGAACCGGGCUGUAGCGGACUACUAUGGCUCGAGGAACACUAGACUACGUUUCCCCAUAAGAAAGGCUGCCAAGGAUAAACAACUAGAUUGUCGGAUCCCACUCAUACCAAGCAUUUCAAUCAUACACACAAUAUGCCCGAUAUGAGUACAUACAACAUGGCAUCACAAGAAAACUCUACAACUCAAAUACUUUAUUUAAAGGCUCCAGAGAGCCAUACAUAACAUGUUCAUACAGAUAGGGGUCACAUGACCCGACACUCAAGUCAUACAAUCAUACAAGCACAAGCGGAAGCAACUAGUCUGAGUACAGACACUAGAAAGAAAGAAGGCUUCUCGAAGCCUGUCUAUCUACAUAGGUCUCUCCAUGGCCAGGAUCACCACCUGGGUGGCUAGUCACUCGUCGACGUCAAGGUCUACGUAGAACCCAUCGGAGGGGCGGUGUUGUCAUCUGAAAACCGUAAUUAAGCAAACAUGAGUACAAAGGUACUCAGCAAGUCUUACAACAUAACCUACUAUAAAUGCUCAUUCUCAAGAAGGUGGUGGGGUUAUUGCAGCAAGCCAGCUUUGACUCUUGGCUAAGCUAUCCUACGGAACUCCACUAGUAAAAUAGUUUUCGCACACGAGUCCACUACUCACCAACAUAAUACUCCACCGGGGAUCCUCUCUCGUCAUCCUACGAGAGGGCCAUCCUCGGUACUCACACUUAUCUUGAGUCUUUUAGUAAUAACCAUUAACUUGUCUAUGAACUGUAUAGGCAACCAGGUAGUCCUUUACCGCGGACGCGGCUAUUCGAAUAGUUUUAUACCCUGCAGGGGUGUACUUCCUCAUACACGCUUUCACCACUUACCGCCGUUUACACGACAUGUACUCGGCAACCUUCAAGCCUUGGCCCAACGAGGGUGUCGGCCACGGCCUACCUAAACACUCAAAUCUCUAGUCCAGGUGCAUCGCCUAUCCAAGUUCCAUCCGCAGGGAGUCCGGCCGAGGUUUCCACAUACGGCCCCGAACGAUGUGAACAGGGUUCCCGAGACACCAAACAGGUGACUCGGUACACCGUGCCACGGUGUAUCUACCGCAACAUAGCCCACCCCUAGGGUCAGUGCUACGCACGGCCGCCAACACAUAACCUACAAACACCAGAAACUAUUUGCAACUCCUGGACAGAGUACUAGGGUAUUUAAGAAGCCGAGAGGGUCAAUUAAGGAUCCCAAUGCAUGGUAGUAGCUGAAUCUUAAAAUCACACAUACAGAUCUCAGUUCUUAGGGACGGCCUCAAUAAAACAACCCACCAUGUACUCCUACAUGGCCUCUCAUCGAUACCUUUACCAAAUCAUGUUCAUCACAUCCCUCACAUUACCGAUAUAACCAUUUCACUCUAGCCCAUCACCCAGAUGGACCAGACCUGACACAACUCUAAGCAUAGCAGGCAUAGCAAGGUAGGAAACACAUACCUGGCUCAAUCAACUCCUACACAUGCUAGUGGGUUUCAUCUAGUUACUGUGGCAAUGACAGGUCAUGCAGAGGAAAAGGGUUCAACUACCGUAGCACACAACAAUUUGAAUCGCGUUGUCUUAAUGCAGUAAACAAGAGCAGAAGCGAGAACAUGGGUUUGUAUCAGAAUGAUCAAUGGUUGUUUGCCUGUUGUAGUGGUAGUAGGGUACUGCCCUUCAGACGGAUACUCGGGGUUAUCCUCGGAGGCAGAACCUACCACGAAAGAUACACCGAACAUAAUCAACACAUGACAAUAUGCAACGGUAUGAUGCAUGCUAUGACAUGGCAAAAUGAAUGUGUCUUGGCCUAAUGCAAGCUGAAACAGGAUGGAAUGAACUCAUUUGAAUCAAAGAUUCAAAUGUUAGCUCAUUUAACAUGGCCUUAUUAGUGCAUUAUCUUAUUCUGCUUAAAUAGCAAGGUUAACUUGUUUUGUCAUGCAUGAAACCAUUACAGAUGGACAGAUUGAAUUUUUUUGAUCAUUUUUCAUAUAUAAAUCUUUGCAUUUGGAGCUAUGGUUGAUUUUCUAAGAUUUUUAGAAGUUUUGGCUAUUUACUGGAAUUUCCUAUUAAAGAAUAAAUCCAGUAAUUGAAUUAAUGCGUCAGCAUGACAUAGGUGUGAUGUCAGCGGGUCAACUGGGUUGGCCAGGUCAAACCUGACUGGCGGGCCCUGUCUGUCAGUGACUCAGCUAAUUAACAGAGUUAAAUUAACUCUAAUUAACUAAAAGUGGGGCCUGGGCCCACAUGUCAGUGACUGAACUAAUUAAAUUUAGUUAAAACAAAUCCUAAACUAAUCAGCAGGCCGGCCCCACCUGUCAUAGACUAACCUGGGCCCACACGGGGGUCAAACAGGGUAAACUCGCCGGCGUCUAGCCGCCGGCGAGGCCAGACGCGGCGGAGCAGUGCGGGAUUUGCACUCUGGCGACCAAAUGGGCGGCGGAGACUAUCUACGUGAUGCGGGGAGGAAGCCGCCUUUGGAAAUAUGCCCUAGAGGCAAUAAUAAAUUGAUUAUUACUAUAUUUCCUUGUUCAUGAUAAUCGUUUAUUAUCCAUGCUAGAAUUGUAUUGAUAGGAAACUCAGAUACAUGUGUGGAUACAUAGACAACACCAUGUCCCUAGUAAGCCUCUAGUUGACUAGCUCGUUGAUCAAUAGAUGGUUACAGUUUCCUGACCAUGGACAUUGGAUGUCAUUGAUAACGGGAUCACAUCAUUAGGAGAAUGAUGUGAUGGACAAGAACCAAUCCUAAGCCUAGCACAAGAUCAUGUAGUUCGUAUGCUAAAGCUUUUCUAAUGUCAAGUAUCAUUUCCUUAGACCAUGAGAUUGUGCAACUCCCGGAUACCGUGGGAGUGCUUUGAGUGUGCGAAACGUCACAACGUAACUGGGUGGCUAUAAAGGUACACUACAGGUAUCUCCAAAAGUGUCUAUUGGGUUGGCACGAAUCGAGACUGGGAUUUGUCACUCCGUGUAAACGGAGAGGUAUCUCUGGGCCCACUCGGUAGGACAUCAUCAUAAUGUGCACAAUGUGACCAAGGAGUUGAUCACGGGAUGAUGUGUUACGGAACGAGUAAAGAGACUUGCCGGUAACAAGAUUGAACAAGGUAUCGGCAUACCGACGAUCGAAUCUCGGGCAAGUAUCGUACCGAUGGACAAAGGGAAUUGCAUACGGGGUUGAUUAAGUCCUUGACAUCGUGGUUCAUCCGAUGAGAUCAUCGUGGAACAUGUGGGAGCCAACAUGGGUAUCCAGAUCCCGCUGUUGGUUAUUGAUCGGAGAGUCAUCUCGGUCAUGUCUGCAUGUCUCCUGAACCCGUAGGGUCUACACACUUAAGGUUCGAUGACGCUAGGGUUAUAAAGGAAGUUUGUAUGUGGUUACCGAAUGUUGUUCGGAGUCCCGGAUGAGAUCCCGAACGUCAUGAAGAGUUCCGGAAUGGUCCGGAGGUAAAGAUUUAUAUAUGGGAAGUCCUGUUUUGGUCACCGGAAAAGUUUCGGGUUUUAUCGGUAACGUACCGGGACCACCGGGAGGGUCCCGGGGGUCCACCAAGUGGGGCCACAAGCCCCGGAGGGCUGCAUGGGCCAAGUGUGGGAGGGGACCAGCCCCAGGUGGGCUGGUGCGGCCCCCCACCAAGGCCCAAGGCGCAAGGAAGAGGGGAAGGGGGCAAACCCUAGGGCAGAUGGGCCCUAAGGCCCACCCUGGUGCGCCUCCCCCUCUCCCCUCCCCUUGGCCGCCCCUAGAUGGGAUCUAGGGGGCUGCCGCCACCCCUAGGGAGGGAACCCUAGGUGGGGGCGCAACCCAUCCCCUCCCCCUAUAUAUAGUUGAGGUUUGGGCUGCCCAAUACACAUGAGUUCCUCUCUUUCUUGGCACAGCCCUAUCCCUCUCUUUCUCCUCAUAUCUCGCAGUGCUUGGUGAAGCCCUGCUGGAUCACCAUGCUCCGCCAUCACUACCACGCCGUUGUGCUGCUGUUGGAUGGAGUCUUCCUCAACCUCUCCCUCUCUCCUUGCUGGAUCAAGGCAUGGGAGACAUCGUCGGGCUGUACGUGUGUUGAACGCGGAGGUGCCGUCCGUUCGGCACUAGGAUCUCCGGUGAUUUGGAUCACAACGAGUACGACUCCUUCAACCCCGUUCUCUUGAACGCUUCCACUUAGCGAUCUACAAGGGUAUGUAGAUGCACUCUCCUUCCCCUCGUUGCUGGUUUCUCCAUAGAUAGAUCUUGGUGACACGUAGGAAACUUUUGAAUUUCUGCUACGUUCCCCAAUAGUGGCAUCAUGAGCUAGGUCUAUUGCGUAGAUUCUAUGCACGAGUAGAACACAAAGUAGUUGUGGGCGUUGAUUUUGUUCAAUAUGCUUACCGUUACUAGUCCAAUCUUGUUUCGACGGUAUUGUGGGAUGAAGCGGCCCGGACCGACCUUACACGUACUCUUACGUGAGACAGGUUCCACCGACUGACAUGCACUAGUUGCAUAAGGUGACUAGCGGGUGCCAGUCUCUCCCACUUUAGUCAGAACGGAUUCGAUGAAAAGGGUCGUUAUGAAGGGUAAAUAGCAAUUGGCAUAUCACGUUGUAUUUUUGCGUAGGUAAGAAACGUUCUUGCUAGAAACCCAUAGCAGCCACGUAAAACAUGCAAACAACAAUUAGAGGACGUCUAACUUGUUUUUGCAGGGUAUGCUAUGUGAUGUGAUAUGGCCAAGAAGAAUGUGAUGAAUGAUAUGUGAUGUAUGAGAUUGACCAUGUUCUUGUAAUAGGAAUCAUGACUUGCAUGUCGAUGAGUAUGACAACCGGCAGGAGCCAUAGGAGUUGUCUUUAUUUAUUGUAUGACCUACGUGUCAUUGAACAACGCCAUGUAAUUACUUUACUUUAUUGCUAACUGGUAGCCAUAGUGGUAGAAGUAAUAAGUUGGCGAGACAACUUCAUGGAGACACAAUGAUGGAGAUCAUGGUGUCAUGCCGGUGACGAUGAUGAUCAUGGAGCCCCGAAGAUGGAGAUCAAAAGGAGCAAUAUGAUAUUGGCCAUAUCAUGUCACUAUUUGAUUGCAUGUGAUGUUUAUAAUGUUUAUACAUCUUAUUUGCUUAGAAUGACGGUAGUAAAUAAGAUGAUCCCUCAUUAAAAUUUCAAGAAAGUGUUCCCCCUAACUGUGCACCGUUGCGAAAGUUCGUCCUUUUGAAGCACCACGUGAUGAUCGGGUGUGAUAGAUUCUUACGUUCGAAUACAACGGGUGUUGACGAGCCUAGCAUGUACAGACAUGGCCUCGGAACACAUGCAAAACACUUAGGUUGACUUGACGAGCCUAGCAUGUACAGACAUGGCCUCGGAACACAAGAGACCGAAAGGUCGAGCAUGAGUCGUAUGGUAGAUACGAUCAACAUGAAGAUGUUCACCGAUGUUGACUAGUCCGUCUCACGUGAUGAUCGGACACGGCCUAGUUGACUCGGAUCAUGUAAUCACUUAGAUGACUAGAGGGAUGUCUAUCUGAGUGGGAGUUCAUAAGAUGAACUUAAUUAUCCUGAACAUAGUCAAAAGGACUUUGCAAAUUAUGUCGUAGCUCACGCUAUAGUUCUACUGUUUAGAUAUGUUCCUAGAGAAAAUUUAGUUGAAAGUUGAUAGUAGCAAUUAUGCGGACUAGGUCCGUAAACUGAGGAUUGUCCUCAUUGCUUCAUAGAAGGUUUAUGUCCUUAAUGCACCGCUCAGUGUGCUGAACCUCGAACGUCGUCUGUGGAUGUUGCGAACAUCUGACAUACACAUUUUGAUAACUACGUGAUAGUUCAGUUAAACGGUUUAGAGUUGAGGCACCGAAGACGUUUUGAAACGUCACGAAACAUAUGAGAUGUUUCGAGGGCUGAAAUUGGGAUUUCAGGAUCGUGCCCACAUCAAGAGGUAUAAGACCUCCGACGAUUUUUCUUAGCCUGCAAACUAAGGGAGAAAAGCUCAACUGUUGAGCUUGUGCUCAGAUUGUCUGAGUACAACAAUCAUUUGAAUCGAGUGGGAGUUGAUCUUCCAGAUGAGAUAGUGAUGUUUCUCCGAAGUCAUUACCACCAAGCUGCUAGAGCUUCGUGAUGAACUAUAAUAUAUCAGGGACAUAUAUGAUGAUCCUUGAGAUAUUCGCGAUGUUUGACACCACAAAAGUAGAAAUCAAGAAGGAGCAUCAAUUGUUGAUGGUUGGUGAAACCACUAGUUUCAAGAAGGGCAAGGGCAAGAAGGGAUACUUCAUGAAAUGGCAAUUCAGCUGCUGCUCUAGUGAAGAAACCCAAGGUUGAACCCAAACCCGAGACUAAGUGCUUCUGUAAUAAGGGAAACAACCACUGGAGCAGAAUUACCCUAGAUACUUGGUAGAUGAGAAGGCUGGCAAAGUCGAUAGAAGUAUAUUGGAUAUACAUUGUGUUAAUGUGUACUUUACUAGUACUCCUAGUAGCACCAUGGUAUUAGAUACCGGUUCGGAUGCUAAAUGUUAGUAAACUCGAAAUAAAAGGCUGCAGAGUAAACGGAGACUAGCCAAAGGUGAGCUGGCAAAAUGUGUUGGAAGUUUUUCCAAGCUUGAUGUCAUCAAGCAUCGCACGCUCCCUCUACCAUCGAGAUCGGUGUUUGCGUUGAGCAUAGACAUGAUUGGAUUAUGUCUAUCGCAAUACGGUUAUUCAUUUAAGGAGAAUAAUGGUUACUCUGUUUAUUUGAAUAAUACCUUCAAUGGUCUUGCACCUAAAAUGAAUGGUUUAUUGAAUCUCGAUCGUAGUGAUACACAUGUUCAUGCCAGAAGAUAUAAGAUAGUAAUGAUAGUACCACCUACUUGUGGCACUGCCAUGUAAGUCAUAUCGGUAUAAAACGCAUGAAGAAGCUCCAUGUUGAUGGAUCUUUGGGCUCACUCGUUUUUGAAAAGUUUGAGACAUGCGAACCAUGUCUAUUGGUGUAUAUGCAUGAAGAAACUCCAUGCAAAUGGACCGUUUGGACUCACUCGAUUUUGAAUCACUUGAGACAUGCAAAUCAUACCACAUGGGCAAGAUGACUGAAAGCCUCGUUUUCAGUAAAAUGGAACUAGAAAGAAACUUGUUGGAAGUAAUACAUUUUGAUGUGUGCAGUCCAAUGAGUGCUGAGGCAUGUAGUGGAUUUCAUUAUGUUCUUACUUCACAGAUGAUUUGAGUAGAUACUGAGUAUAUUUACUUGAUGAAACAUAAGUCUGAAUUAUUGAAAGGUUCAAGUAAUUUCAGAGUGAAGUUGAACAUCGUCGUGACAAGAGGAUAAAAUGUCUAUGAUAUGAUCGUAGAGAUGAAUAUCUGAAUUACGAGUUUGGCACAAAAUUAAGACAUUAUGGAAAUUGUUUCACAACUAAUACAGUCUGGAACACCACAGUGUGAUGGUGUGUCCGAAUAUCAUAACUGCACCCUAUUGGAUAUGAUGCAUACCAUGAUGUCUCUUAUCAAAUUACCACGAUAGUUUAUGGGUUAGGCAUUAGAGACAACCACAUUCACUUUAAAUAGGGCACCACGUAAUUCCGAUGAGAUGACACCGUAUGAACUAUGGUUUAGAGAAACCUAAGCUGUCAUUUCUUAAAAGUUUGGGGCUGCGACGCUUAUGUGAAAAAGUUUUAGGCUGAUAAGCUCGAACCCAAAGCGGAUAAAUGCAUCUUCAUAGGACACCCAAAAUAGUUGGGUAUACCUCCUGUCUCAGAUCCGAAAGCAAUAAGGGAUUGUUUCUAGAAUCGAGUCCUUUCUCGAGGAAAGGUUUCUCUCGAAAGAAUUGAGUGUGAUGAUGGUGGAGAUUUGAUGAGGUUAUUGAACUGUCUCUUCAACUAGUGUGUGGCAGGGCACAGGGAGUUGUUCCUGUGGCACCUACACCAAUUGAAGUGGAAGCUUAUGAUAGUGAUCAUGAAACUUCAGAUCAAGUCACUACCAAACCUCGUGGGAUGACAAGGAUGCGUACUACUUCAGAGUGGUACGUAAUCCUAUCUUGGAAGUCAUGUUGCUAGACAACAAUGAACCUACAAGCUAUGGAGAAGCAAUGGUGGGCCUGGAUUCCAAAAUGGCUCGAAGCCAUAUAAUCCGAGAGAGGAUCCAUCUAUGAAAACAAAGUGUAGACUUUGGAAGAACUACUUGAUGGUCGUAAGGCUGUUAGGUACAUAGGGAUUUUAAAAGGAAGACGGACAAUGAUAGUAAGUAUCACCAUUAAGAAAGCUUGACUUGUCGUUAAGAUGUUUUCCGACAAGUUCAAGGAGUUGACUACGAUGAGACUUUCUCACUCGUAGCGAUGCUAAGAGUCUGUUGGAAUUAUAUUAGCGAUUACUGCAUUAUUUAUGAAAUCUUGCAGAUAGGAUAUCAAAACAUUGUUUCCUCGAUGUUUUUUUGAGGAAAGGUUGUAUGUGAUACAACCAGAAGGUUUUGUCAAUCCUGAAAGAUGCUAACAAGUAUGCAAAGCUCCAGCAAUCCUUCUAAGGACUGGAGUAAGCAUCUCGGAGUUGGAAUGUAUGCUUUGAUGAGAUGAUCAAAGUUUUGGGUGUAUACAAAGUUUAUGAGAAACUUGUAUUUCCAAAGAAGUGAGUGGGAGCACUAUAGAAUUUCUGAUGAGUAUAUGUUGUUAACAUAUUGUUGAUCGGAAAUGAUGUAGAAUUUCUGGAAAGCAUGCAGAGUUAUUUGAAAAGUGUUUUUCAAUGGAAAGCCUGGAUUAAGCUACUUGAACAUUGAGCAUGAAGAUCUAUAAGGAUAGAUCAAAACGCUUAAUGGUAAUUUCAAAUGAGCACAUACCUUGACAUGAUCUUGAAGGUGUUCAAGAUGGAUCAGUCAAAGAAGGAGUUCUUGCCUGAGUUGUAAGGUAUGAAGUUAAGACUUAAAGCUCGACCACGGAAGAAGAAAGAGGAAGGACGAAGGUCGUCCCCUAUGCUUUUGUCAUAGGCUCUCUACAGUAUGCUAUGUUGUGUGCCGCACUUGAAGUGUGCCUUGCCAUGAGUCAGUCAAGGGGUACAAGAGUGAUCCAAGAAUGGAUCACAAGACAACGGUCAAAGUUAUCCUUAGUAACUAGUGGACUAAGGAAUUUUCUCGAUUAUGGAGGUGGUAAAAGAGUUCGUCGUAAAGGGUUACGCCGAUGCAAACUUUGACACUAAUCUAGAUUAUUCUGAGUAGUAGACUGGAUUCGUAUAGUAGAACAGUUAUUUGGAAUAGCUCCAAAUAGAACGUGGUAGCUGCAUCUAGGAGAUGACAUAGAGAUUUGUAAAGCACACACGGAUCUGAAAGAUUCAGACCCGUUGACUAUAACAUCUCUCACAAGCAUAACAUGAUCAAACCCAGAACUCAUCGAGUGUUAAUCACAUGGUAAUGUGAACUAGAUUAUUGACUCUAGUAAACUCUUUGGGUGUUAGUCACAUGGGGAUGUGACCUUGAGUGUUUAUCACAUAUCGAUGUGAACUGGAUUAUUGACUCUAGUGCAAGUGGGAGACUGUUGGAAAUAUGCCCUAGAGGAAAUAAUAAAUUUAUUAUUAUUAUAUUUCCUUGUUCAUGAUAAUCGUUUAUUAUCCAUGCUAGAAUUGUAUUGAUAGGAAACUCAGAUACAUGUGUGGAUACAUAGACAACACCAUGUCCCUAGUAAGCCUCUAGUUGACUAGCUCGUUGAUCAAUAGAUGGUUACAGUUUCCUAACCAUGGACAUUGGAUGUCAUUGAUAACGGGAUCACAUCAUUAGGAGAAUGAUGUGAUGGACAAGACCCAAUCCUAAGCCUAGCACAAGAUCAUGUAGUUCGUAUGCUAAAGCUUUUCUAAUGUCAAGUAUCAUUUCCUUAGACCAUGAGAUUGUGCAACUCUCGGAUACCGUAGGAGUGCUUUGGGUGUGCCAAAUGUCACAACGUAACUGGGUGGCUAUGAAGGUACACUACAAGUAUCUCCAAAAGUGUCUGUUGGGUUGGCACGAAUCGAGACUGGGAUUUGUCACUCCGUGUAAACGGAGAGGUAUCUCUGGGCCCACUCGAUAGGACAUCAUCAUAAUGUGCACAAUGUGACCAAGGAGUUGAUCACGGGAUGAUGUGUUACGGAACGAGUAAAGAGACUUGCCGGUAACGAGAUUGAACAAGGUAUCGGCAUACCGACGAUCGAAUCUCGGGCAAGUAUCGUACCGAUGGACAAAGGGAAUUGCAUACGGGAUUAAUUAAGUCCUUGACAUCGUGGUUCAUCCGAUGAGAUCAUCGUGGAACAUGUGGGAGCCAACAUGGGUAUCCAGAUCCCGCUGUUGGUUAUUGACCGGAGAGUCAUCUCGGUCAUGUUUGCAUGUCUCCCGAACCCGUAGGGUCUACACACUUAAGGUUCGAUGACGCUAGGGUUAUAAAGGAAGUUUGUAUGUGGUUACCGAAUGUUGUUCGGAGUCCCGGAUGAGAUCCCGGACGUCAUGAGGAGUUCCGGAAUGGUCCGGAGGUAAAGAUUUAUAUAUAGGAAGUCCUGUUUUGGUCACCGGAAAAGUUUCGGGUUUUAUUGGUAACGUACCGGGACCACCGACAGGGUCCCGGGGGUCCACCAAGUGGGGCCACAAGCCCCGGAGGGCUGCAUGGGCCAAGUGUGGGAGGGGACCAGCCCCAGGUGGGCUGGUGCGCCCCCCCACCAAGGCCCAAGGCGCAAGGAAGAGGGGAAGGGGGCAAACCCUAGGGCAGAUGGGCCCUAAGGCCCACCCUAGUGCGCCUCCCCCUCUCCCCUCCCCUUGGCCGCCCCUAGAUGGGAUCUAGGGGGCUGCCGCCACCCCUAGGGAGGGAACCCUAGGUGGGGGCGCAGCCCCUCCCCUCCCCCUAUAUAUAGUUGAGGUUUGGGCUGCCCAAUACACAUGAGUUCCUCUCUUUCUUGGCGCAGCCCUAUCCCUCUCUUUCUCCUCAUAUCUCGUAGUGCUUGGCGAAGCCCUGCUGGAUCACCAUGCUCCUCCAUCACCACCACGCCAUUGUGCUACUGCUGGAUGGAGUCUUCCUCAACCUCUCCCUCUCUCCUUGCUGGAUCAAGGCAUGGGAGACGUCAUCGGGCUGUACGUGUGUUGAACGCGGAGGUGCCGUCCGUUCGGCACUAGGAUCUCCGGUGAUUUGGAUCACGAUGAGUACGACUCCUUCAACCCCGCACUACUAGGAAAAGGCCUACUAAUGGCGCACCAGUUUUGCCUACUAAUGGCGCAUCACUGGUGCGCCAUUACUAGCACGCCAUUAGUAAUUUUUACUAAUGGCGCACCACUGGUGCGCCAUUAGUAUCUGGUAUACUAAUGGCGCACCACUGGUGCGCCAUUAGUAUAGGCCACAGGUGCACCAUUAGUAUACCAGAUACUAAUGGCGCACCGCGUGGUGCGCCAUUAGUAUACCAUUCGGUGCUCCACUGGUAUUCCCUCCAGGUGCGCCACUAAUAACCUUAUAGGUGCGCCACUAGUAAUAAAGGAAGGUGCGCCACUAAUAAGGGCUUAAAUGCGCCACUACUAAUGUAUUUGGAAAACAAAAAAAAAUCUAAAUUUACAGAAAAAAACCUAUAAGGAAAAAUAAUUUAAAAACAAAAAAUGAAAUAGAAUCAUAAUUUUUAUUAUAGUAAGAAUAUUACAAUGUCUUUACAAGUUUCCAAUAAAAGGGAAAUUGCAAGGAAAUAAAAAAAAUCCUAAAGCUAAUCUUCUAGUAAUCUUCUCUUCUUUUUCUUCACUUUAUCCCUGCAAAAUGUAACAAAAUAAACACAAACACAAACAAACUAUUUAUAACAUGUCAAUACUGUCAUUUUUUCAGACCAAGUAACUAACAACUUCAGUGAGACAGGCACAGUGCAGUGUGAAUUUCAAUUGGCUAAAUCAUAUAUAGAAAUCAGUAUCUUCUCUAUGAACCUGAAACUGAGAUGACUGGACUAAUUUUGCACAUUUGAUUUAUGAAUUUAUUCUUCUUCGACAACCAACUAAACUUCGGAUCACCUACUAAGCAUCUGUACAUACUACAUAGGCUGAUUAAUCCAACAGCCACAAUGCAAAUAUUGACUAUUUCCAUUCAACUUCUUCACUUACUCAUUAUUAUCUAAUGAAACCAUUCGUAACUAAUGAAGCAGAUUGGCUAAAGUUAUUAUCAAGUCCUAAGUCCUAAUUGAAGCAGAUCUGCUAGGGUUCUUCUCGCUAGCCCCUCAUGGCCAACCGUUUCGGAACAGGCAGGCAGAGCUGCUUGGCCGGUGGCUAGGGAGUCGCUGGUGAUGUUGGGCAUCUCACACGAGCACCUGGCUAUUUGAGGAAACCGAAAUAGUAGCAUAAACAAGAUUGAUUCCGAGGAAAUGAUAGAACCUAUUCUAUCAAAGUGCUACUCCCCCCGUUCCAUAAUUCCAGUCGUGGUUUUUUAACUAAAACCAUGAAGAGAACUAUGGAAUGGAGGGAGUAGAAAACAAUAGCAUGCUUAAAAUUCUACCAUACACAGCAGCAACAGACAUUACACAAGCAUUUAUUUAUUUAUUGCAUUUGGCACAAGUUAAAAAUUCUCACAAGCAGAGGCGGUCCUAUCAGACAAAAAGAACAUGGACCGCUCAUUACAAAGCACUUCUACUGCAGUAUCAUGGAGUAGGAAAAGGGGCUUAAGCAGCAAAGAAGUAUAAUAAGAGAAAAAAACACUAUGGCGGCUGGAACUAGAAGAGCACCAUCACAGGUUCGAAACAUCACCAUGGAGUCGAUGGCCGGCAUAGCCCAUGGCAGGGCUGGAUGGGCAGCAUAAUAACACAAUAAAAGUUUGAUGUAUACUUAUUCGUUUGAAAAGAUGCAAGCUUAUUUACACCCUAGGACUGUUGAUUAGGGUCUGGAUGGUAUUUUUGUUCCUUGCGUAAGUAAGAGAAGGACUAGCAUCCAUAGUAGAAAGAAGGGUAAACAUACAUAAAGGAAAGUUUUUAUAGCGUCACGACCGAAAGAGGCUACGUGCGGCUGGGUGAAAUGGACAAGGUUUCAUGUAUGCAAUAUAUUAUAGAAAAAUAAGUGUUGACAGAAAAUGAAAGAUUUCCUGUCAAACAAACAGAGCUUCAUUUUGUAACAUUUCUGACCCACAUGAUAAUUGUACAACAUAGUAGAGGAGACCACUGUACAUACAUGUGUUGAAUGAAGCAGACUAAGAAAUAUUGGGUGGGUAUAAAGAAUACAAUAGUACGGUAGCUGAUGUAAACAAGUGCAGAGUUGCAUCCACAGAAUAGGUAACAAAUUAAAUAGCCCUGGUGCCAACAGUAGAGUUCGUGUAUCCAAUCCAUCCUUUGUUUAACACAGCAGCUCCAACUCUUGUGUAACAAAUUAAGUUUGGCAUGGGCACACAUAAAGCACUGACAUUUUCAUGGCUCGAUGGCCGUGGGCUAAGGGAGCAGAGGAGGAGGUGCGGCUCACCUCACAUGGCGGCGGAACCGAGGGAUGAAGGUGCGGCGCACCGGAGCAGGCAGAGGUGCCUUGUGUUGGCCAAACACGUGGCCAGCAGCAGAGAAGCGCUUCUCUUGCUCGACGGAUGUUGGGUGUGUGUGAGGCGUGCUCCUGCCUGCCUGCCUGCGUGAGGAACGGGAGGACCAUUAGAGAAGAGAAGGGAAGGGAAGAAGAGCAGGUAGAGGAUGGCAAGGGGAGAGGAGGGAAUCAAAAUCAAAGAUGAGAAGAUGACCUUGAGGAGGAGCAGGGGAAGAGCGGAGCAGCAGAAACAGAGGCCUUCCUCUCCCGGUGGUGAGGACCGAGGCGACCUCCGUCACGGCCUAGCCAGGUCGACGACUCUGGCGACCGUGGCUGCCAGAUCCGGUGUCACCAUGGCCGGCCUCCUCCUGUGGUGCCUGCUAGGUCGCCAUGGCCGCGGGCUCCUUGUCCGUGGCGGCUGGAUCUGGGGCCUUGGGGUGGCGGGGAGCUCCUCCUCCUGCAGCUCGGCGGCCUCCACACCCCGGAGCAACGCCGUCGCCGGAGGACGUGGUCACCUGCUCUCCUCUGGAUCCGGUGAGGAGGGUUGGGGAAGGAGCUCACCACGGCUCCAUGCCCUGGAUCUGGUGUGAGGGAGGGGGAAGGGAGCUCGCCGUGGUCAGGAGGGAGAGGAAGAGGCGGGCGGCCGGGGCUUCCCGAUCUAAAUCAAAGUCGAGGGAGGUGGGUGGGUGUGUCAGGAGGAAGGUGAGGGGGAGAGAACGUGACAAGAUGGAGGGGAUAAGGGGUGAUAGCAAUGGCGCACUGGUAGGGGUGCGCCAUACGUAUAGAUAGCAAUGGCGCAUCUCUUACUGGUGCGCCAUUACUAGUUUAAACUAGUAAUGGUGCACGGUGGAACAGUGCGCUAUUAGUAGUUUUGCAAAAAAAAGUAAUAAAAAUAUAAUAAAAAAACAACAUUAGUGGCGCACUUUUCGACAGGUGCGCCAUUACUAGUUACAACUAGUAAUGGCGCACUGUGUCUGGAUGCGCCAUUAGUAUGUUUGGACAGGCGCACUAGUUCAAAAAAAAUUGAUACUAAUGGCGCACCCUGGGCCAGGUGCGCCAUUAGUAGUUUCAACUCUAAUGGCGUAUCAGAAGGUGGUGCGCCAUUAGUAUAUACCCUUGUAGAGGACUUAGGACUUGAUAAUAACUUUAGCCAAUCUGCUUCAUUAGUUACGAAUGGUUUCAUUAGAUAAUAAUGAGUAAGUGAAGAAGUUGAAUGGAAAUAGUCAAUAUUUGCAUUGUGGCUGUUGGAUUAAUCAGCCUAUGUAGUAUGUACAGAUGCUUAGAAGGUGAUCCGAAGUUGGAGAGGUCGGGGAUGAGCUGAUGCGGCGGGGGUGGUGAAGGGGAUCUCUGGUGGCCGGAGUUGAGGACGAGCUCGGUGCAGCGUCUCCGAGGCGAGCAAGCGCUCGGGCGCGGCCUACUCGAUGUAGUCGAUGGCGGCGGAGCUCGUGGACACGAUGGCGCGGCGCGAGGACGACGGAAGGCACGGCUACGACGACGGUGCGGCGACAGAAGUGUCGGCCAUGGUGGGGAACGGCGAAGGGAUAGAGACAGGGGGGAAAUGGCGUGUCCAGGGGCUUCGGGGUGCGACGUGGAGGCGUCCAGGCGUCUAGGGGCGCGGGCGGCAAGCAGGUGACGCCGUGGUGAGCUCGGGCACGCCGGAGUCACCUCCCUGCCUGCGUGGCGGGGAAGAAGCAGCUGGCUGGCGCGAGCCAGCACAGUGCUGGGCCGCCUGGUGGGCCGGCGGGUGAGAUAGCUGGGCCGCGCCAGGUAAGCUUCUCUCUCUCUCUCUCUUUCUUAUUUGUUUUCUUUUUCUAUUUUUCUGCAACUGUUGGGCUUUAUUAAAAAUACCUAGACAUCUUUAAAAAUCCUGAAAAUAAUCAGGGGCUCUGUUUAGAUUAUUCCCAACAGCCCACACUUAUUUCUAGAAUUAUUUGAGCAUUUAAAUUAUUUUAUAGCAUUUAAAUGCCCAAAUUCAAAUACUUAUGAUUUAAUUCAAGAAAAUCCAGAAUGUCCUAGAAAAGAGUGCACCAUUUUUGCCAGGGGUUUUAGCCCAAUCCAGAAAUGAUGAACAUUUUGUGAAAGGCAUUUUGGGUUCAUUGAAAAUAAUUUUAGUAAACCCUAGUUGUUUCCAGGGGGUGCUGGGGGUUCUGUCAUCCCCAUUUCAAAUUUAAAAGGAAUUUAAACAUGAUGCACACUCUAAUGCUUGAACUAGCUAGGGUGUGACACUAAGCAACCCGGCAACGACAUAGAUGUGUACCUAAGGCCAUUAGUUGAAGAACUCUUACAACUGUGGAAUGGAACAGGUGUACGUGCGUGGGAUGAGCACAUGGGGAAAGAAUUUGACCUAAAGGCGUUGUUGUUCGUGACCAUCAAUGAUUGGCCUGCUCUCACUAACCUUUUAGGACAGACAAACAAGGGAUACCGCGCAUGCACGCACUGUUUGGACGAUGCCGACAGUAUAUAUUUGGCUAAAUGUAAGAAGAAUGUGUACCUGGGACAUCAUCGAUUUCUUCCGAGCAGGCAUCCCGUAAGAAAGAAAGGCAAGCAUUUCAAAGGUGAGGCGGAUCACCGGACGAAGCCUCGCCACCGUACUGGUGCUGAUGUACAUGAUAUGGUCAACGAUUUGAAGGUGGUCUUUGGAAAGGGUCCUGGUGGACAACCUAUUCCGAAUGACGCUGACGGACGCGCACCCAUGUGGAAGAAGAAAUCUAUAUUUUGGGACCUGCCCUAUUGGAAAGACCUAGAGGUCCGCUCCGCAAUCGACGUGAUGCACGUGACGAAAAUCUUUGUGUGACCCUGCUUGGCUUCUUGGGCGUGUAUGGGAAGACAAAAGAUACACCUGAGGCACGGGAGGACCAACAAUGUAUGCACGGAAAAGAUGGCAUACAUCAGGGUCAUGCAAGCUACGCUCUUACCAAAGAAGAGAAGGAAAUCUUCUUUGAAUGCCUGCUCAGUAUUAAGGUACCGUCUGGCUUCUCGUCUAAUAUAAAGGGAAUAAUAAACAUGGCAGACAAAAGUUCCAGAACCUAAAGUCUCAUGACUGCCACGUGAUUAUGGCGCAACUGCUUCCGGUUGCAUUGAGGGGGCUUCUACCAGAAAACGUUCGAUUAGCCAUUGUGAAGCUAUGUGCAUUUCUCAAUGCAAUCUCUCAGAAGGUAAUCGAUCCAGAAAUAAUACCAAGGUUAGAGAAUUAUUUGGUGCAAUGUCUUGUCAGUUUCGAGUUGGUGUUCCCACCAUCCUUCUUCAACAUCAUGACGCACGUCCUAGUUCACCUAUGCGAAGAGAUUAACGUUUUGGGUCAUGUAUUUCUACACAAUAUGUUCCCCUUUGAGAGGUUCAUGGGAGUCUUAAAGAAAUAUGUUCAUAACCGUGCUAGGCCAGAAGGAAGCAUCUCCAAGGCCAUGAAAAUGAGGAGGUCAUUGAGUUUUGUAUUGACUUUAUUCCUGACCUUAAGCCGAUUGGUGUUCCUGAAUCGCGGCAUAAGGGCAGACUGGAUGGAAAAGGCACGCUAGGAGGGGAACAAAUAAUAUGUAUGUACGGACAUUCUCUCACUGAAGCACACUACACAGUUCUACAGAAUUCCGCCUUGGUGGCUCCAUAUAUGGAUGAACACAAGAAUUUGCUACGCUCCAAACACCCGGAGCGGUCUGAUGACUGGAUUACACGUGAACAAACCAGAAGUUUCGCCAGCUGGUUGCAGACACGUACCAUGCAUGACACCUCUAUUGAAGAUGACCUGUACUUGCUGUCCCAGUUACCAUCUUCGAAUAUAAUGACUUUCAAAGGGUACCAGAUAAAUGGUAAUACAUUUUACACGAUCGCCCAAGAUAAGAAGAGCACCAACCAAAACAGUGGUGUCUACUUUGAUGCAGAAACCAAGACGGGAAAGGAAACAUAUUAUGGUUAUAUACCGGACAUAUGGGAACUUGACUAUCGACGUGGUUUAAAGGUCCCUUUGUUUCGGUGCAAAUGGGUCAAUAUGACACGAGGCGGGGUAACGGAAGACCCGCAGUACGGAAUGACAACAGUGGAUCUCAACAAUCUUGCGUAUGCAGACGAACCAUUCGUCCUAGCCAAUGAUGUGGCACAGGUUUUCUAUGUGAAGGACAUGUCUACCAAGCCAAGAAAAAGAAAAGAUAAGGAAGCGAAUGCAUCGUACGAUGAGCCAAAGCGGCACAUAGUUCUUUCUAGGAAGAGAAACAUCGUGGGAGUGGAUGACAAGACAGACAUGUCAGAAGAUUAUGAAAAGUUUGAUGAAAUUGCUCCAUUCACAGUGAAUAUUGACCCGAGCAUCCCGUUAAAUGAUGAAGAUUUUCCAUGGUUACGGCGCAAAGGGACGCACGCGAAGAAAAAGUUUCACACCCAAAGAUCUGGGAUGUGAUCGGCUUCACUAUCAUCACUUUCUUCUGUGUUUCACACCCAGGAGGGAAUCUCUGUAAUAGUUAGGGUAGUUAUGUGUUUUGGCAUUUGAAACGCGAAGAAAUUUUAUGUGCAAACAAAUUCUUUCAUGCCUUUACUGAUUUUUAAAGUUAAGUUAUUCACAAACUAGUGAUUCACACUAAUUUCAAAUAAUUCAAAAUUUAAACUAUUCAAAUUUGAAAACUACAGGCACUAACAGAAAGUUUGUAAUUUUUUGUACCUAAAGCAAAAAUUGAAGGAAAUAUGCCCUAGAGGCAAUAAUAAAGUUAUUAUUUAUUUCCUUAUAUCAUGAUAAAUGUUUAUUAUUCAUGCUAGAAUUGUAUUAACCGGAAACAUAAUACAUGUGUGAAUACAUAGACAAACAGAGUGUCACUAGUAUGCCUCUACUUGACUAGCUCGUUAAUCAAAGAUGGUUAUGUUUCCUAACCAUGGACAAAGAGUUGUUAUUUGAUUAACGGGAUCACAUCAUUAGGUGAAUGAUCUGAUUGACAUGACCCAUUCCAUUAGCUUAGCACCCGAUCGUUUAGUAUGUUGCUAUUGCUUUCUUCAUGACUUAUACAUGUUCCUAUGACUAUGAGAUUAUGCAACUCCCGUUUGCCGGAGGAACACUUUGUGUGCUACCAAACGUCACAACAUAACUGGGUGAUUAUAAAGGUGCUCUACAGGUGUCUCCAAAGGUACAUGUUGGGUUGGCGUAUUUCGAGAUUAGGAUUUGUCACUCCGAUCGUCGGAGAGGUAUCUCUGGGCCCUCUAAUGCACAUCACUUAAGCCUUGCAAGCAUUGCAGCUAAUGAGUUAGUUGCGGGAUGAUGUAUUACGGAACGAGUAAAGAGACUUGCCGGUAAUGAGAUUGAACUAGGUAUUGGAUACCGACGAUCGAAUCUCGGGCAAGUAACAUACCGAUGACAAAGGGAACAACGUAUGUUGUUAUGCGGUCUGACCGAUAAAAGAUCUUCGUAGAAUAUGUAGGAACCAAUAUGGGCAUCAAGGUCCCGCUAUUGGUUAUUGACCGGAGACGUGUCUCGGUCAUGUCUACAUUGUUCUCGAACCCGUAGGGUCCGCACGCUUAAGGUUUCGAUGACAGUUAUAUUAUGAGUUUAUGAGUUUUGAUGUACCAAAGGAGUUCGGAGUCCCGGCUGAGAUUGGGGACAUGACGAGGAGUCUCGAAAUGGUCGAGACGUAAAAAUCGAUAUAUUGGACGACUAUAUUCGGACAUCGGAAAGGUUCCGAGUGAUUCGAGUAUUUUUCGGAGUACCGGAGAGUUACGGGAAUUCGCCGGGAGAAGUAUUGGGCCUUAUUGGGCCAUACGGGAAAGAGAGAGGGGCUGCCUAGGGUAGGCCGCGCGCCCCCCAAGGCCUAGUCCGAAUUGGACUAGGGGGAGGGGCUGCGCCCCUUCCUUGUUUCCUACUCCUACUACAUGGAAGGACUCCUACUUGGACUAGGAAAGGGGGAAUCCUACUCCCGGUGAGAGUAGGACUUCUCUAGGCGCGCCAUAGAGAGGGCCGGCCCUCCCCUCCUGCACUCCUUGAUAUACGGGGGCAGGGGGCACCCCAUAGACACACAAGUUGAUCCACGUGAUCAUAUUCUUAGCCGUGUGCGGUGCCCCCUUCCACUAUAGUCCUCGAUAAUAUUGUAGCAGUGCUUAGGCGAAGCCCUGCGACAGUAGUACAUCAAGAUCGUCACCACGCCGUCGUGCUGACGGAACUCUUGCCCGACACUUUGCUGGAUCGGAGUCCGGGGAUCGUCAUCGAGCUGAACGUGUGCUAGAACUCGGAGGUGCCGUAGUUUCAGUGCUUGAUCGUCGGGCCGUGAAGACGUACGACUACAUCAACCGCGUUGUCAUAACGCUUUUGCUAUCGGUCUACAAGGGUACGUAGAUCACACUCUCCCCUCUCGUUGCUAUGCAUCACCAUGAUCUUGCGUGUGCGUAGGAAAUUUUUUGAAAUUACUACGUUCCCCAACAGUGGCAUCCGAGCCUAGGUUUUAUGCGUUGAUGUAAUAUGCACGAGUAGAACACAAGUGAGUUGUGGGCGAUAUAAGUCAUACUGCUUACCAGCAUGUCACAGUUUGGUUCGGCGGUAUUGUUGGAUGAAGCGGCCCGGACCGACAUUACGCGUACGCUUAUGCGAGACUGGUUCUACCGACGUGCUUUGCACACAGGUGGCUGGCGGGUGUCAGUUUCUCCAACUUUAGUUGAACCGAGUGUGGCUACGCCCGGUCCUUGCGAAGGUUAAAACAACACCAACUUGACAAACUAUCGUUGUGGUUUUUGAUGCGUAGGUAAGAACGGUUCUUGCUAAGCCCGUAGCAGCCACGUAAAACUUGCAACAACAAAGUAGAGGAUGUCUAACUUGUUUUUGCAGGGCAUGUUGUGAUGUGAUCUGGUCAAGACAUGAUGCUAAAUUUUAUUGUAUGAGAUGAUCAUCUUUUGUAACCGAGUUAUCGGCAACUGGCAGGAGCCAUAUAGUUAUCGCUUUAUUGUAUGCAAUGCAAUCGCACUGUAAUGCUUUACUUUAUCACUAAGAGGUAGCGAUAGUCGUGGAAGCAUAAAAGUGGCGAGACGACAACGAUGCUGCGAUGGAGAUCAAGGUGUCACGCCGGUGACGAUGGUGAUCAUGACGGUGCUUCGGAGAUGGAGAUCACAGGCACAAGAUGAUGAUGGCCAUAUCAUAUCACUUAUAUUGAUUGCAUGUGAUGUUUAUCUUCUAUGCAUCUUAUCUUGCUUUGAUUGACGGUAGCAUUAUAAGAUGAUCUCUCACUGAAUUAUCCAGAAGUGUUCUCCCUGAGUAUGCACCGUUGCGAAAGUUCUUCGUGCCGAGACACCACAUGAUGAUCGGGUGUGAUAGGCUCUACGUUCAAAUACAACAGGUGCAAAACAGUUGCACACGCGGAAUACUCAGGUUAUACUUGACGAGCCAAGCAUAUGCAGAUAUGGCCUCGGAACACGGAGACCGAAAGGUCGAGCGUGAAUCAUAUAGUAGAUAUGAUCAACAUAGUGAUGUUCACCAAUGAAACUACAUCUCACGUGAUGAUCGGACAUGGUUUAGUUGAUUGGGAUCAUGUGAUCGCUUAGAGGAUUAGAGGGAUGUCUAUCUAAGUGGGAGUUCUUAAGUAAUAUGAUUAAUUGAACUUAAAUUUAUCAUGAACUUAGUCCUUAUAGUAUUUUGCAAAUUAUGUUGUAGAUUAAUAGCUCGUGUUGUUGCUUCCUUGUGUUUUUUAUAUGUUCCUAGAGAAAAUUGUGUUGAAAGAUGUUAGUAGCAAUGAUGCGGAUUGGAUCCGUCAUCUGAGGUUUAUCCUCAUUGCUGCACAGAGGAAUUAUGUCCUUGAUGCACCGCUAGGUGACAGACCUAUUGCAGGAUCAGAUACUAACGUUAUGAACGUUUGGCUAGCUAAAUAUGAUGACUACUUGAUAGUUUAGUGCACCAUGCUUAACGGCUUAGAAUCGGGACUUCAAAGACGUUUUGAACGUCAUGGACCAUAUGAGAUGUUCCAGGAGUUGAAGUUAAUAUUUCAAGCAAAUACCCGAGUUGAGAGAUAUGAAGUCUCCAACAAGUUCUAUAGCUAAAAGAUGGAGGAGAAUCGCUCAACUAGUGAGCAUGUGCCCAAAUUGUCUGAGUACUACAAUCACUUGAAUCAAGUGGGAGUUAAUCUUCUAGAUAAGAUAGUGAUUGACAGAAUUCUCUAGUCACCAUCACCAAGUUAGUAGAACUUCGUGAUGAACUAUGAUAUGCAAGGGAUAACGGAAACGAUUCCCAUGCUCUUCGUAAUGCGGAAAUUGAUGAAGGUAGAAAUCGAGAAAAACAUCAAGUGUUGAUGGUAGACAAGACCACUACUUUCAAGAAAAAGGAAGAGGGAAGAAGGGGAACUUCAAGAAAAACAGCAAGCAAGUUGCUGCUCAUGUGAAGAAGCCCAAGUCUGGUCCUAAGCCUAUGACUAAGUGCUUCUACUGCAAAGGGACUAGUCACUGGAAGCGGAACUACCCCAAGUGAUUGGCGGAUAAGAAGGAUGGCAAAGUGAACAUAAGUAUAUUUGAUAUACAUGUUAUUGAUGUGUACUUUACUAGUGUUUAUAGCAACCCCUCAGUAUUUGAUGCUAGUUCAGUUGCUAAGAGUAGUAACUCGAAACGGGAGUUGCAGAAUGAACAGAGACUAGUUAAGGGUGAAGUGACGAUGUGUUUUGGAAGUGGUUCCAAGAUUGAUAUGAUCAUCAUCGCACACUCCCUAUACUUUCGGGAUUAGUGUUGAACCUAAAUAAGUGUUAUUUGGUGUUUGCGUUGAGCAUGAAUAUGAUUUGAUCAUGUUUAUUGUAAUACGGUUAUUCAUUUAAGUAAAAGAAUAAAUUGUUGUUCUGUUUACAUGAAUAAAACCUUAUUUGGUUACACACCCAAUGAAAAUAGUUCAUUGGAUGUCGAUCGUAGUGAUACACAUAUUCAUAAUAUUGAAACCAAAAGAUGCGAAGUUAAUAAUGAUAGUGCAACUUAUUUGUGGCACUGCCAUUUAGGUCAUAUUGGUGUAAAGCUCAUGAAGAAACUCCAUGCUGAUGGGAUUUUGGAAUCACUUGGUGCUUGCGAACCAUGCCUUAUGGAUAAAAUGACUAAAGACUCCGUUCUCCGGAACAAUGGAGCGAGCAACUGACUUAUUGGAAAUAAUACAUACUGAUGUAUGCGAUCUGAUGAGUGUUGAAGCUCGCGGCGGGUAUCGUUAUUUUCUGACCUUCACAUAUGAUUUGAGCAGAUAUGGUAUAUCUGCUUGAUGAAACAUAAGUCUGAAACAUUUGAAAAGUUCAAAGAAUUUCAGAGUGAAAUGGAAAAUCAUCGUAACAAGAAAAAUAAGGUUUCUACGAUCUGAUCGCGGAGACAAAUAUUUGAGUUACGAGUUUGGUCUUCAAUUAAAACUAUGUGGAAUAGUUUCACAAAUUCAUGCCACCUGGAACACCACAGCAUAAUAGUGUGUUCGAACAUCAUAACCGUACUUUAUUGGAUAUAGUGCAAUCUAUGAUGUUUCUUACCGAUUUACCACUAUAGUUUUGGGGUUAUGCAUUAGAGACAGCUGCAUUCACGUUAAAAGGGCACCAUCUAAAUCUGUUGAGACGACACCGUAUGAACUGUGGUUUGGCAAGAAACCAAAGUUGUCGUUUCUCAAAGUUUGGGGUUGCAAUGCUUAUGUGAAAAAGUUUCAUCCUGAUAAGCUCAAACCCAAAUCGGAAAAGUGUGUCUUCAUAGGAUACCCAAAAAGUUACUGUUGGGUACACCUUCUAUCACAGAUCCGAAGGCAAGACUUUUGUUGCUAAAUUCAGAAACUUUCUGGAGAAGGAGUUUCUCUCGAAAGAAGUGAGUGGGAGGAAAGUAGAACUUGAUGAGGUAACUGUACCUACUCCCUUAUUGGAAAGUAGUACAUCACAGAAAACUGUUUCUGCGACACCUACCCCAAUUAGUGAGGAAGCUAAUGAUACUGAUCAUGAAACUUCAGGACAAGAUACUAUUGAACCUCAUAGAUCAACCAGAGUGAGAUCCGCGCCAUAGUGGUACGGUAAUCCUAUUCUGGAAAUCAUGCUGCUAGAUCAUGAUGAACCUACGAACUAUGAGGAAGCGAUGAUGAGCCCAGAUUCCGAUAAAUGGCUUGAGGCCAUGAAAUCUGAGAUAGGAUCCAUGUAUGAGAACAAAGUGUGGACUUUGGUGGACUUGCCCGAGGAUCGGCAAGCCAUUGAUAAUAAAUGGAUCUUCAAGAGGAAGACGGACACGGAUAGUAGUGUUACUAUCUACAAAGCUAGAAUUUUCGCAAAAGGUUUUCGACAAGUUCAAGGUGUUGACUACGAUGAGAUUUUCUCACUCGUAUCUAUGCUUAAGUCUGUCCGAAUCAUGUUAGCAAUUGCCGCAUUUUAUGAAAUCUGGCAAAUGGAUAAACAAAACUGCAUUCCUUAAUGGAUUUAUUAAAGAAGAGUUGUAUAUGAUGCAACCAGAAGGUUUUGUCAAUCCUAAAGGUACUAACAAAAUAUGCAAGCUCCAACGAUCCAUCUAUGGACUGGUGCAAACAUCUCGGAGUUGGAAUACACGCUUUGAUAAGUUGAUCAAAGCAUAUAGUUUUAUACAGACUUGUGGUGAAGCCUGUAUUUACAAGAAAGUGAGUGGGAGCACUACAACAUUUCUGAUAAGUAUAUGUGAAAGACAUAUUAUUGAUCGGAGAUAAUGUAGUAUUAUUCUGCAAAUCAUAAAGGAAUAUUUGAAAGGAGUUUUUCAAAGAAAGACCUCGGUGAAGCUGCUUACAUAUUGAGCAUCAAUAUCUAUAGAGAUAGAUCAAGACGCUUGAUAAGUUUUUCAAUGAGGAUAUACCUUGACAAGAUUUUGAAGUAGUUCAAAAUGGAAUAGUCAAAGAAGGAGUCCUUGCCUGUGUUACAUAGGUGUGAAGUUGAGUAAGACUCAAAACCCGACCACGGCAGAAGAUAGAGAGAGAAUGAAAGUCAUUCCCUAUGCCUCAGCCAUAGGUUCUAUAAAGUAUGCCAUGCUGUGUACCAGACCUAUUGUAUACCCUGCCCUGAGUUUGGCAAGGGAGUACAAUAGUGAUCUAGGAGUAGAUCACUGGACAUUGUUCAAAAUUAUCCUUAGUGGAAUAAGGAUAUGUUUCUCGAUUAUGGAGGUGACAAAAGGUUCGUCGUAAAGGGUUACGUCGAUGCAAGUUUUGACACUGAUCCAGAUGACUCUAAGUCUCAAUCUGGAUACAUAUUGAAAGUGUGAGCAAUUAGCUAGAGUAGCUCCAUGCAGAGCAUUGUUGACAUAGAAAUUUGCAAAAUACUUACAGAUCUGAAUGUGGCAGACCCGUUGACUAAACUUCUCUCACAAGAAAAACAUGAUCACACCUCAGUACUCUUUGGGUGUUAAUCACAUAGCGAUGUGAACUAGAUUAUUGACUCUAGUAAACCCUUUGGGUGUUGGUCACAAGUUGAUGUGAACUAUGGGUGUUAAUCACAUGGUGAUGUGAACUAUUGAUGUUAAAUCACAUGGCGAUGUGAACUAGAUUAUUGACUCUAGUGCAAGUGGGAAACUAAAGGAAAUAUGCCCUAGAGGCAAUAAUAAAGUUAUUAUUUAUUUCCUUAUACCAUGAUAAAUGUUUAUUAUUCAUGCUAGAAUUGUAUUAACCGGAAACAUUAUACCUGUGUGAAUACAUAGACAAACAGAGUGUCACUAGUAUGCCUCUACUUGACUAGCUCGUUAAUCAAAGAUGGUUAUGUUUCCUAACCAUGGACAAAGAGUUGUUAUUUGAUUAACGGGAUCACAUCAUUAGGUGAAUGAUCUGAUUGACAUGACCCAUUCCAUUAGCUUAGCACCAGAUCGUUUAGUAUGUUGCUAUUGCUUUCUUCAUGACUUAUACAUGUUCCUAUGACUAUGAGAUUAUGCAACUCCCGUUUGCCGGAGGAACACUUUGUGUGCUACCAAACGUCACAACGUAACUGGGUGAUUAUAAAGGAGCUCUACAGGUGUCUCCAAAGGUACAUGUUGGGUUGGCGUAUUUCGAGAUUAGGAUUUGUCACUUCGAUCAUCGGAGAGGUAUCUCUGGGCCCUCUCGGUAAUGCACAUCACUUAAGCCUUGCAAGCAUUGCAGCUAAUGAGUUAGUUGCGGGAUGAUGUAUUACGGAACGAGUAAAGAGACUUGCCGGUAACGAGAUUGAACUAGGUAUUGGAUACCGACGAUCGAAUCUCGGGCAAGUAACAUACCGAUGACAAAGGGAACAACGUAUGUUGUUAUGCGGUCUGACCGAUAAAAGAUCUUUGUAGAAUAUGUAGGAACCAAUAUGGGCAUCCAGGUCCCGCUAUUGGUUAUUGACCGGAGACGUGUCUCGGUCAUGUCUACAUUGUUCUCGAACCCGUAGGGUCUGCACGCUUAAGGUUUCGAUGACAGUUAUAUUAUGAGUUUAUGAGUUUUAAUGUACCGAAGGAGUUCAGAGUCCCGGAUGAGAUCGGGGACAUGACGAGGAGUCUCAAAAUGGCCGAGACAUAAAAAUCGAUAUAUUGGACGACUAUAUUCGGACAUCGGAAAGGUUCCGAGUGAUUCGAGUAUUUUUCGGAGUACCGGAGAGUUACGGGAAUUCGCCGAGAGAAGUAUUGGGCCUUAUUGGGCCAUACGGGAAAGAGAGAGGGGCUGCCUAGGGCAGGCCGCGCGCCCCCAAGGCUUAGUCCGAAUUGGACUAGGGGGAGGGGCUGCGCCCCUUCCUUGUUUCCUACUCCUACUACAUGGAAGGACUCCUACUUGGACUAGGAAAGGGGGAAUCCUACUCCCGGUGAGAGUAGGACUUCUCUAGGCGCGCCAUAGAGAGGGCCGGCCCUCCCCUCCUGCACUCCUUGAUAUACGGGGGCAGGGGGCACCCCAUAGACACACAAGUUGAUCCACGUGAUUAUAUUCUUAGCCGUGUGCGGUGCCCCCUUCCACCAUAGUCCUCGAUAAUAUUGUAGUAGUGCUUAGGCGAAGCCCUGCGACAGUAGUACAUCAAGAUCGUCACCACGCCGUCGUGCUGACGGAACUCUUCCCCGACACUUUGCUGGAUCGGAGUCCGGGGAUCGUCAUCGAGCUGAACGUGUGCUAGAACUCGGAGGUGCCGUAGUUUCGGUACUUGAUCGAUCGGGCCGUGAAGACGUACGACUACAUCAACCGCGUUGUCAUAACGCUUCCGCUAUCAGUCUACAAGGAUACGUACAUCACACUCUCCUCUCUCGUUGCUAUGCAUCAUCAUGAUCUUGCGUGUGCGUAGGAAAUUUUUUGAAAUUACUAUGUUCCCCAACAAAAAUAUUCACAAAGAAACUCUAAAUACACAAAAAAAACAACUCAAAAAUAAAUAAAGCAAAAAAAAUAAAAAAAGCCCGCCUACUGGGCCAGAGCGGCCUGCAUACGACUAGAAACUCAACCUGUUGUUGGGCCAGGAUGCAGGCCCGCAAAGGUCGAGUAGGCCCACAGGGCAGCACAGAACAUGUAGGCCCAGUAGGCCUGCUUUGGAGAGGAGCUCGAGACAGCUACCGCACGGGGGGUUAUAAACCAGUGCAGACGCCCUUCGGCUAGCGAGGUGGGACUAAACUUGCUGCACCGCACCUGCGCCAAUGCACCCCCUUUAGUACCGGGUGGUGGCACCAACCGGUACUAAAGGCGGGGGUGCCUUUAGUACCGGUUGGAGCCACCACCCGGUACUAAAGGGGGUGCGCUUCCCGCCGCUUGGACUGGCCAAAACAGGCCUUUAGUACCGGUUGGUGGCUCCAACCGGUACUAAAGGUCCAUCCUAUAUAUCCAAACACUUCAAAAAUUUCAGUUUUUCAUCUGCUUCUUCUCCUCUGCCCCGUCGCCCGCCGCCCCCGUCUCCAUAUCCCUCGUCGCCGCCCCCGUCGCCGCCCCGUCCCCGUCGUCGNNNNNNNNNNNNNNNNNNNNNNNNNNNNNNNNNNNNNNNNNNNNNNNNNNNNNNNNNNNNNNNNNNNNNNNNNNNNNNNNNNNNNNNNNNNNNNNNNNNNNNNNNNNNNNNNNNNNNNNNNNNNNNNNNNNNNNNNNNNNNNNNNNNNNNNNNNNNNNNNNNNNNNNNNNNNNNNNNNNNNNNNNNNNNNNNNNNNNNNNNNNNNNNNNNNNNNNNNNNNNNNNNNNNNNNNNNNNNNNNNNNNNNNNNNNNNNNNNNNNNNNNNNNNNNNNNNNNNNNNNNNNNNNNNNNNNNNNNNNNNNNNNNNNNNNNNNNNNNNNNNNNNNNNNNNNNNNNNNNNNNNNNNNNNNNNNNNNNNNNNNNNNNNNNNCUCGCCGAUGAGCACACACGCACAUACAUUUUUUUAGUUUUUUAGUUAUAGAAAUAGUUAUAAAAAUGUUAGAAAAUUUUCUUUUCUUAGUUAUAGAAAUAGUUACUUAUAUAUCAUUAUUAGAAAUGUUAGAAUUGUUAGAAAUUUUUUCUGUUUUUUAGUUAUAGAAAUAGUUAUAAAAAAGUUAGAAUUGUUAGAAAUUUUUCUGUUUUUUAGUUAUAGAAAUAGUUAUAAAAAAGUUAGAAAUUUUUCUUUUUUUAGUUAUAGAAAUAUUAGAAAUGUUAUACAAAUGUUAGUUAUACAGAUAGAAAUGUUAUAAUUUUUUUUGUUUUUUAGUUAUAGAAAUAUUAGAAAUGUUAUAGAAAUGUUAGUUAUAUAGCAUUGUUAGAAAUGUUAUAGGAAUGUUAGUUAUAUAGAAAUGUUAGAACUUUGAGUUAUCAAAAUCCAAUUAUUAAAAAAAUGUUACUUUUUGCGGGCAUAUAGCUAGUACUUGUUCUCGACGAUGCCCGGCCCGCAUCCUCGCCGUCGACCCGUCCGCGACGACGUCCGGCUGACCCAUGUCCGAGACUGGGCUCCGCCGGGCUGGCACUGGGGGGGCGCGCCGCUUGAUGAGGAACAUGGCCCCGGGUCCCGUCGUCGACCCUGAUCUAGUUUGGAGGCGUUCGCGUCGGCCAGUUUCGGUGCGGAGGGAGCCGGCCCCGCCGGAGGUGGUACGUCGCCGUGUUAGGGAGGAGGACGAGCACGUCCAUCGCUACAUGGUUGCGUUAGAGGGCGGCAGGUUCUCCAAUACCUGGCAGUUUCUUCAGGGAUCUCACUUCAGCUAUGAUCCUGUGAGGGUUCCUUCUCUUUGGGUGUCCACCGCCCGCGCCGCAGGAACUGCGAGUGUCCUAGAUUCUUCUGUAGUCAGUGAUGUAUUCGAUAUAUAAUAUUCGAGACGAUGUAUUCGAGAUUAUAUAUUAUUCGAGACGAUGUAUUCGAGAUUAUAUCUAUUAUUCGAGACGAUGUAUUCGAGAUUAUAUCUAUUAUUCAAGACGAUGUAUUCGAGAUUAUAUCUAUUAUUUGAGACGAUGUAUUCGAGAUUAUAUCUAUUAUUCGAGACGACGUAUUCGAGAUUAUAUUUGAUGAUGCUUAUAUGUACUAUGAUUGAUUCAGUUUUUCCUUAUUAAUUGAUUGCAUCCAUGCAUUGUAAUUUGAAUAUAUUUCUUUUGGAUUAGUUAAACAAAACCUAUGGCGGACAAUACCGGUAGAGAGGGAGAAGAGGCCCUGUUCAAUAUCAUAUGCAAUCCUCGCGGGCCAGAUGAUGAUCAGAAUGAAGAAGAUUAUGACGGCUCCGAAUAUGUAAACAACACCGGGGAGGGUGAUAUGAUAUUCGAUCGCGACGACUGAAUUGAUGAAGUCAUGAACUAUGAACAUGACAAAGAAAAUGUUGAUCUUGAAACAACAAAGACCGGCGAGGUAUAUAUAUUUAUAUAAGCAGGCAUCUGGUGAUCAUCACAUGUUUUAAAUGACUCGAAGAUAUAUUAACGAAUCGAUCUUUCUUCUUUCAGCUAUCUGGAUCGAGCAAAUCUUCAGGCAACAGGAUGAAAUGAGGCCCAAACAAAAAGUUGAAGGAGGGCGUAAAGUACAAUAUCGAGGCAAUCAGACCUAAUGGCGAACCAUUAGCGCCUAAGAAGAUUGCGGACAAGUUCGUUCGUCAGUGCGGAGUUCUUGUGAAGGACCUACUCCCGAUCUCCCUUCAAGAAUGGAGAGAGCCAGCAAACCAACGUCCAGAUCUUACUUUUGUCGAUGACAGACAAAAAGGUCUGCUUUGGGAUACUCUCAUGGAACAUUUCACCCUACCAGAUCAUUUCACAGAAGCAGAUGUGCAGAAAGUAAAGGACGCUGCUCUUAGGAAGAUGGCGGUUGCAUUCAAGAACCAUAAGAAUCAUGAAUGGGACAAGUACAUCAAGGGAGGAAGGAAGACUCCAGUAUUCGAGGGAACACUAGAGAAGCAAAGUGCUCAUUGGGACGAUUGCGUGAAAUUCAAGGAUUCGGAAUUAGCUAAGGAGCGGUCGAGAAUAAACAAGAAGAAUGUCGAAAAAAGGAUAAGUUCCAUAAGCUGGGGCCAGGUGGCUACGCGAUGGCAAUGCCUAAGUGGGAUAAGUUUGAGAAAGAGAUGGAGGAUGCAAGUGUCACUCCGGUUACUAGGAGCUGGCCCCCCAGGUGCAGGACUUGGUUCUAUGCGCAUGGGGGGAGUUGGACCCGAAGACAGGCAAAGUUUCGACGAAGGCAUGUCUGAACGGAGCCAACGAUGCGCUAAUUGUUGCAAUAGAAGAGGCUCGAACGGGGGUAUUCCAGCCCAACAGAGAGAACGACGAGCUUACGCGUGCCCUGGGAAAUCCUGAACACCCGGGAAUAACACGAGGCAAGGGCGCUAUUCCGUGGUAUGAGUGGUUUUCGGACUGGAACCGACUACAGAAACCGUGUGAGAAGGAAGAUUGCGGAGGAGAAGAAGAGGAAGAUGGAGGAGGAGCAGAGGAAGUUGGACUAUGAACGCCUUCAAGGCCUAGAAUCAAAGCACGCAGACUUGGCAGUCAAAUUCCAGCGGCAGCAGGAGCAGAUCGACUCACUUAGCCAGCAAAGGGGGUCUCAGCAGCUGCAGCGGCAAGCGGAUGAUCCAGCAUUGGAUAGCACCGCCCUAUCCAUGCCGAGAAGCAGCGUGGGUUCCGCCCCGGGCGACGCAAUGCUGGAUAGAUACCCCGUGGAUGACGUCACGGAGAACACUAACUGCGAGCUACACUUCAAAAUGAAGAACAUAUCCAUGAAGGUGGCGGAUGCCGUUGCUUUUACAAAUCCCCCCGAGGCAACCUUCCAUUGCAACCCGAUUCCAGCAGGCUAUGCUCGUGUCUUGGUUGAUGAGGUGGUGGACCCAUAUUCGGGGCUACAUCUUGACAUUCCUGGAGGUGAUGACGAGCACACAUUGGGAGAGGCCAUACAUCGUGUCAUCCUAUGGAGAAAGGAUUGCAUCGUCUUUCGAAGGCCACCGGCACCGCGUCACCCGACUCCUCGUCGAAGUCCGCCACCGAGUCAGCAAACUCCUGCUCCUCCAAGUCCACCAAUGUGUGAGGCCAUUACUCCUCCUCCAAGUCUGGCAAAGUGUCAGGCCACUCCUCCUCCAAGUCCGACACAGCGUCAGACGUCCACUCCUCCUCCAUGUCCGGCACAACUUCAGGCCACUCCUCCUCCAAGUCCGGCACAGCUUCAGGCCACUCCUCCUCAUCCAACUCAGCCCCGUCAGCCUUCUCCGCCGCCUCAGCAAUCGCAGAAGAGACACCCCGCAGCUAUGGUGCAUAGCGGUACGAGUCGAGGUAGUACAGGAAGUACAGGCGGAGGCAAGCUAUAUAAAUAUGGUCCAAGCCUCACUACUCCUCUUCCUCAGAGGGCUUAUGACAUGACCGAGGAGCAAACCAAUGCCAUAGAGCAGGCAGAAGUGGACGCCCAUUUUGGACCGAAACCGCCACCGCCGCCAAGGGAGAAACUGCCUGUGGAAAAGAUUGACCACUUCAUUCGUAUGGCCCAACCACCAGCUCCCAAGCCCGAUGACACAGACUAUGAGCGCCACAUCAGGAAGUUAAAUCGAGCACGUCUACAGAAGGAGGCGAGCUCGAGCUCGAGCAAACAACAAGCAGCUGUCAAAAAAUGCAGGAAAACCGUUCCCCAGCAGGGAGAACAGGCGACGCAAUCGAUCCCCUCGCUUGUUGUGCCAACAACACGUGAUAGUACGCGCGCCCAAUAUUAUUGUGGCCAAACAGUUUAUGUUCCCGAGGUGGGCAAUGUGGUAAUAACCGAGGAGCAUAUAAUGCAGGCUAAAAUUCUCAACAUCACUGUUGGACAACUCCUCAAGAUCGAGCCCAUGCCUGUGCUUACAGAGGAGGAAAUAAAAUGGAAAUAUGUCCGGGGCGAACCUUUGGUCAAGCCAGACGAGGUCAAGAAGCUCCUAACGCGAAUGUAUGAAUUGCAUCAAUGGUACAUGGACAUUACCAAGAGUUCCAAUCGAGAGUCCCUCAUGGUGGAAGUCAAGAAGGAUCAUUACUACCAUCAGAAAGCUGUGGCCGUUGAGUAUAAUGAACUGUUUGAGUUAUACAAUCAAGAUGCACUCGACAAAUCUAUCGUCAGUUGCUAUUGUCUGUAAGUGAUUUCUUUCUGUAAUUUAAGUCUCAAGCUAGCUGUAGUGAUCCUUUUGAUCAAUCAUUACCUGUAAUUAUCCUCACUAUAUUCUUUUCUGUGGUAUUAUGCAUGAUGAAGAUGUAUGUAAUGAAAAAAAGUGGACGCUACGGCAUUGGGUUCAUUGACCCAAACACCGUUAAUGAAUACACAUGGAAAAUAGAUCCAUAUCAUGAAAAGCAUGUAGAGGACAGCAUGCUAGAGUUCUUGAAGCGCCUCAAAUACAAUGAAGAUAUACUACUUCCUUACAACUUCCAGUGAGUCACACUGUCUUGUACUAUACAAAUUCUCUGUUUUUGCCUACUAGCUAGCUACAUGUUUUUGCUUAUGUAUGCCCGCUUAAUUAAGACAUGCAAACGUGUGUGCAUGCAGAUUUCACUGGAUCUUGUGUAUCAUUAAAGUUGACGCUGGAACAAUUGAAAUACUGGACUCACUACUCAAAGCAAAUAGUGACUAUAACAUCUUGUUUGGGAUAGUCAACAGGUAAUUUCAAUCAUUAUUAACUAUAUAUCUCGACCUAUUUAGUUCGUCAUUUCAUGAUAUGAACUAUUUAAUAACCCAUUUAUUCAUUUUCUUUGUCAGCGGGCAGGGCUUGGGCAAGGUUCAUCAGCGUCACUCCAGGCGAAUGGAAACAAAAGCUGAAAUGGUUUCGACCCAAGGUAAGUAAUUAAGUAGUACUAGCUAGCUAGCUAGCUGCCAUCUCUUUAAUUAUCAUGCUUGCUUAAUUAUUAUCUGAUCAACUUCCAUUCUCGUAAAGGCCCUGAAGGAGGCGCAGGGGACUGAUCUGUGUGCAUACUGCGUUUGCGAGAACAUUCACAUGAUGGCAUCCGAAAGGAGCAGAUCUCAAAGACAGGAAUGGCACUAGUAGAAAAAGGGUCCAAUCGUGAAGCACAUUAGUGCCGGUUUGAAUUUGAGCUGGCACUAAUGUGUGCAUUAGUGCCGGUUCCAACGGCUAGCCGGCCGCUCUCAUUAGUACCGGUCCGUGGUGAACCUUUAGCACCGGUUCGUGCCAUGAACCGGUACUAAAGUGAGUGGUGGCAGGAUGUUGUCAGUCCGGGGCCCCUCCAGCACCUUUAGUACCGGGUCGUUUCAUGAACCGGUACUAAAGGUCGUCCUACAUAGACCCUUCGUCCACCCGAGCUCGCUUUGUUCUUCCCCUUUCCCCUCUCCUCUCUGUUCUUUUCCCUCUUCCUCUCAAGCUCAUCACACAUUUUGCCCAAAAUUUGUCAAGAUUUGAAGGCCCCCAUCCAUUCAAAUGAUCACAAAGGUUAACAACUUUUUCCUUUCAUCUCUCAUUGCUAGAUUAGCUUGUGCAAUGCUUUAUAUAGUGAUUGAUUUUUGAGUUUAGUAAUUUGGGAGGAAUUAUAUAGAUGUGCUAGUAUUUGAUUUAUAUGCAAUUUGAGGUCAAAAAUAACACUUAGUUUGCAUAUGUAGGUGUGGUUUACGUAGUACCUUCUAAAUCUCCGUCGUAACCACCGUCGAUCGCUCGCAACGUCCCGUCGCCAGCACCACCUUGUGGUGAGCCUCUUGUUCUUGAACUUUUAUAUAAAAAAUUGAUGUUUGUGUGAUUUGGAUAUAUAGUUACUCGUAUAAUUAUCUUACCCAUACGUUGUUUGUUAUACAUAGUGCCAUGGUUUUGAUAUCCGUCCCCGUUGGCCCUCGUCCGGGUUAUGAUUCGGAUGUGGUAUAUUCUCUUUUAAAACUAUUCAUUGCAUUUCGUGUUUAUGACAAAUUAUGCCCAUCAAGUUGACAUAGAUAUUUGUAUGUAGGAGGUAGUUGAACCGGAAAUUCCAACCGACCCUAUUGUCGAGAGGUUAAAUUUAGUUGAAAGAGAAAACGAGGAUUUGAAGGAAAAAUUGAAAAGAAUUGAGGGGGAGAAGAUGGAAUUGGAGUUGCAUGUUGCCGAUGUCGUCGAUAAUCACAAGAUUAAGAUGGAGAAAAUGCGCUUGAAGAUUAGAAAGAUUAGAAAAUAUGCUAUUCAUAGUGAGGCUUGGUAUCAUUAUGCUGUUGGAUCAAUUGUUACCUUAGUUGCGAUCUUGAUCGCAUUUGUUGUUGCAUUUAAAUUCUUUAGCUAGAGAGUUAUUUGUUUGUUGCAUUUAAGUGUUGUAUGAUCUUUAUGUAUGAACUUUAUGUAUUGUAUUAAUUUGACGUUUUCGGUGCUGUCUAUUGAAGAUGAGCCGGCAAUGGAUGUACGAUGACCGAUGCUCUCCCGAAUUCAUUAAUGGUGUGCGUACUUUUCUGCUUGCGGCUGAGGCAAACAAGCGAGCGGAUGGUUUUAUGCCUUGUCCAUGUGCUGGCUGUAAGAAUGGUCACAAUUACUCUACGUCAAGAACCAUUCACGUCCACCUGUUUGAGUCCGGUUUCAUGCCCCACUAUAAUGUUUGGACCAAGCAUGGAGAAAGAGGGGUUAUGAUGGAAGACAAUGAAGAAGAAGAGGACGACGACAGCUAUCCUGGCCAUGGGUUCCCUGAAUACGAUGAUACAACAAUGAGGGAAGAAGCUGAGCCGGUAAUGCGGGAAGAAGCUAAAGAAGAGGCAUCGGAUGAGCCCGUUGAUGAUCUAGGUCAGGCCAUUGCCGAUGCAAAGAGAAACUGCGCAAGUGAUUUGGAGAAGAAGAAGUUGCAGCGCAUGUUAGAGGAUCACAAAAAAUUGUUGUACCCGAAUUGCGUAGGUGACAAGAAAAAGCUGGGCACCACACUGGAAUUGCUGCAAUGGAAGGCAGAGAAUGGUGUAUCUGACAAGGGAUUUGGAAAGUUGCUGGUAAUGAUAAAGGAUAUGCUUCCACAGGACAACGAAUUGCCCGAGAGUACGUACGAAGCAAAGAAGGUUGUCUGCCCUCUAGGGUUAGAGGUGCAGAAGAUACAUGCAUGCCCUAAUGGUUGCAUCCUCUACCGCGAUGAGUACGAGGAUUUGAACGCUUGCCUGGUAUGCGGUGCAUUGCGCUAUAAGAUCAGCCGCGAUGACCCUGGUGAUGUUGAGGGCGAGCGCCCCAGGAAGAAGAUUCCUGCCAAGGUGAUGUGGUAUGCUCCUAUAAUACCCCGGUUGAAACGUUUGUUCCAAAACAAAGAGCAUGCCAAUGCGAUGCGAUGGCACAGAGAAGACCGUAAGAAAGACGGAAAGUUGAGAGUACCCGCUGAUGGGUCGCAGUGGAGAAAAAUCGAAAGAAAGUACGGAAAGGAGUUUGUAGAUGACGCAAGGAACGUAUGGUUUGGUCUAAGCGCAGAUGGCAUUAAUCCUUUUGGGGAGCAGAGCAGCAACCAUAGAACCUGGCAUGUGACUCUAUGUUUGUAUAAUCUUCCUCAUUGGUUGUGCAUGAAGCGGAAGUUCAUUAUGAUGACAGUGCUCAUCCAAGGCCCUAAGCAACCCGGCAACGACAUUGAUGUGUACCUAAGGCCAUUAGUUGAAGAACUCUUACAACUGUGGAAUGGAACAGGUGUACGUGCGUGGGAUGAGCACAUGGGGAAGAAUUUGACCUAAAGGCGUUGCUGUUCGUGACCAUCAAUGAAUGGCUGUUCUCAGUAACCUUUCAGGACAGACAAACAAGGGAUACCGCGCAUGAACGCACUGUUUGGAUGAUACGGACAGUAUAUAUUUGGCUAAUUGUAAGAAGAAUGUGUACCUGGGACAUCGUCGAUUUCUUCCGAGCAGGCAUCCCGUAAGAAAGAAAGGCAAGCAUUUCAAAGGUGAGGCGGAUCACCGGACGAAGCCUCGCCACUGUACUGGUGUUGAUGUACAUGAUAUGGUCAAGGAUUUGAAGGUGGUCUUUGGAAAGGGUCCUGGUGGACAACCUGUUCCGAAUGACGCUGACGGACGCGCACCCAUGUGGAAGAAGAAAUCUAUAUUUUGGGACCUGCCCUAUUGGAAAGACCUAGAGGUCUGCUCCGCAAUCGACGUGAUGCAUGUGACGAAGAAUCUUUGUGUGACCCUGCUUGGCUUCUUGGGCGUGUAUGGGAAGACAAAAGAUACACCUGAGGCACGGGAGGACCAGCAAUGUAUGCACGGAAAAGACGGCAUACAUUAGGGUCAUGCAAGCUAUGCUCUUACAAAAGAAGAGAAGGAAAUCUUCUUUGAAUGCAUGCUCAGUAUUAAGGUACCGUCUGGCUUCUCGACGAAUAUAAAGGGAAUAAUAAACAUGGCAGAGAAAAAGUUCCAGAACCUAAAGUCUCAUGACUGCCACAUGAUUAUGACGCAACUUCUUCCGGUUGCAUUGAGGGUGCUUCUACCAGAAAAUGUUCGAUUAGCCAUUGUGAAGCUAUGUGCAUUUCUCAAUGUAAUCCCUCAGAAGGUAAUCGAUCCAGAAAUCAUACCAAGGUUAGAGAAUGAUUUGGUGCAAUGGCUUGUCAGUUUCGAGUUGGUGUUCCCACCAUCCUUCUUCAACAUCAUGACGCACGUCCUAGUUCACUUAUGCGAAGAGAUUAACGUUUUUGGUCCUGUAUUUCUACACAAUAUGUUCCCCUUUGAGAGGUUCAUGGGAGUCUUAAAGAAAUAUGUUCAUAACCAUGCUAGGCCAGAAGGAAGCAUCUCCAAGGGCCAUGAAAAUGAGGAGGUCAUUGAGUUUUGUAUUGACUUUAUUCCUGACCUUAAGCCGAUUGGUGUUCCUAAAUCGCGGCAUAAGGGCAGACUGGAUGGAAAAGGCAUGCUAGGAGGGGAACAAAUAAUAUGUAUGGACGAACAUUCUCUCACUGAAGCACACUACACAGUUUUACAGAAUUCCGCCUUGGUGGCUCCGUAUAUGUAUGAACACAAGAAUUUGCUACGCUCCAAACACCCGAGCGGUCUGAUGACUGGAUUACACGUGAACUAACUAGGAGUUUCGCCAGCUGGUUGCAGACACGUACCAUGCAUGACACCUCUAUUGAAGAUGACAUGUACUUGCUGUCCCAGUUACCAUCUUCGAAUAUAAUGACUUUCAAAGGGGACGAGAUAAAUGGUAAUACAUUUUACACGAUCGCCCAAGAUAAGAAGAGCACCAACCAAAACAGUGGUGUCUGCUUUGAUGCAGAAACCAAGACGGGAAAGGAAACAUAUUAUGGUUAUAUACAGGACAUAUGGGAACUUGACUAUCGACGUGGUUUGAAGGUCCCUUUGUUUCGGUGCAAAUGGGUCAAUAUGACACGAGGCGGGGUAACGGAAGACCCGCAGUACGGAAUGACAACAGUGGAUCUCAACAAUCUUGCGUAUGCAGACGAACCAUUCGUCCUAGACAAUGAUGUGGCACAGGUUUUCUAUGUGAAAGACAUGUCUACCAAGCCAAGAAAAAGAAAAGAUAAGGAAGCGAAUGCAUUGUACGAUGAGCCAAAGCGGCACAUAGUUCUUUCUGGGAAGAGAAACAUCGUGGGAGUGGAUGACAAGACAGACAUGUCAGAAGAUUAUGAAAAGUUUGAUGAAAUUGCUCCAUUCACGGUGAAUAUUGACCCGAGCAUCCCGUUAAAUGAUGAAGAUUUUCCAUGGUUACGGCGCAAAGGGACACACGCGAAGAAAAAGUUUCACACCCAAAGAUCUGGGAUGUGAUCGGCUUCACUAUCAUCACUUUGUUCUGUGUUUCACACCCAGGAGGGAAUCUCUCUAAUAGUUAGGGUAGUUAUGUGUUUUGGCAUUUGAAAUGCGCAGAAAUUUUAUGUGCAAACAAAUUCUUUCAUGCCUUUACUGAUUUUUAAAGUUAAGUUAUUCACAAACUAGUGAUUCACACUAAUUUCAAAUAAUUCAAAAUUUAAACUAUUAAAAUUUGAAAACUACGGGCACUAAAGAAAGUUUGUAAUUUUUUGUACCUAAAGAAAAAUAUUCACAAAGAAACUCUAAAUACACAAAAAAACAACUCAAAAAUAAAUAAAGCAAAAAAAAUAAAAAUAAAGCCCGCCUACUGGUCCAGAGCGGCCUGCAUACGACUAGAAACCCAACAUGUUGUUGGGCCAGGAUGCAGGCCCGCAAAGGCACAGUAGGCCCACAGGGCAGCACAAAACAUGUAGGCCCAGUAGGCCUGCUUUGGAGAGGAGCUCGAGAGAGCUACCGCACGGGGGGAUAUAAACCAGUGCGGACGCCCCUCGGCUAGCGAGGUGGGACUAAACUUGCCACACCGCACAUGCGCCAGCGCACCCCCUUUAGUACCGGGUGGUGGCACCAACCGGUACUAAAGGGGGGCCUUUAGUACCGGUUGGAGCCACCACCCGGUACUAAAGGGGGUGCGCUUCCCGCCGCUUGGCCUGGCCAAAACAAGCCUUUAGUACCGGUUGGUGGCUCCAACCGGUACUAAAGGUCCAUCCUAUAUAACUAAACACUUCAAAAAUUUCAGUUUCUCAUCUGCUUCUUCUCCUCUGCCCCGUCGCCCGUCGCCCCCGUCUCCAUAUCCCUCGUCGANNNNNNNNNNNNNNNNNNNNNNNNNNNNNNNNNNNNNNNNNNNNNNNNNNNNNNNNNNNNNNNNNNNNNNNNNNNNNNNNNNNNNNNNNNUUUUUCUGUUUUUCAGAAAUAGUUAGAAAUGUUAGAAUUGUUAAAAUAGUUAGAAAUGUUAGAAUUGUUAGAAUUGUUAGAAAUGUUAGAAUUGUAAGAAAUUUUUCUGUUUUUUAGUUAUAGAAAUAGUUAUAAAAAAGUUAGAAUUGUUAGAAAUUUUUCUGUCUUUUAGUUAUAGAAAUAGUUAUAAAAAUGUUAGUUAUAUAUAUAGUAAUGUUAUAAUUUUUUCUGUUUUUUAUUUAUAGAAAUAUUAGAAAUGUUAUAGAAAUGUUAGUUAUAUAUAGCAUUGUUAGAAAUGUUAUAGAAAUGUUAGUUAUAUAGAAAUGUUAGAAAUUUUAGUUAUCAAAAUCCAAUCAUUAAAAAAAUGUUACUUUUUGCGGGCAUAUAGCUAGUAUUUGUUCUCGACGAUGCCCGACCCGCAUCCUCGNNNNNNNNNNNNNNNNNNNNNNNNNNNNNNNNNNNNNNNNNNNNNNNNNNNNNNNNNNNNNNNNNNNNNNNNNNNNNNNNNNNNNNNNNNNNNNNNNNNNNNNNNNNNNNNNNNNNNNNNNNNNNNNNNNNNNNNNNNNNNNNNNNNNNNNNNNNNNNNNNNNNNNNNNNNNNNNNNNNNNNNNNNNNNNNNNNNNNNNNNNNNNNNNNNNNNNNNNNNNNNNNNNNNNNNNNNNNNNNNNNNNNNNNNNNNNNNNNNNNNNNNNNNNNNNNNNNNNNNNNNNNNNNNNNNNNNNNNNNNNNNNNNNNNNNNNNNNNNNNNNNNNUAUAUUAGAAAUGUUAUAGAAAUGUUAGUUAUAUAGCAUUGUUAGAAAUGUUAUAGGAAUGUUAGUUAUAUAGAAAUGAUAGAAAUUUUAGUUAUCAAAAUCCAAUCAUUAAAAAAAUGUUACUUUUUGCGGGCAUAUAGCUAGUAUUUGUUCUCGACGAUGCCCGGCCCGCAUCCUCGCCGUCGACCCGUCCGCGACGACGUCCGACUGACCCAUGUCCGGGACUGGGCUCCACCGGGCUGGCACUGGGAGGUGCUGCCUAGAGGGACGCACCGCUUGAUGAGGAACCCGGCCCCGGGUCACGUCGUCGACCCUGAUCUCGUUUGGUGGCGUUCGCGUGGGCCAGUUUCGGUGUGGAGGGAGCCGGCCCCGCCGGAGGUGGUACGUCGCCGUGUCAGGGAGGAGGACGAGCACGUCCAUUGCUACAUGGUUGCGUUAGAGGGCGGCAGGUUCUCCAAUACCUGGCAGUUUCUUCAGGGAUCUCACUUCAGCUAUGAUCCUGUGAGGGUUCCUUCUCUUUGGGUGUCCACCGCCCGCGUCGCAGGAACUGCGAGUGUCCUAGAUUCUUCGGUAGUCAGUGAUGUAUUCGAUAUAUAAUAUUCGAGACGAUGUAUUCGGAUUAUAUAUUAUUCGAGAUGAUGUAUUCGAGAUUAUAUCUAUUAUUCGAGACAAUGUAUUCGAGAUUAUAUCUAUUAUUCAAGACGAUGUAUUCGAGAUUAUAUCUAUUAUUCGAGACGAUGUAUUCGAGAUUAUAUCUAUUAUUCAAGACGACGUAUUUGAGAUUAUAUUCGAUGAUGCUUAUUAUGUACUAUGAUUGAUUCAGUUUUUCCUUAUUAAUUGAUUGCAUCCAUGCAUUGUAAUUUGAAUAUAUUUCUUUUGGAUUAGUUAAACAAAACCUAUGGCGGACAAUACCGGCAGAGAGGGAGAAGAGGCCCUGUUCAAUAUCAUACGCAAUCCUCGCGGGCCAGAUGAUGAUCAGAAUGAAGAAGAUUAUGACGGCUCCGAAUAUGUAAACAACACCGGGGAGGGUGAUAUGAUAUUCGAUCGCGACGACCGAAUUGAUGAAGUCAUGAACUAUGAACAUGACGAAGAAAAUGUUGAUCUUGAAACAACAAAGACCGGUGAGGUAUAUAUAUUUAUAUAAGCAGGCAUCUGGUGAUCAUCACAUGUUUUAAAUGACUUGAAGAUAUAUUAACGAAACGAUCUUUCUUCUUUCAGCCAUCCAGAUCGAGCAAAUCUUCAGGCAACAGGAUGAAACGAGGCCCAAACAAAAAGUUGAAGGAGGGCAUAAAGUACAAUAUCGAGGCAAUCAGACCUAAUGGCGAACCAUUAGCGCCUAAGAAGAUUGCGGACAAGUUCGUUCGUCAGUGCGGAGUUCUUGUGAAGGACCUACUCCCGAUCUCCCUUCAAGAAUGGAGAGAGCCAGCAAAGCCACGUCCAGGUCUUACUUUUGCCGACGACAGACAAAAAGGUCUGCUUUGGGAUACUCUCAUGGAACAUUUCACCCUACCAGAUCAUUUCACAGAAGCAGAUGUGCAGAAAGUCAAGGACGCUGCUCUUAGGAAGAUGGCGGUUGCAUUCAAGAACCACAAGAAUCAUGAAUGGGACAAGUACGUCAAGGAAGGAAGGAAGACUCCUGUAUUCGAGGGAACACUAGAGAAGCGAAUUGCUCAUUGGGACGAUUUCGUGAAAUUCAAGGAUUCGGAAUUAGCUAAGGAACGGUCGAGAAUAAACAAGAAGAAUGUCGAAAAAAGGAUAAGUUCCAUAAGCUGGGGCCAGGUGGCUAAGCGGUGGCAAUGCCUAAGUGGGAUAAGUUUGAGAAAGAGAUGGAUGAUGCAGGUAUCAUUCCGGUUACUAGGAGCUGGCCCACCAGGUGCAGGACUUGGUUCUAUGCGCAUGGGGGGAGUUGGACCCGAAGACAGGCAAAGUUUUGACGAAGGCAUGUCUGAACGGAGCCGACGAUGCGCUAAUUGUUGCAAUAGAAGAGGCUCGAAUGGGGGUAUUCUAGCCCAACAGAGAGAACGACAAGCUUACGUGUGCCCUAGGAAAUCCUGAACACCUGGGAAGAACACGAGGCAAGGGCGCUAUUCCGUGGUAUGAGGGGUUUUCGGACUGGAACGCCGACUACAGAACCCGUGCGAGAAGGAAGCUUGCGGAGGAGAAGAAGAGGAAGAUGGAGGGGGAGCAGAGGAAGCUGGACUAUGAACGCCUUCAAGGCCUAGAAUCAAAGCACGCGGACUUGGCAGUCAAAUUCUAGCGGCAGCAGGAGCAGAUCGACUCACUUAGCCAGCAAAGGGGGUCUCAGCAGCUGCAGCGGCAAGCGGAUGAUCCCGCAUUGGAUAGCACCACCCCAUCCAUGCCGAGAAGCAGCGUGGGUUCCGCCCCGGGCGACGCAAUGCUGGAUAGAUACCCCAUGGAUGACGUCACGGAGAACACUAACUGUGAGCUACACUUCAAAAUGAAGAACAUAUCCAUGAAGGUGGCGGACGCCGUUGCUUUUACAAAUCCCCCCGAGGCAACCUUCCAUUGCAACCCGAUUCCAGCAGGCUAUGCUCGUGUCUUGGUUGAUGAGGUGGUGGACCCAUAUUCGGGGCUACAUCUUGACAUUCCUGGAGGUGACGACGAGCACACAUUGGGAGAGGCCAUACAUCGUGUCAUCCUAUAGAGAAAGGAUUGCAUCGUCUUUCGAAGGCCACCGGCACCGCGUCACCCGACUCCUCGUCGAAGUCCGCCACCGAGUCAGCAGACUCCCGCUCCUCCAAGUCCACCAAUGCGUGAGGCCACUCCUCCUCCUCCAAGUCCGGCAAAGUGUCAGGCCACUCCUCCUCCAAGUCCGACACAGCGUCAGACGUCCACUCCUCCUCCAAGUCCGGCACAAGUUCAGGCCACUCCUCCUCCAAGUCCGGCACAGCUUCAGGCCACUCCUCCUCGUCCAACUCAGCCCCGUCAGUCGUCUCCGCCGCCUCAGCAAUCGCAGAAGAGACACCCCGCAGCUAUGGUGCGUAGCGGUACGAGUCGAGGUAGUACAGGAAGUACAGGCGGAGGCAAGCGAUAUAAAUAUGGUCCAAGCCUCACUACUCCUCUUCCUCAGAGGGCUUACGAUAGGACCGAGGAGCAAACCAAUGACAUAGUGCGGGCAGAAGUGGACGCCCAUUUUGGACCGAAACCGCCACCGCCGCCAAGGGAGAAAGUGCCUGCGGAAAAGAUUGACCACUUCAUUCGUAUGGCUCAACCACCAGCUCCCAAGCCUGUUGACACAGACUAUGAGCGCCACAUCAGGAAGUUAAAUCGAGCACGUCUACAGAAGGAGGCGAGCUCGAGCAAACAAUAAGCAGCUGCCAAAAAUGCAGGAAAACCGUUCCCCAGCUGGGAGAACAGGCGGCGCAAUCGAUCCCCUCGCUUGUUGUGCCAACAACACGUGACAAUACGCGCGCCCAAUAUUAUUGUGGGCAAACUGUUUACGUUCCCGAGGUGGGCAAUGUGGUAAUAACCGAGGAGCAUAUAAUGCAGGCUGAAAUUCUCAACAUCACUGUUGGACAACUCCUCAAGAUCGAGCCCAUGCCUGUGCUUACAGAGGAGGAAAUAAAACGGAAAUAUGUCCGGGGCGAACCUUUGGUCAAGCCAGACGAGGUCAAGAAGCUCCCAACGAGAAUGUAUGAAUUGCAUCAAUGGUACAUGGACAUUACCAAGAGUUCCAAUCUAGAGUCCCUCAUGGUGGAAGUCAAGAAGUAUCAUUACUACCAUCAGAAAGCUGUGGCCGUUGAGUAUAAUGAACUGUUUCAGUUAUACAAUCAAGACGCACUCGACAAAUCUAUCGUUAGUUGCUAUUGUUUGUAAGUGAUUUCUUUCUGUAAUUUGAGUCUCAAGCUAGCUGUAGUGAUCCUUUUGAUCAAUCAUUACCUGUAAUUAUCCUCACUAUAUUCUUUUCUGUGGUAUUAUGCGGGAUGAAGAUGUAUGAAAUGAAAAAAGGUGGACGCUAUGGCAUUGGGUUCAUUGACCCAAACACCGUUAAUGAAUGCACAUGGAAAAUAGAUCCAUAUCAUGAAAAUCAUGUAGAGGACAGCAUGCUAGAGUUCUUGAAGCGCCUCAAAUACAAUGAAGAUAUACUACUUCCUUACAACUUCCAGUGAGUCACACUGUCUUGUACUAUACAAAUUCUCUAUUUUUGCCUACUAGCUAGCUACAUGUUUUUGCUUACGUAUGCCCAUUUAAUUAAGACAUGCAAAUGUGUGUGCAUGUAGAUUUCACUAGAUCUUGUGUAUCAUUAAAGUUGACGCCGGAACAGUUGAAAUACUGGACUCACUACUCAAAGCAAAUAAUGACUAUAACAUCUUGUUUGGGAUAGUCAACAGGUAAUUUCAAUCAUUAUUAACUAUAUAUCUCGGCCUAUUUAGUUCGUCAUUUCAUGAUAUGAACUAUUUAAUAACCCCUUUAUUCAUUUUCUUUGUUGGCGGGUAGGGCUUGGGCAAGGUUCAUCAGCGUCUCUCCAGGCGAAUGGAAACAAAAGCUGAAAUGGUUUCGACCCAAGGUAAGUAAUUAAGUAGUACUAGCUAGCUAGCUAGCUGCCAUCUCUUUAAUUAUCAUGCUUGAUUAAUUAUUAUCUGACCAAAUUCCAUUCUCGUAAAGGCCCUGAAGCAGGCGUAGGGGACUGAUAUGUGUGCAUACUGCGUUUGCGAGAACAUUUGCAUGAUGGCGUCCGAAAGGAGCAGAUCUCAAAGACAGGAAUGGCACUAGUAGAAAAAGGGUCAAACGUGAAGCACAUUAGUGCCGGUUUGAAUUUGAGCCGGCACUAAUGUGUGCAUUAGUGCCGGUUCCAACGGCUAGCCGGCCGCUCUCAUUAGUACCGGUUCGUGGAGAACCUUUAGCACCGGUUCGUGCCACGAACCGGUACUAAAGUGAGUGGUGGCAGGAUGUUGUCAGUCCGGGGCCCCUCCAGCACCUUUAGUACCGGGUCGUAUCACGAACCGGUCCUAAAGGUCGUCCUACAUAGACCCUUCGUCCACCCGAGCUCGCUCUGUUCUUCCCCUUUCCCCUCUCCUCUUUGUACUUUUCCCUCUUCCUCUCAAUCUCAUCACACAUUUUGCCCAAAAUUUGUUAAGAUUUGAAGGCCCCCAUCCAUUCAAAUGAUCACAAAGGUUAGCAACUUUUUCCUUUCAUCUCUCAUUGCUAGAUUAGCUCGUGCAAUGCUUUAUAUAGUGAUUGAUUUUUGAGUUUAGUAAUUUGGGAGGAAUUAUAUAUAUGUGCUACUAUUUGAUUUAUAUGCAAUUUGAGGUCAAAAAUAACACUUAGAACCAUUCACGUCCACCUGUUUGAGUCCGGUUUCAUGCCCCACUAUAAUGUUUGGACCAAGCAUGGAGAAAGAGGGGUUAUUGUGGAAGACAAUGAAGAAGAAGAGGACGACGACAGCUAUCCUGGCCAGGGGUUCCCUGAAUACGAUGAUACAACAAUGAGGGAAGAAGCUGAGCCGGUAAUGCGGAAAGAAGCUGAGCCGGCAAUGCAGGAAGAAGCUGAAGAAGAGGCAUCGGAUGAGCCGUUGAUGAUCUAGGUCGGGCCAUUGCCGAUGCAAAGAGAAACUGCGCUAGUGAUUUGGAGAAGAAGAAGUUGCAGCGCAUGUUAGAGGAUCACAAAAAAAUGUUGUACCCGAAUUGCGUAGGUGACAAGAAAAAGCUGGGCACCACACUGGAAUUGCUGCAAUGGAAGGCAGAGAAUGGUGUAUCUGACAAGGGAUUUGGAAAGUUGCUGGUAAUGAUAAAGGAUAUGCUUCCAAAGGACAACGAAUUGCCCGAGAGUACGUACGAAGCAAAGAAGGCUGUCUGCCCUCUAGGGUUAGAGGUGCAGAAGAUACAUGCAUGCCCUAAUGAUUGCAUCCUCUACCGCGGUGAGUACGAGGAUUUGAACGCUUGCCCGGUAUGCGGUGCAUUGCGCUAUAAGAUCAGCCGCGAUGACCCUGGUGAUGUCGAGGGCGAGCGCCCCAGGAAAAAGAUUCCUGCCAAGGUGAUGUGGUAUGCUCCUAUAAUACCACGGUUGAAACGUUUGUUCCAAAACAAAGAGCAUGCCAAGGCGAUGCGAUGGCACAGAGAAGACCGUAAGAAAGACGGAAAGUUGAGAGUACCCGCUGACGGGUCGUAGUGGAGAAAAAUCGAAAGAAAGUACGGGAAGGAGUUUGCAGAUGACGCAAGGAACGUAUGGUUUGGUCUAAGCGCAGAUGGCAUUAAUCCUUUUGGGGAGCACAGCAGCAACCAUAGCACCUGUCCUAUGACUCUAUGUUUGUAUAACCUUCCUCUUUGGUUGUGCAUGAAGCAGAAGUUCAUUAUGAUGCCAGUGCUCAUCCAAGGCGCUAUGAAAAAAAUUCUUAUUUUUAACAGAAGCGCGAUAAAAUACUGAUUAUUUUUGCAGAAGAUUAAUAAAUAAAUUGUUUAGGUCGUCCUAAAUAUUCAGAAUUUUUGAAGUUAAAGAAGUAUUCAUAAUAUCCAGAUUGCUACAGACUGUUCUGUUUUUGACAAAUUCUGUUUUCUAUGUGUUGUUUGCUUAUUUUGAUGAAUCUAUGGCUCGUAUCGGGGCGGGGGGUAUGAACCAUGGAAGAGUUAAAAUACAGUAGAUAUUACACCAAUAUAAAUAAAAAAUGAGUUCACAACAGUAUCAAAAGUGGUGAUUUAUUUUCUUAUAACGGGGCUUAUGAUAUUUUCUGUCGAGUUUUGUGUUGUGAAGUUUUCAAGUUUUGGGUAAGGAAUUGAUGGACUAUGGAAUAAAGAGUGGCAAGAGCCUAAGCUUGGGGAUGCCCAAGGCACCCCAAGGUAAUAUUCAGGGAUAACCAAGAGCCUAAGCUUCCGGGGCAUCCCCUCUUUCGUCUUCAUUUAUCGGUAACUUUACUUGAGGCUAUAUUUUUAUUCACCACAUGAUAUGUGUUUUGCUUGGAGCAUCGUGUAUGAUUUGAGUCUUUGCUUUUCAGUUUGCCACAAUCAUCCUUGUUGUACACACCUUUUGAGAGAGACACACAUGAAUCAUGAUUUAUUAGAAUACUCUAUAUGCUUCACUUAUAUCUUUUGAGGUAGGCAAUUUUGCUCUAGUGCUUCACUUAUAUCUUUUUAGAGCACAGCGGUGGUUUUAUUUUAUAUAAAUUGAUGAACUCUCAUACUUCACUUAUAUUAUUUUGAGUGUCUCUAAACAGCAUGGUAAUUAGCUUUGGUUAUAAAUUUAGUUCUAAUAUGAUAGGCAUCCAAGAGAGAUAUAAUAAAAACUUUCAUAUAAAGUGCAUUGAAUACUAUGAGAAGUUUGAUUCCUUAUGAUUGUUUUGAGAUAUGAAGAUGGCGAUAUUAGAGUCAUGCUAGUGAAGUAGUUGUGAAUUUGAGAAAUACUUGUGUUAAGGUUUGAGAGUCCCGUAGCAUGCACGUAUGGUGAAUCGUUAUGUAACGAAGUUGGAGCAUGAGAUAUUUUUGAUUGUCUUCCUUAUGAGUGGCAUCUGGGGACGAGCGAUGGUUUUUUCCUACCAAUCUACCCCCUAAGAGCAUGCGCGUAGUACUUUUGAUGACUAGUAGGUUUUUGCAAUAAGUAUGUGAGUUCUUUAUGACUAAUGUUGAGUCCAUGGAUUAUAUGCAGUCUCACCCUUCCGCCAUUGCUAGCCUCUCUUGUACAGCACAACUUUCACCGCUAUCAUAAACCCACCAUAUACCUUCCUCAAAACAGCCACCAUACCUACCUAUUAUGGCAUUUCCAUAGCCAUUCCGAGAUAUAUUGCCAUGCAACUUUCCACCGUUCUGCUUAUUAUGAAAUGCAUCAUCAUUGUCAUAUUGCUUUGCAUGAUCAUGUAGUUGACAUUGUAUUUGUCGCAAAGCCACCGUUCAUUAGUUUUUUAUACAUGUCGCUCUUAAUUCAUUGCACAUCCCGGUACACCGUCGGGGGCAUUCAUAUAGAGUCAUAUCUUGUUCUAGUAUCGAAUUGUAAUUUUUGAGUUGUAAGUAAAUAGAAGUAUGAUGAUCUUCCUUUUUAGAACAUUGUCCCAUGUGAGGAAAUAAAAUAAAAAAGAGGAAAAGAAAAAAAGAGCAAAAAAAGAAAAAAAGAGAAGAAGAAAAAAAAAGGAGGGAAAGAAAGAAAAAACGAGAGAAAAAGAGAGAAGGGGCAAUGUUAUUGUCCUUUUCCAUACUUGUGCUUCAAAGUAGGACCUUGAUCUUCAUGAUAGAGAGUCUCCUAUGUUCUUACUUUCAUAUACUAGUGGGAAUUUUUCAUUAUAGAACUUGGCUUGUAUAUUCCAACGAUGGGAUUCCUCAAAAUGCCCUAGGUCUUCAUGAGCAAGCAAGUUGGAUGCACACUCACUUAGUUUUCUUUUCGAACUUUCAUAAACUUAUAGCUCUAGUGCAUCUGUUGCAUGGCAAUUCCUACUCACUCACAUUGAUAUCUAUUAAUGGGCCUCUCCAUAGCCCGUUAAUACCCCUAGUUGAUGUGAGACUAUCUCCCUCUUUUUGUCUUCUCCACAACCACCGUCUAUUCCACCUAUAGUGCUAUGUCCAUGGCUCAUGCUCAUGUAUUGCGUGAAAGUUGAAAAGGUUUGAGAACAUCAAAAGUAUGAAACAAUUGCUUGGCUUGUCAUCUGGGUUGUGCAUGAUUUGAAUAUUUGUGUGAUAAAGAUGGAGCAUAGCCAGACUAUAUGAUUUUGUUAGGAUGAGAUUUCUUUGGCCAUGUUAUUUUGAGAAGACAUAAUUAUCUUGUUAGUAUGCUUGAAGUAUUAUUGGUUUAUGUCAAUAUUAAACUUUUGUUUUGAAUCAUACGGAUCUGAACAUUCAUGCCACAAUAGAGAAAAUUACAUGGAUAAAUAUGUUAGGUAGCAUUCCACAUCAAAAAUUAUGUUUCUAUCAUUUACCUACUCGAGGACGAGCAGGAAUUUUCCGGAGUACCGGGGGCUACCGGAACCCCCCGGGAGUUAAUGAGCCUUCAUGGGCCCUAGUGGAGAGAGGAGGCGGCAGCCAGGUGGUGGCGCACGCCCCCCCAAGCCUGAACCGAAUUGGACUAGGGUUGGGGGGCCGGCCCCCCUUUCCUUCUCUCCUUCUCCUCCUUCCCUCCUUCUCCUAGUGGGAAUAGGAAGGGGGGCGAAUCCUACUUGGACUGGGAGUCCAAGUAGGACUCCUCCCAUGGCGCAUCCCCCCUUGGGCCGGCCACCUCUCCCUUCCCCUUUGUAUACGUGGGAGGGGGGCACCCCAAAGGCACACCAAGCCUUCUCUUAGCCGUGUGCGGUGCCCCCCUCCACAGUUUCACACCUCGGUCAUAUCGUCGUAGUGCUUAGGCGAAGCUCUGGGCCGGUAGCUUCAUCAUCACCGUCGACACGCCGUCGUGCUGACGAAACUCUCCCUCAUCCUCAAUUGGAUAAAGAGAUCGAGGGACGUCAUCGAGCUGAACCGCUAGGGGUACGAAGGAGGAGGAGACCGGAUGCGUUAAGCUAGUUGGUAAGAGUUCUUGUCAUUAUUGAUAGUGGCCCUAGAGAAAGAGAUUACGCUGAUUGUUCUAACUUCAUUCAUAUUUGAUUCCGCAACUGAGACCUUUUCCCACAUCUGUGCCAGGAGGGCAAGUGGUCAAAGCAGAAAGGGUUCUCGCUUCUCCUUCUGGAAGGGUGUGCUGAACACGGAGGUCCCGUAUGUUCGGUGCUUGGAUCGGUUGGAUCGCGAAAACGUUCGACUACAUCAACCACGUUACUAAACGCUUCCGCUUUCGGUCUACGAGGGUACGUAGACAAACUCUCCGCUCUCGUUGCUAUGCAUCUCCUAGAUAGAUCUUGCGUGAUCAUAGGUAAAAAUUUUGAAAUACUGCGUUCCCCAACAUGCUUGCGUUUAUUUCACUACAUCAUGUCAUCUUACUUAAUGCGUUACUCUGUUCUUAUGAACUUAAUACUCUAGAUGCAGGCAAGAGUCGGUCGAUGUGUGGAGUAAUAGUAGUAGAUGCAGGCAGGAGUCGGUCUACUUGAUACGGACGUGAUGCCUAUGUUCAUGAUCAGUGCCUUAGAUAUCGUCAUAACUUUGCGCUUUUCUAUCAAUUGUUAGGCAGUAAUUUGUUCACCCACCGUAAUAUUUUCUAUCUUGAGAGAAGCCUCUAGUGAAACCUAUGACCUCUAGGUCUACUUUCCAUCAUAUAAGUUUCCAAUCUACAAUUUUAGUUUCCUAUUUACUUCCUUUGCAACCUUUUACUUUCCGUUUCAUAAACCAAAAAUAUCAAAAAUAUUACUUUACCGAUUAUCCAUCUCUAUCAUAUCUCACUUUGCAAAUAAUCCCAAAGGGAUUGACAACCCGUUUAGCGCCUUGGGUGCAAGUAGGUGUUUGUUUGUGCAGGUACUCAAUGACUUGUGUGUCGUCUCCUACUGAAUUGAUACCUUAGUUCUCAAAACUGAGGGAAAUACUUACUCUACUUUGCUUCAUCACCAUUUCCUCUUCAAGGGAAAAACCAACGCAAGCUCAAAAGGUAGCAGACCUCCAGUCGUAGCCGCCAUGAUUUUCUUCACGUCUAUCAAUGCCUUGAGAAUUUUGACUUGGACAUGUCCUAUGGCAUGAAUAAGAAAUCGAAGCUUCGCGCCGCGUCCUCUUGAGGCCGUGUUGGCUGAUAAUAUUAGUGCGCAUGACCAGAGCCUUUCUGAUCAAGAUAUCCAAGGACGACAUACACCAAUUCAUAUAGAUCUCCGCUCGGAAAGACCGAAACUCAUCAACGGCCAGAUCCAAGUUGUCGACAUCUGACAGAAAGACGACUUGGCGGAAGAAAAGCAUCAGGGCCAAACCACCAUUAUUAGUCCAAAGCUAAUAGCCUCCACGCCGCCCUCCUCUCGAUCCAGACAGGAAGAAAAAGAUCAACGACGUCGCAUCAUGCCACUCGCAUUCGUGGAGGCUUGAACAUGGCAAGACGCCAACCAUGGCUAGAGACGGGGACCAGCCACUCUGGCCAGAUCCGGCGACUCCUAGUCCCACCGCUCCCGCUACGGCGGCACCGCAUGUAGCCUACAAGCCCAUCCACGAUGAUGUCUGAUUAGAAGGAUAUAUGGAUAUACAGAUGAAAAGGCCCUUGUUAUCCCUCCAACAAUAUAUAUAAAGCUUAUUGGGACAUGAGAAAGCUUGCACAAGGCUAUGGAAAUGUAUUGCCAGACAGAGAUAUACGAUUUUCGUUCGGCAUCCAAACCGCUUGUGUCACGCUUAAUCGAUGGUCACUCUAAUUUUUCCGGCGGGCCUUCCCUGUGGUACUGCAGCCUUACAUGUGUAUUAGUGGUUAGGGCGUCAUCCGUGGCGCCGCUUAAGAGGAAGUUGUUUGCACGCUUUUAUUUUUUUUAAAUCAUGUACUCCUCAUCUCUAUCUAAAAAAAUAUUUAUAGAAAAUCCUCAUCUCCAUCUAGAAAAAGAAGUAAAAAAGAAAAAAAAAAUCACCAACGCAACCUUACAGCGAGCGCCACUUAGCGUAGUCCUCCAUUUAAAAAAAUAUGAAGUCAUCACCUUCAUAUAAAAAGAAAAAAACAUUUUAAAAACGUUUUCAUCUCCAUCUAAAAAUAAUAUCCCAAAAGCUUUUUCACUACGGCCAACCAGCUUGUACCAUGUGCCAUAACUGAUUGGCCGCUCUUCAUGCAUAGCUUAAUGGGUUUAAUGAGUUUCAUAUAGCUAUUCAUUAAGAAGAAAACCAAAAUUACUUGGAGUUAAUAACUAAUACGUUUCCUUUAACUAACACGUGCACGGCGAGGAUUUACGUGCAUGAUGUUUUUUCCUCUCCCCACGUCGUAUUGGGCCGGCCCAUUCGUGCACAUCUCUAUUUCUAAUGCAGCAGUUGGUAGUCUCAUUUUCAGGGUUUUUUUGUCCCACCUUUCAUGGUUUUUUUAUACCUCCUUCCACCUUCGCUGGUUUUUUUCAUAAAUUUUUUGUCCCCUCCCCCUAUUUCAUCGGUUUAUUUUCGCGUCACCCUCUCACACAAUGAAAGAAAUCUGAACAGAUUAGAACUUUCCAUGCUGGCGCAAGUUAUUUAGUAAUGUAGAAUCAAUCACGAACAAUCGCUAAAGAUCAAAUCCAAGUUAAUUAACCUUACCUUAAAUCACUCAAUCACAUUAAUUAGAAAACAAAUAAUUGAUUUUCAGAAAAAUUGCUCAAUCACAUUAACCUUACCUUAACUCACGGAUGGUAAUCAAUCUUCAAACAAAGGAAACAAUACAUCAAGGGAGCAGUAAAUAAACUCCCUUUCUUAUGACAUGUAUAUGAUCUUUCCUUCCCUCUCCGUUGUCGAGCGUUCUUGAUUCUCAAGGCCGAUUCUUGGGCUGCGUCACUGGGUCGCGACGGUGCCGAAGGACGAGGAUGGCGAGGCCGGGUGUCGCGGCACCGCGUUGGCCGUGGCUGAUGAAGGGGGUGAAGAAGGGCGGCUUCCCUGGCCGUGGCCCUGGGAGUUGGUGCGGUGGAAACGUCACUUGAAGGACCCGACGUGGGUGGCCGACGCGCAGACGCACUUGGAAGCGGGCCCAUGGCCCGCGCCGGACGGCGCCGACGCCGACCUGGACCACCUCCUCCGUGUAUCCUUGGAGCUAUGGCUGGCCAAUUUAUAUGAAAUUAAUUCCCUCAGUUGUGGUGGCAAAUAUAAUACACAUAAUCCAUAUUGUUAUGCACUAGUGUGUGUGUGUGUGAAAUAGAUGGAUUAUGGUCCCGUACCAAUAAGAUGGAUAUAUGUGUGUGUUAGAGAGAGAGAGAGAGAGAGAGACAGAGAGGGAGAGGGGGAGAGAGAGUGAGGAAAAGGGAGGGAGAGUGUGUGUAUGAGGAUUUGAUGGUAAAAAAAGUCGCCAAUGUCAUUUGAUAUGUAUGAAAAUAUUAAUAUUAAACUUUUAAAGUUAAUGUGGCCCCGUUAAAAUACACAAGCGUUCUUAUAGUAUAGUUAGAGAAAGACAUGAGGAAAAGGAAGAACCGGGAUCGAUUCCUAGUCUUCUCAAGGUGGCCGCGUGGGUUUGUCUCAAAAAAAAAAGGUGACAGCGUGGGUGCUACUACCGGUCCGCCCAAGUCCGGUUCGUGAUAAGUUGUAGGUGCGCGUCGUACUUGAGGCGAUUGAGGCCUGUUUUAUUUGAGUUUUUCCUCUCUUUUUUCUUCUUCAUUUUUUUCAUUCUUUUUUGCACUCCGUUUCUUUGUUUUGUCAUUCUUUUUUUCUUUUGUUUAUUUUCUUUUUUUCCGGUUUUCUUUGUUCUAUUGGUUAUUAUUGUACAUUUUUUGUAUACGUCUACAACAUUUUUUUCUAAUACACAUCUAACAUUUUUCAAAUACAAACCAACCAUUUUUGUAAUACAUUGUCAAGAUUUUUUUGUACACAUUUUUAAAUGCUUGUUUGUCAUUUUUCAAAUACAAGAUUAACAUUUUUUCAAUACAUGGUCAACAAUUGUUUUUGCCAUUUUUACAAAAAAAUUAAAUGCUUGAUUAACAUUUUCUUAAUGCAUGGUCAUUUAUUUUUCUAUACACAUUUAACAUUGUCCAAAUGCUUAAUUAACAUUUUCAAACCCUUGUUCAACAUCUCUUUUAAAAUGCUUGAUUCACAUUUCUGUAUACAUGAUCAAACAUUUUUAUCAUUUUUAAUACAUGGUCGACGGUAUUACCCAUACACAUUUAACAAUUUCCCAAUUCUUGAUUAACAUUGUUUAAGUACUCGUUCAACAUUUUCUCAAAUGCAUAACGUUGACAUUGUUGAAAAGUGGCAUCACAAGUUCCAGGGAGUAGAAAAGAGAUUAAUCAACGAAACCGCGCGAACUUUGUGGUGCUAUUGUGUUAUAUCAACUACUCCUUUCGUUCCGAAUUACUUGUCACAAGUAUGUAUGUAUAUCUAGAUAUAUUUUAAUUUUAGAUACAUCCAUUUAUGCGACGAGUAAUUUGGAACGGAGGGAGUAUGUGUCUGUUAUGUCACCAAAUUCAGUAUAUAUAGAACAUGGAAAUACAGUAAUAGUGAGCUCACUCGGUGGGAGCCCGUCACGGCCAUGGGAAUAGGAUCCUCCUCGUACUGCUCCUCUCCUGCCCUGCCCUGAGGAGCAGUAUCGUCCGUCGUCGCCGAGCGGCGCAGCAGCCGGUGGCCGAGGGGAGACCGAGAUUUAUUCUCCGGAGGCGCCGAAUCCGGCUCGUAAGUCGAAAUCCCUCUCUGUCCCGCCUCUCGGAUCCUCCCACCGAUCUCCUACUUCCCUGCCGCCAAUGCCCGCCUUUUCUUUGGACUCCGAGCGAGGAAUCGGAGGGAAAGCUGUGUACUUCCUGUGGCUUCAUACCCCGGUAAUGGCGGCCCUGCUUGCCGUUGCCGCUUGGUCCACUCUCUGCGUGCCCGUCUGCAAGGUGUUCGAUGGAUUGUGCGCAGGGUGUCGGCCCGGCUGGCCUCGUUUCACUUCUUCCAGGUUUCAGUCCGUUUACCGCCGGUUGCUGAAAAUGUGCACGAGAAGCAUAAGAAUGCUGGGAUAUGCGCUCUUUGUUUACCGUUUACUGUCAUUUGUUUGGUUGCAGGAAGCACCCGGCCUUAAGCAUAGUACUACAUAUAAAGUUGUAUGUUCUGUUCCGUUUGUUUGUUUGCUGUCUGAUGAUUGAGACAAGUGCAUAAUCUAAAGUUUGGCACCUGCACUUGCACCUGCUCCUGCACAUUUAUGUGUUGGAAACUGGAAUCUGUUCAGUGUAGUAUGGCCAUGCCACAUGUUUUGGCUUUAGCCUAAGGACCAAUUGCUUCUUGACUUUCUUGGAUGCUUGCUGGCCCAACCUUGGAUCUGUAUCUUUCUAAUAGUCUUCUAAAUCAGAAACAUAACGAUUUUUUGUGCUGCUUACUAGAUUCGGUGUGUUUACUUAGCGUGUUUAGUCGAAUCAUCUGUCAUUGUUCUCUCAAGUUACUUUUCCUUGCGAUAUUCAACCCAGCGGUUUAAAAUUCCUGCAAUUGCUUCAUUCAGAUUGAUUUUUCGCUUCUUUGUUGCUGAUUUCCUUUCAACGUUUGGGCUGAGGCUCCAAAUGUUGGUACUCUUUUAACCGGAGUAUGUUACUUUGGAGAAUAGAAGAAUUAUGCAUUGGUAUCAUGAUAACAUAUGCCUAAUGGUUUUUCUUACAGGAGGGCGUUUCCAACACAUAAAUAGUUUGCUAGCAUGCAGACAGUGUCCAGUAGCCUUUGCGCCAUUUGAGGCAUAAUGGACAUAGCUUUUAUCAUGUUGUUGGUUCUUUCUCUGCUCCUGUUCCCUAAUGGCAUCUGCAAGAGUUUAGCUACAGGACCUCCUGUUGUGAAUAUUGGGUCUAUUCUUCAGUUUGACUCCACCACCGGGGGUGUUGCGGCAGUUGCCAUCCAUACAGCCGUGGAAGAUAUCAACUCUGAUCCAACAGUUCUAAAUGGAACUACACUAAAGGUUCAAAUCAAGGAUACAAAUUGCUUUGAUGGUUUCCUUGGCAUGGUUCAAGGUAGGCUAGCUUUAAUGCCACUCAUUCAUUUCACAACCUUCAAAUAGUUAUUACUUCUGUUGUGGAGUUGUGGCAAUGAUGCCGUGUUCCUUGUAUCAGCUUUGCAGUUCAUGGAGACUGAUGUUAUUGCACUCAUUGGCCCUCAGUGCUCCACAAUUUCUCAUAUCAUUUCAUAUGUAGCAAAUGAGCUUCGAGUCCCUUUGAUGUCCUUUGCUUCUGAUGCAACUCUUUCAUCAAUACAGUUCCCGUUCUUUGUCAGGACGGGUCCCAGUGAUCUCUAUCAAAUGGCGGCUGUGGCAGAAGUUGUUGACUACAACCACUGGAAGAUAGUGACUGCCAUAUACAUUGAUAAUGUUUAUGGUAGAAAUGGCAUUGCUGCUUUGGAUGAUGCACUCACUUUAAAGCGCUGCAAAAUAUCCUACAAGGUUGGGUUUCCUUCCAACGCUAAAAGGAGUGACCUCAUAAAUUUGUUGGUUAGUGUCAGUUCUAUGGAGUCUCGUGUUAUCAUUCUCCAUACUGGAACUGAACCUGGACUCAAGCUUUUCUCUAUGGCACACCAACUGAACAUGAUGGGCAACGGCUAUGUGUGGAUUGCAACUGACUGGCUGUCUGCAUAUCUUGAUGCUAAUUCAUCAGUUCCUGUUGAGACUAUAUCUGGCCUGCAAGGUGUUCUUACUUUACGGCCACAUAUUCCCAACUCAAAGAUGAAGAGUAAUUUGGUCUCCAAAUGGAGCACGCAAAGUAAAAAGUACAACUACAGUGAUGUUUGUAUAAAUACUUAUGGUUUUUAUGUUUAUGAUAGUGUCUGGGCAGUAGCUCAUGCUCUGGAUGCCUUCUUUGAUGAUGGUGGUAGGAUUUCCUUUUCAAAUGACUUGCAUGAUGGAACUGGAGGAACUCUUCACCUUGAAGCAAUGAGCAUUUUUGACAUGGGAAAUAAAUUACUGGAGAAGAUUAGAAAGGUAAACUUCAGUGGGUUAUCUGGGCAAGUGCAAUUCGAUGCUGUAGGCAACCUCCUUCACCCUGCGUAUGACAUCAUAAAUGUCAUCGGAAAUGGCAUGCGGACCAUUGGUUUUUGGUCAAACUAUUCUGGCUUGUUGUCGACUGUCUCUCCAGAGGCUCUAGAUUCAAAGCCUCCUAAUACUUCUCUAGCCAAUCAGCAUCUCUAUGAUGUUAUUUGGCCUGGGGAGACUGCACAGAGGCCUCGAGGAUGGGUUUUUCCUUCUAAUGCCAAGCAGUUGAAAAUUGGUGUUCCCAACAGAUUUAGCUUCAAAGAGAUCGUCACGGUAGACAAUGCUACUGGGUCAAUGAAGGGUUAUUGCAUCGAUGUCUUUACUCAGGCAUUGGCUUUGCUUCCUUAUCCUGUUAGUUACAAGUUUGUACCUUUUGGGAAUGGUACUGAAAAUCCUAAUUAUGACAAACUCGUACAGAUGAUUGAAUCAAAUGUAAGUACGGAAUGCCUCUUUUUUCUUCCUCGAACCAUUUCAUCAUAUACCAUGCUGACCAGGGGCAUCUUAUCCUGCAGGAGUUUGAUGCAGCUAUAGGGGAUAUUGCAAUUACAAUGAGGCGGACAGUAACUUUUGAUUUCACCCAGCCAUUCAUUGAAACAGGCUUGGUUAUCUUGGCUCCGGUUAAAGAGCAUAUAACAUCGUCCUGGGCAUUCUUGCAGCCAUUUAGUUUGGAGAUGUGGUGUGUUACAGGGCUAUUCUUUCUUAUUGUGGGUGUGGUUAUUUGGAUUCUUGAACAUCGGAUCAAUGACGAUUUCCGUGGUUCAGUAUGUCAACAAAUAAUAACUAUUUUCUGGUAAGGAGCUGACCUGCACCUUUUGUACCGUCUUCUUGUAUAUCAUUCCUGUUUUCGAAGUGUUGAUGUUUUAACAAGUCUUGUGCAAUAUGUUGCAUACAGCGAGUACCUUAGAGCAGUGGCCAGUUAACAUACCUAAAUGAAGCAUCUAGUGAUUACCAAUGAACUACUCCCUCCGCCCCAUAAUAUAAGGGCGUUUUUGACACUACACUAGUGUCAAAACGCUCUUAUAUUAUGGGACGGAGGGAGUAUUAUCUUAAUAAUCUUGUGAGACAUAUAUACAUGCACAGCAUAUAUAUUCGCUUAAUGAUAUUUAUGAUGCAUUGCUCUAUUUUUCCUGUUUUCACAUACUUCUCUUCUCCACAUGUAUUUGCCAAAUGCUCUUAUAAUGGCGUGAUUCCUUGCUGUGAUUAUAAUUUCAAUUUUUAUUGCCUGCAGGUUCAGCUUUUCGACUUUGUUCUUCGCACACAGUAAGUAAACCAACCUUCUCUCUUAUGUGUUUUUUUUUUUGGCUAUAACAUUUUGUUCUGAGGCAUGAGGCAUGACUCGUGAUUUCAUAUGUAUCUGCGCGCAGGAGAAAAUACUAUGAGCACCUUAGGGCGUGGUGUCCUGAUCAUAUGGCUGUUUGUUGUUUUGAUAAUUGUAUCCAGCUAUACCGCGAGUCUUACUUCCAUCCUGACCGUGCAACAACUCGAUACUUCUAUAAAAGGAAUCGAGGACCUGAAAAAUAGCAAUGAUCCUAUUGGUUUCCAAGUUGGUUCUUUUGCACAAGACUACAUGGUCAAGGAGCUCAACAUCUCACGGUCAAGGCUAAGAGCUCUUGGUUCACCACAAGAAUACGCUGAAGCCCUCAAGAUAGGCCCUAAGGAAGGAGGUGUUAUGGCCAUUGUCGACGAGCGCCCCUAUGUUGAACUGUUUUUGUCAUCCUACUGCAAGAUUGCGGUAGCUGGCACAGAUUUCACCAGCAGAGGAUGGGGCUUUGUAAGUACAGUUCAACCAUAUUCUUUUAUAUAAAUUAGAAUAUAAGAACAAAAAUUGCUGUUAAUGUCCUGGAAUAGAGGUUUUAACUUUGAAUAGUUGUGUCUAGUCUUUAGUUUAUGCAACUUUUAUUGCACUUACCUGCGGCUACUUUGUUUCACAAAUCGAAAUGUAGCACCUUACAAAUUCAUUCUGCCAGGCAUUUCCAAGGGACUCCCCUUUGCAAGUAGACCUCUCCACCGCAAUCCUGUCUCUGUCAGAGAAUGGGGAGCUGCAGCGGAUCCAUGCCAAAUGGCUCAAUACAGGGGAGUGCACAACUGACAACAGUGAGCUUGUCGACUCGAACCAGCUCCGCCUUGAGAGCUUCCUUGGUCUGUUCCUAAUCUGUGGUGUGGCAUGUGUUCUCGCGCUGCUACUCUACUUUGGUAUCAUGCUAUGCAAAUAUCUGAGGCAUGAACCGUGGAAGAGCCUCAGAAGAUUCAUCUCGUUCGUCCAUGGGAAGGAGCCGCCGAAGAACAAGGAGAGGCGGUCCAUGAGCCUGCCUGGAAGCUCAACGCCAACAACGCCGAUGAGCAGCCAUAGUUCCCUUGACAUGGAAAGGCCGGCCAGGCCAGUCAGAAACGGUAGCAUUAUUGACAUGGAAAGCUAAUUCAUGUGUAGAAAGCUAGUUAACAAUGCGGUCGACUAACCUAGGUUCUGGUAGUCGGACAGCAGGGCUGUAUAGGAGGAUUCGAAAUACUUCUUAAGUACUCCCUCCGAUUCAACUUAAUUAACUUUGACUUGGUACAACCUUAGUACAAAGUUGUACUAAGUCGGCGCAAUUAAUUUUGAUCUGAGGGAGUACUAAAGUUUAUGAAAUAACAGAAGGAAGGAUUAAUAAGAAAUAGAAAUAUUGAAAUGCUCCUCCUGUCCUACAUAUAUUGUUUUUACCUUUGCAUGUGUUUGAUAGGGCGUAGUAGUAGUGUGUGGGUACUUCAGUUAGAAGGUAUGCAGUGGACCAGUCUAUCGACCGUGUGGCAAUGCCUGUAGUUUGUAGCACUAAACUUUGAUGCCCAUUCAUAAACUAAUUUAGAUGGAGCCGCACAAAAAUUGUGUUUUUUUUUUUGCUCACACACUCUGUUUUGUCUCAGUUUUAGUCCAGCGCAACUUUGAAGCUUAUCCAGGGCAACUUUGAAGCUUAUCCAGGGCAACUUUAACUAUUUACAGGAGAAAUUGUUAAAGACCUUAUUAAGUGAAGAAGAAUAGACGUCUCCAGUUUUUGUUUCUCCAACUCUAUGCCUACACUGUAAAUUAUUUAUGAAUUAGCUCCAGUUGAUGCAACUGUACUCUUUCUGGUAGGUCUGAGAUGGACUGAGCAUCCUAAGCUAGCUACUUGUCUCCCUUAGGUUUUACAGCAAGACAAAUGCACUGGACUACAAAGAGGAAAAUUCUUGCAGGUUCGUAAUGAAUCUGUUUUGGUUCUGGCAUUCACACCAAUCAUAAAGCAGUGUUUGUUAGUAGCGGAGUGGUAGGCAGACGCAAAUCAAACCAUCAUUUUUCUUCUAAAUACACUUGUAAAAGCAUCGAUGCAUCUCCGUCGCUUAAUUUUAUUUGUCAUUCUGUUCAGUACCUGGUUUGGUUUAGGAAGAGCUCUUUUUCCUAUGCAAAAUGUAUAACGUGUAUGUUUCUAAUUCCGAUUGCAGGCAUAUUCAUCGCGCUUGUGUUUUGACGUGUUGCGGGCAACCAAGAGUCGUUCAACAGUGUGUUGCUGGGGUACGCCACCGGUCUGACAGUAAAAGGUAGCGCUGAUGAACUGGUUUCAAGCCGAGCUGAUCAGUUCUGCUGUUACUAAUAUAUCAUGGCAUCUUGCGGCUCUCGGUCGAUGUUCUGUCAUCUAUGAGGAGAGAGUUUCCAUUUAAUCUAGUUGCUAAUGCUUUGUAUACAAAAUUAUAGAUGCCUACACAAUACAAAAUCAAAAGUUAUUUUCUUAGUCAAACUGGAAAAUUCAUAGAUUUGCAGGAACAUCUGUACAUAAAGCCUUUUCCAUCAAAGUAUGUACAUACAUUGUCUAUUUUAACAUAAGAAUGUAGGACUCGUUCAAAACUAUUUGACUAUUCAUACAAAAAAAAUAGAAUUUCUUAAAAUAAGGGAGCACAUCUUCUCUGGUUUGAUCACUGAAGUCAUCAAUUGAGCAGUCCAGGUUCACCUAGUUAUCUAUUUCAAAACUUAGGGAGAACAAUUUGGGUGAUACUUUUUCAAAGUACAAGGCACAUAUUUAUAGUUCAUUGAAAUGCACCUAUAUUUUGACCUCAUUAAUAUCUCAUCCUUCAUAAUAAAGUAUGGCCAAACAAACAGAGAAACCGCUAGUUUCUUUCAUGUUCCCCAGACAAUAACACCAUAGCUAUUACUGUCAUUCCCCUUCUCUCUUAAUACCUUCCAUCCUUUCCAUUAUAAUUAAUGAAACUGAAACAUAUCAUUCUCUUGGUUGUAUUUUUUUCCUAAAAUGUUUAAGGUGUAUGUGUCAUUGAGUGAAUAUAUUAUGUUGCAAAGUUUCACGAAAUUUAGUAUGCAACCAGUAUGCAAGAGAAAUAAAGAUUAAAGUAAAUUUAGUUAUUUUUAUUAGCCAUUAUUGUUUUUAGAGAAAACAAUAGGCAAGUCACUUUUUCAUGAAAGCUGGAGACAAAUAGUGUAUUCUAACAUAAAAAUGGUCAAUUUUCCUCACACACACACACACACACAUACACAUAAACUUAGAAUUUUUGGAAAUAAUGGGAGCAAUGGCCAUGUGAAAAUAUGAGGUUUAUAUCUUGUGGAUUUCCUUUCAGUGUACAAGGCCUGCAUGUAGAAUGGAUAUUUUUUUUUCUAUAUUUGCUUCCCUAAUUUAAAUCUUAUCCUUCAUCAUCAAUUAUGACUAAACAUAAAUAGUAACUGCUAGUUUCUCUUAUGCUUAUGAGGAGAUAAGACCAUGGAUAUUUUAGUCAUUCCACUUUGCUAUUGAUUGUUUCUGUUCUUUUGCGCUAAAUAGUAGUCAAACAUGUUAUUCAUGUAUUUCGUAAGGAUAAGGUCAAGCCUCAUGAUAAGGAUAGGGUCGCGCUAUUCGUCACCCUGGGUGAGGCAUUGUUAUUUUUCACCCACUUCUAUUUUAUCAUCAAUGCACCGUAAAUUUACGUUUCAUAAGUUUUGUCUUAUUUCCGACGCAAAAAGGGACCGUAAGAAAAUAUAUAAUCGCCAUAAAAAAUAUUUUAUGUUAUAUAAAAUUACAAACAUAAAAACAUAGUCUAAAAUACACACAAACUGCAAAUUUUCUUGUCUUAUAACCUAUAUUUUUAUUUUUUUAUGUCAAAUUUUACGUAGUGAAUCAAUAGAAAUAUAACUAUUUGAAUUCGAAAUGUAAUUUAAUUAUGAAAUGAUCGUAAGAUUACCUCGGGUGAAGAAUAACUUAUUCUGCACCCUGAUUGAUGAAUAAUAAAUUUAAUUAUAUUAUAUACAUAUAGGAUAACACUAUUCUAAUCCUAGAAUUAGAAUAGCUAUUUGGAUCACAGCCAGCCCGACCACAUCUUAGUGAGAUCGCGCGAGCAAAAGAAAAAACCCAAAACGCCCCGCCCCGUUUAUCCCCUUGUCGCUCCACCACCACCCCCCGACCUCUGGCCGCCGCCCACCCUGCUCCGGCGCGCCUCCCACCCUCGCCUCCUUCCGAGCGCUCCGCCGGCCCCGCCUUCUUCCAGGCGCGCCGCCGGCCCCGCCUCCUCCUGGCGUGCUGCCACCCCCACCUCUUGCAGCGCGAGGUCGCCGCCACCGCCUACUUCCCGGCGUGCCGCCAGCCCCGCCCCCUUCGGCGCGAGGCCGCCGCCCCCACCUCCUCCUGGCGCGCCGUCGUCCCCUGUACCUGACGCGCCCCCCGGUGCCGCCGGCCCGCAACCCGCCGCCCAGCACCUUCCCGUCGCGCGCCUCCCAACACCGAGGCGCCGCCGCCCACAGGUUCUGUAGAUGCUGACCUGCCACUGCACCGCCGCUGCAACCUGCUGCUCACUCUUCCUCGCACAUGUGUCAGCAACACAAAAGUGGGUCGCUGCAGUCCACCUCCUGCUACAGCAGCAGGACGACUCCUUCAGGACGCAUCUCACACUCAUGGAGGCGGUGCUAUCUCUGGCGAGCUCCUCCAUCCCCGAGCGCGAUGCUUCCACUACUGCGUCCUCCUCACGUUCCCUUCCCCAUCCUUGUGUAUGCUUAUUUCGAUGUGGAAAACUCCAUCAACUAGUUCGCAUCACGUAUCAGGGCACGGCCAUAACAUGCUAGCAAUAUUAUGCUUUGGCUGCUAGUAAUGUGUUUGUGCUAAUGUCUAGUAGGAACUCUAGUUGUACUGAUAAAAGAGAACCAAACCAUCAUAUAAGGGAAAAGUCGCAUCUCUCUAUCUUUGAUCUCUCUAUGAUACAGAUAUGGACGUAUAUGGAAUUAGUAAAAUUCCUCUUUUAUAUUGCUUGUUCAUUAAUCAUUCAUGCAUCGUGUCCUAAAAGAAAUAUAGUGUGCUCUGUUUGAAAAAGCAUGUGGUCAGCACAUGUUUGUUAUUAUAUGGAUCUAAAGGUUUAACAAACAAACACAUUCAGAUUUCUCUUUAUUCGUAUAAAGGUUGGAGUGAGGUAGCGCUUAUUUCCUAUAUAGCUGCUCAUUUUGGAUGCAGUUUGAACAAUCAGGCUAGGGAGCGGUGAGCGUGGGUAGGCUGGCCAAACCUUCCCUCCACUGGGUCAACCGGCAGCGUCGCCCACCACCGUACUGUCCUACGGCAACGGCCCCAACCUGGGCAGGCGUGCUUUCUGCGACAUGCUCCUGCUCAUGGAUGUCUUGGUGAGGUAAAAACUUCUGUUAACUUAACUUAGCUACCUCAACUGAUUGAACUGCAGGGGUUGUGUGCAGUCUGAUGUGGUUCUAGUGUUUGAUUAAUGCAAUUUGGAAGAACUUGCGUCUCUAAAAUUCAAACUCUGCAUUUUGGUGUAUUUUUAUUUAGAAGUUCAGGUCAUCAUAAGUUGCUUCGGUUUAGCUAGUUACUGUUGUGAAAAAGUUCAGCUCGUCAUAUUUGAACAUCGGAAGAAGAGCUGCUAUAGUCUCCUGCUAUAUGCUUGUUAUAUUCCUAAAUAGUACAGGCUCAACCAAAGCAAGUAGUUAUAGUCUCCUGCUAUAUGCUUAAAUAGUACAUUUUUUCUGUAUUCUUGUUCGGAAGUUCAGGUCAUUCAAAGAGACCAAAUAGUACAGGCUCAACCAAAUAGUGAAAAGUCUACUAGAGUCGAAAAAAUAUAAUGAUACAAAAAUGCAACUCUGCACUUUCCUCAAAAUGGUCAUCAUAUUCUUAAGAAGAUUGGGAUUGCACUAUUUGUUUGAGCUAGUACUACCAGACUGAACAAAUUGCAGAGUUGGAUUUUAGAGCCUGGACAUUUUCAGACAUUUUCAAAAGUGGUCAAUUGAACCUGAACCAAAAAGAUUGACCUGAAAUUCGUUUGGGCUAGUUACUACCAGACUGAAAAAAUUGUAAUAGGUGGAUAAGUGGUAUUGUACUAUUUUCUAUUGUGUGGUAAUGCUCGUACCCCAUGGCCAUGGAAGGUUCAGAUGUUGUGCUCUUCUUUUCUAGCUGAUUCAUGUUCUAUUUGGUAGCUUUAAUGAUAUUCUAUACACUGAUGGCGAGAGUUCAACCAUGGCUAUACGCCAAGUUCUACUAUGGCUAUAUGUCGGCCAUCGUGAAGUCCUACUAUAGCUAUAUGCCAAGUUUAAUUAUGGCUGUAUGCUUGUGCUUCCAGGCUACUAUUGAACGUGUCUUGGCCUUCAUUUUUACGGGUUAUAGUCUCCUGCUAUAUGCUUGCUUUUGCUAUCAGCAUGUUCAUGCAAGUGCCUCUGAAUAAUCUGAAAUUUAAACUUGUACCUAAAACUGAACUUCUACCUCUUUGCUACAGGUGCGGUCGUCGGAGUCCUUUAAGUGCUUGCACUAGUGCUUCUAACUUGUCCAUGAAGGCACUGCAUGGUGUGCCACCUCCCGUCUGCCGCCGCAGCUGCCAUGUGUCCUUGCGACCUCUGCGGCCAGUCACCAACGCCCUAUGAGUGCGCCCUAAGUGUGGCAUGGGGAACAUGCUAAUGUGUGUGUUUCUGCACUGGUGUGUGCGUGCAUGCUCACGUUUAUGCGUGACUGAGUGUGCUGCUUGUGUGCUGUGAUGUAUGUUGUAUAGAUUUUUAUGAAGUUCAUGUUGUGAACCCAACUUAAUUAGAACACAAAAGUUUAGAUCGCAGCUGCUUUGAAUUAUGUAGUGUUUCUAAAUAGCUUCUUGUCUGAAGUUCAGUCGUACAUGUGGGUGCAAGAAAGUUAGUGUCGGAGCCAGAAAAACUGACUUUGAGCAACUGUUGGGUAUUUAUAUAAAAACAUUGUGUGUAGCAAUUCGUUGUGUUUAUUGAAAAAUGAAAAGACAGAAGUUCACCAUGCAAAACUUUCACAGUCCAAUUGGUAUUAAGAAGGCAGAAAUAUAAAACAACAGUGAAGUUCACUAAAAAUGCAACUUUUCACAUUGCGAAGAAACAAUAAUUAACUUCUCAGUGUACAAUUUAGUUUUUGUUUCUCUUUUCCAAAAAAUAAGAAUAGAAGUAAUAUGUGGAAGCUAUUUGUGUUUAUGUCUCAAAUUAGAAUAAUUAUAAGAAUUGCCUCUAUAUGUGCUAUGUGUUACACACCUUUCCGAAUCAAAAGAGAUUAGAUUCAUCCAUGAGUAAGGUAGGUACAAUUAUUUUUAAACAGUUCAAUUGCUCGAUAGAUGUAUGUCCAGAAAAAUAAAAGAUAGUUCAACACAAUAUAAACCCAUGAGAUUGCAAAAAAUCUUUGGAUUAAGUGGAUGAGAACCAAUAAGUUCAUAUAUGAAACCUUGGGGAGUUCAAAAAAAGUUAAAAAGGUUCGAUGUUUGUUGCGAAGCUAGGAUUUUCUUCAUUACUAAUGAAUAAAUCAAGAAGUUCAAAUUAAAAAAGGAUGAGCGGUUCGAUGUUUAUUACGAACCUAGAAUUUUUUCCGUUACUAAAAGAAAUAAUACCAACAAGUUCAAAUUAAAAAAAUCGAGUAGUUUGAUAUUUCUUUGAAAACUCAAAUUUUUCCGGUUAGUAAAUAAUAAAACCAAUAAGUUCAAUUCAAAAUAACGAAGAAGUUCAACUUUUAAAAGCAAAGCAAUUUGAUAUUCAUUUAAAAACUCAAUUUUUUCGGUUACUAAAGAAUAAGACCAACAAGUUCAAUUCAAAGUAACGAAGAAGUUCGAUGUUUCUAACAAAACUCCAAUUUUCACAUUUCUAAAAACUCCAAUUUUAGGUGAGCCCAAUUUUUGUGUGGAUGUGUUGUGCAUGUGCUUGUGCGUAGUACAUUUAAUAGAACAAAAACACUAUUAUGGGUGCCCUCUAAAUGUUUGUCCUAUUGCUUAUGAGAAUUGACCCGAAUUUUCCUAUUGUUUUUGCACAUGUUGGAUUCAAGGGAAAAUGUGUAUAAAACAGGUGUGAUUUCAGAAGUUCAGGUGUAACGAACAUCGAAGUCCAAACCAAAAGAAUGUAAACAAAAAAAUCAUGGAAUUCAAAAGAAUAAAUACUAUCGAGUUUCAUGAAAGAAAAUAGCAUGCGAAGUUCAUGUUUCAGAAAGUUUGAAGUUCACGUGUACCACAUACAGAAGAAAAAUGAUCAAAUGAAAAAAGGGACCGCCUAGGCCAUUUCACCGAAAAGCAAAAAAUGCAUAAAAUGUCACGACAAAAUUCUAUAAGAAGUUCCAAUUUAAAAGCCGAAGUAGGUCAACGUUAAAGAAAAUGAAGUUUUUAAUAUCUAAAAGAAAAUUUUGGAAGCUCAACAAAUUUGUGCAAGGAGUUAAAAAAAUUAGUUGAAAAAUAUUUAUAACGGAUUUUCCCCGUGUAUAAAAAAAUCAGAGAAGUUCAAAUUAAAAAGAGGAGCAUUUCAAAAGAUUGUAUAAAAACUGAUUUACUCAAAAUAGAUAAAGGUGAAGUUCAAAUUGAAAUAACGGAGAUGUUCGGAGUUUAUUAAAACCUAGAAUUUACCUGUUCGAAAAAUAAAAAACACAACACCAUUUUUUUGCACUUUUAGAGACAACUCAUAAACGAAAAAAUGGUUGCUGGAAGUUCAAGUGCUCGGUGAGGAAAAGUUCAAAAAAUUCUUGUAAGAGAGGUUCACCGUGUAUUUAGAUGUCCAAAAUACAUAAAAAAUAUGUUGUUUUUUGUGUUUUAAAAUAAUUCUCUCAAACCAGAGAGAAGUUCAAAGUGAUAAUAGCCGGAAGUUCACGUACUACAUGGUGUGUAUUUCAUAUAAGAAAAAUAGAAUAAAGUGAAACAGAGUAAAGUUCAAACGGACAUGCCCUAGAAGUUCAACUACUUCACGUAGUGCAAAAAAAUAUCACAUCAAAAAUAGAGUGAGGACAGACAUGCCUGAGAAGUUCAACUACUUCACACAGUGUGUUUCCAUUCGCAAUGAAGGCAGAAAUCAUGAUCUCGUCAUUUCUCUAAUUUACUUCAAAACGAUAGGAAUAUCAUUUGUGUAAGUUCAAGUCCUCGGUCGGAGAAAGUUAAAAAAAUAUUGUGAGAGAGGUUUGUACAAAAAGAAUAUCAUUUGUGUAACACUGACGAAAUGGAUGAGAAAAUUACAAACAAAAAACGUCACAGAAGUUCAACGUGAAAACAACAGGAAGUUCGACUACUAUAGUGAAUGAAUUUGAGAUGAAAAACUUUUAAAAUCAUCGCGAGUAUGAAAAAACGAUCAACACGGGAAAGUUAUGUGCUUACAGCAGCUUUCCACCGGUAUAUCACUUUCUCAAUUCCGGUGAGUGGAUGGAGAGUUACGAGCAGUGGAUGGAGACCUACGAGCAAAAAAAUCACGUGAAAAACAGAGUGAAGUUCAGGUACACGCGCCGAGAAGUUCAGGUUCUUCACGCGGUGCAUUUUCGAAGAAUCUGUUUGACGAUAAAGGCAGAACGCAUGAUCUCGCCAUUUUCGAAAUUACUUGAAAAUGGCUAGGAAUCAGAGAAAACCAUCAACAUGAAAAAGUUUUGCAAUUUCCGUAGCUUUUCAGCGGUAUAUUAUUUGCCCCAUUCCGAUAAAGUUUGUAGAAAUUACGGCGAAAAUACGUUUUUCGCCAUUUUCGAAACUGACUUAAAACUGUAAAGAAUUGGGAGAAACAAUACAUACCAAAAAGUUUCACAUUUGUUCAAGAUUUCCAAAGCCAUAACAUUUGCUGCAUUCGGACAGACGGUUAAAAAAUUAGAUCAAAAAUACGAACUCGGUAGGACUAGGACCAUUUUCUAAAUUACUCUUAAACCAUUCAAAAUUAGAAAAAAACUUUCAAGAUGAAAAAGUAGCGCAUUUUCAUAAGCUUUACAAUGCCGUAUCAUAUGCCUCUAUUGGAUUAGCCGUUUAGAAAUGACAUCGAAAAUACGAACUCAGCUGUUCGAUUUACGAAAUUUUACGUUUUUUCAAAUUACUCUUUAACUAUAGGGAAUUAAAGAAAACUUUCAACAUGUGGAAGGAGCGGUUUUGCAGCAGCUUUCCAACGCCAUAUUAUAUGCCUCAUUAAGAUAAACGGUUUAGAAAUGCGGUCGAAAAUACGAUUCACGUUUUUUGUGCGAAGAAAAAACGGUUUUCAAAACUGCUCUUAAACCGCUUAUAUUUUGCCAAAAAUUUAAGUUGGAUAAUGAUACUGAUGUUCAAAACUUUCCAACGGUAUAUAGCAAGCCUCAUUUGGGCAAUGUUGGCGGAAGUUCAACCUAGUUCAUAGGGAAGUUCAGCGUACUACUAGCGGGGCAGGUCAGGUUGUGAUCAGAAUAUUAUUCUGAUCCCGUGAUUAGAAUAGUGUUUAUAUAUAUAUAUAUAUAUAUAUAUAUAUAUAUAUAUUAUAUUUGCCACAUUAACUUUAAGAGUUCAAUAUUAAUAUUUUCAUACAUAUCAAGUGAUAUUGGCGACCUUUUUUACCAUCAAAUCCUCGCGCACACACGCUAGUGCAUAACAAUAUGAAUUAUAUGUAUUAUAUUUGCCACCACAGCUGUGGGUAUUAAUUUCAUGUAAAUCGGUCAAUCACAGCUCCCAGAAUAUGCGAAGGAGGUGGCCUGAAUCGGCGUCGACGCCGUCCAGUGCGGGCCACGGGCCCGCUUCACUAGUAGAAAAAGGGCCUAUUGUCCCGGUUCGUAAGGGCCUUUUGUCCCGGUUCCUGAACCGGGACUAAAGGAUCGGUACUAAUUCCCUGUCCCUUUAGUCCUAGUUCAAUCCAGAACCGGGACAAAUGGGCCUCCACGUGGCCUGUGCGCGGAGCCCAGGCAGGAGGGCCUUUGGUCCUGGUUGGUGGCACCAACCGGGACCAAUAGGCAUCCACGCAUCAGCAUUUCUGUGGCUGGGGUUUNNNNNNNNNNNNNNNNNNNNNNNNNNNNNNNNNNNNNNNNNNNNNNNNNNNNNNNNNNNNNNNNNNNNNNNNNNNNNNNNNNNNNNNNNNNNNNNNNNNNNNNNNNNNNNNNNNNNNNNNNNNNNNNNNNNNNNNNNNNNNNNNNNNNNNNNNNNNNNNNNNNNNNNNNNNNNNNNNNNNNNNNNNNNNNNNNNNNNNNNNNNNNNNNNNNNNNNNNNNNNNNNNNNNNNNNNNNNNNNNNNNNNNNNNNNNNNNNNNNNNNNNNNNNUAGGUGUUUCAUAUAUUGUGUUAGCUAGCUAUAAUUAAUAGAGAGAAGUGUCCUCUCUUAUGUCCAUGCUUGGUCGGCGCUACGUACUAUACAUACGUAUAGAGAGGACUAGACAGGCUAGCUAGCUAGUUAGAAAACGAAGGAAACAGAAGAUCGUCAUGAACAUAUAUGCAUAGAGAGAGAAGUGAUAUCGACCACCUCUCCUUCUCCGAGAGAUUGGUCGAACAACAAGUUCUCGUAUAUCUAUCCGACACUACCGGCUACAUAUAUACAAUAAUUAUCUCUUACAAAUAUAAUCUCCUAACAUACGGACUCAUGGUCCACAUAGUAUUCUCCGUCUUCAGCGAUCACGUGGUCAAGAAAGAAUGCCGACAAUUCCUUUUGAAUUGCUCGCAUGCGAGCUGGUGCUAGGAGUUCAUCUCGCUUCCGAAACAUCUAAUUUGAAGAAGGGGCCGGGGUCAAUACAUAUAUAUAUGAAUGAAUGAAACUAAACACAAAUGAUGGUAAUAAAAUAAAAUUGUGAAUGUUGUUAUUUGCGCACUUCAUAUUGUUCAUCAGAGUAGCCCCGCUCACAGGCCGUGUGGUAGAUGGACUCGCAAACGUAGUAUCCACAGAAAUCAUUCCCUUGUAACUGCCACAACCCCUUUACAAGAAAUAGAGGUCAAUCAAACUGAUAAGCAAGAAUGCCAAAUGGUAUUGAUGAAACUAGCGCUUGAAUCAAUAGGAGAUGCGCGGAACAUGCUACUAUAGUACUUACUUUGGGGUGUCUAAAUUGCAGCUUCUCCGGGAGUCCCGGAGCUUUUUUGGUGAAUUUUUUCCAAACCCUGCCAGACAAAGAAAACAGUUACUUGAUAUAUCAGGAAAUGAACAAAGUUGCUGAUAUGGUGGAUAAUGAUCGAUUUAACUUACUUCUCGAGCAUUUGAGUCAUGUCCGCAUAGUCCUGGGGAUCUUUUCGUCUUGAGUCUAAGACGGUUACUAGUCCCUGCUCAAGCUUAAUCUCUAGGAGAAUAUAGUGGAAACUGCACACGCAUGCAUAACUCAUCAAUUACAUUACUAUAACCUUGACUAAUAUAUAAGGGAAACCGAAUAUGCACAAGACAGUAACACUCACUUGAAGUUGUAAGGAAAAAGUAUUAUAUCUUUGUUUUCAUUUAUUACCAACGAUCGUAGCAAGUUGGCCUCGGUAUCCGCGACAUGAAAUUUAACCUCAGUUGCAUCUAUGAUAUUUGUGUUAAUGAACCCAAUAUCACCGAUUUGUCUUUUCUUCAAUUCGACGAUCUUCAAUCUGCAUAAUAUAGUGAGGAUAAUUAUAAAUACAUGCAAUGAAAGAGCUGAGCUAUAUAGAGAGACUUAAUGACAGAAGUAGUACUACUUACAGACAGUAGCAGGUGACCGUUGCUUUAUCGAGGGCCAAUUGAUUGAAAAACUGAAAGAACUCCUCAAAUGGAACAGGUAACAAACACUAGUAGAAAAAGGGUCAAACGUGAAGCACAUUAGUGCCGGUUUGUAAAAAGACCGGCACUAAUGUGAUCAAUAGUGCCGGUUCGAAUGGCUAUGCAUUAGUGCCGGUUCGUAAUGAACCUUUAGUACCGGUUCAUGCCACGAACCGGUACUAAAGGGGUGGUGGCAGGCUGGCGUCAGGCCAGGCCCCACGAGCCCCUUUAGUGACGGUUUGUGACACAAACCGGUACUAAAGGUCUAACCUAUAGUACCGGUUUGUGUCACCAACCGGCACUACAAAGUCUUAACCUAUAGUCCCGGUUGAAGACACAAACCGACACUAUAGGGCAAUUUUCAAACUCUACCCCCCCCCCCGUGUAUCGCCAUUUCAGUUUUGAAAAAAUCAAAAGAAAAUGAUAAAAACUUCAAAAAAUAAAAUCCUUCGAGAGGUAGUUAUAUUACUACAUCUACUAGUUAGGAAAAUUUGAAAACUUAAAUUUGGACAUGUUUUGCAAAAAGUGUAGGGAAAAUGUAAAACGGCUAUAACUUUUGCAUAUGAUGUCGGAAAAAACGUAUAAUAUAUCAAAAAAUUCAGCACGAAAAUCCUCAAAUUCCAAAAGGAAAAAAAGAUAUGGUCAAAUUUAAGUUUUUUUUAAAAAAAAUUGGUUAAAUCUGGUCAAACUACUUAUUCAAGAAGUGUUAAUGUUACUACAUAAUUAUUCAAGAAUAUUAGUGUUACUAAAUAAUUAUUUCAAUUUUUUGAAUUUUGGUCAAAUCUGGUCAAACUAUGGUCAAACUGUGGUCAAACUAUGGUCAAACUUAUUCAAGAAAUAUUAGCGUUACUAAAUAAUUACUGUUUUUUUAGAAUAAUAGUUUCAAACUCAAACGGUGAAAUGUGUGACUUCAUGCUCAAGCUAAACUCCUGAGGGUUAAUAGGAUUAACAUCUUACUAUCAUCACGAAAACAACAAGUGCAGACAUGGAAACGAAGGAGAAUAGAACCCGAAAGUUAAGCGUGCUCGGGCUGGAGUAGUGAGAGGGAUGGGUGACCGGUCGAGAAGUUAGAUGAUUUGGAAUGAGUGAUCCACACUUGAGCAGUUAAGAGAGGUGAUUAGAGACUAAAUCAUCAAAUAAUUUAGAAAAAUUAAAAAAAUCAAAUUAAUUUUCAAAAAAAAUAUUCAAAAAAAAAACCAUUAGUACCGGUUGGUAACACCAACCGGUACUAAAGGUCCCCCAUACCAGGGCGUGAACUCACGCCACGUGGUGGCACUUUAGCGCCGGUUCGUGCCGAACCGGUACUAAAGGGGGGGGGGGCUUUAGUGCCGGUUCCAUAACCGGCACUAAAGGCACUUACAAACCGGUUUUAAAGCUCCGUUUUCUACUAGUGAAAUCAAUUCCAACGAGGUCAUGCUCCUUUUUAACUCUCACAUACAAAGUACUCCUCCCCUAGACUCUCUGCAGAUUUUCAAGUACCAAUCAUGCAAUCUUUGCAUCAUCGUUGAUAGAGAUCUUUCAUCUUUGACGAGAGGCUUCCCGUACUCGUAUCUUUGUAUCUGCACCUCCAUGAAAUCAUAAUGUACAUCGUCGGGCAGGUAAUCUCCAAGAUUGCUAUAACCGGGCACCAUCCUCGGAUCAUUAGCGACGAUGUCGCUAGGUACCUUGAGCGGGGGGGGGGGGGCACGAUUGCUUCCCUUGUUCGCCAAGCUGGGAAAUUUGUUUCCCAACUCGUCGUUCUUUCAGCCUUUGAUCACUGACAGUACUUCCCGACCGCUCCGCUUCGGCAAAUUCCUUUCCAAUAAUGCGCUCAUAGUUUCCUUUCGGUGGAGACUUGGGUGGUUUUGUUAGGGCAGCCAGAGUGCGCUUCGCUUUCACCGGAUCUACCUUCUCCUCCAGAGGUGGAUGUUUCUUUGCUUUCACCCCUUCAAAGAAGUUCCUGACUUCUUCUCGCACGAUCUCGGCGUUCUCCUCCGGGGUCCUCUCGUAUGGUAACUUCUCUGGAGUCUUUAGAGAAGGACCGAAUCUGUAUGUCCUCCCGCCUCUGGCUGUACUGCUAGACGCCGGCAGAGCAGACGGAGCGGUUGUCUUCUUUACUUGCUUACGAGGCAGAGGAGAAGGACUACGACGCACCAGAGCAGCCGGAGCGGCCGCAGGUCUCUUCCGCCCUUGCUGACGAGGCGGAGAAGGAGGAGGCUGGCUGCUCGGGCGCGCCGGCGCAGGCGGAGAAGGAGGCGGAGUGCCGCCACGCGCCGGAGAAGGAGCCGGCCGAGUGCCCUGAUAGUCACUCGCCAGAGGAGGAGGCGGUGGAGGGGGCGGAGUGCCCUGACUCGCCGAAGGAGGAGGAGGAGGCGGAGGCAUCCAAUUCGGAAGGUUCAUGACCUCCUUCCGCCAUAGGCAUGGAGUCUUCAGAGCAGAACCCAGCCGAGUCUCCCCUUCACCGGUAGGGUGGUCAAGCUGGAGGUCCUCAAAUCCCUCCGUUAUUUCAUCCACCAUCACCCUAGCAUAUCAUUCUGUAAUCGGCCGGCAGUGAAAAGUUGCGCUGGGUUCAGUAGGAAAAACAGAGCCAAUAGCCGCCUUGACCUUCAUAUUAACCCAUUGCGUCAUAAGGUGGCAAUUAUGAGACUCCGUGAUAGCAUCCACGGGAUAGCUGGCAGGAGCCGUCAAGACAUGCUCCUGCUGAAGCAGCUCGGUGGAAGCCAUGCUGCUUCUCCGCUGAGAUGGCGGGGUAGCUUCGGCAGUUCGUUUUGUGCGAUUUGCUUCUCGUUCCUCUAUUGCUUGUACCCUAGCGUGCAGCGCCUGCAGUUGGGUCUGCUCCACUUUCUUCCUCCUCUCGUGGCAUUUGUAACCGCCUGCGUCCGGAAACCCAGCCUUACACGGAAUGGAGCCUGGCGUGCCUCAUGUCCGUCCAGGGUGUUCAGGAUUCCCGAGGGCCAUUGUGAGCUCGUCGUUCUCUCUGUCUGGAACAAACAUACCUUGCUGCGCUGCUUCGAUAUAGUGCUUAAGCCUCUUGACUGGUAUUUCCAUUUGCUCGUCCGUCCAAAUGCACUUUCCUGAUACAGGGUCCAAGGUUUCACCAGCCCCGAAGAACCAAGUCCGGUAACGGUCUGUCCAGUUAAUUGUCUCUGGUUCGAUCCCUUUAUCAACCAGAUCAUUCUCAAUCUUGGCCCACUUAGGCCGAGCUGCCAGGUAGCCACCUGACCCCGUGCGAUGGUGAUGCUUCUUCUUCACAGCAUUUUGCUUGUUUGUCGACGACAUCUUCUUACUCUUUUCCGAUGUCUUGUGGGCCACAAAUGCGGGUCAGUGAUCUCUGAUCUUCUCAUAUCUGCCCUUGAAUUCCGGUGUCUCUUUAUUUUCGACAAACUUAUUCAGCUCUUUCUUCCACCUCCUGAAUAGUUCUGCCAUCCUCUUAAGAGCAAAAGACUUGAUUAAUUGCUCUUUAACUGGCUUCUCCGGAUCAUCCUCUGGCUGUAGGGUGAAAUUUGACUUCAGCUCAGUCCAAAGAUCAUUUUUCUGCAUAUCAUUGACAUAAGACACCUCAGGGUCUUCUGUAGCCGGCUUUAACCAUUGCUGCAUGCUGAUCGGGAUCUUGUCCCUAACCAAAACCCCGCACUGAGCAACAAAUGCGCUCUUUGUCCGGAUAGGUUCAUUCGGUUGGCCCUCGGGCGCGAUUGCUAUGAUCUCAAACUUUUCAUCCGAGCUCAACUUUUUCUUCGGGCCUCGUCUCUUUACCGAAGUUGUGCUCGAUCCGGAGGGCUAGAAAAAAGAACAAAGACUUAAUUAAUAUGUGUACAUACCAAAACAAUGAAUGCAUCAAUUAGCUAGUCAGCAGAAGCUUAACUAAUACUAGAUCAUUGAUGGUGCGUGUUGUUGCGCCCAUCUAUUUUGGAUCUUGGUUGUUAAGGAUAUAACAUUGCUAGUAUACAUUUCUUGCAUUGUUUUAAAAUAUUAUGCUUUCUAUAGCAUGUACUUCUCUUUAUUUUCAAAAUAAUGGUAUGUAAAUCAUCUUCAUUGGGGCAACAUUACAACUUCCAUAUCAACAUAAGCUUAGAUAUAAAUAGGGCAGUGCCAUAAGCCAACCUAUCCAUAUCCACGUUAUAAUAAUGGAUGGCUAUGUACAUUUUUGUUCAAGCAUAGUACAAGCUUGUUGCAGUUGCAUAGGAACAUAGACUUAAACAUAAUAUAAACUUGAAAUGUAUAAUGAUGGAAGAAGGCGGCAUGACAGUAUAUUAUACUUGGAAAACAAAUUGUACGAUGGAGUAGAGCGAACUGGAGAAGAUGUAGACCUCAAAUAGGCACCAGAAACACUGCACCAAAAUUUCUAUGAUUAUGGAUACAUCCAACAUGGCGGACGGUCAGAGGGCAUGAGAAGUAUAAUCAUAUACUAUCUAAGAAAAUCAAGACUCUUGAUUAUUACAUCAAAAGCAAGGCACAGAACAAGCUUACAUAUCGUAUUGUUCGUGCUAACACAAAUAAUAAUAUCUUCUAACACACGAAUGUAAUUUGGCCAAAAGAUAAUUUCUUCAUACGAAUUCCAACGUCACUACAUUUUUUUUCAUUGGGGCUUAAAAAUUGUUUGACCGUUUUACAUGAGAUAGAAAGAACUGACUGAACCGAGCAACAAAAGGCAACAAAAACACAAAUCAGUUUCCUCUCAUUCUCUGCCUACAUCAUAUUUUUUUUCCUGUAAAUAUAUCUUGUGAUUCAUCAUUGUUUCAGACCGUAAGGGCCGGAAGCUCUACCUAAGGCGGCUGCCAUACAAGGAUACACACAGCUUCGCCUUAAACACCCUCCUUGUGGCGAUGCUUAGAAAGGGAAUAACCUCAUGUAUUACCUUGCUCGGAAUAGCCAUGUUUUCAAAUCCCAACUAAUCCACCUUAAUCCUAACAUCAAAUGAACACAACAUUAACUUGAGAUCAGACGCUAUGGAGUCAGAGUGAUUGCAUGACUCGAGGCACAAGGCAACAGGCUGGGGUGAAGGCGUGGCAGCUGCAUGCCACCACGAAACACCGGCGAGCAGAGAACCGGAAGAUACAUAAUCGUUUAUGUCUUAUGAGUUAAUUUCUCCACUCAUUGCACGCUACAAAACAUUAGCGAGUAUACAUAGGAUGUCCCUUUCUGAACAACUACAUAAUAUAUAAAUUCCAAUUGCAUUAGGGAUUUCAUCUAGAGUAUAUUCCCUGAAUUAUUUGAAAUGAAGUAAUGGUUUUUCUAAUCCUACUUUGACCUGGAGCAUCACUCUGAAACAUCAGGGAACACACACAUCUUCAGAAGUAGCAGCAGUAGCUAAUGUGAAAAGUUCACUGGAAUGCUAGGAUACUAAAAAAGCUAGUACAUCCCAAUAGCCAAAGAACAUAACAAAAUUUGGCAUCAUGUGUCAAGUAGCUCACAGUGGGCAUAAAUUUGUACAUUAUAUGUCCCUUUAUUAACUCACUUGUCUCUGAUUUUUAACUAUUAGGAAAUAAUAGUGGUCAUCAAAAUUAGAAUAUAUUGUAAUGCUCUAGAAUAGGAUCUAAUUGUUGGGAGUUGUUACCUGAGGGAAUCCUUGCGGGGAGCUGAGCAUAGGAACCAAUGCUGUUCCGCACUGUCCACGUGACUGACCACCGUGCUGCCUCCAUGAGCCGAUGUGGAACUUCUACCAACAAGUGAUUUGUACAUGACUGCUCAAGCAAACUAAACCACUAAAUCCAAAGGGGAUUCGUUCCAGAAAGGUGCAACACCUUGAGAAAUCUACGUGUAGAAUUGAAGAGGGGAGAGUAUCAGGAGGUAAACCUAGAGAACCUGCAUAGUUUGUGAGUACAAAGAACAGUAUGAGUAAAAUAAAUUUCAAAAAUUGGAUUAGAUGAAGAAUCAGGUGAAGAGGAGAUAAAGGAAAGAACCAUCACCCAUUGCUGCACGAGAGUGGUUUUCAGAAGUAAGGGGAGUAGGGAAGGAGCAACAGCACUUUGGAUCGUAUAUUCGUAUAUGCGCGCGAGUGAAUUGAAGUAAAAAGCAUGAAUCAUCAGACCUGCAAUAAUCUUCAGUUUAGCCGGUUCAUCAAUUGCCAUUAAUCGAUCCUGAUUAAAACCUCAACGAAUCGAUGGCUAGUGAAUUUCAAUCGACAGCGGCUGUUCGCGGCCCUGACCAUCUCCCUAUUGCGUCACCGACCAGGACGCCGUUCGGUCGCUCGGCGAGGAGCGCCGUGUCAGUCGGACCUGAAGCACAGUGGCCAUGAGACACCAUCGGUCGCGUCGAUCCGACCCCAACACGGCCGCCAUCACUACUGCCCAGAUUCUGCUGCCAGCCGACAGCAGCAACCGUGCGAAACUGCGAACCAAAGGAUCUGGCGACGACGCGCCUGAGAACUCUAGAUAUGGCUUGAAAACCAGAAAUAUGCUUCACGGAUGUAGAGCGUGUUUGGUUGAGUUCCAGGAGCAAAAUUGCCUGGCCUGAGACCUUCCUGGGUUGUGCCUGCUUGUUGUUUGGAUAGUAGCCUCAAAUCACAGGCAUGUUCCUGGCCUGGAGUUGACAUGCACCUGAUUAGCCUGGGUAGAUCACAGGCAGCUUGAUUAGCCUGGAUGAGGCCAACGGAACCAGACGCCUGGCCUCCAGGCAGAUGCGUUUUGCGUCAAUUAGCAAGUUGUAUACUGUACUUUUUGUCAACUCAGCCGUCCCAUCUAAUUAUUUAAUAUUUAAGUACGUGUCCCAGGCCAGGUUUGCAACCAAACAUCACAUGCACACAGCAGCCUGGCCAGGCAAAAAUCCUCCUUCUCCCAGGCUACUAUCAGGCAUCAACUUUUGCUAGGCAUCACACCCAGGACAUGAACCAAACAUGCCCGUAGUGCGUCACUGACCUGGGGAUGAGCUCGUCGCCGGCUCGAGAAAAAGUCGCUCCCUGCUGCGCUUUUGGGGAAGAUAGGAAAUGUAGAAGAAUGAGCCAAUCUAGUGAAUCCCGUGGAACUUAAUGGAACCUGCACUCAUUUGGGAGCACAAAGAACAACAUCAAUUGAAAAAAAUUCAUGCAGAAUUUGGGGGAGAGUAGAGGUACCAACGAGGGAACACUUGUAAAAGGCCAGUAGCGGAGACUAAUUAUCGUCCUGUCAACCAUGGCAGCCUGCAAGUAAAAGGAGGAGAAUGAGGAAGGAGAAGCUCCACGAUGGAGAUUAAAUGGACGCAAUUGAAUGGAUGUUGUAACUGAGCCCAGUUAUUGGCCACCGGUGAGUGCGCCUCAUCGAUUGCAAAUUUGCCAUUAUAAUGGUCCGCUGCAACUAUGAAUUGAGUCCCGAAUCGCGGGCAACUGGAGGCAACCGACAGGGGACGAUCCGUUGCCCCGGAUACCUCCUGCUGGCGUCGCCCAGCGAGGCAACCCGGCCGGUCGCGUAGGUCGAGGCACAUCCGGUCGGUCCAAUCGACCUCGCAUCGGCACUGUUUUUUUUUCUCGCAUCAGGACUGGAUGAACGCUCAUCGGUCGCUCGUGUGUAACCCUAGUCGAUGGAACCGCACAAGUGGACCUUCUUCAGCGAAGCCCGUGGGCUGGAAUGGGCUGGCCGACGGCCCAGUUAACCACAGGGCUACGUUUUGGCCUGCGGAGCAGAAGCCCCAGGACAGCCGGCCCAGUUUUUAUCAGAUGUGGGACAGAUUGCUUUAAACAGGAGAUCCGACGACCAAAAACGUCUAGAUCGUGCAAACGGAUGGUCAGAAACGCGAAGCGCUGAGAGAGCUCGCUUUAGGUGCAGUUGUAUUGUACUUAAUAUAUACCUGGCCGGACUCGGUUCGGUCACCAGAGACGUCAUCACGGUCUCCUUCUUGCACCGGCAUUGUGUCACCGGAGCCGUCCUCACGGUCUCCUUCUUGCACCGGCAUUAGGUCACCGGAGCCAUCAUAAUCAUAGCCAGCUGCUUCCAUACCAUCGGUGUCGUUGAGAAACAACGAGCAGACGGCAUCCCUUCCUCGUGCGAUUAUGUCCCCCAACAACUCUUCUUGUACUUCGUCUCGGGCGGUGUCCAUAGUUUCUACAAAUAUUUAUAACAUGGCAAUUAUUAUUCAAACAUGACAGAUGGAUAUAUUAGUGGCAAACGUAGAACUAAUAUUAAUUAGUGGCCUCGACGCUACUUCUCUAGGGUUUGGGGUGGCCUCGACGCUGCUUCUCCAGGGUUUGAAGUGGCCUCGACAACGCUUCAAGGAUAAAAAAAGAAGAGGAAGAAGAAAAAAAGGGGAGAAGAAAGAAUAGAUCCUCUUUUUUUUUCUUCUUCUUCCUCUUUUUUUUUAUCGGGAACGAGGGUCGUCGACGCCCACGUCACUUGUGGGACGUGGAUGUAGUGUCCGACACCGAUGGCCACAUGUAUCUCACACCCACGAUACUUACUAUUUAGGGUUUCCUCUACCGCUCGGCGACCCUGACCCUCGACGACCCUCGUUUCNNNNNNNNNNNNNNNNNNNNNNNNNNNNNNNNNNNNNNNNNNNNNNNNNNNNNNNNNNNNNNNNNNNNNNNNNNNNNNNNNNNNNNNNNNNNNNNNNNNNNNNNNNNNNNNNNNNNNNNNNNNNNNNNNNNNNNNNNNNNNNNNNNNNNNNNNNNNNNNNNNNNNNNNNNNNNNNNNNNNNNNNNNNNNNNNNNNNNNNNNNNNNNNNNNNNNNNNNNNNNNNNNNNNNNNNNNNNNNNNNNNNNNNNNNNNNNNNNNNNNNNNNNNNNNNNNNNNNNNNNNNNNNNNNNNNNNNNNNNNNNNNNNNNNNNNNNNNNNNNNNNNNNNNNNNNNNNNNNNNNNNNNNNNNNNNNNNNNNNNNNNNNNNNNNNNNNNNNNNNNNNNNNNNNNNNNNNNNNNNNNNNNNNNNNNNNNNNNNNNNNNNNNNNNNNNNNNNNNNNNNNNNNNNNNNNNNNNNNNNNNNNNNNNNNNNNNNNNNNNNNNNNNNNNNNNNNNNNNNNNNNNNNNNNNNNNNNNNNNNNNNNNNNNNNNNNNNNNNNNNNNNNNNNNNNNNNNNNNNNNNNNNNNNNNNNNNNNNNNNNNNNNNNNNNNNNNNNNNNNNNNNNNNNNNNNNNNNNNNNNNNNNNNNNNNNNNNNNNNNNNNNNNNNNNNNNNNNNNNNNNNNNNNNNNNNNNNNNNNNNNNNNNNNNNNNNNNNNNNNNNNNNNNNNNNNNNNNNNNNNNNNNNNNNNNNNNNNNNNNNNNNNNNNNNNNNNNNNNNNNNNNNNNNNNNNNNNNNNNNNNNNNNNNNNNNNNNNNNNNNNNNNNNNNNNNNNNNNNNNNNNNNNNNNNNNNNNNNNNNNNNNNNNNNNNNNNNNNNNNNNNNNNNNNNNNNNNNNNNNNNNNNNNNNNNNNNNNNNNNNNNNNNNNNNNNNNNNNNNNNNNNNNNNNNNNNNNNNNNNNNNNNNNNNNNNNNNNNNNNNNNNNNNNNNNNNNNNNNNNNNNNNNNNNNNNNNNNNNNNNNNNNNNNNNNNNNNNNNNNNNNNNNNNNNNNNNNNNNNNNNNNNNNNNNNNNNNNNNNNNNNNNNNNNNNNNNNNNNNNNNNNNNNNNNNNNNNNNNNNNNNNNNNNNNNNNNNNNNNNNNNNNNNNNNNNNNNNNNNNNNNNNNNNNNNNNNNNNNNNNNNNNNNNNNNNNNNNNNNNNNNNNNNNNNNNNNNNNNNNNNNNNNNNNNNNNNNNNNNNNNNNNNNNNNNNNNNNNNNNNNNNNNNNNNNNNNNNNNNNNNNNNNNNNNNCGGGACUAAAGGGGGGCAUUGGUCACGGUUUGUGCCACGAACCGUGACCAAUGCCCCCUUUAGUCCCGGUUGGUGCCAUCAACCGGGACCAAAGGCCUGCGCCUGCCAAAGCCGUGGUGCGGUAGGAUGUUUAGUCCCACCUCGCUAGCUGAGGAGCGGCCGCACCUGUUUAUAAGCGCUGCACCUGUUUGGGCCUAAUCUCACAACGCUAUGCCUGCUGGGCCUUCUGCGGGCCUGAAUCCUGGCCCAUGGAUGGGCUUCUAGUCGUAUUCAGGCCGUGGUGGCCCAGUAGGUGGCAUUUUUUAUUACUAUUUGAUUUUUCAUUUCUACUUAGAACUAAAUACUUGUAGUUUUUUAGUGAUUUUUUUCUUUUAGGUCACAAAAAUUAUAAACUUUCUAUUAUUGCCAUUAGUUUUAAAAUUUGAAUAGUUUAAUUUUGAAUUUUUUAAAAUUUGUGUGAAUCACUAGUUUAUGAAUAACUUUACCGUAAAAAUUGAUUUUUGAGUCAUUUUUUUCCUGCUAUUUAAUAUUACUGUGUUUUAUCAUUAUACUCAAUUUGGUAAUUUUAGUUAGUCAUAACAAAUAUUAUAGGCAUUUUUUUCUUUUUUGCUAUUUUUUUUCAUUUCUACUUAGAACAAAAUACUUAUAGUUCUUUAGUGAUUUCUUUUUUCUUUUAGGUCACAAAAAUUAUAAACUUUCUGGUAGUUCCAUUAGUUUUCANNNNNNNNNNNNNNNNNNNNNNNNNNNNNNNNNNNNNNNNNNNNNNNNNNNNNNNNNNNNNNNNNNNNNNNNNNNNNNNNNNNNNNNNNNNNNNNNNNNNNNNNNNNNNNNNNNNNNNNNNNNNNNNNNNNNNNNNNNNNNNNNNNNNNNNNNNNNNNNNNNNNNNNNNNNNNNNNNNNNNNNNNNNNNNNNNNNNNNNNNNNNNNNNNNNNNNNNNNNNNNNNNNNNNNNNNNNNNNNNNNNUUAAUUCUUUUUGCUUUUCGUUUUAGAAAAAUUAUAAACUUUCUGUUAGUGCCAUUAGUUUUCAAAUUUGAAAACACUUUUUUAGUUUUUUUGCUUUCUUUGUUGCUUUAUUUAUUUUAUUUUGUUUCUACUUACAAAAAAAUACUUAUUGUUGCUAUUUUUUUUCAGUUUUUGUUUUGUUUUCUUUAUUAUUUAUUUUCUUUUGUUUUUUGCUUUAAUUUUUAAUUCUUUUUGCUUUUAGGUCAGCAAAAUUAUAAACUUUCUGUUAGUGCCACUAGUUUUAGAAAAAUUAUAAACUUUCUGUUAGUGCCAUUAGUUUUCAAAUUUGAAUAGUUAAAAUUUGAAUUCUUUAAAAUUUGUAUGAACCACAAGUUUGUGAUUAACUUUACUAAAAAAAUGAACAUAGAUGCACCUAUAGAGAAAAUUCGACCUAAAUUCAUAGUUUUCAAAUGAACUCUCAAAAAGUUGGCAUAGCAUACUCGUGUGUUACAAAGUUGGCAUGGUAUCAUCAUAAUAGUUGCUUGAGAAAGUCUUCACUUUUUCUUCGCUUGUGUCAUUUGCUUAUUGCGCCGUAACCAUGGAUAAUCUUCAUCGUUUAUCAGGAUGCUUGGGUCAGCCUUGACAUUGAAGGGAGGAAUUUCAUGAAACUUUUCAUAAUCUUCAGACAUGUCUGUCUUGCCCUCCACUCCCAGGAUAUCCCUUUUUCCUGAAAGAACUAUAUGGCGCUUUGGCUCAUCGUAUGAUGUAUUCGCUUCCUUAUCUUUUCUUUUUCUCGGUUUGGUAGACAUGUCCUUCACAUAGAUAACCUGUGCCACAUCAUUGGCUAGGACGAACGGUUCGUCAGUAUACCCAAGAUUUUUCAGAUCCACUGUUGUCAUUCCGUACUGUGGGUCUACCUGUACCCCGCCGCCUGACAGAUUGACCCAUUUGCACUUAAACAAAGGGACCUUAAAAUCAUGUCCGUAGUCAAGUUCCCAUAUGUCCAUUAUGUAACCAUAAUAUGCAUCCUUUCCGCUCUCGGUUGCUGCAUCAAAGCGGACACCGCUGUUUUGGUUGGUGCUCUUUUGAUCUUGGGCGAUCAUGUAAAAUGUAUUCCCAUUUAUCUCGUAUCCUUUGUAAGUCAAUACAGUCAAAGAUGGUCCCCUGGACAACAAGUGCAACUCAUCACAAACAGUGUUGUCACCUCUGAGACGUGUUUCCAACCAACUGUUGAAAGUCCUGAUGUGUUCACAUGUAAUCUAGUCGUCGCACUGCUCCGGAUGUUUGGAGCGCAGACUGUUUUUGUGUUCAUCGAUAUACGGGGCCACCAUGGUAGAGUUCUGUAGAACUGUGUAGUGUGCUUGAGACCAAGAAUAUCCGUCCCUGCAUAUUAUUGAGUCACUUCCAAGAGUGCCUUUUCCAGUCAGUCUCCCCUCAUACCGCGAUUUAGGGAGACCUAUCUUCUUAAGGCCAGGAAUGAAGUCAACACAAAAUUCGAUAACAUCCUCUGUUUGAUGGCCCAUGGAGAUGCUUCCUUCUGACCUAGCGCGGUUACGGACAUAUUUCUUUAGGACUCCCAUGAACCUCUCAAAGGGGAACAUAUUGUGUAGAAAUACGGGCCCCAGGAUGACAAUCUCGUCGACUAGAUGAACUAGGACGUGCGUCAUGAUAUUGAAGAAGGAUGGUGGGAACACCAGCUCGAAACUGACAAGACAUUGCGCCACAUCACUCCUUAGCCUUGGUACAAUUUCUGGAUCGAUCACCUUCUGAGAGAUUGCAUUGAGGAAUGCACAUAGCUUCACAAUGGCUAAUCGGACGUUUUCUGGUAGAAGCCCCCUCAAUGCAGCCGGAAGCAGUUGCGUCAUAAUCACAUGGCAGUCAUGAGACUUUAGGUUCUGAAACUUUUUCUCUGGCAUAUUUAUUAUUCCCUUUAUAUUCGAUGAGAAGCCAGUCGUGACCUUCAUACUGAGCAGGCAUUCAAAGAAGAUUUCUUUCUCUUCUUUCGUAAGAGCAUAGCUGGCAGGACCUUUAUACUGCUUCGGAGGCAUGCCGUCUUUUUCAUGCAAAUGUUGCAGGUCCUCCCAUGCCUCGGAUGUAUCUUUUGUCUUCCCAUACAAGAAGCCUACCAGGUUCACACAAAGGUUCUUCAUCACGUGCAUCACGUCGAUUGAAGAGCAGACCUCUAGGUCUUUCCAGUAGGGUAGGUCCCAAAAUAUAGAUUUCUUCUUCCACAUGGGUGCGUGUCCCUCAGCGUCAUUCGGAACAGCUAGUCCGCCGGGACACUUUCCAAAGAUUACAUGUAAAUCAUUGACCAUAGCAAGUACGUGAUCACCGGUACGCAUGGCGGGCUUCUUCUGGUGAUCUGCCUCGCCUUUGAAAUGCUUGCCUUUCUUUCGACAUUGAUGGUUGGUCGGAAGAAAUCAACGAUGGCCCAGGUACACAUUUUUCCUGCAUUUGUCCAGGUAUAUACUUUCAGUGUCAUCUAAACAGUGCGUGCAUGCGUGGUAUCCUUUGUUUGUCUAUCCUGAAAGGUUACUGAGAGCGGGCCAAUCAUUGACGGUCACGAACAGCAAAGCCUUUAGGUUAAAUUCCUCCUGUCUAUGGUCAUCCCACGUACGUACACUGUUUCCAUUCCACAGCUGUAAAAGUUCUUCAACUAAUGGCCUUAGGUACACAUCAAUGUCCUUGCCGGGUUGCUUAGUGUAGGGGAACAUAGUAAUUUCAAAAUUUUCCUACGCACACGCAAGAUCAUGGUGAUGCAUAGCAACGAGAGGGGAGAGUGUUGUCUAUGUACCCUCGUAGACCGAAGCGGAAGCGCUGACACAACGUAGAGGAAGUAGUCGUACGUCUUCCCGAUCCUACCGAUCCAAGCACCGUUACUCCGGCACCUCCGAGUUCUUAGCACACGUACAGCUCGAUGACGCUCCCCAGGCUUCGAUCCAACAAAGCUUCGGGGAUGAGUUCCAUCAGCACAACGGCGUGGUGACGAUGAUGAUGUUCUACCGACGCAGGGCUUCGCCUAAGCACUACAAUGAUAUGACCGAGGUGGAAUAUGGUGGAAGGGGGCACCGCACACGGCUAAGGAACGAUCACGUUGAUCAAUUGUGUGUUCUAGGGUGUCCCCUUGCCUCCGUAUAUAAAGGAUCCAAGGGGGAGGGGUUCGGCCGGCCCUAUGGAGGCGCAGGAGGAGUCCUACUCCUACCGGGAGUAGGACUCCCCCCUUUCCUAGUCCAAGUAGGAUUGGUGGAGAAGAAAGGGAAAGAGGGGGGUGCAGCCCCUCCCUCCUUGUCCAAUUCGGACUAGGGGGAGAGGGGGCGCGCGGCCUGCCCUGGCAGCCCCUUCCUAUUCUCCACUUUAGGCCCAUGAGGCCCAUUAACACCCCGGGGGGUUCCGGUAACCCCCCGGUGCUCCGGUUUUAUCCGAAACUUCAUCGGAACCCUUCCGGUGUCUGAAUAUAGUCAUCCAAUAUAUCAAUCUUUAUGUCUCGACCAUUUCGAGACUCCUCGUCAUGCCCGUGAUCACAUCCGGGACACCGAACUAACUUCGGUACAUCAAAAUGUAUAAACUCAUAAUAACUAUCAUCGUAACGUUAAGCGUGCGGACCCUAUGGUUCGAGAACAAUGUAGACAUGACCGAGACACGUCUCCGGUCAAUAACCAAUAGCGGGACCUGGAUGCCCAUAUUGGCUCCUACAUAUUCUACGAAGAUCUUUAUCGGUCAGACCGCAUAACAACAUACGUUGUUCCCUUUGUCAUCGGUAUGUUACUUGCCCGAGAUUCGAUCGUCGGUAUCCAAUACCUAGUUCAAUCUCGUUACCGGCAAAUCUCUUUACUCGUUCCGUAAUACAUCAUCUCACAACUAACUCAUUAGUUGUAAUGCUUGCAAGGCUUAUGUGAUGUGCAUUACCGAGAGGGCCCAGAGAUACCUCUCCGACAAUCGGAGUGACAAAUCCUAAUCUCGAAAUACGCCAACCCAACAUCUACCUUUGGAGACACCUGUAGAGCACCUUUAUAAUCACCCAGUUACGUUGUGACGUUUGGUAGCACACAAAGUGUUCCUCCGGCAAACGGGAGUUGCAUAAUCUCAUAGUCAUAGGAACAUGUAUAAGUCAUGAAGAAAGCAAUAGCAACAUACUAAACGAUCGGGUGCUAAGCUAAUGGAAUGGGUCAUGUCAAUCAGAUCAUUCAACUAAUGAUGUGAUCUCGUUAAUCAAAUAACAACUCUUUGUUCAUGGUUAGGAAACAUAACCAUCUUUGAUUAACGAGCUAGUCAAGUAGAGGCAUACUAGUGACACUCUGUUUGUCUAUGUAUUCACACAUGUAUUAUGUUUCCGGUUAAUACAAUUCUAGCAUGAAUAAUAAACAUUUAUCAUGAUGUAAGGAAAUAAAUAAUAACUUUAUUAUUGCCUCUAGGGCAUAUUUCCUUCAGUCUCCCACUUGCACUAGAGUCAAUAAUCUAGAUUACACAGUAAUGAUUCUAACACCCAUGGAGCCUUGGUGCUGAUCAUGUUUUGCUCGUGGAAGAGGCUUAGUCAACGGGUCUGCAACAUUCAGAUCCGUAUGUAUCUUGCAAAUCUCUAUGUCUCCCACCUGGACUAGAUCCCGGAUGGAAUUGAAGCGUCUCUUGAUGUGCUUGGUUCUCUUGUGAAAUAUGGAUUCCUUUGCCAAGGCAAUUGCACCAGUAUUGUCACAAAAGAUUUUCAUUAGACCCGAUGCACUAGGUAUGACACCUAGAUCGGAUAUGAACUCCUUCAUCCAGACUCCUUCGUUUGCUACUUCCGAAGCAGCUAUGUACUCCGCUUCACAUGUAGAUCCCGCCACAAUGCUUUGUUCAGAACUGCACCAACUGACAGCUCAACCGUUUAAUGUAAACAUGUAUCCGGUUUGUGAUUUAGAAUCGUCCGGAUCAGUGUCAAAGCUUGCAUCAACGUAACCGUUUACGAUGAGCUCUUUGUCACCUCCAUAUACGAGAAACAUAUCCUUAGUCCUUUUCAGGUACUUCAGGAUGUUCUUGACCGUUGUCCAGUGAUCCACUCCUGGAUUACUUUGGUACCUCCCUGCUAAACUUAUAGCAGGGCACACAUCAGGUCUGGUACACAGCAUUGCAUACAUGAUAGAGCCUAUGGCUGAAGCAUAGGGAACAUCUUUCAUUUUCUCUCUAUCUUCUGAAGUGGUCGGGCAUUGAGUCUGACUCAACUUCACACCUUGUAACACAGGCAAGAACCCUUUCUUUGCUUGAUCCAUUUUGAACUUCUUCAAAAUCUUGUCAAGGUAUGUGCUUUGUGAAAGUCCAAUUAAGCGUCUUGAUCUAUCUCUAUAGAUCUUUAUGCCUAAUAUGUAAGCAGCUUCACCGAGGUCUUUCAUUGAAAAACUCUUAUUCAAGUAUCCCUUUAUGCUAUCCAGAAAUUCUAUAUCAUUUCCAAUCAGUAAUAUGUCAUCCACAUAUAAUAUCAGAAAUGCUAUAGAGCUCCCACUCACUUUCUUGUCAAUACAGGCUUCUCCAAAAGUCUGUACAAAACCAAAUGCUUUGAUCACACUAUCAAAGCGUUUAUUCCAACUCCGAGAGGCUUGCACCAGUCCAUAAAUGGAUCGCUGGAGCUUGCACACUUUGUUAGAUCCUUUCGGAUCGACAAAACCUUCCGGUUGCAUCAUAUACAACUCUUCUUCCAGAAAUCCAUUCAGGAAUGCAGUUUUGACAUCCAUCUGCCAAAUUUCGUAAUCAUAAAAUGCGGCAAUUGCUAACAUGAUUCGAACGGACUUAAGCAUCGCUACGGGUGAGAAGGUCUCAUCAUAGUCAACCCCUUGAACUUGUCCAAAACCUUUUGCGACAAGUCGAGCUUUGUAGACAGUAACAUUACCGUCAGCGUCAGUCUUUUUCUUGAAGAUCCAUUUAUUCUCAAUUGCUUGCCGACCAUCGGGCAAGUUAACCAAAGUCCAUACUUUGUUCUCAUACAUGGAUCCCAUUUCAGAUUUCAUGGCUUCAAGCCAUUUUGCGGAAUCUGGGCUCACCAUCGCUUCUUCAUAGUUAGUAGGUUCAUCAUGAUCUAGCAGCAUGAUUUCUAGAACAGGAUUACCGUACCACUCUGGCGCGGAUCUCACUCUGGUUGAUCUACGAGGUUCAGUAGUAUCUUGUCCUGAAGUUUCAUGAUCAUUAUCAUUAGCUUCCUCACUUAUGGGUGUAGGUGUCGCAGAAACAGUUUUCUGUGAUGUACUUCUUUCCAAUAAGGGGGCAGGUACAGUUACCUCGUCAAGUUCUACUUUCCUCCCACUCACUUCUUUCGAGAGAAACUCCUUCUCUAGAAAGGAUCCAUUCUUAGCAACGAAUGUCUUGCCUUCGGAUCUGUGAUAGAAGGUGUACCCAACAGUCUCCUUUGGGUAACCUAUGAAGACACAUUUCUCCGAUUUGGGUUCAAGCUUAUCAGGUUGAAGCUUUUUCACAUAAGCAUCGCAGCCCCAGACUUUAAGAAACGACAACUUUGGUUUCUUGCCAAACCAUAGUUCAUAAGGCGUCGUCUCAACGGAUUUUGAUGCUGCCCUAUUUAACGUGAAUGCGGCCGUCUCUAAAGCAUAACCCCAAAACGAUAGCGGUAAAUCAGUAAGAGACAUCAUAGAUCGCACCAUAUCUAGUAAAGUACGAUUACGACGUUCGGACACACCAUUACGCUGUGGUGUUCCGGGUGGCGUGAGUUGCGAAACUAUUCCGCAUUGUUUCAAAUGUACACCAAACUCGUAACUCAAAUAUUCUCCUCCAUGAUCAGAUCGUAGAAACUUUAUUUUCUCGUUACGAUGAUUUUCAACUUCACUCUGAAAUUCUUUGAACUUUUCAAAUGUUUCAGACUUGUGUUUCAUUAAGUAGAUAUACCCAUAUCUGCUUAAAUCAUUUGUGAAGUUGAGAAAAUAACGAUAUCCGCCACGAGCCUCAAUAUUCAUCGGACCACAUACAUCGGUAUGUAUGAUUUCCAACAAAUCUGUUGCUCUCUCCAUAGUACCGGAGAACGGUGUUUUAGUCAUCUUGCCCAUGAGGCACGGUUCGCAAGUACCAAGUGAUUCAUAAUCAAGUAGUUCCAAAAGUCCAUCAGUAUGGAGUUUCUUCAUGCGCUUUACACCGAUAUGACCUAAACGGCAGUGCCACAAAUAAGUUGCACUAUCAUUAUCAACUCUGCAUCUUUUGGUUUCAACAUUAUGAAUAUGUGUAUCACUACUAUCGAGAUUCAUCAGAAAUAGACCACUCUUCAAGGGUUCAUGACCAUAAAAGAUAUUACUCAUAUAAAUAGAACAACCAUUAUUCUCUGAUUUAAAUGAAUAACCGUCUCGCAUCAAACAAGAUCCAGAUAUAAUGUUCAUGCUUAACGCUGGCACCAAAUGACAAUUAUUUAGGUCUAAUACUAAUCCCGAAGGUAGAUGUAGAGGUAGCGUGCCGACCGCGAUCACAUCGACUUUGGAACCGUUUCCCACGCGCAUCGUCACCUCGUCCUUUGCCAGUGUUCGCCUAAUCCGUAGUCCCUGUUUCGAGUUGCAAAUAUUAGCAAUAUAACCAGUAUCAAAUACCCAGGUGCUACUGCGAGCUCUAGUAAGGUACACAUCAAUAACAUGUAUAUCACUUAUACCUUUAUUCACCUUGCCAUCCUUCUUAUCCGCCAAAUACUUGGGGCAGUUCCGCUUCCAGUGACCAGUCUGCUUGUAGUAGAAGCACUCAGUUUCAGGCUUAGGUCCAGACUUGGGUUUCUUCUCCUGAGCAGCAACUUGCUUGCCGUUCUUCUUGAAGUUCCCCUUCUUCUUCCCUUUGCCCCUUUUCUUGAAACUAGUGGUCUUGUUGACCAUCAACACUUCAUGCUCCUUCUUGAUUUCUACCUCCGCAGCUUUCAGCAUUGCGAAGAGCUCGAGAAUAGUCUUAUUCAUCCAUUGCAUAUUAUAGUUCAUCACAAAGCUCUUGUAGCUUGGUGGCAGUGAUUGGAGAAUUCUGUCAAUGACGCAAUCAUCUGGAAAAUUAACUCCCAUCUAAAUCAAGUGAUUAUUAUACCCAGACAUUUUGAGUAUAUGCUCACUGACAGAACUAUUCUCCUCCAUCUUGCAGCUAUAGAACUUAUUGGAGACUUCAUAUCUCUCAAUCCGGGCAUUUGCUUGAAAUAUUAGCUUCAACUCCUGGAACAUCUCAUAUGCUCCAUGACGUUCAAAACGUCGUUGAAGUCCCAAUUCUAAGCCGUAAAGCAUGGCACACUGAACUAUCGAGUGGUCAUCAGCUUUGCUCCGCCAGACGUUCAUAACAUCUGGUGUUGCUCCAGCAGCAGGCCUGGCACCCAGCGGUGCUUCCAGGACGUAAUUCUUCUGUGCAGCAAUGAGGAUAAUCCUCAAGUUACGGACCCAGUCCGUGUAAUUGCUACCAUCAUCUUUCAACUUUGCUUUUGUUGGGGAACGUAGUAAUUUCAAAAAUUUCCUACGCACACGCAAGAUCAUGGUGAUGCAUAGCAACGAGGGGGAGAGUCUGAUCUACGUACCCUUGUAGAUCGCAACGGAAGCGUUGACACAACGUAGAGGAAGUAGUCGUACGUCUUCUUCCCGAUCCGACCGAUCCAAGCACUGUUACUCCGGCACCUCCGAGUUCUUAGCACACGUUCAGCUCGAUGACGAUCCUCGGGCUCCGAUCCAGCAAAGCGUCGAGGAAGAGUUCCGUCAGCACGACGGCGUGGUGACGAUCUUGACGUACUACCGACGUAGGGCUUCGCCUAAGCACUACAACGGUAUGAUCGAGGUGGAAUUUGGUGGCAGGGGGCACCGCACACGGCUAAGGAACGAUUUCAAGGAUCAACUUGUGUGUCUAUGGGGAGCCCCCCGCCCCUGUAUAUAAAGGAUGGAGGAGGAGGAGGCCGGCCAAGGCAAAGGUGCGGCCAGGAUAGGGAGUCCUACUAGGACUCCAAGUCCUAGUAGGAGUCCACCAAAAGGGGAGGAAGGGAGAAGGAAUAGGAGGAGAAGGAGAGGUGGCCGGCCCCCUUUUCCCUAGUCCAAUUCGGACCAAAGGGGAGGGGGGGCGCAGCAGCCUUUUCCUCUUCCCACUAAAGCCCAUCAAGGCCCAUUACUUCUCCCGUAACUACCCGGUACUCCGAAAAAUACCCGAAUCACUCGGAACCUUUCCGAUGUCCGAAUAUAGUCGUCCAAUAUAUCGAUCUUUACGUCUCGACCAUUUCGAGACUCCUCGUCAUGUCCCCGAUUUCAUCCGGGACUCCGAACUCCUUCGGUACAUCAAUACUCAUAAACUCAUAAUAUAACUGUCAUCGAAACCUAAAGCGUGCGGACCCUAUGGUUCGAGAACAAUGUAGACAUGACCGAGACACGUCUUCGGUCAAUAACCAAUAGCGGGACCUGGAUGCCCAUAUUGGCUCCUACAUAUUCUACGAAGAUCUUUAUCGGUCAGACCGCAUAACAACAUACGUUGUUCCCUUUGUCAUCGGUAUGUUACUUGCCCGAGAUUCGAUCGUCGGUAUCCAAUACCUAGUUCAAUCUCGUUACCGGCAAGUCUCUUUACUCAUUCUAUAAUACAUCAUCCCACAACUAACUCAUUAGUUGCAAUGCUUGCAAGGCUUAAGUGAUGUGCAUUACCGAGAGGGCCCAGAGAUACCUCUCCGAUAAUCGGAGUGACAAAUCCUAAUCUCGAAAUACGCCAACCCAACAUCUUCCUUUGGAGACACCUGUAAUGCUCCUUUAUAAUCACCCAGUUACGUUGUGACGUUUUGUAGCACCCAAAGUGAUCCUCCGGCAAACGGGAGUUGCAUAAUCUCAUAGUCAUAGGAACAUGUAUAAGUCAUGAAGAAAGCAAUAGCAACAUACUAAACGAUCGGGUGCUAAGCUAAUGGAAUGGGUCAUGUCAAUCAGAUCAUUCAACUAAUGAUGUGACCUCGUUAAUCAAAUAACAACUCUUUUGUCCAUGGUUAGGAAACAUAACCAUCUUUGAUUAACGAGCUAGUCAAGUAGAGGCAUACUAGUGACACUCUGUUUGUCUAUGUAUUCACACAUGUAUUAUGUUUCCGGUUAAUACAAUUCUAGCAUGAAUAAUAAACAUUUAUCAUGAUAUAAGGAAAUAAAUAAUAACUUCAUUAUUGCCUCUAGGGCAUAUUUCCUUCAGUCUCCCACUUGCACUAGAGUCAAUAAUCUAGUUCACAUCGCCAUGUGAUUUAACAGCAAUAGUUCACAUCACCAUGUGAUUAACACCCAUAGUUCACAUCGUCAUGUGACCAACACUCAAAGGGUUUACUAGAGUCAGUAAUCUAGUUCACAUAUCUAUGUGAUUAACACCCAAAGAGUACUAAGGUGUGAUCAUGUUUUGCUUGUGAGAUAAUUUUAGUCAACGGGUCUGUCACAUUCAGAUCUGUAAGUAUUUUGCAAGUUCUAUGUCUACAAUGCUCUACACGGAGCUACUCUAGCUAAUUGCUCCCACUUUCAAUAUGUAUCCAGAUUGAGACUUUAGAUUCAUCUGGAUCAGUGUCAAAAACUUGCAUCGACGUAACCCUUUACGACGAACCUUUUUGUCACGUCCAUAAUCGAGAAACAUAUCCUUAUUUCACUAAGGAUAAUUCUGACCGCUGUCCAGUGAUCUACUCCUAGAUCACUAUUAUACUCCCUUGCCAAAUCAAUGCAGGGUAUACAAUAGAUCUGGUAUACAGCAUGACAUACUUUAUAGAACCUAUGGCCAAGGCAUAGGGAAUGACUUUCAUUCUCUUUCUAUCUUCUGCCGUGGUCGGGCUUUGAGUCUUACUCAACUUCACACCUUGUAAUACAGGCAAGAACUCUUUCUUUGACUGCUCCAUUUUGAGCUACUUCAAAAUCUUGUCAAGGUAUGUACUUAUUGAAAAAACUUAUCAAGCGUCUUGAUCUAUCUCUAUAGAUCUUGAAGCUCAAUAUGUAAGCAGCUUCACCGAAGUCUUUCUUUGAAAAACUCCUUUCAAACACUCCUUUAUGCUUUACAGAAUAAUUCUACAUUAUUUCCGAUCAACAAUAUGUCAAUCACAUAUACUUAUCAGAAAUGCUGUAGUGUCCCACUCACUUUCUUGUAAAUACAGGCUUCACCGCAAGUCUGUAUAAAACUAUAUGCUUUGAUCAACUCAUCAAAGCGUAUAUUCCAACUCCGAGAUGCUUGCACCAGUCCACAGAUGGAUCGCUGGAGCUUGCACAUUUUGUUAGCACCUUUCGGAUUGACAAAACCUUCUGUUGCAUCAUAUACAACUCUUCUUUAAUAAAUCCAUUAAGGAAUGCAGUUUUGUUUAUCCAUUUGCCAGAUUUCAUAAAAUGCGGCAAUUACUAACAUGAUUCGGACAGACUCAAGCAUAGAUACGAGUGAGAAGCUCUCAUCGUAGUCAACACCUUGAACUUGUCGAAAACCUUUUUGCGACAAUUCUAGCUUUGUAGAUAGUAACACUACUAUCAGCGUCCGUCUUCCUCUUGAAGAUCCAUUUAUUCUCAAUUGCUUGCCGAUCAUUGGGCAAGUCAACCAAAGUCCAAACUUUGUUCUCAUACAUGGAUCAUAUCUCAGAUUUCAUGGCCUCAAACCAUUUCGCGGAAUCUGGGCUCAUCAUUGCUUCCUCAUAGUUCGUAGGUUCAUCAUGAUCUAGUAGCAUGACUUCCAGGAUUGGAUUACCGUACCACACUGGUGCGGAUCUCACUCUGGUUGAUCUACGUGGUUCAGUAGUAUCUUGUCCUGAAGUUUCAUGAUCAUCAUCAUUAGCUUCCUCACUAAUUGGUAUAGGUGUCGCAGAAACAGUUUUCUGUGAUGUACUAUUUUCCAAUAAGGGAGCAGGUACAGUUACCUCGUCAAGUUCUACUUUCCUCCCACUCACUUCUUUUGAGAGAAACUCCUUCUCUAGAAAGGAUCCAUUAUAAGCAACGAAUGUCUUGCCUUAGGAUCUGUGAUAGAAGGUGUACCCAACAGUCUCCUUUGGGUAUCCUAUGAAGACAUAUUUCUCCGAUUUGGGUUUGAGCUUAUCAGGAUGAAACUUUUUCUCAUAAGCAUCGCAACCCCAAACUUCAAGAAACGACAACUUUGGUUUCUUGCCUAACCAUAGUUCAUACGGUGUCGUCUCAACGGAUUUAGAUGGUGCCCUAUUUAACGUGAAUGCAGCUUUCUCUAAUGCAUGAUCCCAAAACGAUAUUGGUAAAUCGGUAAGAAACAUCAUAGAUUGUACUAUAUCCAAUAAAGUACGGUUAUGACGUUCGGACACACCAUUAUGCUGUGGUGUUCCAGGUGGCGUGAGUAGUGAAACUAUUUCACAUUGUUUUAACUGAAGACCAAACUCGUAACUCAAAUACUCUUUUCCACGAUCAGAUCGUAGAAACUUUAUUUUCUUGUUACGAUGAUUUUCCACUUCACUCUGAAAUUAUAUGAACUUUUCAAAUGUAUCAGACUUCUAUUUCAUUAAGUAGAUAUACCCAUAUCUGCUCAAAUCAUCUGUGAAGGUUUAGAAAAUAAUGAUACCCGCUGCAAGCCUUAAAUAUUCAUCGGACCACAUACAUUUGUAUGUAUGAUUUCCAACAAAUCUGUUGCUUGCUCCAUUGUUCCGGAGAACGGCGUUUUAGUCAUCUUGCCCAAAAGGCAUGGUUCGCAAGCAUCAAGUGAUUCCGAAAGCCCAUCAGCAUGGAGUUUCUUCAUGUGCUUUAUACCAAUAUGACCUAAACGGCAGUGCCACAAAUAAGUUGCACUAUCAUUAUUAACUUUGCAUCUUUUGGUUUCAAUAUUAUGAAUAUGUGUAUCACUACGAUCGAGAUCCAACGAACUUGUUUCAUUGGGUGUAUGACCAUCGAAGGUUUUAUUCAUGUAAACAGAACAACAAUUAUUCUCUGACUUUAAUGAAUAACCGUAUUGCAAUAAACAUGAUCAAAUCAUAUUCAUGCUCAACCAAAUAACACUUAUUUAAGUUCAACACUAAUCCCGAAAGUAUAGGGGAGUGUGUGAUGAUGAUCAUAUCAAUCUUGGAACUACUUCCAACACACAUCGUCACUUCACCCUUAACUAGUCUUUGUUUAUUCUGCAACUCCUGUUUCGAGUUACUACUCUUAGCAACUGAACCAAUAUCAAAUACUGAGGGGUUGCUAUAAACACUAGUAAAGCACACAUCAAUAACAUGUAUAUCAAAUAUACUUUUGUUCACUUUGCCAUCCUUCUUAUCCGCCAAAUACUUGGGGCAGUUCCGCUUCCAGUGACCAGUCCCUUUGCAGUAGAAGCACUUAGUCUCAGGCUUAGGACCAAACUUCGGCUUCUUCACUUGAGCAGCAACUUGCUUGCCGUUCUUCUUGAAGUUCCCCUUCUUCCCUUUGCCCUUUUCUUGAAACUAGUGAUCCUGUCAACCAUCAACACUUGAUGUUUUUCUUGAUUUCGACCUUCGUUGAUUUCAGCAUCACGAAGAGCUUGGGAGUUGUUUCCGUUAUCCCUUGCAUAUUAUAGUUCAUCACGAAGUUCUACUAACUUGGUGAUGGUGACUAGAGAAUUUUGUCAAUCACUAUCUUAUCUGGAAGAUUAACUCCCACUUGAUUCAAGCGAUUGUAGUACUCAGAUAAUCUGGGCACAUGCUCACUAGUUGAGCGAUUCUCCCCCAUCUUUCAGCUAUAGAACUUGUUGGAGACUUCAUAUCUCUCAACUCGGGUAUUUACUUGAAAUAUUAACUUCAGCUUCUGGAACAUCUCAUAUGGUCCAUGACGCUCAGAACGUCUUUGAAGUCCCGAUUCUAAGCCAUUAAGCAUGGUGCACUAAACUAUCAAGUAGUCAUCAUAUUGGGCUAGCCAAACGUUCAUAACGUCGGCAUCUGCUCCUGCAAUAGGUCUGUCACCUAGCGGUGCAUCAAGGACAUAAUUCCUCUAUGCAGCAAUGAGGAUAAAACUCAGAUCACGGAUCCAAUCCGCAUCAUUGCUACUAACAUCUUUCAACACAAUUUUCUCUAGGGACAUGUCAAAAUAAACACAGGGAAGCAACAACGCGAGCUAUUGAUCUACAACAUAAUUUGCAAAAUACUACCAGGACUAAGUUCAUGAUAAAUUUAAGUUCAAUUAAUCAUAUUACUUAAGAACUCCCACUUAGAUAGAUAUCCCUCUAAUCCUCUAAGUGAUCACGUGAUCCAAAUCAACUAAACCAUAACCGAUCAUCACGUGAGAUGGAGUAGUUUUCAAUGGUGAACAUCGUCAUGUUGAUCAUAUCUACUAUAUGAUUCACGCUCGACCUUUCGGUCUCUGUGUUCCGAGGCCAUAUCUGCAUAUGCUAGGCUCGUCAAGUUUAACCUGAGUAUUCUGCGUGUGCAAAACUGGCUUGCACCCGUUGUAGAUGGACGUAGAGCUUAUCACACCCGAUCAUCACGUGGUGUCUGGGCACGACGAACUUUGGCAACGGUGCAUACUCAGGGAGAACACUUCUUGAUAAUUCAGUGAGAGAUCAUCUUAUAAUGCUACCGUCAAUCAAAGCAAGAUAAGAUGCAUAAAAAGAUAAACAUCAUAUGUAAUCAAAAUAUGUGACAUGAUAUGGCCAUCAUCAUCUUGCUUCUUUGAUCUCCAUCUCCAAAGUACUGUCAUGAUCUAUAUCGUCACCGGCAUGACACCAUGAUCUCCAUCAUCUUGAUCUAUAUCAAUGUGUCGUCGUGUGGUCGUCUCACCAACAAUUGCUCUUGCAACUAUUGCUAUCGCAUAGCGAUAAAGUAAAGCAAUUACUGGACGCUUGCAUCUCAUGAAAUAGAGAGACAACCAUAAGGAUUUUGUCAGUUGCUGAUAACUUCAACAAAACAUGAUCAUCUUAUACAACAACUUAUAACUCAUCACGUUUUGACCAUAUCACAUCACAACAUGCCCUGCAAAAACAAGUUAGACGUCCUCUACUUUGUUGUUGCAAAUUUUACGUGGCUGCUACGGGCUUAGCAAGAACCAAUCUUACCUACGCAUCAAAACCACAACGAUAGUUUGUCAAAUAGACUCCGUUUUAACCUUCGCAAGGACCGGGCGUAGCCACACUCGGUUCAACUAAAGUUGGAGAAACAGUCACCCGCAAGUCACCUAUGUGCAAAGCACGUCGGGGAAACCGGUCUCGCGUAAGCGUACGCGUAAUGUCGGUCCGGGCCGCUUCAUCCAACAAUACCGCGGAACCAAAGUAUGACAUGCUGGUAGGCAGUAUGACUUAUAUCGCCCACAACUCACUUGUGUUCUACUCGUGCAUAUAACAUCAAACCAUAAAACCUAGGCUCGGAUGCCACUGUUGGGGAACGUAGUAAUUUCAAAAAUUUCCUACGCACACGCAAGAUCAUGGUGAUGCAUAGCAACGAGGGGGAGAGUCUGAUCUACGUACCCUUGUAGAUCGCAACGGAAGCGUUGACACAACGUAGAGGAAGUAGUCGUACGUCUUCUUCCUGAUCCGACCGAUCCAAGCACCGUUACUCCGGCACCUCCGAGUUCUUAGCACACGUUCAGCUCGAUGACGAUCCUCGGGCUCCGAUCCAGCAAAGCGUCGAGGAAGAGUUCCGUCAGCAUGACGGCGUGGUGACGAUCUUGAUGUACUACCGAUGUAGGGCUUCGCCUAAGCACUACAACGGUAUGAUCGAGGUGGAAUUUGGUGGCAGGGGGCACCGCACACGGCUAAGGAACGAUCUCAAGGAUCAACUUGUGUGUCUAUGGGGUGCCCCCUGCCCCUGUAUAUAAAGGAUGGAGGAGGAGGAGGCCGGCCAAGGCAAAGGUGCGGCCAGGAUAGGGAGUCCUACUAGGACUCCAAGUCCUAGUAGGAGUCCACCAAAAGGGGAGGAAGGGAGAAGGAAUAGGAGGAGAAGGAGAGGUGGCCGGCCCCCUUUUCCCUAGUCCAAUUCGGACCAAAGGGGAGGGGGGCGCAGCAGCCUUUUCCUCUUCCCACUAAAGCCCAUCAAGGCCCAUUACUUCUCCCGUAACUACCCGGUACUCCGAAAAAUACCCGAAUCACUCCGAACCUUUCCGAUGUCCAAAUAUAGUCGUUCAAUAUAUCGAUCUUUACGUCUCGACCAUUUCAAGACUCCUCGUCAUGUCCCCGAUCUCAUCCGGGACUCCGAACUCCUUCGGUACAUCAAUACUCAUAAACUCAUAAUUUAACUGUCAUGGAAACCUUAAGCGUGCGGACCCUACGGUUCGAGAACAAUGUAGACAUGACCGAGACACGUCUCCGGUCAAUAACCAAUAGCGGGACCUGGAUGCCCAUAUUGGCUCCUACAUAUUCUACGAAGAUCUUUAUCGGUCAGACCGCAUAACAACAUACGUUGUUCCCUUUGUCAUCGGUAUGUUACUUGCCCGAGAUUCGAUCGUUGGUAUCCAAUACCUAGUUCAAUCUCGUUACCGGCAAGUCUCUUUACUCGUUCUAUAAUACAUCAUCCCACAACUAACUCAUUAGUUGCAAUGCUUGCAAGGCUUAAGUGAUGUGCAUUACCGAGAGGGCCCAGAGAUACCUCUCCGACAAUCGGAGUGACAAAUCCUAAUCUCGAAAUACGCCAACCCAACAUCUUCCUUUGGAGACACCUGUAAUGCUCCUUUAUAAUCACCCAGUUACGUUGUGACGUUUGGUAGCACCCAAAGUGUUCCUCCGGCAAACGGGAGUUGCAUAAUCUCAUAGUCAUAGGAACAUGUAUAAGUCAUGAAGAAAGCAAUAGCAACAUACUAAACGAUCGGGUGCUAAGCUAAUGGAAUGGGUCAUGUCAAUCAGAUCAUUCAACUAAUGAUGUGACCUCGUUAAUCAAAUAACAACUCUUUUGUCCAUGGUUAGGAAACAUAACCAUCUUUGAUUAAUGAGCUAGUCAAGUAGAGGCAUACUAGUGACACUUUGUUUGUCUAUGUAUUCACACAUGUAUUAUGUUUCCCGUUAAUACAAUUCUAGCAUGAAUAAUAAACAUUUAUCUUGUGCUUGUGAUCUCCAUCUCCGAAGCACCUUCAUGAUCACCAUCGUCACCGGCGCGACACCUUGAUCUCCAUCGUAGCAUCGUUGUCGUCUCGCCAAUCUUAUGCUUCCACGACUAUCGCUACCGCUUAGUGAUAAAGUAAAGCAUUACAACGCGAUUGCAUUGCAUACAAUAAAGCGACAACCAUAUGGCUCCUGCCAGUUGCCGAUAACUUGGUUACAAAACAUGAUCAUCUCAUACAAUAAAAUUUAGCAUCAUGUCUUGACCAUAUCACAUCACAACAUGCCCUGCAAAAACAAGUUAGACGUCCUCUACUUUGUUGUUGCAUGUUUUACGUGGCUGCUACAGGCUUAAGCAAGAACCAAUCUUACCUAUGCAUCAAAACCACAACGAUAGUUUGUCAAGUUGAUGCCGUUUUAACCUUCGCAAGGACCGGGCGUAGCCACACUCGGUUCAACUAAAGUUGGAGAAACAGUCACCCGCAAGCCACCUUUGUGCAAAGCACGUCGGGAGAACCGGUCUCGCGUAAGCGUACGCGUAAUGUCGGUCUGGGCCGCUUCAUCCAACAAUACCGCCGAACCAAAGUAUGACAUGCUGGUAGGCAGUAUGACUUAUAUCGCCCACAACUCACUUGUGUUCUACUCAUGCAUAUAACAUCAAACCAUAAAACCUAGGCUCUGAUACCACUGUUGGGGAACGUAGCAAUUUCAAAAAAUUUCUACGCACACGCAAGAUCAUGGUGAUGCAUAGCAACAAGAGGGGAGAGUGUUGUCUAGAAGCGUUGACACAACGUAGAGGAAGUAGUCGUACGUCUUCCCGAUCCGACCGAUCCAAGCACCGUUACUCCGGCACCUCCGAGUUCUUAGCACACGUACAACUCGAUGACGCUCCCCGGGCUCCGAUCUAGCAAAGCUUCGGGGAUGAGUUCCGUCAGCACAACGGCGUGGUGACGAUGAUGAUGUUCUACCGACGCAGGGCUUCGCCUAAGCACUACAACGAUAUGACCGAGGUGGAAUAUGGUGGAAGGGGGCACCGCACACGGCUAAGGAACGAUCACGUUGAUCAAUUGUGUGUUCUAGGGUGCCCCCUUGCCUCCGUAUAUAAAGGAUCCAAGGGAGAGGGGUUCGGCCGGCCCUAUGGAGGCGCAGGAGGAGUCCUACUCCUAUCGGGAGUAGGACUCCCCCCCUUUUCCUUGUCCAAGUAGGAUUGGUGGAGAAGAAUGGGAAAGAGGGGGGCGCCGCCCCUCCCUCCUUGUCCAAUUCGGACUAGGGGGAGAGGGGGCGUGCGGCCUGCCCUGGCAGCCCCUUCCUCUUCUCCACUUUAGGCCCAUGAGGCCCAUUAACCCCCCGGGGGGUUCCGGUAACCCCCCGGUGCUCCGAUUUUAUCCGAAACUUCAUCGGAACCCUUCCGGUGUCCGAAUAUAGUCAUCCAAUAUAUCAAUCUUUAUGUCUUGACAAUUUUGAGACUCCUCGUCAUGUCCGUGAUCACAUCCGGGACUCCGAACUAACUUCGGUACAUCAAAAUGUAUAAACUUAUAAUAACUGCCAUCGUAACGUUAAGCGUGCGGACCCUACGGUUCGAGAACAAUGUAGACAUGGCCGAGACACGUCUCCGGUCAAUAACCAAUAGCGGGACCUGGAUGCCCAUAUUGGCUCCUACAUAUUCUACGAAGAUCUUUAUCGGUCAGACCGCAUAACAACAUACGUUGUUCCCUUUGUCAUCGGUAUGUUACUUGCCCGAGAUUCGAUCGUCCGUAUCCAAUACCUAGUUCAAUCUCGUUACCAGCAAGUCUCUUUACUCGUUCCGUAAUACAUCAUCUCGCAACUAACUCAUUAGUUGUAAUGCUUGCAAGGCUUAUGUGAUGUGCAUUACCGAGAGGGCCCAGAGAUACCUCUCCGACAAUCGGAGUGACAAAUCCUAAUCUCGAAAUACGCCAACCCAACAUCUACCUUUGGAUACAUCUUUAGAGCACCUUUAUAAUCACCCAGUUAUGUUGUGACGUUUGGUAGCACACAAAGUGUUCCUCCGGCAAACGGGAGUUGCAUAAUCUCAUAGUCAUAGGAACAUGUAUAAGUCAUGAAGAAAGCAAUAGCAACAUACUAAACGAUCGGGUGCUAAGCUAAUGGAAUGGGUCAUGUCAAUCAGAUCAUUCAACUAAUGAUGUGAUCUCGUUAAUCAAAUAACAACUCUUUGUUCAUGGUUAGGAAACAUAACCAUCUUUGAUUAACGAGCUAGUCAAGUAGAGGCAUACUAGUGACACUUUGUUUGUCUAUGCAUUCACACAUGUAUUAUGUUUCCGGUUAAUACUAUUAUAGCAUGAAUAAUAAACAUUUAUCAUGACAUAAGGAAAUAAAUAAUAACUUUGUUAUUGCCUCUAGGGCAUAUUUCCUUCACUUAGGGCCUUGGAUGAGAACUGGCAUCAUAAUGAACUUCCGCUUCAUGCACAUCCAAGGAGGAAGGUUAUACAUACAUAGAGUCACGGGCCAGGUGCUGUGAUUGCUGCUCUGCUCCCCUAUAGGAUUAAUGCCAUCCAUGCUUAAAGCAAACCAUACAUUCCAUGGGUCGUUUGCAAACUCAUCCCAGUACUUUCUCUCGAUUUUUCUCCACUGCGACCCGUCAGCGGGUGCUCUCAAUUUUCCGUCUUUCUUCCGGUCCUCACUGUGCCAUCGCAUCAACUUGGCAUGCUCUUCGUUUUUGAAUAGACGUUUCAACCGUGGUAUUAUAGGAGCAUACCACAUCACCUUCGCAGGAACCCUCUUCUUGGGGGGCUCACCGUCAACGUCACCAGGGUCAUCUCGUCUGAUCUUAUACCGCAAUGCACCGCAUACCGGGCAUGCAUUCAGAUCCUUGUAUGCACCGCGGUAGAGGAUGCAGUCAUUAGGGCAUGCAUGUAUCUUCUCCACCUCCAAUCCUAGAGGGCAUACGACUUUCUUUGCUGCGUAUGUACUGUCGGGCAAUUCGUUAUCCUUUGGAAGAUUCUUCUUCAAUAUUUUCAGUAGCUUCUCAAAUCCUUUGUCAGCCACAGCAUUCUCUGCCUUCCACUGCAGCAAUUCCAGUACGGUACCGAGCUUUGUGUUGCCAUCUUCGCAAUUGGGCUACAACCCUUUUUUGUGAUCCUCUAACAUGCGAUCGAACUUCAGCUUCUCCUUUUGACUUUCGCAUUGCGUCCUUGCAUCGACAAUGACCCGGCGGAGAUCAUCAUCAUCGGGCAGAUCGUCUGGUUCCUCUUGAUCUUCAGCAGCUUCACCCGUUGCAGCAUCAUUGGGCACAUCGUCUGUUUCCUCUUGAUCUUCACCAGCUCCCUCCAUUGCAGCAUAACCGUAUUCAGGGGGCACAUAGUUGUCAUCGUACUCUUCUUCUUUGCCAUCUUCCAUCAUAACACCUAUUUCUCCGUGCCUCGUCCAAACAUUAUAGUGUGGCAUGAAACCCUUGUAAAGAAGGAGGGGGUGAAGGAUUUUCCGGUUAGAGUAAUACCUCGUAUUCCCACAUUCAGUGCAUGGACAACACAUAAAACCAUUCUGCUUCUUUGCCUCAGCCGCACCGAGAAACUCAUGCACGCCCUUAAUGUACCCGGAGGUGUGUCUGUCACCGUACAUCCAUUGCCAGUUCAUCUACGUGCAUUAUAUAUAAUUAAGUGUCCAAAUUAAUAGAAGUUCAUCAUCACAUUAAAACCAAAGUACAUACAUAGUUCUCAUCUAACAACAUAUAGCUCUCCAGAGCAUCUAAUUAAUUAAACCAUACAUUGAAACUAUGUAAAACAUUUCAAUGCGAAAACAAAUGCGAUCAUAAUUGCAACCAAGGUAACAAUUGAUCCAACGGCAUAAUGAUACCAAGCCUCGGUAUGAACGACAUAUUUUCUAAUCUUUCUAAUCUUCAAGCGCAUUGCAUCCAUCUUGAUCCUGUGAUCAUAGACGACAUCCGCAACAUGCAACUCCAAUAUCAUCUUCUCCUCCUCAAUUUUUUUAUUUUUUCCUCCAACAAAUAGUUUUCUUCUUCAACUAAAUUUAGCCUCUCGGCAAUAGGGUCGGUUGGCAUUUCCGAUUCACAUACAUCCUACAUAAAUAAAAUCUAUGUCACGUUGAUCGGCAUAAUUUUCAUAAACAAUAAAUGAACCAAUAGUUAUAAAGAUAAUAUAUAUACCACAUUCGAAUCAUAGACAGGACGAGGGCGACGGGGGCGGAUACCAAAACCAUCGCACUAUAUAAGAUGCAAUAAUAAAAGUAAGAAAAUAAUACAAGUAUCUAUGUAAACAUACAAGUAAGAAUAUUUUUCCUUUCAGAAAGAAGAUAAGAACAAGAGGCUCACCAUGGUGGUGCCGGCAAGGCCCACCUUGGUCCAUGCGGGGAUGCACAAAAUAAGCUAUGUGCGGCCCAUGCGGGGAAUUUUGGUUACGCAUGGCCCAUACAUAUGGUGAUCCAGCCGUACGUGACCAAAUAGGAUGGACGGACAAACGAAAACGGACAAAAAUUAGGGACCAACCAAUUAGUACCACCUCGCGUAUAUGUUUUAUAUUUAAACUGAAAGCGUAAAUUUUCAUGAAAAGAAAUGUACUGUGACGGUGAACCCGACAAAGUCAAUCCGUGCUUUAUUAUUAGGGAAAGAUAUACUAAUUGGAGGCACCUUUGGAGCGUCUACGUUAAUCCACGUCAUUAAGAUUAAUAUAGCCGUUUGAUAUUAAAUUUAAUGGUUAAGAUAUGCUAGAAGACUAUGCCUUAUUAUAGAAGAAAACAACAUGUACGUAGGGAUGAAAUCCACGCAUACAAAAAAAAACUCAUGUAAAGAAAAAUCAAUUCUCACCACAUAGAUGAAACUCAUUAAACUUGCACAUGCAAAAAAAGUCCUAAGCUCCCACGUCCAUGAAAGAUUAGACAUGCACAUAAAAAAAGAGUCCUAAAUGCCCACGCCCAGGUUCCAAGAAAAAGUACGUGCCUACUCCUUGCAAAAAGAGGACGCGUGGCAAAACUAAAAAAUAUGAAUAUAAUCAUCUCAAUCUCUUUCUAAUAAUAAAAUAUGAAUUGAUUUUGUCAGGUUCGUCGUCACAAUACACUUUUUCCUGUAAAUUUACGCUUUCACUUUGAAUUUAAAACAUAUAGGUGAGGUGGUACUAAAAAACUGUUCAUUGGUCGCGUACGUCAAUUAGUAUAAGUCGCUUUUUUUAGUCCCUCCGGCUCGCUAGACUGGGCCGUGUUGAUCAUUCCCGUGAUGACUGAACUGGGCCUGGUCAAAAAGAAAAAAAACGAUGCAAAAAAUAAUUCCCCAUGAGCUUCGAACCAAGACGAAGGCCCUCAGUCACAAAGGAGAACGCCAACUAGAUUGCUCUAUUUUGUUCUGCCAAAUUGUGUCCCUGUAGAUAUAAUAGUCCCACAUCGCUUCUUUGCACUGUAUCUUAUCGAUUUUUAUACAUCGGCGGACUUGUCCUAGCAGAAGUUAAUUGGAAGAGGAAGCAAGGAAUAAAGAACGAACGCAGGAGGAAUUUGGCCAGAAGAAACAAGGUCGGGGAGCGUGAGGUUUAUGGUGAAUAUUCAGAGAACGGCAGCUGCAUUGUUCGAAUUUAGUCUAUCUUUGGACAUGUCUUUUCCGGGGAUUCGACACCAUGUUUUGUGCGCGAAUGGUUUUAUUAGGGUUUUUGACUGUUCCAAGUUAGAAGAGGCCAGAGUUUUCUCUGGUUCUUCAGUGGCCUGAAGCAACCAUGCUUACGCUUUUUUUUUUCAACCAUUCAUUGCCCAUUUUCAUUAAUUUCUUAAAGAAAAUACAUCAACCGUCCUUGCAGAAAGAACGAGGCAGCUUCACAGCUGGAAAUCAAGAGUGCGGUGUCCAGUUUUACGGGGAAAAGAAUUCUAUGAGACCAGGUCUCACGCGAGACCCAUCCUAAUGAAUGCCACGUGCUAUCCAUCAGAACGGGUCUCACCUGCUAACCGUGAGACUUGGUCUCAUAUAUUUUUUUUCCGUUUUACGGGGAAGCAUCAUCAGAAAUCUAGCAAAUCAUUCGCAUUAUUCUCUCACAUACAGUACAGAUCCUUCGGAUCGCCACAUCACAGCUGGACUUCAUUGCUUUGGGUGUCUAAUUAAGGGCUUGUUCGGUUAAUCCUCUCGCGAAGAGGAUUGGAGGGGAUUGGCAAGGAUUGGUUCGUAUUUUGACUUCUAAGAGGUUUAAGUCCUCCUCAAACCCCUUCAAUCCAUUCGGAUUCACACGCAACCAAACAAGGCCUAAACGGGAUCCGCAUCUGAACUAUUAAGCAGCAAAUGAUAGUGUGCGUGAAACAGGUAGGCAAUGUCAAUGAGGACAAACUGUGAUGAUAUCGUUUGAAAACUCAGCUGUCGUCCGUAGUGUUUGGCAUGUGACAGAUAGAUCCUGUUGAUUGUCUAACGAAAGCCAACGGUGAUGUCAAACUAGACUAUUUUAACAUAGUCGGUAAGACAAAAAUGGGAAACAUAUGUAUAUAUGACUACCGAGAACACGACAUCCAUUGUAUCUCGAUUAAGCAUCUUCAAAUAUUAUUCCUGUCGUGAUAUUGACAACAUUAUUAGUUUGUACUUGAAUGAAUAGUCAAGGAACUUUUGAGUGUUCCAAGUUAAACAUCCAAAUUUGUGUCGCAUUUCAGUAUGGGAGGCGCGUAUGACUCUCAAGUUUUUCCGAAUUUGAGUAAUACGGGUCAACUAUUUGCAAAAAUAAAAUAAAAACAUGUUAUCUAGCAUAUGUUUUUACCGUGUUAACACAUUCACAAUUAUUCCAUUUUGAAAAAAGGUACCUAGGUGGUAAAUGAACUACAAACCUUGCUCGACAUAUAUCGAGAAAUAUGUAUUGACAUACACAACAGAGAAAAUAAAUCAAAAUACAUUGCGCAGAACAUUGACAAUAAAUUAGUUGGUGAAAUUAGACAAUUUAGUUGGUGAACUUAGAAAAUUGUUACAUAAGGCUCCAACUUAAUUUCUCAGCAGUUGGAUCAGUUUUUUUUUUUGAGGACCAUGGAAAUACUGAAACCAUGGUUGAUACAAACUCCCCUCUCACACCUAAACUUUGAGCUAGAUAUUUCCUUUUAGUGAGUUUAGCUACUAAUUUUAAAGGGGUUCGCUAAAUCUCAGUCAAUUGAGAUUUAAUGUAGUCUCAAUCACCUUUCCAAGCCGUUGAAUACAUGCACACUAAGAUUAUGUGCUAGGAAACUUUUCUUUGUUAUUGUGAGGUGGAACGGAAAGAGAUGUGUGUGUGCCUUUCUGGACUAUUCGAAGUGUGCGUGUUUUUCCGAGGAAAGAGCCUACAAUCUACACGAGAAGCUUGUGUUUGGGCCAAGUCCAAACAUAAUAUAAUUUGUCAAACCAAACAACCAACAUUUUCUAAAACCGAAAUCAACAUAGCAAAAACAUGUUUGCUUUCGAAUAUUAAUAAAUAACUGUAUAUAAAUAAUCCCACUUCAAUGCACCACUCCUCUCACACCCGGUGAUAGUGUGAUGUUCGUUGAGGCAACAUCGAAGGACAUGAAUGUAGUUUCAUUAAUCUUUUUCCGAAUUGUGUACACCAAAAAUUGUAUCAUCAUUAACGACGGUGGCAAAAAUGAAAAGUGGCAACAUGAACGAGUCACUGAAAACAUGCGAAGACUUUCUCCUUCCGGUGCAAUGCACGACACAUUAAAUGAUGCAUACAAAGGUUAAAGGGAACCUUCUUUUGAGAAACAAAGACAAACACAGACUCACAAACACGUACAUACAUGAACACCUAGAGAGACUGAGCUGACAAGUCUUGAGAUUGAUGAACACACCACAAGUGUCUCGCUUCGACGCGAACGUCACCAUGCACUGAAAAAAUAUUUCACCUUUGUGAAACAUGAAAUUAAGCGUCAAAGUUAGGUUUUAAUUCUUGCUCUAUUGGGUAUCACCGCCCUGCAAACCAUCCAAUCAGAGAUUGGUUCUCAGGGUUAAAGCGAAACUAACCAAUACAUUUAUUUGAUAUGAAAAAAUGAACCCUUCCAAACCAAGCAAACAACUAUCUCUAAGAAAUCCAACAUAGCAACAAUGCUUUGUAUUCAAAUGUUUUGGAAAUUCUAAAAAAAAACUUUUGGAUUAGUUUUUAAACUCUCGGUUAGUAUAGAACAUUCCAAUGUUUGUAUGUUGCACUAAAAAUAAAUGCACCACUCUUUCACCCGGUGGUAGUGCUAAGCUAAAGGAGUGCCAUCAAAGGACACCACUAUGACUAUCUUAACUCUACUCCAUGAUGCGGACACCAAUAAUCAUUUUUAUUUACCAACACGAAGGCGUUUUUUUAAGAUAGUGAGUGUUUCUAAAUGUUCUUGGUUUCAAAAAAUAUAUUCAUGUUUUAAAUAUGUUUAAACUUUUGAAGAAAUGCUGAAAAUUCCUAAAAAAUGGUUCCAAUUAAAAACCAGCUAUAAUUGUUCAAAAAAUCAUUAAAAAAAAUCAUGAAAUCGCUUGUUUAUAUAAUGUUCGACUUCAAAAAAUAUUCCAAUUCUAGUAAGAAAUUAAAAAAUAGUCGAUUUCUUAAAAAAUAAAGAAAUAUUUGUGUUGUCUUUCAAAAAGCAAAAUAUAUACCGAUUCACAUACUAUUCCAUGCACAACUAUUCUUCCAACAGAUGUGGGAAGUUAGGUUGGUUCUUCAUGUACACACUUCAAGCUCCGAACAAAAAUUAGAGUUUAACAUUAUUACUCUGGUUUAUCAGCCUUUGAUACAAGAAAUGGCACAUGAAGCGCACUUUUAUUUGCCCGUUGCAACGCACGGGCAUUUGUACUAGUAAAUAUCAAUUGAAGGAAUAUCAUUCUGCAAAGGCAGAUUCUUGAAUAGGAUUGUUUCACAACUGCAUCCAUCAAUUUUAAAGUUUACUAUCUAAUAUGAUGCUAGAUAGAUAAAGCCUCAAUUAAGUAUAACAUUGUGUUUGUUGGUUAAGUUAGGAGCACUUACUAAUGUACUAAAAGAGAAAUAUAUAUUAUAUAUGGUUUGAGUACCAUUGUAGUAGUGGUGCAUAUACAUACGCGCACCACCUACUAUAUAUCGAAAUAAUUCAUACUCGCUUUCUCCCUUAUAUAUAUAGUAGGUGGUGUCAAAUUCUUGCUAAUUUGACAUGAAGGCUUCAUUCAGACCAGUGAUGAUACUUUGCGCAACAUAAAUGGGAAAGUAGAGGCACUCUUCCAUAUAAUGAAGUUUAUAAUAUAUGUGUUUAUAUUGUACUAUAAUUGUUUGAAUAACUUACCAUAUGUUCAGAUGUAUGAUAUCUGUAAUUUAAGCGCUUGAAUUUUACAUAUAAAUAUAAUUUUAUUAAUAAAUAUGUACCCAUAUAAUAGCUAGGCCGUGUAGUUGCACGGGUAGAUGACUAGUGAUUACAAUCUUGUUUGUGAGCAAGUCAAGAUUAUCUAGUUUACACGUAACAACUUGUAGAACAUUACAAAAAUUAUGCUUGCUAAUAACUUCUAGAACACUACAACACUUGACAUGUAAAAGGAAUUUGAUGAGUCAUGGCCUACUAAAGCAAGUUACAUUACUACUCUUAUCUAUCUUAACAGACCACACAAGAUUACAAACUAAGUACCGUGACAGCCAUGCUUAUCUAAUUUAUGCGUAACAAUUUGCGGAAAAUUACAAAUUUAGUUUUAGAAAAAUAGGCAAUCUAGAUUAGUGUUUGAGCUGUAAUGUGAAUAAGAUGAGUCGUGCGUCUUGUCACACCUUUUUGGUGGUGGAAUGAUAGUGCAACAACAAGGAACUUUAAUGACCAGUCCAAGAAUACACUUGUAAGUAGUGCCACCAAACAGAACAUACCAAAUUAUGAUUUUGAGAAGAAUCCAAGCACUUUCCACACAAGCAAAUGCCAAUUGUGAAAGAGAUCAUUCCAUGGCAGCUAUAAAUAGCCCCAUAGCAUGACGCUCAUCCUUCCUCAUCCAUCAUUCUCAUAAGUAGAGUGCAUCAUUUAAGCCAAGCAAGCUGUGGUCAAUACAAAUCCACCAUGAAGACCUUUCUCAUCCUUUCCCUCCUUGCUAUCGUGGCAACCACCGCCACAACUGCAUUUAGAAUUCUAGUGCCACAAUUGCAGCCACAAAAUCCAUCUUAGCAACAACCACAAGAGCAAGUUCCAUUGGUACAACAACAGCAAUUUCUAGGGCAGCAACAACCAUUUCCACCACAACAACCAUAUCCACAGCCGCAACCAUUUCCAUCACAACAACCAUAUCUGCAGCUGCAACCAUUUCCGCAGCCGCAACCACCAUAUUCGCAGCCGCAACCAUUUCGACCACAAUAACCAUAUCUCCACAACCGCAACCACAGUAUUCGCAACCACAAUAACCAAUUUCGCAGCAGCAACAACAACAACAACAACAACAACAACAACAAAUCCUUCAACAAAUUUUGCAACAACAACUGAUUCCAUGCAUGGAUGUUGUAUUGCAGCAACACAACAUAGCGCAUGGAAGAUCACAAGUUUUGCAACAAAGUAGUUACCAGCUGUUGCAAGAAUUGUGUUUUCAGCACCUAUGACAGAUCCCUGAGCAGUCGCAGUGCCAAGCCAUCCACAAUGUUGUCCAUGCUAUUAUUCUGCAUCAACAACAAAAACAACAACAACAACAACAACAAAAACAACAACCAUCGAGCCAGGUCUCCUUCCAACAGCCCCAGCAACAAUAUCCAUCAGGCCAGGGCUCCUUCCGGCCAUCUCUGCAAAAUCCACAGGCCCAGGGCUCGGUCCAGCCUCAACAGCUGCCCAGUUCGAGGAAAUAAGGAACCUAGCGCUACAGACGCUACCUGCAAUGUGCAAUCUCUACAUCCCUCCAUAUUGCACCAUCGCGCCAUUUGGCAUCUUCGGUACUAACUGAGAAGAAAAUAACUCUAGUACUAGAUAUAUGAAACACCGUUUUCUUAGUCCAUGGUUUGGUCAUUGUAGCGGUGAAAAAAUAAAGUGACAUGCACUACCAUGUAAGAACUCGAACUAUACUAGUUCAAACUUGGGAAUAAAAGACAAACACAGGUCUUGUCUACAUAUUUAUGUUGCAUUUAUCUAAAGAUAACAAAAUGAGUCUAAAAUUUGAAUUAAAUUGAAGUAUUUUCUUGGACUUUCAAAUUGAGUAUUAUUAACGUAGUAAGGACUAUCCUCAUCCUUGGCCUGCCCCUAAUCAAUUAUUUCCAGAGAAGCAUUCAAUUCAUCAAUCAAUUACAUUGAUUUUUGUGGCUGGUACUUCUCCUCAACAUCAGUAUAUUCACCGUGGCUACUCCAAAUCGGCAAGAAUGAGGUACCGGUGCUCUGGAGCAGUGCCAACUAAUUGCUUCUCAUGUGAAGGGGUGCGGGCGCGGGAGAGGUAUUUCUGGUGGGCCAAGGGAGUAAGAAGCCACCGUGGGAGUGGUACAGACGCCCGUAAAGCCCCAUAGUUUCUUUUUGGUUUACAGGAAAAUGCACAUCCAUACCGGCCUGGGGAGUAUAGGACCGUAUUGGAUGGAAAACCAUGUCCGGAUGGUUGCGAGCGGUUUGAGGGUUAGCUUUUGUAACGCCCGGUUAGUUAUGCUAUAGCAAUUCCCUGCUAAUGAUGUCACGUCACCAAGAUUACUGUUGUUAUCCUCACAAUGAUUCAAUGCCAUUCUAAUUCAAAUUUAAAAUAAAGGCAAGCAUCAAAAGUUUUCAAACAUUAAAACUAAAAUCUUUGAGAGGUAACAAAUAAUGCAUAAGUAAUUAUGGUGGAGAAACCACACUUUAAUAAAAUGUUUAAAUACUCUAAAAUGAAAAAAACAGUGGCUUAAACUAUUAUUUAAAUGCUUUUAAAAUAGUAAAAAUGUUCUAACUAAAUUAAUUGGGUACCAACCUUUUGGUGGCAGUGGUAUAUUUAGUAGAACUAAUUUAGAUGCUAGUUAUAUGAUUUAGAAAAUUAGGGUCAAUUGAAAAAUAGGAUAAAACAGAGAAGGAAAGACAAAACAAAUAAAAGCAAAAGGGGGCAACCCCUCACUGGCCUUGGCCUAGCUGGCCACUGGGCUAGCUAGGUCGGCCCCGCCGCCUCCCUUAACCCCCUGUCGGUGUCGAAACCGGUGGAUGGUACCAUGAGUAGAUCUACCACGAGAUCGGAGAGGCUAAACCCUAGAGGCUAGCCUAUGAUAUGAUUGUAUGUGUCCUACGGACUAAAACCCUCCGGUUUAUAUAGACACCGGAGAGGGUUAGGGUUACACAAGGUCGGUUACAAAGGAGGAGAUAUCCAUAUCCGUAUUGCCUAGCUUGCCUGCCACGCCAAGUAGAGUCCCAUCCGGACACGGGACGAAGUCUUCAAUCUUGUAUCUUCAUAGUGCAACAGUCCGAAAAAGGAUAUAGUCCGGCUGUCCGGAGACCCCCUAAUCCAGGACUCCCUCAGUAGCCCCUGAACCAGGCUUCAAUGACGAUGAGUCUGGCGCGCAGUAUUGUCUUCGACAUUGCAAGGCGGGUUCCUCCUCCGAAUGCAUCACAGAAGAAUUUGAAUACGAGGAUAGUGUCCGACCCUGCAACAUAAGUUCCACAUAAUUCCAUACAGAGAAUAAUAUUUUCGCAAAUCUAAUUUGCUUACUUGUUUUGACAGUACGACAUUAUGUCAUGGCCCGGUGAUUAUUCGAACCGUUUCCUUUAACUAGCCCCGCACAUAACGCGAGGCAGUUUUUCGACAUGUCUUGUCAAAGCAGAGAUCGUGUCCCCUUAUUACUGGAUUCUCAUCAAUACGGGCGUGGGUAACCCAACCGCGCCAUCGAUUGCGGCACUUGGGGGAUGAGCUAUUUUUACCUGGCAAGUGGGGACGCUUAGUUUCGUCCGCCCAUAUAAAGGGAUAAGGAUUCACCUUUCUAUCCAUGCCUUCUUCCUCCUUUGCUCAUCCGUUUUUGCACACUCGAGCUCUAGCGCCCAAGUUCGCACUUCCCACCUCAACCUUCUCCAACCAUGUCCCGAGCGGGAGGCAGGUGGAUGGUAUCCUCCGUCACGGAUGGAGACAUCAAGAAGCUGAGGAGCGCCGGAUACCUGCCUGACGACAUCGCGCACCGGCUCCCAGAUGAGGGGCAGCUCACCCCCACCCCCAGGCCCCAUGAGAGGGUAGUGUUCCUCACCCAUUUCCUCCGCGGACUGGGAUUCCCUCUCCACCCAUUUGUCCCGGGGCUCAUGUUCUAUUACGACCUGGAUUUCCAUGAUCUGGCCCCGAACUUCAUCCUCAACAUCUCGGCGUUUAUCGUUGUGUGCGUGGCCUUCCUCCGCAUCAAGCCCCACUUCGGCUUAUGGUUGAAGACCUUUAAUGUCAAGCCGAAGGUUGUGGGCGACCGCCAGGCGGAGUGCGGAGGCGCCAUGGUGGGCAAGAUGCCCAACGUAACAUGGCUCGAGGGCUCUUUUGUGGAAACCAUAAAGGGGUGGCAAUCGGGUGGUUCUACAUCACCGAGCCGCGUGACCCUGCAUGGGCAGCGGCCCCCCGAGUUCUGAUCUGGCAUCCCCACGCGGCUCACCUCCUGGAAAGAGAAGGGCCUGUCCUGGGGUAGUUUGGAAGAGCUGACCAGACUCCAAACAUGUAUUCAAAACAUGGUGAACAAGAAGCUCAAACUCGUCAACGUGGUCCAGGUCAUGCUCCACCGCCGGAUCCUCCCGUGCCAAUAACGGGAGUUCAACUUGUGGGAGUACAACCCAGCGCAGCACCGAACUCUGAACAGGCUUUUCGACACAACUCACGAAGAUGCCUCGAGGGUGCUGUUCAAAAUCACCAAGGUCCCCCUCCCAUUACUGAGGAUCACGGAUUCAGCGUGAAGCGCCAAGCCAGUGCGGCAGGCUGCUUUACCUUUCACAGGCUACUUAUUUUUUAUAGAUUGACUCCAUGCGGGAUCUAAACUCCCGUACCUUUGACAGGACUGGCAGGAGAUGGCCGGACAGAUCGACUGUCCGGCUCCUAUGCCCGAAGGCCCAGCAGACGCUCUUCUAGCGAAGAUGCUGACUUCGGCUCCUUAUACGGUGCCGGAGAAGACCAAGAAGGACAAGGGAACCCGAAAGAGUUCCCGACGCCAGGCGUCGUCGGACUCACCGUCCGAUGACUCUGCGGCGCACUCCUCCCCCGAAGACGAGGAAGAGGAAGAAGACGCUCCCUCUCUGGCUGGGGGAGAUAAGAAAAGGAAGGCCGCCCCAACUGGGGGGGCGGAAGGGUCCAAGAAGGGAAGGAAUCUCCUUCCGGAUAGUUGCACCGCUGCCGACGAAGGCGAAGACGAGGGGUUGCCCAGGGCCAAGCCCCUGGGGAGAUCGUAAGUAUUCAGAUACCAGAGUAACUCAUAGCAUUCCUUUGUCGCACUGCUUUCCCUAACGUCAAACAUAAUUAUGCAGGUCGCCAUGAGCCAGUAUCGAUGUGUGACGCCCGGAUAAUCAUGCUACAGUAAUCCCACGCUAAUCAUGCCACGUCACCUCGGUUACUGUUGCUAAUCUAUCGUUAGGUCAAAGCUGGUCCAAAAUUCAAAUUCAAAGUUUGGUAAAUAAUAACAGUUUUCAAAAAUUAAAACAAAAAUGUUCGGUGAUUGCCGAAUAAUGCAUAGGUAAUUAUGGUGGAGAAACCACACUUUUAUAAAAUGUUUAAAUAAUCUAAAAUGAAUAAAACAGUAGAAAAACCAAAUCUAAAUGCUUUUAUAAAUAAAUAAAACACUAAACUAAAUUGUUUUGGGAUAAAGCCUUUUGUGGCAGUGGGUUUCGUGGUAUUACAAUUUUAGAGUUCAUUUUAAUACUAAGUAAGAAGUAUAAUUAAGAGAAACUAAAAUAAAGAACAGAAAAAAAAGAAUAAAUAAAAGGAAAAGAAAACACAAAACAGAAAAGAAAACUACCAAAAAAAUAUGGUAAAAGGAGACCCCCCCCACUGGACCCCUUGGCCCAACUGGGCCAUGGCCCAGCCGGCCACCCCCNNNNNNNNNNNNNNNNNNNNNNNNNNNNNNNNNNNNNNNNNNNNNNNNNNNNNNNNNNNNNNNNNNNNNNNNNNNNNNNNNNNNNNNNNNNNNNNNNNNNNNNNNNNNNNNNNNNNNNNNNNNNNNNNNNNNNNNNNNNNNNNNNNNNNNNNNNNNNNNNNNNNNNNNNNNNNNNNNNNNNNNNNNNNNNNNNNNNNNNNNNNNNNNNNNNNNNNNNNNNNNNNNNNNNNNNNNNNNNNNNNNNNNNNNNNNNNNNNNNNNNNNNNNNNNNNNNNNNNNNNNNNNNNNNNNNNNNNNNNNNNNNNNNNNNNNNNNNNNNNNNNNNNNNNNNNNNNNNNNNNNNNNNNNNNNNNNNNNNNNNNNNNNNNNNNNNNNNNNNNNNNNNNNNNNNNNNNNNNNNNNNNNNNNNNNNNNNNNNNNNNNNNNNNNNNNNNNNNNNNNNNNNNNNNNNNNNNNNNNNNNNNNNNNNNNNNNNNNNNNNNNNNNNNNNNNNNNNNNNNNNNNNNNNNNNNNNNNNNNNNNNNNNNNNNNNNNNNNNNNNNNNNNNNNNNNNNNNNNNNNNNNNNNNNNNNNNNNNNNNNNNNNNNNNNNNNNNNNNNNNNNNNNNNNNNNNNNNNNNNNNNNNNNNNNNNNNNNNNNNNNNNNNNNNNNNNNNNNNNNNNNNNNNNNNNNNNNNNNNNNNNNNNNNNNNNNNNNNNNNNNNNNNNNNNNNNNNNNNNNNNNNNNNNNNNNNNNNNNNNNNNNNNNNNNNNNNNNNNNNNNNNNNNNNNNNNNNNNNNNNNNNNNNNNNNNNNNNNNNNNNNNNNNNNNNNNNNNNNNNNNNNNNNNNNNNNNNNNNNNNNNNNNNNNNNNNNNNNNNNNNNNNNNNNNNNNNNNNNNNNNNNNNNNNNNNNNNNNNNNNNNNNNNNNNNNNNNNNNNNNNNNNNNNNNNNNNNNNNNNNNNNNNNNNNNNNNNNNNNNNNNNNNNNNNNNNGCCCCUCGGCGCCCGCUCGGCCCUCUCCUGGGUCGGGCGCCCGUAACGCCCAGCGCCCGUAACCCGCUAUGGCCCCCUGGGCAGUUGACAGAUGGGGCCCACGCCCCUGUCUUGUUAGAAAAAAAAACGAAAAGAAAAUGUAAUUAAAAAAAUGAAAAUAAGUAAUUAGUUAUUUAAUUAAUUAUGUAACUAAUUAAUUAAUUAAAUAAGUAAUUACUUAACUUAAUUAACUCCGUUUAGUACUUAAUUAACUUGAUUAGUUAAUUAAAAUUGUUAAUUAGUUGUUAGACUAUGACGAAUGGGACCCACACGUCAGUUUGACCCAGUCAACGCCCUGUUGACUGCUGACGUCAUGCUGACGUCAGCGUACACUAUUCUGGAUAAUGUUAAUUUAAUUAAUAAUUAAUAAAUUAGAAAAUGAUUUAAAAAUUUAAAAAUUAAUAUAAAUUAAACCGUAGCUCAGAUGAAAAAACUUUGUACAUGAAAGUUGCUCAGAACGACGAGACAAAUCUGGAUACACGGCCUGUUUGUUCGUCACGCAUCCCUAGCAUAGCAAACUCGCAACUUUCCCCUCCGGCUCCUCUGCCCGAAAACGCAAAACACCGGGGAUACUUUCCCGGAUGUCAUCCCCCUUCACCGGUAUCACCUAUUACCGCGUUAGGGCACCUCUAACGCCGUUACUUGUCAUGUCAUGCAUCACUAUGCAUAUGCUUGCUUAAAUAUUUAUUAUUUCUUCCCCCUCUUCUCUCGAUAGACACCGAGACCGACGCCGCUGCUACCCAGUACGACUACGCUGUUGACGACCCUCUUUCUUGCCAGAGCAACCAGGCAAGCGCCCCCCUUGAUCACCAGAUAUCGCCUACUCUCUUCUAUACUGCUUGCAUUAGAGUAGUGUAGCAUGUUACUGCUUUCCGUUAUUCCUAUCCUGAUGCAUAGCCUGUCCUUGCUACUACUGUUGUUACCAUUACCUGCUAUCCUACUGCUUAGUAUAGGAUGCUAGUGUUCCAUCAGUGGCCCUACACUCUUGUCCGUCUGCCAUGCUAUACUACUGGGCCGUGAUCACUUCGGGAGGUGAUCAUGGGCAUAUGCUAUAUACUUUACACAGUUACUUUACCUGUGGUACUGUUCGGAGAUGGGGGCUGAAGGGGCAGGUGGUUCCACCCAGGUAGUGGUGGGCCUGGGUUCCCGACGGCCCCCGACUGUUACUUUGUGGCGGAGCGACAGGGCAGGUUCAGACCACCUAGGAGAGAGGUGGGCCUGGCCCUGGUCGGCGUCCGCGGAUACUUAACACACUUAACGAGAUCUGGGUAUUUGAUCUGAGUCUGGCCAUUUGGUCUAUACGCACUAACCAUCUACGCGGGAGUAGUUAUGGGUAUCCCGACGUCGUGGUAUCAGCCGAAGCCUUCGUGACAUCAGCGACUAAGUGGCGCGUGCCGGAUUGGACCGUAAGCCUGCUCUUGUAUUAAGGGGGCUAGUUCUGCUUCCGGCCGCGUUCGCAACGUGCAGGUGUGCAAAGGGCGAUGGGCCCAGACCCCUGCGCCAUAGGAUUUAGACCAGCGUGCUGACCUCUCUGUUGGGCCUAGGUAGGGCUGCGACGUGUUGAUCUUCCGAGGCCGGGCAUGACCCAGAAAAGUGUGUCCGGCCAAAUGGGAUCGAGCGUGUUGGGGUAUGUGGUGCACCCCUGCAGGGAAGUUUAUCUAUUCGAAUAGCCGUGUCCCUCGGUAAAAGGACGACCCGGAGUUGUACUUUGACCUUAUGAUAACUAGAACCGGAUACUUAAUAAAACACACCCUUCCAAGUGCCAGAUACAACCGGUGAUCGCUCUCUCACAGGGCGACGAGGGGAGGAUCAUCGGUUAGGAUUAUGCUAUGCGAUGCUACUUGGAGGACUUCAGUCUACUCUCUUCUACAUGCUGCAAGACGGAGGUUACCAGAAGCGUAGUCUUCGAAAGGACUAGCUAUCCCCCUCUUAUUCCGGCAUUCUGCAGUUCAGUCCACAUAUGAUAGCCUUAUUCCAAUUGAUACCAAUGCAUACAUAUGUAGUGUAGCUCCUUGCUUGCGAGUACUUUGGAUGAGUACUCACGGUUGCUUUCUCCCUCUUUCCCCCCUAUCCCUUCUACCUGGUUGUCGCGACCAGAUGUUGGAGCUCAGGAGCCAGACGCCACCGUUGACGACGACUCCUACUACACCGGUGGUGCCUACUACUACGUGCUGUCCGCUGACGACGACCAGGAGUAGUUUAGGAGGAUCCCAGGCAAGAGGCCUGCGCCUCUUUCGAUCUAUAGCUCAGUUUGUGCUAGCCUUCUUAAGGCAAACUUGUUUAACUUAUGUCUGUACUCAGAUAUUGUUGCUUCCGCUGACUCGUCUAUGAUCGAGCUCUUGUAUUCGAGCCCUCGAGGUCCCUGGCUUGUAAUAUGAUGCUUGUAUGACUUAUUUUAUUUGUAGAGUUGUGUUGUGAUAUCUUUCUGUGAGUCCCUGAUCUUGAUCGUACACGUUUGCGUGUAUGAUUAGUGUACGGUCAAAUCGGGGGCGUCACACGAUGUAUCAUCGGACGGUUCCCUAGGCUCGUCGGACAUGGAUAGCGAUCCAGUCCCGACCCCCACCUCCCCUCAUCCUGCUGACGACGCCGAGGUGCUGUCUCAAGAGGCAUCGGGUCGAGGGGAGACAGUCCUGGAGGCACCUCAAGGCGACCUUCCGGACUCCGGGAGCCGAGGGGACGGGGCCCCUAAGAGCUUCGAGUUCGGCCCUCAGCCGAACACCGCGCUGGAACCUCCAGUGGUUCCGGGCUCGGUCAGGCGGCCUCCUUCUAAGAGGGGCAAGACACCUGUGCCGGUGACCUCUGUCUAUCCAGAGGCGCCGGACAAUCUGCUGGAAGCGCUUCGCAGCGCUUCCAUCGACGAGGAGCACCGCACUAUCAUGAGUGCGGCGAUCCAGAAAGUUUAGUCCGCCAAGAGCGGAUUGACUGAAGCCUGUGCCAGCCUUCUAACAGGCUUUGAGGUAAGUGUUUUAAAAUAUAGGAAAAAUACUACUGCAUAUAUAGUAGCCCCUGAUGCUUUGUUCGGUGUUCAGAAAGAAAAGCCGAACAGAGGAUCAAAUAAUAUCGCAGGACUCUAAUAUAAGUAUGUCAAUAUGCGUAUGCAAGCCUCACUGCUGGCAUCCGCCACACUGACUGCGGAGGUCGCCCUACUGAAGCAGGACCUCGAGAGGUCUAGGAGAGAGCUCGGCCUUGUCAAGAGGCAGCUCGAGGAGAACAAGGGUAAGUAAUACCUUGUCUUUAGAUAUGUAUAUAUAAAAGAAGAAGCGAUUGCAAAAUGACAGGAUCAUCGUACAUUCGCCAGGGGCCACGACCAAGGUGGCAACCCUCAAGCAAGCGCUAACCAAGGCCGAAGAUAACGCGGCCAAGGAGCGCACCGAGUGAGAGAAGCACGAGGCUCGGGUGGGCGAGGUGCAGCAAGAGCUCUAGGCUAUCAUGGUGAAGCACGAGGCAUUGGAGCUUGACUAAAAGACGCGAGAGUCUGAGCUUUCCGCGGCCCUCGAGAGCGCAAAAAGUGCCAAGGCCGAAGCCCAAAGGGGUCUCCAGGCGGGUAUGGCUUUCUAUAUGCAAAGCAAGCAUGUAAAAGUAAAUUACCGAUUACUUACUCGAAUCCGGAGCUCUCCAGGAGCAUUCGCAGAUUUUCCACGCAGCGUGUCCGAUGCCGCACAAUUUUACCAGGCCGAGGAUGGAAGCUCAAUGGAGAAGCUGUUCUGGUAUCAGUAUGCUGAGGCCGGACACCCGGUGCCAAUGAGCGACCAGCUGAAGCAGGUGGUCGAGCUACAUAAGGCGGCCGAUCAGGCCAUGAAGGGCUUUAUAGUCCGGCUGUGGCCUGGCGACGCCCUUCCGAACAGCUUCCUCGGCCUGGUGAGGCGGCUUGUGGAUGCCUGCCCGCGGCUGGAGGUCGUCAAGCGAUCUGUCUACAUUGAGGGUGCACGCCGGGCUUUCGCCCGUGUGAAAUUGCAGUGGGUCAAGCUAGACGCCGUGAAGCUGAUCAAGGAGGGGCCGCCGGAGGGCAAGGAGCACCGCCACCCCGAGAUGUACUACGAGGGUGUUCUGCUGGGUGCCCGUCUCAUAGCGGACGAGUGUUCAAAAGAUGUAAUAUUUGAGUGAGACUUGCUCGUUUUAUCCUGUAUUUAUGAAAACUUGUUUCAUAUGCACUAUGCAACGCUUGUUUGAAUUUAGAAUAUUACCUUCUGUUUGGCCGUUUAUCAAUCUGAGAGAUGGCUAGUCCUCAGCUUCUGCCCCCAUGCCACGAGUGCUGGGGUCUUCGGGAUAAACCUGAGCACUCUUGUUCCCAUAUUUGGGUCCUUGGAGGGAGGUGCUCAGCACAACGAACAAGGAAACCCGACUAAUAAUGCUUUAUCACUCUCACUUAGCGAUAGAAUUCUAUAAUUUUAAAUUUCGGCGAAGCCCCUGGUAUUCGGAAGGCCGAAUUCGGGGCGCGAUACACGCCUUUAAGCCGGACAGGGCCGGCCCCUCGCCCUAAGCGGCAUAAGUCUUUGGGGACUCGAUAACCUCGCCGAACAGCGAUCAGUCUCUCCCCUUAUCAUGACAGUCAGUUUUAGCUUUCUCUACUUAGGUGCCGAACCCAGCAAAACCGGGGCACAAUCGCAGUAGUUCUCCUAGCGCUACCUUAGCCGAUAGAGUGGAACGUAAGGUACCAAAACAUAGGAGCCGGGCAAACCCAACAUUUGACCAAAGACAUGAUUCGGAGCUGAUGCAUAUAAUGCUAUAAGUUUGGGGUGCCGCACUUGUGAAAGUGUUCGGACUUUUCACACCGUAUUGUGGGGUACGUAAGCCCCUGGUGUAUUGGCCGUACCAAAGUGUACGGUUGCAAGGCAUCAUUAAUGAACAUAUAUAUAUAUAUAUAUAUAUAUAUAUAACAAGAGUGCAAUAAUAGUCGUAAUGUCAUGCAUUGUUUAUUCAAAAAAUUACGUUAAAGUAGGGUGAUACAGAUAGUGUGAUAAGCAAAGAGUAGGACUAUGUCCCUUCCCAAGGCAAGCUAAGGAAUGAUAUUAAAUUGAAUAUUUCGCUCGUUACAGUAAUCCACCUAGGAAUUCCGUGGUGUGACGUAGCUAUCUGCCUCCUUGGUUGCUGCAUCGUGUGUUCGGCAAUAGUGCUGCCGGACAGUGUUUCCAGAGGUUAAUGUCCUGAAAAAAAGAGAAAAAUAACCAAACGGGAAGCCCCUAGUGCGGUUUAAGCCGCGUCUUGGGGCGUGCUGCAGUUGUGCCACCCUCCCCACCUGUGCCCAUGGUAUUUUUAAUGCGUAAUUAUGUACGCGUGGCAUGAGUUUCGUCGUUGGGCUGGGAUUGGGGUGGCCGCCUUAUUGCUACGCGAGCUCAGAUCGCGCAAGGCGGUCUAUUUGCCGAUUGCUCCGAGCGCGCUUGAAGGUGUCCGGGCUUUGAAGCGCCGGACUGGUUGAUUGCCUUGAGAGGCUGCUUUGCGCUUCUGCUGCGAGGGCCGCGGUGUGCUCCUCUGUUCGGAGAGAGCACUCUGUGUUUCCAUUGACUGUAAUAACUCCGCGAGGUCCUGACAUCUUGAGCUUGAGGUAUGCAUAGUGCGGUACCGCAUUGAAUCUAGCAAAUGCGGUUCGCUCGAGCAGCGCGUGGUAACCACUGCGGAAUGGGACUAUAUCGAAGAUUAGCUCUUCGCUUCGGAAGUUAUCCGGGGAUCCGAAGACCACUUCCAGUGUAAUUGAGCCUGUGCAAUGGGCCUCUACACCUGGAAUGAGGCCUUUAAAGGUCGUUUUUGUGGGUUUGAUCCUUGAGGGGUCUAUACCCAUUUUGCGCACUAUAUCCUGAUAAAGUAGGUUCAGGCUGCUGCCGCCAUCCAUAAGGACUCGAGUGAGGUGAAAUCCGUCAAUGAUUGGGUCUAGGACUAGUGCGGAAAAUCUACCAUGAUGGAUACUAGUGGGGUGGUCCCUUCGAUCGAAGGUGAUCGGAUAGGAGGACCAAGGGUUGAACUUUGGGGUGACUGGCUCGAACGCAUAUACGUCCAUGAGCGCACGCUUCCGCUCCCUCUUAGGGAUGUGGGUUGCGUAUAUCAUGUUCACCGUCUGCAGUUGCGGGGGAAACCUCUUCUGUCCUUCGAUGUGCGGCUGCCGGGGCUCCUCCUCGUCAUCGCUAUGCGGCCCCUUGUCCUUCUUUUCGGCAAUUAACUUGCGGGCCUGCUUGAACACCCAACAAUCCCUGUUGGUGUGAUUGGCUGGCUUGUCUAGGGUGCCGUGUAUUUGACACGAGCGAUCGAGUAUACGUUCCAAGCUGGAUGGACCUGGCGUACUUUGUUUGAAUGGCUUUUUCCGCUGACCGGGUUUAGAGCCUUUGAAUCCGGCAUUGACUGCCGUAUCCUCGGUAUUUUCGCUGUUAAUGCGGCGGUUAUGUUUGUUGUGACAUGACCUGCUAUUGCCAUCCUUGGUAUCGGAGGUACCAUGGUUCUUUGAUAUGUUAUUACUACGGGCCAGCCAGCUGUCUUCUCCCGCACAAAAGCGGGUCAUGAGCGUCGUGAGAGCUGCCAUAGAUUUCGGCUUUUCCUGACCAAGGUGCCAGGCUAGCCACUCGUCUCGGAUGUUGUGUCUGAAAGCCGCUAAGGCCUCUGCAUCCGGACAGUCGACGAUUUGAUUUUUCUUUGUGAGGAACCAAGUCCAGAAUUGCCUAGCCGACUCUUCUGGCUGCUGAAUUAUGUGGCUCAAGUCAUCGGCGUCUAGUGGUCGCACAUAAGUGCCCUGAAAGUUGUUGAGGAAUGCGGCUUCCAGAUCUUCCCAACAGCUAAUGGAGUCCGCUGGCAAGCUGUUAAGCCAAUGCCGCGCUGGUCCUUUGAGCUUUAGUGGAAGAUAUUUGAUGGCGUGUAAGUCAUCACCGUGGGCCAUGUGGAUGUGGAGGAGGAAAUCCUCGAUCGAUACUGCAGGAUCUGUUGUGCCGUCGUAUGAUUCAAUAUUUACAGGUUUGAAACCUUCUGGGAAUUGAUGAUCCAUUACUUCGUCUCUGAAGCAUAAGGGGUGUGCGGCGCCUCUGUAGUGGGCUAUAUCGCGACGCAGCUCGAAUGGGUCUUGCCCGCUGUGUUCGGCCCGGCCGGAUUUGCUUUUACUGUAUCCGGCGUGACAUUUAUCGUCUCGCAGAGUUGUGCGCCCUCGUGAUCCGUAGAUCGAUCUUGCAUGCUUUGCUUUGUCCUCCAAUAUAUCUCGCAGGUCUGGCGUAUCUCCCCAUGCCUUUUUAUUUGAAUGGCGUCGGGGUGGAGGCUGAGUUUUUGGCUGGACUGCCUCUCUAUCGCGGCCACGAGGUGGCCGAUCCGGGCAGUAACCUGCACUUUGGGUAAUUCUUGGAGGGGUGCUUGAGUUUAUAUUCCUCGGCCGCGAGGACUUCAGUCCAUCUGUUAGUUAAGAGAUCUUGAUCAGCUUGAAGCUGCUGCUGCUUUUUCUUUAGGCUAUUUUCCGUGGCCAUAAGCCGGUGCUUGAAGCGCUCUUGUUCGAUGGGAUCCUCUGGUACAUCGAAUUCAUCAUCGCCGAGGCUUGCCUCGUCUUCGGAGGCGGGCGUGUAAUUGUCAUCCUCCUCCUCUCCGUCUGCCGCUCUUUCAGGAGGGUUGGCUCCUCCAUCCUCCUGCUCUAAAUCUUGCUGGAGGGGAUUAUUGUUGUCUUCGGCACUAUCCGGAGUGUUAUUAUCUCCUGUGCCGGUAUCACCACUUUUGCUUUGGCGGGACUUAGAGCGGCGCCGCUGACAUCGGCGCUUGGGUUGCUUCUUGGAGAGGUCAUCCUCCGUUAUCUCGUCGCCAUUGCCUUCUUUGGGUGUAUCCACCAUGUAUAUGUCGUAUGAUGAUGUGGCUUUCGAGUGCCCUAUGGGCGCUGGUUCAUGUUCAUCUCCUACAUCGUCGUCCAUACCAUCGAUGUCUUCGGAGUCGAAGUCGAGCAUGUCGGUUAAAUUAUCGACAGUGGCUACGAAGUGGGUGGUGGGUGGGCAUCGAAUUUCUUCGUCGUCCGCCUCCCAAUCCUGUUGGCCAUAGUCCGGCCAGGGCUCUCCUGACAAAGAGAGAGACUUUAGUGAAUUCAGAAUGUCACCGAAGGACGAGUGCUGCAAGAUAUCAGCGGCGGCGAAUUCCAUGAUCGGCGCCCAGUCGGAUUCAAUUGGCAGGGGCGCGGACGGUUCGGAGUCCGGAAAAGAGUCCGGCACCUUGGAGUCACGGGCUUUGCAGAGGAUUAGGCUGGUGUUCAACUCGAUCACCGUUGAGACUGCAGCCCCUGAGGCGGUGUCUAGCCACCCGUCCUCGACUGGCGCAGUUGGCUCCGAGCUAAGGGUCAGAGCUGAUGCGGGCGCGGCCUCUGGGGUACUGUCCGGUGGUAGAGCUAGGUCAUACCCAUCGUGACAGUGCAGCGCGCCCGGCUGUGGCUUGAAUCCGUCGAAGAUCAAGUCUCCGAGGAUGUCGGCCGUGUAGUUCAAACUUCCAAAUCUGACCUGAUGGCCAGGGGUGUAGCUUUCAAUCUGCUCCAGAUGGCCAAGCGAAUUAGCCCGUAGUGCAAAGCCGCCGAACACUGGACCGCAUCGUUGUUCAUGAUCGGAGGAGCCAUCGGGCCUAAAGGUGACGACACCGAGGAAAUCUCAAUGGAAGCACCAAUGUCGGUGUCAAAUCCGGCGGAUCUCGGGUAGGGGGUCCCGAACUGUGCGUCUAGGCCGGAUGGUAACAGGAGGCAGGGGACACAAUGUUUUACCCAGGUUCGGGCCCUCUUGAUGGACGUAAAACCCUAUGUCCUUCUUGAUUAAUAUUGAUGAUAUGUGUAGUACAAGAGUAGAUCUACCACGAGAUCAGAGAGGCUAAACCCUAGAAGCUAGCCUAUGGUAUGAUUGUAUACGUCCUACGGACUAAAACCCUCCAGUUUAUAUAAACACCGGAGAGGGUUAGAGUUACACAAGGUCGGUUGCAAAGGAGGAGAUAUCCAUAUCCGUAUUGCCUAGCUUGCCUUCCACGCCAAGUAGAGUCCCAUCCGGACACGGGACGGAGUCUUCAAUCUUGUAUCUUUAUAGUCCAACAGUCCGGCUGUCCGGAGACCCCCUAAUCCAGGACUCCCUCACCCCCACUCCCUAUCGAACCCUAGCCCAAUCGCCCCACCUCCCCCACACCCCCUCGCCAGCCUCCCCACCUCUUGAUCCCAUCUGGAUCGGGGAGGGGAUCACCCCCAUCGACCCCGUCGCCGUCGCCGGAUCGCCCGUCAGCGUCGCCAGGCCUCCUCCCCGCCGCCCGUCUCCGGCUCGCCUCCCCUCUCGCUCCUCUUUCCCGACCCGAUCAGGAUCGUGAACGAGCAAUGAGCGCGACGCCCCCCCUUCAUCGGCGCCAUCACCGUGCGCCACCACCACCGCCUGAAGACCUCGCCGUCGCUGACCUUGUGUCGUCUCCUGGUAUCCCUUCCCGACUCGCGUCCUCAAGCCAGGCCGACCCCCUUCUCGGCAAUGCUGUGAGACGCCCCCCGUUUCCCUCCUCUUUCCACCGUGUUCACCGCGCCGCCUGACGAAGCUACGUACCUAGGGUAGGGGCAUGGACCUGUCCUAAGAGCCCUACCCAAGGACAUCCCUGGAAGAAGUCACCUUUCAAUCGACUUGAAGGUACCCACUCGACGGGUUUAAGACACUCGACCAAGAAGCUACCACUCGACAUGAAGCCAAUCACUCGACUGCCAGGAGAUCUAAAGUCAUUCCACGGGCAAACGGUCGGCUAUUAAGUAGUCUUUAUGGUCAUUAUAGCACUUUAUUACCAGCAUUACCAGUAACGCCCCGCCUUAAUGUACAUUGAACCCUUGGUAACGUAGGCUGGCCGGGGUCCUGGCGCGCUCUAUAUAAGUCACCCCCUCCUCCGAGACAAGGGUUCGCACCUCUAUUGUUCACAUGCCUAUAAUCCAAUCGACCGCCUCCGGGCACUGAGACGUAGGGCUGUUACUUCCUCCGCGAAGGGCCUGAACUCGUACACCUUGGUGUGUUUACAACUUCCCAAUAGCUGAGAUCUAGCCUCUCCAUACACACCCCCCUACAUCACUGUCAGAGUUAGAACCACAAUAGUUGGCGCCCACCGCGGGGCCAGAAUCUUAGCGCUUACUUGGAGAAGUUGCGAUUCUUCUGAUCCCUUUGAUCAUGGUUUCAUGCGGAGUUUUGGUGGAGGGGCGCGAGAUCCGUCUCGGCGCGCUCACAUUCAUCGCCGACGACUCCGCUUGGUUUCAGGAGGCUCCACUCGACAUCGACGUGCUCCCCGUCCGUGGUGCGACGCACUUCCGCGCAUGCGUUCGUGGCGUCCUCCUGCGGCAGCCGUCGACCCAGUAUCGGUCGGCCCUCGUGUCGUCUCCCCGCUCUGUCUCCCUCCGACGCAAGCGCUUUGGUAGGUCGAGACUUUAGAGGUGGGUGAGGCAUGCCGUGGCUCGCCAGUCGGCCGCCCCACAAGUCGCGGCAAUCGAGCCCGACAAAUCCCUCUGCAGCCUGUUCGACUGGCUCCGCGGAGACUUCAUCCGAGUGUGACAGCAGAGACCCAGCGGCUGAGGUUCUGGCGGUCGAUGGGACACACUGUCCUCCCGGUUUCCCUCGCGCUAAUGGAGGCGCGGGUGGGGGCGACCCGUCGCAUCCCCACGAUGAGUAUCUCCCCGAAUGUCUCACGGCAUCGCAGCGAGAGGAACUUCACCGCCGGAACAUAGACGCACUCCACACUCCUAUCGUCGGAGAAACCCCCGAGGCCCGGGCCUUGGAGGACGCGCGCUUGGCUAACUUGGCUGAGCGCACUCGACUGGAGAAUCUCCAGCUAAUACUCGAUGAGCAAGCGCGCCAGUGAGCUCCCGAGUCCAGUCGACGUCAGCUCUUUCCGCCGAUGCAGGUAUAUUGAACCCUAGUUCAGAAUUUGGCCGCCGCGGCCCGUAUAGCAGAGUCAAUUCAGCCCUCCCAGUCAGAGGCUGGCAGGGGCUUGUUGCAGAUCAGAGCAUUGCUCCGGGCGGCGGGGAACCAGAAUUCCGCUGUUUCUCAGUCGCAGAAUAGGAUCCACAGUCGAUCCGUUGCAACAGAUACAGUCCAGUCGGCUCACAGCCCGAGAUCGCCCCCGAGGCGUGAGGGACAUGGAGACCGGCACGAUCAGUACAGAAGAAAUGAGCAGUAUGAUCACCGAUUCGAUCGUGAGGAUCGACGUCGAGUGCCAACCCCUCCCCCGAGGAGUGGGUCAUAUGCGCCUCGAUAGCGAGAUGACAGGCGCCCUCAUAGUGUUGGGCAGAGGAUUCCAGUCGACCCCAGGGACCCAGGCUUUGAUGCGAGAUCCAUCCUUGAUCAAGGUCUGGUUGACAGGAACGGGGCUCACCGAGAAUGCCAGGACAGAGAUGCGCCUGCCAGCAGCAGAGUGCGUGUUUCAGGGACAGAGUGUUUCAGUCGAGCCAUCAGAGCCACAGUGAUUCCUCCCAACUUCAGGUUGGCGACUGGAGUCAGCUAGUUCACCGGUGAGUCUAAGCCUGACACUUGGCUCGAAGAUUACCGAGUGGCUGUACAGAUUGGCAGUGGCAAUGAUGAGGUGGACAUGAAGCAUUUGCCUCUCAUGUUAGAGGGCUCAGCCAGAGCAUGGCUAAAUCAGUUAGUGCCCAGCAGCAUUUACACUUGGGAGGACCUCUCCCGAGUGUUUGUCACAACCUUUGAGGGAACAUGCAAGCGACCUGCAGGCCUUACAGAGUUGCGGUCUUGCACGCAGAAACCGAAUGAAACGCUGAGGGAUUACAUCCAGAGGUGGAUCACAUUGCAUCACACAGUUGAGAAUGUUCCAGAUCAUCAAGCAGUUUGUGCCUUCAAAGAAGGCGUUAAGUACAGAGAAUUGAAUCUGAAGUUCGGUCGAACUGGAGAGAUGUCUCUGAAUCGGAUGAUGGAGAUUGCCACCAAAUACGCUAAUGGUGAAGACGAAGAUCGCCUCCGGAGUGGCAAGCGCAAGGCAGUCGCCCAAGAAACCGGAGGAAACUCCAGUCAGAAACAGAAGCGGAAGGCUGAGCCAGCCGCCCCUGGGGAGGCCCUGGCCGUAACCCAGGGAAAUUUCAAGGGAAAACCCAAGGGCCCCUGGAAGCCCAAGAAAGUCAAGGAUCAAGAUGGAAAUGAUGUUUUGGAUCUGCCAUGUCACUCCACACCAAGAAAGAUGAAGAGGGUAAUUUUAUUUACCCAAAGCAUACCACUCGACAGUGCCAGCUCCUGAUCCAGCAGUUUCAGGGCAAGCAACCCAAAGAUAAGGAAAAAGAGCCAGACAGAGUUGAGGACAAGGAUGAUAGUGACGAUGGAUACCCCCAAGUCAAUUCCACCCUGAUGAUUUUUGCUGAUGUCGAAAGCAAAAGUCGACUGAAAGUCAUUAAUCGUGAAGUGAAUAUGGUUGCUCCGGCAACACCUAGUUAUCUGAAGUGGUCUCAGGCUGCCAUAACAUUCGACCAGUCUGAUCACCCUACGCACAUUGCCACCCCUGGGAGGCAAGCUUUGGUGGUCGACCCAGUUGUCGAAGGCACUCGACUGACCAAAGUCCUGAUGGAUGGUGGCAGUGGCCUGAACAUACUGUAUGCUAAAACAUUGAAAGGGAUGGGCAUUCCGAUGUCCGGGCUCAGUACCAGCAACAUGAGCUUCCACGGAGUCAUUCCCGGGAAGUAAGCCGAAUCACUCGGCCAGAUUGCUCUUGAUGUGGUUUUCGGUGAUUCAAAGACUUACCGCAAGGAAAAGUUGACAUUCGAGGUUGUGGACUUCCAAAGUGCUUAUCAUGCCAUUUUGGGCAGACCAGCUUAUGCACGCUUCAUGGCCUGACCAUGUUAUGUGUAUCUCAAAUUGAAGAUGCCUGGUCCUAAAGGUGUGAUCACUGUUACAGGCAAUCGGAAGAAGGCAGAAGAGUGUUUUCAGAAAGGCUCAAAGAUUGCUGACGCUCAGAUGGCAGUGGUUGAGCUGCAAGAGUAUCAGAAGACUGCAGAUCCGAGUGAGUUGCUACGAGCUAAGAAGCCCACUUCGGAGUCAGCUUUUCAGUAGUCUGGUGAAAUGAAGGCAGUUCACAUUCACCCGACCAACCCCGAGGCUGCCCCGACUCACAUCUCAAAGACGCUCGACUCCAAAUAGGAAGAAGUGCUCAUCCAGUUCCUCCGUGAGAACUGGGACAUCUUCGCAUGGAAGCCUUCUGACAUGCCUGGAAUAACCAGGGGGCUGGCUGAGCACCGUCUACGAGUCGACCCAAAGUUCAAGCCUAUGAAAGAACAUCUUCGACGGUCCGCCGUCCAAAAGAGGAAAGCUAUUGGCGAGGAGGUGGCUCGGCUCUUAGCAGCAGAGUUCAUCCGAGAGAUGUACCACUCUGAGUGGCUCGCCAAUGUUGUCAUGGUCCCCAAGAAGGACAAGUCGCUUCGCAUAUGCAUCGACUUUAAACAUAUCAAUCGGGCCUGCCCGAAAGAUCAUUUUCCUCUCCCUCGCAUCGACCAAAUAGUCGACUUGACCGCGGGGUGUGAGCGAUUGUCUUUUCUAGACGGCUAUUCCGGGUACCAUCAGAUCCGUCUGUAUGGACCCGAUGAGAUCAAAACAGCUUUCAUCACUCCAUUCGGGUGCUUCCGUUAUGUCACCAUGCCCUUCGGCCUCAAGAACGCUGGAGCCACGUUCAUGAGGAUGAUUCAGAAGUGUUUGCUCACUCAAAUCAGUCGGAACGUGGAAGCAUACAUGGAUGAUAUUGUGGUCAAGUCGCGGAAAGGUUCCGACCUGCUGACUGACCUUGCUGCAACCUUUGCCAACCUUAGGAGGUAUGAUAUCAAGCUUAAUCCAUCAAACUGCACAUUCGGAGUUCCGGGUGGAAAGUUACUCGGUUUUCUCGUUUCCGAAUGAGGAAUCAACGCCAAUCCCGAGAAAGUUGGCACCAUACUCCGGAUGAAGCGCCCUGUGCGUGUGCACGAUGUCCAGAAGCUUAUGGGUUGCUUGGCCGCUCUAAGUCGAUUCAUUUCUCGUCUCAGUGAAAAGGCAUUGCCUCUUUACCGACUGAUGAAGAAGUCUGACAAGUUCGAGUGGACUCCAGAAGCUGAUGCAGCGUUUGCAGACCUCAAAGCUCUGCUCUCCACCCAGCCGGUGCUUGCUGCCCCAAUCAGUAAAGAGCCUUUGCUGCUUUACAUUGCAGCCACAGGACAAGUUGUCAGUACAGUACUUAUGGUCGAGCGGGAAGAUGAAGGAUAGGCCUUCAGAGUUCAACGCCCAGUAUAUUAUGUGUCUGAAGUUUUGACACCUUCAAAACAAAGAUAUCCUCAUUAUCAGAAGCUUGUAUACGGGAUUUAUAUGACCACGAAGAAGGUUGCACAUUACUUCUCUGACCACUCCAUUACAGUCGUCAGCGACGCCCCACUGUCAGAGAUUCUGCAUAACAGAGAUGCAACUGGUCGAGUGGCGAAGUGGGCGAUUGAACUCCUUCCCCUAGAUAUCAAGUUUGAAGCAAAUAAGGCUAUCAAGUCCCAAGCAAUUGCAGAUUUCAUCACCGAGUGGAUCGAACAGCAGCUUCCGACUCAAGUUCACCCGGAGCACUGGACCAUGUUCUUCGAUGGAUCUAAGAUGCUGAAUGGUUCCGGUGCUGGGGUAGUAUUGGUCUCCCCCCGAGGAGAUAAGCUCAGAUAUGUUCUCCAGAUUCACUUUGAUUCCUCCAAUAAUGAAGCAGAAUAUGAAGCACUUUUGUAUGGGUUGCGCAUGGCCAUUUCACUUGGCGUCCGUCGCCUCAUGGUCUAUGGCGACUCAGAUUUGGUGGUUAAUCAGGCGAUGAAGGAGUGAGACGUCAGAAGUCCGGCAAUGACUGGUUAUUGCAAUGUAGUGAGAAAGCUAGAAAAGAAAUUCGAGGGGUUAGAGCUUCAUCACAUCCCCCGACUGAAAAAUCAGGUAGCUGACGAUUUGGCAAAGAUAGGCCCCAAGAGAGAAGCCAUUCCCAGCAACGUGUUCCUGGAACACAUUCAUUCGCCAUCAGUCCAAGAAGAUCCUUUUACAGAAGAAGCCCCGCAGCCGAAAAGUGCCACAGAUCCGACUGAAGUCGAAGUCCCUGCUGUGGUCGACCUAAUCAUGGAAGUCUUCGCAAUCACUCCCGACUGGACGAUACCGUACAUCGCGUAUAUCCUAAGGAAAGAACUCCCGGAGGACGAGGAAGAGGCUCGACAGAUCGUCCGCCGAUCCAAAGCCUUCACAGUCACAAGGGGACAGUUGUAUAGAGAAAGCGCGACUGGGAUCGGUCAGAAGUGCAUAACACUAGAAGAGGUUCAGAUAAUCCUUGACGACAUCCACUCGCGGACCUGUGGUCACCAUGCGUCUUCUCGGACCAUUGUGGCUAAAGCAUACCGAGCGGGAUUUUACUGGCCAAGAGCAAAUGAGAUGGCAAAAGAGAUAGUCGACCAGUGUGGAGGGUGCUAGUUCUACUCCAACAUGUCACACAAGCCUGCGUCAGCCCUGAAGACCAUUCCACUCGUCUGGCCCUUUGCUGUCUGGGGACUGGACAUGGUUGGUCCACUAAGAACAGGCAGGAGCGGUUUCACUCAUGUGCUUGUGGUAGUCGACAAGUUUACCAAAUGGAUUGAGGCUAAGCGCAUCAAGAAUCUUGAUGCUUGCACUACUAUCAGUUUCGUCAGAGGGCUAACAUUCAGAUAUGGAGUCCCGCAUAGCAUCAUCACUGACAAUGGGUCAAACUUUGAUUCGGACAAGUUCAGAGCUUUUUGCGCCUCUCAAGGCACACGAGUCGACUACGCAUCGGUCGCCCAUCCCCAGUCGAAUGGACAAGCAGAGAGAGCAAAUGGUUUGAUUCUCAAAGGACUAAAGCCUCGACUGAUGCGCGAUCUCAAGCACGCGGCAGGUGCUUAGGUCGACGAGCUUCCGUCAGUUCUGUGGGGAUUGAGGACCACCCCGAACCGGUCGACUGGAGGAACUCCAUUCUUUCUGGUUUAUGGAGCCGAGGCAGUUCUGCCGAGUGAUCUUCUUCACAACGCACCCCGAGUCGAACUUUAUACCGAAGAUGAAGCAGAACAAGCCCGGCAAGACGCAGUCGACCUACUAGAAGAAGAGAGGGAGAUGGCCAUGAUCAGAUCGACCAUUUAUCAGCAAGACUUGCGUCGAUUCCACGCUAGGAAUGUGAAGAGUCGAGCCUUCCAAGAAGGAGAUUUGGUCCUCCUAGUGGAUCAACAGAAACCACACAAGCUUGCUCCUACUUGGGAAGGCCCCUUCAUCGUCACCAGAGUCCUCCACAAUGGAGCGUAUCACCUCUACAAUGUUGAUCGCCAGAUCGAUGAGCCGCGAGCUUGGAAUGCGGAACUGCUCCGCCCCUUUUACACUUGAGUUCUCCCUUGGACGAGAUGUAAUAAGAAAAAAUUUCUGCAGUUCAUUUUUAUCAAAGGCAAGAGUGUUCCAAUAAUUGCUGUCACUUUUGUUUGCAUACGAAAUCCCCCAGUGGGUGACUUAGCUGCGAAUCCGUUUCGCCUAAGUUUGAAAAAUCCUACCGAGUGGAGAGCCAGAUUCCCACUCGGGGGCUUAGCUCCAGCCCAGUGCUUGCCUAAGUGUUCAAAAAUCCUACCAAGUGAGAGCAAUCCUCCCACUUGGGGGCUUAGCUGCAGUCCAGUACUCGCCUAAGUUCUCCCACUUAGAGACUUAGCUGCAGUCAGGCACUCGCCUAAGUUUGAAAAAAUCCUACCGAGUGGAGAGCAAUCCUCCCACUCGAGGGCUUAGCUGCAGUCCAGUACUCGCCUAAGUUCUCCCACUUAGAGACUUAGCUACAGUCAGGCACUCGCCUAAGUUUGAAAAAAUCCUACCGAGUGGAGAGCAACCCUCCGACUCGGGGGCUUAGCUGCAGUCCAGUACUCACCAAAGUUCUCCCACUUAGAGACUUAGCUANNNNNNNNNNNNNNNNNNNNNNNNNNNNNNNNNNNNNNNNNNNNNNNNNNNNNNNNNNNNNNNNNNNNNNNNNNNNNNNNNNNNNNNNNNNNNNNNNNNNNNNNNNNNNNNNNNNNNNNNNNNNNNNNNNNNNNNNNNNNNNNNNNNNNNNNNNNNNNNNNNNNNNNNNNNNNNNNNNNNNNNNNNNNNNNNNNNNNNNNNNNNNNNNNNNNNCUCUCCUUCCGAGCUACGCCACAAGUACAACAUGCGCUCUGCAAGGAGGACGAGGUGCAGGUCGACUGCUACCCUCUCCUUCCGAGCUACGCCACCAAUUCAAAAUCCUACUGAGUGGAGAGCAAACCUCCCACUCGGGGGCUUAGCUGCAGCCCAGUGCUCGCCUAAGUAUUUGAAAUCCUACCGAGUGGAGAGCAAACCUCCCACUCAGGGGCUUAGCUGCAGCNNNNNNNNNNNNNNNNNNNNNNNNNNNNNNNNNNNNNNNNNNNNNNNNNNNNNNNNNNNNNNNNNNNNNNNNNNNNNNNNAAAUCCUACCGAGUGGAGAGCAAACCUCCCACUCGGGGGCUUAGCUACAGCCCAGUGCUCGCCUAAGUAUUUAAAAAUCCUACCGAGUGGAGAGGAAACCUCCCACUCGGGGGCUUAGCUGCAGCCCAGUGCUCGCCUAUGUGUUUAGAAAUCCUACCGAGUGGAGAGCAAACCUCCCACUCGGGGGCUUAGCUGCAGCCCAGUGCUCGCCUAAGUGUUUAGAAAUCCUACCGAGUGGAGAGCAAACCUCCCACUCGGGGGCUUAGCUGCAGCCCAGUGCUCGCCUAAGUGUUUAGAAAUCCUACCGAGUGGAGAGCAAACCUCCCACUCGGGGGCUUAGCUGCAGCCCAGUGGUCGCCUAAGUGUUUAAAAAUCCUACCGAGUGGAGAGCCAGACUCCCACUCGGGGGCUUAGCUGCAGCCUAGCGCUCGCCUAAGUGUUUAAAAAUCCUACCGAGUGAGAGCAAACCCCUCACUCGGAGGGCUUAGCUGCAGCCCGGUGCUCACCUAAGUACAGGACACAACCCAAUCCGCAAGAAGUUACGCCACAAAUACAAGGUUAUUCCGAGUGAAGAUCAAGUUGCACUCGACAGAUCAAACCAUGAAGAUAUCCAACGAGAAAUCAAGUUCGGAUAAAGCCUAAAGGUCCCAGACCUCAGAUCAAAGUACUCGAGCCCUCGGCUCGGCAGAGUUUAACGGUUACAAAUCCACUCAGCAUUCCGAGGCAAAUUUAAAGUGAAGCACGACGAACUCGUCCAAGUCGAUCCCGUCUGCAAUACGAGUGGCAGCAGCGAUGAAAGUCUCCAUGAAGUCUUGAAAGCUGUGCUUCCUGGUAUUGGCAACUUGGAUGGCGGCCGGCUUUUCUUCUCGCGCCUCCUUGCAAUGGACGCGGACCAGAGACAGAGCGACAUCAGCACCACAUCUAGCAGAAGAUUUCUUCCAUUCCGCCACUCAACCCGGGACUUCAUUCUGUCGAGCCAUCAGAGACUCGAGGUCGUUCUGAAGCAUCAUCCCAGGCCAGAGUGAUGUGUCAAUCCGCGACAUCGCAACCUUCAGUCGAGCAAGAUAGUCAACAACACUGGUAACACGAGACUCCAGUCGGAGCACGUUCAUAGCAGCUUCAUCCUUCACGAGAGAAUUGGCGGGGUCCAAGCCUGGCUCCACUCGACUGGUUUCCUCUUCGAAGUUCUGGCAGAAUUCUGCAAACACGAUUCAAGAGUCAGACAUUGGCUCUACACAGGCUUGGCAACUGCAAGACAGUCGGGGCAGAGUAAUUACCUUCGAGCAUGACGAACAGCUUCUUGGUGAGUCCACCGAGAUAAGCCUCCAGAUCAUUUACCUUCCCCGCCAGCUUACCCGCCUGGUCGUGUAGAACCAUCUUUUCAUUCUUCAGUCGGCUGACCUCUUGAUUAGCUGUCUCGAGAGCAGUUUUCAGCCUCGAGUUCUCCUGUUCAAGAGUUCCGACCGAAGCCAUUUUCUCUUCUCCAAGCUUCGUUCUGCUCAAGGCCUCCUUCUGUGAUUCUGCAAGAUCUUGAUCCUUCUUCUUCAGAGCUUCUUCCAGUUUAUCUGCGGCACGUCGAGUGAAAUCAACAUCAAGAAUGGACAAGCAAGAAAAAUCACUCGUCAAGAAUGGAGAACCUCACCAGCCAUACCUUUUGCUUCUUCUUGCGCCUUCCUCAAAUUCUCUUGAGCAAGCUUCAAGUUAAGGUUGAGCUGGAUCUGCUUAUUCUCCAACUCAGUAUAGCGAGCUACAAGUUCACAGGAUUUCUGCAAAAAGAAAAAUCAGUGGACAGACGUCCAAGAUAAGUUGCUUCCCAAUAACUAAAAGACAACGAUGGCGUUUCUAAGACUAUAGCCGAAUCUAAAACAUUCGACAGUAGUCUCGGGGACUACACCCAGUGGGUGCACUCUGCGUGCCCCCAUUGUAAAAAAAGUCGACUGCCCGCAGUCGACCGGAUACAGUUCCAUUCGACAUGGCCUGACCAGACCGAAUGAAGAAAUACAGCUACAACAACACAAUAUAAAGACUACAGUCGACUGCCAGCAGUCCACCAUAGUCUCGGGGACUACACCCAGUGGGUGCACUUAGCGUUCCCCCACUCGUCCAAGAAUUGGCAGACACACCCAGUGGGUGUACAGAUAUAAAGAUCUUCAAAAAAAAAGAUUCUUCAAACAGCAUAUCGUAACAGACCAAGUGUUGAGUCGACUGACCUGGACGUUACUCUGAAGAGCCGAACUCGCGUCAUAAGCCGCUUGGCUGGCCUCCCAAGCCGCUUUCACUUGUUCCAUCAUAAUCCCCGCCUGGCGUAUGGCCUCUUUUGCAGCAGCUGCUUGGUCCUCAGGGACGGGGUACGUGGCAAAAAGCGAAGGCGGAUCCGCAGUCGACGUCAAGGGCCGCACCCUCGUCAGAGGAAUGGCGAAAGUCACAGAAGCCCGAGUGGUUUCACCACCGUCUCGGGCUACGGCCUCAGGCGCCGGAGUGGAUUGUGGGGUCUCGCCAGCCGACGCUCCCCUGUUCCUUCUCACUCUCAGCGGCACGUCAUCGUCGUCAUCCGGAAGGUUGAUAACAUGAUAAGGAGCUACAAGAAAAAAUUCAAUCGACCAGAGUUGCAAUAAGUGUCCAGUCGACUGAAGGCAGAACAUCAGUAAUCAUACCAGGGUGGAGGUAACAGCAUCCUCCAUCUCUUGGUCGUCGUCCUUGGCAGAGACCUCCGAAGUAGGAGCACUGCAAAUCUCGAAAGUCAGUCAGUUGGCUCAAUGAAUCGACCAAGGAUCUGUCCACGGUCGACAAAGGAAAACAAGUUUUGUUAUUACCCAGAAAUGGUGGGGACAGCCAUCUUCAUCUUGGGCAGAGCCUUGGGCGGCUUGGACGGCGUCGCGCGUGGGUGCUUGGGAGCCUUUCCAGUCAGCGUAGGAGAAGAGGUUCGAGGGCGUUUCGACAACUGCCCAACAGGAGCAGUCGCCUACCACGUUCCCGCGCUGGAUCAUGUGUGAGCUUGGAUCGCCUCUCCCGGUGGGGGGGGGGGGGGGGUCAACCUCCUCCUCCUCCUCUUCGCUGGAGUUGACGUCGUCGUCUCCCUCUCCUUCGCCAUCGGACUCCCACUCGCCUUGAUCGUCUCCACUCUCACAUCCGCUCGCCUCCCCUUCCUCAGUUGGCUCCUGUGCCCCGUUGGGUGUCGAGUACAUCUCAGUAGUCGCCUGGAAAACAACAGACAAGACAAAAGUUAGUCGACCAAUUCAAAGAAGACCAAUGAAGAAAACAAGAUUUCAAUCGGGAGCGUAAAGUCAGACCUGGUCCACUUCGUAUUGUUGUCGAGUGGAGAAACCCUCCUGGCGCCUCGGGGGUUGUCUUUGUUUCCUGUGAUGCUCGUCAGCCACCCCUCCAACAUCUCAUCAGUGACCUCCUCCGGGUGGAUCCGAGUGGUGUCUUCGAGGCCCGAGUACAGCCACAUCGGGUGGCCGCGAGCCUGGAGCGGUUGGAUGCGCCUCCGAAGAAAGACCUCCAGCAAGUCCAUGCCAGUCACGCCAUCACGGACGAGCUGAACCACUCGACCAACCAGCACUUUGAAUUGGGUCUUUUCUUCUGGCGUCACUUUCAGAGAAGCAGGUUUUUGAGCUCGGUCGAGAGAGAAAUGGGGAAGCCCGGUCGACUGUCCUGGGGUCACCUGGUCUUUGCAGUAAAACCAGGUCGCCUGCCAACCACGGACCGACUCUGGGAAAAUGAUAGAUGGAAAACAACUCUUUCCCCUCGUCUGGAUCGCGAGGCCCCCGCACAGCUGGAUCACUUGCGUCCUUUCCUCACUCGACUUGGCCUUCUUGACCGAUUGGGAGCGGCAAGUAAAGAUGUGCUUAAAGAGCCCCCAAUGGGGGCGGCAACCCAGGAAACCCUCACACAAGGAAAUGAAGGUAGCAAGGUACACGAUAGAGUUGGGAGUGAAGUGGUGGAGCUGCGCUCCGAAGAAAUUUAGAAAACUCCGGAAAAAAGGAUGAGGAGGCAGAGAAAACCCUCGAUCGAUGUGGGUGGUGAGAAGGACACACUCACCAUCACGGGGUUGAGGCUCGACUUCUCCCCCCUGGAGACGCGCAGCCUCGUAAGGAAUGACUCCCCCCUCAACCAUAUCGUCGAGGUCUUCCUGCCGAAUCACCGACGGCAUCCAAUCGCCCUGGAUCCAGCCUCUGGGCAGAGCAGUCCUUGAGGAAGAUCCGCCCCAAGCGGACUUCUUCCCUUUCCCCUGCACCGACGCCUUCUUCGCGCGCUCCAGAGCAGACGUCUUGCCCUUCACCAUCGUCGCCGGCGAAUCUCAAACGGGUCUGCGGCGCUAGGGUGAGAGCGGAGGUGGCGGAGGACUUCGCGAAGGGAGAAAGAAGAGAAAGAAGAGAAAGGAGAGAGCACUGUUCGGGAACCCGAGCAGGCGGCUUAUAAGAGGCCGCUCCUGAGUGGCUGACUGGUAGGCCCAGGCUAUCCCGUCAAAUCCCGCAGUAGACGCGCGCGCAGCUCGUGGCGGAAAAGGUGGCACGGGAAUCGAGGAGCUUCUGCCUUAUCACAUCCGAUUACUGCGGCCGCGCCCGUCCCGCUCGCUCCCCGAUGUUCAAAUCCCGCGAAAUCCGCGGGCUGCGGAACAACUCAUCAAAUAGAAGAUCCCUCUCGUGCCGGCACUCGGUAUUUCACAAGUAAGGAAAUUCACUCGACGGGAGACCAAGAAUGGAUCAAGGCGACCGAAAGAAGUUGACAACGUCAUCCUUGGCGAUAGAUCUAGUACAAGACGUCCAUAUGACGCUAAAAACCAGUCGGAAGGACCCCCAACUCCUUCCCCACUCGAACCUCGAUCCAUUCGGGGGCUAAUGACGAAGCUACGUACCUAGGGUAGGGGGAUGGACCUGUCCUAAGAGCCCUACCCAAGGACAUCCCUGGAAGAAGUCACCUUUCAAUCGACUUGAAGGUACCCACUCGACGGGUUUAAGACACUCGACCAAGAAGCUACCACUCGACACGAAGCCAAUCACUCGACUGCCAGGAGAUCUAAAGUCAUUCCACGGGCAAACGGUCGGCUAUUAAGUAGUCUUUAUGGUCAUUAUAGCACUUUAUUACCAGCGUUACCAGUAACGCCCCGCCUUAAUGUACAUUGAACCCUUGGUAACGUAGGCUGGCCGGGGUCCUGGCGCGCUCUAUAUAAGCCACCCCCUCCUCCGAGACAAGGGUUCGCACCUCUGUUAUUCACACGCCUAUAAUCCAAUCGACCGCCUCCGGGCACCGAGACGUAGGGCUGUUACUUCCUCCGCGAAGGGCCUGAACUCGUACACCUUGUUGUGUUUACAACUUCCCAAUAGCUGAGAUCUAGCCUCUCCAUACACACCCCCAACAUCACUGUCAGAGUUAGAACCACGACACCGCCUGCCGUGCCCCUCGCCGCACGCCCACCACCGCGCCAGCCCCCACUCUGUGGACGACCCUAGCCGCGCCCGCGCCGUGAUCCCCUUUUCCGCCCUACCUUCCCGCACUCGCCGCGGUCCCGAUGCUCCCCCGCGCCCUCUUUCAGGGGCGCCGACUGCCCCUGUCCCAUUACUCGCCGCCGCGCCUCGCCACCGCUCUACUGCUACGUUACUACUGCGCUGCGGCCGCCGCCUCUUCCCGCUGCUCCGCUAGCGCCGAAGCUCCCGGCUGGCUCUGCCACUGGUCACGUUUAACUACCGGUCUAAAUGGCCUAACCUCCCGGCAAAUGAACCCCCAGUAACCCACUGACACCGGGAGCCACAUCCCCUAAUUAACCAUUAAUAAAUUAAAACUCUUAAAUUAACAUUAGUGUAUGACAUGUGCGUCCCCUGUUAAUUAAUAAUUUACAUUAGUGUAUGACAUGUGCGUACCCUGUUAAAUAAACUGAUUUAAUUAAAAUCUAUUAACUUCGAGUCUAUGACAUAUCACUACUUGGGAAAAUCCUAGCAGUAGCGUGGGUAUUUUUCCUAUCAGUUGCGCCGGAUACCGCUCUACUGAUAAGGCACUACAGCUAACAUGUAGCAGUAAUGCGUGUCAUCCAACGCUACUGCUGUACAUGGCUAGCAGUAGCGAGCUUUAGUGCAAAGCGCUGCUGCUAAUAUCUGCAGCGCUUUUCAGCAUGAAGUGAUACUGGUAAGGGACCUCUACUACUAACUUUAUUCCCCUCGCUACUGCUAGUUUUAUUAGUUUCUGUUUUUUUCUGCAUAUUUCUUUUGUAUUUGAACAGGCUUUAUACAAUAAUAUUUAGCGUAUCAUACACAUACAAAUGUAAUCAUAGCAUAUACAUACAAAUAGUCUCGUCAAAUCAUGUCAUCAUCAUAAUCAUCAUCCAUCACAAAGUGGUCUCUCGUCAUCAUCUCUAAAAUAGCGAUACAAGUCUCGAUUACUUGCAACUACAUUGUCAUCCGUCUAAACAAUGAUAUACGCGAGAAGAGCUAUCACUAUGAGUGAGAGCGGAACUAUGCAGUACAUGAGUUUGUAUCCCUCUCUCGCAUUAGCGUGAACCUAAACUAACUACUAGUUGUCGCUCGGAAACCAGAAACCGGUACACCUGGGCCUGACACUCCGUCCACUCAUCUUAUACUCCUGGCGUAGCACUUCUGUGCCAUCGAUGAUCUAUGCACCUGCAUCGUCACAUGAGUCGAUGAUAUGCAACAUAUAUAGUUGAGCAAUAGAAACAGACAGACUUGGCAAAAAUAGAAGCAACAUAUCAUAAGCAUAAAUAACAAAGUUCAUCAUACCCAAAAUGCCCUAACUAGAGUGAUCUUCGCUAGUCGAGGAGGACGGUUUAAUUACAUCACAAAUAAUGUUUCAUCUUGCAUAACUCAAAGUGCCAUCAUACAGAAAGUAUGAACUAAACGGACACAUUGUCAUAUGUCGACAAUCACUCCAACAUGUCGUGCCAUCGAUCCAAGUCAAGGAGAUAGUCCCCGAGCUUAGUGAAAGGCUUCAGGUUGAGACGCUGAGCGGCAACGCGUGUUCGGACGUCUUCCCUCGACAUUUUUCCUUCUUCAUAGAACAUCCCUGUUUUUUCGAUGACCUCCCUCAUGAUGAUUUGGGCAAGUUCGCACUGGAAGUGAUAGAACUCAUCUUGAAGUCGAUGAUCCUCGAUAUCUCCUAAGUUCUUUGCCCAUUGCAGAAUAUGGGCAUCGCCGAAUCUAGGUGUCAUGCAAAGGUUCUGGUGAUCCCGUAUGUACUCCAUCAUGUGGUGUAGGACAUAGAAUCCAUCAUUAAGAGAAUCACUCAGUUGCUGGAUACAGCAGAAGCCGGUCUUAUGGCCGAAGGCGGGCCUGCCGUCCCUUUUCUUCUUGUCCUUGACCUCUCCACCCCGUGCACCGUAGUAAAACAUAGCACCGUCGAGAACAUACUUGAUGUGGGUGUAAUCCUUUUUUUUAAUGUUCUUCGAUGAGUCCAAGUAAAGAGCGUGGGAGUAUCGGGGGUAGAGGAUGAUGAGGAUGGUGCACCCGCCGCUGCGCAAAAUAAGUACACCUCAAAUUAAUUAGCCUCCACCGUGCAAAUGAAUGAUUGAAAUCGUAGGAAGGAUAUCCGCGUGGAUGACUUACAGGGGAUGAUAAGGCACAAGAAUCACCUCCUUGUCCUUAUUGGCACGCAUGAAAUUGACGAUGUAUUCCUCGCGUAUUCACGGUGCUUUGCGUGGACUCACAAGAAGACCUCGUGCAUGAAGUACCGAUCAGUGACACAGAUAUGAGGUAUUUGCUCAACCCCGAUGAGGUAGUUCAUGUGCAAGGCAUAAAGGUGGACGAAUGUAAAAUCCAGCUUCUUUAAGUGAAACAUGUCGAAGAUGUAAUCCAAUCGAAGGAAGAACUUGUUCGAGGGGAAUGUGUCGAUGUACGACAAUUGCAGCGACACGUUAACCACGGAGAGUGGGUAUGCUGGAUUUUUUGAGGCAAUGAGGCCUUUCUCUAUCAGCAACACAUCAUCAUGAAGUCUCCUUAUAUCGCCAAAUCAGGCCCCUAGCGCUGCUUUAGGUAGGAUUGGUUAACCGGGGAUACGCCAUAUUGCCGCACCGAGGAUAUCUAUACGGUCUUGAACCCGAGCCUGCUGAGGUGGCUGGAUCAUAGAAGCACCUUUGUUUCCUUUCCUCGGUGUCUUCCUUGGCUUCUUUGCUACCGGAAAGUCGUCUAUAAUAUGUUCAGCCUCUGGAGGCGGCAAUUCAGGCACCAACUCAUGCGCUCAAACCCUGAGUAGGCGCCAGUAUUGAGGUAUUGUUGAAUGUCAUCGUCGUCCUCAUCUAUGGCGAUGUCACUAGCGACAAAUCGAGCCUCUUCCUCACCCCGUCCGCUAUCACCCAGCACGACAGCCGACGCUAAUUGGGUAGGUGGGGUGUUGAUGUUCGUACCUAACUGCGUGCUCGUGUGUGUGCUCCCGGCCGCCUCCAGACAAAGCAGACUCUUUGACCACAACAGGACCCACCCAUUGCAACCACCAAGCCGCUGCGGGGUCUCGUCGUCAUCCCCUAGUAUCGGAGGAGCCAAAUUCUCGUGGCCCGGUUUGACACUGGCCACGAAAACUUUGAAGACAUACGGGGGGAUUGGUCGGCCAUGGAACAAUGGUUCCUUCGGCUUCAUUACCGUCACCUUCCCCACGUCCACCUUUUGGUCGCCGAUGUUGUACAAUAUGGUGCACGGGGUUACAUCGGCCUGCAAAGACACCGUGAGAUUAUACAUUUAUGGAAGAGGGCCGGUGUGACAGAUACCGUGAGGGCGUCGAGCUCAGCCAAAGACGAAGGACAGCUGAGCACGGCCGGUGUGGGAGCCGGUGUGGGAGCCGGUGCAGGUGCAGGUGCUGGUGCAUCGCUAGUCGUGCUACUCCCGAAGAAGUCAACAAUGGGAAAGUCCGCUGCAUUUUUUCUGGAUUUUGCAUGCUCCAAUUGAAAACGGCUGGAACCAAGACAAUAGACAUAUCUGCAACCACCUGUUUUGCGGCAGCUACCGUUAUCGUGACAGUCUCAGAUGAUUUCUUCUCUACUGCAAUCUCAACCUUCUUGUCGAUGUUUUCUUCAGUUAACCUCCAUCUUUCCUUUCUCUCCUCCGUGGUCUCACGGUAGCACUUCUUCCACGUGGCCCCGUCUCCGACACCGUGAACGCGUCCAUACGACGACCGAGUCUCCACUGGGAGUCCUUUCAAUAUGUUCAAUGCCCGGUUGAAUGGAGUGUCCCACUUGGGCCUCGCCAACGCCUCAGACGGCGAGUCUCUUUCGGUCGCAAUCUUGUGCUGCUCUCUCUACAAAAGGAACAAGGAUCAUUUACAAAUAUGACUAAACGUGCAGUCGAAUUGAUCAGAAACUAAAAUUACCAGCAGUCUCAUGAACUCCGUCGUGAUCGGGUCCGUCUUGAAAACCUUCUUGACCGAGUGCCAAUGGUGCCGUGCCCUGAGGACGUCAUGCUCCUACAGGACGGUGAAGUCCGCCAAGGGGUCUAGGAUGCCAGACUUUCGCGUUUCGUGUCCUCCUUGGCCCAUAUGGACCUCUUCCUGCUGUAACCACGGCUUCCGAGGUGGCGGUGCCCCAUGUUCCUUUGUUGAAACCCCUUCAUGUACUUUGACUUUGUUUUGGCAGUUUCAGCCUCGCAAGCCGCCUUGAAUAUUUCAAAGUGCUCUCCCGUGAUUGUCGGAUUAUCCUUUACAAUCUCGGAGUAGGGUUGAUACGUCUCCAAUGUAUCUAUUAUUUUUGAUUGCUCCAUGCUAUAUUAUCUACUGUUUUGGACAUUAUUGGGCUUUAUUAUCUACUUUUAUAUUAUAAUUUGGACUAACCUAUUAACCGGAGGCCCGAGCCCAGAAUUGCUGUUUUUUUGCCUGUCUUAGGGUUUCAAAGAAAAGGAAUAUCAAACGGAGUCCAAACGGAAUGAAACCUUCGGGAACGUGAUUUUCUCAACGAACAAGACCCAGGAGACUUUGACCCUACAUCAAGACACAAGGCGAAUCAUGUACGUAGCCACUAGUGAAACAUAUUAUCUUUAUUAUAUCUAUCAGAUCUCACUCUCGUAAGUGGCCGUGUUGGGAUUGACAACCCCUAUUCAUGUUGGUUGAGAGGAUUGAUUUGUUUUGUGCAAGUACAAAGGACUCGCGCGUAGCCUCCUAUUGGAUUAAUAGCUUGGUUCUCAAAAAGUGAGGGAAAUACUUACGCUACUUUGUUGCAUCAUCCCUUCCUCUUCGGGGAAAACCAACGCAGUGCUCAAGAGGUAGCAAGAAGGAUUUGCUGNNNNNNNNNNNNNNNNNNNNNNNNNNNNNNNNNNNNNNNNNNNNNNNNNNNNNNNNNNNNNNNNNNNNNNNNNNNNNNNNNNNNNNNNNNNNNNNNNNNNNNNNNNNNNNNNNNNNNNNNNNNNNNNNNNNNNNNNNNNNNNNNNNNNNNNNNNNNNNNNNNNNNNNNNNNNNNNNNNNNNNNNNNNNNNNNNNNNNNNNNNNNNNNNNNNNNNNNNNNNNNNNNNNNNNNNNNNNNNNNNNNNNNNNNNNNNNNNNNCCUCCACCCUCGUGGGCCCCCUGUUGCUCCACCGACGUACUCCUUCCUCCUAUAUAUACCUACGUACCCCCAAACGAUCAUAUACGGAGCCAAAACCCUAAUUCCACCGCCACAACUUUCUGUAUCCACGAGAUCCCAUCUUGGGGCCUGUUCCGGAGCUCCGCCGGAGGGGGCAUCAAUCACGGAGGGCUUCUACAUCAACACCAUAACCUCUCCGAUGAAGUGUGAGUAGUUCACCUCAAACCUACGGUUCCAUAGUUAUUAGCUAGAUGGCUUCUUCUCUCUUUUUGGAUCUAAAUACAAUGUUCUCCCCCUCUCUUGUGGAGAAUUAUUCGAUGUAAUCUUAUUUUUGCGGUGUGUUUAUUGAGACCGAUGAAUUGUGGGUUUAUGAUCAAGUCUCUCUAUGAAUAAUAUUUCAAUCUUCUCUGAAUUAUUUUAUGUAUGAUUGGUUAUCUUUGCAAGUCUCCUCGAAUUAUCAGUUUGGUUUGGCCCACUAGAUUGAUCUUUCUUGCAAUGGGAGAAGUGCUUAGCUUUGGGUUCAAUCUUGCGGUGUCCUUUCCCAGUGACAGUAGGGGCAGCAAGGCACGUAUUGUAUUGUUGCCAUCAUGGACAACAAAAUGGGGUUUUCAUCAUAUUGCAUCAGUCUAGCCCUCUACAUCAUGUUAUCUUGCUUAAGGCGUUAAUUUGUUUUUAACUUAAUACUCUAGAUGCAUGCUGGAUAGCGGUCGAUGAGUGGAGUAAUAGUAGUAGAUGCAGGCAAGAGCGGUCUACUUGUCUCGGACAUGAUGCCUAUAUACAUGAUGAUACCUAGAUAUUCUCAUAACUAUGCUCAAUUCUGUCAAUUGCUGAACAGUAAUUUGUUCACCCACCGUAGAAUACUUAUGCUCUCGAGGGAAGCCACUAGUGAAACCUAUGGCCCCGGGUCUAUCUUUAUCAUAUUAAUCUUCUACUACUUAGUUAUUUCCUUUGCUUUUUACUUUUCCUUUAUUUUACUUUGCAUCUUUAUCACCAAAAUACCAAUAAAAUUAUCUUUAUCAUAUCUAUCAAAUCUCACUCUGGUAAGUGGCCGUGUAGGGAUUGACAACCCCUAUUCGUGUUGGUUGCGAGGAUUUAUUUGUUUUGUGCAGGUACGAGGGACUCGCGCGUAGCCUCCUACUGGAUUGAUACCUUGGUUCUCAAAACCUGAGGGAAAUACUUACGCUACUUUGCUGCAUCAUCCCUUCCUGUUCGGGGAAAACCAACGCAGUGCUCAAGAGGUAGCAAGGGUUCCUUUUUGUCGACGAUCCGAUGUUUCAACCUUGUUUUCCAGGCGGCCAACGCGUCGCUAAACUUGGGCAUGGCGUGUUUGUUUAUCUUCUUCAUUGCCACGUCCUUAUCUGGAUCAUUAUUAUCCUUUUCAUUGCAGUCAGGGAACAAGAAUAUCUGGUGCAGCUUCUUUAGGAGGGAGGGCCUCAUAUUAUCUAUCUUCUGUAGUUUCCCAUCGUUGAUCGUGGCAGUUGUCCGUACGAUGCAACCUAUUUGAUUGCCGUAGCACGAUCGCGCUUCCUCGGGCGCUAUUGUCUCAAAAAUACCGUUGUCCAUCUCCGUGACCACCAGUCUAGUACUCAUGAGCUGGUUUGGGUGCCGUGGCCUCUUUGCUUUCGGUUCUAGACCAGCUCCGCUAGUCUCGGCGCCGGUCUCAGUCUCAUCACCGGUCUGCAUGUCGGUAUCAGUCCCCGAUGCGACAGCACAGUCGCUGCAACAUGGGUAAGGGAGACCACAUCAGUGCUGGGGUGGUCUGAAAAUUGGGACACACUUUCGCGCAUUGCGGGCCGCCUCUCAGACAGCUACUGGGGAGGCGGCGGAGUACCUGGGUGCGCGACGAAUCCCCGGGAACUCGGUGACCAACUUCCUUCCCAUGUAGCGCAUGGAGACGAUGGCGACCCCGCCGAAGAGCAGCUUAGUUGCGAGCUGCACAGCCUCGUCCACCUCCUAAGUUGGGACCUCCGCGCGAGCGUUGCGGGGCCGCCGCUCGGAUGGCUUCUGGAAGGCGCUUGUACAUGGGCACAGGGUGAAUCCCGGCAAGAGCUGGCCAUUGGUGCGCGCAAGUAGACGACGACGUCGCCGACGAAGAGCAGCCCGGCCAGCUCGCCUCACUCUCCUUUGAUUAGAAUUGAAAGAUUGGGAAGAAGCAGACUUGAGCCUGCAGGGAAAGGAUAAGGUGACGAUGCAGUCUCCACUCGUUCGGGGCGACACGCGUACUGAAUGUAUGAGAAACGCGACGUGGCAGGGACCCCAAGAUACUCCCUCCAUUUAUUUUUAGUCUGCAUAUAAAGUUUGGUCAAAGUCAAGAUUUGUAAAUUUUAACUAACUUUAUAAUAAAAAAAAUCAACAUUCACAAUAUGAAAUAAUUAUUACCAGAUGCGUCAUGAAAUGUAUUUCCAUACUAUAUAGGUUUGGUAAUGUAGAUGUUCAUAUUCUUUUAUAUAAAUGGGAAGUAGAGGCACUCUUCCAUAUAAUGAAGUUUAUAAUAUAUGUGCUUAUAUUAUACUAUAAUUGUUUGAAUAACUUAGCAUAUGUUCAGAUGUAUGAUAUCUGUAAUUUAAGCGCUUGAAUUUUACAUAUAAAUAUUUAUUAAUAAAUAUGUACCCCUAUAAUAGCUAGGCCGUGCAGUUGCACGGGUAGAUGACUAGUGAUUACAAUCUUGUUUGUGUGCAAGUCAAGCUUAUCUAGUUUACACGUAACAACUUGUAGAACAUUACAAAAUUUAUGCUUGCUAAUAACUUCUAGAACACUACAACACUUGACAUGUAAAAGGAAUUUGACGAGUCAUGGCCUACUAAAGAAAGUUACAUUACUAGUCUUAUAUCUAUCUUAAUAGACCACACAAGACUACAAAUUAAGUACCGUGACAGCCAUGAUUAUCUAGUUUAUGCGUAACAAUUUGCAGAAAAUUACAAACUUAGUUUUAGAAAAAUAGGCAAUCCAGAUUAGUGUUUGAGCUGUAAAGUGAAUAAGAUGAGUCAUGCGUGUUAUCACACCUUUUUGGUGGUGGAAUGAUAGUGCAAAACAAGGAACUUUAAUGAACAGUCCAAUAAUACACUUGUAAGUAGUGCCACCAAACAGAACAUACCAAAUGAUGAUUUUGAGAAGCAUCCAAGCACUUUCCACACAAACAAAUGCCAAUUGUGAAAGAGAUCAUUCCAUGGCAGCUAUAAAUAGCCCCGUAGCAUGACGAUCAUCCUUCCUCAUCCAUCAUUCUCAUAAGUAGAGCGCAUCAUUUAAGCCAAGCAAGCUGUGGUCAAUACAAAUCCACCAUGAAGACAUUUCUCAUCCUUGCCCUCCUUGCUAUCGUGGCGACCACCGCCACAACUGCAGUUAGAGUUCCAGUGCCACAAUUGCAGCCACAAAAUCCAUCUCAGCAACAGUCACAAGAGCAAGUUCCAUUGGUACAACAACAACAAUUUCUAGGGCAGCAACAACCAUUUCCACCACAACAACCAUAUCCACAGCCGCAACCAUUUCCAUCACAACAACCAUAUCUGCAGCUGCAACCAUUUCCGCAGCCGCAACUACCAUAUUCGCAGCCACAACCAUUUCGACCACAACAACCAUAUCCACAACCGCAACCACAAUAUUCGCAACCACAACAUCCAAUUUCACAGCAGCAGCAGCAGCAACAACAACAACAACAACAAGAACAACAAAUACUUCAACAAAUUUUGCAACAACAACUGAUUCCAUGCAUGGAUGUUGUAUUGCAGCAACACAACAUAGCGCAUGGAAGAUCACAAGUUUUGCAACAAAGUACUUACCAGCUGUUGCAAGAAUUGUGUUGUCAGCACCUAUGGCAGAUCCCUGAGCAGUCGCAGUGCCAGGCCAUCCACAAUGUUGUUCAUGCUAUUAUUCUGCGUCAACAACAAAAACAACAACAACAACCAUCGAGCCAGGUCUCCUUCCAACAGCCUCAGCAACAAUAUCCAUUAGGCCAGGGCUCCUUCCGGCCAUCUCAGCAAAACCCACAGGCCCAGGGCUCUGUCCAGCCUCAACAACUGCCCCAGUUCGAGGAAAUAAGGAACCUAGCGCUACAGACGCUACCUGCAAUGUGCAAUGUCUACAUCCCUCCAUAUUGCACCAUCGCGCCAUUUGGCAUCUUUGGUACUAACUAAGAAGAAAAUAACUCUAGUACUAGAUAUAUGAAACACCGUUUUCUCAGUCCAUGGUUUGGUCGUUGUAGCGGUGAAAAAAUAAAGUGACAUGCACUAUCAUGUAAGAACCCAAACUAUACUAGUUCAAACUUGGGAAUAAAAGACAAACACAGGUCUUGUCUACAUAUUUAUGCUGCAUCUAUUUAUAUAUUAAAAGUAAUAUAAGGUGAACCAGGAGCAAGGUAAAUAUGGUAGAAAAUUGCACGUUAAUUAGAAAUUACUAGCCCUCGAUCUGGUAAAUCUUAACAAAUAUAAUUAUCUUGACCGUUAGAUUUAUGUAACAUAUAUAAUGCUCUAGGCCUCCAACGACUGUACGUGACACAUCUGAACGCAGAUAUGUUAAAGAAAAUAUAUUUGGUAAAUGGUGGGCCUCUUUAAAAAGAGAACUUACGUACAUACACCAACUAAGAAAAACACAUACAUGUAAACGGGAAAAGGAUGAGAUUUUCUCACAUACGUGUGUUGAUGCUUAAAAGUGGCAUGAUCAUAAAGCAGCAUGCCAGGGUGAAAACCUUGCCGGGGUAAAAUCUUGCCGGUGUGAAAGCUUGCCGGUGUGAAGGCUUGCCGGUGUGGAAAGCUUGCCGGCACAGAAAGAUCGCCGGUGCUUGCCGGUGUGAAAUCUUGCCGGGGGAGAAACCUUGUCAGGGAGGAACCCUUGCCGGAGUACAAACCUUGCCGUAGUGAAACCUUGCCGGUGUGAAAGCUUGCCGGGUAGAAACAUUGCCGGUGUGGAAAGCUUACUCGGAUGGAAAACUUGCCGGGUUGGAGGCUGUGAUAGUCAAUCGAACGAGAAGUUGAAGAUGGGCUCAAAAGGUUAUUCAGAUGAUCUCGGAUGGAAAAAUGAUCUACAGGGGUUGUCUUCGUCUCGUCGAAACGAUCGAUUUUGAUAUAAAAAUCAUUCAAAUCCGAGUUCGUAUGCAAAAUUUAGAGCAAUCGGAGUGCAGCCCUGUCACGAGGCGAGAUGUGGCGCGCCCCACCAAACACAUGUCUGACGGGUAGCGCGAGGAAAUAGCCUGUGUUGCGAGACCGAUCUGACCCUCAAGAUGAUCUCUGAUCCAAAAACCUUCAACAUGAAAGUUGUUCGUCUCAUCGAAACGGUCAAGAUUGCUUUUGGGCUUGUUUUCAUCCGGGAUCGUUUACCACCGCAAAAAAGACCCGCAAGGUGCAGCCAGUUUAAACCGAACAGUUUUGGAAAGUUUGGAUAAACCAGUCCGAAUUUGACUAGGGUUUUGGACGUGAAUUGAUGUAAUUUUCUUGUAAGGAAAGCCUAGAUAAAUUCUUUGCUUGUACGGGAAGUCCAGCUGCCUCUUAUAUAUGUUGGGGGUGACGGGCGAUUGAAACAACACACAAUCGAACAAACACAUCUACUACUUUUUCGUGUUCAUCUACUUUUUAUCUCUCCCUUGUAUCUUUCUUCUCGUUCUUCGCUAGUUCUUCUUGCUGGAGGCUGCGGAUCCACGAGGCUCUAGGGGCGAGCGAAUCGACCUAGGGCAGCCCUGACGGGGUCCCUCCCGGGUGCGCGGGGUUUCGGGUCUGCAAAAGCGCCCGCCGACUGUCUUGCGUAUCACGCUAUCGGUCGGGUCUCCUUCGACGUGAGCUGCGGUGCAUCACCCCCGGCAUCGAGGGUACACGUGACGUGUUCGUGUGCGAACACACUUUUUCGCGACUCCACUGGGGACGAAGCUUUGAAUAGUCUCCAGCCUGUUCUUGCUACGAGGAGAGCGUCAUCAAGCGACUGCAUUCUACAACGGUAACAUGUAUCAUCAAUCUCCUUGCGUAGAUGCAAAUAGCCAUUAUGUUGAUGUUGCUAGAUCUUUCAAUGGACAUGUGAUGUCGGCCAGCCCUAAUGAGGAAAGGCCGACUAGUUAUUCCAUUGGAGAAACUUGGAAUUUACAGAAUCGUGACAUGCAACUUAUGAAUCUGAACUUUCGUGCAUCGGCAACAACUUUCAAUAUGCCGGUGAACAACACGAUUUGUUCGAGUGAUCAAUAUAGGACACCUCAUGUAAAAGUUUUAUCCAUCGGCAGCCGACUCGCAAUAUGCUGGUUCAUCCCCAAACAUGCCGAUGAAUGGGGGAAUCAGCCAUGCUUCUGUUAGCUAUUUGGCCGGUUAUCCUCAAACAUCAUAUACUACACCUCAUCCGAUUAAUUGUUCAGUGGCAUAUGAAACUAAAAAUAUUAAUAACACGGCUCACGUUCACGGUCAUGGACGAGUGAAUGGGGAUACUAUAGGAGCAUAUGUGUGUGACGCCCCCAAUUUAAUCGUACACUAAUCAUACACGCAAACAUGUACGAUCAAGAUCAGGGACUCACGGGAAGAUAUCACAACACAACUCUACAAAUAAAAUAAGUCAUGCAAGCAUCAUAUUACAAGCCAGGGGCCUCGAAGGCUCGAAUACAAGAGCUCGAUCAUAGACGAGUCAGCGGAAGCAACAAUAUCUGAGUACAGACAUAAGUUAAACAAGUUUGCCUUAAGAAGGCUAGCACAAACUGGGAUACAGAUUGAAAGAGGCACAGGCCUCCUGCCUGGGAACCUCCUAACUACUCCUGGUCGUCGUUCUGAGGGCAGCACGUAGUAGUAGGCACCUCCAGCGUAGUAGGAGUCGUCGUCGACGAUGGCGUCUGGAUCCUGGGCUCCAGCAUCUGGUUGCGACAACCAGGUAGAAGGGAUAGAGGGAAAAGAAGGAGAAAGCAACCGUGAGUACUCAUCCAAAGUACUCGCAAGCAAGGAGCUACACUACAUAUGUAUGCGUUGGUAUCAACUGGAAUAAGGCUAUUAUAUGUGGACUGAACUGCAGAAAGCCGGAAUACGAGGGAGAUAGCUAGUCCUUUCGAAGACUACGCUUUUGGUAACCUCCAUCUUGCAGCAUGUAGAAGAGAGUAGACGGAAGUCCUCCAAGUAGCAUCGCAUAGCAUAAACCUAACCGAUGAUCCUCCCCUCGUCGCCCUGUGCGAGAGCGAUCACCGGUUGUAUCUGGCUCUUGGAAGGGUGUGUUUUAUUAAGUAUCCGGUUCUAGUUGUCAUAAGGUCAAGGUACAACUCCGGGUCGUCCUUUUAUCGAGGGACACGGCUAUUCGAAUAGAUAAACUUCCCUGCAGGGGUGCACCACAUAACCCAACACGCUCGAUCCCAUUUGGCCGGACACACUUUUCUGGGUCAUGCCCGGCCUCGGAAGAUCAACACGUCGUAGCCCUACCUAGGCACAACAGAGAGGUCAGCACGCCGGUCUAAAUCCUAUGGCGCAGGGGUCUGGGCCCAUCGCCCUUUGCACACCUGCACGUUGCGAACGCGGCCGGAAGCAGACCUAGCCUAGUGGCGUUCCAGUCCAAUCCGGCGCGCGCCACUCAGUCACUGAUGUCACGAAGGCUUCGGCUGAUACCACGACGUCGAGUGGCCAUAACUGUCCCCGCAUAGAUGGUUAGUGCGUAUAAGCCAGAUGGCCAGACUCAGAUCAAAUACCCAGAUCUCGUUAAGCGUGUUAUGUAUCCGCGAACACCGACCAGGGCCAGGACCACCUCUCUCCUACGUGGUCUGAACCUGCCCUGUCGCUCCGCCACAAAGUAACAGUCGGGGGCCGUCGGGAACCCAGGCCCACCUCUACCGGGAUGGAGCCACCUACCCCUUCAGCCCCAACUACGAACAGUACCACAGGUAAUGUAACAGUGUAAAGUAUAUAGUAAAUGCCCGUGAUCACCUCCCGAAGUGAUCACGGCCCAGUAGUAUAGCAUGGCAGACGGACAAGAGAGUAGGGCCACUGAUGGAACACUAGCAUCCUAUACUAAGCAGUAGGAUAGCAGGUAAUGGUAACAAUAGUAGUAGCAAGGACAGGCUAUGCAUCAGGAUAGGAAUAACGGAAAGCAGUAACAUGCUACACUACUUUAAUGCAAGCAGUAUAGAGAAGAGUAGGCGAUAUCUGGUGAUCAAAGGGGGGGCUUGCCUGGUUGCUAUGGCAAGAGAGAGCGGUCGUCAACACCGUAGUCGUACUGUGUAGCAGCGCCGUCAGUCUCGGUGUCUAGCGAGAGAAGAGGGGGAGGAAACAAUAAAUAUAAUGCAAACAAAUGCAUGAUGAUGCAUGACACGACAAAGCGUGAUGCUAGGUGUGCCCUAACGCGGUACGAGGUGGUACCGGUGAAGGGGGGAAACAUCCGGGAAAGUAUUCCCGGUGUUUCGCGUUUUCGGACAGAGGAGUCAGAGGGGGAAAGUUGCGUGUUCGGUAUGCUAGGGAGGCGUGGUGGACGAACGGGUUGUCUAUCCGAGUUCGUCUCGUCGUUCUGAGCAACUUUCAUGUUGAAAAUAAUUUAAUCCGAGUUACGUAUUAAAAGAUAUGGUUUUCUAAAGAUUUUACUAAUUUCUGGAAUUUAAUUAAUUAUUUAAUUUAAUUUGAAAUUUGGAUUUAUGACAUCAGCAUGAUGUCAUGCUGACAUCAGCAGUCAACAUGGGUUGACUAGGUCAACUGAUGCGUGGGUCCAGUGGGACCCACCUGUCAUACUAUAUUAGGUUAAUUAGGGUUUAGUUAAUUGAUUAGGCUAAUCUAAUCAGGAUUACUUUGUUUAAUUAAUUCUUUAAUUAAUUAAUUAUCAUUUUAACUAAUUUUAAUUAUUAUUUAUUAAUUCAUUCAUUUUUUUAAAUUAUUAUUUUUAUUUCGUUCUCGUUUCAGGGGGGCGUGGGGCCCCGCACACAGGGCCACCGCGAGGCUGUUGCCAGCGGGCGCUGGGGCGAUGGGUGCGGGCGCACCCGAGCGGGCACUCGCCCGCAGGGCGGGAUGAGCCGCCGGCGGGCAGCGACAGGCGCGUGCCAACCGGGCGGUGGCCGCGGCUGAUAGGGCGCAGGAAGGGGAGAGGCGAGAACGCGACGCACGGGGAAGCAGCAUCAGGGGCGAGGAGCACCACGGGACGAAGCGCAGCGGGCGCCGGUCNNNNNNNNNNNNNNNNNNNNNNNNNNNNNNNNNNNNNNNNNNNNNNNNNNNNNNNNNNNNNNNNNNNNNNNNNNNNNNNNNNNNNNNNNNNNNNNNNNNNNNNNNNNNNNNNNNNNNNNNNNNNNNNNNNNNNNNNNNNNNNNNNNNNNNNNNNNNNNNNNNNNNNNNNNNNNNNNNNNNNNNNNNNNNNNNNNNNNNNNNNNNNNNNNNNNNNNNNNNNNNNNNNNNNNNNNNNNNNNNNNNNNNNNNNNNNNNNNNNNNNNNNNNNNNNNNNNNNNNNNNNNNNNNNNNNNNNNNNNNNNNNNNNNNNNNNNNNNNNNNNNNNNNNNNNNNNNNNNNNNNNNNNNNNNNNNNNNNNNNNNNNNNNNNNNNNNNNNNNNNNNNNNNNNNNNNNNNNNNNNNNNNNNNNNNNNNNNNNNNNNNNNNNNNNNNNNNNNNNNNNNNNNNNNNNNNNNNNNNNNNNNNNNNNNNNNNNNNNNNNNNNNNNNNNNNNNNNNNNNNNNNNNNNNNNNNNNNNNNNNNNNNNNNNNNNNNNNNNNNNNNNNNNNNNNNNNNNNNNNNNNNNNNNNNNNNNNNNNNNNNNNNNNNNNNNNNNNNNNNNNNNNNNNNNNNNNNNNNNNNNNGGCCUGGGGUUUGUCCUAGCUAGCAGCUGGGCCGAGUGGCCCAGUGGGGGGGGGGUUGUUUUAUUCCUUUCCCUUUUAUACCUUUUCACACUUUUCUUCUUUUGUUUUAUUUUAGUUACACAUUAAUUUUAAUUUUUGACAAAUAUAUCUAUAGCCCCUAAAAUAAUGUUUCAGAACAAUCCACUACUAUAGAAAGUUUUACCCUGAUAAAAUAGUCUAGUAUUUUAUAAAAUACCAAACUCGUUUAAAUAGUUGUUUAGCUACUAUUUAAAUCAUUUUAGUGCUUUAAAUCUUUUUACUAAAAUGUGGUUCCUCCACCAUUUGGACUUAGGAUUUAUUUGUCCCAUUUUGAACAUUUUAGUCUUAACGUUUGAAGAAUUUACCGUUUGACUCGAUUUUGAAUUUGAAUUUGAAUCGGUGUCGAACUAACACGAGAUUAGCAACAGUAACCAUCGUGACGUGGCAUCAUUAACAGAGGUUUACUGUAUAUCAAAUACCCGGGCGUCACAAUUCUCCUCCACUACAAGAAAUCUCGUCCCGAGAUUUAAGAGGGGAGUAUGGGGGAAAGAUCUGGUUACGAAAUUCUAACGAGUCUUCUCGGUCUUGCUUGCUCUUGUCGAAAUGGUCGAUCCAUUAUGUUGAUGUUUUCAUUUCUCUGCUUCAGGUCAUCAUGGUGAAGUCGUCCUUUUCUUCGGGAACUCCAACGUGCUUACGAAUAGGUAAGGGGCAGCUUGGCUACGACAGAAUGCUUAUGAGGGAAACAAUCUGGUGAUAACCCAUGAAUGAACAUAAGAUUAUCUCUCGAGUUGAACAUAUAAAAUACAUCAAGAGUAAGGUACGAAGGUACCAUGAGAAGUUUCAAACGGAUAGGCAAUCGUUCGAUGUCUGAAACAACACGCGAAAGGGGUCCAGAGCAACGAGAUUGAGUAUUGCGUCUGUUACCAGAAUAGAUCACUAGGACGGUGGUCUGUGAAUUACAUACAAGGUCACGCACGAGGAAUAACUUUAGGAACAGGGGGUGUACAGGAGAGUCAGGUUCGAUCCUGUGGAACUGUGGGUUAUGGGCCCACCAUGUGGGUUAAAGUAGGAAGGGCAGUGACGUCUUGCAAGAUCAUGUAAGCAAGGCAUGUCAGAGGAUAGCCUGUCAGCUAUGUCGACGACAACAUCGAUACCAAGGGCGAGGGACGAAGAGAACCAUUUUCCUGCUCGUUGAACGAGGCGGACCAAUAAGAAAAGUUCUCGUCCAUCAGUGGUUACCAGAAUGUCAUCAACAAAGGUAAUAGGGUCUUUCUGACAGAGUGGUACAACGAGGUGACUGCUUAUAUAAUAUAGAUUACAAGAAGGUUUAAACAGAACAAUGGAAAGGAAAAUGUGUGUAAACACACAUUUCAAGGGUAUAUCCUUCCCAAGGACAAGCAAAGCAAGAUAUCCAUGAAAGGAUAUAAUGUAGAAAACUCUUUAGGUAAGGUGAGAGAAAUUUCAUGACAUUACCCAUACAAUGGUGUUUGGAUAAAUGAGCGAGAAACAUUUAGCAUUGGGCUUCAAAUGUUCUUUGUGGAAAAUUGGAGUACCACAGACAUGCUUCGAGAUAGCGUUGGCGUGGUAUUCAAGCAAAGGUCAGACUUAGGAUGCACAAAGGAUUCAUCAGGAACAACUUAUAGAAUAAGUCUUACCAUUUCUCAAGGAAGAAUAGAUAACCUUGCUAAAAAGAAAAACUAUAACAUUAGGUCCUCCGACCAGGUGGGCUAGGCAUGCUAUCACCUUACUGGGUUAUAUUGAUAACAAUGUUAUAACUCUUGGAAAUAUGUCUCAACCAUCAUAUCUGACCGAGAUUCAGAUCCGAUUGGUGUCAGGAUACAUCAGACAUCAGGAUGCCUGAGAAGAGAAGGUGCAACACAAUUUAACGAGAUGACACUGCGAGAAUCUCAGAAAUGAUCUAUGGAAGCGAGUUCCGAAGCAAGAGUUCAUCAUUAAACCAAGGAGAGGAUGAGGGGUGGCUGAUGAACUAACGGCAAUUCAUCGAGAUUUCCAAAAGAUGGAUUUCCACAAUCAUGUGAACAAAGAGUUAACAUUUGUCAGAUCAAACAAUAUAAUGAGGUGUGCUCGAGGAAAACAUACUCAAUUAAACAUUGGUGGAAAGCUGCACCCAAAAUAUGGGCUUAGGUAGCCUGAUCAAUGUUGGAACGGUGAUUCGAUAACCAAUAUUCUAAGAAUGAAAGGUCGACCAUUAACUUCAAAGCAAUAUGGUUGCUAGAAGUACAGAAUCCAAGCAACAACGUUCACCUGUUGGUAUCCCGGUUAGAAUCAACACGGGAACCAAGAAAGAAUGAUGAUGGUGAGGAGUAUCGCUAUACCAAGAAUUCUCAAGAGGUGGAGCAAUCCUCACAACAUACAUGUCAUCAAGGACAUUGAUACUUCAAGGUAGAAUAUCAUAAAAGCUAGAUAGCAAGUUGCAUCCAUAACAUGGACAAGUUUGUGUUGGGGGAAGGCAAGAAAGUGAUCGAUGAUAACACAAAUCAUCGAGGGCAAGGAUGGUACUUUUCAUUAUGAAUUCGAUUGAUAUCCUGCAAGAGCUCAAGAUGUGGGUGCUGAUGACGACACAUUUGUCGAGAGAUUUCAUGAAGAUGUAGUCUAUCGGCGAUGACAUCAAGUCAAAGGAAUUAUGAAGCAAAAGGUUAUCGGAACCAUGGGUACGACACAAACUCAAAAUCAAGCUUGUUGUUCAAGGUGAAAGAUAUGACGAGAAAGAUCAACGUAAGCUUAGCUCAUCGUUGAAAGUUGUGUUCCGGGAAGAAGGACCAGGUAGCACAGUUAAAAUUUAGCACGGUAAUGAUAUAGCCAACCGGGCUAGGAAUGACUUGAAGGAUUAUUAAACUCAUAAGCAGUAAAAAUUACUUAUAGUUAUUGAAUCGAAGUACAGACUCGAUUCACUGUCGGUGUCCUUGAGUGUCUAACAACUCAGAACCCGGGGAAAAUUUUGGAACCAGUGAGAAAUAAUACUUGAAGAAUAACUCAUAAGAAGUUAUGCAGUUCCAUGAUAAUCUCGAGAUACCAGGGGGUAAUACUCGACGACAGAUCAAAGUAGAGGUUGGACUAGGGAUUGCUCUGUAGAAGACAAGUGCUCAAACUUGCACGAGAAAUGGAAUCAAGGAGAAACAUGGUCGAAACCUCGUCCACAGGUACAAGAUGAACUUAUAACAAGUGGACAAUUAUUUUAAGAGAAGCUUCCAUGAUAAGGUAUACAUCGUGUCCAUGGGCAUGAACACAGGGUUCAAGGUCGACUCCCACUUAUUCAACACAUAACCUUUCAUGCACCUCUCGUAUUUCAAAAAUGACAUUAGUUCUUGAAAGUUUUUACCUGGUGCAAUACCAGAUACAUAUUACCCGUGAAAUCUUUCGGGUUCACACGGAUUAGGCAAGGCGUAGGUUCAACCCAUCAGGGCAUCUUAGGAACAUAUACCACAAACUUCGGAGUAAAUAAUACAAGCUUGAAAGUAGAGCAUGGUUGACAAAAGGGGAGGAUACAAUUUACCACAGGCAUUAUGUAUCGGAGAAAGAACUCACAAGGUGAUUAAUUUUGAAGGACACUGUCGGAUAAUAAUCCAACAGUGGAAUUGGCGAUCCACAAUGGAGCUGAUGUGAGUAUCGAUACCCAAUCAGAGGAAGAAAGAAUGCAAAUGCAUCGGUUUAUAGAACAUCUGAAUAAUUCAACGUUUAAAUAGCAAAGGAAUUAUGAUUUUCAAAUCAAGGGAUCGGGAGCAAAUGCUCUGAUUAGGGAUGGGUAAGUAGAAUAGCCUUAGGGGUACAUGCGACGACAUUUGGAUUUGUUGAGAACCAGCUCAUGUUUAAAAUGACGUCUGAGCCGGAAUGAUAAUUUAAAAGGAUCAACUGAUGAUUGCGUGCAUUCGCACUCAUGUUGAGUCAAUAGGAUCAAAAAGACGAUGCCUAAGGAUACUAACGAAUAUUUCCAGACAUAUGGAAAGCAUCCAUAAUGCAAGCAGGCAAGUAUUGCAGAGCAAUAAGCUACUAAGGAUUUUUGGAGGAUCGAAUAGUAUUUUGAAGACCAUUGUGAAACACAUGAACAACUGGGGAUGAGUGGAUACUCGACAAGUGCGAGGAUUUAAUUGAAGGGGUAUUCAUGUGGCAAGGAACUGCUAGGCAGUAGGCACAAAGUAUUCUCGGAACAAUAGAGAGAAUUUUGGGGCAUCUUGUAAUAACAAGAUCAAUGAGGAAUGAUUAUAUGAAUAGCACAUGUAGGUGGUUAUCCAUAGAGGUCUAUCGAUAGAAGGGAAUUGCAAAAGCAACAGGCACAAGGUCUCGACAGAAUAUCGGAGAGUAUCUUCGAAAUCUUCUAGUGUAGUCGGCGAUCAUCUGGAUUGAAAGGGCUCUCCGGGAGAAAGUAUUUUCGAGAACCUAAGUUAGAUUUUUAGUAAAUUCAUUAAACCCGAAUAGGAGGGAGUUCAGAGUCCCAGAGCAUAGACGAGGAAUAAAAGAUCCUAAUACCACCCAAUGGCGACGUGGGCCCAUAGGCCACACAGCCAUGUUAGUAAAGGUUUUGCAAUGACUAGACUCAACUUCGGCCAAGGAGGUGGAAAGGGGAUUCCUACAGGCAGUCGGCUCUGAUACCAACUUGUGACACCCCCGAUUUAAUCGUACACUAAUCAUACACGCAAACGUGUACGAUCAAGAUCAGGGACUCACGGGAAGAUAUCACAACACAACUCUACAAAUAAAAUAAGUCAUACAAGCAUCAUAUUACAAGCCAGGCGCCUCGAAGGCUCGAAUACAAGAGCUCGAUCAUAGACGAGUCAGCGGAAGCAACAAUAUCUGAGUACAGACAUAAGUUAAACAAGUUUGCCUUAAGAAGGCUAGCACAAACUGGGAUACAGAUCGAAAGAGGCGCAUGCCUCCUGCCUGGGAUCCUCCUAACUACUCCUGGUCGUCGUUCUGAGGGCAGCACAUAGUAGUAGGCACCUCCAGUGUAGUAGGAGUCGUCGUCGACGAUGGCGUCUGGAUCCUGGGCUCCAGCAUCUGGUUGCGACAACCAGGUAGAAGGGAUAGAGGGAAAAGAAGGAGAAAGCAACCGUCAGUACUCAUCCAAAGUACUCGCAAGCAAGGAGCUACACUACAUAUGUAUGCGUUGGUAUCAACUGGAAUAAGGCUAUUAUAUGUGGAUUGAACUGCAGAAAGCCGGAAUACGAGGGGGAUAGCUAGUCCUUUCGAAGACUACGCUUCCGGUAACCUCCAGCUUGCAGCAUGUAGAAGAGAGUAGACGGAAGUCCUCCAAGUAGCAUCGCAUAGCAUAAACCUAACCGAUGAUCCUCCCCUCGUCGCCCUAUGAGAGAGCGAUCACCGGUUUUAUCUGGCUCUUGGAAGGGUGUGUUUUAUUACGGUUCUAGUUGUCAUAAGGUCAAGGUACAACUCCGGGUCGUCCUUUUACCGAGGGACACGGCUAUUCGAAUAGAUAAACUUCCCUGCAGGGGUGCACCACAUAACCCAACACGCUCGAUCCCAUUUGGCCGAACACACUUUUCUAGGUCAUGCCCGUCCUCGGAAGAUCAACACGUCGCAGCCCUACCUAGGCACAACAGAGAGGUCAGCACGCCGGUCUAAAUCCUAUGGCGCAGGGGUCUGGCCCCAUCGCCCUUUGCACACCUGCAUGUUGCGGACGCGGCCGGAAGCAGACCUAGCCUAGUGGCGUUCUAGUCCAAUCCGGCGCGCGCCACUCAGUCGCUGACGUCACGAAGGCUUCGGCUGAUACCACGACGUUGAGUGCCCAUAACUGUCCCCACGUAGAUGGUUAGUGCGUAUAAGCCAGAUGGCCAGACUCAGAUCAAAUACCCAGAUCUCGUUAAGCGUGUUAAGUAUCUGCGAACGCCGACCAGGGCCAGGCCCACCUCUCUCCUAGGUGGUCUGAACCUGCCCGGUCGCUUCGCCACAAAGUAACAGUCGGGGGCCGUCGGGAACCCAGGCCCACCUCUACCGGGAUGGAGCCACCUGCCCCUUUAGCCCCCAACUCCGAACAGUACCAUAGGUAAUGUAACAGUGUAAAGUAUAUAGUAAAUGCCCGUGAUCACCUCCCGAAGUGAUCACGGCCCAGUAGUAUAGCAUGGCAGACGGACAAGAGUGUAGGGCCACUAAUGGAACACUAGCAUCCUAUACUAAGCAGUAGGAUAGCAGGUAAUGGUAAUAAUAUUAGUAGCAAGGACAGGCUAUGCAUCAGGAUAGGAAUAACGGAAAGCAGUAACAUGCUACACUACUCUAAUGCAAGCAGUAUAGAGAAGAGUAGGCGAUAUCUGGUGAUCAAAGGGGGGGCUUGCCUGGUUGCUCUGGCAAGAGAGAGGGGUCGUCAACACCGUAGUCGUACUGUGUAGCAGCAACGUCGGUCUCGGUGUCUAGCGAGAGAAGAGGGGGAGGAAACAAUAAAUAUAAUGCAAACAAAUGCAUGACGAUGCAUGACACGACAAAGCGUGAUGCUAGGUGUGCCCUAACGUGGUACGAGGUGGUACCGGUGAAGGGGGGAAACAUCCGAGAAAGUAUUCCCGGUGUUUCACAUUUACGGACAGAGGAGUCAGAGGGGGAAAGUUGCGUGUUCGGUAUGCUAGGGAGGCGUGGUGGACGAACGAGUUGCGUAUCCGGGUUCGUCUCGUCGUUCUGAGCAACUUUCAUGUUGAAAAUAAUUUAAUCCGAGUUACGUAUUAAAAGAUAUGGUUUUCUAAAGAUUUUACUAAUUUCUGGAAUUUAAUUAAUUAUUUAAUUUAAUUUGAAAUAUGGAUUUAUGACAUCAGCAUGAUGUCAUGCUGACAUCAGCAGUCAACAUGGGUUGACUGGGUCAACUGACGCGUGGGUCCAGUGGGACCCAUGAAGGAAAUAUGCCCUAGAGGCAAUAAUAAAGUUAUUAUUUAUUUCCUUAUAUCAUGAUAAGAGUUUAUUAUUCAUGCUAGAAUUGUAUUAACCGGAAACAUAAUACAUGUGUGAAUACAUAGACCAACAGAGUGUCACUAGUAUGCCUCUACUUGACUAGCUCGUUAAUCAAAGAUGGUUAUGUUUCCUAACCAUGAACAAAGAGUUGUUAUUUGUUUAACGAGGUCACAUCAUUAGUAGAAUGAUCUGAUUGACAUGACCCAAUCCAUUAGCUUAGCACCCGAUCGUUUAGUAAGUUGCUAUUGCUUUCUUCAUGACUUAUACAUGUUCCUAUAACUAUGAGAUUAUGCAACUCCCGUUUACCGGAGGAACACUUUGGGUACUACCAAACGUCACAACGUAACUGGGUGAUUAUAAAGGAGUAUUACAGGUGUCUCCAAUGGUAGAUGUUGGGUUGGCGUAUUUCGAGAUUAGGGUUUGUCACUCCGAUUGACGGAGAGGUAUCUCUGGGCCCUCUCGGUAAUACACAUCACAUAAGCCUUGCAAGCACUGCAACUAAUAAGUUAGUUGUGAGAUGAUGUAUUACGGAACGAGUAAAGAGACUUGCCGGUAACGAGAUUGAACUAGGUAUUGGAUACCGACGAUCGAAUCUCGGGCAAGUAACAUACCGAUGACAAAGGGAACAACGUAUGUUGUUAUGCGGUCUGACCGAUAAAGAUCUUUGUAGAAUAUGUAGGAGCCAAUAUGGGCAUCCAGGUCCCGCUAUUGGUUAUUGACCGGAAGCGUGUCUCGGUCAUGUCUACAUUGUUCUCGAACCGUAGGGUCCGCACGCUUAACGUUACGAUGACAGUUAUUAUGAGUUUAUGCAUUUUGAUGUACCGAAGGUUGUUCGGAGUCCCGGAUGAGAUCACGGACAUGACGAGGAGUCUCGAAAUGGUCGAGACGUAAAGAUUGAUAUAUUGGAAGCCUAUGUUUGGGCACCGGAAGCGUUCCGGGUGAAAUCGGGAUUUUACCGGAAUACCGGGAGGGUUACCGGAACCCCCCGGGAGACUAAUGGGCCUAUUGGGCCUUAGUGGAAAAGAGAAAAGGGAAGCCCACUAGCUGGCCAGCGCCCCCCUAGAGUCCUAUUAGGAAUAGGACAAGGGGCCGGCCCCCCUUCUCUCUCUUUUUCCCCGGGAGUCCUAAUAGGAUUAGGAUUAGGGGGAGGAGUCCUACUCCCGGUGGGAGUAGGACUCCCCUGCGCCUCCUCUCUCCUAGCCGGCCGAACCCCCUGCCCCUGGCCUUUUAUAUACGGGGGCAGGGGGCACCCCAAGACACACAACUUGAUCCUUGAGAUCGUUCCUUAGCCGUGUGCGGUGCCCCCUGCCACCAAAUUCCACCUCGAUCGUACCGUUGUAGUGCUUAGGCGAAGCCCUGCGUCAGUAGUACAUCAAGAUCGUCAACACGCCAUCGUGCUGACGGAACUCUUCCUCGACGCUUUGCUGGAUCGGAGCCCGAGGAACGUCAUCGAGCUGAACGUGUGCUAAGAACUCGGAGGUACCGGAGUAACGGUGCUUGGAUCGGUCGGAUCGGGAAGAAGACGUACGACUACUUCCUCUACGUUGUGUGAUCGCUUCCGCAGUCGGUCUGCGUUGGUACGUAGACAACACUCUCCUCUCUCGUUGCUGUGCAUCACCAUGAUCUUGCGUGUGCGUAGGAAAAUUUUUGAAAUUACUGCGUUACCGAACAGUGGCAUCUGAGCCUGGUUUUAUGGUUUGAUGUUAUAUGCACGAGUAGAACACAAGUGAGUUGUGGGCGAUACAAGUCAGACUGCCUACCAGCAUGUCAUACUUUGGUUCGGCGGUAUUGUUGGUUGAGACGAUCCGGACCAACCUUACGCGUACUCUUACGCGAGACCGGUUCCCUCGACGUGCUUUGCACAUAGAUGGCUUGCGGAAGACUGUCUCUCCAACUUUAGUUGAACCAAGUGUGACUACGCCCGGUCCUUGAGAAGGUUAAAACAGAGUCUAUUUGACGAACUAUCGUUGUGGUUUUGAUGCGUAGGUGAGAUGAGUUCUUACUUAAGCCCGUAGCAGCCACGUAAAACUUGCAACAACAAAGUAGAGGACGUCUAACUUGUUUUUGCAGUGUAUGUUGUGAUGUGAUAUGGUCAAGGCAUGAUGCUGAUUUUAUUGUAUGAGAUGAUCAUGUUUUGUAACUAAGUUAUCGGCAACUGGCAGGAGCCAUAUGGUUGUCGCUUUAUUGUAUGCAAUGCAAUCGCGAUGUAAUGCUUUACUAGAUUACUAAACGGUAGUAAUAGUCGUGGAAGCAUAAGAUUGGCAAGACGACAACGAUGCUACGAUGGAGAUCAAAGUGUCGCGCCGGUGACGAUGGUGAUCAUGACGGUGCUUCGGAGAUGGAGAUCACAAGCACAAGAUGAUGAUGGCCAUAUCAUAUCACUUAUAUUGAUUGCAUGUGAUGUUUAUCCUUUUAUGCAUCUUAUCUUGCUUUGAUUGACGGUAGCAUUAUAAGAUGAUCUCUCACUAAAUUAUCAAGAAGUGUUCUCCCUGAGUAUGCACCGUUGCCAAAGUUCGUCGUGCCCAGACACCACGUGAUGAUCGGGUGUGAUAAGCUCUACGUCCAUCUACAACGGGUGCAAGCCAGUUUUGCACACGCAGAAUACUCAGGUUAUACUUGACGAGCCUAGCAUAUGCAGAUAUGGCCUCGGAACACAGAGACCGAAAGGUCGAGCGUGAAUCAUAUAGUAGAUAUGAUCAACAUAACGAUGUUCACCAUUGAAAACUACUCCAUCUCACGUGAUGAUCGGUUAUGGUUUAGUUGCUUUGGAUCACGUGAUCACUUAGAAGAUUAGAGGGAUGUCUAGCUAAGUGGGAGUUCCUAAGUAAUUUGAUUAACUGAACUUAAACUUAUCAUGAACUUAGUACCUGAUAGUAUCUUGCUUGUUUAUGUUGCUUGUAGAUAGAUGGCUCGUGCUAUUGUUCCGUUGAAUUUUAAUGCGUUCCUUGAGAAAGCAAAGUUGAAAGAUGAUGGUAGCAAUUACACGGACUGGGUCUGUAACCUGAGGAUUAUCCUCAUUGCUGCACAGAAGAAUUACGUCCUGGAAGCACCGCUGGGUGACAGGCCUGCUGCUGGAGCAACGCCAGAUGUUAUGAACGUCUGGCAGAGCAAAGCUGAUGACUACUCGAUAGUUCAGUGUGCCAUGCUUUACGGCUUAGAAUCGGGACUUCAACGACGUUUUGAACGUCAUGGAGCAUAUGAGAUGUUCCAGGAGUUGAAGUUAAUAUUUCAAGCAAAUGCCCGAAUUGAGAGAUAUGAAGUCUCCAAUAAGUUCUAUAGCUGUAAGAUGGAGGAGAACAGUUCUGUCAGUGAGCAUAUACUCAAAAUGUCUGGGUAUAAUAAUCACUUGAUUCAGAUGGGAGUUAAUCUUCCAGAUGAUUGCAUCAUUGACAGAAUUCUCCAAUCACUACCACCAAGCUACAAGAGCUUCGUGAUGAACUAUAAUAUGCAAGGGAUGAACAAGACUAUUCCCGAGCUCUUCGCAAUGCUGAAAGCUGCGGAGGUAGAAAUCAAAAAGGAGCAUCAAGUGUUGAUGGUUAGCAAGACCACUAGUUUCAAGAAAAAGGGUAAAGGGAAGAAGAAGGGAAACUUCAAGAAGAACAGCAAGCAAGUUGCUGCUCAAGAGAAGAAACCCAAGUCUGGACCUAAGCCUGAAGCUGAGUGCUUCUACUGCAAGCAGACUGGUCACUGGAAGCGGAACUGCCCCAAGUAUUUGGCGGAUAAGAAGGAUGGCAAAGUGAGCAAAGGUAUAUGUGAUAUACAUGUUAUUGAUGUGUACCUUACUAGAGCUCGCAGUAGCACCUGGGUAUUUGAUACUGGUUCUGUUGCUAAUAUUUGCAACUCGAAACAGGGACUACGGAAUAAGCGGACACUAGCAAAGGACGAGGUGACGAUGCGCGUGGGAAACGGUUCCAAAGUCGAUGUGAUCGCGGUCGGCACGCUGCCUCUACAUCUACCUUCGGGAUUAAUAUUAGACCUAAAUAAUUGUUAUUUGGUGCCAGCGUUGAGCAUGAACAUUAUAUCUGGAUCUUGUUUAAUGCGAGACGGUUAUUCAUUUAAAUCAGAGAAUAAUGGUUGUUCUAUUUAUAUGAAUAAUAUCUUUUAUGGUCAUGCACCUUUGAAGAGUGGUCUAUUCUUGUUGAAUCUCGAAGAUAGUGAUACACAUAUUCAUAAUGUAGAAGCCAAAAGAUGCAAAGUUAAUAAUGAUAGUGCAACUUAUUUGUGGCACUGCCGUUUAGGUCAUAUCGGUGUAAAGCGCAUGAAGAAACUCCAUACUGAUGGGCUUUUGGAAUCACUUGAUUAUGAAUCACUUGGUACUUGCGAACCGUGCCUCAUAGGCAAGAUGACUAAAACACCGUUCUCCGGUACUAUGGAGAGAGCAACAGAUUUGUUGGAAAUCAUACAUACCGAUGUAUGUGGUCCGAUGAAUAUUGAGGCUCGCGGCGGAUAUCGUUAUUUUUCACCUUCACAGAUGAUUUAAGCAGAUAUGGGUAUAUCUACUUAAUGAAACACAAGUCUGAAACAUUUGAAAAGUUCAAGGAAUUUCAGAGUGAAGUUGAAAAUCAUCGUAACAAGAAAAUAAAAUUUCUACGAUCUGAUCGUGGAGGAGAAUAUUUGAGUUACGAGUUUGGUGUACAUUUGAAAAAUUGUGGAAUAGUUUCGCAACUCACGCCACCCGGAACACCACAGCGUAAUGGUGUGUCCGAACGUCGUAAUCGUACUUUACUAGAUAUGGUGCGAUCAAUGAUGUCUCUUACUGAUUUACCGCUAUCGUUUUGGGGUUAUGCUUUAGAGACGGCCGCAUUCACGUUAAAUAGGGCACCAUCAAAAUCCGUUGAGACGACGCCUUAUGAACUAUGGUUUGGCAAGAAACCAAAGUUGUCGUUUCUCAAAGUUUGGGGCUGCGAUGCUUAUGUGAAAAAGCUUCAACCUGAUAAGCUCGAACCCAAAGCGGAGAAAUGUGUCUUCAUAGGAUACCCAAAGGAAACUGUUGGGUAUACCUUCUAUCACAGAUCCGAAGGCAAGACAUUCGUUGCUAAGAAUGGAUCAUUUCUAGAGAAGGAGUUUCUCUCGAAAGAAGUGAGUGGGAGGAAAGUAGAACUUGACGAGGUAACUAUACCUGCUCCCUUAUUGGAAAGUAGUACAUCACAGAAAACUGUUUCUGCGACACCUAUACCAAUCAGUGAGAAAGCUAAUGAUGAUGAUCAUGAAGCUUCAGAACAAGAUACUACUGAACCACGUAGAUCAACCAGAGUGAGAUCCGCACCAGAGUGGUACGGUAAUCCACUUCUGGAAGUCAUGAUGCUAGAUCAUGAUGAACCUACGAACUAUGAAGAAGCGAUGGUGAGCCCAGAUUCCGCAAAGUGGCUUGAGGCCAUGAAAUCUGAGAUGGGAUCCAUGUAUGAGAACAAAGUAUGGACUUUGGUUGACUUGCCCGAUGAUCGGCAAGCAAUUGAGAAUAAAUGGAUCUUCAAGAAAAAGACUGACGCUGACGGUAAUGUUACUGUCUAUAAAGCUCGACUUGUCGCAAAAGGUUUUCGACAAGUUCAAGGGGUUGACUACGAUGAGACUUUCUCACCCGUAGCGAUGCUUAAAUCCGUCAGAAUUAUGUUAGCAAUUGCCGCAUUUUAUAAUUAUGAAAUAUGGCAGAUGGAUGUCAAAGCUGCAUUCCUGAAUGGAUUUCUGGAAGAAGAGUUGUAUAUGGUACAACCAGAAGGUUUUGUCGAUCCAAAAGGAGCUAACAAAGUAUGCAAACUCCAGCGAUCCAUUUAUGGACUGGUGCAAGCAUCUCGGAGUUGGAAUAAACGCUUUGAUAGUGUGAUCAAAGCAUUUGGCUUUAUACAGACUUUUGGAGAAGCCUGUAUUUACAAGAAAGUGAGUGGGAGCUCUGUAGCAUUUCUGAUAUUAUAUGUGGAUGACAUAUUGCUGAUUGGAAAUGAUAUAGAAUUUUUGGAUAGCAUAAAGGGAUACUUGAAUAAAAGUUUUUCGAUGAAAGACCUUGGGGAAGCUGCUUACAUAUUAGGCAUAAAGAUCUAUAGAGAUAGAUCAAAACGCUUAAUUGGACUUUCACAGAGCACAUACCUUGACAAGAUUUUGAAGAAAUUCAAAAUGGAUCAAGCAAAGAAAGGGUUCUUGCCUGUGUUACAAGGUGUGAAGUUGAGUAAGACUCAAUGCCCGACCACUGCAGAAGAUAGAGAGAAAAUGAAAGAUGUUACCUAUGCUUCAGCCAUAGGCUCUAUCAUGUAUGCAAUGCUGUGUACCAGACCUGAUGUGUGCCUUGCUAUAAGUUUAGCAGGGAGGUACCAAAGUAAUCCUGGAAUGGAUCACUGGACAGCGGUCAAGAACAUCCUAAAAUACCUGAAAAGGACUAAGGAUAUGUUUCUCGUAUAUGGAGGUGACAAAGAGCUCACCGUAAGAGGUUACGUUGAUGCAAGCUUUGACACUGAUCCGGACGAUUCUAAAUCGCAAACCGGAUACGUGUUUACUUUAAACGGUGGAGCUGUCAGUUGGUGCAGUUCUAAACAAAGCGUCGUAGCGGGAUCUACAUGUGAAGCGGAGUACAUAGCCGCUUCGGAAGCAGCGAACGAAGGAGUCUGGAUGAAGGAGUUCAUAUCCGAUCUAGGUGUCAUACCUAGUGCAUCGGGUCCAAUGAAAAUCUUCUGUGACAAUACUGGUGCAAUUGCCUUGGCAAAGGAAUCCAGAUUUCACAAGAGGACCAAACACAUCAAGAGACGCUUCAACUCCAUCCGGGAUUUAGUCCAGGUGGGAGACAUAGAGAUUUGCAAGAUACAUACGGAUCUGAAUGUUCCAGACCCGUUGACUAAGCCUCUUCCACGAGCAAAACAUGAUCAGCACCAAGGCUCCAUGGGUGUUAGAAUCAUUACUGUAUAAUCUAGAUUAUUGACUCUAGUGCAAGUGGGAGACUGAAGGAAAUAUGCCCUAGAGGCAAUAAUAAAGUUAUUAUUUAUUUCCUUAUAUCAUGAUAAGAGUUUAUUAUUCAUGCUAGAAUUGUAUUAACCGGAAACAUAAUACAUGUGUGAAUACAUAGACCAACAGAGUGUCACUAGUAUGCCUCUACUUGACUAGCUCGUUAAUCAAAGAUGGUUAUGUUUCCUAACCAUGAACAAAGAUUUGUUAUUUGUUUAACGAGGUCACAUCAUUAGUAGAAUGAUCUGAUUGACAUGACCCAAUCCAUUAGCUUAGCACCCGAUCGUUUAGUAAGUUGCUAUUGCUUUCUUCAUGACUUAUACAUGUUCCUAUAACUAUGAGAUUAUGCAACUCCCGUUUACCGGAGGAACACUUUGGGUACUACCAAACGUCACAACGUAACUGGGUGAUUAUAAAGGAGUAUUACAGGUGUCUCCAAUGGUAGAUGUUGGGUUGGCGUAUUUCGAGAUUAGGGUUUGUCACUCCGAUUGACGGAGAGGUAUCUCUGGGCCCUCUCGGUAAUACACAUCACAUAAGCCUUGCAAGCACUGCAACUAAUAAGUUAGUUGUGAGAUGAUGUAUUACGGAACGAGUAAAGAGACUUGCCGGUAACGAGAUUGAACUAGGUAUUGGAUACCGACGAUCGAAUCUCGGGCAAGUAACAUACCGAUGACAAAGGGAACAACGUAUGUUGUUAUGCGGUCUGACCGAUAAAGAUCUUCGUAGAAUAUGUAGGAGCCAAUAUGGGCAUCCAGGUCCCGCUAUUGGUUAUUGACCGGAAGCGUGUCUCGGUCAUGUCUACAUUGUUCUCGAACCGUAGGGUCCGCACGCUUAACGUUACGAUGACAGUUAUUAUGAGUUUAUGCAUUUUGAUGUACCGAAGGUUGUUCGGUGUCCCGGAUGAGAUCACGGACAUGACGAGGAGUCUCGAAAUGGUCGAGACGUAAAGAUUGAUAUAUUGGAAGCCUAUGUUUGGGCACCGGAAGCGUUCCGGGUGAAAUCGGGAUUUUACCGGAAUACCGGGAGGGUUACCGGAACCCCCCGGGAGACUAAUGGGCCUAUUGGGCCUUAGUGGAAAAGAGAAAAGGGAAGCCCACUAGCUGGCCGGCGCCCCCUAGAGUCCUAUUAGGAAUAGGACAAGGGGCCGGCCCCCCUUCUCUCUCUUUUUCCCCGGGAGUCCUAAUAGGAUUAGGAUUAGGGGGAGGAGUCCUACUCCCGGUGGGAGUAGGACUCCCCUGCGCCUCCUCUCUCCUCGCCGGCCGAACCCCCUGCCCCUGGCCUUUAUAUACGGGGGCAGGGGGCACCCCAAGACACACAACUUGAUCCUUGAGAUCGUUCCUUAGCCGUGUGCGGUGCCCCCUGCCACCAAAUUCCACCUCGAUCGUACCGUUGUAGUGCUUAGGCGAAGCCCUGCGUCGGUAGUACAUCAAGAUCGUCAUCACGCCGUCGUGCUGACGGAACUCUUCCUCGACGCUUUGCUGGAUCGGAGCCCGAGGAACGUCAUCGAGCUGAACGUGUGCUAAGAACUCGGAGGUACCGGAGUAACGGUGCUUGGAUCGGUCUGAUCGGGAAGAAGACGUACGACUACUUCCUCUACGUUGUGUGAUCGCUUCCGCAGUCGGUCUGCGUUGGUACGUAGACAACACUCUCCUCUCUCGUUGCUGUGCAUCACCAUGAUCUUGCGUGUGCGUAGGAAAUUUUUUGAAAUUACUGCGUUACCCAACAACCCACCUGUCAUACUCUGUUAGGUUAAUUAGGGUUUAGUUAAUUGAUUAGGCUAAUCUAAUCAGGAUUACUUUGUUUAAGUAAUUCUUCAAUUAAUUAAUUAUCAUUUUAACUAAUUUAAUUAUUAUUUAUUAAUUCAUUCAUUUUUUUAAAUUAUUAUUUUUAUUUCGUUCUCGUUUCAGGGGGGCGUGGGGCCCCGCACACGGGGCCACCGCGGGGCUGUUGCCAGCGGGCGCUGGGGCGCUGGGUGCGGGCGCACCCGAGCGGGCACUCGCCCGCAGGGCGGGACGAGGCUGCCGAGGCAUCGACAGCGGGGCAAGCCNNNNNNNNNNNNNNNNNNNNNNNNNNNNNNNNNNNNNNNNNNNNNNNNNNNNNNNNNNNNNNNNNNNNNNNNNNNNNNNNNNNNNNNNNNNNNNNNNNNNNNNNNNNNNNNNNNNNNNNNNNNNNNNNNNNNNNNNNNNNNNNNNNNNNNNNNNNNNNNNNNNNNNNNNNNNNNNNNNNNNNNNNNNNNNNNNNNNNNNNNNNNNNNNNNNNNNNNNNNNNNNNNNNNNNNNNNNNNNNNNNNNNNNNNNNNNNNNNNNNNNNNNNNNNNNNNNNNNNNNNNNNNNNNNNNNNNNNNNNNNNNNNNNNNNNNNNNNNNNNNNNNNNNNNNNNNNNNNNNNNNNNNNNNNNNNNNNNNNNNNNNNNNNNNNNNNNNNNNNNNNNNNNNNNNNNNNNNNNNNNNNNNNNNNNNNNNNNNNNNNNNNNNNNNNNNNNNNNNNNNNNNNNNNNNNNNNNNNNNNNNNNNNNNNNNNNNNNNNNNNNNNNNNNNNNNNNNNNNNNNNNNNNNNNNNNNNNNNNNNNNNNNNNNNNNNNNNNNNNNNNNNNNNNNNNNNNNNNNNNNNNNNNNNNNNNNNNNNNNNNNNNNNNNNNNNNNNNNNNNNNNNNNNNNNNNNNNNNNNNNNNNNNNNNNNNNNNNNNNNNNNNNNNNNNNNNNNNNNNNNNNNNNNNNNNNNNNNNNNNNNNNNNNNNNNNNNNNNNNNNNNNNNNNNNNNNNNNNNNNNNNNNNNNNNNNNNNNNNNNNNNNNNNNNNNNNNNNNNNNNNNNNNNNNNNNNNNNNNNNNNNNNNNNNNNNNNNNNNNNNNNNNNNNNNNNNNNNNNNNNNNNNNNNNNNNNNNNNNNNNNNNNNNNNNNNNNNNNNNNNNNNNNNNNNNNNNNNNNNNNNNNNNNNNNNNNNNNNNNNNNNNNNNNNNNNNNNNNNNNNNNNNNNNNNNNNNNNNNNNNNNNNNNNNNNNNNNNAGUGGCCCAGUGGGGGGGGGGGUUGUUUUAUUCCUUUCCCUUUUAUACCUUUUCACACUUUUCUUCUUUUGUUUUAUUUUAGUUACACGUUAAUUUUAAUUUUAGACAAAUAUAUCUAUAGCCCCUAAAAUAAUGUUUCAGAACAAUCCACUACUAUAAAAAGUUUUACCCUGAUAAAAUAGUCUAGUAUUUUAUAAAAUACCAAAGUCGUUUAAAUAGUUGUUUAGCUACUAUUUAAAUCAUUUUAGUGCUUUAAAUCAUUUUACUAAAAUGUGGUUCCUCCACCAUUUGGACUUAGGAUUUAUUUGUCCCAUUUUGAACAUUUUAGUCUUGACGUUUGAAGAAUUUACCGUUUGACUCGAUUUUGAAUUUGAAUUUGAAUCGGUGUCGAACUAACACGAGAUUAGCAACAGUAACCAUCAUGACGUGGCAUCAUUAACAGAGGUUUACUGUAUCUCAAAUACCCGGGCGUCACAAUGUGCCUAAUAUUGCAGGAGAUGAGGUGGCUCUGGCUGCAUUAAAAUUUUUAGCCCAAAAUAAGAAGAUUAGUGAUAUUUUCCUUGAGCAACACGACAAGGGAUUGGUUCCUCAUUAUGAGGCAAUAAUAGCUAGGGUUUUGAAAGAAGACCAAGUGUUGCCGAUUGAUCAAAUUGUCGAGAGAAAAUAUUCAACAAUGAUGCAGAUGCCUUCACCUAUCAUUGCAACAUGUUAUACACCCCCUGUACAAGCGCAAAAUUUCGGCAACAUCAAUUCAUUGCCGAAAGAUCCUAAAAGUAUUGGGGGGCAAGCCGAUCCAAGCAGGGUUGAGUUUAAAGAAAAAUAUCUAGCCCAGGUGGACAAGAUCAAGCCAAAGCUCACAGGGAAUAGAGUCAACGAAUUUACUACACCUACCCUUGAGGAAUUACCAGCAGAAUAUCAACAGGCCUACGAAGCACUCAAGAAGAAACGUGGAGAGAGAUAUUUGCAAGAAUACGUCAAGUGCCUUCCUCCAUGUAGCAACCAUGUUGGCCCUUCUACACUAUUGAGGCAAGAUAAAAAAGAAGCUUUGCAAGCAAACCAGCAAAAAAGGAUUCACUCGGCUAAUACGGUGGAUUCGGUUGAAACCGGAUUGAGCAACAGGAUGUUUAAGGCCGAGUGCGUUGCAUCGUGCCAGCCGAGUGCAUCGUUCCAGACGAGUGCAUCACCAGCUAAAGCCGAGUGCAUCAAGCCAACUAUUGCCUCGUGUACGAAAAUAGAAGAUGCAAGCUUGGCUGAGCAAAGGAACGACAAACGCAACAAAUUGGUUGUGCUCGAUUUUUCUGGAUGUAAGGGAGCUUACAUGCUACCUUAUGAGUUUCAUGCUAAAGAUAUUGAUGAGCAUCAAGAACACAGUAAUGGCUGAACACAGUUCAGUUAACGAUGAACAUCAAGACCAAGAAAAUGCGGCCGAGCAAAGUUCAACUGACAAAGAGCGUCCGAGUGAAAUCCACUCGGGCAAUCCGACUGAAAUAUACUCGGGCAAUUCAAGUGAAAUAUACUCGGGCAACCUGAGUGAUGAGGCACCAGAUCCAGAAAAAGAGGAAGAGGCAUUGGAGAAUUAUUCAGAAGUGGAGCAAUGUAUUGUUCCAGUGGUACAACCAUCUUCUCCUUCCAACGUCUUCACAAAGGUACACCUAGCAGAUAGUUUACUCAAUUUUCGAUUUGGUCAAAAUCAUAUUGUUGAUGCACCUAUUAGUAAGAUUCUAAUUAAUUUUGAAAGACCAAUUGAAAUGAGUAAUCUUUUUGUUAGGAAGGAUCUUGUCACUAAUCAUGAUAGUCAACACAUGGUAUCGUUCAUAGAGGUUAAUAGUGACAACUUAUCAAAACCAAAGUUGUUCUUGUCAUGCCAACUGAACUUUGUAUUCAUAUGGACAACUUUGUUUGUUUCAUGCCUAGCUAACAUUUGGACUCCUAUGAGCCGUAUAUUCUGUAAUUAUUUUAGUUGCAGAAACAUAAAGUCAGGUCCAAAGUCCUUCGAAGCCGAUUCAAAUGCAUCAGGAAAAGAAGAUGAAUCUUUCCCAAUUGAUAAAAUUGGCGAGCAAAAAUAUGGUUUUACAACAAUGCAUAUGCCUUCACCUAAUACUACAUCAUAUUAUACAGCCCCUACACAAUUGCAAAGUUUCGGCAACACCCAUGUGCCAUUGCCGAAAGAAUCUAAAAGCAAUGGGGGACAAUCGUAUCCGAAGUGGGCUGAAAAUGAGAAAAAGAUUAAAGCCAAUUUCGCCGCUCGCCGGCAGAAACAAAAAGAAACAGAAUUGGCUCAAGUGAAAGAAGCAUUGCCAAUUGGUAGAAGCAAUGUAAAGAAAGAUGAUUCAGAACAUGAAAGUACUAAGGUUAAAAGAGCCGAAUCAAGGAGUAUAUAUUCUGAAUCCAUCAAAUGCAAAGAGGCAAGCAUUAUUGAGAAAGGGCAUGGCAAGCAUAGCAAAGCGACCAUACUUGAUUUUUCUAAAGUUAAUGGAACCUACUUCCUGCCCUAUGAGUUUUGUGCCAGAGAAAUUGAUGAACUUCAAGGACAAGAAUAAGUAGCCGAACAAAGUUCGGCCGACAAAAAUCUUCAAUGUAAUGAUGCACGAAAUCAACAAAAAGAUGAUGAAGAAGCGUUGGGGAGCCAUCCAAAGGCGGAGCAAGAUAUUGUUCAAGUCACACCACCAUCGUGCUCUCCCAACAUAUUUGAAGAGGUAUGUUUAGCAAGUAAUUUACCUAUUUUCAGAUUUGGUCAGGACUUUAUUGUUGAUGCAUCUAUUAGAAAAAUCCUCAUAAGUAAUUUUGAAAGACCAAUGAAGCAGGGUAAUUUACUUGCUAGCAAUAAAGUUGUUAUUGAGCAUAUCGGUCAACCCAUUACGCCAUUUAUAAAGACCGAUAGUGACUUAUUAUUACAGCCAAAGUUUUCCCCGUUGCUUUAUCUAAAGUUCAUAUCUAUUUGGGUAGCUUUGCUUAUUUCAUACUUGGCUUGCACUUGGUCCCAAUUGAGACAUGUGUGUUCUAACUAUUUUCGUUUUAGAAAUUUAAAGCCAAGAUUAAAUUCUGUUGAGAAAACCGAUGCUAGUAUAAUAUCUUACCCAAAGACAUCGGAGAUAGAUUGCAAAACACAAUGCAUAGCCGAAUGGUGUGAUGCAAAAUCUGAACCAUUCGUUUGCUUCAUUCCGAAGCCGUUCUCACAGCAAGAUCGGCUAGAAAACAAGAAGUAUACCUUCAAUUCAAGCAUGUGUGUUCAAAUAUUUGAUUUGUUGCUGAAAAAUAAUUACAUUACAAUUCUUGAUCACCAUGUUAAGCCAUCAAUCCAAGGACGAAUGUAUUGUAAGUUGCAUGAUUCGUCCAAGCAUAAUUUUGAGGAUUGCAACAUGUUUCGUCAAAUAGUUAAAUCGGCCAUUGAAAAAGGACGAUUGAAGUUUGUUGAAACACCAAGAGAUGACCAGUCUAUUCCGAUUGGUCCCGAUGGCAAAAAGUUUUUGCAUCGACUGCUUCAAGCCGAUCCAUUUAAAGAGAAGGUAAAAACUGCAGGUGAUGGGAUCAAGCUUUCAAGUAAAGAAGUUGUUGAAGAGCAUAAUGAACAUAAUCUUGAGGGUGAGAAUUCCAUCCAAGCUACAAUGGAGACGCCAAGGACUGGGGGGCAGCAAGCAAAUCCAACGAUCGAUGAAAGAAAACCAAAAGAAAACAAAGGCCGAAAUAAGCGCAAGUGUAAAAGAUCAAAAAUCACCUUCGAUGAACUAUUUGAGAAAUAUCAAAAGAAGAGUGAAGAGAAGAAUGCUUAUCGGCCCAAUCAUGCAAAGAAACCAAGAUCACCCCCAAGGCGCAAAUAUGAGGAUCGGUAUUGGCAAUGUGAGAGUUUCAAUGCAACAUAUUCAUAUCCUUAUUUUGGGCCGCCAAUGCCAAUGCCGUGGAUGCCUCCCUAUGCUCAUGUAGAUCCAUAUUCAUCAUGGGACAGGUAUGAUACAAGGGCACAUUCUCCAUCUUAUUUUAGACCAUCUCACCAAUAUUAUGCAGCUCCGAGAAGAUCAACAUUUGAACAGUCACAUGUUAAAGACCGUUUCAAUUAUAAGGAAUCGGUCCGGACACCAUGGAUGAAAAAAGAGGUGGUCAAGCAAGUCUACCGCGUGAAACUAUGAAGGACCGAGCCGAAGGAUUCAACAUCUUUGGUCUACACAUUAUCCAAAUUCUUCAACUAUGUCGUUAACGCCUAUGCCAUGGAAUUCGUCAUCAGGUAUGAUCGGUAACCCUCAAUGGGCUUAUUUUAAUCCAUGGAUGCAAUAUAAUUUCUUACGUCAUGAAAGGGUAUUACCAAGUCACUAUACAUUUGAUUAGCUACAAGUUUGUUGCUGAUCCAAAGGGCCGAAAUACUUGAUUUGUCAUUUCAUUUGUUUAUUUCGGCUAUAUGUGCUUUGAAUGAAGUUUAGAUGGUAAUGGCCGAUGAUAUUUAUCUAUCGUCCUAAGAGUAUGUCAAUGCAUGGCAGGUGUAGUAUUCUAAUAUCGUCCUUAGUUUGAUUGGUGAGCGAGACAAUGUACAUGCUCAUGAAAAUUUAUAUGUAUGCCUAUAUUAUGAUUGAAUGGAGUUGAGACAUCAUGACCGAUGUCAUUGAAUAUAUGCUGCAUAGACCAAUUCAUAGCUGCGGAAUUGGUUGAUGGGCUUAUACUUUGUUUGGAUAUGAUUUGGCUUAUGCAUCUUUGAGAUCUAUAAGAGGCCAAAUCAUAGUUGAUUUUGUUACUGAACAUCGGAUUAGUGUCAUGCAUAAUAUUAAUAUUAGCCUUGUCUCUCUAGUACUAUGGAGAUUAUGUUUUGAUGGUUCAAUUCAUAGCAAUGGCCAAAGUGUUGGUGUUGUUUAUAUAUUUCUUUAUGGUACUAUUUUUUGAAGCCUCGUGCCGCUUAGAAUAUUUUUAUGCACGAUUAAUCAAGGCCGAAUAUGCAUUGUUAUUCGGAUUGACUCUUUUACUUGCUAUAGGUGUUAUACAUAUUGAGGCUUUUGGUGAUUCGUUCUGAGUAGUGCAACAAAUAUCCAAGGAUUAUCAAUGUGUUUUACCGAAUCACUUAUAGUUUAUCUUGGGCUAUGUCUAGAUGAAGAAUUUACCUUGGGUUGCAUUCAAAUUGUUCAUAUAUUUAGACAUGGCAAUUGGAGAGAGUUGGCAUAGCAAGCAUCCGGCUACCAUGUCCAUCAUGUUGUAUUGCAUUUCUCUCAAUAGCCGAUGCUUAGUCUUGUCAACAUAGGUAAGGUCGAACCGAAGUCCAGAACUUCGGCCACUAAUGAAAUUUUUAUGCAGGCCAAAGUAAGGAUUGGAGAAAGUUUAUUGUUGAUUGUCUACAAAAUCCUAGCAAAAGGGUGAACAAUAUGGUUCGGAGGAUGACAUUGAGAUACAUAUCUAUGGAACUUUAUCACCGGAUUGUUAAUGAAGCUGAGAAGGUUUCACCCGAGUUUGCAUCAGAAAGUUCACACAAGACAUGGCCGAUAUAUACUUAUCGUCCUAAGAACAUAUAAAUGGCCGAUGGAGUGUUGACAUCGUCCUUAGAACAAACUUGGUACAAGUAUUUUUCGACACGCUAGGUUUACCGAAAAACAGUGGGGCAUGUGUUGACGCUCAAAAGUGGCACGAUCAUAAAGCAGCAUGCUGGGGCGAAAACCUUGCCGGGGUAAAAUCUUGCCGGUGUGAAAGCUUGCCGGUGUGAAAGCUUGCCGGUGUGAAGGCUUGCCGGCGUGGAAAGCUUGCCGGCACAGAAAGAUCGCCGGUGCUUGCCGGUGUGAAAUCUUGCCGAGGGAGAAACCUUGUCAGGAAGGAACCCUUGCCGGAGUACAAACCUUGCCGGAGUGAAACCUUGCCUGUGUGAAAGCUUGCCGGGUAGAAACAUUGCCGGUGUGGAAAGCUUACUCGGACGGAAAACUUGCCGGGUUGGAGGCUGUGAUAGUCAAUCGAACGAGAAGUUGAAGAUGGGCUCAAAAGGUUAUUCAGAUGAUCUCGGAUGGAAAAAUGAUCUACACGGGUUGUCUUCGUCUCGUCGAAACGAUCGAUUUUGGUAUAAAAAUCAUUCAAAUUCGAGUUUGUAUGCAAAAGUUAGAGCAAUCGGAGUGCAGCCCUGUCACGAGGCGAGAUGUGGCGUGCCCCACCAGACACAUGUCUGACGGGUAGUGCGAGGAAAUAGCCUGUGUUGCGAGACCGAUCUGACCCUCAAGAUGAUCUCUGAUCAAAACACCUUCAACAUGAAAGCUGUUCGUCUCGUCGAAACGGUCAAGAUUGCUUUUGGGCUUGUUUUCAUCCGGGAUCGUUUACCACUGCCAAAAAGACCCGCAAUGUGCAGCCAGUUUAAACCGAACAGUUUUGGAAAGUUCAGAUAAACCAGUCCGAAUUUGACUAGGGUUUUGUACGUGAAUUGAUGUAAUUUUCUUGUAAGGAAAGCCGAGAUAAAUUCUUUGCUUGUACGGGAAGUCCAGCCGCCUCUUAUAUAUGUUGGGGGUGACGGCCGAUUGAAACAACACACAAUCGAACAAACACAUCUACUACCUUUUCAUGUUCAUCUACUUUUUAUCUCUCCCUUGUAUCUUUCUUCUCGUUCUUCGCUAGUUCUUCAUGCUGGAGGGCUGCGGAUCCACGAGGCUUUAGGGCCUAGCUAGCGAAUCGACCUAGGGCAGCCCAUAGCCGCCGCAAUCCCUGACGGGGUCCCUCUCGGGUGCGCGGGGUUUCGGGUCUGCAAAAGCGCCCGCCGACUGUCUUGCGUAUCGCGCUGUCGGUCGGGUCUCCUUCGACGUGAGCUGCGGUGCAUCACCCCUGGCGUCGAGGAUACAUGUGACGUGUUCGUGUGCGAACAACGUGCUCCCUGGCUCCACCCCAUUGAAAAAAUAUACAUCUGGAGGCUGCUUUGUUUCCUCAUCAAAAAAAACUUACGUUAAAAAGAUUGCAUGCAUCCCAGGAAAAAUAAUCAAGAAGUCGGACUCAUCCUUACAAAAACAAGGAACGUGUUAAGUUGACUUCAAAGAAAAAAGGAACAUGUUAAGUUAAAAAAAACAAGAAACCUGUUAAGUUAGAAAAAAACAAGGAACGUGUUGUCCUAGGAAAGAUAUGUGUCAAAUCUUACAAAAAAAAGAAUACACACACGUACGUUCAUGCACUUGGAAAAUAGAAAAAAAAGAACAUCACGUAUGUAUACACUUUGGAAACUCAUUACAUGACCAUGUCUGAUAUACUCCUCUAAUGCUUAACAUUAGUGCCUAAUAAUUUAUAUUUAAAAUUUAAUUUACUGAUCAAAUAUCCCCACUGUUUAAAUUUUAAUUUGGCACAUUGUUUGACUACAGUAUGAACCUAAAUUUCCUCUUAUUAAUAUAUAUCAUGGUAAUAAUCCAAAGGCGACUAAUCUGCGCCGGUGCACCGGCGCAAUCAAUUUGGCCGGACACAGCGCGGCCUUUUGAUUAGAUUGCAUUUAACCAUCAGAUCUGGAAUCGUUUUCUUUCCAAUUAAACGGAUUCAACCAAACAGCAGAGGGGAAAACAAAGCAGCGCCGCCGCCAACACUAGCCAUGGACGAUCGAUGUACCAAAACCUUGAAUAACUGCCGCCGGUCGCCACCCUCGCCGCUGGUGGCCGCCCUCGCCGUCGGUCACCGCCGAUCACCGCCCUCGCUGCCUGCGUUUCUCAUCGGCUUCAUGCAUGCAACAGCAUGCAGUCGUGGUUGCAGGCUUGCAGCUCCGGCUCCGGGGGACAUGGCCGCAUCUCCGGUAACGCCAGCCGCCGACCGCAGCACCUGUCGUUAUGGUCGCGUUGUACCUCGCCGUGUGCCCUCCCGAGGCUCUUGCUGGUUCCAACAAAAAACAAUACGUGUUGUAGCAAAAAAGUUUAUCGCUUCCAGCAAAAAAGCUUACCGCUACAGCCCGCCAUCGUCAUUGUAGCAAAAAUGUUAACCCGAUGUAGCUUUUGUGGUUGCCGACUGCAACAAAAAAUGACGUGGUUGUAGCAAAACACAAAAGAAAAAUGCCGGCCGGCCGCUGUGUAUGGUGGUAACAAACCCUAUAGCCGGUGGUAGCGAAAAACUUCAUAGUUUGCAGCAAAAAAAUGUUGUCGCCCGUCGUCGAGGUUGCAUCGUCUUCAUGAAUUAUGUCGCAAAAAAACAUUGUCGCCGGUAGUAGCAAAUGAAGCCGCCGGUAGUAGCAAAACAAGACACUGGUUCCAGCCAAAAAAUAAAUCAGCGACAGAACCUUUGGUUGGUUACAACAAAAAAACUUGUCGGUUGUAACAUCCCUCGCCGCCGGAUGUAGCAUCUCCCGGGGCUGGUUGCAACACUCCAUAAAAAAAAUGUUGUCUAUGAGCGCAUCCAUGGCGACUGCUGCACCAUCAGCAACGAGGGGAAGAGGAGGCAAUGAAAAUCGUUCGAGUCGUAGCUCCACAGGACGCGGCUGCAGCAUGGGGAGUCCAAAAAUCUGUCACAAGCAACAUGCGCCUCACCAUCCUCCUGCGCAGGAGAGAGAAGAAAAAGGAAUAAGAGGAAGAAGAAAGGAAACGGGAGGAAGAAAAAAGAAACGAUUGGUGGUGGGCUGAGGCAAUUAGUCAAACGAGGGGCACGCGGGGCCGCAGGAUACAGCGCAAUCGAACGAAGCGCGCGCGUCCGGCCGAAGACUCGGCCGGACUGCCGUCUGGAAACGUUUCCCUAAUCCAAAGGCUUUGUCUGAAUGACAAGUCGUCUGGGUUACCGGCUAACUAGAAAAAAGAUAAAUAUGCUAGAGAAUUUCAUAAUAAUUAGAAAUAUCUAGCCUUUAAUUAUGUAAAUCAGAAAAUCACAACCGUUGGAUUUACUUUAAAGGUAAAUUUCUCUAAAUUCCCACCAUUGCCAGUAUGUAGAAACAUGUGCUGCUUCAAUUCUCCCAUAAUCACCAAUCAAUCAACAACACAAAACAUACCUCAGUUAAAAAAACUGAACAAAAAAAAAGAAAAAAGAAGAAAGGACAAGAUACACGCAUGUACACGACAGCCUUGGCUUGAAACACAUCAGUAGAUCAAGUGUCCGCCUCCCUUACACAGAAUAAACUCAUAGGGAAGAAAAUAAUUGUGCAACCUAACCUUAUACGUACUAUUCUAUCCUCACGUCCCAUGAGGUUUACUAGCCUACCGCCGCCGCAUCAUGCCAUCCCCUCCUUUCAGCUCCCAUGCUUUCCAGCACCCUCAUUGCCGCGCCACUACUUGCCUAGGGAUAUUGCUGCUCAGACCGUGGAGCUUAACCUGCUUCUUCUUCAGCAAAUAUGGUACUGCUUUAGGAUCCUUCUCACAUCAGCACGUAUGGGCCUCAUUAUACUGCAGCUCCUGGACCUCCUACAAUUGGUUGGCUAUGGCCAGUUGAUCGAUGUGCCGAAGUCCAGGUCUGUUUGCUGGCACAUAUGCUUUGGAAAUAGGCCACUAUGUUUGUACUUCAAAAUUGUUUCUGUAUUCUUGAGUGGUACAUCCUUUUAAGCGCCAGUUUUUUAUGUCAAUUCAUGCUGACAACACUUAACCUAGCCUUUCAUCUUCACGUACUAAAUACAGGAGCAAGUAAAAACAACAGACCACCUAAUUGCUCUGCAUGUACUACAUAGGAAAAUUUGUCAUGUUCUACGAUCGCACCAUCCCACACUUCUCUCUUGGUAUGGGCGCCAAUUGAGGGAUUGAUAAAACUGAAACGAAGACGUCACGGGGCUGGAAGUACCGCUAGCCUGGUUUGCACUGCAACCUACUCAACGCCAUCAGAAACUAGCAACUGAGGCAGUUGUUGAUCGAUUCUCUCAAAUUGCUCUCAUGUAAGUACUACCCCUUGCAUGUGCGUACAUACCUUUGUUCCAUUCUCAAACAGAUAGAACAUUUAUGAUCGGUGCAUGGCUAUUUUUCAUCACAUGACAUCCAGAUAACAAGCAUGAAAGGACUACAUUGGAGAUCAAAAAAUAUUGGUUCCUGGCUAGAGGACCACUACCUAUGGACUUGUCUCCAUAGAAUUUGUUCCCAAGACGUUAUUUUAAUUAACCUCUUUAGCUUUCUUCCAUUGCAAACGGUGAUGUGCAUCAUGGUAUAUACGUGACCAUCUUGCACAUGUAUACACAAGAGGCUCAGACGGAGGUGCUGGAUUCUGGACGAGGGAAUAUGAAGCAGGAGUGAGCGAAGAGUAAAUAAUGGUGGGAGUACCGAUUGGUGUUAUGAAGAAAAAUGCCAUUCAAAGAUUGAUUAGUGUCAUGGAAGAUUAAUUUCUGAAUGCGAAUAUAUAUGUUACAUUGGUUUGGAUCUUUUUGAGAUAAUUGCACCUAAAUUAGGUUCUUUCUUAUUUCAUAUGUAUACCUUAUUUCAGUAAAAGUUCACAACGAACUUAGUAGGACAAAUAUAAUUUUGUUUGUGCUUUCUGUUGUCCGCCACCAAAGCUCAGUUUGAACUCUCUAGAAAUGGACAAUGAUUUAUGCAUUCUAUAUCUUCUUGAUUGAUUAGUCAUGACAAGGAAAUAAAAUGAUUGACUGAUAUAGCAUAACUUUGGAACGAUCUGUUCGUAGAGGUUACUACAAAUUAGAGUAGUGUCUGUUGGAAUUUUGCUAGUAGGCCUUUGGCCCAAAGCCCAACUAAAAUUCUGAAAUUCUCUUGGCUCAUUCAUGCACACAUGUGAGUGGAGUGAGUGAGACUAAAGUUUAGUCCCUCCCCGAAAGUUGAGAGAGUGUUGCACCUCUUUAUAAGGUGAGCUCUUCUACCACUUGUAUGAGCAUGGGAAGAGGAGACCUACACGCGCGCUCCUCCUCCUCGCUCACCAUGCCUCGUCACGACGCGCCGCGCCGCACCGCGUGGUGGGUUGUGGGAUUGAGCCGAGCCGAGGACGUUGUCUAUAUUUUUGCUGCUCGGGAAAAAUUAAUGAGUCAUUAAUUAAUAAUUAAUGGACGCGUUAAUUACUGAACCGUUUCCGAUUCUUUUGGAUCCUGACGACUCGGACGUGGGGUUUACUCCCACGACCUACCCGACCUGCACUACAUAGCCAGGCAGACGUCUACCUUAGCCGCCGCCCCUUCGUAUGGUUUCUCACCACCGUUACAGAUCAUUGCGCCGCCAAGCAAGUUUUCUCCAUCCCUCGUUUCGGCGUGCACCGGGAGAAGGGACAGCAGGCCUCCGGAACCCCGCCUCUCGUGAUCCUGUACGGAAGAGGGGCGAUCAGGUUUUUGGGGAGCGCAUCGCACGACUGCUGGCAGCGACGACUUCGCGAACGACGACUUCUUCCCCGACCUCGGCAACCUCAUCCUCGAGGACAUGGGCGACAACGUCAACGCCGGCGGUGCUACACCCACUGCACCGUAUGUUAUUCUAUCCUUCUUGUUCGAGAUCGUGGUAGAAUUCAUGUUUCUAGUAUGUGCCCUAGAGGUGAUCUGUUCAUCUACUAUGCUAGUUCGCAUGAUUAGUUUAAUCUCUGCUAUUGCUGUCAUGAUCUAUUUCCUAUUUAUUCGGAUUAAAUCUCGUAGUAAUUUUCUCAUUUUUCCAACAAUCCAAAAACCUAAUUAUAGGCAACUUACUCCGAGUGGUUUUGAUGCGCAUCUGAAAGCCGCCUGCCUUUAAGGGGGCGCAAUAUAAGAGGUGGCGCACGAGAGCAGUCUACUGGUUUCAGAUCAUGGGCUGCUAUGACGCCAUCGAUACCCUCUUUAAAGGCACUCUUCUGAGUGUUCUUGAUGACUCCAUUGUGGAUUCGUAUAUGUCGUUGACAACGGCAAGAAUAUGUGGGCUGCGCUCGAGGCCAAGUUUGGUGCCUCGGAUGCUAGUAGCGAGUUGUACGUCAUGGAGCAAUUCUAUGACUCCAAGAUGACUGAUGAGCGCCCUGUUGUACAGCAGGCUCAUGAGAUACAGUCGCUCGGAAAAGAACUUGAGUACUUCAAGUGUGUGUUGCCGAACAAAUUUUUUGCCGGAGGCAUCAUUGCCAAGCUUCCACCUUCGUGGAACAAUUUUGCUACUUCCCUGAAACACAAGAGACAGGAGUUUUUCGUUGCGGAUCUCAUUGGUACUCUUGAUGUUGAAGAGAAGGCGAGAGCAAAGGAUACACGUGCUCGAGUUGCUGAGGGAGGUUCUAGUGCCCACAUGGUACAGAAGAAGAACUUCCAGCCCGUUCAAAAACAACAAGAACAAAACUCAGGGCAAAGGCAAGUUUGAUACAAAGAACAAGCCAUCACAUUCUACCAACUUCAAGAAGAAUUCUCAUAAGAAGGGGAAGGGACUUUGCCAUGUCUGCGGUGAUCCUAAUCACUGGGCUCUGAAGUGUCCUAACUGCUUUGAGGAGCGCGAACAUGAGAAGAGCGGCAAGUCCGCUAAUGUUGUCAUCGGUGAUACUGAUAUGAAGGAAUCAGGGUACGGUAUUUUUCCUACCAUCCUUUCAGUUUUCCAAACCCCUGAUUGGUUAAUUGACACCGGUGCCAAUGUACAUGUUUGUGCUGAUGCCUCCAUGUUUUCUUCUUACCAGGCCAUUGGGACUUCACCCGUGCUGAUGGGGAACGGGUCACAUGCCAUCGUUCGAGGUGUUGGUACGGUCGAUCUGAAGUUUACUUCGGGGAAGACCGUGCGUCGGAAGAACGUUCAUCAUGUUCCAUCCAUCAAUAAAAAUCUCGUUAGCGGUUCCCGUUUAUGUCGAGAUGGUUUUAAGUUGGUUUUCGAAUACACUAAAGUUGUAAUUUCUAAGUACGGACAAUUUGGUGGAAAAGGCUAUGAGAGCGAAGGCUUGUUUUGCCUGUCUUUGUCAGAUAUUUUCACUAAAGUUAUUAAUAAUGUUUGCCACAACAAUGAGUCUGAUAUUUGGCAUUCACGACUUUGUCACAUUAACUUUGGUUGCAUGACGCGGCUAGCCAAUAUGAAUUUAAUUCCGAAAAUCUCUACUGUCAAAGGCUCUAAGUGCCAAGUAUGUGUGCAAGCUAGCUAAGCAACCUCGCAAGUCCCAUAAGACUGUAGAGGCAAGAGACUUGGCGCCACUAGAGCUUAUACAUUCUGAUAUUUGUGAGAUGAAUGGCGUGUUGACAAAAGGUGGAAAGAGAUACUUCAUGACGUUGAUUGAUGACUCCACUAGAUAUUGUUAUGUGUAUCUUAUGAAAUCAAAAGAUGAGGCUUUGACUUUCUUCAAAAACUAUAAAGCUGAGGCAGAGAACCAACUUGAUCAAAAAAUUAAACGGCUUAGGUCCGAUCAUGGUGGAGUGUAUUUUUCCAAUGAAUUUGAUCUGUUUUGUGCGGAACAUGGUAUAAUCCAUGAGAGGAUGCGUCCCUACUCAGCCUAGUCAAAUGGGGUAGCCAAAAUAAAGAACCGAACUCUAACUGAUAUGGUUAACACCAUGUUAGACACUUCAGGUCUAUCCAAGGAAUGGUGGGGGCAGGCGCUAACGACUGCGUGUCAUGUCCUAAACAGAGUACCCACAAAGCAUAAGACCAUGACUCCAUUUGAGGAAUGUGAAAGGAAAAUGUUGAAACUCUCUUACCUACGUACUUGGGGUUGUUUGGCGAAAGUCAAUAUACCAAUUCCCAAGAAGCGCAAGGUUGGACCAAAAACCGUGGAUUGUGUUCUUCUGGGCUAUGCUUUUCAUAGCAUCGGCUAUAGAUUUUUGAUAAUAAAAUCUGAGGUAUCCGACAUGCAUGUUGGUACGAUUAUGGAGUCGAAUGAUGCAACUUUCUUUGAGGACAUAUUUCCUAUGAAGGAUAUGUCGAGUUCAUCAAAUCAGGAGACACCUACUCCAUCUAGUGAGGAAUUCACUGUAAUUCCUGAACCCACCAUUGCGAUGGAACACGUUGAGAAUCCUGUUGAGGGUGACAAUGGAACUCCUAUGAGGAGUAAGAGACACAGGACUACAAAGUCCUUUGGUGAUGAUUUCAUUGUGUUCCUCGUGGAUGACACACCCAGGACUAUUUCAGAAGCCUGUGCAUCUCUUGAUGCUAACUACUGGAAGGAAGCUGUACGUAGCGAGAUGGAUUCCAUCUUAGGUAACGGAACCUGGGAGAUCACUGACCGUCCUUAUGGGUGCAAACUUGUAGGAUGUAAGUGGGUGUUCAAGAAGAAGCUUAGACCUGAUGGUACGAUUGAAAAGUACAAGGCACGGCUUGUGGCCAAGGGUUAUACCCAGAAAGAAGGUGAAGACUUCUUUGAUACUUACUCACCCGUGGCUAGAAUGACCACAAUUCGGGUGCUACUAUCACUUGCUGCCUCACAUGGUCUUCUCGUUCAUCAAAUGGAUGUUAAGACAGCUUUCCUCAAUGGAGAGAGUUGGAGGAAGAAAUUUACAUGGAUCAGCCAGAUGGUUUUGUAGUACCUAGUUAGGAAGGAAAGGUGUGCAAGUUAUUAAAGUCUUUAUAUGGCCUUAAACAAGCUCCUAAAGAGUGGCAUGAGUAGUUUGAAAGAACAUUAACUGCUGCCGGCUUUGUAGUAAACGAUGAUGACAAGUGCGUGUACUAUCGCUAUGGUGGGGCGAAGGAGUUAUUCUUUCUCUGUAUGUCGACGACAUAUUGAUCUUUGGAGCCAAACUUGAUUUAAUCAAGGAGGUUAAGGAUUUCUUAUCUUGUUGUUUUGAGAUGAAGGAUCUAGGAGUAGCUGAUGUUAUCUUAAACAUCAAGCUGUUGAGAGAUGAGAAUGGUGGGAUCACACUACUUCAGUCUCACUAUGUGGAAAAGGUCUUGAGUCAUUUUGGGUAUAGCGACUGCACACCUUCUCCAACUCCAUAUGAUGCUAGUGUGUUGCAUCGAAAGAAUCGAUGGAUUGCUAGAGAUCAACUGAGGUAUUCUCAUAUUAUUGGCCCGCUUAUGUAUUUGACGAGUGCCACGAGGCCUAACAUCUCAUUUGCUGUUAGCAAGCUGAGUCGGUUUGUGUCAAAACCGGGAGAUGAUCGUUGGCAUGCUCUUGAGAGAGUUAUGCGCUAUUUGAAAGGCACCGCGAGCUAUGGGAUUCACUACACCGGGUAUCCAAGGGUACUGGAGGGUUAUAGUGACUCAAACUGGAAGUCCUGCAAACAGACCAUCUUAACAAGGUCAAGUAUGGAAGCAGAACUCACAGCAUUAGAAACUGCCACUGUGAUAAUCAAACUAUGAUCGUCAAGAUAAACAGUUACGGACAAUAUGAAGUCCUCAAGGCAUGUGAAGAGGAGACUGAAAUCUGUCAGAAAAUUGAGGAACUCUGGAGUUAUUACGUUGGAUUAUAUCGAAACAUCGAAAAAUUUGGCAGAUCCCUUCACAGAGGGUCUAUCACGUAAUGUGAUAGAUAAUGCAUCGAUGGAGAUGGGUCUGAGACCCACCGCAUGAGUUGUCCAUAGUGGUCUAUGUGAUCGGAGAUCCCGUGAAGUAGAAGUGGGAGACAAGUUGUUGAUCAGCUGGGAGGAUAGUAUCCCUAUAUUACCUAUCCCACUCCAUGAAGAUGCAAUACUCUCCUAAUCUGCAUGGCAGGUUGACACUUAUGUUAAUGUGUUCCAAGUGGCUUAUUCGGGUAAGCAGAGAUGUUGUCCUGCAGAACAUCUUCUAAGGAACACACCUAUAUGAAUUUGACUGUUAACGUCGCAGUAUGUGAGAAUUGGGUGUUCUCUAAUAAAUUGAUGAAAAGGCCCUGGAGUAUGACGUAUACGCUCCACCCGCGGGGAAGCCUUGCGGCAGCCCAGUAUCGGUCAAGAAUUUGUGUGAAACUAGUCUCGCAGAAAAUUUGUAGUUCAAGGCGUAGUCCAAACGGAAUAUCAAACGGAGUCCAAACGGAAUGAAACCUUUGGGAACGUGAUUUUCUCAACGAACAAGACCCAGGAGACUUGGACCCUACGUCCAGACACAAAAGAGGAGGCCACGAGGUAGGGGGGCGCGCCCUCCACCCUCGUGGGGCCCCUGUUGCUGAAGGACAUAUGCCCUAGAGGCAAUAAUAAAGUUAUGAUUUAUUUCCUUAUAUCAUGAUAAAUGUUUAUUAUUCAUGCUGGAAUUGUAUUAACCGGAAACAUAAUACAUGUGUGAAUACAUAGACAAACAAAGUGUCACCAGUAUGCCUCUACUUGACUAGAUUGUUAAUCAAAGAUGGUUAUGUUUCCUAACCAUAGACAAAGAGUUGUUAUUUGAUUAACGGGAUCACAUCAUUAGUUGAAUGAUCUGAUUGACAUGACCCAUUCCAUUAGCUUAGCACCCGAUCGUUUAGUAUGUUGCUAUUGCUUUCUUCAUGACUUAUACAUGUUCGUAUGACUAUGAGAUUAUGCAACUCCCGUUUACCGAAGGAACACUUUGUGUGCUACCAAACGUCACAACGUAACUGGGUGAAUAUAAAGGAGUUCUACAGGUGUCUCCAAAGGUACAUGUUGGGUUGGCGUAUUUCGAGAUUAGGAUUUGUCACUCCGUUUGUCGGAGAGGUAUCUCUGGGCCCUCUCGGUAAUGCACAUCACAUAAUCCUUGCAAGCAUUGCAACUAAUGUGUUAGUUGUGAGAUGAUGUAUUACGGAACGAGGAAAGAGACUUGCCGGUAAUGAGAUUGAACUAGGUAUUGGAUACCGACGAUCGAAUCUCGGGCAAGUAACAUACCGAUGACAAUGGGAACAACGUAUGUAGUUAUGCGGUCUGACCGAUAAAGAUCUUCGUAGAAUAUGUAGGAGCCAAUAUGGGCAUCCAGGUCCCGCUAUUGGUUAUUGACCAUAGACGUGUCUCGGUCAAGUCUACAUUGUUCUCGAACCGUAGGGUCUGCACGCUUAAAGUUACGAUGACAAUUUCAUUAUGAGUUUAUGUAUUUUGAUGUACCGAAGGUUGUUCGGAGUCCCGGAUGUGAUCACGGACAUGACGAGGAGUCACGAAAUGGUCGAGACAUAAAGAUCGAUAUAUUGGAAGCCUAUAUUUGGACAUCGGAAUCGUUCCGGGUGAAAUCGGCAUUUUACCAGAGUACCGCGGGGUUACCGGAACCCCCGGGGGGGUUAUUGGGCCUACAUGGGCCUUGAAGAAGAGAGGAGGCAGGAGGUGGCCGCGCGCCCCUCCCCUUCCUAGUCCGAAUAGGACAAGGGAAGGGGGGUGGCGCCCCCCCUUUCCUUCCCCUCUUCCUCCUCUUUCCCCCCUUCUCCUUCUCCAACUAGGAAAGAAGGGAGUCCUACUCCCGGUGGGAGUAGGACUCCCCCUGGCGCGCCCCUCCUUGGCCGGCCGCCCCCUCCCCUUGGUUCCUUCAUAUACGGGGGCAGGGGGCACCCUAGGACACAGAAGUUGAUCUUCGUGAUCGUUCCUUAGUCGUGUGCGGUGCCCCCCUCCACGAUAUUACACCUCGAUCAUAUUGUAGCAGUGCUUAGGCGAAGCCCUGUGACGGUUAAACAUCAAGAUCGUCACCACGCCGUCGUGCUGACCAAACUCCUCCCCGAAGCUUUGCUGGAUCCGAGCCGGGGGUGCGUCAUCGAGCCGUACGUGUCUCAAGAACUCGGAGGUGCCGGAGUAAAGGUGCUUGGAUUGGUUGGACCGGGAAGACGUACGACUACUUCCUCUACGUUGCGUCAACGCUUCCGCUUCGGUCUACAAGGAUACGUAGACAACACUCUCCCCUCUUGUUGCUAUGCAUCACCAUGAACUUGCGUGUGCGUAGGAAAUUUUUUGAAAUUACUACAUUCCCCAACAGUGGCAUCCGAGCCUAGGUUUUAUGGUUUGAUGUUAUACGCACGAGUAGAACACAAGUGAGUUGUGGGCGAUAUAAGUCAUACUGCCUACCAGCAUGUCAUACUUUGGUUCGGCGGUAUUGUUGGAUGAAGUGGCCCGGACCGACAUUACGCGUACGCUUACGCGAGACUGGUUCUACCGCCGUGCUUUGCACAUAGAUGGCUGGCGGGUGUCAGUUUCUCCAACUUUAGUUGAACCGAGUGUGGCUACGCCCGGUCCUUGCGAAGGUUAAAACGGCAUCAACUUGACAAACUAUCUGUCACAGCCCUAGAAUUUGCUUGUAGCUAUUUACCCGAGUGAGCAUGAUGCAUCAUGUCUAAAUUCUGAAAGUUGAAUUGAGGUUAGUAGAAACCCUCAUAAAUCACUUCAAAAAUAAUCAACAUUAAAAUCUUUUCAAAGAAGUCCAAGAAAGUGUUCCUCUUAGUCUCUGAAAAUAUUGGCAAGAGGUAAAACUUAAAACAAUAUUUUUGGAAUCUCAGAGAUAUUUAUUUUGGGCCUUUGAAUUAAUUCAAUAACAAUUUGCAUUGGAUAUAUAUUUUAUAUAUAACUAAUAUAUGUCCAAUAAUUCUAGAACAUUUUAUGUGGUUUGUUAUAUUUUAGUUCUAGCCACAUAAUUAUUUUCAGGAUUUUAUUAAAUGGUUUAGUAUUUUUACUAAACCAAAACAAAACAGAACAAAAUAGAAAAAAACUGAAACAGAAAGCAAACAGAAAAUAGAGAGAGAGAGAGGAGCUACCUGGGCUUACCUGGCGCCCCAACUGGCCCACCUCUGUAGCAGCCCAACUGGCCAAAGCCAGCCCGGCCCAUCAGGGGCAGCACUGUCUUCUUCCUCCUGCCAGGAGGAGAAGCAGCUGCGUGCCCGAUGGCCGGCGAGCCGCGCUGGCUCCUCCCUGCCUGCGUGCCCCCCCUCGACUUCCUGGAUGCCAUGCACUCCCCCUCGCCCCCUGCACCUCUCCUCUCUCCCCCUGGACCCCAUCCCCUCCUCUGCUCCCCUCUCGCGCGCACCACCGAGCGGAGCUCGUCGUCAUCGUCGCCGUACUCGUGGCCACCGGCCACCCCUCGCCCUGCCGCUGCGCCCAAAAGCUCUGCCAUUUCGUCCUCGACCCCCUCACCGAGCCACGCCACCGCGGGAGCCCCACAUCGCGGCUACGAGUCGUCCUCCCCGAGCACGGCCGCCGGACUUCAUCGAUGAAUUCGUCGCCUUCCGGUCGUCCCCGAGCCAGCUGAGCUCCGCUUCGACCUCACCGUGAGAUCCUCUACCAAACCCCUCUCUCCCCGCCGUCUAUUUCCUCCUCUAGCCUCACUAACCACCGUGGCCGAAGCUCGCCGCCGCCGUACCUCAUCGCCGCCACGGCCAUAGCUGCCGCCACCCACGCCCGAGCUUUGCCCCAUGCUCAGCACUCUCCCAGGAGCCGGGCGCGCCCACCCAUUCGACCCGUUGUGCCCCCUAGCGCCAACCCCGACCUCGCCCGAAUUCCGGCCGCCGCAAAAGUUGCCGCCACCGUCGAUUUAGUCAACCCCGGUGCGAGGUGUUGCCACCGAUGGAUGCGCGAGUCUCCCAGCUCGCCGUAGCCACAAACCACGAGCGAAACGAUGCUCUGUAGCUCCGUCCCGAGCAUCUCCGGCGAGCCACGGCCGUGCUUUUGGUCGCCGGCGUCGACCGCUGACGUGGUCGCUUAAUUAAGUCUAAUCACCACUAAUCCCUGCCUAACAGACGCUGACUCACGGGCCCCACCUGUUAAUUAACCACAAGGUUAUACCCUGUUUAAUUUAAGCUAAUGACCGUGGCCCCACGGGUCAGUUUGACCUGGCCACGUCACCGUUGACCUGGUCCCACACGUCAGCCACAGAAACCAGCCCUGGGUCACUGACCAGUGGGCCCCACUAGUCAGGUUUGACCCGGACCAGCCCUGUUGACUUGCUUACGUCACCCUGAUGUCAUGCUGACGCAGUAAUUAAUUUCUGUUUUAUAAUAAUUCAGAAAAUUUCAGAAAAUGUCCAAAACUUCUAAAAAUCAUAGAAAUUAAACUGUAACUCCAAAUAAAAUAAAUUAUAUAUGUAAAAUUAUCAGAAAAAUUCAAGGAAUCUGUUUAUGGCAUUUUCAUGCAUGUUUGAAAAAUGUUUGACCUCUGUUUUGGACAAAACAAUAAAGGGCAUUUAAAUAAUCAUAUAUGGAGUUUGAAUUUGAAUCUUGUAUUCAAACCAACUUCAUUUAAUUGUGUUGUUAGUUGCUUUAGGUCAAUCAAUAGCAUAUUGCCAUGUCAUUAUCAUGCAUCAUAUUGUUGCAUCGCAUUGAUUGUGUCCUUCCUUGUUUGCCGGUAAUUGCCCCCUCUCAGUAGACGUUGUUUCCGACGACGUGAUCGAUGACACCGAUGAAGAGCUAUUCUAUCUUCAGAAGUGCCAGGCAAGCACAACCCCCUUGUUCAUUCCGAUACAAGCCCACUCUCUCGCUCCUGCUCUCUUUUACUGCAUUAGGACAACAAUGAUUCAUUUGUUACUUGUUGCGGUAGUUGAACCCCUUAUCCUCUGCAUGACCUAUCAUUGCCACAGUAAUUAGAUGAAACCCGCUAGCAUGAGUAGGAGUUGUUUGAGCCCUGAUGUGCCUACUCAUUCAUGCUUGUUUGUCAUGCCUGCUACUGCUUAGAGUUGAGUCAGGUCUGAUUCAUCGGGGAUGGAUCGGAGGUGUGUAAACAUGUCCUAUUGUGUGUGAGCUAAGUGUGUGAACACGUUUUGGUAAAGGUAGCGGUGACAGGCCAUGUAGGAGUACAUGGUGGGUUGUCUCAUUGAAACCGUCCACAGGAACUAAGUUCUGUGUUUGUGAUCCAUGAAACAGCUGCUACCACACGUUGGGCCCCGAAAUAUGACCCCGCUCGACUUACUGACCCCUCUCUUCCUCUGUCCAGGAGUUGCAAUUAGUUUCUGGUGUUUAUAGGAUAUGUGUUGGCGGCCGUGUGUAGCGCUGACCCUAGGGGUGGGCUAUGAUGCGGUAGAUACACUGUGGCCCGGUGUACCGGGCGCCCGUUUGGUGUCUCUGGAACCCUGCACACAUCGUUUGGGGCUGUGAGCGAAACUCCGUCCGGAUCUCCUCGCGGAUGGAACCCGAAUAGGCGAUAAACCUGGACUAGAGACUUGUGUGGUUAGUCAGGUCGUGGUCUACACCCACGUCGGCUUUCGCUUGAAGUCUGCCGAGCACAUGUCGUGUGCAGACGCUAAGUGGUGGAAACAUGUGUGACGAAGUACACCCCCGCAGGGUUAUAAAUGAUCUAUUCGAAUAGCCGUGUCCGCGGUAAAGGACUUCUGGGUUGCCUAUAACAGUUCAUAGACAAGUGAAAGUGGAUACUCUAAAAACUCGCAAGAUAAGUGUGAGUGCUACGGAUGGCCUUCUCGUAGGGAGACGAGAGCGGAUCCAUAGUGGUCUAUUGAAUGGUGAAUAUGUGGACUCGUGUGCGCCACCUUAAAAGAGUUGCUUGCCAUCGUAGUUCAGGUUAGCCCCGGAAUCAAAGCUGGCUUGCUGCCGUUAAACUCCACCCCCCUUUGAUGAUACCGAUGCAUAUGUAGUUUAGAUCUGAUGUAAGUAUUGCUGAGUACCUUUGUACUCACGUUUGCUUAAUUUAUGUUUUGCAGAGAGACUUCAGUCUCGCUAGUAGUUCCGCGUGGACUUCGACGUUUAGCUUGAUACCUCAGCUACGAUCUUGUGCCCUCGACAGGAUCUGGUAGAUAGUCAGGCUUCUUAGCCUUUUUCAUUUAUAGAUGUCUGUACUCAGACAUGUUAAGCUUCCGCAUGUGCUUUGCAUUGUAUGCUAUGAUUGUCGGGUCAUGAGACCCAUGCUUGUAAUAUCUAGCUCUUCGGAGCCUAAUGAAUUAAUACUUGAGUCGUAGAGUCUUGUUUUGAUGCCAUGUUGUAUUUACACAUAUCGAGCAUAUUGUGUGUAUGAUUGAAAUGCUUGGUAUGUGUAGGAUCCAACAACCUAGUUGUUUAUCCUUCGCAGCCUUUCUUAUGGGGAAAUGUAGUCUAGUGUUCCUCGAGCCAUAGUAGUCCGCUACAGCCCGGUUCACCGGAGUCCUGCUAGCCCAGCACUACUGUUCAGGACACUUGACUGGCCGGCAUGUGUUUCACUUCAUCCCUAUGUCUGUCCCUUCGGGGAAAUGUCACGCGGUGAUUUCCGGAGUCCUGCCUAGCCUGCUACAGCCCGGGAUCCCCGGAGUCCUGUUAGCCCAGUGCCACAGCCCGGAAUAACUCAUUGAUGACCGACAUGUUCGAUGUGAUUCAUGUAUGCCUGUCUCCAUAGGUCUGUGCCACUUUGGGUUCACGACUAGCCAUGUCGGCCCGGGUUCUUUGUCAUAUGGAUGCUAGCGACACUAUCAUAUACGUGAGCCAAAAGGCGCAAACGGUCCCGGGCCAGGUAAGGUGGCACCCGUGGGAAUACCGUGCGUGAGGCCACAAAGUGAUAUGAUGUGUUACAUGCUAGAUCGGUGUGACCUAGGAUCGGGGUCCUGAUAGCGUUGGUAUCAGAGCCUGACUGCCUGUAGGAUUACCAAGCCAAACUGGUCGAAGUUGAGUCUAGAAAUGCUUUAGUUAUGUAAGGGAAUUGAUUGCGGAAGGGAACGUAAGGCUCUUUUUAUUCCUUAUACCUCAUGCCCUUGUGAUCUGAGUCAUCCUCUUCCUUUCUAUGGGGAUUAAGAACUAGGCUUUCUUAUCUAUCUAUCAGGAUGACGUGUUACUAACCCGUUGACUUAUAGGAUUGAUGGAUUCAUGCUGCAGUUCAGUUCCUACUACUUCCAUAUAUUCAUAACUGGCCGCAGAACCUUGAUAUUAUGAUUCGAGUGGUUAUGCCACCAUUUUUGCAGGAUGUCUCAAAUCUUUUCGAGCAUUUACAGCCGUUAUGCUGUCCGAGUCAUCCCAGGUUUCUAAAUAGUCUGAUGCAUUUGCAAACCUUUUCCCCUGUUCCUGAUGUCCAUUUAGGCCAGGUUAAUCACACUAAUUGUGAGUUGGCGUAUUCUUUUGCCUGGACAUAUAUUUUGGAAUUAUUAUUAUGACCCUAGAUGUCUUAGAGUGCCACCUAGUAAUCGAACCAUGUUUUGCGUUUCUAGUGUGAUGAUUCUGGCCGUUAUUCUUGAAAGCAUCCCGUGAUGCCAUUUAGUUAGUAGGCAUUCUAUUCCUGGGUUUUGAACCCGAGACCCACCCUACCUGCUUCAUGUUGAUAGUGUUUGCUAGUUCCUUAGGACAUUAGUAAACCUUGUGAUAGACCUCGAGGUCCGUGGUAUUUCCUUCUUCCAAUUAUCAUGAACCAUUCAUGGCAGGAGUUCUUUUGAACCAAAAGGUCACGACAGAGUGCUCUUGAUGAGUUCUCCAUUCUAUAUUGUGGCUCUGCCAGUUCUACCUUUCUGCAUGGGUUAUCCGGAAGAAAUAUGUUGAACUCGUUCGACAUACUAACCUAUGCAUCCACAACUCAGAAAGUUAUAUGUUCCUUGAGUUGUUCCUCUUCAGUUGUAUUCCGACCAUCCUCUAUCAGUAGAUAGCCAAGAGUAUGUGUGCAUUUGUGUUCAUCGGUGCCUCUUAUUCUUGUGGUUCGUCGAGCCGUUCUAUUUUAGAAUGACUAGGAGAAACAAACUCCAGUACCUCAUCCAUAUCUAGGGUUGGGUCAAAAUAGUUGUAUUCCGCAGAUCAAAAUGCAACCCAGCUUUUGGUUCUGUUCUACCCUGAAGUAUUACCCACCUUAUGUCAAGAGCGACGUGAGAAUUGCACCUUCUCCUAUGAAUUCUUGACGCAGUGAUACUUCUUGCCAUCAUUGUUCAUUCCUCGGUUCCUGUGUUAUUGUAACCAGAAUGCCGGCACGUGAGUCGUUAUGUGUGAAAUCAAUACUCCUAGCAACUAUGCUGCUUGGUAGUUAAUGGACAAUAUUCUCAUUCUUAGCGUGUUGGUUAUUGAAUUAUCAUUCUAAGACUGAUCGUGCUACCUAGUCCAUAUUUCUGGUGCACACUUCGAUCAAUGGGUUAGGACUGUGCCAAUCCCUCACUCUUUGAUCAUAUCAUCUUGCCCUGAAAAGCAAGGUUGUUCUCGAGCUUAGUAACAUACCGGUGGUUCGUGAUUUUCCGAAUAUCUUCUCAGAAGUGUUACUAGGUUGUCACCUGACCGUUAUGUUGAGUUCAUGAUCAAGAUGGUUUUUCAAUAAACCACUUUUCCCUAAGAAUCUGUGUUGGAUACCCCUGAGCUAGUUGGUUAAGCUUAACAACAACUUGGAGAGUUGGAAGAUGAAAACUUGUCCGACUUAGCUCAUCCCUAAGGGAUAUCCUUGUGUGUGUGGGUGUUGAAGAAAGAUGAUAUAUUCACCAAUUGGUCCUCAUGAUCAGUUGUUGUAUCUAUUAUCUUGUCCAAACCUUGAUUUGAGUGUGGGCUAUCGUCAAAUCAAAUCAGAACCAACGAUGUUCAUAAUGUUGUCUUACUUACGGUUGUCCCUCGAGCAUACACCAUUAUAUAUUUGGUUUGACCAAUACUAUCACAUUGUUCACAUAGUGGUGGAAGUCCAGUGAUAUGGAAAUACCGAUGCGUUGUUGUUGAUCCCAUCAGCAGCCUUUUGUCUCCCCCAUGAGUCAUGUUGAAUGCUACACUAGUAUUGGAAACUUAUAAGCAUUAUCUUUGUGUUUCGUUCAUGAAGCAUAUGUUUGGAUGAAAGAAGUGACUUCCUCUAAUUCAUGUGCACUCGAUGUAAGUUGCCACCAUGAAUUGAGCAAGGUUUGUUUUGUUUCCCUUGGAAUCAUCCCAAAUCAGUCAUGCAUAUGUGCGAAGUAUUCUAUGGUUUGGUAGAUUAAUUACCUCCACUCCAUAUGUGUUCCUAGCACACCAAGCCACUGGUUGAUUUGUUCAAGGAGAAGAAGUUCCUUCUUAAGAAUCAUGACUUAUGUUAGGACUUUGUUAUCCUCGAUAAUGGUUCCCCACCUGAACUCGGUAGUGUUUUAUUAUAAGACUACCAUGUGGUCAUGCUUUUCUGGGACAGCGUGUUCACAUGUGUUUAGCAGAACCAGCUCAUGCUUUGGAGCUUACUACCGUAGUUCAUUCCCCGAGAAUCUCGCAAUGUCGUCUCGUCGAUUUGUGUUGCAAACCUUCAUUUUCCUUUCUAGACUCGAUGAGUCUGGAAUAUCCCGUCACCAACCAGAUCUGAAUCUCAGGCAGAUAUGAUGGUUGGAGCAUUUUCCAAGAACUAUAAUAUUGGUCUCCCGAUAACCGGUAAAGUGGAUGUCGUGGCCAACACAUCCAGCCGGGCGACCUAUUAUUGUAGUAUCUUGAUUGAAGAAAGUUGGCCACCUUCCCAUGAGGAUUUCAUAGGAUUUACUCCAGAAGUUGUUCCUUAUGGAUCUAUUGUAUUCCGAAGUCCGACCACUACUUGGUGGCUAUGCCGAUGCUUAAAGCAUGACCGUGGUUGCCCCCUCUCAGUAGACGUUGUUUCCGACGACGUGAUCGAUGACACCGAUGAAGAGCUAUUCUAUCUUCAGAAGUGCCAGGCAAGCACAACCCCCUUGUUCAUUCCGAUACAAGCCCACUCUCUCGCUCCAGCUCUCUUUUACUGCAUUAGGACAACAACGAUUCAUCUGUUACUUGUUGCGGUAGUUGAACCCCUUAUCCUCUGCAUGACCUGUCAUUGCCACAGUAAUUAGAUGAAACCCACUAGCAUGAGUAGGAGUUGUUUGAGCCCUGAUGUGCCUACUCAUUCAUGCUUGUUUGUCAUGCCUGCUACUGCUUAGAGUUGAGUCAGGUCUGAUUCAUCGGGGAUGGAUCGGAGGUGUGUAAACAUGUCCUAUUGUGUGUGAGCUAAGUGUGUGAACACGUUUUGGUAAAGGUAGCGGUGAGAGGCCAUGUAGGAGUACAUGGUGGGUUGUCUCAUUGAAACCGUCCUCAGGAACUGAGUUCUGUGUUUGUGAUCCAUGAAAUAGCUACUACGACACGUUGGCCCUGAAAUAUGACCCCGCUCGACUUACUGACCCCUCUCGUCCUCUGUCCAGGAGUUGCAAUUAGUUUCUGGUGUUUAUAGGAUAUGUGUUGGCGGCCGUGCGUAGCGCUGACCCUAGGGGUGGGCUAUGAUGCGGUAGAUACACCGUGGCCCGGUGUACCGGGCGCCCGUUUGGUGUCUCGGGAACCCUGCACACAUCGUUUGGGGCUGUGAGCGAAACUCCGGCCGGAUCUCCUCGCGGAUGGAACCCGAAUAGGCAAUAAACCUGGACUAGAGACUUGUGUGGUUAGUCAGGUCGUGGUCUACACCCAUGUCGGCUUUCGCUUGAAGUCUGCCGAGCACAUGUCGUGUGCAGACGCUAAGUGGUGGAAACAUGUGUGACGAAGUACACCCCUACAGGGUUAUAAAUGAUCUAUUCGAAUAGCCGUGUCCGCGGUAAAGGACUUCUGGGUUGCCUAUAACAGUUCAUAGACAAGUGAAAGUGGAUACUCUAAAAACUCGCAAGAUAAGUGUGAGUGCUAUGGAUGGCCUUCUCGUAGGGAGACGAGAGCGGAUCCAUAGUGGUGUAUUGAAUGGUGAAUAUGUGGACUCGUGUGCGCCACCUCAAAAGAGUUGCUUUCAAUCGUAUUUCAGGUUAGCCCCGGAGUCAAAGCUGGCUUGCUGUAGUUAAACUCCACCCCCCCCCUUUGAUGAUACCGAUGCAUAUGUAGUUUAGAUCUGAUGUAAGUCUUGCUGAGUACCUUUGUACUCACGUUUGCUUAAUUUAUGUUUUGUAGAGAGACUUCAGUCUCGCUAGUAGUUCCGCGUGGACCUCGAGGUUUAGCUUGAUACCUCAGCUACGAUCUUGUGCCCUCGACAGGAUCUGGUAGAUAGUCAGGCUUCUUAGCCUUUUUCAUUUAUAGAUGUCUGUACUCAGACAUGUUAAGCUUCCGCAUGUGCUUUGGAUUGUAUGCUAUGAUUGUUGGGUCAUGAGACCCAUGCUUGUAAUAUCUGGCUCUUCAGAGCCUAAUGAAUUAAUACUUGAGUCGUAGAGUCUUGUUGUGAUGCCAUGUUGUAUUUACACAUAUCGACCAUAUUGUGUGUAUGAUUGAAAUGCUUGGUAUGUGUAGGAUCCGACAACCUAGUUGUUUAUCCCUCGCAACCUUUCUUAUGGGGAAAUGUAGUCUAGUGUUCCUUGAGCCAUAGUAGUCCGCUAUAGCCCGGUUCACCGGAGUCCUACUAGCCCAGCACUACUGUUCAGGACACUUGACUGGCCGGCAUGUGUUUCACUUCGUCCCUAUGUCUGUCCCUUCGGGGAAAUGUCACGCGGUGAUUUCCGGUGUCCUGCCUAGCCUCCUACAGCCCGGGAUCCCCGGAGUCCUGUUAGCCCAGUGCCACAGCCCGGAAUCACUCGUUGAUGACCGACAUGUUCGAUGUGAUUCAUGUAUGCCUGUCUCCAUAGGUCUGUGCCGCUUUGGGUUCACGACAAGCCAUGUCGGCCCAGGUUCUUUGUCAUAUGGAUGCUAGCGACACUAUCAUAUACGUGAGCCAAAAGGCGCAAACGGUCCCGGGCCAGUUAAGGUGGCACCCGUGGGAAUACCGCGCGUGAGGCCACAAAGUGAUAUGAUGUGUUACAUGCUAGAUUGGUGUAACCUAGGAUCGGGGUCCUGACACUAUCGUUGUGGUUUUGAUGCGUAGGUAAGAUUGGUUCUUGCUUAAGCCCGUAGCAGCCACGUAAAACUUGCAACAAACAAAGUAGAGGACGUCUAACUUGUUUUUGUAGGGCAUGUUGUGAUGUGAUAUGGUCAAGACAUGAUGCUAAAUUUUAUUGUAUGAGAUGAUCAUGUUUUGUAACUGAGUUAUCGGCAAUUGGCAGGAGCCAUAUGGUUGUCGCUUUAUUGUAUGCAAUGCAAUCGCCCUGUAAUGCUUUACUUUAUCACUAAGCGGCCGGUAGCGAUAGUCGUAGAAGCAUAAGAUUGGCGAGACGACAACGAUGCUACGAUGGAGAUCAAGGUGUCGCGCCGGUGACGAUGGUGAUCAUGACGGUGCUUCAGAGAUGGAGAUCACAAGCACAAGAUGAUGAUGGCCAUAUCAUAUCACUUAUAUUGAUUGCAUGUGAUGUUUAUCUUUUAUGCAUCUUAUCUUGCUUUGAUUGACGAUAGCAUUAUAAGAUGAUCUCUCACUAAAUUAUCAAGAAGUGUUCUCCCUAUGUAUGCACCGUUGCUAAAGUUCGUCGUGCCCAGACACCACGUGAUGAUCGAGUGUGAUAAGCUCUACGUCCAUCUACAACGGGUGCAAGCCAAUUUUGCACACGCAGAAUACUUGGGUUAAACUUGACGAGCCUAGCAUAUGCAGAUAUGGCCUCGGAACACGGAGACUGAAAGGUCGAGCGUGAAUCAUAUAGUAGAUAUGAUCAACAUAAUGAUGUUCACCAUUGAAAACUAAUCCAUUUCACGUGAUGAUCGGUUAUGGUUUAGUUGAUUUGGAUCACGUGAUCACUUAGAGGAUUAGAGGGAUGUCUAUCUAAGUGGGAGUUCUUAAGUAAUAUGAUUAAUUGAACUUCAAUUUAUCAUGAACUUAGUCCCUGAUAGUAUCUUGCUUGUUUAUGUUGAUUGUAGAUAGAUGGCCCGUGCUGUUGUUCCAUUAAAUUUUAAUGCGUUCCUUGAGAAAGCAAAGUUGAAAGAUGAUGGUAGCAAUUACACGGACUUGGUCCAUAACUUGAGGAUUAUCCUCAUUGCUGCACAGAAGAGUUACGUCCUGGAAGCACCGCUGGGUGCCAGGCCUGCUGCUGAUGCAACUGACGACGUUAAGAACGUCUGGCAGAGCAAAGCUGAUGACUACUCGAUAGUUCAAUGUGCCAUGCUUUACGGCUUAGAACCGGGACUUCAACGGCGUUUUGAACAUCAUGGGGCAUAUAAGAUGUUCCAGGUGUUGAAGUUAAUAUUCCAGCAGAAUGCCCGGAUUGAGAGAUAUGAAGUCUCCAAUAAAUUCUAUAGCUGCAAGAUGGAGGAGAAUAGUUCUGUCAGUGAGCAUAUACUCAAGAUGUCUGGGUAUUGUAAUCACUUGAUUCAACUGGGAGUUAAUCUUCCGGAUGAUAGCGUCAUUGACAGAAUUCUCCAAUCACUUCCACCAAGCUACAAGAGCUUCGGGAUGAACUAUAAUAUGCAAGGGAUGGAUAAGACAAUUCCCGAGCUCUUCGCAAUGCUAAAGGUUGCGGAGGUAGAAAUCAAGAAGGAGCAUCAAGUGUUGAUGGUCAACAAGACCACUUGUUUCAAGAAAAAGGGCAAAGGGAAGAAGAAGGGGAACUUCAAGAAGAACAGCAAGCAAGUUGCUGCUCAGGAGAAGAAACCCAAGUCUGGACCUAAGCCUGAAACCGAGUGCUUCUACUACAAGCAGACUGGUCACUUGAAGCGGAACUGCCCCAAGUAUUUGGCGGAUAAGAAGGAUGGCAAAGUGAACAAAGGUAUAUGUGAUAUAGAUGUUAUUGAUGUGUACCUUACUAGAGCUCGCAGUAGCACCUGGGUAUUUGAUACUGGUUCUGUUGCUAAUAUUUGCAACUCGAAACAGGGACUACGGAUUAAGCGAACACUGGCAAAGGACGAGGUGACGAUGCGCAUGGGAAAUGGUUCCAAAGUCGAUGUGAUCGCGGUCGGCAUGCUACCUCUACAUCUACCUUCGGGAUUAGUAUUAGACCUAAAUAAUUGUUAUUUGGUGCCAGUGUUGAGCAUGAACAUUAUAUCUAGAUCUUGUUUAAUGCGAGACGGUUAUUCAUUUAAAUCAGAGAAUAAUGGUUGUUCUAGUUAUAUGAGUAAUAUCUUUUAUGGUCAUGCACCCUUGAAGAGUGGUCUAUUUUUGAUGAAUCUCGAUAGUAGUGAUACACAUAUUCAUAAUGUUGAAGCCAAAAGAUGCAGAGUUGAUAAUGAUUGUGCAACUUAUUUGUGGCACUGCCAUUUAGGUCAUAUCGGUGUAAAGCGCAUGAAGAAACUCCAUACUGAUGGACUUUUGGAACCACUUGAUUAUGAAUCACUUGGUACUUGCGAACCGUGCCUCAUGGGCAAGAUGACUAAAGCACCAUUCUCCGGUACUAUGGAGAGAGCAACAGAUUUGUUGGAAAUCAUACAUACAGAUGUAUGUGGUCCGAUGAAUGUUGAGGCUCGUGGCGGAUAUCAUUAUUUUCUCACCUUCACAGAUGAUUUAAGCAGAUAUGGGUAUAUCUACUUAAUGAAACAUAAGUCUGAAACAUUUGAAAAGUUCAAAGAAUUUCAGAGUGAAGUGGAAAAUCAUCGUAACAAGAAAAUAAAGUUUCUACGAUCUGAUCGUGGAGGAGAAUAUUUGAGUUACGAGUUUGGUGUACAUUUGAAACAAUGCGGAAUAGUUUCGCAACUCACGCCACCCAGAACACCACAACGUAAUGGUGUGUCCGAACGUCGUAAUCUUACUUUACUAGAUAUGGUGCAAUCUAUGAUGUCUCUUACAGAUUUACCGCUAUCGUUUUGGGGUUAUGCUUUAGAGACGGCCACAUUCACGUUAAGUAGGGCACCAUCAAAAUCCGUUGAGACGACAACUUAUGAACUGUGGUUUGGCAAGAAACCAAAGUUGUCAUUUCUUAAAGUUUGGGGCUGCGAUGCUUAUGUGAAAAAGCUUCAACCUGAUAAGCUCGAACGAUAAUCGGAGAAAUGUGUCUUCAUAGGAUACCCAAAGGAAACUGUUGGUUACACCUUCUAUCAUAGAUCCGAAGGCAAGACAUUCGUUGCUAAAAAUGGAUCCUUUCUAGAGAAGGAGUUUCUCUCGAAAGAAGUGAGUGGGAGGAAAGUAGAACUUGAUGAGGUAACUAUACCUGCUCCCUUAUUGGAAAGUAGUUCAUCACAGAAACCGGUUUCUGCGACACCUACACCAAUUAGUGAUGAAUUUAAUGAUGAUGAUCAUGAAAUUUCAGAUCAAGUUACUACUGAGCCUCGUAGAUCAACCAGAGUAAGAUCCGCACCAGAGUGGUACGGUAAUCCUGUUCUAGAAGUCAUGCUACUAGAUCAUGAUGAACCUACGAACUAUGAAGAAGCGAUGGUGAGCCCAGAUUCCGCAAAAUGGCUUGAAGCCAUGAAAUCUGAGAUGGGAUCCAUGUAUGAUAACAAAGUAUGGACUUUGGUUGACUUGCCCGAUGAUCGGCAAGCAAUUGAGAACAAAUGGAUCUUUAAGAAGAAGACUGACGUGACGGUAAUGUUACUGUCUACAAAGCUCGACUUGUCGCAAAAGGUUUUCAACAAGUUGAAGGGAUUGACUACGAUGAGACCUUCUCACCCGUAGCGAUGCUUAAGUCUAUCCGAAUCAUGUUAGCAAUUGCCGCAUUUUAUGAUUAUGAAAUUUGGCAGAUGGAUCUAAAAACUGCAUUCCUGAAUGGAUUUCUGGAAGAAGAGUUGUAUAUGAUGCAACCAGAAGGUUUUAUCGAUCCAAAGGGAACUAACAAAGUGUGCAAGCUCCAGCGAUCCAUUUAUGGACUGGUGCAAGCCUCUCGGAGUUGGAAUAAACUCUUUGAUAGUGUGAUCAAAGCAUUUGGGUUUGUAUAGACUUUUGGAGAAGCCUGUAUUUACAAGAAAGUGAGUGGGAGCUCUAUAGCAUUUCUGAUAUUAUAUGUGGAUGACAUAUUACUAAUCGGAAAUGAUAUAGAAUUUCUGGAUAGCAUAAAGGGAUACUUGAAUAAGAGUUUUUCAAUGAAAGACCUCGGUGAAGCUGCUUACAUAUUGGGCAUUAAGAUCUAUAGAGAUAGAUCAAGACGCUUAAUUGGACUUUCACAAAACACAUACCUUGACAAAGUUUUGAAGAGGUUCAAAAUGGAUCAAGCAAAGAAAGGGUUCUUGCCUGUGUUACAAGGUGUGAAGUUGAGUAAGAAUCAAUGCUCGACCACUUCAGAAGAUAGAGAGAAAAUGAAAGAUGUUCCCUAUGCUUCAGCAGUAGGCUCUAUCAUGUAUGCAAUGCUGUGUACCAGACCUGAUGUGUGCCUUGCUAUAAGUUUAGCAGGGAGGUACCAAAGUAAUCCAGCAGUGGAUCACUGGACGGCGGUCAAGAACAUCCUGAAGUACCUAAAAAGGACUAAGGAUAUGUUUCUCGUAUAUGGAGGUGACAAAGAGCUCAUUGUAAACAGUUACGUUGAUGCAAGCUUUGACACUGAUCCGGACAAUUCUAAAUCGCAAACCAGAUACGUGUUUACAUUAAACGGUGGAGCUGUCAGUUGGUGCAGUUCUAAACAAAGCGUCGUGGCAGGAUCUACAUGUGAAGCGGAGUACAUAGCUGCUUCGGAAGCAGCAAACGAAGGAGUCUGGAUGAAGGAGUUCAUAUCCGAUCUAGGUGUCAUACCUAGUGCAUCGGGUCCAAUGAAAACCUUUUGUGACAAUACUAGUGCAAUUGCCUUGGCAAAGGAAUCCAUAUUUCACAAAAGAACCAAGCACAUCAAGAGACGCUUCAAUUCCAUCCGAGAUCUAGUCCAGGUGGGAGAGAUAGAGAUUUGCAAGAUACAUACGGAUCUGAAUGUAGAAGACCCAUUGACUAAGCCUCUUCCACGAGCAAAACAUGAUCAUCACCAAGGCUCCAUGGGUGUCAGAAUCAUUACUGUGUAAUCUAGAUUAUUGACUCUAGUGCAAGUGGGAGACUGAAGGAAAUAUGCCCUAGAGGCAAUAAUAAAGUUAUUAUUUAUUUCCUUAUAUCAUGAUGAAUGUUUAUUAUUCAUGCUGGAAUUGUAUUAACCGGAAACAUAAUACAUGUGUGAAUACAUAGACAAACAAAGUGUCACUAGUAUGCCUCUACUUGACUAGCUCGUUAAUCAAAGAUGGUUAUGUUUCCUAACCAUAGACAAAGAGUUUUUAUUUGAUUAAUAGGAUCACAUCAUUAGUUGAAUGAUAUGAUUGACAUGACCCAUUCCAUUAGCUUAGCACCCGAUCAUUCUUCAUGACUUAUACAUGUUCCUAUGACUAUGAGAUGAUGCAACUUCCGUUUACUGGAGGAACACUUUGUGUGCUACCAAACGUCACAACGUAACUGGGUGAUUAUAAAGGAGCCCUAUAGGUGUCUCCAAAGGUACAUAUUGGGUUGGCGUAUUUCGAGAUUAGGAUUUGUCACUCCGUUUGUCGGAGAGGUAUCUCUGGGCCCUCUCGGUAAUGCACAUCACAUAAGCCUUGCAAGCAUUGCAACUACUGUGUUACUUGUGAGACGAUGUAUUACGGAACGAGUAAAGAGACUUGCCGGUAAAGAGAUUGAACUAGGUAUUGGAUACCGACGAUCGAAUCUCGGGCAGGUAACAUAUCGAUGACAAAGGGAACAACGUAUGUAGUUAUGCGGUCUCAACGAUAAAGAUCUUCGUAGAAUAUGUAGGAUCCAAUAUGGGCAUCCAGGUCCUGCUAUUGGUUAUUGACCGGAAACGUGUCUCGGUCAUGUCUACAUUGUUCUCGAACCGUAGGGUCCGCACGCUUAAAGUUACGAUGACAGUUUCAUUAUGAGUUUAUGUAUUUUGAUGUACCGAAGGUUGUUCGGAGUCCCGGAUGUGAUCACGGACAUGACGAGGAGUCUCGGAAUGGUCGAGACAUAAAGAUCGAUAUAUUGGAAGCCUAUAUUUGGACAUCGGAAUCGUUUUGGGUGAAAUCGGCAUUAUACCGGAGUACCGGGGGGUUACCGGAACCCCCCGGGGGGUUAUUGGGCCUACAUGGGCCUUGAGGAAGAAGAGAGAAGGAGGUAGGAGGUGGCCGCGCGCCCCUCCCCUUCCUAGUAUGAAUAGGACAAGGGAAGGGGGCGGUGCCCCCCCCUUUCCUUCCCCUCUUCCUCCUCUUUCCUCCCUUCUCCUUCUCCAACUAGGAAAGAAGGGAGUCCUACUCCCGGUGGGAGUAGGACUCCCCCCUGGUGCGCCCCUCCUUGGCCGGCCGCCCCCUCCCCUUGGCUCCUUUAUAUACGGGGGCAGGGGGGCACCCUAGGACACAGAAGUUGACCUUCGUGAUCGUUCCUUAGCCGUGUGCGGUGCCCCCCUCCACGAUAUUACACCUCGAUCAUAUUGUAGUAGUGCUUAGGCGAAGCCCUGCGACGGUUAAACAUCAAGAUCGUCACCACGCCGUCGUGCUGACGAAACUCCUCCCCGAAGCUUUGCUGGAUCGGAGCUCGGGGUGCAUCAUCGAGCUGUACGUGUGUCAAGAACUCGGAGGUGCUGGAGUAACGGUGCUUGGAUUGGUUGGACCGGGAAGACGUACGACUACUUCCUCUACGUUGCGUCAACGCUUCCGCUUCGGUCUACGAGGGUACGUAGACAACACUCUCCCCUCUCGUUGCUAUGCAUCACCAUGAUCUUGCGUGUGCGUAGGAAAUUUUUUGAAAUUACUACAUUCCCCAACAGUUGCUCCACCGACGUACUCCUUCCUCCUAUAUAUACCUGCGUACCCCCAAACGACCAGAUACGGAGCCAAAACCCUAAUUCCACCACCGCAACUUUCUGUAUCCACGAGAUCCCAUCUUGGCGCCUGUUCCGGAGCUCCACCGGAGAGGGCAUCGAUCACGGAGGGCUUCCACAUGAACAGCAUAGCCUCUCCGAUGAAGUGUGAGUAGUUGACCUCAGACCUACAGUCCAUAGUUAUUACCUAGAUGGCUUCUCCUCUCUUUUUGGAUCUCAAUACAAUGUUCUCCCCUCUCUUGUGGAGAACUAUUCGAUGUAAUCUUCUUUUUGCGGUGUGUUUAUUGAGACCGAUGAAUUGUGGGUUGAUGAUCAAGUCUAUCUAUGAAUAAUAUUUGAAUCUUCUCUGAAUUCUUUUAUGUAUGAUUGUUUAUCUUUGCGAGUCUCUUCGAACUAUUAGUUUGGUUUGGCCUACUAGAUUGAUCUUUCUUACAAUGGGAGAAGUGCUUAGCUUUAGGUUCAAUCUUGCGGUGUCCUUUCCCAGUGACAGUAGGGGCAGCAAGGCAUGUAUUGUAUUUUUGCCAUCGAGGACAACAAGAUGGGGUUUUCAUCAUAUUGCAUUAGUUUAUCCCUCUACAUCAUGUCAUCUAGCUUAAGGCGUUACUCUGUUUUUAACUUAAUACUCUAGAAGCAUGCUGGAUAGCGGUCGAUGAGUGGAGUAAUAGUAGUAGAUGCAGGCAGAAGUCGGUCUACUUGUCUCGGACGUGAUGCCUAUAUACAUGAUCAUACCUAGAUAUUCUCAUAAAUAUGCUCAAUUCUGUCAAUUGCUCAACAGUAAUUUGUUCACCCACCAUAGAAUAAUUAUGCUCUCGAGAGAAGCUACUAGUGAAACCUAUGGCCUCGGGAUCUAUGUUUAUCAUAUUAAUCUUCUACUACUUAGUUAUUUCCUUUGCCUUUAUUUUACUUUUCAUUUUUAUCAAAAAAAAUACCAAACAUAUUAUCUUUAUCAUAUCUAUUAGAUCUCACUCUCGUAAGUGGCCGUGUAGGGAUUGACAACCCCUAUUCGUGUUGGUUCCGAGGAUUUAUUUGUUUUGUGCAAGUACGAGGGACUCGCACGUAGCCUCCUACUGGAUUGAUACCUUGGUUCUCAAAAACUGAGGGAAAUACUUAUGCUACUUUGCUGCAUCAUCCCUUCCUCUUCGGGGAAAACCAACGCAGUGCUCAAGAGGUAGCAAGAAGGAUUUCUGGUGCCGUUGCCGGGGAGGUCUACGCAAAAGUCAACAUACCAAGUACCCAUCACAUACCCUUAUCUCCCGCAUUACAUUAUUUGCCAUUUGCCUCUCGUUUUCACCUCCCCCACUUCACCCUUGCCGUUUUAUUCGCCGUCUCUCUCUAUCCUCCCUCUCUUUCUCUAUUUGCCUCUUUUUUCCCGCUUGCUUUCUGUUUGCUUGUGUGUUAGUUGCUUGCUUGUCAUGAUGGCUCAAGAUAAUACUAAAUUAUGUGACUUCACGAUGGCUAAAGCUUGGUUUUCAUCUUUGCCUAAAAAUAGUAAUGAUUCAUGGAAUAAGUGCAAAGAUGCUUUUUUCUCUAAGUAUUUUCCUCCUGCUAAGAUCAUCUCUCUUAGAAACGAUAUUAUGAAUUUUAAGCAACUUGAUCAUGAACAUGUUGCACAAGCUUGGGAGAGAAUGAAACUAAUGGUACAUAAUUGCGCUGCCCAUGGUUUAAAUUUGUGGAUGAUUAUACAAAUAUUUUAUGCCGGAUUGAAUUUUGCUUCAAGAAAUCUUUUAGAUUUGGCCGCGGGAGGCACUUUUAUGGAAAUCACUUUAGGAGAAGCUACUAAACUCAUAGAUAAUAUUAUGGUGAAUUAUGCUCAACGGCAUACUGAAAGAUCUACUAAUAAAAAGGUGCAUGCGAUAGAAGAAAUUAAUGUUUUGAGUGGAAAGAUGGAUGAACUUAUGAAAUUAUUUGCUAAUAAGAGUGUUUCUUCUAAUCCUAAUGAUAUGCCCUUGUCUAGUUUGAUUCAGAAUAAUAACGAAUCUAUGGAUGUGGAUUUUGUUGGUAGGAACAAUUUUGGUAACAACGCGUAUAGAGGAAAUUUCAACCCUAGGCCUUAUCCUAGUAAUCUCUCUAAUAAUUAUGGUAAUUCCGACAACAAUUCUUAUGGAAAUUAUAAUAAGAUGCCCUCUGAUUUUGAAUCUAAUAUUAAAGAAUUUAUUACUUCGCAAAAGAAUUUCAAUGCUUUGAUUGAAGAAAAAUUGCUUAAGAUUGAUGAUUUGGCUAGGAACGUUGAUAGAAUUACUCUUGAUGUUGAUUCUUUGAAACUUAGAUCUAUUCCACCUAAGAAUGAUGUCAAUGAGUCUCUCAAAGCCAUGAGAAUUUCCAUUGAUGAGUGCAAAGAAAGAACCGCUAGGAUGCGUGCUAAGAAAGAUGCCUUUAUAAUAGCGUGUUCUUCUAGUUCCUAUGAAAAUAAUGAUGAAGAUCUAAAAGUUAUUGAUGUGUUCCCUAUUAAAUCUUUGUUUUGCAAUAUGAAUCUUGAUAGUGAUGGGACUGAAUAUGAUCCACCUUUACCUAGAAGGCGUUCCAAGAAUUCAGAAUUUGUUGAUCUUGAUGCUAAAAUUGAUAAAGGAGGGAUUGAAGAAAUUAAAACCCUAGAUGUUGCUAAACCCACUAUUAUGGAUUUCAAGGACUUUAACUAUGAAAAUUGCUCUUUGAUUGAUUGUAUAUCCUUUUUACAAUCCGUGCUAAAUUCUCCUCAUGCUUAUAGUCAAAAUAAAUCGUUUACUAAACAUAUCGUUGAUACCUUGAUGCAAUCUUAUGAAGAAAAACUUGAAUUGGAAGUUUCUUUCCCUAGAAAGCUUUAUGAUGAGUGGGAACCAACUAUUAAAAUUAAAAUUAAAUAUCAUGAAUGCUAUGCUUUAUGUGAUUUGGGUGCUAGUGUUUCCACGAUUCCAAAGACUUUGUGUGAUUUGUUAGGUUUCCAUGAUUUUGAUGAUUGCUCUUUAAACUUGCGCCUUGCGGAUUCCACUAUUAAGAAACCUAUGGGAAGAAUUAAUGAUGUUCUUAUUGAUGCAAAUAGGAAUUAUGUGCUUGUAGAUUUUAUUGUUCUUGACAUAGAUUGCAAUCUUUCAUGUCCUAUUAUUCUUGGUAGACCUUUCCUUAGAACGAUUGGUGCAAUUAUUGAUAUGAAGGAAGGAAAUAUUAGAUUCCAAUUUCCAUUAAGGAAAGGCAUGGAACACUUUACUAGAAAGUCAAUUAAAUUACCUUAUGAAUCUAUUAUGAUAGCCACUUAUGGAUUGUUGGGGAACGUAGUAAUUUCAAAAAAUUUCCUACGCACACGCAAGAUCAUGGUGAUGCAUAGCAACGAGAGGGGAGAGUGUUGUCUAUGUACCCUCGUAGACUGAAGCGGAAGCGUUGACGCAACGUAGAGGAAGUAGUCGUACGUCUUCCUGAUCCGACCGAUCCAAGCACCGUUACUCAGGCACCUCCGAGGUCUUGGCACACGUUCAGCUCGAUGACGAUCCCCAGGCUCCGAUCCAGCAAAGCGUCGGGGAGGAGUUCCGUCAGCACGACUGCGUGGUGACGAUCUUGAUGUUCUACCGUCGCAGGGCUUCGCCUAAGCACCGCUAAAAUAUGACCGAGGUGUAAUAUCAUGGAGAGGGGCACCGCACAAGGCUAAGGAACAAUCACGAAGAUCAACUUGUGUGUCCAUGGGGUGCCCCCUGCCCCCGUAUAUAAAGGAGUGGAGGACGGGAGGGCGACCCUCUCUAUGGCGCGCCCUAGGGGAGUCCUACUCCCAUAGGGAGUAGGAUUCCCCCUUUUCCUAGUCCAACUAGGAGUCCUUCCAUGUAGUAGCACUAGUGCAGAACCGGGCAAUAGCACCGGUUCGUAAGGCCCUUUAGUGCCGGUUAGGUAACCGGCACUAAAAUUUCAGCACUAAAGGCCCCCCCUUUAGUACCGGUUCAGCACGAACCGGUGCUAAAGGGCAACCACAUGGCACGAGCGAGCUCCGGGGGCCGGGAGCCCUUUAGUACCGGUUGGUAACACCAACCGGUACUAAAAUGUUUGGGGGGUUUUUGGUUUUAUGAUUUCUUUUUCAUUAAAUUUUGUGUUUUCCAUUUUAAUUCUUUUUCGUUUGCUGGUAUUUUACGGUACUACACGUUGUACACGUUAUAUAUAUAUAUAUAUAUAAAUAGAAUUUCUAGUAGAACCAAUCAUAUAUAUAUCAUCAAUCAUGUCUCACAAAACACCAUAUUAAUUCACACAUACACACAUGUAUAGCUAUAUACAAUUUCUCCUACAUAUGCAUGUUGCCUUCGGAGCCAGUGGCAUUAGCCUGAUUGGUGCCUUCGGAGCACGAUGACAAUUGGAAGUGGUUCAUGACCUGGUCGAUGGGGGCGGUAGCGGGUAAUAGUAUUCUCCCUUCGGAUUUAUGACCUGGUCGAGCAAAAAUCCUGCUAUUUCCUAUUGAAGUGCUUCUACGCGCUCCGUUUCUAGGAGCUUGUCCCGCACCUCUUUGAACUAUUAAGAAGGAGAUCAAUAUGCAUGUGUAUUAGUUGUGUGACUAGAUAUUGAUAAUGGUGUAAAAAUUGUGAAUAGUGUUCUGACAAGCGUACCCAUUCCUGUCUUUGAGAUCUGCUCCUUCCGGACGCCAUCAUGCGAAUGUUCUCGCAAACGCAGAAUGCACACAGUUCAGUCCCCUGCGCCUGCUUCAGGGCCUUUAUUACGAGAAUGGAAUUUAAUUUGAUCAGAUAAUAAUUAAUCAAGCAUGAUAAUUAAAGAGAUGGCAGCUAGCUAGCUAGCUAGUACUACUUAAUUACUUACCUUGGCUCGAGACCAUUUCAGCUGUGGUUUCCAUUCGCCUUCCGUGUCGCUGAUGAACCUUGCCCAAGCCCUGCCCGCCGACAAAGAAAAUGAAUAAAGGGGUUAUUAAAUAGUUCAUAUCAUGAAAUGAAGAACUAAAUAGGCCGAGAUAUAUAGUUAAUAAUGAUUGAAAUUACCUGUUGACUAUCCCAAACAAGAUGUUAUAGUCACUAUUUCCUUUGAGUAGCGAGUCCAGUAUUUCAACUAUUCCGGCAUCAACUUUAAUGAUACACAAGAUCCAGUGAAAUCUGCAUGCACACACGUUUGCAAGUCUUAAUUAAGCGGGCAUAUGUAAGCAAAAACAUGUAGCUAGCUAGUAGGCAAAAAUAGAGAAUUUGUAGUACAAGAAAGUGUGACUCACUGGCAGUUGUAAGGAAGUAGUAUAUCUUCAUUGUAUUUGAGGAGCUUCAAGAACUCUAGCAUGCUGUCCUCUACCUCUUUUUCAUGAUGCUUGUUUAUUUUCCAUGUGUAUUCAUUAACGGUGUUUGGGUCAAUGAACCCAAUGCCAUAGCGUCCACCUUUUCUCAUUCCAUACAUCUUCAUCCUGCAUAAUACCACAGAAAAGAAUAUAGUAAGGAUAAUUACACGUAAUGAUUGAUCAAAAGGAUCACUACAGCUAGCUUGAGACUUAAAUUACAGAAAGAAAUCACUUACAGACAAUAGCAACUGACGAUAGAUUUGUCGAGUGUGUCUUGAUUGUAUAACUGAAACAGUUCAGAAUACUCAACGGCCACAACUUUCUCAUGGUAGUAAUCAUCCUUCUUGACAUACACCAUGAGGGACUCUCGAUCGGAUCUCUUGGUAAUGUCCAUGUACCAUUGAUGCAAUUCAUACAUUCUCGUUGGGAGCUUCUUGACAUCUUCUGGCUCGACCAAAGGUUGGCCCCGAACAUAUUUCCGUUUUAUUUCCUCCUCUGUAAUCAGAGGCAUGUCCUCGAUCUCGAGGAGUUGUCCAACAGUGAUCUUGAGUUCUUCAGCCUGCAUUAUAUGCUCCUCGGUUAUUACCACAUCGCCCACCUCGGGAAUGUAAACUGUUUGGCCACAAUAAUAUUGGGCGCGCGUACUGUCACGUGUUGUUGGCGGCACAACAAGCGGNNNNNNNNNNNNNNNNNNNNNNNNNNNNNNNNNNNNNNNNNNNNNNNNNNNNNNNNNNNNNNNNNNNNNNNNNNNNNNNNNNNNNNNNNNNNNNNNNNNNNNNNNNNNNNNNNNNNNNNNNNNNNNNNNNNNNNNNNNNNNNNNNNNNNNNNNNNNNNNNNNNNNNNNNNNNNNNNNNNNNNNNNNNNNNNNNNNNNNNNNNNNNNNNNNNNNNNNNNNNNNNNNNNNNNNNNNNNNNNNNNNNNNNNNNNNNNNNNNNNNNNNUUCCCAGCUGGGCAACGGUUUUCCUGCAUUUUUUGACAGCUGCUUGUUGUUUGCUCGAGCUCGAGCUCGCCUCCUUCUGUAGACGUUGUCGAUGUAACUUCCUGAUGUGGCGCUCAUAGUCUGUUUCAACAGGCUUAGGAGCUAGUGGUUGAGCCAUACGAAUGAAGUGGUCAACUACUUCCACAGGCACUUUCUCCCUUGGCGGCGGUGGCGGUUUCGGUCCAAAAUGGGCGUCGACUUCUGCCCGCACUAUGGCAUUGGUUUGCUCCUCAGUCCUGUCGUAAGCCCUCACAGGAAGAGGAGUACUGAGGUUUGGACCAUAUUUAUAUCGCUUGCCUCCACCUGUACUUCCUGUACUAUCACCUCGACUCGUACCGCUACGCACCAUAGCUGCGGGGUGUCUCUUCUGCGAUUGCUGAGGCGGCGGAGACGGCAGACGGGGCUGAGUUAGACGAGGAGGAGUGGCCUGAAGCUGUGCCGGACUUGGAGGAGGAGUGGCCUGAGGUUGUGCCGGACUUGGAGGAGGAGUGGACGUCUGACGCUGUGUCGGACUUGGAGGAGGAGUGGCCUCACACAUUGCCGGACUUGGAGGAGGAGGAGUGGCCUCACGCGUUGAUGGACUUGGAGCGGGAGUCUGCUGACUCGGUGGUGGACUUCGACGAGGAGUCGGGUGACGCGGUGUCGGUGGCCUUCGAAAGAUGAUGCAAUCCUUUCUCCAUAGGAUGACAUGAUGUAUGGCCUCUCCCAAUGUGUGCUCGUCGUCACCUCUAGGAAUGUCAAGUUGUAGCUCCGAAUAUGGGUCCACCACCUCAUCAACCAAGACACGAGCAUAGCCUGCUGGAAUCGGGUUGCAAUGGAAGGUUGCCUCGGGGGAAUUUGAAAAAGCAACGGCGUCCGCCACCUUCAUGGAUAUGUUCUUCAUUUUGAAGUGUACCUCGCAGUUAGUGUUCUCCGUGAUGUCAUCCAUGGGGUAUCUAUCCAGCACUGCGUCGCCCGGGGCGGAACCCACGCUGCUUCUCGGCAUGGAUGGGGUGGUGGUAUCCAAUGCUGGAUCAUCCGCUAGGUGCUGCAGCUGCUGAGACCCCAUUUGCUGGCUAAGUGAGUCGAUCUGCUCCUGCUGCCGCUGGAAUUUAGCUGCCAAUUCCGCUUGACUUGCUUCUAGGCCUUGAAGGCGUUCAUAGUCCCGCUUCCUUUGCUCCUCCUCCAUCUUCCUCUUCUUCUCCUCCGCAAUCUUCUUUCUCGCACGGGUUCUGUAGUCGGCGUUCCAGUCCGAAAACCCCUCAUACCACGGAAUAGCGCCCUUGCCUCGUGGUCUUCCCGGGUGUUCAGGAUUUCCCUGGGCACGCGUAAGCUCGUCCUUCUCUCUGUUGGGCUGAAACACCCCCGAUCGAGCCUCUUCUAUUGCAACAAGUAGCGCAUCGUCGGCUCCAUUCAGACAUGCCUUCGUCAAAACAUUGCCUGUCUUCGGGUCCAACUCCCCCCCAUGCGCAUAGAACCAAGUCCUGCACCUAGGGGGCCAACUCUUAGUAAACGGAGUGGCACCUGCAUCCUCCAUCUCUUUCUCAGACUUAUCCCACUUAGGCAUUGCCACCGUGUAGCCAGCUGGCCCCAGCUUAUGGAACUUAUCCUUUUUUCGGCAUUCUUCUUGUUUAUUCUCGACCGUUCCUUAGCUAAUUCGGAAUCCUUGAAUUUCAUGAAAUCGUCCCAAUGAGAACUUUGAUUCUCUAGUAUCCCCUCGAAUACUGGAGUCUUCCUUCCUCCCUUGACGUACUUCUCCCACGUCGUUCUCUUGUGGUUCUUGAAUGCAACCGCCAUCUUCCUAAAAGCAGCGUCCUUGACUUUCUGCACAUCUGCUUCCGUGAAAUGAUCUGGUAGGGUGAAAUGUUCCAUGAGAGUAUCCCAAAGCAGUUUUUUAUAUUCUCGUCUACAAAAGUAUCAUUUGGACGUGGCUUUGCUGGCUUUCUCCAUUCUUGAAGGGAGAUCGGGAGUUGGUCCUUCACAAGAACUCCACACUAACGAACGAACUUGUCCGCAAUCUUCUUAGGCGCUAAUGGUUCGCCAUUAGGUUUGAAUGCCUCGAUAUUGUACUUUACGCCCUCCUUCAACUUUUUGUUCGGGCCUCGUUUUGUCCUUUUGCCUGAAGAUUUGCUCGAUCCGGAUGGCUGAAAGAAGAAAGAUCGAUUCGUUAAUAUAUCUUCAACUCAUUUAAAACAUGCGAUGAUCACCAGAUUCCUGCUUAUAUAAAUAUAUAUACCUCGCCGGUACAUGUUGUUUCAGGGUCAACAUGUUCUUCGUCGUAGUUCAGGACUUCAUCUUCUCGGUCAUCGCGAUCAAAUAUCAUAUCACCCUCUCCGGUGUUGUUUAGAAAUUCAGAGCCGUCAAAAUCUUCUUCAUUCUGAUCAUCAUCUGGCCCGCGUAUGAUACCGAACAUGGUAUGUUCUCUCUCUCUGUCGGUAUUGUCCGCCAUAGCUUUUAUUUAACUAUGCCAAAAGAAAUAUAAAAUAAUUUAGUAUAAUCUCGAAUAAUAGAUAUAAUCUCGAAUACAUCGUCUCGAAUAAUAGAUAUAAUCUCGAAUACAUCGUCUCGAAUAAUAGAUUUAAUCUCGAAUACAUCGUCUCGAAUAAUAGAUAUAAUCUCGAAUACAUCGUCUCGAAUAAUAGAUUUAAUCUCGAAUACAUCGUCUAGAAUAAUAGAUUUAAUCUCGAAUACAUCGUCUCGAAUAAUAUAUAAUAUUGAAUAGUACAUCAUUGGCUAGGCGGUGGACACCCAAAGAGAAGGAACCCUCACAGGAUCAUAGCUGAAGUGAGAGCCCCGAAGAAACUGCCAGGUUUUGGAGAACCUUCCGCCCUCUAACGCAACCAUGUAGCGAUGGAUGUAAUCGUCCUCCUCCCUGACACGACGACGUACCACCUCCGGCGGGGCCGGCUCCCUCCGCACCGAAACUGGCCCACGCGAACGCCACCAAACGAGAUCAGGGUCGAUCACAGGACCCGGGGCCGGGUUCCUCAUCAAGCGGCGCGCCCCUCCAGGCAGCACCUCCCAGUGCCAGCCCGGCGGAGCCCAGUCCCGGACAUGGGUCAGCUGGACGUCGUCGCGGACGUGUCGACGGUGAGGAUGUGGGCCGGGCAUCGUCGACAACAAAUACUAGCUAUAUGCCCGCAAAAAGUAACAUUUUUUUAAUGAUUGGAAUUUGAUAACUAAAAUUUCUAACAUUUCUAUAUAACACUAAUUAUGCUAUCAUUGCAUAUGUCAAAAUUCUAUAUGCUAUUUCAUACUAAUUAAGCAUCUAACACUAAAAACAGAAAACACAACUUCUAUACAUCCAUUAAAAAAACUGAAAAACAACAUUAUAUAAACAAAUUUCAAUACUAAUUAAACACUAAUUAUAUCCAUCUAACAUGCAUUCAUACAUAUAUGCUAGUGAAAAAAUAAUAAUCUAAAAAAUCUAAACUAAUUAAACAUACAAAAUACGUAUAUACUAAUAUAUACAUGCAUUAAUUCAUACAUAUGUACGUGUGUGUGUGUGUGUGCUCGGGGAGGGGUGGUGCCCAUGGUGGCCGCCGGGGGCGAGGGAGAGGGGUUAGAGGGGGAGAGCUCACAGCAGGGUGACGGCGACGGCCAGGGGCGGCGACGGGCCGGGGUGUGACGCGGGGGCGGCGACGCGGGGACGGUGCGACGGGGACGGGCCUGGGGCGGCGACGGGGACGGGCCCGAUGACGGGGACGGGGGCGGCGACGGCGACAUCGUCGAUUGAUCGGGGUGCGCGGGCGGUGCUUCAAUGGGGAAACAGAGGAAGAAACAAAGGGAGAAUGAAAUUUUCGUAAGUGUUCUAUAUAUAGAAGGCACCUUCAGUACCGGUUGGAGCCACCAACCGGUACUAAAGGCCUGUUUUGGCCAGGCCAAGCCGCGGGAAGCACCCCCCUUUAGUACCGGUUCCUGGCUCCAACCGGUACUAAAGGCCCCCCCUUUAGUACCGGUUGGUGCCACCAACCGGUACUAAAGGGGGGUACGCUGCCAGGCGAGGGGCACAAAACUUUAGUCCCACCUCGCUAGCCGAGGGGCACUCACACCUUCUUAUAAGCCCCGCCGUCGCUGCUGUCUCGAGCUCCACUCUUAAGCACGCCUUCUGGGCCUACCUCUUCUGCGAUGCCCUGUUGGGCCUACUGGGCUAGUGGGCCUGCAUCCUGGCCCAACUUGAAUAUGGGUUUCUAGUCGUAUGCAGGCCGCUGUGGCCCAGUAGGUGGGCUUUUUUUUCUUAUUUUUUUGCUUUAUUUAUUUUUGUGAAUAACUUAACUUUGAAAAUAGAUUUUUCAGUGAUUCUUUUUUCUUAUGUUUAAUAUUAGUGUGUUUUAUCAUUAUAUUCAAUUUGGUAAUGCUUAGGUUAUUUAAAAAAUGAAAUGCCUUUGUAACGGAUGAGUUUUCGUCCGAAACCCUGAUACUUCGAAACAGAUUGUCCAUUUUGUACACGAAGUGCAUCCAGUUUUUGCGGUAACCCUCUCUACUUUUUUGCACAUGCUAUGUGGGUGAAAUUAUGAUACCAUGCCAACUUUCAUCCUUUUCUGAGUUCAUUUGAAAUUCUUUUCAAUUUUAGGGUCAUUUAGGUGAAAAAAAUCAGUAAAUGCAUGAAAGAAUUUGCUUGCACAUAAAAUUUCUUCGCGUUUCAAAUGCCAAAACACAUAACUAGCUACCCUAACUAUUACAGAGAUUCCCUCCUGGGUGUGAAACACAGAAGAAAGUGAUGAUAGUUACGCCGAUCAUAUCCCAGAUCUUUGGGUGUGAAACUUUUUCUUCGCGUGUGUCCCUUUGCGUCGUAGCCAUGGAAAAUCUUCAUCAUUUAACGGGAUGCUCGGGUCAAUAUUCACUGUGAAUGGAGCAAUUUCAUCAAACUUUUCAUAAUCAUCUGACUUGUCUGUUUUGUCAUCCACUCCCAUGAUGUUUCUCUUCCCAGAAAGAACUAUGUGCCGCUUUGGCUCAUCGUACGAUGCAUUCACUUCCUUAUCUUUUCUUUUUCUUGGCUUGUUAGACAUGUCCUUCACACAGAAAACCUAUGCCACAUCAUUGGCUAGGACGAACGGUUCGUCUGCAUACGCAAGAUUGUUGAGAUCCACUGUUGUCAUUCCGUACUGCGGGUCUUCCAUUACCCAGCCUCGUGUCAUAUUAACCCAUUUGCACCGAAACAAAGGGACCUUCAAACCACGUCGAUAGUCAAGUUCCCAUAUGUCCUGUAUAUAACCAUAAUAUGUUUCCUUUCCCGUCUUGGUUUCUGCAUCAAAGCGGACACCACUGUUUUGGUUGGUGCUCUUAUUAUCUUGGGCGAUCGUGUAAAAUGUAUUACCAUUUAUCUCGUACCCUUUGAAAGUCAUUAUAUUCGAAGAUGGUAAUUGGGAUAGCAAGUACAUGUCAUCUUCAAUAGAGGUGUCAUGCAUGGUACGUGGUUGCAACCAGCUGGCGAAACUCCUGGUUUGUUCACGUGUAAUCCAGUCAUCAGACCGCUCCGGGUGUUUGGAGCGUAGCAAAUUCUUGUGUUCAUCCAUAUACGGAGCCACCGAGGCAGAAUUCUGUAGAACUAUGUAGUGUGCUUCAGUGAGAGAAUGUCCAGCCAUAUAUACAUAUUAUUUGUUCCCCUCCUAGCGUGCCUUUUCCAUCCAGUCUGCCCUUAUGCCGCGAUUCAGGAACACCAAUCGGCUUAAGGUCAGGAAUAAAGUCAAUACAAAACUCACUGACCUCCUCAUUUUGACGGCCCUUGGAGAUGCUUCCUUCUGGCCUAGCACGGUUAUGAACAUAUUUCUUUAAGUCUCCCACGAACCUCUCAAAGGGGAACAUAUUGUGUAGAAAUACAGGACCCAAAACGUUAAUCUCUUCGCAUAGGUGAACUAGGACGUGCGUCAUGAUGUUGAAGAAGGAUGGUGGGAACACCAACUCGAAACUGACAAGACAUUGCACCAAAUCAUUCUGUAACCUUGGUAUGAUUUCUGGAUCGAUUACCUUCUGAGAGAUUGCAUUGAGAAAUGCACAUAGCUUCACAAUGGCUAAUCGAACGUUUUCCGGUAGAAGCCCCCUCAAUGCAACCGGAAGUACUUGCGUCAUAAUCACGUGGCAGUCAUGAGACUUUAGGUUCUGGAACUUUUUCUCUGCCAUGUUUAUUAUUCCCUUUAUAUUCGACGAGAAGCCAGAUGGUACCUUAAUAAUGAGUAGGCAUUCAAAGAACAUUUCCUUCUCUUCUUUGGUAAGAGCGUAGCUUGCAUGACCCUGAUGUAUGCCGUCUUUUCCGUGCAUACGUUGCUGGUCCUCCUGUGCCUUAGGUGUAUCUUUUGUCAUCCCAUACACGCCCAAGAAGCCAAGCAGGGUCACACAAAGAUUCUUCGUCACGUGCAUCACGUCGAUUGCGGAGCGGACCUCGAGGUCUUUCCAAUAGUGCAGGUCCCAAAAUAUAGAUUUCUUCUUCCACAUGGGUGCGCGUCCGUCAGCGUCAUUCGGAACAGGUUGUCCACCAGGACCCUUUCUAAAGACCACCUUCAAAUCCUUGACCAUAUCAUGUACAUCAGCACCAGUACGGUGGCGAGGCUUCGUCCGGUGAUCCGCCUCACCUUUGAAAUGCUUGCAUUUCUUUCUUACGGGAUGCCUGCUCGUAAGAAAUCGACGAUGUCCUAGGUACACAUUCUUAUUAGCCAAAUAUAUACUGUCGGUAUCGUCCAAACAGUGCGUGCAUGCGCGGUAUCCCUUGUUUGUCUGUCCUGAAAGGUUACUGAGAGCAGGCCAAUCAUUGAUGGUCACGAACAGCAACGCCUUUAGGUCAAAUUCUUCCCCCAUGUGCUCAUCCCACACACGUACACCUGUUCCAUUCCAUAGUUGUAAGAGUUCUUCAACUAAUGGCCUUAGGUACACAUCAAUGUCGUUGCCGGGUUGCUUAGGGCCUUGGAUGAGCACUGGCAUCAUAAUGAACUUCCGCUUCAUGCACAACCAAGGAGGAAGGUUAUACAAACAUAGAGUCACAGGCCAAGUGCUAUGGUUGCUGCUCUGCUCCCCAAAAGGAUUAAUGCCAUCUGCGCUUAGACCAAACCAUACGCUCCUUGCGUCAUUUGCAAACUCCUUCCCGUACUUUCUUUCGAUUUUUCUCCACUGUGAACCGUCAGCGGUUAGUGUCAACUUUCCAUCUUUCUUACGGUCUUCGCUGUGCCAUCGCAUCGCCUUGGCAUGCUCUUUGUUUUGGAACAAACGUUUCAACCGUGGUAUUAUAGGAGCAUACCACAUCACCUUGGCAGGAAUCUUCUUCCUGGGGCGCCGGCCCUCGACAUCACCAGGGUCAUCGCGGCUGAUCUUAUAGCGCAAUACACCACAUACCGGGCAAGCGUUCAAAUCCUCGUACUCACCACGGUAGAGGAUGCAAUCAUUAGGGCAUGCAUGUAUCUUCUCCACCUCUAACCCUAGAGGGCAGAGAACCUUCUUUGCUUCGUACAUACUCUCGGGCAAUUCGUUGUCCUUUGGAAGGAUAUCCUUUAUCAUUACCAGCAACUUUCCAAAUCCCUUGUCAGAUACACCAUUCUCUGCCUUCCAUUGCAGCAAUUCCAGUGUGGUGCCCAGUUUUUUCUUGUCAGCUACGCAAUUCGGGUACAACAAUUUUUUGUGAUCCCCUAACAUGCACUGCAACUUCUUCUCCAAAUCACUUGCGCAGUUUCUCUUUGCAUCGGCAAUGGCCCGACCUAGAUCAUCAACGGGCUCAUCUGAUGCCUCUUCUUCAGCUUCUUCCCGCAUUGCCGGCUCAGCUUCUUCCCGCAUUACCGGCUCAGCUUCUUCCACCAUUGUUGUAUCAUCGUAUUCAGGGAACCCAUGGCCAGGAUAGCUGUCGUCGUCCUCUUCUUCUUCAUUGUCUUCCAUCAUAACCCCUCUUUAUCCGUGCUUGGUCCAAACAUUAUAAUGGGGCAUGAAACCAGACUUAAACAGGUGGACGUGAAUGGUUCUUGACGUACAGUAAUUGUGACCAUUCUUACAGCGAGCACAUGGACAAGGCAUAAAACCAUCCGCCCCCUUGUUUGCCUCAGCCGCAAGCAGAAAAGUAUGCACGCCCUCAACGAACUGGGGAGAGCAUCGGUCAUCGUACAUCCAUUGCCGGCUCAUCUUCAUUACACAACAACGAAUAGAACAAAUUAAUACAAGUUCAUACAUAAAGUUCAUACAACACUUAAAUGCAACAAACAAAUAACUCUCUAGCUAAAGCAUUUAAAUGCAACAACAAAUACGAUCAAGAUCGCAACUAAGGUAACAAUGGAUCCAACAGCAUAAUGAAACCAAGCCUCACUAUCGAUGGCAUAUUUUCUAAUCUUUCUAAUCUUCAAGCGCAUUUUCUCCAUCUUGAUCUUGUGAUCAUCGACGAUACCGGCAACAUGCAACUCCAAUUCCAUCUUCUCCCCCUCAAUUCUUUUCAAUUUUUCUUUCAAGUACUCGUUUUCUCUUUCAACUAAAUUUAACCUCUCGGCAAUAGGGUAGGUUGGAAUUUCCGGUUGAUGGGCAUAAUUUGUAAUAAACACGAAAUGCAACUAGUUUUAAAAGAGAAUAUACAUACCACAUCCGAAUCAUAACAAGGACUAGGGCCGACGGGGACGGAUAUCAAAACCAUGGCACUAUAUGUAUAACAAACAACGUACAGGUAAGAUAAUUAUACGAGUAACUAUAUAUCCAAAUCACACAAACAUCAAUUUUUAUAUAAAAUUUCAUGAACAAGAGGCUCACCACAAGGUGGUGCCGGCGACGGGACGGUGCGGGCGAUCCACGGUGGCUACGAUGGAGAUUUAGAAGGCACUAAGUAAACCACACCUACAUAUGCAAACUAAAUGUUAUUUUUGACCUCAAAUUGCAUAUAAAUCAAAUACUAGCACAUAUAUAUAUAUCAUCCCAAAUUACUAAACUCACAAAUUAAUCACUAUAUAAAGCAUUGCAAGAGCUAAUCUAGCAACGAGAGAUGAAAGGACAAAGUUGCUAACCUUUGUGAUCAUUUGAAUGGAUGGGGGCCUUCAAAUCUUGACAAAUUUUGGGCAAAAUGUGUGAUGAGCUCGAGAGGAAGAGGGGAAGAACAGAGAGGAGAGGGGAAAGGGGAAGAAUAGAGCGAGCUCGGGUGGACGAAGGGUUUAUGUAGGACGACCUUUAGUACCGGUUUGUGCCAAGAACCGGUACUAAAGGGGCUGGAGGGGCCCCAUACUGACAACAUCCUGCCACCACUCUCAUUAGUACCGGUUCGUGGCACGAACCGGUGCUAAAGGUUCGCCAUGAACCGGUACUAAUGAAAGCAGCCUGGUUAGCCGUUGGAACCGGCACUAAUGUAUACAUUAGUGCCGGCUCAAAUACAAACCGGCACUAAUGUGCUUCAUGUUUGACCCUUUUUCCACUAGUGUAGGAGUAGGAGACAAGGAAGGGGAAGGGAGAAGGGAAAGAAGGAGGGGGCGCGGCCCCUCCCCCUAGUCCAAUUCGGACUAGGCCUUGGGGGGGCGCGCGGCCUGCCCUAGGCAGCCCCUCUCUCUUUCCCGUAUGGCCCAAUAAGGCCCAAUACUUCUCCCGGCGAAUUCCCGUAACUCUCCGGUACUCCGAAAAAUACCCGAACCACUCGAAACCUUUCCGAUGUCCGAAUAUAGUCGUCCAAUAUAUCGAUCUUUACAUCUCGACCAUUUCGAGACUCCUCCUCAUGUCCCCGAUCCCAUCCGGGACUCCGAACUCCUUCGGUACAUCAAAACUCAUAAACUCAAAAUAUAACUGUCAUCGAAACCUUAAGCGUGCGGACCCUACAGUUCGAGAACAAUGUAGACAUGAUCGAGACACAUGUCCGGUCAAUGACUAAUAGCGGGACCUGGAUGCCCAUAAUGGCUCCUACAUAUUCUACGAAGAUCUUUAUCGGUCAGACCGCAUAACAACAUACGUUGUUCCCUUUGUCAUCGGUAUGUUACUUGCCUGAGAUUUGAUCGUCGGUAUCUCAAUACCUAGUUCAAUCUUGUUACCGGCAAGUCUCUUUACUCGUUCCGUAAUACAUCAUCUCGCAACUAACUCAUUAGUUGCAAUGCUUGCAAGGCUUAUGUGAUGUGCAUUACCGAGAGGGCCUAGAGAUACCUCUCCGACAAUCGGAGUGACAAAUCCUAAUCUCGAAAUACGCCAGCCCAACAUGUACCUUUGGAGACACCUGUAGAGCUCCUUUAUAAUCACCCAGUUAUGUUGUGACGUUUGGUAGAACACAAAGUGUUCCUCCGGCAAAUGGGAGUUGCAUAAUCUCAUAGUCAUAUGAACAUGUAUAAGUCAUGAAGAAAGCAAUAGCAACAUACUAAACGAUUGGGUGCUAAGCUAAUGGAAUGGGUCAUGUCAAUCAGAUCAUUCAACUAAUGAUCUGAUCCCGUUAAUCAAAUAACAACUCUUUGUCCAUGGUUAGGAAACAUAACCAUCUUUGAUUAACGAGCUAGUCAAGUAGAGGCAUACUAGUGACACUCUGUUUUCUAUGUAUUCACACAUGUAUUAUGUUUCCGGUUAAUACAAUUCUAGCAUGAAUAAUAAACAUUUAUCAUGAUAUAAGUAAAUAAAUAAUAACUUUAUUAUUGCCUCUAGGGUAUAUUUCCAUCAGUCUCCCACUUGCACUAGAGUCAAUAAUCUAGAUCACAUCGCCAUGUGAUUUAACAUCAAUAGUUCACAUCUUUAUGUUAUUGGUUCACAUCUCCAUGUGACUAACACCCAAAGGGUUUACUAGAUUCAAUAAUCUAGUUCACAUCGCUAUGUGAUUAAGACCCAAAAAGUGAUCAUGUUUUGCUUGUGAGAGAAGUUUAGUCAAUAGGUCUUCCACAUUCAGAUCCGCAUGUAUUUUGCAAAUUUCUAUGUCAACAAUGCUCUGCAUGGAGCUACUCUAGCUAAUUGCUCCCACUUUCAAUAUGUAUCCAGAUUGAGACUUAGAGUCAUCUGGAUCAGUGUCAAAACUUGCAUCGACGUAACCCUUUACGACGAACCUUUUGUCACCUCCGUAAUCGAGAAACAUAUCCUUAUUCUACUAAGGAUAAUUUUGACCGCUGUCAAUAGAUCUACUCCUAGAUCACUAUUGUACUCCCUCUCUUAACACAGUGUAUGGUAUACAAUAGAUCUGGUACACAACAUGGCAUACUUUAUAGAACCUAUGACUGAGGCAUAGGGAAUGACUUUCAUUCUCUUUCUAUCUUCUGCCGUGGUCGGGCUUUGAGUCUUACUCAACUUCACGCCUUGUAACACAAGCAAGAAACUUUUUCUUUGACUGUUCCAUUUUGAACUACUUCAAAAUCUUGUCAAGGUAUGUACUCAUCGAAAAAACUUAUCAAGCGUCUUGAUCUAUCUCUAUAGAUCUUGAUACUCAAUAUGUAAGCAGCUUCACCGAGGUCUUUCUUUGAAAAAACUCCUUUCAAACAUUCCUUUAUGCUUUGCAGAAUAAUUCUACAUUAUCUCCGAUCAACAAUAUGUCUUUCACAUAUACUUAUCAGAAAUGAUGUAGUGCUCCCACUCACUUUCUUGUAAAUACAGGCUUCACUGCAAGUCUGUAUAAAACUAUAUGCUUUGAUCAACUCAUGAAAGCGUAUAUUCCAACUCUGAGAUGCUUGCACCAGUCCAUAGAUGGAUCGCUGGAGCUUGCAUAUUUUGUUAGUACCUUUAGGAUUGACAAAACCUUCUGGUUGCAUCAUAAACAACUCUUCUUUAAUAAAUCCAUUAAGGAAUGCAGUUUUGUUUAUCCAUUUGCCAGAUUUCAUAAAAUGCGGCAAUUGCUAACAUGAUUCGGACAGACUUAAGCGUAGAUACGAGUGAGAAACUCUCAUCGUAGUCAACACCUUGAACUUGUCGAAAACCUUUUUGCGACAAUUCUAGUUUUGUAGAUAGUAACACUACUAUCAGCGUCCGUCUUCCUCUUGAAGAUCCAUUUAAUCUCAAUGGCUUGCCGAACAUCGGGCAAGUCAACCAAAGUCCACACUUUGUUCUCAUACAUGGAUCCUAUCUCAGAUUUCAUGGCCUCAAGCCAUUUAUCGGAAUCUGGGCUCAUCAUCGCUUCCUCAUAGGUCGCAAGUUUGUCAUGGUCAAGUAACAUGACCUCCAGAACAGGAUUACCAUACCACUUUGGUGCGGAUCUCAAUCUGGUUUACCUACGAGGUUUGGUAGUAACUUGAUCUGAAGUUACAUGAUCAUCAUCAUUAGCUUCCUCACUAAUUGGUGUAGGAGUCACAGGAACAAAUUUCUGUGAUGAACUACUUUCCAAUAAAGGAGAAGGUACAAUUACCUUAUCAAGUUUUCUACUUUCCUCCCACUCACUUCUUUCAAGAGAAACUCCUUCUCUGGAAAGGAUCCAUUCUCAGUCAACGAAUAUCUUGCCUUCGGAUCUGUGAUAGAAGGUGUACCCAACAUUUUCUUUAGGGUAUCCUAUGAAGAUGCACUUUUCCGAUUUGGGUUUGAGCUUAUCAGGAUGAAACUUUUUCACAUAAGCAUCACAACCCCAAACUUUAAGAAACGACAACUUUGGUUUCUUGCCAAACCACAGUUCAUAAGGCGUCGUCUCAACGGAUUUUGAUGGUGCCCUAUUCAACGUGAAUGCAGCUGUCUCUAAUGCAUAACCCCAAAACGAUAGUGGUAGAUCGGUAAGAGAUAUCAUAGAUCGCACCAUAUCUAAUAAAGUACGGUUAUGAUGUUCGGACACACCAUUACAUUGUGGUGUUCCAGGUGGCAUGAGUAGUGAAACUAUUUCACAUUGUUUUUAACUGAAGGCCAAACUCAUAACUCAAAUACUCUUCUCUACGAUCAGGUCGUAGAAACUUUAUUUUCUUGUUACGAUGAUUUUUCACUUCACUCUGAAAUUCUUUGAACUUUUCAAAUGUUUCAGACUUAUGUUUCAUCAAGUAGAUAUACUCAUAUCUGCUCAAAUCAUCUGUGAAGAUCAGAAAAUAAUGAUACCUGUCGCGAGCCUCAAUAUUCAUCGGACCACAUACAUUAGUAUGUAUGAUUUCCAACAAAUCUGUUGCUCGCUCCAUUGUUCUGAAGAACAGAGUCUUAGUCAUCUUGCCCAUUAGGCAUGGUUCGCAAGCAUCAACUGAUUCAUAACCAACUGAUUCCAAAAGCCCAUCAGCAUGGAGUUUCUUCAUGCGCUUUACACCAAUAUGACCUAAACGGCAGUGCUACAAAUAAGUUGCACUAUCAUUAUUAACUUUGCAUCUUUUGGUUUCAAUAUUAUGAUUAUGUGUAUCACUACAAUCGAGAUCCAACGAACUAUUUUCAUUGGGUGUGUAACCAUAUAAGGUUUUAUUCAUGUAAACAGAACAACAAUUUAUUCUCUUACUUAAAUGAAUAACCGUAUUACAAUAAACAUGAUCAAAUCAUAUUCAUGCUCAACGCAAACACCAAAUAACACUUAUUUAGGUUCAACACUAAUCCUGAAAUUAUAGGGAGUGUGCGAUGAUGAUCAUAUCAAUCUUGGAACCACUUCCAACAUACAUCAUCACUUCACCCUUAACUAGUCUCUGUUUAUUUUGCAACUCCCGUUUCGAGUUACUAAUCUUUGCAACUGAACUAGUAUCAAAUACUGAGGGGUUGCUAUAAACACUUGUAAAGUACACAUCAAUAACAUGUAUAUCAAAUAUACUUAUGUUCACUUUGCCAUCCUUCUUAUCCGCCAAUCACUUGGGGUAGUUCCGCUUCUAGUGACCAGUGCCUUUGCAGUAGAAGCACUUAGUCUCAGGCUUAGGACCAGACUUGGGCUUCUUCACUUGAGCAGCAACUUGCUUGCUGUUCUUCUUGAAGUUCCCCUUCUUCCCUCUGCCCUUUUCUUGAAACUAGUGGUCUUGUCAACCAUCAACACCUGAUGUUUUUCUUGAUUUCUACCUUCAUUGAUUUCAGCAUCACGAAGAGCUUGGGAGUUGUUUCCGUUAUCCCUUGCAUAUUAUGGUUCAUCACGAAGUUCUACUAACUUGGUGAUGGUGACUAGAGAAUUCUGUCAAUCACUAUCUUAUCUGGAAGAUUAACUCCCACUUGGUUCAAGCAAUUGUAGUACCCAGACAAUCUGAGCACGUGCUCACUAGUUGAGCGAUUCUCCUCCAUCUUUUAGCUAUAGAACUUGUUGGAGACUUCAUAUCUCUCAAGUCGGGUAUUUGCUUGAAAUAUUAACUUCAACUCCUAGAACAUCUCAUAUGGUCCAUGAUGUUCAAAACGUCUUUGAAGUCCUGAUUCUAAGCCAUUAAGCAUGGUGCACUAAACUAUCAAGUAGUCAUCAUAUUGGGCUAGCCAAACGUUCAUAACGUCGGCAUCUGCUCCUGCAAUAGGUCUGUCACCUAGCGGUGCAUCAAGGACAUAAUUCCUCUAUGCAGCAAUGAGGAUAAAACUCAGAUCACGGAUCCAAUCCGCAUCAUUGCUACUAACAUCUUUCAACACAAUUUUCUCUAGGAACAUAUCAAAAUAAACAUAGGGAAGCAACAACGCGAGCUAUUGAUCUACAACAUAAUUUGCAAAAUACUACCAGGACUAAGUUCAUGAUAAAUUUAAGUUCAAUUUAAUCAUAUUACUGGAGAACUCCCACUUAGAUAGACAUCCCUCUAAUCCUCUAAGUGAUCACGUGAUCCAAAUCAACUAAACCAUGUCCGAUCACCACGUGAGAUGGAGUAGUUUCAUUGGUGAACAUCACUAUGUUGAUCAUAUCUACUAUCUGAUUCACGCUCGACCUUUCGGUCUCCGUGUUCCGAGGCCAUAUCUGUAUAUGCUUGCCUCGUCAAGUAUAACCUGAGUAUUCCGCGUGUGCAACUGUUUUACACCCGUUGUAUUUGAACGUAGAGCCUAUCACACCCGAUCAUCACGUGGUGUCUCAGCACGAAGAAGUUUCGCAACGGUGCAUACUCAGGGAGAACACUUCUUGAUAAUUAGUGAGAGAUCAUCUUAAAAUGCUACCGUCAAACUAAGCAAAAAUAAGAUGUAUAAAAGAUAAACAUCAUAUGCAAUCAAAAUAUGUGACAUGAUAUGGCCAUCAUCAUCUUGCUUCUUUGAUCUCCAUCUCCAAAGUACUGUCAUGAUCUAUAUCGUCAUCGGCAUGACACCAUGAUCUCCAUCAUCUUGAUCUAUAUCAAUGUGUCGUCACGUGGUCGUCUCGCCAACAAUUGCUCUUGCAACUAUUGCUAUCGCAUAGCGAUAAAGUAAAGCAAUUAUUGGACGCUUGCAUCUUAUGUAAUAGAGAGACAACCAUAAGGAUUUUGCCAGUUGUUGAUAACUUCAACAAAACAUGAUCAUCUCAUACAACAACUUAUAUCUCAUCACGUCUUGACCAUAUCACAUCACAACAUGCCCUGCAAAAACAAGUUAGACGUCCUCUACUUUGUUGUUGCAAGUUUUACGUGGCUGCUACGGGCUUAAGCAAGAACCAAUCUUACCUACGCAUCAAAACCACAACGAUAGUUUGUCAAGUUGGUGCUGUUUUAACCUUCGCAAGGACCGGGCGUAGCCACACUCGGUUCAACUAAAGUUGGAGAAACUGUCACCCCCAAGCCACCUAUGUGCAAAGCACGUCGGGAGAACCGGUCUCGCGUAAGCAUACGCGUAAUGUCGGUCUGGGCCGCUUCAUCCAACAAUACCGCCGAACCAAAGUAUGACAUGCUGGUAAGCAGUAUGACUUAUAUCGCCCACAACUCACUUGUGUUCUACUCGUGCAUAUAACAUCAACACAUAAAACCUAGGCUCAAAUGCCACUGUUGGGGAACGUAGUAAUUUCAAAAAAUUUCCUACGCACACGCAAGAUCAUGGUGAUGCAUAGCAACGAGAGGGGAGAGUGUUGUCAACGUAGCCUUGUAGACCGAAGCAGAAGCGUUGACGCAACGUAGAGGAAGUAGUCGUACGUCUUCCCGAUCCGACCGAUCCAAGCACCAUUACUCCGGCACCUCCGAGUUCUUGGCACACGUUCAGCUCGGUAACGAUCCCCAGGCUCCGAUCCAGCAAAGCGUCGGCGAGGAGUUCCAUCAGCACGACGGCGUGGUGACGAUCUUGAUGUUCUACCGUCGCAGGGCUUCGCCUAAGCACCGCUACAAUAUGACCGAGGUGUAAUAUCGUGGAGAGGGGCACCGCACACGGCUAAGGAACGAUCACGAAGAUCAACUUGUGUGUCCAUGGGGUGCCCCCUGCCCCCGUAUAUAAAGGAGUGGAGGAGGGGAGGGCUGGCCCUCUCUAUGGCGCGCCCUAGGGGAGUCCUACUCCCAACGGGAGUAGGAUUCCCCCUUUUCCUAGUCCAACUAGGAGUCCUUCCAUGUAGUAGGAGUAGGAGACAAGGAAGGGGAAGGGAGAAGGGAAAGAAGGAGGGGGCGCGGCCCCUCCCCCUAGUCCAAUUCGGACUAGGCCUUGGGGGGCGCACGGCCUGCCCUAGGCAGCCCCUCUCUCUUUCCCGUAUGGCCCAAUAAGGCCCAAUACUUCUCCCGGCGAAUUCCUGUAACUCUCCGGUACUCCGAAAAAUACCCGAACCACUCGGAACCUUUCCGAUGUCCGAAUAUAGUCGUCCAAUAUAUCGAUCUUUACGUCUCGACCACUUCGAGACUCCUCGUCAUGUCCCCGAUCCCAUCCGGGACUCCGAAAUCCUUCGGUACAUCAAAACUCAUAAACUCAUAAUAUAACUGUCAUCGAAACCUUAAGCGUGCGGACACUACGGUUCGAGAACAAUGUAGACAUGACUGAGACACGUCUCCAGUCAAUAACCAAUAGCGGGACCUGGAUGCCCAUAUUGGCUCCUACAUAUUCUACGAAGAUCUUUAUCGGUCAGACCGCAUAACAACAUACGUUGUUCCCUUUGUCAUCGGUAUGUUACUUGCCCGAGAUUUGAUCGUCGGUAUCUCAAUACCUACUUCAAUCUCGUUACCGGCAAGUCUCUUUACUCGUUCCGUAAUACAUCAUCUCGCAACUAACUCAUUAGUUGCAAUGCUUGCAAGGCUUAUGUGAUGUGCAUUUCCGAGAGGGCCCAGAGAUACCUCUCCGACAAUCGGAGUGACAAAUCCUAAUCUCGAAAUACGCAAACCCAACAUGUACCUUUGGAGACACCUGUAGAGCUCCUUUAUAAUCACCCAGUUACGGUGUGACGUUUGGUAGCACACAAGGUGUUCCUCCGGCAAACGGGAGUUGCAUAAUCUCAUAGUCAUAGGAACAUGUAUAAGUCAUGAAGAAAGCAAUAUCAACAUACUAAACGAUCGGGUGCUAAGCUAAUGGAAUGGGUCAUGUGAAUCAGAUCAUUCAACUAAUGAUGUGAUCUCGUUAAUCAAAUAACAACUCUUUGUCCAUGGUUAGGAAACAUAACCAUCUUUGAUUAACGAGCUAGUCAAGUAGAGGCAUACUAGUCACACUCUGUUUGUCUAUGUAUUCACACAUGUAUUAUGUUUCCGGUUAAUACAAUUCUAGCAUGUAUAAUAAACAUUUAUCAUGAUAUAAGGAAAUAAAUAAUAAUUUUAUUAUAGCCUCUAGGGCAUAUUUACUUCAUGGAUUGCCUACCAAAGAUGGCAAUAGCUAGAUCUAUCCUUGCUUGUUAUGCCUAACUAGGGGCGUUAAACGAUAGCGCUUUUUGGGAGGCAACCCAAUUUUGUUUUUAUUCCUUGAUUUUUGCUCCUGUUUAGUAAUAAAUAAUUUAUCUAGCCUCUGUUUUGGUUGUGUUCUUUGUGUUUAAUUAGUGUUUGUGCCAGGUAGAACCGUUAGGAAGACUUGGGGAAAGUCUUGUUACACUUGCUGUAAAAAACAGAAACUUCAGCGCUCACGAGAACUGCUGCCAUUUUUAUUUGGAAAGUGCUAUUUAGUUAAUUAUUUCCGCAGAUGAUUAAUAGAUAAAUUCCUCACGUCCAGCACUUUAUUUUAGAAUUUUUGGGGUUCCAGCUCUUGAGCUAGCUACAGAUUACUACAGACUGUUCUGUAUUUGAAACAUUCUGUUUUUUCGUGUGUUGUUUGCUUAUUUUGAUGAACCUAUGGCUAGUAAAAUAGUUUAUAAACCACAGAGAAGUUGGAAUACAGUAGUUAUAACACCAAUAUAAAUAAAUAAUGAGUUCAUUAAAGUACCUUGAAGUGGUCUUUUUUAUUUUCUUUCGCUAACGGAGCUCACAAGAUUUUCUACUUCAAGUUUGUGUUGUGAAGUUUUCAAGUUUUGGGUAAAAAUUUGAUGGAUUAUGGAACAAGUAGUGACAAGAGCCGAAGCUUGGGGAUGCCCAUGGCACCCCCAAGAUAAUCUAAUUACACCUAAAAGCCAAAGCUUGGGGAUGCCCGGGAAGUCAUCCCCUCUUUCGUCUACUUCUAUGGGUAACUUUACUUGGAGCUAUAUUUUUAUUCGCCACAAGAUAUGUGUUUUGCUUGGAGCGUCUUGUAUUGUUUGACUCUUUAUUUUUUAGUUUACCACAAUCAUCCUUGCUGUACACACCUUUUGAGAGAGCCAUACAUGAUUUGGAAUUUGUUAGAAUACUCUAUGGGCUUCGCUUAUAUCUUUUGAGUUAUAUAGUUUUGCUCUAGUACUUCACUUAUAUCUUUUAGAGCACGGUGGUGGAUUUGUUUUAUAAAAACUAUUGAUCUCUCAUGCUUCACUUAGAUUAUUUUGAGAUGCUUAAUAGCAUGGUAAUUUGCUUAAAAUCCUAAUAUGCUAGGUAUUCAAAGUUAGUAAAAUUUUCUUACGAGUGUUUUUAAUACUAAGAGAAGUUUGAUGCUUGAUGAUUGUUUUGAGAUAUGGAGGUAAUAAUAUCAAAGUCGUGCUAGUUGAGUAGUUGUGAAAUUGAGAAAUACUUGUGUUGAAAUUUGCAUGUCCCGUAGCAUGCACGUAUUGUAAACGUUGUGUAACAAAUUUGAAACAUGAGGUGUUAUUUGAUUGUCUUCCUUAUGAGUGGCGGUCGGGGACGAGCGAUGGUCUUUUCCUACCAAUCUAUUGUUUGGGAACGUACUAAUUUCAAAAAAAAUCCUACGCACACGCAAGACCAUGGUGAUGCAUAGCAACGAGAGGGGAGAGUGUGAUCUACGUACCCUUGUAGAUCAACAGCGGAAGCGUUGAUGCAACAUAGAGGAAGUAGUCGUACGUCUUCCUGAUCCGACCGAUCGAAGCACCAUUACUCCGGCACCUCCGAGUUCUUAGCACACGUACAGCUCGAUGACGAUCCCGGGCUCCGAUCCAGCAAAGGGUCGGGGAGGAGUUCCGUCAGCACGACGGCGUGGUGACGAUCUUGAUGUUCUACCGUCGCAGGGCUUCGCCUAAGCACUGCUACAAUAUGAUGGAGGUGGAAUAUGGUGGCACGGGGCACCGCACACGGCUAAGGAACGAUCUCAAUGAUCAACUUGUGUGUCUAGAGGUGCCCCCUGCCUCCGUAUAUAAAGGAGCCAAGGGGGAGGGGGCCGCCGGCCAGGAGGAGGGCGCAGGAGGAGUCCUACUCCUACCGGGAGUAGGACUCCCCCCCCCCAAUCCUAGUUGGACUAGGAUUCCCCGAGGGGGAAAGAGAGAGAGGGGGGCCGGCCACCUCUCCUAGUCCUAAUAGGACUACGGGAGGGGGGAGGCGCGCGGCCACCUUGGGCUGCCCCUUUCUCCUUUCCACUAAAGCCCAUCAAGGCCCAUAUGGCUCCCGGGGGGUUCCGGUAACCUCCCGGUACUCCGGUAAAAUCCCGAUUUCACCCGGAACACUUCCGAUGUCCAAAUAUAGGCUUCCAAUAUAUCAAUCUUUAUGUCUCGACCAUUUCGAUACUCCUCGUCAUGUCUGUGAUCACAUCCGGGACUCCGAACUAACUUCGGUACAUCAAAAUGCAUAAACUCAUAAUAACUGUCAUCGUAACGUUAAGCGUGUGGACCCUACGGUUCGAGAAUAAUGCAGACAUGACUGAGACACAUCUCCGGUCAAUAACCAAUAGCAGGACCUGGAUGCCUAUAUUGGCUCCUACAUUUUCUACGAAGAUCUUUAUCAGUCACACCGCAUAACAACAUAUGUUGUUCCCUUUGUCAUCGGUAUGUCAUUUGCCCGAGAUUCGAUCGUCAGUAUCCAAUACCUAGUUCAAUCUCGUUACCGGCAAGUCUCUUUACUCGUUCCGUAAUACAUCAUCUCGCAACUAACUCAUUAGUUGCAAUGCUUGCAAGGCUUAAGUGAUGUGCAUUACCGAGAGGGCCCAGAGAUACCUCUCCGACAAUCGGAGUGACAAAUCCUAAUCUCGAAAUACGCCAACCCAACAUCUACCUUUGGAGACACCUGUAGUACUCCUUUAUGAUCACCCAGUUACGUUGUGAUGUUUGGUAGCACCCAAAGUGUUCCUCCGGUAAACGGGAGUUGCAUAAUCUCAUAGUCAUAGGAACAUGUAUAAGUCAUGAAGAAUAGCAACAGCAACAUACUAAACGAUCGGGUGCUAAGCUAAUGAAAUGGGUCAUGUCAAUCAGAUCAUUCAACUAAUGAUGUGACCUCGUUAAUCAAAUAACAACUCUUUGUUCAUGGUUAGGAAACAUAACCAUCUUUGAUUAACGAGCUAGUCAAGUAGAGGCAUACUAGUGACACUCUGUUUGUCUAUGUAUUCACACAUGUAUUAUGUUUCCGGUUAAUACAAUUCUAGCAUGAAUAAUAAACAUUUAUCAUGAUAUAAGGAAAUAAAUAAUAACUUUAUUAUUGCCUCUAGGGCAUAUUUCCUUCAGUCUCCCACUUGCACUAGAGUCAAUAAUCUAGAUUACACAGUAAUGAUUCUAACACCCAUGGAGCCUUGGUGCUGAUCAUGUUUUGCUCGUGGAAGAGGCUUAGUCAACGGGUCUGCAAUAUUCAGAUCCAUAUGUAUCUUGCAAAUCUCUAUGUCUCCCACCUAGACUAGAUCCCGGAUGGAAUUGAAGCGUCUCUUGAUGUGCUUGGUUCUCUUGUGAAAUCUGGAUUCCUUUGCCAAGACAAUUGCACCAGUAUUGUCACAAAAGAUUUUCAUUGGACCCGAUGCACUAGGUAUGACACCUAGAUCGGAUAUGAACUCCUUCAUCCAGACUCCUUCGUUUGCUGCUUCCGAAGCAGCUAUGUAUUCUGCUUCACAUGUAGAUCCCGCUACGACGCUUUGUUUAGAACUGCACCAACUGACAGCUCCACCGUUUAAUGUAAACACGUAUCCGGUUUGCGAUUUAGAAUCGUCCGGAUCAGUGUCAAAGCUUGCAUCAACGUAACCUCUUACGGUGAGCUCUUUGUCACCUCCAUAUACGAGAAACAUAUCCUUAGUCCUUUUCAGGUAUUUCAGGAUGUUCUUGACCGCUGUCCAGUGAUCCACUCCUGGAUUACUUUGGUACCUCCCUGCUAAACUUAUAGCAAGGCACACAUCAGGUCUGGUACACAGCAUUGCAUACAUGAUAGAGCCUAUGGCUGAAGCAUAGGGAACAUCUUUCAUUUUCUCUCGAUCUUCUGCAGUGGUCGGGCAUUGAGUCUGGCUCAACUUCACACCUUGUAACACAGGCAAGAACCCUUUCUUUGCUUGAUCCAUUUUGAACUUCUUCAAAAUCUUGUCAAGGUAUGUGCUUUGUGAAAGUCCAAUUAAGCGUCUUGAUCUAUCUCUAUAGAUCUUUAUGCCUAAUAUGUAAGCAGCUUAACCGAGGUCUUUCAUUGAAAAACUCUUAUUCAAGUAUACCUUUAUGCUAUCCAGAAAUUCUAUAUCAUUUCCAAUCAGCAAUAUGUCAUCCACAUAUAAUAUCAGAAAUGCUACAGAGUUCCCACUCACUUUCUUGUAAAUACAGGCUUCACCGAAAGUCUGUAUAAAACCAAAUGCUUUGAUCACACUAUCAAAGCGUUUAUUCCAACUCCGAGAGGCUUCCACCAGUCCAUAAAUGGAUCGCUGGAGCUUGCACACUUUGUUAGCUCCCUUUGGAUCGACAAAACCUUCCGGUUGCAUCAUAUACAACUCUUCUUCCAGAAAUCCAUUCAAGAAUGCAGUUUUGACAUCCAUCUGCCAAAUUUCAUAAUCAUAAAAUGCGGCAAUUGCUAACAUGAUUCGGACAGACUUAAGCAUCGCUACGGGUGAGAAGGUCUCAUCGUAGUCAACCCCUUCAACUUGUCGAAGACCUUUUGCGAGAAGUCGAGCUUCGUAGACAGUAACAUUACCAUCACCGUCAGUCUUCUUCUUGAAGAUCCAUUUAUUCUCAAUUGCUUGCCGAUCAUCGGGCAAGUCAACCAAAUCCAUACUUUGUUCUCAUACAUGGAUCCCAUCUCAGAUUUCAUGGCUUCAAGCCACUUUGCGGAAUAUGGGCUCACCAUCGCUUCUUCAUAGUUCGUAGGUUCAUCAUGAUCUAGCAGCAUGAUUUCCAGAACAGGAUUACCGUACCACUCUGGUGCAGAUCUCGCUCUGGUUGAUCUACGAGGUUCAGUAGUAUCUUGUCCUGAAGUUUCAUGAUCUUUAUCAUUAGCUUCCUCACUAAUUGGUAUAGGUGUCGCAGAAACAGUUUUUCUGUGAUGUACUACUUUCCAAUAAGGGAGCAGGUAUAGUUACCUCGUCAAGUUCUACUUUCCUCCCACUCACUUCUUUCGAGAGAAACUCCUUCUCUAGAAAUGAUCCAUUCUUAGCAAUGAAUGUCUUACCUUCGGAUUUGUGAUAGAAGGUGUACCCAACAGUCUCCUUUGCGUAUCCUAUGAAGACACAUUUCUCCGAUUUGGGCUCGAGCUUAUGAGGUUGAAGCUUUUUCACAUAAGUAUCGCAGCCCCAAACUUUAAGAAACGACAACUUUGGUUUCUUGCCAAACCACAGUUCAUAAGGCGUCGUCUCAGCAGAUUUUGAUGGUGCCGUAUUUAGCGUGAAUGUGAGCGUCUCUAAAGCAUAACCCCAAAACGAUAGCGGUAAAUCAGUAAGAGACAUCAUAGAUCGCACCAUAUCUAGUAAAGUACGAUUCCGAUGUUCGGACACACCAUUACACUGUGGUGUUCCAGGUGGCGUGAGUUGCGAAACUAUUCCACAAUUUUUCAAAUGUACACCAGACUCGUAACUCAAAUAUUCUCCUCCACGAUCAGAUCGUAGAAACUUUAUUUUCUUGUUAUGAUGAUUUUCAACUUCACUCUGAAAUUCUUUGAACUUUUCAAAUGUUUCAGACUUAUGUUUCAUUAAGUAGAUAUACCCAUAUCUGCUUAAGUCAUCUGUGAAGGUGAGAAAAUAACGAUAUCCACCACGAGCCUCAAUAUUCAUCGGACCACAUACAUCAGUAUGCAUGAUUUCCAACAAAUCUGUUGCUCUCUCCAUAGUACCGGAGAACGGUGUUUUAGACAUCUUGCCCAUGGGGCACGGUUCGCAAGUACCAAGUGAUUCAUAAUCAAGUGGUUCCAAAAGUCCAUCGGUAUGGAGUUUCUUCAUGCGCUUUAUACCGAUAUGACCUAAACGGCAGUGCCACAAAUUAGUUGCACUAUCAUUAUCAACUCUGCAUCUUUUCGCCUCAACAUUAUGAAUAUAUGUGUUACUACUAUCGAGAUUCAUCGAAAAUAGACCACUCCUCAAAGGUGCAUGACCAUAAAAGAUAUUACUCAUAUAAAUAGAACAACCAUUAUUCUCUGAUUUAAAUGAAUAACCGUCUCGCAUCAAACAAGUUCCAGAUAUAAUGUUCAUGCUCAACGCUGGAACCAAAUAACAAUUAUUUAGGUCUAAUAUUAAUCCCGAAGGUAGAUGUAGAGGUAGCGUGCUGACCGCGAUCACAUCGACUUUGGAACCGUUUCCCACGCGCAUCGUCACCUCGUCCUUCGCCAGUGUUCGCUUAAUCCGUAGUCCCUGUUUCGAGUUGCAAAUAUUAGCAACAGAACCAGUAUCACAUACCCAGGUGCUACUGCGAGCUCUAGUAAGGUACACAUCAAUAACAUGUAUAUCACAUAUACCUUUGUUCACCUUGCCAUCCUUCUUAUCCGCCAAUACUUGGGGCAGUUCCGCUUCCAGUGACCAGUCUGCUUGCAGUAGAAGCACUCAGUUUCAGGCUUAGGUCCAGACUUGGGUUUCUUCUCUUGAGCAGCAACUUGCUUGCCGUUCUUCUUGAAGUUCCCCUUCUUCUUCCCUUUGCCCUUUUUCUUGAAACUAGUUGUCUUACUGACCAUCAACACUUGAUGCUCCUUUUUGAUUUCUACCUCCGCAGCUUUCAGCAUUGCGAAGAGCUCGGGAAUAGUCUUGUUCAUCCCUUGCAUAUUAUAGUUCAUCACAAAGCUCUUGUAGCUUGGUGGCAGUGAUUGGAGAAUUCUGUCAAUGACGCAAUCAUCUAGAAGAUUAACUCCCAUCUGAAUCAAGUGAUUAUUAUACCCAGACAUUCUGAGUAUAUGCUCACUGACAGAACUGUUCUCCUCCAUCUUGCAGCUAUAGAACUUAUUGGAGACUUCAUAUCUCUCAAUCCGGGCAUUUUCUUGAAAUAUUAACUUCAACUCCUGGAACAUCUCAUAUGCUCCAUGACGUUCAAAACGUCGUUGAAGUCCCGAUUCUAAGCCGUAAAGCAUGGCACACUGAACUAUCAAGUAGUCAUCAGCUUUGCUCUGCCAGACGUUCAUAACAUCUAGUGUUGCUCCAGCAGCAGGCCUGGCACCUAGCGGUGCUUCCAAGACGUAAUUCUUCUGAGCAACAAUGAGGAUAAUCCUCAAGUUACGGACCCAGUCCGUGUAAUUGCUACCAUCAUCUUUCAACUUUGCUUUCUCAAGGAACGUAUUAAAAUUCAACGAAACAACAACACGAGCCAUCUAUCUACAAUCAACAUAAACAAGCAAGAUACUAUCAGGUACUAAGUUCAUGAUAAGUUUAAGUUCAAUUUAAUCAAAUUACUUAAGAACUCCCACUUAGAUAGACAUCCCUCUAAUCGUCUAAGUGAUCACGUGAUCCAAAUCAACUAAACCAUAACCGAUCAUCACGUGAGAUGGAGUAGUUUUCAAUGGUGAACAUCGUUAUGUUGAUCAUAUCUACUAUAUGAUUCAUGCUCGACCUUUCGUUCUCCGUGUUCCGAGGCCAUAUCUGCAUACGCUAGGCUCGUCAAGUUUAACCUGAGUAUUCUGCGUGUGCAAAAACUGGCUUGCACCCGUUGUAGAUGGACGUAGAGCUUAUCACACCCGAUCAUCACGUGGUGUCUGGGCACGACGAACUUUGGCAGCAGUGCAUACUCAGGGAGAACACUUCUUGAUAAUUUAGUGAGAUAUCAUCUUAUAAUGCUACCGUCAAUCAAAGCAAGAUAAGAUGCAUAAAAAGAUAAACAUCACAUGCAAUCAAUAUAAGUGAUAUGAUAUGGCCAUCAUCAUCUUGUGCUUGUGAUCUUCAUCUCCGAAGCACCGUCAUGAUCACCAUCGUCACCGGUGCGACACCUUGAUCUCCAUCGUAGCAUCGUUGUCGUCUCGCCAAUCUUAUGCUUCCACGACUAUCGCUACCGCUUAGUGAUAAAGUAAAGCAUUACAUCGCGAUUGCAUUGCAUACAAUAAAGCGACAACCAUAUGGCUCCUGCCAGUUGCCGAUAACUCGGUUACAAAACAUGAUCAUCUCAUACAAUAAAAUUUAGCAUCAUGUCUUGACCAUAUCACAUCACAACAUGCCCUGCAAAAACAAGUUAGACGUCCUCUACUUUGUUGUUGCAAGUUUUACGUGGCUGCUACGGGCUUAAGCAAGAACCAAUCUCACCCACGCAUCAAAACCACAACGAUAGUUUGUCAAAUAGACUCCGUUUUAUCCUUCGGAAGGACCGGGCGUAGCCACACUCGGUUCAACUAAAGUUGGAGAAACAGUCGCCCGCAAGGCACCUGUGUGCAAAGCACGUCGGGGGAACCGGUCUCACGUAAGCGUACGCGUAAUGUUGGUCCGGGUCGUCUCGUCCAACAAUACCGCCGAACCAAAGUAUGACAUGCUAGUAGGCAGUAUGACUUGUAUCACCCACAACUCACUUGUGUUCUACUCGUGCAUAUAACAUCAAACCAUAAAACCUAGGCUCGGAUGCCACUGUUUGGGAACGUAGUAAUUUCAAAAAAAUUCCUACGCACACGCAAGAUCAUGGUGAUGCAUAUCAACGAGAGGGGAGAGUGUGAUCUACGUACCCUUGUAGAUCAAUAGCGGAAGCAUUGACGCAAUGUAGAGGAAGUAGUCGUACGUCUUCCUUAUCCGAUCGAUCCAAGCACCAUUACUCCGGCACCUCUGAGUUCUUAGCACACGUACAGCUCGAUGACGAUCCCCGGGCUCCGAUCCAGCAAAGCGUCGGGGGGGAGUUCCGUCAACACGACGGCGUGGUGAUGAUCUUGAUGUUCUACCAUCGCAGGGCUUCGCCUAAGCACUGCUCCAAUAUGAUCGAGGUGGAAUAUGGUGGCAGGGGGCACCGCACACGGCUAAGGAACGAUCUCAAUGAUCAACUUGUGUGUCUAGAGGUGCCCCCUGCCUCCGUAUAUAAAGGAGCCAAGGGGGAGGGGGCCGCCGGCCAGGAGGAGGGCGCAGGAGGAGUCCUACUCCUACCAGGAGUAGGACUCCCCCCCCCCAAUCCUAGUUGGACUAGGAUUCCCCGAGGGGGAAAGAGAGAGGGGGGGCCGGCCACCUCUCCUAGUCCUAAUAGGACUAGGGGAGGGGGGAGGCGCGCGGCCACCUUGGGCUGCCCCUUUCUCCUUUCCACUAAAGCCCAUCAAGGCCCAUAUGGCUCCCGGGGGGUUCCGGUAACCUCCCGGUACUCCGGUAAAAUCCCGAUUUCACCCGGAACACUUCCGAUGUCCAAAUGUAGGCUUCCAAUAUAUCAAUCUUUAUGUCUCGACCAUUUCGAGACUCCUCGUCAUGUCCGUGAUCACAUCCGGGACUCCGAACUAACUUUGGUACAUCAAAAUGCAUAAACUCAUAAUAACUGUCAUCGUAACGUUAAGCGUGUGGACCCUACGGUUCGAGAAUAAUGCAGACAUGACUGAGACACAUCUCCGGUCAAUAACCAAUAGCGGGACCUGGAUGCCCAUAUUGGCUCCUACAUUUUCUCCGAAGAUCUUUAUCGGUCAGACCGCAUAACAAAAUACGUUGUUCCCUUUUCAUCGGUAUGUUACUUGCCCGAGAUUUGAUCGUUGGUAUCUCAAUACCUAGUUCAAUCUCGUUACCGGCAAGUCUCUUUACUCGUUCCGUAAUACAUCAUCUCGCAACUAACUCAUUAGUUGCAAUGCUUGCAAGGCUUAUGUGAUGUGCAUUACCGAGAGGGCCCAGAGAUACCUCUCCGACAAUCGGAGUGACAAAUCCUAAUCUCGAAAUACGCCAACCCAACAUCUACCUUUGGAGACACCUGUAGAGCUCCUUUAUAAUCACCCAGUUACAUUGUGACGUUUGUUAGCACACAAAGUGUUCCUCCGGGAAACGGGAGUUGCAUAAUCACAUAGUCAUAGGAACAUGUAUAAGUCAUGAAGAAAGCAGUAGCAACAUACUAAACGAUCGGGUGCUAAGCUAAUGAAAUGGGUCAUGUCAAUCAGAUCAUUCAACCAAUGAUGUGACCUCGUUAAUCAAAUAACAACACCUUGUUCAUGGUUAGGAAACAUAACCAUCUUUGAUUAACGAGCUAGUCAUGUAGAGGCAUACUAGUGACACUAAGUUUGUCUAUGUAUUCACACAUGUAUUAUGUUUCCGGUUAAUACAAUUCUAGUAUGAAUAAUAAACAUUUAUCAUGAUAUAAGGAAAUAAAUAAUAACUUUAUUAUUGCCUCUAAGGCAUAUUUCCUUCAUCUAUCCCCCUAGGAGCAUGCGCGUAGUACCGAGGUUUUUGAUGACUUGUAGAUUUUUGCAAUGAGUAUGUGAGUUCUUUAUGACUAAUGUUGAGUCCAUGAAUUAUACGCACUCUCACCCUUCCAUCCUUGCUAGCCUCUUCGGUACCGUGCAUUGCCCUUUCCCACAUUGAGUGUUGGAGCAAACUUCGCCAAUGCAUCCAAACCCUGUGAUAUGAUACGCUCUUUCACACAUAAACCUCCUUAUAUCUUCCUCAAAACAGCCACCAUACCUACCUAUUAUGGCAUUUCCAUAGCCAUUCCGACUUAUAUUGCCAUGCAACUUUCCACCAUUCCGUUCAUCAUGACACAUUUAGCAUUGUCAUAUUGCUUAGCAUAAUCAUGUAGUUGACAUAGUAUUUGUGGCAAAGCCACCGUUCAUAAUUCUUUCCUACAUGUCACUAUUGGUCCACUGCAUAUCCGGUACACCGCCGGAGGCAUUUAUAUAGAGUCAUACUUUGUUCUAGUAUCGAGUAGUAAUUAUUGAGUUGUAAAUAAAUAGAAGUGUGAUGAUCAUCAUUAAUAGAGCAUGGUCCCAAAAAGAGAAAAAAGGAAGGGCCAAAAAAAGGCCAAAUAAAAAAAUAUAAAAAAGGGGGGCAAUGCUACUAUCCUUUUUUUCCACACUUGUGAUUCAAAGUAGCACCGUAAUCUUCAUGAUAGAGAGUAUCUUGAUUUGUCACUUUCAUAUACUAGUGGGAAUUUUGCAUUGUAGAACAAUGGGCCUCCUCAAGUGCCCUAGCUCUUCGUGAGCAAGCAAGUUGGAUGCACACCCACUUAGUUUCUUUUGUUGAGCUUUCAUACAUUUAUAGCUCUAGUGCAUCCGUUGCAUGGCAAUCCUUACUCCUUGCAUUAACAUCAAUCGAUGGGCAUCUCCAUAGCCCAUUGAUUAGCCUCAUUGAUGUGAGACUUUCUCCUUUUUGUCUUCUCCACAUAACCCCAGUGAUUAUAUUCUAUUCCACCCAUAGUUUUAUGUCCAUGGCUUGCAAUCAUAUAUUGCGUGAAAGUUUAUAGGUUUGAGAUCACUAAAGUAUGAAACAAUUGCUUGGCUUGUCAUCGGGGUUGUGCAUGAUGAGAGCAUUCUUGUGUGAAGAAAAUGAAGCAUGAUUAAACUAUAUGAUUUUGUAGGGAUGAACUUUCUUUGGCCAUGUUAUUUUGAGAAGACAUAAUUGCUCAGUUAGUAUGCUUGACUCUUUUGGAUCUGAAUAUUCAUACCACAAGUAAGAAGAAUUACAUUAAAAUCAUGCCAAGUAGCACUCCGCAUCAAAAAUUCUGUUUUUAUCAUUUACCUACUCUAGGACGAGCAGGAAUUAAGCUUGGGGAUGCUUGAUACGUCUCCAACGUAACUAUAAUUUUUGAUUGCUCCAUGCUAUAUUAUCUACUGUUUUGGACAAUAUUGGGCUUUAUUAUCCACUUUUAUAUUAUUUUGUAACUAACCUAUUAUCUACUGUUUUGGACAAUAUUGCCUAGAUUUGCUGUUUUUUUGCCUGUUUUAGGGUUUCGAAGAAAAGGAAUAUCAAACGGAGUCCAAACGGAAUGAAACCUUCGGGAACGUGAUUUUCUCAACGAACAAGACCCAGGAGACUUGGACCCUCCGUCAAGACACAAAAGAGGAGGCCACGAGGUAGAGGGCGUGCCUACCCCCCCCCCCCUGCGCGCCCACCACCCUCGUGGGCCCCCUGUUGCUCCACCGACGUACUCCUUCCUCCUAUAUAUACCUACGUACCCCCAAACGAUCAUAUACGGAGCCAAAACCCUAAUUCCACCGCCGCAACUUUCUGUAUCCACGAGAUCCCAUCUUGGGGCCUGUUCCGGAGCUCCGCCAGAGGGGGCAUCGAUCACGGAGUGCUUCUACAUCAACACCAUAACCUCUCCGAUGAAGUGUGAGUAGUUCACCUCAGACCUACUGUUCCAUAGUUAUUAGCUAGAUGGCUUCUUCUCUCUUUUUGGAUCUAAAUACAAUGUUCUCCCCCUCUCUUGUGGAGAAUUAUUCGAUGUAAUCUUCUUUUUGCGGUGUGUUUGUUGAGACCGAUGAAUUGUGGGUUUAUGAUCAAGUCUAUCUAUGAAUAAUAUUUCAAUCUUCUCUGAAUUAUUUUAUGUAUGAUUGGUUAUCUUUGCAAGUCUCUUCGAAUUAUCAGUUUGGUUUGGCCUACUAGAUUGAUCUUUCCUGCAAUGGGAGAAGUGCUUAGCUUUGGGUUCAAUCUUGCGGUGUCCUUUCCCAGUGACAGUAGGGGCAGCAAGGCACGUAUUGUAUUGUUGCCAUCGAGGACAACAAGAUGGGGUUUUCAUCAUAUUGCAUGUGUCUAUCCCUCUACAUCAUGUUAUCUUGCUUAAGGCGUUAAUCUGUUUUUAACAUAAUACUCUAGAUGCAUGCUGGAUAGCUGUCGAUGAGUGGAGUAAUAGUAGUAGAUGUAGGCAGGAGCGGUCUACUUGUCUCGGACGUGAUGCCUAUAUACAUGAUGAUACCUAGAUAUUAUCAUAACUAUGCUCAAUUCUGUCAAUUGCUCAACAGUAAUUUGUUCACCCACCGUAGAAUACUUAUGCUCUCGAGGGAAGCCACUAGUGAAACCUAUGGCCCCGGGUCUAUCUUUAUCAUAUUAAUCUCCUACUACUUAGUUAUUUCCUUUGCUUUUUUACUUUGCCUUUAUUUUACUUUGCAUCUUUAUCACAAAAAUACCAAUAAAAUUAUCUUUAUCAUAUCUAUCAAAUCUCACUCUUGUAAGUGGCCGUGUAGGGAUUGACAACCCCUAUUCGCGUUGGUUGCGAGGAUUUAUUUGUUUUGUGCAGGUACGAGGGACUCGUGCGUAGCCUCCUACUGGAUUGAUACCUUGGUUCUCAAAACCUAAGGGAAAUACUUACGCUACUUUGCUGCAUCAUCCCUUCCUCUUCGGGGAAAACCAACGCAGUGCUCAAGAGGUAGCAAGGGUUCCUUUUUGUCGACGAUCCUAUGUUUCAACCUUGUUUUCCAGGCGGCCAAUGCGUCGCUAAACUUGGGCAUGGCGUGUUUGUUUAUCUUCUUCAUUGCCAGGUCCUUAUCUGGAUCUUUAUUAUCCUUUUCAUUGCGGUUAAUGAACAAGAAUAUCUGGUGCCGCUUCUUUAAAAGGGAGGGCCUCAUAUUAUCUAUCUUCUGUAGUUUCCCAUCGUUGAUCGUGGCAGUUGUCCGUACGAUGCAACCUAUUUGAUUGCCAUAGCACGAUUGCGCUUCCUCGGGCGCUAUUGUCUCAAAAAUACCGUUGUCCAUCUCCGUGACCACCAGUCUAGUACUCGUGAGCUGGUUUCGGCGCCGUGGCCUCUUUGCUUUCGGUUCUAGACCAGCUCCGCUAGUCUCGGCGCCGGUCUCAGUCUCAUCGCCGGUCUGCAUGUCGGUAUCAGUCCCCGAUGCGACAGCACAGUCGCUGCAACAUGGGUAAGGGAGACCACAUCAGUGCUGGGGGGGUCUGAAAAUUGGGACACACUUUCGCGCAUCGCGGGCCGCCUCUCAGACAGCUACUGGGGAGGCGGCGGAGUACCUGGGUGCGCGGUAAAUCCCCGGGAACUCGGUGACCAACUUCCUUCCCGUGUGGUGCAUGGAGACGACGACGACCCCGGCAAAGAGCAGCUUAGCCGUGAGCUGCACAGCCUCGUCCACCUCCUAAGUUGGGUCCUCCGCGCGAGCGUUGCGGGGCCGCCGCUCGGAUGGCUUCUGGAAGGCGCUUGUACAUGGGCAUAGGGUGAAUCCCGGCGAGAGCUAGCCAUUGGCGCGCGCAAGUAGACGACGACGUCCCCGACGAAGAGCAGCCCGGCCAGCUCGCCUCACUCUCCUUUGAUUAGAAUUGAAAGAUUGGGAAGAAGCAGACUUGAGCCUGCAGGGAAAGGAUAAGGUGACGAUGCAGUCUCCACUCGUUCGGGGCGACACGCGAAUUGAAUGUAUGAGAAACGUGACGUGGCAGGGACCCCAAGAUACUCCCUCCAUUUAUUUUUAGUCUGCAUAUAAAGUUUGGUCAAAGUCAAGAUUUGUAAAUUUUAACUAACUUUAUAAUAAAAAAAUAUCAACAUUCACAAUAUGAAAUAAUUAUUACCAGAUGCGUGAAGAAAUGUAUUUCCAUACUAUAUAGUUUUGGUAUUGGAGAUGUUCAUAUUUUUUUAUAUAAAUGGGAAGUAGAGGCACUCUUCCAUAUAAUGAAGUUUAUAAUAUAUGUGCUUAUAUUGUACUAUAAUUGUUUGAAUAACUUAGCAUAUGUUCAGAUGUAUGAUAUCUGUAAUUUAAGCGCUUGAAUUUUACAUAUAAAUAUUUAUUAAUAAAUAUGUACCCCUAUAAUAGCUAGGCCGUGCAGUUGCACGGGUAGAUGACUAGUGAUUACAGUCUUGUUUGUGUGCAAGUCAAGCUUAUCUAGUUUACACGUAACAACUCGUAGAACAUGUUUAUGCUUGCUAAUAACUUCUAGAACACUACAACACUUUACAUGUAAAAGGAAUUUCACGAGUCAUGGCCUACUAAAGCAAGUUACAUUACUAGUCUUAUAUCUAUCUUAACAGACCACACAAGACUACAAACUAAGUACCAUGACAGCCAUGCUUAUCUAGUUUAUGCGUAACAAUUUGCAGAAAAUUACAAACUUAGUUUUAGAAAAAUGGGCAAUCCAGAUUAGUGUUUGAGCUGUAAAGUGAAUAAGAUGAGUCAUGUGUGUUAUCACACCUUUUUGGUGGUGGAAUGAUAGUGCAACAACAAGGAACUUUAAUGAACAGUGCAAGAAUACACUUGUAAGUAGUGCCACCAAACAGAACAUACCAAAUGAUGAUUUUGAGAAGCAUCCAAGCACUUUCCACACAAACAAAUGCCAAUUGUGAAAGAGAUCAUUCCAUGGCAGCUAUAAAUAGCCCCGUAGCAUGACGAUCAUCCUUCCUCAUCCAUCAUUCUCAUAAGUAGAACGCAUCAUUUAAGCCAAGCAAGGUGUGGUCAAUACAAAUCCACCAUGAAGACAUUUCUCAUCCUUGCCCUCCUUGCUAUCGUGGCGACCACCGCCACAACUGCAGUUAGAGUUCCAGUGCCACAAUUGCAGCCACAAAAUCCAUCUCAGCAACAGCCACAAGAGCAAGUUCCAUUGGUACAACAACAACAAUUUCUAGGGCAGCAACAACCAUUUCCACCACAACAACCAUAUCCACAGCCGCAACCAUUUCCAUCACAACAACCAUAUCUGCAGCUGCAACCAUUUCCGCAGCCGCAACUACCAUAUUCGCAGCCACAACCAUUUCGACCACAACAACCAUAUCCACAACCGCAACCACAGUAUUCGCAACUACAACAACCAAUUUCACAGCAGCAGCAGCAGCAGCAACAACAACAACAACAACAACAACAACAACAACAACAACAACAACAACAACAACAACAACAACAACAACAACAACAACAACAAGAACAACAAAUCCUUCAACAAAUUUUGCAACAACAACUAAUUCCAUGCAUGGAUGUUGUAUUACAGCAACACAACAUAGCGCAUGGAAGAUCACAAGUUUUGCAACAAAGUACUUACCAGCUGUUGCAAGAAUUGUGUUGUCAGCACCUAUGGCAGAUCCCUGAGCAGUCGCAGUGCCAGGCCAUCCACAAUGUUGUUCAUGCUAUUAUUCUGCAUCAACAACAAAAACAACAACAACAACAACCAUCGAGCCAGGUCUCCUUCCAACAGCCUCAACAACAAUAUCCAUUAGGCCAGGGCUCCUUCCGGCCAUCUCAGCAAAACCCACAGGCCCAGGGCUCUGUCCAGCCUCAACAACUGCCCCAGUUCGAGGAAAUAAGGAACCUAGCGCUACAGACGCUACCUGCAAUGUGCAAUGUCUACAUCCCUCCAUAUUGCACCAUCGUGCCAUUUGGCAUCUUCGGUACUAACUGAGAAGAAAAUAACUCUAGUACUAGAUAUAUGAAACACCGUUUUCUCAGUCCAUGGUUUGGUCAUUGUAGCGGUGAAAAAAUAAUGUGACAUGCACUAUCAUGUAAGAACCCGAACUAUACUAGUUCAAACUUGGGAAUAAAAGACAAACACAGGUCUUGUCUACAUAUUUAUGUUGCAUUUAUCUAAAGAUAACAAAAUGAGUCUAAAAUUUGAAUUAAAUUGAAGUAUUUUCUUGGACUUUAAUUUGCACAUUAAUUAGAAAUUACUAUCCCUCGAUCUGGUAAAUCUUAACAAAUAGAAUUAUCUUGACCGUUAGAUUUAUGUAACAUAUAUAAUGCUCUGGGCCUCCAACGACUGUACGUGACACAUCUGAACGCACAUAUGUUAAAGAAAAUAUAUUUUGUAAAUGGUGGGCCUCUUUAAAAAGAGAACUUACGUACAUACACCAACUAAGAAAAACACAUACAUGUAAAUGGGAAAAGGAUGAGAUUUUCUCACGUACAUGUGUUGAUGCUUAAAAGUGGCACGAUCAUAAAGCAGCAUGCCGGGGCGAAAACCUUGCCGGGGUAAAAUCUUGCUGGUGUGAAAGCUUGCCGGUGUGAAGGCUUGCCGGCGUGGAAACCUUGCCGGCACAGAAAGAUCGCCGGUGCUUGCCGGUGUGAAAUCUUGCCGGGGGAGAAACCUUGUCAGGGAGGAACCCUUGCCGGAGUACAAACCUUGCCGGAGUGAAACCUUGCCGGUGUGAAAGCUUGCCGGGUAGAAACUUUGCCGGUGUGGAAAGCUUACUCGGAUGGAAAACUUGCCGGGUUGGAGGCUGAGAUAGUCAAUCGAACGAGAAGUUGAAGAUGGGCUCAAAAGGUUAUUCAGAUGAUCUCGGAUGGAAAAAUGAUCUACAGGGUUGUCUUCGUCUCGUCGAAACGAUCGAUUUUGAUAUAAAAAUCAUUCAAAUCCGAGUUCGUAUGCAAAAGUUAGAGCAAUCAGAGUGCAGCCCUGUCACGAGGCGAGAUGUGGCACGCCCACCAGACACAUGUCUGACGGGUAGUGUGAGGAAAUAGCCUGUGUUGCGAGACCGAUCUGACCCUCAAGAUGACCUCUGAUCAAAAAACCUUCAACAUGAAAGUUGUUCGUCUCGUCGAAACGGUCAAGAUUGCUUUUGGGCUUGUUUUCAUCCGGAAUCGUUUACCACCGCAAAAAAGACCCGCAAGGUGCAGCCAGUUUUAACCGAACAGUUUUGGAAAGUUUGGAUAAACCAGUCCGAAUUUGACUAAUGUUUUGGACGUGAAUUGAUGUAAUUUUCUUGUAAGGAAAGCCUAGAUAAAUUCUUGGCUUGUACGGGAAGUCCAGCUGCCUCUUAUAUAUGUUGGGGGUGGCGGCCGAUUGAAACAACACAUAAUCGAACAAACACAUAUACUACUUUUUCGUGUUCAUCUACUUUUUAUCUCUCCCUUGUAUCUUUCUUCUCGUUCUUCGCUAGUUCUUCAUGCUGGAGGGCUGCGGAUCCACGAGGCUCUAGGGGCGAGUGAAUCGACCUAGGGCAGCCCAUAGCCGCCGCAAUCCCUGACGGGGUCCCUCCCGGGUGCGCGGGGUUUCGGGUCUGCAAAAGCGCCCGCCGACUGCCUUGCGUAUCACGCUGUCGGUCGGGUCUCCUUCGACGUGAGCUACGGUGCAUCACCCCCGGCGUCGAGGGUAAACGUGACAUGUUCGUGUGCGAACACACUUUUUGGCGACUCCGCUGGGGACGAAGCUCUGAACAGUCUCCAGCCUGUUCUUGCUACGAGGAGAGCGUCACCAAGCGGCUGCAAUCUACAACGGUAACAUGUAUCGUCAAUCUCCUUGCGUAGAUGCAAAUAGCCAUUAUGUUGAUGUUGCUAGAUCUUUCAACGGACAUGUGAUGUCGGCCAGCCCUAAUGAGGAAAGGCCGACUAGUUAUUCCAUUGGAGAAACUUGGAAUUUACAGAAUCGUGACAUGCAACUUAUGAAUCUGAACUUUCGUGCAUCGGCAACAACUUUCAAUAUGCCGGUGAACAACACGAUUUGUUCGAGUGAUCAAUAUAGGACACCUCAUGUACAGGAGGGUAUCUCAAAGUUUUAUCCAUCGGCAGCCGGCUCGCAAUAUGCGGGUUCAUCCCCAAACAUGCCGAUGAAUGGGGGAAUCGGUCAUGCUUUUGUUAGCUAUUUGGCCGGUUAUCCUCAAACAUCAUAUACUACACCUCAUCAGAUUAAUUGUUCAAUGGCGUAUGAAACUAAAAAUAUUCAUAACUCGGCUCACGUUCACGGUCAUGGCCGAGUGAAUGGAGAUACUAUAGGAGCAUAUGUGCCUAAUAUUGCAGGAGAUGAGGUGGCUCUGGCUGCAUUAAAAAUUUUAGCCCAAAAUAAGAAGAUUAGUGCUAUUUUCCUUGAGCAACACGACAAGGGAUUGGUUCCUGAUUAUGAGGCAAUAAGAGCUAGGGUUUUGAAAGAAGACCAAGUGUUGCCGAUUGAUCAAAUUGUCGAGAGAAAAUAUUCAACAACGAUGCACAUGCCUUCACCUAUCAUUGCAGCAUGUUAUACACCCCCUGUACAAGCGCAAAAUUUCGGCAACAUUAAUUCAUUGCCGAAAGAUCCUAAAAGUAUUGGGGGGCAAGCCGAUCCAAGCAGGGUUGAGUUUAAAGAAAAAUAUCUAGCCCAAGUGGACAAGAUCAAGCCAAAGCUCACAGGGAAUAGAGUCAACGAAUUUACUACACCUACCCUUGAGGAAUUACCAGCAGAAUAUCGACAGGCCUACGAAGCACUCAAGAAGAAACGUGGAGAGGGAUAUUUGCAAGAAUACUUCAAGUGCCUUCCUCCAUGUAGCAACCAUGUUGGCCCUUCUACACUGUUGAGGCAAGAUAAAAAAAGAAGCUUUGCAAGCAAACCAGCAAAAAAGGAUUCACUCGGCUAAUACGGUGGAUUCGGUUGAAACCGGAUUGAGCAACGGGAUGUUUAAGGCCGAGUGCGUUGCAUCGUGCCAGCCGAGUGCAUCGUUCCAGACGAGUGCAUCACCAGCUAAAGCCGAGUGCAUCAAGCCAACUAUUGCCUCGUGUACGAAAAUAGAAGAUGCAAGCUUGGCUGAGCAAAGGAACAACAAACGCAACAAAUUGGUUGUGCUCGAUUUUUCUGGAUCUAAGGGAGCUUACAUGCUACCUUAUGAGUUUCGUGCUAAAGAUAUUGAUGAGCAUCAAGAACACAGUAAUGGCUGAACACAGUUCAGUUAACGAUGAACAUCAAGACCAAGAAAAUGCGGCCGAGCAAAGUUCAACUGACAAAGAGCGUCCGAGUGAAAUCCACUCGGGCAAUCCGACUGAAAUAUACUCGGGCAAUUCGAGUGAAAUAUACUCAGGCAAUCCGAGUGAUGAGGCACCAGAUCCAGAAAAAGAGGAAGAGGCAUUGGAGAAUUAUUCAUAAGUGGAGCAAUGUAUUGUUCCAGUGGUGCAACCAUCUUCUCCUUCCAAUGUCUUCACAAAGGUACACCUAGAAGAUAGUUUACUCAAUUUUCAAUUCGGUCAAAAUGAUAUUGUUGAUGUACCUAUUAGUAAGAUUCUAAUUAAUUUUGAAAGACCAAUUGAAAUGAGUAAUCUUUUUGUUAGGAAGGAUCUUGUCACUAAUCAUGAUAGUCAACACAUGGUAUCGUUCAUAGAGGCUAAUAGUGACAACUUAUCAAAACCAAAGUUGUUCUUGUCAUGCCAACUGAACUUUGUAUUCAUAUGGACAACUUUGUUUGUUUCAUGCCCGGCUAACAUUUGGACUCGUAUGAGCCGUAUAUUCUGUAAUUAUUUUAGUUGCAGAAACAUAAAGCCAGGUCCAAAGUCCUUCGAAGCCAAUUCAAAUGCAUCAGGAAAAGAAGAUGAAUCUUUCCCAAUUGAUAAAAUUGGCGAGCAAAAAUAUGGUUUUACAACAAUGCAUAUGCCUUCACCUAAUACUACAUCAUAUUAUACAGCCCCUACACAAUUGCAAAGUUUCGGCAACACCCAUGUGCCAUUGCCGAAAGAGUCUAAAAGCAAUGGGGGACAAUCGUAUCCGAAGUGGGCUGAAAAUGAGAAAAAGAUUAAAGCCAAUUUCGCCACUCGCCGCCAGAAACAAAAAGAAACAGAAUUGGCUCAAGUGAAAGAAGCAUUGCCAAUUGGUAGAAGCAAUGUAAAGAAAGAUGAUUCAGAACAUGAAAGUACUCCGGUUAAAAGAGCCGAAUCAAGAAGUAUAUAUUCUGAAUCCAUCAAAUGCAAAGAGGCAAGCAUUAUUGAGAAAGGGCAUGGCAAGCAUAGCAAAGCGACCAUACUUGAUUUUUCUAAAGUUAAUGGAACCUACUUCCUGCCCUAUGAGUUUCGUGCCAGAGAAUUUUGAUGAACUUCAAGGACAAGAACAAGUAGCCGAACAAAGUUCGGCCGACAAAAAUCUUCAAUGUAAUGAUGCACGGAAUCAAGAAAAAGAUGAUGAAGAAGCGUUGGGGGGCCAUCCAAAGGCGGAGCAAGAUAUUGUUCAAGUCACACCACCAUCGUGCUCUCCCAACAUAUUUGAAGAGGUAUGUUUAGCAAGUAAUUUACUUAUUUUCAGAUUUGGUCAGGACUUUAUUGUUGAUGCAUCUAUUGGAAAAAUCCUCAUAAGUAAUUUUGAAAGACCAAUGAAGAAGGGUAAUUUACUUGCUAGCAAUAAAGUUGUUAUUGAGCAUAUCGGUCAACCCAUUACGCCAUUUAUAAAGACCGAUAGUGACUUAUUAUUACAGCCAAAGCUUUCCCCGUUGCUUUAUCUAAAGUUCAUAUCUAUUUGGGUAGCUUUGCUUAUUUCAUACUUGGCUUGCACUUGGUCUCAAUUGAGACAUGUGUGUUCUAACUAUUUUCGUUUUAGAAAUUUAAAGCCAAGAUUAAAUUCUGUUGAGAAAACCGAUGCUAGUAUAAUAUCUUACCCAAAGACAUCGGAGAUAGAGUGCAAAACACAAUGCAUAGCCGAAUGGUGUGAUGCAAAAUCUGAACCAUUCGUUUGCUUAAUUCCAAAGCCGUUCUCACAGCAAGAUCGGCUAGAAAACAAGAAGUAUACCUUCAAUUCAAGCAUGUGUGUUCAAAUAUUUGAUUUGUUGCUGAAAAAUAAUUACAUUACAAUUCUUGAUCACCAUGUUAAGCCAUCAAUCCAAGGACGAAUGUAUUGUAAGUUGCAUGAUUCGUCCAAGCAUGAUUUUGAGGAUUGCAACAUGUUUCGUCAAAUAGUUAAAUCGGCCAUUGAAAAAGGACGAUUGAAGUUUGUUGAAACACCAAGAGAUGACCAGUCUAUUCCGAUUGGUCCCGAUGGCAAAAAGUUUUUGCAUCGGCUGCUUCGAGCCGAUCCAUUUAAAGAGAAGGUAAAAACUGCAGGUGAUGGGAUCAAGCUUUCAACUAAAGAAGUUGUUGAAGAGCAUAAUGAACAUAAUCUUGAGGGUGAGAAUUCCAUCGAAGCUACAAUGGAGACGCCAAGGACUGGGGGGCAGCAAGCAAAUCCAACGAUCGAUGAAAGCAAACCAAAAGAAAACAAAGGCCGAAAUAAGCGCAAGUGUAAAAUAUCAAAAAUCACCUUCGCUGAACUAUUGGAGAAAUAUCAAAAGAAGAGUGAAGAGAAGAAUGCUUAUCGGCCCAAUCAUGCAAAGAAACCAAAAUCACCCCCAAGGCGCAAAUAUGAGGAUCCGUAUUGGCAAAGUGAGAGUUUCAAUGCAACAUAUUCAUAUCCUUAUUUUGGGCCGCCAAUGACAAUGCCGUGGAUGCCUCCCUAUACUCAUGUAGAUCCAUGUUCAUCAUGGGACAGGUAUGAUACAAGGGCACAUUCUCCAUCUUAUUUUAGACCAUCUCACCAAUAUUAUGCAGCUCCGAGAAGAUCAACAUUUGAACAGUCACAUGUUAAAGAUCGUUUCAAUUAUAAGGAAUCGGUCCGGACACCAUGGAUGAAAAAAGAGGUGGUCAACCAAGUCUACCGCGUGAAAAGAGAUGGUCGUAAGUGUGCUACUUCAGAUUUGAUCUCAAAUAAUAAAGAGCCAAUUAAAGUGUUGACAUUGUCUACAAAAGGCAAUGAGACGAAGCAACCAAUUAUUGAGAGUCAAAGUGCCAAAUCAGAAGAAAAGAAGUUGAGAGUGCACAAGGUCAAAAAGGAAUUGCCAUUGGUCAGAACAGAAUCAUAGCCGAGAUGCCCACUCGGCUUAUCGUAUUGGCAAAAGAGGGAAUUACACAAACUUAGUGCACAAGAACUUGAAGAAAGGAACAUGGCAUGGGUUCCCAAAGGAAGUGCUCAAAAUAAGAAUUAUGUGCAUGCCUCCAUUACAAGAAGUGCGGCAAAAGUGAAGAAGGAAAAGAGUAAAAACUAUGAAGGACCAAGCCGAAGGAUUCAACAUCUUUGGUCUACACAUUAUCCAUAUUCUUCAACUAUGCCAUUAACGCCUAUGCCAUGGAAUUCGUCAUCAGGUAUGAUUGGUAACCCUCAAUGGGCUUAUUUUAAUCCAUGGAUGCAAUAUAAUUUCUUACGUCAUGAAAGGGUAUUACCAAGUCACUAUACAUUUGAUUAGCUACAAGUUUGUUGCUGAUCCAGAGGGCCGAAAUACUUGAUUUGUCAUUUCAUUUGUUUAUUUCGGCUAUAUGUGCUUUGAAUGAAGUUUACAUGGUAAUGGCCGAUGAUAUUUAUCUAUCGUCCUAAGAGUAUGUCAAUUCAUGCCCGGUGUAGUAUUCUAAUAUCAUCCUUAGUUUGAUGGAGAGCGAGACAAGGUACAUGCUCAUGAAAAUUUAUAUGUAUGCCUAUAUUAUGAUUGAAUGGAGUUGAGACAUCAUGACCGAUGUCAUUGAAUAUAUGCUGCAUAGACCAAUUCAUAGCUGCAGAAUUGGUUGGUGGGCUUAUACUUUGUUUGGAUAUGAUUUGGCUUAUGCAUCUUUGAGAUCUAUAAGAGGCCAAAUCAUAGUUGAUUUUGUUACUGAACAUCGGAUUAGUGUCAUGCAUAAUAUUAAUAUUAUCCUUGUCUCUCUAGUACUAUGGAGAUUAUGUUUUGAUGGUUCAAUUCAUAGCAAUGGCCAAAGUGUUGGUGUUGUUUAUAUAUUUCUUUAUGGUACUAUUUUUUGAAGCCUCGUGCCGCUUAGAAUAUUUUUAUGCACGAUUAAUCAAGGCCGAAUAUGCAUUGUUAUUCGGAUUGACUCUUUUACUUGCUGUAGGUGUUAUACAGAUUGAGGCUUUUGGUGAUUCGUUAUGAGUAGUGCAACAAAUAUCCAAGGAUUAUCAAUGUGUUUUGACGAAUCACUUAUAGUUUAUCUUGGGUUUGUCUAGAUGAAGAAUUUACCUUGGGUUGCAUUAAAUUUUUUCAUAUAUUUAGACAUGACAAUUGGAGAGAGUUGGCAUAGCAAGCAUCCGGCUACCAUGUCCAUCAUGUUGUAUUGCGUUUCUCUCAAUAGCCGAUGCUUAGUCUUGUCAACAUAGGUAAGGCCGAACCGAAGUCUAGAACUUCGGACACUAAUGAAAUUUUUAUGCAGGCGAAAGUAAGGAUUGGAGAAAGUUUAUUGUUGAUUGUCUACAAAAUCCUAGCAAAAGGGUGAACAAUAUGGUUCGGAGUAUGACAUUGAGAUACAUAUCUAUGGAACUUUAUCACCGGAUUGUUAAUGAAGCUGAGAAGGUUUCACCCAAGUUUGCAUCAGAAAGUUCACACAAGACAUGGCCGAUAUAUACUUAUCGUCCUAAGAACAUAUAAAUGGCCGAUGGAGUGUUGACAUCGUCCUUAGAACAAACUUGGUACAAGUAUUUUUCGGCAUGCUAGCUUUACCGAAAAACGGGAGGGCAUGUGUUGACGCUCAAAAGUGGCACGAUCAUAAAGCAGCAUGCCGGGGCGAAAACCUUGCCGGGGUAAAAUCUUGCCGGUGUGAAAGCUUGCCGGUGUGAAGGCUUACCGGCGUGGAAAGCUUGCCGGCACAGAAAGAUCGCCGGUGCUUGCCGGUGUGAAAUCUUGCCGAGGGAGAAAUCUUGUCAGGGAGGAACCCUUGCCGGAGUACAAACCUUGCCAGAGUGAAACCUUGCCGGUGUGAAAGCUUGCCGGGUAGAAACAUUGCCGGUGUGGAAACCUUACUCGGAUGGAAAACUUGCCGGGUUGGAGGCUGUGAUAGUCAAUCGAACGAGAAGUUGAAGAUGGGCUCAAAAGGUUAUUUAGAUGAUCUCGGAUGGAAAAAUGAUCUACACGGGUUGUCUUCAUCUCGUCCAAACGAUCGAUUUUGAUAUAAAAAUCGUUCAAAUUUGAGUUUGUAUGCAAAAGUUAGAGCAAUCGGAGUGCAGCCCUGUCACGAGGCGAGAUGUGGCGCCCCCCACCAGACACAUAUCUGACGGGUAGCGCGAGGAAAUAGCCUGUGUUGCGAGACCGAUCUGACCCUCAAGAUGAUCUCUGAUCAAAAAACCUUCAACAUGAAAGUUUUUCGUCUCGUCGAAACAGUCAAGAUUGCUUUUGGGCUUGUUUUCAUCCGGGAUCGUUUACCACCGCAAAAAAGACCCGCAAUGUGCAGCCAGUUUAAACCGAACAGUUUUGGAAAGUUCGGAUAAACCAGUCGGAAUUUGACUAGGGUUUUGGACGUGAAUUGAUGUAAUUUUCUUGUAAGGAAAGCCUAGAUAAAUUCUUUGCUUGUACGGGGAGUCCAGCCGCCUCUUAUAUAUGUUGGGGGUGACGGCCGAUUGAAACAACACACAAUCGAACAAACACAUCUACUACUUUUUCGUGUUCAUCUACUUUUUAUCUCUCCCUUGUAUCUUUCUUCUCGUUUUUCGCAAGUUCUUCAUGCUGGAGGGCUGCGGAUCCACGAGGCUCUAGGGCCGAGCGAAUCGACCUAGGGCAGCCCAUAGCCGCCGCAAUCCCUAACGGGGUCCCUCUCAGGUGCGCGGGAUUUCGGGUCUACAAAAGCGCCCGCCGACUGUCUUGCGUAUCGCGCUGUCGGUCGGGUCUCCUUCGACGUGAGCUGCGGUGCAUCACCCCCGGCGUCAAGGUUACAUGUGACGUGUUCGUGUGCGAACAACGUGCUCCCUGGCUCCACCCCGUUGAAAAAAUAUACAUUUGGAGGCCACUUUGUUUCCUCAUCAAAAAAAACUUACGUUAAAAAGAUUGCAUGCAUCCCAGGGAAAGUAAUCAAGAAGAAGUCGGACUCUUCCUUACAAAAACAAGGAACGUGUUAAGUUAACUUCAAAGAAAAAGGAACAUGUUAAGUUAAAAAAAAGAAGAAACAUGUUAAGUUAGAAAAAAACAAGGAACGUGUUGUCCUAGGAAAGAUAUGUGUCAAAUCUUACAAAAAAAAGAAUACACACACGUACGUUCAUGCACUUGGAAAAUAGAAAAAAAAGGAACAUCACGUAUGUAUACACUUCGGAAACUCAUUACAUGACCAUGUCUGAUAUACUCAUCUAAUGCUUAAUAUUAGUGCCUAAUAAUUUAUAUUUAAAAUUUAAUUUACUGAUCAAAUAUCCCCAAUGUUUAAAUUUUAAUUUGGCACAUUGUUUGGCUAUAGUAUGAACCUAAAUUUCCUCUUAUUAUUAUAUAUCAUGAUAAUAAUCCAAAGGCGACUAAUCUGCGCUGGUGCACCGGGGCAAUCAAUUCGGCCGGACACAGCGCGGCCUUUUGAUUAGAUUGCAUUUAACCGUCUGAUCUGGAAUUGUUUUCUUUCCAAUUAAACGGAUUCAACCAAACAGCAGAGGGGAAAACAAAGCAGCGCCGCCGCCAACACUAGCCAUGGACGAUCGAUGUAGCAAAACCUUGAAGAACCGCCGCCGGUCGCCACCCUCGCCGCUGGUGGCCGCCCUCGCCAUCGGUCACCGCCGGUCGCCGCCCUCGCCGCCUGCGUUUCUCAUCGGCUUCAUGCAUGCAACAACAUGCACUCGUGGUUGCAGGCUUGCAGCUCCGGCUCCGGGGGACAUGGCCGCAUCUCCGGUAACGCCGGCCGCCAACCAUAGCACCUGUCAUUGUGGUCGCGUUGUACCUCACCGUGUGCCCUCCCAAGGCUCUUGCUGGUUCCAACAAAAAACGAUACCUGUUGUAGCAAAAAAGUUUAUCGCUUCCAGCAAAAAAGCUUUCCGCUACAGCCCGCCAUUGUCAUUGUAGCAAAAAUGUUAACCCGAUGUAGCUUUUGUGGUUGCCGACUGCAACAAAAAAUGACAUGGUUGAAGCAAAACACAAAAGAAAAACGCCGGCCGGCCGCUGUGUAUGGUGGUAACAAACCCUAUAGCCGGUGGUAGCGAAAAACUUCAUAGUUUGCAGCAAAAAAAUGUUGUCGCCCGUCGUCGAGGUUGCAUCAUCUUCAUGAAUUAUGUCGCAAAAAAACAUUGUCGCCGGUAGUAGCAAAUGAAGCCGCCCGGUAGUAGCAAAACAAGACACUGGUUCCAGCCAAAAAAAAUCAGCGACAGAACCUUUGGUUGGUUCCAACAAAAAAACUUGUCGGUUGUAACAUCCCUCGCCGCCGGAUGUAGCAUCUCCCGGGGCUGGUUGCAACACUCUAAAAAAAAGUUGUCUAAGAGCGCAUCCAUGGCGACUGCUGCACCGUCAGCAACGAGGGGAAGAGGAGGCAAUGAAAAUCGUUCGAGUCGUAGCUCCACAGGACGCGGCUGCAGCAUGGGGAGUCCAAAAAUCUGUCACAAGCAACAUGCGCCUCGCCAUCCUCCUGCGUAGGAGAGAGAAGAAAAAGGAAUAAGAGGAAGAAGAAAGGAAACGGGAGAAAGAAAAAAGAAACGAUUGGUGGUGGGCUGAGGCAAUUAGUCAAACGAGGGGCACGCGGGGCCGCAGGAUACAGCGCAAUCGAACGAAGCACGCGCGUCCGGCCGAAGACUCGGCCGGACUGCCGGCUGGAAACGUUUCCCUAAUCCAAAGGCUUUGUCUGAAUGACAAGUCGUCUAGGUUACCGGCUAACUAGAAAAAAGAUAAAUAUGCUAGAGAAUUUCAUAAUAAUUAGAAAUAUCUAGCCUUUAAUUAUGUAAAUCAGAAAAUCACAACCGUAGGAUUUACUUUAAAGGUAAAUUUCUCUAAAUUCCCACCAUUGCCAGUAUGUAGAAACAUGUGCUGCUUCAAUUCUCCCAUAAUCACCAAUCAAUCAACAACACAAAACAUACCUCAGUUAAAAAAAACUGAACAAAAAAAAGAAAAAAAGAAGAAAGGACAAGAUACACGCAUGUACACGACAGCCUUGGCUUGAAACACAUCAGUAGAUCAAGUGUCCGCCUCCCUUACACAGAAUAAAUUCUAGGGAAGAAAAUAAUAGUGCAACCUAACCUUAUACGUACUAUUCUAUCCUCACGUCCCAUGAGGUUUACUAGCCUACCGCCGCCGCAUCAUGCCAUCCUCUCCUUUCAGCUCCCAUGCUCUCCAGCAUCCUCCUUGCCGCGCCACUACUCGCCUAGGAAUAUUGCUGCUCAGACCGCGGAGCUUAACCUGCUUCUUCUUCAGCAAAUAUGGAACUGCUUUAGGAUCCUUCUCACAUCAGCACGUAUGGGCCUCAUUAUACUGCAGCUCCUGGACCUCCUACAAUUGGUUGGCUAUGGCCAGUUGAUCGAUGUGCUGAAGUCUAGGUCUGUUUGCUGGCACAUAUGCUUUGGAAAUAGGCCACUAUGUUUGUACUUCAAAAUUGUUUCGGUAUUCUUGAGUGGUACAUCCUUUUAAGUGCCAGUUUUUUAUGUUAAUUCGACAACACUUAACCUAGCCUUUCAUGUUCACGUACUAAAUACAGGAGCAAGUAAAAAAAACAGACCACCUAAUUGCUCUGCAAGUUCUACAUAGGAAAAUUUGUCAUGUUCUACGAUCGCACCAUCCCACCCUUCUCUCUUGGUAUGGGCGCCAAUUGAGGGAUUGAUAAAACUGAAAUGAAGACGUCACAGGGCUGGAAGUACCGCUAGCCUGGUUUGCACUGCAACCUACCCAACGCCAUCAGAAACUAGCAACUGAGGCAGGUGUUGAUCGAUUCUCUCAAAUUGCUCUCAUGUAAGUACUACCCCUUGCAUGUGCGUACAUACCUUUGUUGCAUUCUCAAACAGAUAGAACAUGUAUGAUCGGUGCAUGGCUAUUUUUAGGUAUAGCGACUGCACAACUUCUUCAACUCCAUAUGAUGCUAGUGUAUUGCAUCGAAAGAAUCAACGGAUUGCUAGAGAUCAACUGAGGUAUUCUCAUAUUAUUGGCUCGCUUAUGUAUUUGACGACUGCCACGAGGCCUAACAUCUCGUUUGCUGUUAGCAAGCUGAGUCGGUUUGUGUAAAAACCAGGAGAUGAUCAUUGCCAUGCGCUUGAGAGAGUUAUGCGCUAUUUGAAAGGCACCGCGAGCAAUGGGAUUCACUACACCGGGUAUCCAAGGGUACUGGAGGGUUAUAGUGACUCAAACUGGAUAUCUGAUGCUAAUGAGAUUAAGGCCACAAGUGGUUAUGUUUUUACACUUGGUGGUGGCACUGUUUCUUGGAAGUCCUGCAAACAGACCAUCUUAAUGAGGUCAACUAUGGAAGCGGAACUCACAGCAUUAGAAACUACCACUGUUGAAGCAGAGUGGCUUCGUGAGUUCUUGAUGGACUUACCUAUAGUUGAAAAACCAAUACCCCCUAUCCCUAUGAACUGUGAUAAUCAAACUGUGAUUGUCAAGAUAAACAGUUCUAAGGACAAUAUGAAGUCCUCAAGGCAUGUGAAGAGGAGACUGAAAUCUGUCAGAAAAUUGAGGAACUCCGAAGUUAUUACGUUGGAUUAUAUCAAAACGUCGAAAAAUUUGGCUGAUCCCUUCACAAAGGGUCUAUCACGUAAUGUGAUAGAUAAUGCAUCGAUGGAGAUGGGUCUGAGACCCACCGCAUGAGUUGUCCAUAGUGGUAACCCACUCUAUGUGAUCGGAGAUCCCGUGAAGUAGAAGUGGGAGACAAGUUGUUGGUCAGCUGGGAGGAGAGUAUCCCUAUAUUACCUAUCCCACUCCCUGAAGAUGCAAUACUCUCCUAAUCUGCAUGGCAGGUUGAUACUUACCUUAAUGUGUUCCAAGUGGCUUAUUCGGGUAAGUAGAAAUGUUGUCCUGCAGAACAUCUUCUGAGGAACACACCUAUAUGAAUUUGACUGUUAACAUUGUAGUCUGUGAGAAUUGGGUGUUCUCUAAUAAAUUCAUGAAAAGGCCCUGGAGUAUGACGUAUACGCUCCACCCGCGGGGAAGCCUUGCGGCAGCCUAGUAUCGGUCAAGAAUUUGUGUGAAACUAGUCUCGCAGAAAAUUUGUAGUUCAAGGCAUAGUCCACUAUUUAAGUUGUGAUCUAGUGUAGCAUAAAUCUCUAAGUGGAAGUUCAACUUCAUAGUCUCCACUAAGCACCGGUAUAUAAACAAUGUUUUGGAACUAAAUGAUGAGAUGUUCCAAUGAGUCUUUGUGGGGGAAUUGUUGGAAUUUUGCUAGUACGCCUUUGGCCCAAAGCCCAACUAAAAUUAUGAAAUUUUCUUGGCCCAUUCAUGCAUACAUGUGAGUGGAGUGAGUGAGACUAAAGUAUAGUCCCACCCCGGAAGUUGAGAGAGAGCACCUCUUUAUAAGGUAAGCUCUUCUACCACUUGUAUGAGCAUGAGAAUAGGAGACCUACACACGCGCUCCUCCUUGCUCGCCACGCCACGCCUCGUCACGACGCGCUGCAGGUUGCGGGAUUGAGCGGAGCCGAGGACAGAGCUAUGCACGUUGUCUAUUUUUUGCUACCCGGGAAAAAUUAAUGAGUCAUUAAUUAAUAAUUAAUGGACGCGUUAAUAACUGAACCGUUUCCGAUUCUUUUGGAUCGUGACGACUCGGACAUGGGGUUUACUCCCACGACCUACCCGGCCCGCACUAUAUAGUCAGUCAGACGUCUACCCUAGCCGCCGCCGCUUCGUAUGGUUUCUCACCACCAUUCCAGAUCAUUGCGCCGCAAAGCAAGUCUUCUCCAUACCUCCUUUCGGCGUGCACUGGGAGAAGGAACAGCAGGCCUUCGGAACCCCGCCGCUCGUGAUCCUGUACGGGAGAGGGGCGAUCAGGUUUUUGGGGAGCGCACUCGCGCGACUGCUGGCAGCGACGACUUCGCGAAUGACGACUUCAUCCCGGACCUCGGCAACCUCAUCCUCGACGACAUGGGUGACAACGUCAACGCCGGCGGUGCUGCAGCCGCUGCACCGUAUGUUAUUCUAUCCUUCUUGUUCGAGAUCGUGGUAGAAUUCAGGUUUCUAGUAUGUGCCCUAGAUGUGAUCUGUUCAUCUACUCUGCUAGUUCGCAUGAUUAGUUUAAUCUCUGCUAUUGCUGUCAUGAUCUAUUUCCAAUUUAUUCGGAUUAAAUCUCGUAGUAAUUUGCUCAUUUUUCCAACAAUGCCAUCUGAUAGAUGAUGUAAUUCUCGUCAAGUUUGACGUUGUUGAGCUAAUUUACAAAAAAACCUCAUCAUUAUUGGAUGUCCUUAACAGCUCAAGAACAAGUUGGGGUCGAACUAAUGGAUUUUACACUUUUACAUUAAAGGUUUAGCUAAAGCUAGCAGGUGUUUUUAAACCUGAUUUUUUUCCUCCUAAAUUUCUUUGUAUUUUCUUAUUGACACUAUUUAUACAAUCAUCUGACAAAGAUUUGCUAAAGCUGCUUGUAGAUACGUUGAAACCUGAAAAGCUUCUUUGGUUUUCUCAUAGGUCUUAAUUCUUAUGUAAUACCAAGAUGCAUUGUGGUAGUGUACAUGUGUUAAAUUCGUGUUGUUAUUCACAAUUUGCGACAAAAUUUAGCUCACGCUACAUUUCAAUAUGUUGAAAUGUGAAAGCUCUUUUUCUUCUCCUUUCUACACCUUGCAUCGGAUUGCAUCCCUUUAGUUAUCCAACAUUUUGUACAACAUGUAGAGAUUAGGAAGUUCAUCAUAGUUUGUCUAUUUCGGUGCUAAUAAAUGUAUGAAAUCUGCAUUUCCAAGCUAUUAGGACAAGUAAAAAAUAAUAAUUUUACUAUAGGAUUCAAAAACAGCAGUUCUGAAGUGCACUUUAUUUAUUUGCGAAAGUGACCACAUUUUGUUUCAUUUUUCUAUAGACAAAUCUACUAAUACAUACUCACGAUAAAACUAUAAAAGUUCUAGUCCGCACAUUGGGCGGGCCACCCGGCUGGUUCGUCUAAAGAAAACAAAAUGAGUCUGGAAUUUGAAUUAAAUUGAAGUAUUUUCUUGGACUUUCAAAUUGAGUAUAGUUAAAGUAGUAAGGACUAUCCACAUCCUUGGCUUGCCCCUAAUCAAUUAUUUCCAGAGAAGCAUUCAAUUCAUCAAUCAAUUACAUUGAUUUUAGUGGCUGGUACUUCUCCUGAACAUCAGUAUAUUCACCGUGGCCACUCCAAAUCGGCAAGAAUGAGGUACCAGUGCUCUGGAGCAGUGCAAGCUAAUUGCUUCUCAUGUGAAGGGGUGCGGGCGCGGGAGAGGUAUUUCUGGUGGGCCAAGGGACUAAGAAGCGACCGUGGCAGCGGUACAGACGCCCGCAAAGCCCCAUAGUUUGUUUUUGAUUUACAGGAAAAUUGCACAUCCAUACUGGCCUGGGGAAUAUAGGACCGUAUUGGAUGGAAAACCAUGUCCGGAUGGUUGCGAGCGGUUUGAGGGUUAGCUUUUGUAACACCCGGUUAGUUAUGCUACAGCAAUUCCCUGCUAAUGAUGUCACGUCACCACGAUUACUGUUGUUAACCUCACAAUGAUUGAAUCCCAUUCAAAUUCAAAUUUAAAAUAAAGGCAAACAUCAAAAGUUUUCAAACAUGAAAACUAAAAUCUUUGAGAGGUGACAAAUAAUGCAUAAGUAAUUAUGGUGGAGAAACCACACUUUAAUUAAAUGUUAAAAUACUCUAAAAUGAAAAAAACAGUGGCUUAAACUAUUAUUUAAAUGCUUUUAAAAUAGUAAAAAUCUUCUAACUAAAUUAUUUGGGUACCAAACUUUUGGUGGCAGUGGUAUAUUUAGUAGAACUAAUUUAGAUGCUAAUUAUAUAAUUUACAAAAUUAGAAUAAAUUGAAAAAUAGGAUAAAACGGAAAAGGAAAGACAAAACAAAUAAAAGCAAAAAGGGGGCAACCCCUCGCUGGGCCUCGGCCUAGCUGGCCACUAGGCGAGCUAGGCUGGCCCCGCUGCCUCCCUUAACCCCCACACUCCUCAUCGAACCCAAGCCCGAUCGCCCCACUUCCCCACACCCCCUCGCCAGCCUCCCCACCCCUUGAUCCCAUCUGGAUCGGCGAGUGUAUUGCCCCCAUCGACCCCGUUGCCAUCGCUAGAUCGCCCGCCGACGUCGCCAGGCCUCCUCCCCGCCGCACGUCUUUGGCUCGCCUCUCCUCUCGCUCCUCUUCCCCGGCCCGAUCUUGAUCGUGAACGAGCAAUGAGCUUGAAGCCCCCCUUCACCGGCGCCAUCACCGUGCGCCACCACCACCGCCUGAAGACCUCACCGUCGCUGAACCUUGCGUCGCCUCCUCGUAUCCCUCCCCUACUCACGUCCUCAAGCCAGGCCGAGCCCCUUCUCGGCAACGCUGUGAGACGCCCCCGUUUCCCUCCUCUUUCCACCGCGUUCACCACGCCGCCCGCCAUGCCCCUCGCCGUGCGCAUGCCCACCACCGCACCAGCCCCCGCUCCGCGCACGACCCUACCCGCGCCCGCGACAUGAUCCCCUUUUCCGCCCUAUCUUCCUGCGCUCGCCGCGGUCCCGAUGCUCCCCCGCGCCUUCUUUCAGGGGCGCCGACUGCCCCUGUCCCGCUGCUCGCCGCCGUGCCUCGCCACCGCUCUACUGCUGCGUUACUACUGUGCUGCGGCCGCCGCCUCUUCCUGCUGCUCCGCCAGCGCCGAAGCUCCCAGUUGGCUCCACCACUGCUCACUUUAAACCGCCGGCCUAAAUGGCCUAACCCCGGCUAAUGAACCCCCACUAACCCACUGACACCGGGACCCACAUUCCCUAAUUAACCAUUUAAUAAAUUAAAACUCUUAAAUUAACAUUAGUGUAUGACAUGUGCGUCCCCUGUUAAUUAAUAAUUUUGCUGCUAGUUUUAUUAGUUUCUGUUUUUCUGCAUAUUUCUUUUGUAUUUGAACACGCUUUAUACAGUAAUAUUUAGCGUAUCAUACACAUACAAAUGUAAUCAUAGCAUAUACAUACAAAUAGUCUCAUCAAAUCAUGUCAUCAUCAUAAUCAUCAUCCAUCACAAAGUGGUCUCUCGUCAUCAUCUCGAAAAUAGCGAUACAAGUCUCGAUUACUUGCAACUACAUCGUCAUCCAUCUAAAUAAUGAUAUACGCGAGAAGAGCUAUUACUAUGAGUACGAGCGGAACUAUGCAGUACAUGAGGCUGUAUCCCUCUCUCGCAUUAGCGUGAACCUAAACUAACUACUGGCUGUUGCUCGGAAACCGGAAACCGGUACACCUAGGCUUGACACUCCGGCCACUCGUCGUAUACUCCUGGCGUAGAACUUCUUCUCCAUCGAUGAUCUAUGUGAAGGAAAUAUGCCCUAGAGGCAAUAAUAAAGUUAUUAUUUAUUUCCUUAUAUCAUGAUAAAUCGUGAUGGGAAUGGGCCGGGUCGGCCCGCUGGGUCACUGACUCGGCCCGAAAUCUCGAGGCCAAUGGGCCAGGGAGGUUGGCCUCGAAUCACAAAACGGGUCAGUGGAGCCGGCCCCGUGUGACCCGAUGGACCAGAUGGGUCGACCCAGCGCUGCCCUAGUCCUCCAUCUAUGCCGCCGCCCCCCACGAUCUCUGUAGCCGCUCCCGAUGAUUUCUUCCGCCGCCGGCCAUCUUUGCCGCCCCUGGCAUCCCCCGACCUUCUCUAUCGGCCGCUCCCGACCUGCUGCCGCCGCCGGCUGCCCCUGAACAUCUUUGCUGGCCUGCUGCCGCCGGCGUUCCUCCCGCAUCUCGUUCGUCGUCUUGGUCGCCGUCGAGCUCGCUGACCUGCGGUCCCGUCCACCAUCUACCUCGCCAUUCCGGUCGCCGUCCUCAUCGUCAUCAUCACGCAGGUGAGACUCUUGCCGGCUUCCUCCCUGUCCCAGCGCAGCUGCAAUGACUGGUCUAGUUUAGGUUCUUGGUCUUGCUGGCACUCUCUGCGUUGUCUGCAAUUGUUUCAGUAGUUGGAGCUUGGAAGAAAUAGUCAACACUCAAAAAUAGACUGUUUGAUUGUUCAGCAUGGGACUUGUUUGAUUGUUCUCAAGAAGAAAUAGUGCUUCAGUUGAGCUCCUGUGUAGCUGCAGUUUAGCAUUCAACAACAGUUUUCUUUUUUGUGCAGCAUGCCACUUUCUUUUUUGUGCAGCAGCUUAGCUGCAGUUUAGCCUUUCGGUCCUCUGAUCCGAGGAAAAGUAAUUAGUGUUACUUCCUGUUGUUGGUUACUAAAUAAACCAGAAAUAGUUGUCCUGUGAAACAAUUUUACUCUGUUUUUUUGUUGAAUCGGCAAAUUUUACUCUGCUGGUAGGAUGGAGUAGUGCAUAUGUUGAUGAUGCUCACGAAAAACCUUCCUGGAGUAGUGCAUAUGUCCAACUGUGAGUUUCUUCUAUUCCUCGAAUGGCCGUUUGGUGUGGUGUUCUCCUAAUUUGUUGCCUGACAAGCUAGGUGUUGUGGGCGUGCUGCAUAAGAAGUAACAAUGGUUAGAAGAUGUAGUUAAUGCUUAGUUUUUUAUGUGAUAUAGGGUCAUGUGACUUCUUUUUCUUGGGCUAGCUGCCAGGUUGAGUUUGCGUAUAUGCAUAUCAGUGUAGCUGAUCCAUCGACAAGUCCAGCAUUUUUUAGUGUCAGUUCAGGGGAUGCUUUACUGGCAGCGAUUUCUGUAGUGUUGCUCAAUGGGAUGCUUUGCCGACAGUGAUUAGACCGUAAACUAAACUAUCCGGUUUCUUAUCUGCAUGCAUCUGCUGUUGAUUUUGAAAGUUAAUGCUCUCUAAUGUUCAUAUAUUUCCCUCUGAUUAGAAAAAUGGAAGAGGAGGAAGGGGACCAUGAGGCAUACCAAAGUGGUGGUUCAUCGUUGAUAUCCGGUGCGAUAAUGAGAAGGGCUCAACCACCCCCAGGGGUGUCUCCUUCUUCGAUAGACAUCUGUAGAGCUUAUCAUGGUGAGUAUUGUUAAUCUUUCUUUUUAUAGGGAUGCAAAUUAAUGGUUGCUAAAAUAAAAAAUACUCAUAAUUGUAAUGUUAACACUCGUGUCCUUUGCUCAGCAGGACGUUCGCAAGACACUCGUAUGGUUGAUUUUGAAGAAGAUGAGGCUGAUGAAGAAGAUGUUGACUAUGAAGAAGCAGAGGAAGGAGAAGAAGAUGAGGAUGAUGAAGAAGAAGAAGAAGAUGAUGAUGAUGAAGAAGAAGAAGAAGAGGGAGAUAAUGUGGAUGAAGAGGGAGAGGUUGAGAUCAUUGACAUGGGAUCGUUUUCUGAACCGGGAAGAAAGUUUUUGUCGAAAGUGUGGAAAGAAUAUGAGCCUAUCCGUGUUGAUGGCAUUGUUGUAGCUGCUGAGUGCAAACACUGUGCAAGGAAUAUUUGUGCUGAGCGUAAACAUGGAACAAGUUCAUUGCGCAAACAUUUGAAGAGAUGCAGGGAAAGGAAGAAGGUUCUUAGAGUUUCUGGACAGCUGAGUGCUUCUAUCGUGAGUCCUGAUGGAGUUGCAAUGGGGCUUUGGACCUUUAAUCAGGCAUUAGCACGCCGAGAGCUGAUGAGGAUGAUAGUGUUGCAUGAAUUGGCAUUCUCAUUGGUGGAGUACGAUGGAUUUAGAAGAUUUGUCUCUAGUUUAAAUCCUAGCUUCAAGAUGAUAUGCAGAAAAACUGUGAAGGAGGACUGCAUGAAAGCAUUUAAGGAAGAGAAGAGAAUUUUGCAAAGGAUGUUCCAAAACUCCAAAUCCAAGAUUUCUUUGACUACGGACCUAUGGACAUCAAAUCAGACAGUGGGGUACAUUUGCAUCACAGCUCACUUCAUUGAUGAGGAGUGGAAGCAGCAGAAGAGGAUAGUGAAAUUUGCAGCUAUGGAGACGCCGCACACAGGAGCUGCAAUGUUCAACGUCAUGGUGAAUUUCAUAAGAGAGUGGAACAUUGAAGAUAAUCUCUUUGCUGUGACGCUAGACAAUGCAUCGAACAAUGGUGCAAUGAUGAAGCUAUUGAAGGCACAUCUCCUGCUUAAGAAGAUGUUACCUGGUGGUGGCAAGUUGUUUCACCAACGUUGUGCCGCCCAUGUCAUAAAUCUGAUAUGUCAAGCAGGAUUGAACUUCCUUGGUCCAGUGAUCAACAUGAUACGUGAAACUGUGAAAUAUAUUCGAAGCUCACCAAGUCGAAAGGAAAAAUUUCAAGAAAUUGUUGAGCAACAUGGUGUAUCAUGUAGGAGAACUCCAAUUCUUGAUGUUCCAACUCGUUGGAACUCAACCUACAUGAUGAUUGAUAUAGCAAAAGAGUAUCGUGGAGUGUUUGACUCUUUGGCCAUUCAAGAUAAACAAUAUACCUUCAAGCCAUCUUUUGAGGAUUGGGAAAAUGCUGAAGAUGUUUGCAGGCUACUGAAGGUAUUUUAUGAAGCCACUAAUGUGAUAUCCGGCACAAAAUAUCCAACUGCUAACUUGUAUUUCCAUGAAAUGUGGAAAGUGAAGCUGACCUUAGAGCAACAACAUUAUGAAGAGGAUUCUGAGAUGGGCACAACGGUCAAAUAUAUGAAGAGAAAAUUUAGAAGGUAUUGGAAGAUGACAUGGUUGAGCCUUUGUAUUCCAGUGAUUUUGGACCCACAAUUCAAGUUGAAAUAUGUUGAUUUCCGAUUUGGCCUAGAGUUUGGGAACGAAGUUGCAGCAAUGAUUGCUAAAAUAAAAAAUGUGUUCCAAGGGUUGUUCAAGGAAUACCUCCAAUUGAAUGACAAUGGAUCAGAUCCCAUGUCACAAGGAGGUGAUGAUGACAUGGCUGUAAGUGGUGAAGAUCCUAUGGCUGAUUGGGUCCAACAUGUCACCCUCACUGCUCGAUCAACAAAUUUGGAUUAUACCGAACUUGAUUCGUACUUGUCAAAGGUACCCAUCCGCCGAAGUGAUCAAUUCAAUAUCCUUACAUGGUGGCAGACGAACUCCAGUGAAUACCCAACGCUGAGUCGCAUGGCAGCUGAUAUCUUGGCGGCUCCUUCCUCUGCGGUGGCAUCCGAGUCCGCCUUCAGCACAGGGAAGAGAGUCCUAUCAGAUUUUCGAAGUCGAAUGACCGCAACGACACUUGAAGCUCUUGUUUGUUUACAAGAUUGGAUAAGGGCCAACGGUAAAGCCAUACGACACAAGUUUCUUCUUUGUUUCUUAUUAAUGCUUCAAGUUUACAAGUUUCUUUUUUUUCUGCAGCUAAUACUCAACGUAGCUUGGCUUCAGUUCAUGACAUUAUAAUGGACUUACAAGGUAUGAGAAAUCUUCUGAUGUAUAUAGUGCCAUGUAUAUGAAGUACACUUAGUAUGAAGUCUGCUUUUUAUUUAGGGAUUUCAUAUCUACAGUUUGUUCCAGGGAACUAUUUGCAAGAUGCAACCCAAACAUGUAGAUGAGUAUAUAGAGUGUUUUACACACAGAACUAGUGCUUUUAUUUUUGGUUUCCCCAAGUUGUAGUUGAUCUCUAAUAUAUAUUUCUUUUUUCUCUCAGAUAUGAAUGUGUAGUUUAGAUUCAUUUUUUUAAUCGCCAAACUAUAUUAAAAAUAUGCAUUGCUAACUACAGUAACUUGAUUAGAAUAUGUUGCGGAGUGGAUGACAGGUAGUGUAUAAUGGAUAUUUAGAAGUGUAUUUUCUUGCAAACCUGAUCAUGAAUUGGUUUUCUGGAACACGCCUUUGCUACUAAGAAUAUUCCUCUGUUCAUAAAUAUAUUAUUUAGUUUUUUUGUGGAUAAAUAUACUAUUUAGUUGAUGUGCACAGAAUUACUCUUGUAACAUUUCUUUGCAAAUACAGAUAUCGAGGACUGAUGCUUGUUGGAGCAAUUGAUGUUAAAGCUCAAGCAGAUGGUGAAGAAGAUAUGUCAGCUUUCUCUAUAACCUACUGGAUGUGAAAAGAUUAGCAUGUUGAACUUGUAAUAUUUUGAUCUUGCAUGAGUCUGUUGGAUUGAGGUCAUUAGCUUGACGUUCUUUGAAAUCUGUAAUCUUUUGGUCUUGUUCGAAUCUGUUGGAUUGAGGUCUUUUGCUUGAUGCUCUUUGAAACAUGUAAUCUCAUGAUCUUGCCAUUCUAGAAACAUUUGCUAAAUUCUGGGUCGGCCUCAUGUACCCAAUGGGUCAAUGGGGCCACAAAAUUCUGAUGAAAUGGGCCGGCCCGUGGCCUCACAUUUUGACCUUGGGGCCACGGGGCCGGGGCCGGGGCCAGGGCCGGGUCGGCCCAUUCCCAUUCUGAAUGAUAAAUGUUUAUUAUUCAUGCUAGAAUUGUAUUAACCGGAAACAUAAUACAUGUGUGAAUACAUAGACAAACAGAGUGUCACUAGUAUGCCUCUACUAGACUAGCUCGUUAAUCAAAGAUGGUUAAGUUUCCUAACCAUAAACAAAGAGUCGUUAUUUGAUUAACGAGGUCACAUCAUUAGUUGAAUGAUCUGAUUGACAUGACCCAUUCCAUUAGCUUAGCACCCGAUCGUUUAGUAUGUUGCUAUUGCUUUCUUCAUGUCUUAUACAUGUUCCUAUGACUAUGAGAUUAUGCAACUCCCGUUUGCCGGAGGAACACUUUGUGUGCUACCAAACGUCACAACGUAACUGGGUGAUUAUAAAGGAGCUCUACAGGUGUCUCCAAUGGUAGAUGUUGGGUUGGCGUAUUUCGAGAAUAGGAUUUGACACUCCGAUUGUCGGAGAGGUAUCUCUGGGCCCUCUCGGUAAUGCACAUUACACAAGCCUUGCAAGCAUUGCAACUAAUGAGUUAGUUGCGGGAUGAUGUAUUACAGAACGAGUAAAGAUACUUGCCGGUAACGAGAUUGAACUAGGUAUUGGAUACCGACGAUCGAAUCUCGGGAAAGUAACAUACCGAUGACAAAGGGAACAACGUAUGUUGUUAUGCGGUCUGACCGAUAAAGAUCUUCGUAGAAUAUGCAGGAGCCAAUAUGGGCAUCCAGGUCCCUCUAUUGGUUAUUGACCAGAGACGUGUCCUGGUCAUGUCUACAUUGUUCUCGAACUGUAGGGUCCGCACGCUUAACGUUACGAUGACAGUUAUUAUGAGUUUAUGCAUUUUGAUGUACCGAAGGUAGUUCGGAGUCCCGGAUGUGAUCACGGACAUGACGAGGAGUCUCGAAAUUGUCACACCCUAGCUAGUUUAUGCAUUAGAGUGUGCAUCAUGUUUACCUUCAUCAGAAAUUGAAAUGGGGAGAGCAGAACCCCCAGCACCCCCCCCCUGAAAUCAACGAGGGUUUACUAAAAAUAAAUUCAAUGAACCUGAAAUGCCCUUGAAAUAUGUUCACCCUCUUUGCCUUGGGUUAGAACCCUUGGGAAAAAUGGUGCAUAUAAUUUUAGGUCAACAAAAGGGGCAUUGACUUAAUUCAUAAAUAUUUGAAUUUGGGCAUUUAAAAUACUAUUAUAUAAUUCAAAUGCUCAAAUAAUGUUGGAACUAUUUUUGGGCCACUGAAAUAUUUCAGAAAGUGUCCAUAAAUAUUUUCAGGAUUUUAUAAAAUGAUUUAGUAUCUGAACUAAAUCAAAACAGAAUAACAGAAAUAGAAAAACAAAAAAAAAUAAAGAGGGAAAGACCAUGGGCCACUUACCUGGCCCAGCGCCAGGCCACUAGCGGCCCAGCCCACCAGGCCGAUGCCAGUCGUCCCCUAGCUCCUGCCAGGAGGACGAAGGGCGUGUGCCCGCGGUGCGCCAGCACGCACACGGCCACCGACGGCCACCUCCUGCUUCGGCCGCCUCCCCGACGUCGCUUUGGACGCCACGCAUCCCCCCCUGACCCCUCGCUCACUCUCUUUCAUCCUCAUCCCCUCCUCUGCUCUCUCUCCCGCGCAACCGCCAUGAGCCCGAGAGCGCCGACGAGGACCACCACGGCCACCGCCUACCCCUCGCUUCCCUGACCAGCUUAGAGGCUCCGCCUCGACCCCGUCUUCCUUCUCACCGAACCACGCCCCGCCGGAAGCCCUGCGUCAUCAAAUUCAAGCUCUUCUUCAAGCUUCGGCACCGACGAUCGCCGCCGUCGAUUCGCUUGCUCCAGUGCCUCCCCGAGCUUGCCGAGGCCACCGCUGCAACUGCUGUGAGCUCCUGUGUCGUUUCCCCCUCCCCCCUGGCUCGAUUUCUUCUUCUAACACCGAUGCCCGUCAGAACCGAGAGCUCUUCGCCGCCGGCCAUGCCGCCACCGUGACCACAGCCGUGCAAGCUCACUCCCGAGCACGGCAACGUGCUCCACACCUCACCAAGAGCACGUGGAACCCAUCAGUUUCCCCUCCCGUGCACCACAACGCCGAUCCGCUCAACUCCCGAACUCCGGCCGCCGCGCAAGUUGCCGCCGCCGUCGUUUUAGGCCACUAGGGCUGCUGCCGUGUGCACAGAUAGAUGCGGGCGAGUCCCAGCUCCGCGUAGAUGCCCUCCGCUGGCCAUUUGGUCGCCGGAGGAGGAUUUCCGAGCCCCUCCGCCGUCUCUGGCCUUGCCGGCGACGAGCCGGGGUCAACUCCGGCGUGUUUUGACCCCGGGUCGGCUGGGUUGACUCCCCCCUGACUCACUGACGUGUGGGCCCAGGCGCCUGCCUAAUUACCAUUAGUUAAUUAGAGUUAAUAAAAAUUAGCUAAUUAGUGAGCCACUGACAUGCGGGCCCCGCCCGGCUAACCAAGUUAGUUAGGGUUAACUAACUUAGUUAGUUGAUUGUGUCACUGACCAGUGGACCCCACUGGUCAUGUUUGACCUGGAGGCGCCAGUUGACCUGCUGACAUCAGGGUGAUGUCAUGCUGACGCAAUAACUCUUUUUCUGGAUUUAAUUUUAUAUAGAAAAUUCCAGAAAAUUGCCUAAACUUCAAAAAUUCAUAGAAAUUCAACCAUAACUCCAAAUGAGACAAAUUAUAUAUGAAAAAUUAUCAGAAAAAUUCAAGGAAUCCAUCUGUACCAUUUUCAUGCAUGUUUGAACAAUGCUUGUCCUCUGUUUUGGACAAAACAAAUAAAGGGCAUUUAAAUAAUCAUAUAUGGGGUUGGAAUUUGAAUCUUGUACUCAAACCAACUCCAUUUAAAUCAUAGCUAGUUGCAUAAGCUCAAGACACAUCCAUAUUGCCAUGUCAUAGCAUGCAUCAUAUUGUUGCAUAUCAUCAUGUGUUGAUUGUGCUCGGUUGUGUUCUUCGUGGUAGGUUCUGCCUCCGAGGAUAUUCACGAGUAUCCAACUGAAGGGCAGUAUCCCGUUACCACUCCAUCAGGCAAGCAACCAUUGAUCAUUCCGAUACAACCCAUGUUCUCGCUCCUACUCUUGUUUACUGCAUUAAGACAACACGAUUCAAACUGCCGUGUGCUACGGUAGUUGAACCCUUAUCCUCUGCAUGACCUGUCAUUGCCACAGUAACUAGAUGAAACCCACUAGCAUGUGUAGGAGUUGAUUGAGCCAUGUUUUGUGAUUCCUACCUUGCUAUGCCUGCUAUGCUUAGAGUUGUGUCAGGUCUGGUUCAUCUGGGGAAUGGGCUAGAGUGAAAUGCUUGUGCCAGUAAAUUGUGGGAUGUGUUGAACAUGUUUUGGUAAAGGUAUCGAUGAGAGGCCAUGUAGGAGUACAUGGUGGGUUGUUUCAUUGAAGCCGUCCCUAAGAACUGAGUUCUGUAUGCGUGAAUUAAGAUUCAGCUACUACCACACAUUGGGCCCUGAAAUAUGACCCCGCUCGACUUACCGACCCCUCUCGCCUCAGUCCAGGAGUUGCAACUAGUUUCUGGUGUUUGUAGGAUAUGUGUUGGCGGCCGUGCGUAGCGCUGACCCUAGGGGUGGGCUAUGUUGCGGUAGAUACACCGUGGCACGGUGUACUGAGUCACCCGUUUGGUGUCUCGGGAACCCUGUUCACAUCGUUCGGGGCCGUUGAGGACACCCCGGCCGGAUUUCCUUGCGGAUGGAACCUGAAUAGGCGAUGACCCUGGACUAGAGACUCGUGAGGUUAGUCAGGUCGUGGUCUACACCCACGUCGGUUUUCGCUUGAAGUCUGCCGAGCACAUUUCGUGUGCAGACGCUAAGUGGUGGAAACAUGUGUGACGAAGUACACCCCUGCAGGGUAUAAAACUAUUCGAAUAGCCGUGUCCGCGGUAAAGGACUACUUGGUUGCAUAUACAGUUCAUAGACAAGUUAAUGGAUACUACUAAAAGACUCAAGAUAAGUGUGAGUACCGAGGAUGGCUCCCUCGCAGGAUACGAGGGAGGAUCCACGGUGGAGUAUUGUGAUGGUGAGUAGUGGACUCGUGUGCAAAAACUAUUUUGCUAAAAGAUUCCGUAGGAUAGCUUAGCCAAGAGUCAAAGCUGGUUUGCUGCAUAAACCCCACCACCUUCUUGAGAAUGAGCAUGUACAGUAGGUUCUGAUGUAAGACUUGCUGAGUACCUUUGUACUCAUGUUUGCUUAUUUAUUGUUUUCAGACGACAACACUGCCCCCUCCGAUGGGUUUUACGUAGACCUUGACGUCGACGAGUGACUAGCCACCCAGGUGGUGAUCCAGGCCAUGGAGGGCCCUAUGUAGAUAGACAGGCUUCGAGAAGCCUUCUUUCUUUCUAGAGUCUGUACCCAGACUAGUUGCUUCCGCAUGUGCUUGUAUGACUGUAUGACUUGAGUGUCGGGUCAUGUGACCCCUACCUGUAUGGAUAUGUUAUGUAUGGCUCCCUGGAGCCUUUAAAUAAAGUACCUGAGUUGUAGAGUUUUGUUGUGAUGCCAUGUUGUAUGUACUCAUAUCGAGCAUAUUGUAUGUAUGAUUGAAAUGCUUGGUAUGAGUGGGAUCCGACAAUCUAGUUGUUUGUCCUUCGCAGCCUUUCUUAUGGGGAAAUGUAGUCUAGUGCUCCUCGAGCCAUAGUAGUCCGCUACAGCCCGGUUCAGCGGAGUCCUACUAGCCCAGCACUACUGUUCAGGACACUUGACUAGCCGGCAUGUGUUUCACUUCGGGGAAAUGUCACGCGGUGAUCUCCGGAGUCCUGUCUAGCCUGCUACAGCCCGGGAUCCCCCGGAGUCCUGUUAGCCCAGUGCUACAGCCCGGAAUCACUCGUUGAUGACCGACAUGUUCGUUGUGAUUCAUGUAUGCCUGUCUCCAUAGGUCUGUGCCGCUUUGGGUUCACGACUAGCCAUGUCGGCCCGGGUUCUCGGUCAUAUGGAUGCUAGCGACAUUGUCAUAUACGCGAGCCAAAAGGCGCAAACGGUCCCGGGCCAUGGUAAGGCGACACCCGUGGGAUACCGUGAGUGAGGCCGCAAAGUGAUAUGAGGUGUUACCGGCUAGAUCGAUGUGGCUUAGAAUCGGGGUCCUGACAGCGUUGGCAUCAGAGCCGGACUGCCUAUAGGUUCGUUCAGCCAAACUGGUCGAUGUCGAGUCUAGAAAUGCUUUAGUUAUAUGUAAGGGAAUUGAUUGUGGGAGGGAACGUAAGGUUCUUUUACUCCUUUACCCUAUGCUUCUGAUCUGAGUCAUUCUCUUCUCAUUCAACGUGGGUUAAGGACUAGGCUCUCUUCUUCUAUCAGGUUCACGUGUUACUAAUCCGUAGUAGUUCAUAGGAUUAUUGCUACGAGUUCCAGUCCAGUUUCUACUAUUUUAGUACGUUGCUAUUUGAAUCAGAACCUUGAUAUGAUGCUGUUGAGCGGUAUUGUGAACUGUUGUGGAUGUCUCAAAUCUUUUUCUGAGCAUUUACAACCGCUAUGCUGCCCAAUUUUCCCUAGGAAUUCUGAUGUCUUUGUCUUGUGGUUGUGCUUUCAGAUGGCCAACCAUUCUCAAAAUCAAGUGGUUCGCCUGACUAGGUGCCUCGACGUGCCCGGUCAUACUGCUAUGUUGGUCCGGGUCAUGAUCGAGACAGGAUACCGUUGGUAUCCCGAAUACACUGUUGAAGAGCAGUUCCGCGACUUUAAUCAAAGCCAGUAUUUAUGCACCGUCAGGAUAUUUCCUUCCUAUCCUGGAUCUACCGAGCCCCUUCACUGUUCCUAUGGACUCGGAGUUACCAUUGAGAUGGCUGUGCAGGAUGCUGCCUAUUUCAUGAUGACCAUCUUGCGAGUCCGGACUGGCCUGCUUCGGAACACUGACUUCCGUUACAUGCCAGCUUCACUUCCGGGAGCGCAGGGGUAUCUUCAGGCUAUCUAUGCUGACUCCACUCAGGAGGACUCAUUAACUCGUACCACCGCUGAGAUGCUCGAAGAUAUGGACCGAGAGAAUCGGGCCUUGAGGCUGGAGCUCUUUAAUACCCGUGCUGAUCAUUGGGCCACAUUGACUCGGUUUGCACCCGCGGUGCAAGCGGGAUGUAUGGAUACCAGGGAUCUGUAUCCUGUGAGAGCAGCUCUGCCAGACAUGGUGGAUUGGCGUGAUGUGGGAGGCAUCACCCCACCCCUUGGUCACCGCAGGCCACCGUUUGUGGGUCCAAGACCUUAUCCUAGCCCCUAUGGUCCACAGGCUCCUCAGGACCGUCUGUUUCCGGAUGAUCACGUUGAACUUCCAGGCUAUGGAGGUGACUUCUAUGAGGACUACUACGGAGCUAUCUGAGUUAGUAGUAGUACCACUAGUAUUGUAGUAGUUGUAUCUCCACUGUCCUGUGUGACUUGUGGAAUACGACUUGGUGUGUAAUCGAUUCCGGAGGUGUAGACAAAUAAUGUAUAGGGACUCGGAAUGCCUCCGAUGAGAUGUAACGUCUACCUUCAUAGUUGUACUGUAGCAUGGGCUUGUACUAAACUAUGUAUGACGAGUAUGACCGUUGGUGUAUAUAUGGCAGUUUUAUAUUACCAUGGCAUACGAAUGAGCAUCUCUGCAUUCCGCGUUAUCCUUUACAUUCUGCACUUCCCUGUUAAGUUUGAGCCAUCCUUGUCUAAACCGUUGUCUUGUUUCCUCCUAGGAUGGUCAACACCCGCGGAAACCCUGCUGCCCCGGAGCAGGGGGAAGCCAAUGCAGCUAGAGGUGAAAAUUUGCCUCACCCGCCUUCCCUGGCCGAAGUGAUGCUGGAGGCGGAAAGGAACAAGCGUGAGACCAACCGCCUGCUGGAGCGGAUUGAGCAGAACACUGCACGCCACCCACGAAAUGACUUGGUGUCAAUCAACGACUUUAUCAAGCUGUACCCACCAAAGUUUAACCAUUCCGUCGAGCCCCUCGACGCGGAUGAUUGGCUUCGCAGCAUCACCCACAAGCUACGUUCUGCCAACGUAGCUGAAGCCGACAAGGUUACCUAUGCUGCUUAUCAUCUUGAGGGCCCCGCUAGCCAUUGGUGGGAAAACUACGAAGCUAUGCGCCCGGUCGGCCAAAUCACUACCUGGGCUGAGUUCAGCGAGGCUUUCCGUGAGCAUCACAUUCCGGAAGGUCUCAUGGAUCGCAAGAGGGAGGAGUUCUGUAACUUCACCCAAGGAAGGCUGACUGUGGAUGCAUAUAGCCGAGAAUUUGGGAACCUGGCACGCUAUGCUCCUGAAGAGGUUUCUACUGACGCCAAGAAGCAGGGAAGGUUCCGUAAGGGACUUAGCCCUGAGCUUCGCUGCGAUCUCCGUCCGCACGAGUGCACAUCCUUCCAGAAGCUGGUCAAUAAAGCUAUCAGUGCUGAGACAGGCCAGACUGAUUAUGACGCUUCACGCAAGCACUCUCGUGAUUUUGGGUCUUCAUCCGGCUCUGGAGCUCAGAAGCGCCGGGUGUGGAUUCCAAGCACCGCACUGCCAGCCAGAUUCACCCCGAGGCCAUCCUUUGAGGCGCCUCAUCCCAACCAGCAAUUUGCACCGCCCAAGCCCUAUGGUGGCCCCGCUGCUAAUGUUGCUCCACGCCCCACUAUGGUAACAUGCUUCAUGUGUGGAGAACCGGGUCACUAUAGUCGAGAGUGUCCCCAGAACAACCCCAAUCAAGCUGGAAAGUCCGUUGGCCGUGGUAAGCCCGCGGGAAAGACUUUCUAUGCCAAGCCGGCCACUACUGCACGUGGCCAUGUAAACUACGUCUCAGCCGAAGAGGCUCAUGAGGAUCCCAACGUCGUCCUUGGUACGCUCCUUGUUAACUGCCAUCCGGCAUCUGUUCUUUUCGAUACUGGAGCAUCUCAUUCAUUCAUAUCCGAGAAUUAUGCUCGGUCGCAUAACACGACAUUCUGUGACAUGCCCACUUCCAUGGUAAUUCAAACUCCGGGUUCCAAAUGGCAAACUUCUAGGGUAAGCCAUGGGAACGAAAUUCUUGUCGAUAGGCUUGUUUUCCUUGCAUCUUUAAUAGCUCUCAAGUCCUCCGACAUAAACAUCAUCUUGGGUAUGGACUGGAUGUCGGCUCAUUAUGCCAAGAUCGAUUGUGCCACUAGAACCGUUCAACUUAUUCAUCCCUCAGGCAAGACAGUUAAUGUCUUAACUCGAGUGGCCAAGCGCCAACUUUACUCUCUCAAUGCCAACCCUCUUCCAGACCUUGAGGACGUUCCGGUAGUCCGAGACUUCCCGGAUGUGUUUCCGGAAGAACUGCCAGGUGUUCCACCUGACCGGGAUGUCGAGUUUGUGAUAGACCUUGUUCCAGGAACCGUUCCAAUUGCUAGAAGACCCUACAAGAUGGCACCCUUAGAACUAGCCGAGCUUAAGAACCAACUCGAUGAGUCCUUGAACAAAGGGUUCAUCCGUCCUAGCUCCUCUCCUUGGGCUUGCCCCGUCCUCUUCGUCAAGAAGAAGGAUGGAACGGAUCGAAUGGUUGUGGAUUACCGACCUGUCAAUCUGGUCACCAUCAAGAACAAAUACCCGCUUCCCAGGAUCAACGACCUGUAUGAUCAGCUCACUGGAUCCUCAGUCUUCUCCAAGAUGGAUUUGAGGCUGGGCUACCAUCAAAUCAAAAUCAGAAACGGGGACAUUCCCAAAACGGCCUUUGUUACUCGUUAUGGCCAAUACGGGUACACCGUCAUGUCCUUCGGUUUAACCAAUGCCCCGGCCACUUUCUCCUGGUUAAUGAACUCGGUUUUCAUGGAGUACUUGGACAAAUUCGUUGUAGUAUACCUCGAUGACAUACUCAUCUACUCCAAGAAUGAAGAGGAACAUGCCGAACAUCUAAGGCUGGUAUUGAUGAAACUUCGAGAGCAUCGCCUUUAUGCCAAAUUCUCCAAGUGUGAAUUUUGGUUGUCAGAAGUGACCUAUCUAGGCCAUGUAAUCUCUGGUAAGGGUAUUGCUGUCAAUCCCGAGCGAGUUCAAGCCGUCCUUGAUUGGACUCCACCUGAAACGGUCAAGCAAGUUCGGAGUUUCCUUGGCCUAGCGAGCUAUUGCCGCCGCUUCGUCGAGAAUUUCUCCAAGGUUGCUAAACCUCUAACUGAACUCCUCAAGAAAGAUAAAAAGUUCGAGUGGACUCCGCAGUGCGAGUUCAGUUUUCAGGAAUUGAAAAGACGCCUGACAUCUGCUCCCGUACUGGUACCACCAGAUUUCUCCAAGGACUUUAUUAUCUAUUGCGACGCCUCGCGACAAGGACUAGGUUGCAUACUCAUGCAAGAUCGUCAGGUAAUUGCCUAUGCUUCAUGGCAAUUACACCCACAUGAGGAAAAUUAUCCCACACAUGAUCUAGAGCUUGCAGCUGUAGUCCAUGCACUCAAAACCUCGCGACAUUACCUCCUCGGUAAUCGUUGCGAGAUCUUCACCGAUCACCAAAGCUUGAAAUAUAUCUUCACCCAACCAGAUUUGAAUCUCAGGCAAAGACGUUGGGUCGAGUUGAUCUCGGAUUACGACUUAGGAAUAACUUACACCCCUGGCAAAGCCAAUGUCAUGGCCGAUCCGCUAAGUCGUAAGUCCUACUGUAACAACCUGCUGUUACAACAAAGUCAACCACUUCUCCAUGAGGAAUUUCGCAAGCUUAAUCUUCACAUUGUUCCUCAAGGAUUCUUGUCUACUCUGGUGGCGAAACCUACCCUUAUGGAUCAAAUCAUAGCUGCCCAAAAGCGUGAUAAGGGCAUAUCCCGGAUUAAGGAAAACAUUGCUAGCGGAGUAGCUAAAUGUUUUUCCAUGGAUGAGCAAGGUGCUGUCUUCUUUGAGAACCGCCUGGUGGUUCCCAAGAACCAACAUCUACGCCAGAUGAUCCUUAAGGAAGCUCAUGAAUCCCCUCUCACCAUUCAUCCCAGUAGUACUAAAAUGUAUCAAGACUUACGCCAGAGGUUUUGGUGGACUAGGAUGAAGAGAGAAAUCGCUCAAUACAUUGCUAAUUGCGACGUUUGUCGUCGUGUUAAAGCAGAGCAUCAACGGCCUGCUGGCACCCUUCAACCUUUGGCUAUUCCUGAAUGGAAAUGGGACAAAAUCAGUAUGGAUUUCAUCACUGGGUUUCCCAGGACCAAGAGGGGAAAUAAUGCCAUCUUCGUCGUGAUCGACCGUCUUUCCAAAGUAGCCCAUUUUCUACCUGUUCGUGAGAGUAUCACCGCUAGCCAGCUAGCUGACCUAUACAUCUCCCGAAUAGUGUCUCUUCAUGGUGUCCCAUUGGAAAUUAACUCAGACCGUGGAAGUCUCUUCACCUCUCGAUUUUGGGAAAGUUUCCAAAAUGCUAUGGGAACUCAUCUCUCCUUUAGCACCGCCUUCCAUCCUCAAUCAAGUGGUCAAGUAGAGCGAGUAAAUCAAAUUCUGGAAGAUAUGCUCCGAGCUUCUGUUAUCUCGUUCGGAAUGAGUUGGGAAAAAUGCCUUCCAUUCGCGGAGUUUGCUUAUAACAAUAGCUAUCAAGCUAGUUUGGGCAAGGCUCCCUUCGAAGUUCUCUAUGGACGAAAAUGUCGAACGCCUCUUAACUGGUCAGAAACCGGGGAAAGGCAACUCUUUGGCCCGGAUAUGAUUCAGGAAGCAGAAGAGCAGGUUCGCGUUAUUCGUGAGAAAUUGAAAACGGCCCAAUCUCGCCAAAAGAGUCAAUAUGAUCGUAAGCAUAAGCCAAUGACAUUUGAAAUUGACGAGAAAGCUUAUCUUCGGGUUACCCCGUUAAAGGGAACCCAUCGCUUCGGUAUCAAAGGCAAAUUGGCUCCUCGUUACAUUGGACCCUUUCGCAUUCUUGCCAAACGAGGAGAAGCUGCCUACCAAUUGGAACUACCUCCGCAUCUUUCCAGAGUUCACGACGUCUUCCACGUUUCGCAACUCAGGCGUUGCUUCGCGGAUCCUAUCCGUGGAGUGGACCACGAAACGCUUGAUUUACAAGAUAACCUCUCUUAUCGGGAAUACCCCGUUCGUAUCCUUGAUCAAGCCGAGCGUACCACUCGACGUCAUAAUAUCAAGUUUCUCAAGGUUCAAUGGUCACACCAUUCCGAGGAAGAAGCCACUUGGGAAAGGGAGGAUCGUCUUCGACUCGAGUACCCCGCCUUCUUCCCAGAUGAUCCUAAAUCUCGGGACGAGAUUCUAUUGAGUGGGGGUGAGUUGUCACACCCUAGCUAGUUUAUGCAUUAGAGUGUGCAUCAUGUUUACCUUCAUCAGAAAUUGAAAUGGGGAAAGCAGAACCCCCAGCACCCCCCCUGAAAUCAACUAGGGUUUACUAAAAAUAAAUUCAAUGAACCUGAAAUGCCCUUCAAAUAUGUUCACCCUCUUUGCCUUGGGUUAGAACCCUUGGGAAAAAUGGUGCAUAUAAUUUUAGGUCAACAAAAGGGGCAUUGACUUAAUUCAUAAAUAUUUGAAUUUGGGCAUUUAAAAUACUAUUAUAUAAUUCAAAUGCUCAAAUAAUGUUGGAACUAUUUUUGGGCCACUGAAAUAUUUCAGAAAGUGUCCAUAAAUAUUUUCAGGAUUUUAUAAAAUGAUUUAGUAUUUGAACUAAAUCAAAACAGAAUAACAGAAAUAGAAAAACACAAAAAAAAAUAAAGAGGGAAAGACCAUGGGCCACUUACCUGGCCCAGCGCCAGGCCACCAGCGGCCCAGCCCACCAGGCCGAUGCCAGUCGUCCCCUAGCUCCUGCCAGGAGGACGAAGGGCGUGUGCCCGCGGUGCGCCAGCACGCGCACGGCCACCGACGGCCACCUCCUGCUUCGGCCGCCUCCCCGACGUCGCUUUGGACGCCACGCAUCCCCCCCUGACCCCUCGCUCACUCUCUUCCAUCCUCAUCCCCUCCUCUGCUCUCUCUCCCGCGCAACCGCCAUGAGCCCGAGAGCGCCGACGAGGACCACCACGGCCACCGCCUCCCCCUCGCUUCCCUGACCAGCUUGGAGGCUCCGCCUCGACCCCGUCUUCCUUCUCACCGAACCACGCCCCGCCGGAAGCCCUGCAUCGUCGAAUUCAAGCUCUUCUUCAAGCUUUGGCACCGACGAUCGCCGUCGUCGAUUCGCUUGCUCCAGUGCCUCCCCGAGCUUGCCGAGGCCACCGCUGCAACUGCUGUGAGCUCCUGUGUCAUUUCCCCCUCUCCCCUGGCUCGAUUUCUUCUUCUAACACCGAUGCCCGUCGGAACCGAGAGCUCUUCGCCGCCGGCCAUGCCGCCACCGUGACCACAACCGUGCAAGCUCACUCCCGAGCACGGCAACGUGCUCCACACCUCACCAGGAGCACGUGGAACCCAUCAGUUUCCCCUCCCGUGCACCACAACGCCGAUCCGCUCAACUCCCGAACUCCGGCUGCCGCGCAAGUUGCCGCCGCCGUCGUUUUAGGCCACUAGGGCUGCUGCCGUGUGCACAGAUAGAUGCGAGCGAGUCCCAGCUCCGCGUAGAUGCCCUCCACUGGCCAUUUGGUCGCCGGAGGAGGAUUUCCGAGCCCCUCCGCCGUCUCUGGCCUUGCCGGCGACGAGCCGGGGUCAACUCCGGCGUGUUUUGACCCCGGGUCGGCUGGGUUGACUCCCCCCGGACUCACUGACGUGUGGGCCCAGGCGCCUGCCUAAUUACCGUUAGUUAAUUAGAGUUAAUAAAAAUUAGCUAAUUAGUGAGCCACUGACAUGCGGGCCCCGCCCGGCUAACCAAGUUAGUUAGGGUUAACUAACUUAGUUAGUUGAUUGUGUCACUGACCAGUGGACCCCACUGGUCAGGUUUGACAUGGAGGCGCCAGUUGACCUGCUGACAUCAGGGUGAUGUCAUGCUGACGCAAUAACUCUUUUUCUGGAUUUAAUUUUAUAUAGAAAAUUCCAGAAAAUUGCCUAAACUUCAAAAAUUCAUAGAAAUUCAACCAUAACUCCAAAUGAGACAAAUUAUAUAUGAAAAAUUAUCAGAAAAAUUCAAGGAAUCCAUCUGUACCAUUUUCAUGCAUGUUUGAACAAUGCUUGUCCUCUGUUUUGGACAAAACAAAUAAAGGGCAUUUAAAUAAUCAUAUAUGGGGUUGGAAUUUGAAUCUUGUACUCAAACCAACUCCAUUUAAAUCAUAGCUAGUUGUAUAAGCUCAAGACACAUCCAUAUUGCCAUGUCAUAGCAUGCAUCAUAUUGUUGCAUAUCGUCAUGUGUUGAUUGUGCUCGGUUGUGUUCUUCGUGGUAGGUUCUGCCUCCGAGGAUAUUCACGAGUAUCCAACUGAAGGGCAGUAUCCCGUUACCACUCCAUCAGGCAAGCAAGCAUUGAUCAUUCCGAUACAACCCAUGUUCUCGCUCCUGCUCUUGUUUACUGCAUUAAGACAACACGAUUCAAACUGCCGUGUGCUACGGUAGUUGAACCCUUAUCCUCUGCAUGACCUGUCAUUGCCACAGUAACUAGAUGAAACCCACUAGCAUGUGUAGGAGUUGAUUGAGCCAUGUUUUGUGAUUCCUACCUUGCUAUGCCUGCUAUGCUUAGAGUUGUGUCAGGUCUGGUUCAUCUGGGGAAUGGGCUAGAGUGAAAUGCUUGUGCCAGUAAAUUGUGGGAUGUGUUGAACAUGUUUUGGUAAAGGUAUCGAUGAGAGGCCAUGUAGGAGUACAUGGUGGGUUGUUUCAUUGAAGCCGUCCCUAAGAACUGAGUUCUGUAUGCGUGAAUUAAGAUUCAGCUACUACCACACAUUGGGCCCUGAAAUAUGACCCCGCUCGACUUACCGACCCCUCUCGCCUCAGUCCAGGAGUUGCAACUAGUUUCUGGUGUUUGUAGGAUAUGUGUUGGCGGCCGUGCGUAGCGCUGACCCUAGGGGUGGGCUAUGUUGCGGUAGAUACACUGUGGCACGGUGUACCGAGUCACCCGUUUGGUGUCUCGGGAACCCUGUUCACAUCGUUCGGGGCCGUUGAGGACACCCCGGCCGGAUUUCCUUGCGGAUGGAACCUGAAUAGGCGAUGACCCUGGACUAGAGACUUGUGAGGUUAGUCAGGUCGUGGUCUACACCCACGUCGGUUUUCGCUUGAAGUCUGCCGAGCACAUUUCGUGUGCAGACGCUAAGAGGUGGAAACAUGUGUGACGAAGUACACCCGUGCAGGGUAUAAAACUAUUCGAAUAGCCGUGUCCGCAGUAAAGGACUACUUGGUUGCAUAUACAGUUCAUAGACAAGUUAAUGGAUACUACUAAAAGACUCAAGAUAAGUGUGAGUACCGAGGAUGGCUCCCUCAUGUGACCCCUACCUGUAUGGAUAUGUUAUGUAUGGCUCCCUGGAGCCUUUAAAUAAAGUACCUGAGUUGUAGAGUUUUGUUGUGAUGCCAUGUUGUAUGUACUCAUAUCGAGCAUAUUGUAUGUAUGAUUGAAAUGCUUGGUAUGAGUGGGAUCCGACAAUCUAGUUGUUUGUCCUUCGCAGCCUUUCUUAUGGGGAAAUGUAGUCUAGUGCUCCUCGAGCCAGAGUAGUCCGCUACAGCCCGGUUCACCGGAGUCCUGCUAGCCCAGCACUACUGUUCAGGACACUUGACUGGCCGGCAUGUGUUUCACUUCGUCCCUAUGUCUGUCCCUUCGGGGAAAUUUCACGCGGUGAUCUCCGGAGUCCUGUCUAGCCUGCUACAGCCCGGGAUCCCCCGGAGUCCUGUUAGCCCAGUGCUACAGCCUGGAAUCACUCCUUGAUGACCGACAUGUUCGUUGUGAUUCAUGUAUGCCUGUCUCCAUAGGUCUGUGCCGCUUUGGGUUCACGACUAGCCAUGUCGGCCCGGGUUCUCGGUCAUAUGGAUGCUAGCGACAUUGUCAUAUACGCGAGCCAAAAGGCGCAAACGGUCCCGGGCCAUGGUAAGGCGACACCCGUGGGAUACCGUGCGUGAGGCCGCAAAUUGAUAUGAGGUGUUACCGGCUAGAUCGAUGUGGCUUAGAAUCGGGGUCCUGACAGAAAUGGUCGAGACAUAAAGAUUGAUAUAUUGGAAGCCUAUAUUUGGAUAUCGGAAGUGUUCCGGGUAAAAUCGAGAUUUUGCCAGAUUACCGGGAGGUUACCAGAACCCCCCGGGAGCCAUAUGGGCCUUAUUGGGCUUUAGUGGAAAGGUGAAAAGGGCUGCCAUGGUGGGCUGCACGCCUCCCCCCUCCCCUAGUCCUAUUAGGACUAGGAGAGGUGGCCGGCCACCUCUCUCUCUCUUUCCCCCUUGGGAGUCCUAUUUGGAAUAGGAUUGGGGGGGAGUCCUACUCACGGUAGGAGUAGGACUCCUCCUGCACCCUCCUCUUUGCCGGCCAGCCCCUCCCCCUUGGAUCCUUUAUAUACAGGGGCAGGGGGCACCUCUAGACACACAAGUUGAUCAUUGAGAUCGUUCCUUCGCCGUGUGCGGUGCCCCCUGCCACCAUAUUCCACCUCGAUCAUAUCGUUGUAGAGCUUAGGCGAAGCCCUGUGUCGGUAGAACAUCAAGAUCGUCACCAUGCCGUCGUGCUGAUGGAACUCCUCCACGAAGCUUUGCUGGAUCGGAGCCCGGGGAUCGUGAUCGAGCUGUACGUGUGCUAAGAACUCGGAGGUGCCGGAGUAACGGUGCUUGGAUCGGUCGGAUCGGGAAGAAGACGUACGACUACUUCCUCUACGUUGUGUCAACGCUUCCGUUGCGAUCUACAAGGGUACGUAGAUUAGACUCUCCCCCUCGUUGCUAUGCAUCACCAUGAUCUUGCGUGUGCGUAGGAAAAUUUUGAAAUUACUACGUUCCCCAACACUAUGCACCUGCAUCGUCACAUGAGUCGAUGAUAUGCAACAUAUAUAGUUGAGCAUCAGAAAGAGAUAGACUUGGCAAAAAUAGAAGCAACAUAUCAUAAGCAUAAAUAACAAAGUUCAUCGUACCCAAAAUGCCCUAACUAGAGUGAUCUUCGGUAGUCAAGGAGGAAGGUUUAAUUACAUCACAAAUAAUGUUUCGUCGUGCAUAACUCAAAGUUCCGUCAUACAGAAGGUAUGAACUAAACGGACACAUUGUCAUAUUUCGAAAAUCACUCCAACAUGGCGUGCCAUCCAUCCAAGUCAAGGAGAUAGUGCCCGAGCUUAGUGAAAGGCUUCAGGUCGAGACGCUGAGCGGCUACGCGUGUUCGGACUCUUCCCAUGACAUUUGUCCUUCUUCAUAGAACAUCCCUGUUUUUUCGACGACCUCCAUCAUGAUGAUUUGGGCAAGUUCGCACUGGAAGUGAUAUAACUCAUCUUGAAGUCGAUGAUCCUCGAUAUCUUCUAAGUUCUUUGCCCAUUGCAGAAUAUGGGCAUGGCUGAAUUUAGGUGACAUGCAAAGGUUCUGGUGAUCCUGUCUGUACUCCAUCAUGUGGUGUAGGACAUAGAACCCAUCAUCAAGAGAAUCACUCGGUUGCUGGAUGCAGCUGAAGUCGGUCUUAUGGGCCUGCCGUCCCUUUUCUUCUUGUCCUUGACCUCUCCACCCCGUGCAUCGUAGUAAAACAUAGCACUAUCGAGAACAAACUUGAUGUGGGUGUAAUCCUUUUUGUUAAUGUUCUUCGACGAGUCCACAAUAUCGGGGGUAGAGGAUGAUGAGGACGGCGCGCCUGCCGUUGCGCAAAAUAAGUACACCUCAAAUGAAUUAAACUCCAUCGUUCAAAUGAAUGAUUGAAAUCGAAGGAAGGAUAUCUGCGCGGAUGACUUACACGGGAUGAUAAGGCACGAGAAUCGCCUCCUUGUCCUUAUUGGCAAGCAUGAAAUUGACGAUGUAUUCCUCGUGUAUUCAUGGUGCUUUGCGCGGACUCCCAAGACGCCCUCGUGCAUGAAGUACGGGUCAGCGACAUAGAUAUGAGGUAUCUGCUCAACCCCGAUGAGGUAGUUCAUGUGCAAGGCAUAAAGGCGGACAAACAUAAAAUCCAGCUUCUUUAAGUGAAACAUGUUGAAGAUGUAAUCAGAUCGAAGGAAAAACUUCUUCGAGGGGAAUGUGUCGACGUACGACAAUUGCCCGGCACGUUAACCACGUAGAGAGGGUAUCCUGGAUUUUUCGAGGCGAUGAGGCCUUUCUCUAUCCGCAACACGUCGUCAUGAAGUCUCCUUAGAUCGCCGGAUCUGGCCCCUAGCGCUGCUUUCGGUAGGAUUGGUUCACCAGGAUACGCCAUUUUGCCGCUCCGGGGACAUCUAUACGGUCUUGAACCCGAGGCUGCUGAGGCGGCUGGAUCAUAGAAGCAGCUUUGUUGGCUUUCCUCAGUGUAUUCCUAGGCUUCUUUGCUACAGGAAGGUCAUCUAUGAUAUGUUCAGCCUCCAGAGGCGGCAAUUCAGGCACCGACUCAUGACGCUCAAACCCUGAGUAGGCGCCAGUAUUGAGAUACUGUUGAGUGCCAUUGUUGUCCUCAUCUAUGGCGGUGUCACCAGCGACAAAUGGAGCCUCUUCCUCACCCCGUUCGCUAUCACCCAGCACGACAGCCGGCGCUAAUUGGGUAGGUGGGGUGUUGAUGUUCAUACCUAACUGCGUGCUCGUGUGUGUGCUCCCGGCCGUCUCCAAACAAAGUAGACUCUUUGGCCACAACAGGACCCACCCAUUGCAAUCACCAAUCCCCUGCGGGAUCUCGUCGUCAUUCCCCCUAGUACCGGAGGAGCCAAAUUCUCCUGGCCUGGUUUGACACUGGCCACGGAAACUUUGUAGACGUCCGAGGGGAUCGGUCGGCCGUGGAACAAUGGUUCCUUAGGCUUCAUUAUCGUCACCUUCCCCACGUCCACCUCCUGGUAGCGGAUGUUGUACAAUAUGGUGCACGGGGUUACAUUGGCCUGCAAAGACAUUUCUGCGAUGUGAGAUAUCCGACAGGCAACAAAAAAUGGGAGAUUAUACAUUUAUUGAAGAGGGCUGGUGUGACAGAUAUAGUGAGGGCGUCGAGCUCAUCCAAAGAUGAAGCACCGCUGAGCACGUCCGGUGUCGGAGCCGGUGCGGGAGCAGGUGCAGGUGCUGGUGCAACGCUAGUCGAGCUGCUCCCGAAGAAGUCAGCAAGGGGAAAGUCCGCUGCAUUUUUUUUCUGGAUUUUGCGUGCUCGAAUUGAAAACGGCCGAAACCAAGACAGUAGACAUAUCUGCAACCACCUGUUUUGCGGCAGCUAUCGCUGUUGCGACUGUCUCAGAUGAUUUCUUCUCAAUCGGAAUCUAAACCUUCUGGCUGAUGUUUUCUUCAGUUAACCUCCGUCUUUCCUUUCGCUCCUCCGUGGUCUCACGGUAGUACUUCUUCCACGUGGCGCCGUCUACGACACCGUCCACGCGUCCAUACGACGGCCGAUUCUCCACCAGGAGUCCUUUCAAUAUGUUCAAUACCCGGUUGAAUGGAGUCUACCACUUGGGCCUCGCCAACGCCUCAGACGGCGAGUCACUUUCGGCUGCAAUCUUGUGCUGCUCUCUCUUCAAAAGGAACAAGGAUCGUUUACAAAUAUGACUAAACGUGCAGUCGAAUUGAUCAGAAACUAAAAUUACCAGCAGUCUCGUGAACUCCGUCGUGAUCGGGUCCGUCUUAAAAACCUUCUUGACUGAGUCCCAAUGGUGCCGUGCCCCGAGGACGUCACGCUCCUGCGGGACGGUGAAGUCCGCCAAGGGGUCUGGGAUGCCCAGACGUUCGCGUUCCGCGUCCUCCUUGGCCCAUAUGGACCUCUUCCCGCCGUAACCACGGCUUCCGAGGUGGUGGCGCCCCAUGUUCCUUUGUUGAAGCCCUUUCAUGUACUUCGACUUUUUUUUGGCAGCUUCGGCCUCGCAAGCCGCCUUGAAUUUUUCAAAGUGCUCUCCCGUGAUUGUCGGAUUAUCCUUUACAAUCUCGGAGUAUGGUUCCUUUUUGUCGACAAUCCGAUGUUUCAACCUUGUUUUCCAGGUGGCCAACGUGUCGCUAAACUUGGUCAUGGCGUGUUUGUUUAUCUUCUUCAUUGCCGGGUCCUUAUUUGGAUAUUUAUAAUCCUUUUCAUUCCGGCCCGGGAACAACAAUAUCUGGUGCAGCUUCUUUAGGAGGGAGGACCUCAUAUUAUCUAUCUUCUGUAGUUUCCCAUGGUUGAUCGUGGCAGUUAUCCGUACGAUGCAGCCUAUUUGAUUGCCGUAGCACGAUCGCGCUUCCUUGGGCGCUAUUGUCUGAAAAAUACGGUCGUCCAUCUCCGUGACCACCAGUCUAGUUGUCAUGAGCUGGUUUGGGCGCCGUGGCUUCUUAGCUUUCGGUUCUAGAUCAGCUCCGCUAGUCUCGGCGCCGGUCUCAGUCUCAUCGCCGGUCUGCAUGUCGGUAUCAGUCCCCGAUGCGACAGGUCGGCCCAGCAACAACAUUCGUUGAUCGUCGGCAAGGCUCAAAAAUUCAUCUGCCGCCAGGUAGACGUGUCGCAAUCACCAGAACCCUAUCCUUCAUCAUUGCUAGCCAUGUUUCCUACGAUUAUAUCUAGUCAAUUAAUUCUAGACCUAAUAAAAUGAAUAAUGACAUAAAACAGGCCAAUGUUUUGCAGGAUUACAACUCAACCCAUUGCAGAUUAGAAAACAAUCCCGUGUGAAUGCACAGGCUGACGACUAGUAUAUAUAAAGCUUAAUGGUGCCUAAGAAAGCUCGCACAAUUUUACAGUGGCUAUGGAAAUGUGUUGCCAAACUUUGACAUAAGAUUUUCGUUUGGCAUCCAGAGUUGCAAAACGCUUGUGUUGUCCUUAAUCCAUGGCCACUCUAAUUUUUCCGGCUGGGCCUUCCCUGUGGUAUCGCGGCAAGGCUUGCGUGUGUAUAUGUUUCCUUUAACUACCACUAGCACAUAUGCCCGUGCGUGCGUUGCAACGGGAGAGAUAAUGGCGUAUCCACCAAUAUAUCUAACAGCAUGACCCAACAAUAUCCGAAUGAUGUCACCCGAUGACGGCAGGAAGGCACGCACAGAGGUCUAGUAAAAACUCAUAUCAAUUGUAAGGGCAUGGUUAAUUCGCGUGAAUUCAGGGGUGUGAGAUUAGUUAGUGUUGGUCCCACAAUUGAAUUCGGGGGGUGAUUAGUUAGUGUGGGCCCACCCUCGAAUUCACGGGGGGAGACAAAAUAAUUAGGGUGAGGAGAGAUUUACGGGGCUUGGUCCCCAGAUGCGUUGUGGCAGUCAUUAUUCGAGCAUUGCAAUGCUCGCACGUGACGAGCUCUUUUUCCAAUUGUAUAUUAAGAAGCAUGCUACAGAUACAAUGUUUUUGAUACGUUUUUUGUACAAUGAUCCUGAUCUUAAAGGGCCACCUAAUUUUUAUAUCUUAAAGGCAUUAUUUGUAAGUUGUCGUGAAAAAAAUCUCGCUAAAAGGGUUGUGUUAGACCAUCUUCAGUACAUUAGAAAUAACGAAUUAUAAUUCCUUGGCAUUUGAAGAAACAAUCGCUACUUAUUUACACAUACAAUUCUUUUGGUACGAUUUUGAAAUCUUGAAGGCAUUAUUUGUAAGUUGAAGCAAUUUUGAAAUCUCACUAAAAGGUCUGUUAGACCCUCUAGAGCUUUAGAAAUAACUAAUUAUAAUUUUGCAAAAAAAAGAAAUAACUAAUUAUAAUUCCUUAAGCAUCUGACCGAAACGACCCCGAAUUAUUGUCUGGGUAGUAAUUCCUUUGCAACAUUAUUCUCUCCUUUUUUGAAGGAGCUCUUGCCUGGGUAGUAAUUCCUAUUUGCAAGGUUAUUCUCUCCUUCAUUUUUACAGGAGCUCUCCUUCCUUAUACUAAUUGGUCAUUAUCCUCUCCUUCCUUUUUCUUUUUGCCAAACUCUCUUUCCAUACUUAUGCCGCUAACCACGCCACUCUUUUUCCUUAUUUAUGCCCUUUGAUCACGCCACACAUCUCAUGAAAUCUAAGCCAUAUCACCCAUCUUUUUUCCUUAUUCUCAAAGGCGCUUUCCUCACAAACAGUAGUUCUCUAGGAUGCUUAACGAUUUUGAAACAGAAACAUAUAUAAAUCGGUAGAACGGGUUGUCAAGCAGCGAGGUGGUACUAGUUUAUAAAGAAACAAAUUAACCUUUUCUUUUUGUGUAAUGAUGCCUUGGUUCGGCUGGUUGCUGCCUUUGCCCUUGAUGUGCAGCGUUGGGAAAAGGAUGGGCGAAGUGGACGAACCAAAAACGGACAAAAUUACGGUAGUAAGAAGCGAUAGCCCAUUUAUUAGUAGGUAUAGAUAUAGAUGUCGAGGAUGAGGAUUUACUGCACACAAGUGCGGGGGCACUCAGGUCCUGGUGCCGGCCUUUUAUUUUGGCUUCCGAUUUUCAAACUUCUAUAUCUUUUAAACGAAAAGUUCAAUUUAAGUUACGUUUUCAUAUUCGUGCUUCUCGCGGCCAGCGCUUUCAAAUAAGAUCCAUUUUGCAUACAUUUUGGCUGCUUUUGGAAACAUUGCUAAGUUUCAUUGUUUGAAACUUAGUACGAGCGACCGAUAAAAUUUAAUUAUUUUGUGUCUACGACCAACAGGAGAAAUUGCUUAAAAUUACAUCUUUGAAACUGGUCAUUUUUUUACUGUGUCCUACUUCACGAAUCACGAGGCAAAUCAAGUAGGCGGCAUGCCCUGGCCGGUGAGUGCCAUUGCACUUACUUGCCCCAGCGAUUUUCCGCGUGCAUUGUAGAAUUCUUUCUCCGAGUCCUGUGAAUUAAAGAUGGUGCAGACAAAAGUAUAUCCUAUAUGCGUACAUGUGCAUGAUCAGAACAUGUUUUUACGUGCGUCUACUAUAAAUCAUGACCAUUUUUAACACAAAUCAUGACCAUUCAUGAUUAGUGAAUCAUACUGUCUUAACUUAUGUGAAAUCAUGUGGAGUAAUAUAAUAUAAUACAAUAGAUAGACAGAUCCAUGUUGUAUUAUUUUUUGUUUACAAAAAAAUCUGUAAUUACACAUUUUGAUUUAUGCAUUUGUUUACAAAAAAACAGUAACAUUUCAUGGUGGAAAGUUUGUAUUGUUUCAUACUGAACACCAAUGUUUUCCUGUAAAAGAAAAUAAUGCCUACGCAUAUGCUUUUAUAUUAUUAUUAUUCUUUCAAACUUAUUCAUAUAGUAUUUUUGAUUGUGCAACCAUAAUUUUUAUUAUCUCUCUCGUUCCACUACAUGCUCUUACUCAAUGAUUUUCUUUAUAAUGGGUGUUUUUAUUAACUCAAAAUAUAGCAUCAAGCGGAUACAGAACAUACUGAGCCACACCCGGUCUCUGCAUAACUAAGAUGCACACAGCCAAAAGCGGAAGUCUGACAAAAAUAAGAUAAGAAAAUCGACAUAUCGACAACAGUGAGUCAUAUAGUUCCGACACUAUGCCUCUGUCGAAGGAGGGGGUGGAGCGAUCUAGAGAUUAUGCUGCCUUCCAUGUUGAGUAAACACCUCCCUGGCCACUUGUUCCAACUGCAUAGACGCCGCCACGAAUAACGGUUGGUACUCUGUUCGGUGUAGCAUACACCAUGUAGGAAGUGAGUGCUCACUCCUAGUUACUGAAUUAUGUACACACUAGUAGAAAAAGGCCCAUUUGUCCCGGUUCGUAAGGCCCAUUUGUCCCAGUUGGGGAACCGGGACUAAAGGGUCGGUACUAAAGCCCUACACCUUUAGUCCCGGUUCUUACACCAACCGAGACAGAUGGGGCUCCACGUGGCCGUUGCGGCUUACCGUGGCAGGUGGGCCUUUUGUCCCGGUUGGUAGCACCAACCGGGACCAAUAAGCUACCACGCGUCAGCAUUUGAGGGGCUANNNNNNNNNNNNNNNNNNNNNNNNNNNNNNNNNNNNNNNNNNNNNNNNNNNNNNNNNNNNNNNNNNNNNNNNNNNNNNNNNNNNNNNNNNNNNNNNNNNNNNNNNNNNNNNNNNNNNNNNNNNNNNNNNNNNNNNNNNNNNNNNNNNNNNNNNNNNNNNNNNNNNNNNNNNNNNNNNNNNNNNNNNNNNNNNNNNNNNNNNNNNNNNNNNNNNNNNNNNNNNNNNNNNNNNNNNNNNNNNNNNNNNNNNNNNNNNNNNNNNNNNNNNNNNNNNNNNNNNNNNNNNNNNNNNNNNNNNNNNNNNNNNNNNNNNNNNNNNNNNNNNNNNNNNNNNNNNNNNNNNNNNNNNNNNNNNNNGGUUAAUUUUGGAGGGUUUCAUAUAUUGUGUUAGGUAGCUAAUUAAUUAAUACAGAGAAGUGUCAUCUCUUAUCUCCGUGCUUGGUCGACGCUACGUACUAUACGUACAGAGAGGCCCUCGACACGCUAGCCAGUAAGCAAAUGAAGGAAACCAUUAAGUACAGAAGUUCGUCAUGAACAUAUGCAUACAAACUAAGUGAUAUCGACCUCUCCUUCUCUGAGAGAUAGGUCGAACAACAAGUUUCCGUAUAUCUAUCCGGCGCUACUAGCUACAUAUAUACAAUAUUAAGAUCUCUUACAAUAUAAUCCCCUAAUUAUAUAUGAACUCAGCUUUCAGAUGGUAUUCUCCGGCUUUAUUGAUGACGUGGUCAAGAAAGAAUCCCUCCAAUUCCUCUUGAAUUGCUUUGAUGCGAUCUUCUGGUAGGAGUUCAUCCCGCAUCUGCCACAUCUAAUUUGAAGAAGGGGGUCAAUCACUAGUAGAAUAACAGCCAUUUGUCCUGGUUCGUAAGGCUCAUUCGUCCUGGUUGGGGAACCGAGACUAAAGGGUCGUUACUAAAGCCCUACACCUUUAGUCCCGGUUCUUACACCAACUGGGACAGAUGGGCCUCCACGUGGCCGCUGCGGCGAGCCCAGGCAGGAGGUCCUUUGGUCCCGGUUAGUGGCACUGAUACUUCUCCAACGUAUCUAUAAUUUUUGAUUGCUCCAUGCUAUUAUGUUAUCUAUUUUGGAUGUUAAUGGGCUUUAUUUUACACCUUUAUAUCAUUUUUGGGACUAACCUACUAAUCGGAGGCCCAGCCCAAAUUGUUGUUUUUUUGCCUAUUUUAGGUUUUCGAAGAAAAGGAAUAUCAAACGAAGUCCAAACGGAAUGAAACCUUCGGGAACGUGAUUUUCUCAACGAACAUGAUCCAGGAGACUUGAAGUGUGCGCCAAGAAAGAAGGGAGGAAGGCAAGAGGCAGGGGGCACGCCUACCCCCCUUGGGCGUGCCCUCCACCCUCGUGGGCCCUCCGCUGCUCCAUCGACGUACUUCUUCCUCCUAUAUAUAUCCACGUACCCCUCGAACAUCCAGGAGCACCACGAAAACCUAAUUCCACCGCCGCAACCUUCUGUACCCGAGAGAUCCCAUCUUGGGGCCUUUUCCGGAGGUCCACCGGAGGGGGCAUCGAUCACGGAGGUCCUCUACAUCAACUCCAUGGCCUAUCCAGUGAUGUGUGAGUAGUUCACUUCAGACCUACGGGUCCAUAGUUAUUAGCUAGAUGGCUUCUUCUCUCUCUUUGGAUCUCGAUACAAAGUUCUUUUCGAUUUUCUUGGAGAUCUAUUUGAUGUAACCUUAUUUUGCGGUGUGUUUGUCGAGAUCCGAUGAAUUAUGGGUUUAUGACCCAGAUUAUCUAUGAACAAUAUUUGAUUCUCCUCUAAAUUCUUUUAUGUAUGAUUGGUUUAUCUUUGCAAGUCUCUUCGAAUUAUCAGUUUGUUUUGGCCUACUAGAUUGAUCUUUCUUGCAAUGGGAGAAGUGCUUAGCUUUGGGUUCAAUCUUGCGGUGUUUGAUCCUAGUGACAGAAAGGGAACCGAUACGUAUUGUAUUGUUGCCAUCGAGGAUAAAAAGAUGGGGUUUAUAUCAUAUCGCAUGAGUUUAUCCCUCUACAUCAUGUCAUCUUCCUUAAAGCAUUACUCUGUUCUCUUGAACUUAAUACUCUAGAUGUGUGCUGGAUUGCGGUCGAUGUGUGGAGUAAUAGUAGUAGAUGCAGAAUCGUUUCGGUCUACUUGUCUCGGACGUGAUGCCUAUAUACAUGAUCAUACCUAGAUAUUCUCAUAACUAUGCUCAAUUCUGUACAAUAUGGUGCACGCGGUUACAUCGGCCUGCAAAGACAUUUCUGCGAUGUGAGACAUCCGAAAAGCAACGAAAACGGGAGAUUAUACAUUUAUUGAAGAGGGCCGGAGUGACAGAUACCGUGAGGGUCUCGAGCUCAGCCAAAGACAAAGGACAGAUGAGCACGGCCUAUGUCGGAGCCAGUGCGGGAGCCGGUGCGGGAGCAGGUGCAGGUGCAGGUGCUGGUGCAAUGCUAGUCGAGCUGCUCCUAAAGAAGUCAACAAUGGGAAAGUCCGCUACAUUUUUUCUGGAUUUUGCGUGCUCCAAUUGAAUACAGCUGGAACCAAGACAGUAGACAUAUCUGUUGGAAAUAUGCCCGAGAGCCAAUAAUAAAUUGGUUAUUAUUAUAUUUCCUUGUUCAUGAUAAUCGUUUAUUAUCCAUGCUAGAAUUGUAUUGAUAGGAAACUCAGAUACAUGUGUGGAUACAUAGACAACACCAUGUCCCUAGUAAGCCUCUAGUUGACUAGCUCGUUGAUCAAUAGAUGCUUACGGUUUCCUGACCAUGGACAUUGGAUGUCGUUGAUAACGGGAUCACAUCAUUAGGAGAAUGAUGUGAUGGACAAGACCCAAUCCAUAUCUAGCACAAGAUCGUGUAGUUCGUAUGCUAAAGCUUUUCUAAUGUCAAGUAUCAUUUCCUUAGACCAUGAGAUUGUGCAACUCCCGGAUACAGUAGGAGUGCUUUGGGUGUGCCAAACAUCACAACGUAACUGGGUGGCUAUAAAGGUGCACUACGGGUAUCUCUAAAAGUGUCUGUUGGGUUGGCACGAAUCGAGACUAGGAUUUGUCACUCCGUGUAAAUGGAGAGGUAUCUCUGGGCCCACUCAGUAGGACAUCAUCAUAAUGAGCACAAUGUGAUCAAGGAGUUGAUCAAGGGAUGAUGUCUUACGGAACGAGUAAAGAGACUUGCCGGUAAUGAGAUUGAACAAGGUAUCGGGAUACCGACGAUCAAAUCUCGGGCAAGUAUCGUACCGAUAGACAAAGAGAAUUGUAUACGGGAUUGAUUGAAUCCUUGACAUCGUGGUUCAUCCGAUGAGAUCAUUGUGGAGCAUGUGGGAGCCAACAUGGGUAUCCAGAUCCCGCUAUUGGUUAUUGACCGGAGAGUUGUCUUGGCCAUGUCUGCAUGACUCCUGAGCUCGUAGGGUCUACACACUUAAGGUUCGAUGACGCUAGGGUUAUAGGGAAAGUAUGUACGCGGUUACCGAAUGUUGUUCGGAGUCCCAGAUGAGAUCCCAGACAUCACGAGGAGUUCUGGAAUGGUCCGGAGGUAAAGAUUUAUAUAUGGGAAGUUCCGUUUUGGUCACCGGAAAUGUUUCGGGUGCUAUCGGUAACGUACCGGGACCACCGGGAGGGUCCCAGGGGUCCAUCAGGUGGGGCCACCAGCCCCGGAGGCCUACAUGGGCCAAUAGUGGGAAGGGACCAGCCCCUAGGUGGGCUGGGGCGCCUCCCGACAAGGCCCAAGUCGCCUCCAAGAGGGGAAGGGGGCAAACCCUAGGGCAGAUGGGCCCCAAGGCCCACCCUAGGUGCGCCUCCCCCUCUCCCCCUUGUAGCCGCCACCCUAGAUGGGAUCUAGGGCUGCCGCACCCCUUGGGGUGGGAACCCUAGAGGGGGCGCAGCCCCCUCCCCUCCCCCUAUAUAUACUUGAGGUAUGGGGGCUGCCCAACAUACGAUUUGAUCUCUCUCUUGGCGCAGCCCUACCCCUCUCCCUCCUCGUCUCUCAUAGUGCUUGGCGAAGCCCUGCUGGAGUUCCGCGCUCCUCCACCACCACUACCACGUCGUCGUGCUGCUGCUGGACGGACUCUUCCCAACCUCUCCUUCUCCCCUUGCUGGAUCAAGGCGUGGGAGACGUCACCGGGCUGCAGAUGUGUUGAACGCGGAGGCGCCGUGGUUCGGCGCUUAGAUCGGAAUCAACCGAGAUCUGAAUCGCUACGAGUACGGCUCCUUCAUCCGCGUUCUUGCAACGCUUCCGCUUAGCGAUCUACAAGGGUAUGUAGGUGCACUACCCUUCCCUUCGUUGCUAGGUUACUCCAUAGAUUGAUCUUGGUGAUGCGUAGAAAAUUUUAAAUUUCUGCUACGAUCCACAACAGUGGCAUCAUGAGCUAGGUCUAUGCGUAGUUUCUAUGCACGAGUAGAACAUAAAACAGUUGUGGGCGUCAAUAUUGUCAAUUACUUGCCGUUAGUAGUCUUAUCUUGAUUCGGCGGCAUCGUGGGAUGAAGCGGCCCGGACUGACCCUACACGUACGCUUACGUGAGACUUGUUCCACUGACUGACAUGCACUAGUUGCAUAAGGUGGCUAGUGGGUGUCUGUCUUUCCCACUUUAGUCAGAUCGGAUUCGAUGAAAAGGGUCCUUAUGAAGGGUAAAUAAAAAUUGGCAUACCACGUUGUCGUUUUGGCGUAGGUAAGAAAUGUUCUUGCUAGAAACCUAUAGGAGCCACGUAAAAACUUGCAACAACAAUUUGAGGACCUCUAACUUGUUUUUGCAGCAUGUGCCGUGUGAUGUGAUAUGGCCAAAAGGAUGUGAUGAAUGAUAUAUGUGAUGUAUGAGAUUGAUCAUGUUCUUGUAAUAGGAAUCACGACUUGCAUGUCGAUGAGUAUGACAACCGGCAGGAGCCAUAGGAGUUGUCUUUAUUUAUUUAUGACCUGCGUGUCAACAUAAACGUCAUGUAAUUACUUUACUUUAUUGCUAAAGCGUUAGCCAUAGUAAUGGAAGUAAUAGAUGACAAGACAACUUCAAGAAGACACGAUGAUGGAGAUCAUGAUGAUGGAGAUCAUGGUGUCAAGCCCGUGACAACGAUGAUCAUGGAGCCCCAAAGAUGGAGAUCAUAAGGAGCAAAAUGAUAUUGGCCAUAUCAUGUCACUAUUUGAUUGCAUGUGAUGUUUAUCAUGUUUUACCUCUUAUUUUCUUAGAACGACGGUAGCUUAAAUAAGAUGAUACCUCGCAAUAAUUUCAAGAAAGUGUUUCCCCUAACUGUGCACCGUUGCGAAGAUUCGUUGUUUUGAAGCACCACGUGAUGAUCGGGUGUGAUAUAUUCUAACGUUCAAAUACAACAGGUGUAAGCCAGAUUUACACACACAAUACACUUAGGUUGACUUGAUGAGCCUAGCAUUUACAGACAUGGCCUCGGAACACGGUAGACCGAAAGGUCGAGCAUGAGUCGUAUAGAAGAUACGAUCAACAUGAAGAUGUUCACCGAUGUUGACUAGUCCGUCUCACGUGAUGAUCGGCCACGGCCUAGUUGACUCGGAUCAUGUUUCACAUAGAUGACUAGAGGGAUGUCUAUCUGAGUGGGAGUUCAUUAAAUAAUUUGAUUAGAUGAACUUAAUUAUCAUGAACAUAGUCCAAAUUGUCUUUGCAAAUAUGUUGUGGAUAAAUAGCUCACGCUUUAGCUCCCUGUUUUAAUAUGUUCCUAGAGAAAAGACUAACUGGAAAGAUAUUGUAAGCAUUAACGCUGACUAGGUCUGUUGCCUGAGGAGUGUCCUCACUGCUACACAGAAGGCUUAUGUCUUUGAUGCACCGCUCGGUGUGCCAACCCCUCCGGCGUCGUCUGUGGAUGUUGUGAACACCCGACAGACACAUCCUGAUGACUACUUGAAAGUUUAGUGCACCAUACUUUACGGCUUAGAAUCGGGAUUCCAAUGACGUUUUGAACGCCAUAAGACAUAUGAGAUGUUCCAAGAGCUGAAAUUGGGAUUUCAGGCUCAUGCCCGUGUUGAGAGGUAUGGACCUCUGACAAGUGCUUUUGCCAACAAGAUGGAGUAGAAUAGCUCAGCUAGAGAGCAUGUGCUCGGAAUGUCUGGGUGCUACAAUCACUUAAAUCAAGUGGGAGUUAAGCUUCCAGAUAAGAUAGUGAUUGAUAGAGUUCUCUAGCCACUAUCACUAAGAUACUAGAUCUUCGUGAUGAACUAUGACAUGCAAGGGAUGGAGUUGAUCCCGGAGCUGUUCACGGUGCUUAAGAUCGCAAAAGGUAGAAAUCAAGAAGGAGCAUCAAGUGUUGAUGGUUUAACAAGACCACUAGUUUCAAGAAGGGCAAGGGCUAGAAGGGAAACUUCAUGAAUGGCAAACCAGUUACCAAUCAAGUGAAGGAACCCAAGGUUGAACCCAAACCCGAGACAAAGUGCUUCUAUUGUAAGGGGAACAGUCACUGGUAGCGGAACUACCCCAAAUACAUGGUAGAUAAGAAGGAUGGCAACUUCAACAAAGUAUAUACAUGUUAUUAAUGUGUACCUCACCAGUACUCUUGGUAGCACCUGGGUAUUGGAUACCGGUUCAGUUGCUAUUAUUGGUGACUUGAAGCAAAAGCUACGGACUAAACGGAGACUGGCUAAGGGCGAGGUGACGUUGUGUGGUGGAAGUGUUUCCAAAGUUGAUAAGAUCACCAUCGCAUGCUCCAUCUGCCUUUGGGAUUAGUAUUGAACCUAGAUAAAUGUUAUCAGGUGUCUACGUUGAGGAUGAAUAUGAUUAGAUCAUGUUCAUUGCAAUACGGUUAUUCAUUUAAGAUAGAGAAUAAUGGUUAUUCUGUUUACAUGAAUAAUACCUUUCAUGGUCAUGCACCCUAUGUGAAUGGUUCAUUGAAUCUCGGUCGUGGUAAUACAGAUGUUCACGCCAAAAGAUGUAGAGUUAACAAUGAUAGUACCACUUUCUUGUGGAACUGCCGCUUAGGUCAUAUUGGCAUAAGAUGCAUGAAGAAACUCCAUGUCGAUGGAUGUUUGGAGUCAAUUGAUUUUGAAUCGCUUGACACAUGCGAGCCAUGAUUCAUGGGCAGGAUGACUAAGACCCCGUUUUCAGGUAAAAUAAAACGGGCAAGUGACUUCUUGGAAAUCAUACAUGCUGAUGCAUGUGUUCCAAUCAGAAUUGAAGCGUGCGGUGGAUAUCGCUAUUUUCUCAUCUUCACUGACGAUUUGAGUAGAUAUAGGUAUAUUUACUUAAUGAAGCACAAGUCUGAAACAUUUGAAAAGUUCAAGCGAUUUUAGAGUGAAGUUAAGAACCAUCAUAUAUAAUAAGAAGAUCAAAUUCCUACGAUCUGAUCGAUGAGAAUUUCUGAGUUAUGAGUUGGGCAAUCACUUAAGACAUUGUGGAAUUGUUUCAUAGUUGAAGCCACCUGGAACAACACAGGGUAAUGGUGUGUCCGGACGUCGUAAUCGAACCUUAUGAGAUAUGGUGCGAUCUAUGAUGUCCCUUACCGAUCUACCAUUUUCAUUUUGAGGAUAUGCGUUAGAGAAAGCUGCAUUCACUUUUGAUAGGACACCAUCUAAGUCCGUUGAGAUGACGUCGUAUGAAUAUGGUUUGGCAAGAAACCAAAAUUGUCGUUUCUUAAUGUUUGGGGCUGCGAUGCUUAAGGCUUCAGGCGGAGAAGAUCGAACCCAAAAGAGGACAAACACAUCUUCAUAGGAUACCCAAAGGUGACAGUUUGGUAUACCUUCUAUCUCCAAUCUGAGGGCAAGUUGUUUGUCGCUAAGAAUGGUUCCUUUCUCGAGAAGGAGUUUCUCUCGAAAGAAUUGAGUGGGAAGAAGAUAGAACUUGAUGAGGUUGUCGAACCUUUGUUUCAACCAGAGAGUGAUGCAACACAGAAAGAUGUUUUCUGUGGCACCUACGUCUGUUGAAGAGGAAGUUAAUGAUAGUGAUCAUGAAGCUUCGGAUCAAGUUGCUAUCGAACCUCAUAGGUCGACCAGGAUAUGUACUACUCCUGAGUGGUACGGUAAUCCUGUCUUAGAUAUCAUGUUGUUAGACAACAAUGAACCCAUGAGCUAUGGAGAAGCGAUGGUGGGCCCGUAUUCCGACAAAUGGUUAGAAGCCAUGAAAUCCGAGAUAGGCUCCAUGUAUCAGAACAAAGUAUGGACUUUGGUGGACUUGCCCGAUGAUCGGCGAGCCAUUGAGAUAAAUGGAUCUUUAAGAAGAAGACGGACGUGGGCGGUAAUGUUACCAUCUAUGAAGCUCGACUUGUGGGAAAGAGUCUUUUCACAAGUUCAAGGAGUUGACUACGAUGAGAAUUUCUCACCCGUAGCGAUGCUUAAGUCCGUCGGAAUCAUGUUAGCAUUAGCUGUAUUUUUCGAUUAUGAAAUCUGACAGAUGGAUCUCAAAACAAGUUUUCUUACCAGUUUUCGUAAGAAAAAGUUGUAUGUGAUACAAUAAAAGGUUUUGUCGAUCCUAAGGAUGCUAAAAGGUAUGCUGGCUCCAGCAAUCCUUCUAUGGACUAGAGCAAGCAUCUCGAAGUUGGAAUAUAUGCUUUGAUGGAGUGAUCAAAGCUUUUAGGUUUAUACAAUGUUUGCUAGAAACUUGUAUUUACAAGAAAGUGAGUGGGAGAACUACAACAUUUCUGAUAAGUAUAUGUGGAUGACAUAUUGCUGAUUCAAAAUAAUGUAGAAUUUCUGGAAAGCAUAAACGGUUGUUUGAAGAGUGAUUUUCAAAGGCAGACCUGGAUAAAGCUGCUUACAAAUUGGGCAUCAAGAUCUGUAGAAAUAGAUCAAGACGCCUGAUGAUACUUUCAAAGAACGCACACCUUGACAUGUUUUUGAAGGAGUUCAAAAUAGAUCAGGCAAAGAAGGGGUUCUUACCUGUGUUGUAAGGUGUGAAGUUGAGUAAGACUUGAAAGCUUGACCACGACAGAAGAAAGAGGAAGGAUGAAGGUCAUCCCCUAUGCUUUUGUCAUAGGCUCUAUACGGUAUGCCAUGCUGAGUACCACACCAGAUGAGUGCCUUGCCACAUGUCUGGCAAGAGGGUACAAAGGUGAUCUAGGAGUGGAUCACCAGAUAGCGGUCAAAAUUGUCCUUAGAGGAAUAAGGAAAUGUUUCUCAGUUACGGAGCUGAUAAAGAGUUCGACAUAAAGAGUUACGUCGAUACAUGCUUAAACACCAAUCCGGAUAGCUCUGAGUAGAGAUACCAGAUACGUAUAAUGGAGCAACAAUUUGGAAUAGCUCCAAGUGGAACGUGGUAGCAGCAUCUACGAUAUGACAUAAAGUUUUGGGAAAUACAUAGGGAUCUGAAUAUUACAGACCCGUUGACUACAACCUCUCUCACAAGCAUAACAUGAUCAAACCCAGAACUCAUUGAGUGUUAAUCGCAUAGUGAUGUGAACUAGAUUAUUGAAUCUAGUAAACUCUUUAGAUGUUGGUCACAUGGCGAUGUGACCAGUGAGUGUUAAUCACAUGGCGAUGUGAACUAGAUUAUUGACUCUAGUGCAAGUGGGAGACUGUUGGAAAUAUGCCCUAGAGCUAAUAAUAAAUUGGUUAUUAUUAUAUUUCCUUGUUCAUGAUAAUCGUUUAUUAUCCAUGCUAGAAUUGUAUUGAUAGGAAACUCAGAUACAUGUGUGGAUACAUAGACAACACCAUGUCCCUAGUAAGCCUCUAGUUGACUAGCUCGUUGAUCAAUAGAUGGUUACGCUUUCCUGACCAUGGACAUUGGAUGUCGUUGAUAACGGGAUCACAUCAUUAGGAGAAUGACGUGAUGGACAAGACCUAAUCCUAAGCCUAGAACAAGAUCAUGUAGUUCGUAUGCUAAAGCUUUUCUAAUGUCAAGUAUCAUUUCCUUAGACCAUGAGAUUGUGCAACUCCCAGAUACAGUAGGAGUGCUUUGGGUGUGCCAAACGUGACAACGUAACGGGGUGGCUAUAAAGGUGCACUACGGGUAUCUCUGAAAGUGUCUGUUGGGUUGGCAUGAACCGAGACUGGGAUUUGUCACUCCGUGUAAACGGAGAGGUAUAUCUGGGCCCACUCGGUAGGACAUCAUCAUAAUGUGCACACUGUGAUCAAGGAGUUGAUCACGGGAUGAUGUAUUACGGAACGAGUAAAGAGACUUGCCGGUAACGAGAUUGAACAAGCUAUCGGGAUACCGACGAUCGAAUCUCGGGCAAGUAUCAUACCGAUAGACAAAGGGAAUUGUAUACGGGAUUGAUUGAAUCCUUGACAUCAUGGUUAAUCUGAUGAGAUCAUCGUGGAGCAUGUGGGAGCCAACAUGGGUAUCCAGAUCCCGCUGUUGGUUAUUGACCGGAGAGUUGUCUCGGCCAUGUCUACAUGACUCCCGAGCCCGUAGGGUCUACACACUUAAGGUUCGAUGACGCUAGGGUUAUAGGGAAAGUAUGUACACGGUUACAGAAUGUUGUUCGGAGUCUUGGAUGAGAUCCCGGACGUCACGAGGAGUUCCAGAAUGGUCCAGUGGUAAAGAUUUAUAUAUGGGAAGUCCCGUUUUGGUCACCGGAAAGGUUUCGGGUGCUAUCGGUAACGUACCGGGACCACCGGGAGGGUCCCAGGGGUCCAUCAGGUGGGGCCACCAGCCCCGGAGGCCUACAUGGGCCAAUAGUGGGAAGGGACCAGCCCCUAGGCGGGCUGGGGCGCCUCCCACCAAGGCCCAAGGCGCCUCCAAGAGGGGAAGGGGGCAAACCCUAGGGCAGAUGGGCCCCAAGGCCCACCCUAGGUGCGCCUCCCCCUCUCCCCCUUGUAGCCGCCACCCUAUAUGGGAUCUAGGGCUGCCGCACCCCUUGGGGUGGGAACCCUAGAGGGGGCGCAGCCCCCUCCCCUCCCCCUAUAUAUACUCGAGGUAUGGGGGCUGCCCAACAUAUGAUUUGAUCUCUCUCUUGGCGCAGCCCUACCUCUCUCCCUCCUCGUCUCUCAUAGUGCAUGGCGAAGCCCUGCUGGAGUUCCGCACUCCUCCACCACCACCACACCGUCGUUCUGCUGCUGGACGGAGUCUUCCCAACCUCUCCUUCUCCCCUUGCUGGAUCAAGGUGUGGGAGACGUCACCGGGCUGCACGUGUGUUGAACGCGGAGGCGUCGUGGUUCGGCGCUUAGAUCGGAAUUAACCGCGAUCUAAAUCGCUACGAGUACGGCUCCUUCAUCCGUGUUCUUGCAACGCUUCCGCUUAGAGAUCUACAAGGGUAUGUAGAUGCACUCCCCUUCCCUUUGUUGCUAGAUUACUACAUAGAUUGAUCUUGGUGAUGCGUAGAAAAUUUUAAAUUUCUGCUACGAUCCCCAACAAUAUCUGCAACCACCUGUUUUGCGGCAGCUACUGCUGUCGCGAAUGUCUUAGAUGAUUUCUUCUCAACCGCAAUCUCAACCUUCUUGUCGAUGUUUUCUUCAGUUAACCUCCAUCUUUCCUUUCUCUCCUCCGUGGUCUCACAGUAGUACUUCUUCCACGUGGCCCCGUCUCCGACACCGUGAACGCGUCCAUACGACGACCUAGUCUCCACCGGCAGUCCUUUCAAUAUGUUCAAUGCCCGGGUGAAUGGAGUGUCCCACUUGGGCCUCGCCAACGCCUCAGACGGUGAGUCGCUUUCAGCCACAAUCAUGUGCUUCUCUCUCUACAAAAGGAACAAGGAUCAUUUACAAAUAUGACUAAACGUGCAGUCGAAUUGAUCAGAAACUAAAAUUACCAGCAGUCUCAUGAACUCCGUCGUGAUCGGGUCCGUCUUGAAAACCUUCUUGACCGAGUUCGAAUGGUGUCGUGCCCUGAGGACGUCAUGCUCCUAUGGGACGGUGAAGUCCGCCAAGGGGUCUAGGAUGCCAGACUUUCGUGUUCCGUGUCCUGCUUGGCCCAUAUGGACCUCUUCCUGCCGUAACCACGGCUUCUGAGGUGGUGGCGCCCCAUGUUCCUUUGUUGAAGCCCCUUCAUGUACUUUGACUUUGUUUUGGCGGCUUCGGCCUCGCAAGCCGCCUUUAAUAUUUCAAAGUGCUCUCCCGUGAUUGUCGGAUUAUCCUUUACAAUCUCGGAGUAGGGUUGAUACGUCUCCAACGUAUCUAUUAUUUUUGAUUGCUCCAUGCUAUAUUAUCUACAGUUUUGGACAUUAUUGGGCUUUAUUAUCUACUUUUAUAUUAUUUUUGGGACUAACCUAUUAACCAGAGGUCCAGCCCAGAAUUGCUGUUUUUUUGCCUGUUUUAGGGUUUCGAAGAAAAGGAAUAUCAAACGGAGUCCAAACGGAAUGAAGCCUUCGGGAAUGAGAUUUUCUCAACGAACAAGACCCGGGAGACUUGGACCCUACGUCAAGACAAAANNNNNNNNNNNNNNNNNNNNNNNNNNNNNNNNNNNNNNNNNNNNNNNNNNNNNNNNNNNNNNNNNNNNNNNNNNNNNNNNNNNNNNNNNNNNNNNNNNNNNNNNNNNNNNNNNNNNNNNNNNNNNNNNNNNNNNNNNNNNNNNNNNNNNNNNNNNNNNNNNNNNNNNNNNNNNNNNNNNNNNNNNNNNNNNNNNNNNNNNCACCGACGUACUUCUUCCUCCUAUAUAUACCUACGUACCCCCAAACGAUCAUAUACGGAGCCAAAACCCUAAUUCCACCGCCGCAACUUUCUGUAUCCAUGAGAUCCCAUCUUGGCGCCUGUUCCGGAGCUCCGCCGGAGGGGGCAUCGAUCACGGAGGGCUUCUACAUCAACAGCAUAGCCUCUCCGAUGAAGUGUGAGUAGUUGACCUCAGACCUACGGGUCCAUAAUUAUUACCUAGAUGGCUUCUUCUCUCUUUUUGGAUCUCAAUACAAUGUUCUCCCCCUCUCUUGUGGAGAACUAUUCGAUGUAAUAUUCUUUUUGCGGUGUGUUUAUUGAGAUCGAUGAAUUGUGGGUUUAUGAUCAAGUCUAUCUAUGAAUAAUAUUUGAAUCUUCUCUGAAUUCUUUAAUGUAUGAUUGUUUAUCUUUGCAAGUCUCUUCGAAUUAUCAGUUUGGUUUGGCCUACUAGAUUGAUCUUUCUUACAAUGGGAGAAGUGCUUAGCUUUGGGUUCAAUCUUGCGGUGUCCUUUCCCAGUGACAGUAGGGGCAGCAAGGCAUGUAUUGUAUUGUUGCCAUCGAGGACAACAAGAUGGGGUUUUCAUCAUAUUGCAUUAUUCUAUCCCUCUACAUCAUGUCAUCUAGCUUAAGGCGUCACUCUGUUUUUAACUUAAUACUCUAGAUGCAUGCUGGAUAGCGGUCGAUGAGUGGAGUAAUAGUAGUAGAUGCAGGCAGGAGUCGGUCUACUUGUCUCGGACGUGAUGCCUAUAUACAUGAUCAUACCUAGAUAUUCUCAUAAAUAUGCUCAAUUCUGUCAAUUGCUCAACAGUAAUUUGUUCACCCACCAUAGAAUAAUUAUACUCUCAAGAGAAGCUACUAGUGAAACCUAUGGCCCCCGGGUCUAUCUUUAUCAUAUUAAUCUCCUACUACUUAGUUAUUUCCUUUGCUUUUUCCUUUGUAUUUCCUUUGCUUUUUUCCUUUGCCUUUAUUUUACUUUUCAUCUUUAUCACAAAAAUACCAAACAUAUUAUCUUUAUCAUAUCUAUCAGAUCUCACUCUCGUAAGUGGCCUUGUAGGGAUUGACAACCCCUAUUCGUGUUGGUUGUGAGGAUUUAUUUGUUUUGUGCAAUUACGAGGGACUCGCGCGUAGCCUCCUACUGGAUUGAUACCUUCGUUCUCAAAAACUGAGGGAAAUACUUACGCUACUUUGCUGCAUCAUCCCUUCCUCUUCGGGGAAAACCAACGCAGUGCUCAAGAGGUAGCAAGAAGGAUUUCUGGUGCCGUUGCCGGGGAGGUCUACGCAAAAGUGAACAUACCAAGUACCCAUCACAUACCCUUAUCUCCCGCAUUACAUUAUUUUCCAUUUGCCUCUCGUUUUCACCUCCCCCACUUCACCCUUGCUGUUUUAUUCGCCCUCUCUCUCUAUCCGCCCUCUCUUUCUCUAUUUGCCUCUUUUUUCCCGCUUGCUUUCUGUUUGCUUGUGUGUUAGUUGCUUGCUUGUCACGAUGGCUCAAGAUAAUACUAAAUUAUGUGACUUCACAAUGGCGAAAGCCUGGUUUUCGUCUUUGGCUAAAAAUAGUAUUGAUUCAUGGAAUAAGUGCAAAGAUGCUUUUAUCUCUAAGUAUUUUCCUCCUGCUAAGAUCAUCUCUCUUAGAAACGAUAUAAUGAAUUUUAAGCAACUUGAUCAUGAACAUGUUGCACAAGCUUGGGAGAGAAUGAAACUAAUGGUACAUAAUUGCCCUGCCCAUGAUUUAAAUUUGUGGAUGAUUAUACAAAAUCUUUAUGCCGGAUUGAAUUUUGCUUCUAGAAAUCUUUUAGAUUCAGCCGCGGGAGGCACUUUUAUGGAAAUCACUUUAGGAGAAACUCCUAGAUAAUAUUAUGGUCAAUUAUUCUCAACGGCAUACUGAAAGAUCUAAUAAUAAAAUGGUGCAUGCGAUAGAAGAAAUUAAUGUUUUGAGUGGAAAGAUGGAUGAACUUCUGAAAUUAUUUGCUAAUAAGAGUGUUUCUUCUGAUCCUAAUGAUAUGCCCUUGUCUAAUUUGAUUGGGAAUAAUAAUGAAUCUAUGGAUGUGGAUUUUGUUGGUAGGAACAAUUUUGGUGACAACGCGUAUAGAGGAAAUUUCAACCCUAGGCUUUAUCCUAGUAAUCUCUCUAAUAAUGAUGGUAAUUCCUACAACAAUUCUUAUGGAAAUUAUAAUAAGAUUCCCUCUGAUUUUGAAUCUAAUAUUAAAGAAUUUAUUACUUUGCAAAAGAAUUUCAAUGCCUAGAUUGAAGAAAAAUUGCUUAAGAUUGAUGAUUUGGCUAGGAACGUUGAUAGAAUUACUCUUGAUGUUGAUUCUUUGAAACUUAGAACUAUUCCACCUAAGCAUGAUGUCAAUGAGUCUCUCAAAGCCAUGAGAAUUUCCAUUGAUGAGUGCAAAGAAAGAACCGCUAGGAUGCGUGCUAAGAAAGAUGCCUUUAUAAGAGCGUGUUCUUCUCGUUCCUAUGAAAAUAAUGAUGAAGAUCUAACAGUUAUUGAUGUGUUCCCUAUUAAAUCUUUGUUUUGCAAUAUGAAUCUUGAUAAUGAUGGGACUGAAUAUGAUCCACCUUUACCUAUCAGGCGUUCCAAGAAUUCAGAAUUUGUUGAUCUUGAUGCUAAAAUUGAUAAAGGUGGGAUUGAAGAAAUUAAAACCCUUGAUGUUGCUAAACCCACUAUUAUGGAUUUCAAGGAAUUUAACUAUGAAAAUUGCUCUUUUAUUGAUUGUAUAUCCUUGUUACAAUCCAUGCUAAAUUCUCCUCAUGCUUAUAGUCAAAAUAAAGCGUUUACUAAACAUAUCGUUGAUGCCUUGAUGCAAUCUUAUGAAGAAAAACUUGAAUUGGAAGUUUAUAUCCCUAGAAAGCUUUAUGAUGAGUGGGAAUCAACUAUUAAAAUUAAAAUUAAAUAUCAUGAAUGCUAUGCUUUAUGUGAUUUAGGUGCUAGUGUUUCCAUGAUUCCAAAGACUUUGUGUGAUUUGUUAGGUUUCCGUGAUUUUGAUGAUUGCUCUUUAAACUUGCGCCUUGCGGAUUCCACUAUUAAGAAACCUAUGGGAAGAAUUAAUGAUGUUCUUAUUGAUGCAAAUAGGAAUUAUGUGCCUGUAGAUUUUAUUGUUCUUGACAUAGAUUGCAAUCUUUCAUGUCCUAUUAUUCUUGGUAGACCUUUCCUUAGAACGAUUGGUGCAAUUAUUGAUAUGAAGGAAGGAAAUAUUAGAUUCCAAUUUCCAUUAAGGAAAGUCAUGGAACACUUUACUAGAAAGUAAAUUAAAUUAACUUAGGAAUCUAUUAUGAUAGCCACUUAUGGAUUGCCUACCAAAGAUGGCAAUACCUAGAUCUAUCCUUGCUUGUUAUGCCUAGCUAGGGGCAUUAAACGAUAGCGCUUGUUGGGAGGCAACCCAAUUUUGUUUUUAUUCCUUGAUUUUUGCUCCUGUUUAGUAAUAAAUAAUUUAUCUAGCCUCUGUUUCGGUUGUGUUCUUUGUGUUUAAUUACUGUUUGUGCCAAGUAGAACCGUUAGGAAGACUUGGGGAAAGUCUUGUUACACUUGCUGUAAAAAACAGAAACUUCAGCGCUCACGAGAACUGCUGCCAUUUUUAUUUGGAAGUGCUAUUUAGUUAAUUAUUUCUGCAGAUGAUUAAUACAUAAAUUCCUCACGUCCAGCAAUUUAUUUUAGAAUUUUUGGAGUUCCAGCUCUUGAGCUAGCUACAGAUUACUACAGACUAUUCUGUUUUUGAAAGAUUCUGUUUUUUCGUGUGUUGUUUGCUUAUUUUGAUGAACCUAUGGCUAGUAAAAUAGUUUAUAAACCAUAGAGAAGUUGGAAUACAGUAGGUAUAACACCAAUAUAAAUAAAUAAUGAGUUCAUUAUAGUACCUUCAAGUGGUCUUUUAUUUUCUUUCGCUAACGGAGCUCACGAGAUUUUCUACUUUAAGUUUUGUGUUGUGAAGUUUUCAAGUUUUGGGUAAAGAUUUGGUGGAUUAUGGAACAAGGAGUGACAAGAGCCUAAGCUUGGGGAUGCCCAUGGCACCCCCAAGAUAAUCUAAGUACACAUAAAAGCCAAAGCUUGGGGAUGCCCCGGAAGUCAUCCCCUCUUUCGUCUACUUCUAUCGGUAACUUUACUUGGAGCUAUAUUUUUAUUUGCCACAUGAUAUGUGUUUUGCUUGGAGCGUCUUGUAUUAUUUGACUUGUCAGGACCCCGAUUCCAAGCCACAUCGAUCUAGACGGUAACACCUCAUAUCACUUUGCAGCCUCACGCACGAUAUUCCACGGGUGUCGCAUUACCAUGGCCUGGGACCGUUUGCGCCUUUUGGCUCACGUAUAUGAUAGUGUCGCUAGCAUCCAUAUGACAGAGAACCCGGGCCGACAUGGCUAGUCGUGAACCCAAAGCGGCACAGACCUAUGGAGACAGGCAUACAUGAAUCACAUCGAGCAUGUCGGUCAUCAGCGAGUGAUUCCGGGCUUUAGCACUGGGCUAACAGGACUCCGGGGAACCCGGGCUGUAGCAGGCUAGGCAGGACUCCGGAAGUCACCGCGUGACAUUUCCCCGAAGAGACAGACAUAGGAACAAAGUGAAUCACAUGCUGGCCAGUCAAGUGUCCUGAGCAGUAGUGCUAGGCUAGCAGGACUCUGGUGAACCGGGCUGUAGCGGACUACUAUGGCUCGAGGAACACUAGACUACAUUUCCCCAUAAGAAAGGCUGCCAAGGAUAAACAACUAGAUUUUCGGAUCCCACUCAUACCAAGCAUUUCAAUCAUACACACAAUAUGCCCGAUAUGAGUACAUACAACAUGGCAUCACAACAAAACUCUACAAAUCAAGUACUUUAUUUAAAGGCUCCAGAGAGCCAUACAUAACAUGUUCAUACAGAUAGGGGUCACAUGACCCGACACUCAAGUCAUACAAUCAUACAAGCACAUGCGGAAGCAACCGGUCUGAGUACGGACACUAGAAAGAAAGAAGGCUCCUCGAGGCCUGUUUAUCUACAUAGGGCCCUCCAUGGCCAGGAUCACCACCUGGGUGGCUAGUCACUCGUCGACGUCAAGGUCUACAUAGAACCCAUCGGAGGGGGCGGUGUUGUCGUCUGAAAACAGUAAUUAAGCAAACAUGAGUACAAAGGUACUCAGCAAGUCUUACAACAGAACCUACUAUACAUGCUUAUUCUCAAGAAGGUGGUGGGGAUAUUGCAGCAAGCCAGCUUUGACUCUUGGCUAAACUAUCCUAUGGAACUUCUCUAGUAAAAUAGUUUUCGCACACGAGUCCACUACUCACCAACACAAUACUCCACCGGGGAUCCUCCCUCGUCAUCCUACGAGAGGGCCAUCCUCGGUACUCACACUUAUCUUGAGUCUUUUAGUAGUAUCCAUUUACUUGUCUACGAACUGUAUAGGCAACCAAGUAGUCCUUUACCGCGGACGCGGCUAUUCGAAUAGUUUUAUACCCUGCAGGGGUGUACUUCGUCAUGCACGCUUUCACCACUUAUCGCCGUUUACACGACAUGUACUCGGCAACCUUCAAGCGGAAGCCCAGUGAGGGUGUCGGCCACGGCCUACCUAAACACUUAAGUCUCUAGUCCAGGUUUAUCGCCUAUCCAGGUUCCAUCCGCAGGGAGUCCGGCCGAGGUUUCCACAUACGGCCCGAACGAUGUGAACAGGGUCCCGAGACGCCAAUCGGGCACCCGGCAUACCCGGCCACGGUGUAUCUACCGCAACAUAGCCCACCCCUAGGGUCAGCACUACGCACGGCCGCCAACACAUAACCUACAAGCACCAGAAACUAUUUGCAACUCCUGGACAGAGUACUAGGGUGAUUAAGAAGCCGAGAGGGUCAAUUAAGGAUCCCAAUGCAUGGUAGUAGCUGAAUCUUAAAUCGCACAUACAGAUCUCAGUUCUUUGGGACGGUCUCAAUGAAACAACCCACCAUGUACUCCUACAUGGCCUCUCAUCGAUACCUUUACCAAAACAUGUUCAACACAUUCCUCAUAUUACCGACAUAAUCAUAUCACUCUAGCCCAUCACCCAGAUGAACCAGACCUGACACAACUCUAAGCAUAGCAGGCAUAGCAAGGUAGGAAUCACAGACAUGGCUCAAUCAACUCCUACACAUGCUAGUGGGUUUCAUCUAGUUACUGCGGCAAUGACAGAUCAUGUAGAGGAUAAGGGUUCAACUACCGUAGCACACAGUAGUUUGAAUCGCGUUGUCUUAAUCCAGUAAACAAGAGCAAAGGCGAGAACAUGGGUUGUAUCGGAAUGAUCAAUGGGUUGCUUGCCUGAUGGAGUGGUAGCGGGAUACUGCCCUUCAGUUGGAUACUCGUGAAUAUCCUCGGAGGCAGAACCUACCACGAAGAACACAUCGGAACACAAUCAACACAUGACGAUAUGCAACAAUAUGAUGCAUGCUAUGACAUGGCUAUGGUGUUGGCCUAAUGCAAGCUAAAAUAGAAAGGGAUGAACUCAUUUGAAUCAAAGAUUCAAAUAUUAGCUCAUUAAACAUGGCCUUAAUAGUGGAUUUCCUUAUUCUGCUUAAACAGCAAGGUAAACUUGUUUUUUCAUGCAUGAAACCAUUACAUAUGGAUAGAUUGAAUUUUUCUGAUAAAUUUUUCAUAUAUAAAUUAUUUCAUUUGGAGUUACGGUUGAAUUUCUAUGAUUUUUAGAAGUUUUAAACAUUUUCUGGAAUUUCCUGAAUAAAGAUAAAUCCAGAAAAUGCAUUACUGCAUCAGCAUUGCGUCAUGCUGACCUCAGCAGGUCAAAGGCGCCAGCCCAGGUCAAACCUGACUGGUGGGCCCCUUCUGUCAGUCUCUGAGUUAAAUAACAGGAUUAGAUUAACACUAAUUAGCUGUCAGUGGGGCCUGGGCCCACAUGUCAGUGACUGAUUAAAAUAAAAUUAGUUAAAACUAAUCCUAGAUUAGUUAGCAGACCGGCCCCACCUGUCAUAGACUCAGGGGGGUCUACCUGGGCCCACCCAGGGUCAAACUGGGUCAAACUCACCGGCGUUGAGCAGCCGGCGAGGCCCGAGACGGUGGCGCAGCUCGGAAAACGCCUAUAGGGCAUGAGGGAGGCCGUUCUUGGGCUCGUUGGAGAGCUCUUGCAAUCGCGCAUCUAGUGGUGGUGGUGGCCGAGCCUACGGUGGCCGGAGACGACGACGGCGAGCUCCAAGGCGGCGGCCGGAGUUCGGCCAUGUGCGGGGUGUGGGCUGCGGUGUGCAAACGUGGAAACUGAGGCGCUAGCGAGGCACUACGCGAUGCGGCAAGCAUGUUGCGUAGCACGGGAUGACCAAAUGGUCGCCGAAGCGGCACCGGCGACAAGCUCGAGCGGAGACGAGCUUCGGCCAUGGUGGAACUAUGGCCUAGAGGGUGCAAACGCGUGGAAAAGAAGAGGGGAAAGGUGGGGGAGCUCACAGGGAGGUCGAUGAGCAGCUCAGCGGGCUUGGGGGCGACCGGAGUGAGGCGAAUCGAUGAGCGGUGUCCGGUGGGUACCGAGGUUGAAGACGAUCCGAUGGCGGCGAUGCAGGGCCUCCGGCGAUGCGUGGCUCGGUGGGGAGGGCGAGGGCGUCACGGCAGAGCUUCUGGACAGGUCUGAGAGGCGAGAGGGUGACGGAGGGCGUGACUACGGCGGUGAGAGGGCGACGGGUGCGUCGGCCAUCGCGGGAGAGGGAGAGGGAGACGCGGUGGAGAGUGAGAGAGGAUGAGAGGGGGACGUGGGGGUCGCGUGGCAUUCCCUAGACGUCUCCCGGUGUCGGCGGAAGCAGGAGGUGGCCGGCGUGUGGCCGCGGGCGUCGGCCACGCGCUCCGCGUCCUUCUGGCACGAGGAGGACGACGACUGGCAGCGCCAGUAGGCUGGGCCGAGCCAGGUGGGCUGGCCAGCACAGGUAAGGCCCAGGUGGGCUUCUCCCUCUCUUUUUUUAAUUUGUUUCUGUUUUCUAUUUAACUGUAACUGUUGGGCUUUAUUUAAAAUACUAAAACAUUUCCAAAAAUCCUGAAAAUAAUUGUGGGCUCUAUUUGGAUUAUUUCCAACAGCAAACAUUUAUUUCCAGAAUUAUUUGAGCAUCUAAAUUAUUUAAUAGCAUUUAAAUGUCCAAAUUCAAAUACUUAUGAUUUAAAUCAAUGACCUUCUGUUGACCAAGAAAAAUUGUGCACCAAUUUUGCCAGAGGUUCUAACCCAAGACAAAGAGGGUGAACUUUUUAGAAGGGCAUUUCAGGUUCAUUGAAAAUAAUUUUAGUAAACCCUAGUUGUUUCCAGGGGGGUGUUGGGGGUUUGUGCCUUCCCCAACUCAAAUUUAAGAGGAAUUUAAACAUGAUGCACAUUCUAAUGCUUGAACUAGCUAGGGUGUGACAACUCACCCCCAGUCAAAAGAAUCUCGUCCUGAGAUUUAGGAUCCUCUGGAAAGAAGGUGGGGUACUCGAGUCGAAGACGAUCCUCCCUUUCCCAAGUGGCUUCUUUCUCGGAAUGGUGUGACCAUUGAACCUUGAGAAACUUGAUAUUAUGACGUCGAGUGGUACGCUCGGCUUGAUCAAGGAGACGAACGGGAUAUUAUCGUUAAGAGAGAUUAUCUUGUAGAUCAAGCGUUUUGUGGUCCACUCCACGAAUAGGAUCCGCGAAGCAACGCCUGAGUUGUGAAACGUGGAAGACAUCAUGAACUCUGGAAAGAUGCGGAGGUAGUUCCAAUUGGUAGGCAACUUCUCCUCGUUUGGCAAGAAUGCGAAAGGGUCCAAUGUAACGAGGAGCCAAUUUGCCUUUGAUACCGAAACGAUGGGUUCCUUUUAAUGGGGUAACCCGAAGGUAAGCCUUCUCGUCGACUUCAUAAGUCAUAGGCUUAUGUUUACGAUCAUAUUGACUCUUUUGACGAGAUUGGGCUGUUUUCAAUUUCUCACGAAUAACGCGAACCUGCUCUUCCGCUUCCUGAAUCAUAUCCGGUCCAAAGAGUUGUCUUUCCCCGGUUACUGACCAGUUAAGAGGCGUUCGACAUUUUCGUCCAUAGAGAACUUCGAAAGGAGCUUUGCCCAAGCUAGCUUGAUAACUAUUAUUAUAAGGAAACUCCGCGAAUGGGAGGCAUUUCUCCCAACUCAUUCCGAACAAGAUAACAUAAGCUCGGAGCAUAUCUUCCAGAAUUUGAUUGACUUGCUCUACUUGACAACUUGAUUGAGGAUGGAAGGCUGUACUAAAAGAGAGACGAGUUCCCAUAGCAUUUUGGAAACUUUCCCAAAAUCGAGAGGUGAAGAGACUCCCACGGUCUGAGUUAAUUUCCAAUGGGACACCAUGGAGAGACACUAUUCGGGAGAUGUAUAAAUCGGCUAGCUGGAUAGCAGUGAUAUUCUCACGAACAGGUAGGAAAUGGGCUACUUUGGAAAGACGGUCGAUCACGACGAAGAUGGCAUUAUUCCCUCUCUUGGUCCUGGGAAACCCAGUAAUGAAAUCCAUACUGAUUUUAUCCAAUUACCAUUCAGGAAUAGCCAAAGGUUGAAGGGUGCCAGCAGGCCGUUGAUGCUCUGCUUUAACACGACGACAGACGUUGCAGCUAGCAAUGUAUUGAGCGAUUUAUCUCUUCAUCCUAGUCCACCAAAACCUGUGGCGUAGGUCUUGAUACAUUUUAGUGCUACCGGGAUGAAUGGUGAGAGGGGAUUCAUGAGCUUCCUUAAGGAUCAAUUGGCGUAGAUGUUGUUUCUUGGGAACCACCAAACGAUUCUCAAAGAAGACAGCACCCCGCUUAUCCAUGAAAAAACAUUUAGCAACUCCACUAGUAAUGUUUUCCUUAAUCCGGGAUAUGCCCUUAUCAUACCACUGGGCGGUUAUGAUCUGAUCCAUAAGGUUAGGUUUCGCCACCAGGGUGGAUAGGAAUCCUCGAGGAACAAUGUGAAGAUUAAGCUUACGGAAUUCCUCAUGCAGAAGUGGUUGACUUUGUUGUAACAUCGGGUUGUUACAAUAGUAUUACGGCUUAGCGCAUCAGCCAUGACAUUGGCUUUGCAUGGGGUGUAGGUUAUUCCUAAGUCGUUAUCCAAGAUCAACUCAACCCAACGUCUUUGCCUGAGAUUCAAAUCUGGUUGGGUGAAGAUAUAUUUCAAGCUUUGGUGAUCGGUGAAGAUCUCGCAACGAUUACCGAGGAGGUAAUGUCGCCAAGUUUUAAGUGCAUGGACUACAGCUGCCAGCUCUAGAUCAUGUGUGGGAUAAUUUUCCUCAUGUGGGUGUAAUUGCCGUGAAGCGUAGGCAAUUACCUGAUGAUCUUGCAUGAGUAUGCAACCUAGUCCUUGUCGCGAGGCGUCGCAAUAGAUAAUAAAGUCCUUGGAGAAAUCCGGUGGUACCAGUACGGGAGAAGAUGUCAGGCGUCUUUUCAGUUCCUGAAAGUUGAACUCGCACUGUGGAGUCCACUCAAACUUUUUAUCUUUCUUGAGGAGUUCAGUUAGAGGUUUAGCAACCUUGGAUAAAUUCUCGACGAAGCGGCGGCAAUAGCUCGCUAAGCCAAGGAAGCUCCGAACUUGCUUGACCGUCUCAGGUGGAGUCCAAUCAAGGACGGCUUGAACUCGCUCGGGAUUGACGGCAAUACCCUUACCAGAGAUUACAUGGCCUAAAUAGGUUACUUCUGGCAACCAAAAUCGACACUUGGAGAACUUGGCAUAAAGGCGAUGCUCUCGAAGUUUCAUCAAUACCAGCCUUAGAUGUUCGGCAUGUUCCUCUUCAUUCUUGGAGUAGAUGAGUAUGUCAUCGAGGUAUACUACGACGAAUUUAUCCAAGUACUCCAUGAAAACCGAGUUCAUUAACCGGGAGAAGGUAGCCGGGGCAUUGGUUAAACCGAAGGACAUAACGGUGUACUCGUAUUGGCCAUAACGAGUAACAAAGGUCGUUUUGGGAAUGUCCCCGUUUCUGAUUUUGAUUUGAUGGUAGCCCAACCUCAAAUCCAUCUUGGAAAAGACUGAGGAUCCAGCGAGCUGAUCAUACAGAUCAUUGAUCCUGGGAAGCGUGUAUUUGUUCUUGAUGGUGACCAAGUUGACAGGUCGGUAAUCCACAACCAUUCGAUCUGUUCCAUCCUUCUUCUUGACGAAGAGGAUGGGGCAAGCCCAAGGAGAGGAACUAGGACGGAUGAAACCCUUUUUCAAGGACUCAUCGAGUUGGUUCUUAAGCUCGGCUAGUUCUAAGGGUGCCAUCUUGUAGGGUCUUCUAGAAAUUGGAACGGUUCUUGGAACAAGGUCUAUCACAAACUCGACAUCCCUGUCAGGUGGAACACCUGGCAGUUCUUCUGGAAAGACAUCCGGAAAGUCUCGGACUACCGGAACAUCCUCAAGGUCUAGAAGGGGGUUGAUAUUUAGGGAGUAAAGUUGGCGCUUGGCCACUCGAGUUAAGACAUUAACUGUCUUGCCCGAUGGGUAAGUUGAACGGUUCUAGUGGCACAGUCAAUCUUAGCAUAAUGAGCUGACUUCCAGUCCAUACCUAAGAUGAUGUUUAUGUCCGAGGACUUGAGAGCUAUUAAGGCUGCAAGGAAGACAAGUCUAUCGACAAGAAUUCGUUCCCAUGGCUUACUCUAGAAGUUUGCCAUCUAGAGCCAGGGGUUUGAAUUUCCAUGGUAGAGGGCAUGUCACAGAAUGUGGUGUUGUGCAAUCGAGCAUAGUUCUCGGAUAUGAAUGAAUGAGAUGCUCCAGUAUUGAAAAGAACAGAUGCCGGAUGGCAGUUAACAAGGAGCGUACUAAGGACGACGUUGGGAUCCUCAUGAGCCUCCUCGGCUGAAACAUAGUUGACAUGGCCACGUGCAGUGGUGGCCGGCUUGGCGUAGAAUGUUUUUCCGACGGGCUUACCACGGCCAACGGACUUUCCAGUUUGAUUGGGGUUGUUGUUCUGGGGACACUCUCGGCUAUAGUGACUCGGCUCUCCACACUUAAAGCAUGUCACCACAUUGGGGCGUGGAGCAGCAUUAGCAGCGGGGCCACCAUAGGGCUUGGGCGGUGCAAAUUGCUGGUUGGGACGUGGUACCUCAAAGGAUGGCCUCGGGAUGAACCUGGGUGGCAGUGCCGUGCUUGGAAUCCACACCCGGCGCUUCUCAGCUCCAGAGCCAGAUGAAGAGCCAAAAUCACGGGAGUGCUUGCGUGAAGCGUCAUAAUCAGUCUGGCUUGUCUCAGCACUGAUGGCUUUAUUGACCAACUUCUGAAAGGAGGUGCACUCGUGCAGAUGAAGAUCGCGGCGAAGCUCAGGGCUAAGUCCCUUGCGGAACCUUGCCUGCUUCUUAGCAUCAGUAGAUACCUCUUCGGGGGCAUAACGUGCCAGAUUCCCAAAUUCACGACUGUAAGCAUCCAUAGUCAGUCUUCCUUGGGUGAAGUUGAAUAACUCCUCCCUCUUGCGAUCCAUGAGACCUUCCAGAAUGUGAUGCUCACGGAAAACCUCACUGAAUUCAGCCCAAGUAGUGAUUUGGCCGACUGGGCGCAUAGCUUCGAAGUUUUCCCACCAAAGGCUAGCAGGGCCUUCGAGGUGAUAGGCAGCAUAAGUAACCUUCUCGGCUUCGGCUACGUUGGCAGAACGUAGCUUGUGGGUGAUGCUGCGAAGCCAGUCAUCCGCGUCGAGGGGCUCGACGGAAUGGUUAAACUUUGGUGGGUACAGCUUGAUAAAGUCAUUGAUUGACACCAAGUCAUUUUGCGGGUGGCGUGAAGUGUUUUGCUCAAUCCGCUCCAGCAGGCGGUUGGUCUCACGCUUGUUUCUUUCCGCCUCCAGCAUUACUUCAGCCAAAGAAGGCAUGUGAGGCAGAUUUUCACCUCUAGCAGCACUGGCUUCCCCCUGCUCCGGGGCUGCAGGGUUGCUGCGGGUGUUGACCAUCCUAGGAGAAAACAAGACAACGGUUUAGACAAGGAUGGCUCAAACUUAGCAAGGAAGUGCAUAAUGUAAUGGAUAACACGGAAUGCAGAGAUGUUCAUCCGUAUGUCAUGGUAAUAUAAAACUGCAAUAUAUAUACCAACGGUCAUACACAUCAUACAUAGUUUAGUACAAGCCCAGGCUACAGUACAACUAUGAUGAAAGACGUUACAUCUCAUCGGAGGCAUUCCAAGAUCCUAUACAUUAUUGUCUACACCUCCGGAAUUGAUUACACGCAAAGUCAUAUUCCACAAGUCACGCAGGACAGUGGAGAUACAACUACUACAAUACUAGUGGUACUACUAUGUCACGACCGGUUUUCCAAUAAAAAUAUUUAUUGAGAAACCAAUCUUUUGAGUCCAGUAUGAGGGAAAUCCUCCUCACUGGUAGACAAAAUUCUUGAUACAAUAAGCCAGUAGCAAAGAAUAUAUUACAAGGUUGAGCUAGGGCUGCUCAACAAUUUAUAACAAGCGCGCCAACAAUUAUAUAUAAUGGCGGAUAUACCACAAUGGUGUGGUGGCAUACUACUGACUCGGGGAUAAAGUGAUGGUGGAAUAACACAGUGGGGAGUGUGAUAACAUGACUCUCAAACUGGCAUCUCAUCGAGCGUCGAGGUGAGGCUCGAUGAAUUUUAUUCGGGUUGCGGAAGCGAAUAUAAUACAUUGACCGAAUCCAGGGUCGCACGAGACUGAUUGGGACUCCUCUAGGCGUCGGACUCGCUAUCGAACUAUUCAUCCAUGAGAUCGCCUUCGUCAGCAUCUGGCCAAAUCAACAAGCCAGUGAGUACUUUGAUAGUACUCGCAAGACAGUUUGGACUUAAGAUAUAACAAAUGCAUGCAUGAAUGCGUCAUGAUUAAUUCACCAAAUGUGCAUUCCAAAAAUUAGCAUAACAAAGCAAGUAAAAGGGAAACGGCGGUAGUCCGCCUGAAAUCCCAACAAAAGCAUAAAUGAAAACCGAUCGGGUGUCUGAAGCGAUGCCUCGAAAGGUGAACAAAUAAAUAAAGGAGAAAGUCAUGCCACAGUCGGGCGUCUUCACGACACCACAUAAAGGGCUUUGAAAGAAAUGCCACAGUCGGACGUCGGGGCGACAUCACAGAAAGGGCUUUAAAAGAAAUGCCACAGUCGGACGUCGGGGCGACAUCACAGAAAGGGCUUUAAAAAAAUGCCACAGUCAGAANNNNNNNNNNNNNNNNNNNNNNNNNNNNNNNNNNNNNNNNNNNNNNNNNNNNNNNNNNNNNNNNNNNNNNNNNNNNNNNNNNNNNNNNNNNNNNNNNNNNNNNNNNNNNNNNNNNNNNNNNNNNNNNNNNNNNNNNNNNNNNNNNNNNNNNNNNNNNNNNNNNNNNNNNNNNNNNNNNNNNNNNNNNNNNNNNNNNNNNNNNNNNNNNNNNNNNNNNNNNNNNNNNNNNNNNNNNNNNNNNNNCGGACGUCGGGGCGACAUCACAAAAAGGGCUUUAAAAGAAAUGCCACAGUCGGAUGUCGGGGCGACAUCACAAAAAGGGCUUUAAAAGAAAUGCCACAGUCGGACGUCGGGGUAACAUCACAGAAAGGGCUUUAAAAGAAAUGCCACAGUCGGACUUCGGGGCGACAUCACAGAAAGGGCUGUAAAAGAAAUGCCACAGUCGGACGUCGGAGCGACAUCGCAGAAAGGGUUUUAUUCACAAGUAAAUAAUAAUCAUAAUAAAUAUUCAAUUCAUGAUAAUAAACAGGUUAGUCCAUCCACAGGAAUAACAUUUAGCCGGGCUUAGCACUCAUGGGAUUCACCGGAGUCUCUGUCAUCAAACUGAUACUGUUAGGCCAAGAUGAUACGAAUUUGGACAUGGAAUAGAUGAUUCAAGGAAUGUAUGACUCUGCAGAGUUUGUACAAAAUUUUUUCCCACAGCCAACGGAUUUCCGUAGUCACGAGGGACUAGUUCCGUUUACGGUUUUUCGGAAGAAAACACAGCUAACCAAUACACACCCAUCCUACCUCUCGAUGCCAGGACUCACCCUAGACAUCGUCCAAGAAAAACUUUUGAGACGGGGAGAUCACAAUCUCGAAUAGCAUGGGAUCAAAUUUAUAUAUGCGCGCUCUAAGGGGUGCCCCCCUCUCGGUCCCAACCGGAAACACCCAUGCCCCCUGACCGGAUGACUGGCUUUAAUCCAGGGCCAUGGAACCAUCAUCCUGGCCUCUCCUUUUGGUGUGUACCAGGAAAGCGGUUUGCAACUUACUAAGCCAUAUUCCUUGCGAAAAACAUGUGGUAGUACAGGGAAGGAAAUGGGAGGAACUGGACUGGUACGGUUUGACCCUGAAGUCAUAUAGUCUGGCAUAAGACUGGCAUGCUACAACACUGCCAUCUUACCCAUCCUCAUGCCAACACAUGGCCAUUCAUACUCACAUCCAUCCACUUAUGGAUCAUCGAACUCACUUACCUCAACAUUUCAUAAAAAAAAUAACGUUCAUCGGUAUGCUCAUCAACAUGCCAUGAAACUAACUAAAUGCAAAACAUGCCAAGACACUCAUCAUAUCAAAAGUUCAAACAUGCUUGCCUGGUUCAGAGUAGUCGGAGCCUAGCUCGGUGAAGUUCGCGGCUCCGUCACCUCCUUCGGUAUCUAUGGUAUAAAGAAAAUAUAUGCGCUAUCGUAAAUUCCAAGAGGUGCACAGAAAGUAUUCCAAAUAUUUUUCAAAUAAAUAUGAUAAAAAACUAGACAAAAAUCUGAAGAGGACAGGAAAAGAAUCACUCAAAAAUUCCUUUCUGUUAAAAAGUUAUAAGGGUUUUAAUCCAAGGACUUAUCUGUAAUGAAACAGAAAGUUUCCAGGGGCUAGUUUAUAAAAACAGAAAACGCUUCGGCAGAAACUACGCCAGCCCAGAGGGAAGGCGCAUUUGGCAGAAGGCGUUUUCAGAAAACGAUUCGCUUAGACAGGAUAGAGAGGCUGACAGCGGGUCCCGCCCGUCAGGUUUAAACUUUCAAACGGGGGGGGGGGCAGAUUUCGCCGGUGCCCGAGAGCCGCGGUGGUCGCCGGCGGCGAUCCACGGCCAGGCAGGGUGAUCGGAGAUUACCAACGUGCUCACCGUGUCCUUCCGCAAUGGUGGGUGGUGGUGUUGGUCGCCGGUGAGCACCACGUCGACGCAGAGCUUGGUCGGGAAGGUUUAGGGAGUUGGGCGUCAUCGCGAAGUUGCACCGGUUCCAUUUAGGUGCUAAGCGAGCUUGGAUUGGGGUGCUAAGGGCGAAGUCGACGGAACGGGGCGGCGCGGGCCCGUCGGCGGCAGGGAGCAUGUUUCGUGCUUGCCGGGCCGCAGUGAUGGUGCCACGGGCGUGCGCUGGCAUGCAUGAGGACAUGCGGAGAGCCAGGGAGCUUUGGGUGGCGCCGAACGGCGUUCUGCCGUGGUGUGCCUUCUGUCGGCCGCCACAGGAGGUCCCGACGCCGCAGAAGACGCCGGCGAGGGCGGGCCAGCGCGCCACUGACGCCAGGAAAGCUCCAAGCACGCGUGUGAAGCUCCGGACAAGAGGGAGGGGCUGCGAGCAUCGAGCCAAAGGCACUGUGAGCAUAUGCCUGAAACUCUGAAGAAAACGACACUGUAAAACUGAAUUUUACUGAACUUUUCUGAAAAAUGCAAAGAACAGUGCAGCUCAGGUGAUCGACAGAAUGUUUUUGGCAUCUAGGGAUUUUUCCUUGAGCUAAAACUUGGUGGAGUGGCCUCUCAUUGCUCCAGUAGGCUGCCUGAAUUUUGGUGGAAUUUUUUUGGAGAAGUGUAGAUAUGAAUUUCACCAAAUUUGGCAAAUCUGGUCCAAACUUGCAGUGAGUGAAAUUGAAAUAUUUGAAAAGAAUAAGAGUGGAUCAAGAUGGUUCUAGGUUGUGGGUACUAAAGACAAUCCAGGGAAGUUGGUUUGGGAUAAAAACUCAAAGGCAAAGUGAUACUUGCUUUGAAAAUCACUUAAGCUCAAAAUAAAUGGCAGAAAUGUUUUGGGGGAUAAAAUAAUUGAAAUAAAAUCCAAAACUUGUUUGGACUUGUUGAGACAGAGAAUUUAGAUUGUUCAAAGGUGGAGGGAUGGAUUUUGAGAGGAUUUACUAUAGGAGACAUGGUAAAACCAUGGGUGUUUUCAAAAAGAAAGAAGUCCCAAAACUCCUAGGGUUUCCUUUUUUUUGAAAAAAAUAAGUUUGAGAGGGUAACAACCAGAAGGAAAAGCUCCCAAAAACUUCAACACCAAAUUUGAAAAGGGAAAAGAAAAUCCUUGACAAAGGAAAGGAAGUUUUUAAGAGGAAGGAUUUCUGGAAAAGAAAUUUUUAAAAAACCCUCUUUUAAAAUCCAACAAGGUUUUGAUAAAAACCAAAUUAAAAUUUUGGAGUGUCACAGCACUUACCCCCUUAGGAAAAAUCUCGUCCCCGAGAUUUCAGCUGAUCCUUAAAUAAGCGAGGAUGCUCUGUCCGAAGAAAAUCCUCUCUUUCCCAAGUUGUUUCACUGUCGGUGUGAUUGCUCCACUGGACUUUGAAAAACUUGAUGGUCUUCUGUCGGGUCCUCCUUUCAGACUCCUCUAAUAUUCUUACAGGACGUUCCCGAUAAGUGAGGUCUGGCUGCACGUCGAUGUUCUCAUGGGAUACUUGUUUCUCUGGGUUGCUUACGCACUUCCUCAAUUGCGAGACGUGGAACACGUCGUGGACAUCGGAUAAUUCCUCGGGUAAGUCUAGCUGGUAGGCUACCGUGCCUCUUCGUGCCCUUAUACAGAAAGGUCCGAUGAAUCUUGGUGCUAGCUUCCCUUCAAUCUUGAACCAUUGCAAUCCGCUCAUAGGGAUACUCUUAGGUAUACGAACUCACCGGGUUCGAAGCUGACCCCACGAUGUUUCUGAUCGUAAUAACUCUUCUGUCGACUUUGAGCAGUCUUAAGUCGGUCUCUGAUUAGUUUGACUUUUUCCUCGGCUUCUCUGAGCAUGUCUGGUCCGAAGAUGCGGCUGUCUCCGGUCUCUGACCAAUUUAACGGGGUACGACAUCUUCGUCCGUAUAAGGCCUCAAAUGGUGCCAUUUGCAGGCUGGCCUGGUAGCUAUUGUUGUACGCGAACUCGGCGUAUGGCAGGCUUUCUUCCCAACUAUUUUCAUAGGUGAGGACACAUGCUCUCAGCAUGUCUUCUAAAACCUGGUUUACGCGUUCUGUUUGCCCAUCGGUCUGUGGGUGGUAUGCGGUACUGAAGGCUAGUUGGGUUCCCAGAGCCUGUUGUAAAUGCUCCCAAAAGCUCGAGACGAACUGAGUGCCUCUGUCGGACAUUAUAGUCUUCGGGACACCGUGCAGACAAACUAUGCGGGAAAGAUAAAUCCUGGCAAGCCUCUGAGUGGUGUGGGUCGUCUUUAUUGGAAUAAAGUGUGCCACUUUGGUUAACCUAUCAGUGAUGACCCAUAUGGCAUCAUUCCCGUGUCGUGACCGAGGUAGUCCGACAAUGAAAUCCAUCCCUAUUUCAUCCCAUUUCCACUCAGGUAUUUUGUUCGGUUGCAGUAGUCCGGCUGGUCUCUGAUGCUCAGCUUUUAUGCGUUGACAUGAGUCGCAGCGCGCAAUGAAGGUGGCUAUGUCCCUCUUCAUACUGUGCCACCAAAAUCUUUCCUGAAUAUCUUUAUACGUUUUGGUUCCUCCAGGGUGGAUCGAGUACGAGGCGGUGUGGGCUUCAGCUAAAAUUUGCUAUUUAAGGUCUUCUAUGUUUGGCACGCAGAGUCUGUCUCCGUACCAUAAUAUUCCUUCAUUGUCUAUGACUAAUUCCGAGGCUUUGCCCAUACUCACCUUUCUUUUGAUGCCUUCGAUGCUGGGGUGACCGGGCUGAGCUCCUUUAAUUUCCCCCACAAGGUCGGGUUGUAUUUCCAAGUUUGAUAUGGUGCCUUCUGCUACCAUCAUCAAGUUGAGCUUGGCAAAUUCUUGUUGGAAUUCGGGCCUCAAUCUGUGCAAAUUGUUGUCGUCGGAGCUGGGAUUCCGACUAAGAGCAUCGGCCACUACAUUUGCUUUUCCUGGAUGGUAAUGGAUACCAACAUCAUAAUCCUUUACCAAUUCCAACCAACGUCGUUGCCGUAAGUUUAGUUCUGGCUGUGUGAAAAUAUAUUUGAGGCUUUUGUGAUCCGUAUAUAUUUCACAUCGAUUCCCAAGUAAGAAAUGCCUCCAUUCCUUGAGUGCAUGAAUAACUGCUGCCAUUUCUAAGUCAUGAGUGGGAUAAUUUUCCUCAUGCUUACGAAGUUGCCUUGAAGCGUAGGCGACAACCUUGCCUUCCUGCAUCAACACGCAUCCGAGGCCCUUUCUGGACGCGUCACAAUAUACUUCAAAAUUCUUGUGUAUGUUGGGUACAAUUAAUACCGGUGAUGUCGUUAAUUUCCGUUUUAGCUCUUGGAAACUUUUCUCGCAGGCUUCUUUCCAUUCAAACUUCUUGUCUUUCUUGAGUAACUGUGUCAUAGGCUUGGCUAUGGUGGAGAACACUUCAAUAAAACUGUGGUAAUAUCCUAACAUUCCCAAGAAACUUCGUAUGUCCGUUACGCUGGCUAGUGACAUCCAGCCAAGUAUGGCCUUGACUUUCUCUGGGUCCACUGCGAUACCGUCUUGGGUCAGUACGUGGCCUAGAAAGCCUACUUUUCUUAGCCAAAAUUCGCACUUGCUGAACUUGGCAUACAAUUGGUGUUUUCUGAGCUCUCCUAGCACAAUCUUGAGAUGUUCUGCGUGCUCUUCUGGUGUCUUGGAGUAUACCAGAAUAUCGUCGAUGAAUACCACGACGAACUUGUCCAUAAACUUCAUAAAUACUUUGUUCAUGAGGUGAACAAAAUAUGCGGGGGCGUUAGUUAAUCCAAAUGGCAUCACUGUGAACUCGUACAGUCCAUAUCUGGAGGUGAAGGCUGUUUUGGGAAUAUCUUCUGUUCGCACCUUUAAUUGAUGGUAUCCUGACCUUAAGUCAAUUUUUGAGAAUACCUUGGCCUGAGCGAGUUGAUCAAACAAAUCGUUUAUCCUUGGCAUCGGGUAUUUGUUCUUGACUGUGACCAUGUUAAGUGCUCGAUAGUCAAUACACAAUCUCAGUGUUCCAUCCUUCUUUUGGCAAAUAAAAUUGGUGAUCCCCAAGGUGAGGAGCUGGCUCGAAUGUAUCCUUUGUCUAGCAAUUCCCUUAUUUGUUUCUUCAACUCAACUAAUUUGGAUGGUGCCAUUCGGUACGGUUUCUUGUAUAUGGGGGUGGUUCCUAGUGCGAGCUCAAUGCUGAACUCUAUCUCUCGGUCUGGUGGCAUGCCUGGUUGCUCUUCAGGGAAUACGUCUGGAAAUUCACACACUACUGGAACCUUGUUUAGCUCAGAAAUGUCCACCUUAUUCAAUCUCGGUUGGCAGGGUAUUUUUCCUUCCUUGGCUGAUACUCUUAUUGUCUUCCCUUGGUGGUGUGUGAGAAUUACGGUCCUGUUGAAACAGUCGAUAAACCCCUUGUUGGUGGUUAGCCAAUCCAUCCCUAGGAUGACAUCCAGUCCUUUAUUUUCCAACACAAUAAGAUUUGCGUGAAACUCCAAUCCUUCGAACUCAAUGACCACAUUCUGACACUAAUUCUGAGUAACUUGCUGAAUCCCAGGGGACUUGAUGAUCAUGGAUUUCUCCAAAGGAAGCAUCGAAAAAUUAUUUUGCAAAGCAAAACUUUUCAAAAUGAAAGAGUGAGAAGCUCCAGAAUCAAACAAAACCGUUGCAGGUAUUGUGUUGACAGGAAACGUACCGAGUACGAUAUCCGGAGCAUUUUGUGCCUCCUCUUUGGUUACGUGGUUCAGAUGAUCCUUCCUGUGGUUGUUGUUGGGAUUGAAAUUGUUUCGCUUGGGCACUGAAUUACUGCCGCCGUUGUUCGGCUUUGGGGUUGAGUUCCUUGGCUUGGGGCACUGUUUGGCAUAGUGCCCUUCUUCUCCACAAGUGUAACAAGUAACGCCGGGGCGAUAUGUGAACUCCUUGUCCCUUGCAUGAAAAUUCUUGAUUGGGAGUGAGACGUUGGAUGAGGAUUUGUGCGUCCCACCCUUUUUGAAAUCUGUCUUGCUCCGGUGAUUGCGAGCAAGGUUAGUCUGGUCCCUUUUUCGCUUGCGGAUAUCUUCCAGACUGCGUCUCUCAUUCUCCAGAGUAAUGGCUUUGUCCACCAGUGUUUUAAAAUCAGGAAAAGUGUGCACGACCAGUUGGCAUUUAAGCGCGGGCACCAUACCGUCAAGGAAUUUCUCCAUCUUCUUGCUUUCAGUCAUACGCUCUUCAUUGGCGUAGCGGGACAAUAGAGUAAAUUGACUGUUGUAAUCUGACACUGUCAUGUUCCUUUGCUUGAGGUCGUCGAACUCUCUCUUCUUGAUUUUCAUAAUACUCUUAGGAAUGUGUGCACCACGGAAACCUUCCUUGAAAUCAUCCCAGGUUAUGUCAUUUUCAUUGGGAUGCAUGUGCAGAAAAUUCUCCCACCACGAUGCGGCUGCUCCUGUGAGAUAGUGCGGAGUAUACAGUGCUUUUUCGGGGUCUGAACAUUUUGCAAUAUCUCUAAGCCAGUCCUCGGCUUCAAGAGGUUUGUCAGUGUGAGAAAAUGUUUGGGGACGUGUCUUCUGAAGCUUAGAUAACUUGGAUUGCUGCUGAUACUGUCCAUGGUGAUUCCCCAUGUUGAUGACUUGGUUCAUCAUUUCACGAUGUUGUUGCUGACUUUGUUCAUAUAGGCGGCACAUUUGGGAAAGUGUCGUUUCACUGUCCUGUUGACUCGACUGCCCUUGUGUGAAAUUGUUGCCUGGUUGAGUGUCAUAAUUUUCCUCUGGUGGAGUAGGCAUGGAGCGAGUCCAAGGACGAGACAUUUUUCACUAUGGGGAUAUAAUUUGCAAAACUCAUAAGAAAAGCGAAAAUGGUCGCAAAAACAAAUCCAAAAUUGCACAAGGAUGGCAAAUAAUUUAAAUGACCAAGAUCACUUAAGAAAACAAAUCGAAUUGCGCACGGAGAAGGACUGCUCAUUACAUAUCUUACACGCGGGCGAUAAUUAUACAAUACAUCACUCAGGAUAUGUGUACAUAAUCCUGACAUGUUAUUUAGGCUAGUGCACUUCUCUAGUUCCUACAUGAUGCGCAAACAAGCUACUCCUCACAACCUAUGUACAUAUCUUACAAAGCGGUACAUCGCAUGACGGGCAAGCGCACUCAGCCGGAAAUGUUGACGAUCUCCUUGGCCCUGCCAAGGGUGAGGCGCAGUGAGGCUGGGGACUCGACCUCCUCCUCACUAAUAGGCUCCAGACGUGAAGAGCUGCGUCGGGUAGAUGGAGCGGGUGCCAGGGGCGGAGCAACACGAAUAGGAGUAGGCACAACGGGUGGUGCAGUGCGCGCUGGAGUGGGCGCAAUGGCCUGGUUGAACUCCUAAGUGGUAGGCGGGCGACGAGUAGGUGCAAAAGAUGCUGAUGACAAGACCAAAGUCAGUGGCGGUGCGGCGGGUAGGAGCUCCCUCCUAUUGGUGGCACAGCCAUGGAUUGAGUCCAUGCGGGCAGCUACGAAGUCGUCCACCAGGUUGUCGAAGGCUGCCUCCAGAGCCCGGAGAUACUCAAUAAGCAUCUCAAAAGCCUCAUCUUGUUCUCCUCUGGGGCAGGAGAAUGCGUAGUGACAGGUGUAAGGCACAUGGCAUGGAAGAUAGCGGUAGCGACGAGUCUUCAUCGCGGGAAGGACAUCCCUGAGGCGAGCUAUCGCCUCACGGGCUGCCAUCUGCAUAGCAUGCCUCUCCGUAGGCAUGGCUCUUCCCACGAACCGGAAGCGGCGUAACUCACCACGCCCUCCCCUGAACUGCACCGUGACCUGGUGCAUGGUCAGAUUGUCGCUGACCUUGUGCUGGUAGAGUGUGAAGACUAGGCGCACAGACAGCCCCAUCGCGACCUGAACGAUGAAGGAGAGAAGCUUGACGAACCCAUUGGGCACGUUGGCGAAGGUUUGAGACUCGCAGCUGUUGUCGGCCAUCUACAAAAGUAGGCAAAAUUCCUGCAUGGUCAGAUCAUAAAUUUAUGCUGACUGUCAGAAAAUGACUACCAUUGCAAAAAUAUAAAUUAGCUCUAUUAUGCUAAUAACGAAUUAGCGAUCGCACCUAGUGGCUUCCUACGGUCAGCCUGACUCUGAUACCAAGCUUGUCACGACCGGUUUUCCAAUAAAAAUAUUUAUUGAGAAACCAAUCUUUUGAGUCCAGUAUGAGGGAAAUCCUCCUCACUGGUAGACAAAAUUCUUGAUACAAUAAGCCAGUAGCAAAGAAUAUAUUACAAGGUUGAGCUAGGGCUGCUCAACAAUUUAUAACAAGCGCGCCAACAAUUAUACAUAAUGGCGGAUAUAACACAAUGGUGUGGUGGCAUACUACUGACUCGGGGAUAAAGUGAUGGUGGAAUAACACAGUGGGGAGUGUGAUAACAUGACUCUCAAACUGGCAUCUCAUCGAGCGUCGAGGUGAGGCUCGAUGAAUUUUAUUCGGGUUGCGGAAGCGAAUAUAAUACAGUGACCGAAUCCAGGGUCGCACGAGACUGAGUGGGACUCCUCUAGGCGUCGGACUCGCUAUCGAACUCUUCAUCCAUGAGAUCGCCUUCGUCAGCAUCUGGCCAAAUCAACAAGCCAGUGAGUACUUCAACAGUACUCGCAAGACAGUUCGGACGUAAUAUAUAACAAAUGCAUGCAUGAAUGCGUCAUGAUUAAUUCACCAAAUGUGCAUUCCAAAAAUUAGCAUAACGAAGCAAGUAAAAGGGAAACGGCGGUAGUCCGCCUGAAAUCCCAACAAAAGCAUAAAUGAAAACCGAUCGGGUGUCUGAAGCGACGCCUCGAAAGGGUGAACAAAUAAAUAAAGGAGAAAAUCAUGCCACAGUCGGGCGUCUUUGCGACACCACAUAAAGGGCUUUAAAAGAAAUGCCACAGUCGGACGUCGGGGCGACAUCACAGAAAGGGCUUUAAAAGAAAUGCCACAGUCGGACGUCGGGGCGACAUCACAGAAAGGGCUUUAAAAAAAUGCCACANNNNNNNNNNNNNNNNNNNNNNNNNNNNNNNNNNNNNNNNNNNNNNNNNNNNNNNNNNNNNNNNNNNNNNNNNNNNNNNNNNNNNNNNNNNNNNNNNNNNNNNNNNNNNNNNNNNNNNNNNNNNNNNNNNNNNNNNNAACCGAUCGGGUGUCUGAAGUGACGCCUCGAAAGGUGAACAAAUAAAUAAAGGAGAAAAUCAUGCCACAGUCGGGCGUCUUAGCGACACCACAUAAAGGGCUUUAAAAAAAAUGCCACAGUCGGACGUCGGGGCGACAUCACAGAAAGGGCUUUAAAAGAAAUGCCACAGUCGGACGUCGGGGCGACAUCACAGAAAGGGCUUUAAAAGAAAUGCCACAGUCGGACGUCGGGGCGACAUCACAGAAAGGGCUUUAUUCACAAGUAAAUAAUACUCAUAAUAAAUAUUCAAUUCAUGAUAAUAAACANNNNNNNNNNNNNNNNNNNNNNNNNNNNNNNNNNNNNNNNNNNNNNNNNNNNNNNNNNNNNNNNNNNNNNNNNNNNNNNNNNNNNNNNNNNNNNNNNNNNNNNNNNNNNNNNNNNNNNNNNCAGAAAGGGCUUUAAAAAAAUGCCACAGUCAGACGUCGGGGCGACAUCACAGAAAGGGCUUUAAAAGAAAUGCCACAGUCAGACGUCGGGGCGACAUCACAAAAAGGGCUUUAAAAGAAAUGCCAUAGUCGGACGUUGGGGCGACAUCACAGAAAGGGCUUUAAAAGAAAUGCCACAGUCGGACGUCGGAGCGACAUCGCAGAAAGGGCUUUUAUUCACAAGUAGAUAAUACUCAUAAUAAAUAUUCAAUUCAUGAUAAUAAACAGGUUAGUCCAUCCACAGGAAUAACAUUUAGCCGGGCUUAGCACUCAUGGGAUUCACCGGAGUCUCUGUCAUCAAACUGAUACUGUUAGGCCAAGAUGAUACGAAUUUGGACAUGGAAUAGAUGAUUCAAGGAAUGUAUGACUCUGCAGAGUUUGUACAAAUUUUUUUCCCACAGCCAACGGAUUUCUGUAGUCACGAGGGACUAGUUCCGUUUACGGUUUUUUGGAAGAAAACACAGCUAACCAGUACACACCCAUCCUACCUCUCGAUGCCAGGACUCAGCCUAGACAUCGUCCAAGAAAAACUUUUGAGAUGGGGAGAUCACAAUCUCGAAUAGCAUGGGAUCAAAUUUAUAUACGCGCGCUCUAAGGGGUGCCCCCCUCUCGGUCCCAACCGGAAACACCCAUGCCCCCUGACCGGAUGACUGGCUUUAAUCCAGGGCCAUGGAACCAUCAUCCCGGCCUCUCCUUUUGGUGUGUACCAGGAAAGCGGUUUGCAACUUACUAAGCCAUAUUCCUUGCGGAAAACAUGUGGUAGUACAGGGAAGGAAAUGGGAGGAACUGGACCGGUAGAGUUUGACCCUGAAGUCAUAUAGUCUGGCAUAAGACUGGCAUGCUACAACACUGCCAUCUUACCCAUCCUCAUGCCAACACAUGGCCAUUCAUAAUCACAUCCAUCCACUUAUGGAUCAUCGAACUCACUUACCUCAACAUUUCAUAAAAAAAUAACGUUCAUCGGUAUGCUCAUCAACAUGCCAUGAAACUAACUAAAUGCAAAACAUGCCAAGACACUCAUCAUAUCAAAAGUUCAAACAUGCUUGCGUGGUUCAGAGUAGUUGGACCCUAGCUCGGUGAAGUUCGCGGCUCUGUCACCUCCUUCGGUAUCUACGGUAUAAAGAAAAUAUAUGCGCUAUCGUAAAUACCAAGAGGUGCACAGAAAGUAUUCCAAAUAUUUUUCAAAUAAAUAUGAUAAAAAACUAGACAAAAAUCUGAAGAGGACAGGAAAAGAAUCACUCAAAAAUUCCUUUCUGUUAAAAAGUUAUAAGGGUGUGAAUCCAAGGACUUAUCUGUAAUGAAACAGAAAGUUUCCAGGGGCUAGUUUAUAAAAACAGAAAAUGCUUCGGCAGAAACUACGCCAGCCCAGAGGGAAGGCGCAUUUGGCAGAAGGCGUUUUCAGAAAACGAUUCGCUUAGACAGGAUAGAGAGGCUGAUAGCGGGUCCCGCCCGUCAGGUUUAAACUUUCAGACGGGGGUGGCAGAUAUCGCCGGUGCCCGAGAGCCGCGGUGGUCGCCGGCGGCGAUCCACGGCCAGGCAGGGUGAUCGGAGAUUACCAACGUGCUCACCGUGUCCUUCCGCAACGGUGGGUGGUGGUGUUGGUCGCCGGCGAGCACUACGUUGACGGCGGUCUUGACUCCGGCGGACGAUGGUUCGGGCGUUGAUGGAUCUCGCCGAGGAGGGCUGCAAGGAUCAAAUUGAGGUGGGGGUUAGAGCACUAGGUGUAAGAGAAGGCUACGGAUGAGGUUUGGGCGCCGGAGAUGGCCUCACCGGAGUGAAUCGAGGUGGAGGCCGAGGCGGAGCGAGGCGGCCGGAGUUGGGGAAGGAGACCUCCUCGAGGUCCUCCUGGUGGCUUGGCAGGGUCCUGGAGAGGUGCAGUGAAGGUGUGGGUCUCGUGAGCGAGCUCGGGGUCCUUUUUAUAGGCGAGCCGAGGCGGUGGCCGUGAAUGGGGAUCUCCGGCGAAGGUUACGGCGGCGCAGAGCUUGGUCGGGAAGGUUUAGGGAGUUGGGCGUCAUCGCGGAGUUCCACCAGUUCCAUUUAGGUGCUAAGUGAGCUUGGAUUGGGGUGCUAAGGGCGAGCUCGAUGGAACAUGGCGGCGCGGGCCCGUCGGCGGCAGGGAGCACGUUCCGUGCUUGCCGGGCCGCGGUGAUGGUGCCACGGGCGUGCGCUGGCAUGCAUGAGGCCACGCGGAGAGCCAAGGAGCUUUGGGCGGCACCGAACGGCGUUCUGCCGUGGUGUGCCUUCUGUCGGCCGCCACAGGAGGUCCCGACGCCGCAGAACACGCCGGCGAGGGCGGGCCAGCGCGCCACCGACGCCAGGAAAGCUCCAAGCACGCGUGUGAAGCUCCGGACAAGAGGGAGGGGCUGCGAGCAUCGAGCCAAAGGCACUGUGAGCAUGUGCCUGAAACUCUGAAGAAAACGACACUGUAAAACUGAAUUUUACUCAACUUUUCUAAAAAAUGCAAAGAACAGUGCAGCUCAGGUGUUCGACAGAAUGUUUUUGGCAUCUAGGGAUUUUUCCUUGAGCUAAAACUUGGUGGAGUGGCCUCUCAUUGCUCCAGUAGGCUGCCUGAAUUUUGGUGGAUUUUUUUUUGGAGAAGUGUAGAUAUGAAUUUCACCAAAUUUGGCAAAUCUGGUCCAACUUGCAGUGAGUGAAAUUUGAAAUAUUUGAAAAGAAGAAGAGUGGAUCAAGAUGGUUCUAGGUUGUGGGUACUAAAGACAAUCCAGGGAAGUUGGUUUGGGGUAAAAACUCAAAGGCAAAGUGAUACUUGCUUUGAAAAUCACUUAAGCUCAAAAUAAAUGGCAGAAAUGUUUUGGGGGAUAAAAUAAUUGAAAUAAAAUCCAAAACUUGUUUGGACUUGUUGAGACAGAGAAUUUAGAUUGUUCAAAGGUGGAGGGAUGGAUUUUGAGAGGAUUUACUAUAGGAGACAUGGUAAAACCAUGGGUGUUUUCAAAAAGAAAGAAGUCCCAAAACUCCUAGGGUUUCCUUUUUUUUGAAAAAAAUAAGUUUGAUAGGGUAACAACCAGAAGGAAAAGCUCCCAAAAACUUCAACACCAAAUUUGAAAAGGGAAAAGAAAAUCCUUGUCAAAGGAAAGGAAGUUUUUAAGAGGAAGGAUUUCUGGAAAAGAAAUUUUUAAAAAAACCCUCUUUUAAAAUCCAACAAGGUUUUGAUAAAAACCAAAUUAAAAUUUUGGAGUGUCACAACCUACUAACUCAGAUAGCUCCAUAGUAGUCCUCAUAGAAGUCACCUCCAUAGCCUGGAAGUUCAACGUGACCAUCCGGGAACAGACGGUCUUGAGGAGCCUGUGGACCAUAGGGGCUAGGAUGGGGUCUUGGACCAACAAACGGUGGCCUGCGGGGACCACGGGGUGGGGUGAUGCCUCCCACAUCACGCCAAUCCACCACGUCUGGCAAAGCAGACCUCACAGGAUACAGAUAUCUUGUAUACAUACAUCCAGCUUGCACCGCAGGUGCAAACCGAGUCAAUGUGGCCCAAUGAUCAGCACGGGUAUUAAAAAGCUCCAGCCUCAAGGCCCGAUUCUCUCGGUCCUUAUCUUCGAGCAUCUCGGCAGUGGUACGAGUUAAUGAAUCCUCCCGAGUGGAGUCAGCAUAGAUAGCCUGAAGAUACCGUUGCGCUCCCGGAAGUGAAGCUAGCAUGUAUCGGAAGUCGGUGUUCCGAAGCAGGCCAGUCCGGACUCGCAUGAUGGUCAUCAUGGAAUAGGCAGCAUCCUGCACAGCCAUCUCAACAGUAACCCCGACUCUCGGAAUAACUGACGGUGCAGAAAUACUGGCUUUGAUUAAAGUCUCGGAAUUGCUCUUCGACGGUGUAUUCGGGAUACCAACGGUAACCCGUCUCGAUCAUGACCCGGACUAACAUAGCAGUAUGACCGGGCACGUCGAGGCACCGGGUCAGGCGAACCACUUGGUUUUGAGCACGGUUGGGCAUUUUAAAGCACAACCACAAUGCGAAGACAUCAGAAUUUCUAGGGAAAAUUGGACCGCAUAACAGCUGUAAAUGCUCAGAAAAAGAUUUGAGACAUCCACAACAGUUCGCAAUACCACUCAACAACAUCAUAUCAAGGUUCUGAUCCAAAUAGCAACAUACUAAAAAUAGUAGAAACUGAACUGGGCUUGUAACAACAAUCCUAUAAGCUACUACGGAUUGGUAACACGUGAACCUGAUAGAAGAAGAGAGCCUAGUCCUUAACCCAUGUUGAAUGAGAAGGGAAUGACUCAGAUAAGAGGCAUAGGGUAAAGGAGUAAAAGAGCCUUAUGUUCCCUCCCACAAUCAAUUCCCCUACAUAUAACUAAAGCAUUUCUAGACUCGGCAUCGACCAGUUUGGCUCAACGAACCUACAGGCAGUCCAGCUCUGAUGCCAAAGCUGUCAGGACCCCGAUUUCAAGCCACAUCGAUCUAGCCGGUAACACCUCAUAUCACUUUGCGGCCUCACGCACGAUAUUCCACGGGUGUCGCCUUACCAUGGCCCGGGACCGUUUGUGCCUUUUGGCUCACGUAUAUGAUAGUGUCGCUAGCAUCCGUAUGACAGAGAACCCGGGCCGACAUGGCUAGUCGUGAACCCAAAGCGGCACAGACCUAUGGAGACAGGCAUACAUGAAUCACAUCGAGCAUGUCGGUCAUCAGCGAGUGAUUCCGGGCUGUAGCACUGGGCUAACAGGACUCCGGGGAACUCGGGCUGUAGCAGGCUAGGCAGGACUCCGGAAGUCACCGUGUGACAUUUCCCCGAAGGGACAGACAUAGGAACGAAGUGAAUCACAUGCCGGCCAGUCAAGUGUCCUGAGCAGUAGUGCUGGGCUAGCAGGACUCCGCUGAACCGGGCUGUAGCGGACUACUAUGGCUCGAGGAACACUAGACUACAUUUCCCCAUAAGAAAGGCUGCAAAGGAUAAACAACUAGAUUGUGGGAUCCCACUCAUACCAAGCAUUUCAAUCAUACACACAAUAUGCCCGAUAUGAGUACAUACAACAUGGCAUCACAACAAAACUCUACAACUCAAGUACUUUAUUUAAAGGCUCCAGAGAGCCAUACAUAACAUGUUCAUAUAGAUAGGGGUCACAUGACCCGACACUCAAGUCAUACAAUCAUACAAGCACAUGCGGAAGCAACGGGUCUUGAAAGUGCGUUAUAUCGGCUAGGGGGGGGGGUGAAUAGGCGAUUUUUAUGGAAGUCUUCAAAACGUGGAAGUUAUGAAGACAAACAGAGUGAACAAGCCUAUCACUAUGCAGCGGAAGUUAGAUUACACAACGCAAGCCAUGGUCAAGUAUACAAUAUAGUGAAAGCACAGUGACAAAUAGCUUCAGUGUAAUGAGGAUCAGGUUGGAAGAAGUUAUGAAGCCAAACAGAUCAUACAGUCAAGUUGUGAAGACAGAAGAUAAAGCAAGCAUGCAAUAGCUUCACAAUGUGUACUGGUAAGUAAAGGGAGGCGAAGAUGAAACCAGUGACACGUUGAAGACAAUGAUAUGUUGGACCAGUUCCAGUUGCUGUGACAACUGUACGUCUGGUUGGAGCGGCUAGGUAUUUAAACAAAAGGACACACAGUCCCGGACACCCAGUCCUGAACACGCAGCUCAGGACACCCAGUCCUCACCGUUUUCUCCUUGAGCUAAGGUCACACAGACCCCGCCCAAUCACUCUGGUAAGUCUUCAAGGUAGACUCCCAAACCUUCACAGACUUUGUUCACCGGCAAUCCACAAUUCCUCUUGGAUGCUCAGAACGCGACGCCUAACUGUCUGGAGGAUGCACAGUCCUCAAGUGUAAUAAGUCUUCAGAUCACUCAGACAAGAAGACUUAAGUGAUGCCCAAUUACUCUGGCUCUGGGUGGUUAGGGCUUUUCUCCUCACUAAGGAUUUUCUCUCAAUGGCUUCGAGGUGGGUUGCUCUCAAACGACAAAAGCCGUGCACUGAAAUCUGAGCAGCCAACCGUUUAUGGUUGUAGGGGUGGACUAUUUAUAGCCGCUUGGCAACCCUGACCUGAUUUGUCCGAAAUGACCCUGGGUCACUAAGGAACUGACACGUGUACUAACGGUCGGAUUUUGAACUCUCACGGCAACUUUACUUGGGCUGCAAGUAAAGCUGACUUUUCUGACUCUGGACAAGAUUUUCUCUCAUUGUCUUCACUCGAAGACAUAGGAUUUGAAUUAGGCAUCAUUUCAGUCAUCCUGACUGGUUCUCUUGGACCCCACUUAACAGUACGGUGGUUCCUAUGACACAACAUGAAUAAAGUAAAACUACAAAGGAUCUAAGUCUUCGAGUUCCAAAGGCUUCAUGGGGAGUCUUCAUAUGUCAUUGUCUUCGACAUGAAUGUCUUCAUGAACCACCAUUGUCUUCAAUGUCUUCGUACAUUUUUCGGGGUCAUCUCUGGUAACUAAACCGAAUCAAUGAGGGACUUCUACCUGUGUUAUCCUGCAAUUCUCACAAACACAUUAGUCCCUCAACUAGGUUUGUCGUCAAUACUCCAAAACCAACUAGGGGUGGCACUAGAUGCACUUACAAUCUCCCCCUUUUUGGUGAUUGAUGACAAACUAGUUGAAGUUUUCAACGGGGAAUAUAAUUUGUGAAAUUGUAAAGGAAUUGUCUUCAUAAGCUGCAAGGGCUCCCCCUGAGGAUGUGCAUAUAAGUGAUUUGCUUUUGGAACGCGAAUGCACAUAGCAGGUUGUAUUUGUGGGAAUCCACUUCAACUUAUGAUGACAAUCCAUCAUGCAUGUAAACAUAUAAGAAGAUAAUGAUAUGCAUAAUGAAAAAUGGACGCCUGCGAAAUGAUAUAAGUGCGGAAAUUAUCGUCGUACAUGCGGAAUUUAUCUUCGCAAAAACACAGUGGCAAACAUAGUAGCAGACGACCAUCAAGUUUAAGUGUUACAACUCAAAGAACCAAAUGUAGCAAAACGAGAGUUGUAAGCACGAAGCAAAAUAUAAUAAAGCACCAGCCCUUAUUAUUGACCCGCUUGAAGACUAUAAACAUCAUAUGCUUCUCCCCCUUUUGUCAGUGAUGACCAAAAAGGUUUGAAGGCAUAGAGUUUUCUACGUGUUCCCAGGCGCAGCAGGGUCGAUGGAGGCGUUUGGUGGAGCUGGCGAGCUUGGUGCAGUGAUGAUGCGCGCUGAAGAAGGUGGUGGUGAUGUAGCAUCGUCUUCUUCCUCAAUGAUUUUUCCAGUCACUAUGGCAGCAGAGGAAGAGAACUCUGAUUCUUCAAGCGACGGAGUUCCACGCAACACAGCUCUUCUGGGGGGUGUGGAGUCAAACUUGAAUCUCUCUUUGAAGCCAUCCUCUUGCAGUUCAGCUUCAGUGCACAUCAUUGUGAGGCCUUUCCAAGUGCGGCGACAGGUUUCAUGUGCGACAAAGGCAUUCUUGGUGGCCAGAUUCCUGAUGCGAUUGACUUCUUGCAUGAUACUGCGCAUCUGCCUUUUGAGCCAGUCGUGAUGCCUAUCUUGCUUUUGGUGCAGAGCCACAAGAAGUUCACGGUCAGUGAGUGUACGAGCGCGUUUCUUGGGUCUCUGUGCAGCUGUGCUGUCAGUGGCUUCAGUUGAUGCAGGGGCACGCGUGGUGCCAGCCAUUGGAUAGACUCUGGAAAUGGCUUCAACACCUUCAUCAUGCUGAGUGAAGCUCUGGUGUUCUACAUUCUGAAGACUUAAUGGCUGCUUGGCAGGCUCAGGAUAAAUCGCUUCAGCAGAGGUGUCCACAUCAGGUAAGAAGAUUCUGUGGUUGCGGGCAGAGUGUUGAUAGGAUAUGGUAGAGUGGAGCUUGAUGAGCCUCAUAACCCAUGGAGCAUAAAUCUUCAGACCAAAGAGAUCUGAGCCAAACGCUGCUAGUUGACGUAUAAAGAGAUCCUGGGCAUUGAAGCAUUUGCCAUGCAGGAUGCAGAAGAUGAGAGUCUUCAUGGCACCUUCAACCUUGGCAUAUCGAGAGUGCCCCUUAAUGGGCCAUAGAGUCCGCCUGAUGAUGUGAUAGAUAGUUCUAGGCAGGUACUCUAAGUCUUCAACGAAGAACUCGGUUGGGUAAGGUGCGUCAGGAGGCAAUGGCUUCAUCAUUGAGAGCAUCUGACUCAUAUUUGGCUCAGGUCGCUGAAAUAUGCUCUCAACUGCUUCAGCAUGGAGUUGGCAGCCUUCUUCGAAGAGUUCGCCUGGAGUGGGUAGGCCGGUGAGCUCAAUGAUAUCAAAUGCAUUGGCUUCAUGAUGGACGUUGCCGGUCAUCCACUCCAGGACCCAAGUCUUUGGAUCUUUGUUGUAGCCUUUGAUGUGCAGUGUGGCAUAGAACUGGAGCAGAAGCUCUUCAUUCCAGUGCUCUUCAUCCGUGACAAACGGCAGCAGGCCAACUUGCUUGAAGCAGUCCAGUGCUUCUUCCAGACCAGGCAGACCAGCAAUAGCUUCAACCUCAAGGCGCUGGUGUGGAAAGAUACGGCCUUGGUUGUAGAGGACGCAGAAGUAGUAGCUGCGCUGUGGGUAGCUCCAGAACCUAUCUAACACAAUCCGUUCCCUUGAGUAAGGGUUCUUGGAGCGGUUGAAGAAGGUGUUACCUGCCCUGAAGCUAUUGACAUUAAAGGAGCCAGGAGCGGUGGCAGGACCUGGGAACCUUGGCAGUCGUGGGAUUGGCUUCUGUACCUGGGGCCUGUGCGCAACAUGAUAGUUGAACUGUGGACCGGCAGCAGACUCAGGCACAGAAGGGUCAGAGGCAGAAGCUUCAGUAUCUCUUGAAGCUGUUGGUUGGUCGGGCUCCACAAAUGCUUCAGUAUUGGGUGUGGCAGCCGCAGUGGUGUCAGCCUCAUCACGUGUAGUGAGAGGGAUGGAUUCAGGUACGUUCUCCUUGAGAACUUCUUCUUGUUGGUGUGGGGGAGAUGGAGCUUGAGGUUCUUCAUGCUCUUCUUCAUGUUCUUCGGCUGAUGCAGCCGGAAUGUCGUCAGCAGUCUGAGCCCUUGGCCCUUUGCGAAGCCUACGGAAUGCAGGCAACGCCGGUGGAGUUGCAGUGGGCUGGGGCUCAUCCUCUUCCUCCUGCGGGCGAUCUGCCCAUGAUGCAUCUUGGGUGAUUGGCGUCAAGGGACGACCAAUGCUGAUCAUUUCACUCGUUUCGAGCUGAGGAAGGACUGCAUCACCUUGCACAUUGUCUUGGAGACCAAUGUCUUCAGCAGCGUUGGAGUCGGCUGCUGGAAUGUCUUCAGCAUGCGGAGCCUUUGUGAGAGCAGGCUCAUGCACGGUCAGCUGACGAUCUUCAUGAGGAAAGCAAACGGAGAGGGGUUCGACUAUCAAGGGCUCUGUGGGAGCAGCCCGAGACUUCUUGUUCUUGCGCUUCUUGAUGGUGGGGUCUAAAGGAGAGGCUUCAGGGUGUUUCCUCUUCCUUGCUUCAGCUUCGGCUGUCCUUGUCUUCUUAACCUAUGAAGCGGUUGAGCGGUGCUUUGGCUUCGAGCCAGGCUUGGCAGUGGGGAAGACAAUCGGAACAGCUUCUUGUCGUGGGGCCUCUUGUUCAGCCACAGUGGGCUUCUUCUUUUUCUUAGCGGCCAUCCUGGGGUCGAUGCUGGGACGCCCAAGCGCCUUUCGCUUCUCGGACUCAUUGUAGGCCUGCACACAGAGAUCAGCCAAAUUCUUCAUGCGCUCACGUGAACCCUGAGCCUCUGCACGUUUCUGCAUAAAGUUUUCCUUCAACUCGUGCAGCAUGACUUUGAAGUCUUUGACUUCUUGGACGCUGAGCGUGGCCAUGUUCUGCUUGAACUGAGCCUUUUCAAAAUCUAUCUUCUGCUUCAGUUCCACUAUGCGCUGGGCAAUUGCGAGUUCUGAAGCAAUAGCUCCUUGGAAGGCUACGCUGAGGCCAAUGGGCAGCUGCAGAUCAUGGAAGCUGAUGUUGGGUGUAUCAAACCACUCAUCAAUGAAGUUGUGGAUGAUUGCUGCAUCGAACAAAGGCAGAUUGUUGAAGAUUUCAGCCUCCUCCUUGCUCUUGAUUAGCUGCUCAAGAGCGUCAUCGGCAAGAUCGUCGUCACUUGACAGAUCAAUGGCCUCGCAGCGCAGAACGGCUGCGGCAGUGAGCUCUUUGUCAGUAUGUGGCUGAUGCUUCUUGGCUUCUUGGGGCUUGGAGACUCGUGAUAAGUCUUCAGACUGCACACUUGCUUCAGGAGGUGCAGUGGCCAAUGGCUUCGCUCUGGAGAUCUUGGGAGAAGCGGCUGGCUUGGAAGCUUUUGGCUUCUUCUUCAUCUGCUUCGGCUCCGGGGCAGCAGGAGCGUCAUCAGACUCAGUGUCUACUGGAGGGUCGUUCACGGCAGUCCCUUGGACUAGAAUGCGAGUGAUGAGGCCUUUGAGAUUGGCAUACGGCCCGAUGACAUUGGGAUUUGCAUCGCGUGUGCCAUCCGCCCUUGGCUUAGAGGGACCAGGGUUGAAGUCCAGUCCAAACUCCUUCUUGUUUUGCUUCGCAGAGUUCUGAGCAAAUUGGAAGUUGCGCUUGAAGAGAUUGUCAUCGCGACACCAGAGAAGUGAUGACGGAUGUGCCUCAGCUGGCUGUGGUCCUCUGACCAUGCAUGGAUAGAAGCCUUGAGCAAUGGCUUCGUCUCUGGACCGGGGUACGAGAUUUUUGUACAAGACAUCUCCCCAUGGCCUCUGGAUGGCGCACUUCUCUGCAUAUUCCUUGGCGACGAAGCGGUAUUGGAACCACUGCUCUGCCCAAUAUCUUCGAAUCCAUUGGAUUCGUGUCUAGCGCUGACCAUAGCUCUCUUCAGGAUCAGUUUGGUACAUUUCUGCCAAAUCUUCAGGCAGAUCUUUAGACGUUUCACCACGUCUCUGUCUGCCUCCCUUCCUUGCUGGUUUUUCUGUUGCCAUGAAGCUUAACUUGGAAGGCUUCAAGAGAUUCAAAGUCUUCAAAGGCUUCCUUUUGCUUGACCAACAGGAACUUGCUUCGGGUGAAUUGAUGUGACGCUGUAGGAACUCUGCAAAUGAAUGCAGACUAUGAGAACCAAAAGAUUCUCCCACGGACAUGUACCUGUGACAGCAUUAAGGUGCGAGGGAAGGGGAAGAGGUCAUAUGCAUUCUCAAAAGAUUUUGAAGAUAAAUCAGUUUAGAAGAUAUUGACCUCAUCAUGCGAAGACAUUCACUUUAUAGAAAAGAAGUUGGUUCCAGAUUUGUACGAACCCAUAGAUCAGUACAAGUGAGGAAUCUAACUACUUCAUGAAGAACAAGUGAAUAUACUAGGCACGUUAUGAGAUACAGAUGAGAGGGAUUAAACUUUUGUGAAUGGAAACCUCUUUUGGCAGAAAGUGAUGGAGCUAUAGGAUCAAAAGAGGCUGUAAAAAGACUUGUUAUUUACCAGACUUGGAACUGCUAGACGAGGUGAGAGUUGAGGCCGAGCAGUUCGAUCCUCCGUGCCCUAACUUGGCGACGGAAGACACCUAGGGCGACGGCGGAGAGACUGAUGUCCGCUGUCGGCGUGAGAACGGCAUCGGAGAGGUUGCGGCAGUGAAGCACUUCGUCGCCGGCGUCGUUGAGAGUUAGCGGUGGCGCUAGGGUUUGUGCGAGGGUGGAAGAAGAGAUAAUGACCGCAGUGAAACGUGUAUUUAUAGGGAUAUGGGCGGCACUGCGCUAUUACUCAGGUGCCCCUGGCGAUUCGCAUCUGAUCAGUACGUGGCCAGCAUGCGGAAUUGUGGGGGCAGUUUCACCCCACGCACGCCUGGUUUGUCGGAAGCCGUUCCUACUUCUCUGGAUUUCUUGUUGAUGAAAAAACAUUAAAAUCUGUUUUAAAGUUUGUCUCUGUGUCUUCUUCUGACAAGGAUGCAGUGAAGACAUUCGACAGUUUCAAUAGAAUGCAUAGACUUGGAGAGAUAGAGUUUGAGGUAGGAAGCAUGGAGAGGUUAGGGUCCGAUCACAUUCACUUAGUUCAAAAGAUUCAAACAAGAAGACAUAGCUAUAAGUGAAUGCUGUAGAGGACAGAACACCAGUACAUAUAUAAUCAACAUAGUGAAGAUAAUCAUGAAGACAUGUUGAGAUUGAAGCUAAACCAAAUGUGAAGACAUAGCAAAUGUAAUGCCAUGAGUGAAACACUUCAAGCAGAAAAAUUUGGUGGUGGCGCUACCCACCGUAUAGGAAGUAUUGGACCCAGACACGGCGCACAAUUAUCGUGGCGCUCCGAGGUCAAAUUCCACGUUAAUGUGUUCACACUUAGAAUGUAUGUCUUCAUUGAUUGAAGAUAUACGUUACUUCGUGUGUUGCACAUCUAAGUCAUCAUCAUGCAUAAGUGUUAGGAUGUGUGCCUGAUCACAGGACAUUUGAGGAUUCCAAGAUAUUUAGCUCACACCGUAACUUGCAAAAUCUCUUCUCAUCCAAGGGCUUGGUGAAGAUAUCUGCCAAUUGCUCUUUAGUGUUGACGUGUAUGAUAUCAAUGUCUUCCUUUGCAACAUGAUCUCUGAGAAAAUGAUGACGAAUUUCAAUGUGCUUUGUCUUCGAGUGCUGAACUGGGUUGUUGGCGAUCUUGAUGGCACUUUCGUUGUCGCAGUAAAGUGGCACUUGCUUCAGAUGAAUGCCAUAAUCCUUGAGGGUUUGCUUCAUCCAUAGAAGCUGAGCGCAGCAGGAUCCAGCAGCAAUGUAUUCAGAUUCAGCAGUGGAGAGAGAUACACAGUUCUGCUUCUUUGAAGACCAACAGACAAGUGAUCGCCCAGAAAGUGACAUGUGCCUGAUGUGGACUUCCGAUCAACCUUGUCACCAGCGUAAUCAGCGUCCGAAAAUCCAACCAGAUCAAACUCUGAGCCCUUUGGAUACCAUGACCCUAGAGUUGGGGUGUGAGCCAAAUAUCGAAGAAUUCGCUUCACAGCUAAGUGAUGCGACUCCUUUGGUGCCGCUUGAAACCGAGCACACAUGUAAACACUAAGCAUAAUAUCUGGCCUAGAUGCACAUAAAUAAAGCAAAGAACCAAUCAUGGAGCGGUAUACCUUUUGAUCGAACUCUUUACCAUUGUCGUCAGGACCCAGAUGAUGUUUGGCUGGCAUUGGUGUUGUGAAGCCUUUGCAGUCUUGCAUACCGAACUUCUUCAGGCAGUCUUUGAGAUAUUUCUCUUGAGAUAUGAAGAUGCCAUUGCGUUGUUGCCGUAUCUGAAGACCGAGGAAGAAUUUCAGCUCCCCCAUCAUAGACAUCUGAUAUUGCUCUUGCAUCAUAUAUCCGAACUCCUCACUGUACUUCUGAUUGGUGCAGCCGAAGAUAAUGUCAUCCACGUAUAUUUGGCACACAAACAGUUCACCAUCAUAUGUCUUUGUGAAGAGAGUGGGAUCCAGGGAACCAGGUAUGAAGCCUUUGCUCUUCAGGAAGUAUUUGAGUGUAUCAUACCAGGCCCGAGGGGCUUGUUUGAGGCCAUAUAGUGCCUUUUUGAGCUUGUACACCAUGUCAGGAUGUUUUGGAUCUUCAAACCCAGGUGGUUGUGCAACAUACACUUCUUCUUCAAUUUUGCCAUUGAGGAAGGCACUUUUUACAUCCAUUUGAUACAGGAUUAUGUUGUGAUGAUUUGCAUAGGCCAGCAGUAUACGGAUGGCUUCAAGUCUGGCAACAGGAGCAAAUGUUUCAUCGAAGUCAAUGCCUUCGAGUUGAGUAUAUCCUUGAGCAACGAAACGAGCCUUGUUUCUGACGACUUGGCCAUGCUCAUCUUGCUUGUUGCGGUAUAUCCAUUUGGUGCCUAUUAUGUUAUGCUUCCAUGGAUCAGGACGCUUAACCAACUCCCAUACAUUGUUCAGCUCAAAUUGUUGAAGCGCUUCUUGCAUAGCUUGAAUCCAUUCAGGUUCCAUAAAGGCUUCAUCAAUUUUCCUGGGUUCUGUCAUUGAAACGAAUGCGAAGUGUCCGCAGAAGUUUGCCAGUUGAGUUGCCCUUGAAUGAGUCAGUGGACCAGGUGCAUUGAUGCUAUCAAUUAUUCUGCAAUCUGCACUUCAUUGGCAACAUGAGGAUGUAGGGGUCGAAGACUUUGCUCUUGCUGAUCUACGUUGUCAUGGGGAGGAAUGUCUUCAGGCUGAGCGUUGUCUUCAUGUGGAUCAGGUGCUGAGAUGAUAAGUUCUUCUUCAGGACGAGCUUCAGAAGGUAUAAUUUCUCCAGUUCCCAUUAGCUUGAUUGAUUCACUGGCUGGAACUUCAUCUAGCACAUCUGGUAGUUGCUCUCUUUGUGACCCAUUGGUCUCAUCGAACCGCACAUCCACUGUUUCAACCACUUUGUAGUGGAAGAGAUUGGAGACUCUGUAGGAGUGCGAAUCCUUUCCAUAUCCAAGCAUGAAGCCCUCAUGUGCUUUUGGAGCAAAUUUUUAGGUGUGGUGAGGGUCCUUGAUCCAGCAUCUUGAUCCAAAUACUCUAAAGUACCUUACAUUUGGCUUCUUGCCAGUCAGAAGUUCAUAAGAUGUCUUGUUCAGCAGCUUGUGAAGAUAUACACGGUUGAUAGUAUGGCAUGCAGUGUCAAUGGCUUCAGUCCAGAAUUUUCUUGGUGUCUUGUACUCAUCUAACAUUGUUCUGGCCAUCUCAAUGAGUGUUCUGUUCUUGUGUUCGACGAUGCCAUUCUGUUGUGGCGUGUAUGGAGCUGAGAAUUCAUGAGUGAUGCCCAAUGUAUCAAGAUAUGUGUCAAGGCCGGUGUUCUUGAAUUCUGUGCCAUUGUCACUUCUGAUGUGCUUUAUCUUGGCGCCAUAAUUGUUCAUUGCCCGAUUUGCGAAGCGUCUGAAGACAUCCUGCACUUCAGUCUUGUAAAGGAUUAUGUGCACCCAAGUAUAUCUAGAGUAAUCAUCAACAAUGACGAAGCCAUAGAGGCAAGCAGUAGUGGAGAAAGUUGAGUAGUGAGUGGGACCGAAGAGAUCCAUGUGAAGCAGUUCGAAGGGUUGAGUAGUGGUCAUGAUUUUCUUCGAAGGAUGUUUUGCCCUUGUCAUCUUCCCAGCUUCACAGGCACCGCAUAAGUGAUCUUUCUUGAACUUGACGCCCUCGAUGCCUAUGACAUGCUUCUUCUUCGCAAGGGUGUGGAGGUUCCUCAUGCCAGCAUGCCCAAGUCUUCGAUGCCAAAGCCAGCAUUCUGAAGCCUUUGCGAGAAGACAAACUGCAAGCUGUGGCCCUGCUGAGAAAUCUACCACGUACAAAUCAUCUUUUCGAUACCCUUCAAACUCUAGAGACUUGUCAGAUUCCAUUAGUACCAGACAACGAUAUUUUCCAAAGAUUACAAUCAUGUUUAAAUCGCAAAGCAUUGAGACAGACAUUAAGUUGAAGCCAAGGGACUCAACAAACAUGACUUUAUCCAUGUGUUGAUCCUUUGAGAUUGCAACUCUACCUAGACCCAGUACCUUACUUUUACCAGUGUCAGCGAAUGUGAUGUGGCUCUUGUCAGAUGGACGUAAGGUUGAGUCCAUAAAGAGACUUCUUUUGCCAGUCAUGUGAUUUGUACACCCAUUGUCAAUAAUCCAUUCUGAAGACUCUGAAGUCACUGGUGUCGUACCCUACAGUGCAGUUAGGGGGAUAGGCUUCACGAAGAGUGUUGUGAAGCAAAAACAUUUGACGAACCAGUGGAUUAUGAAAACUUAGAUCCAGGUUAGGACAAGUAGGGAGAGUAGCAUGCGAUUCAGGUAUGAAAUACAUAGUGAUGCCAUUCGGGCAUUUGAUCUUGCGCCCACAAGAUUUUUAAGGUCCCCAGCAAUAGCAUCAGAAGAUUUUGGUUUUGUGCUGGAGACCUUUCCCUGCAAAAGAGAGUUAAGCUUUCUUAACCACCCACAUCUUCAAGGGUGGCUUAGAAGCAAACAGUCUAGCAGGUGGGCAAUAGUACUCAUAAGAAUAGGCAGAAUAGUUUUUGGUCAUAUGAGAAUGACGGUUUGAAGAACCGCUCUCAUAUGCCUGAGCAUGGUUUCCCUGCAAAACAUUUGUGUUAGUGCGACUCAAAUGAGUCCUCUGCCUGUAUGAAGCCUUUGGACCAUAUAUGAAGCCUUUGGUCCGAGGUUUGUCUUCUUCAUGUGAGGUGUCAUGAGGACAUUCACAGGAAGAUUCUCAAGACACGUUUUUGGAACCCAGAUCUUCUUCAUAGGCGGUCCAUUCCUGCAGUUAGUACCAAUGUACCUGGCAAAUACUUCACCAUUCUGAUUCCUGAACAGUUUAUAGUUUGCAUCAAAGGAUUCAUCAAUGAUAAUUGGAUUAGCACAAGUGAAGCCAGAUAGAUUGGAUGGAUCUGCUGAGGAUUCCUUUGCAGCAACCCAUGUGGUUUUGGGGUACUGCUCAGGUUUCCAGUAAGAGCCAUCUGCAUUAAUUUUCCUCACGAACCCAACACCCUCCUUCCUAGGGUUUUGGUUCAGAAUCUGCUUCUUGAGGACAUCACAUAAUGUCUGAUGUCCUUUGAGACUUUUGUACAUCCCUGUUUCAAGCAAUGUCUUCAACCUAGCAUUUUCAUCAGCAAUAGCAGUGGUAUCCUCAGUAGAGGGGUUAGUUACCACUUCAACAGUUGCAACAGCAGUAGCAGUGGAACAUUCAGCAACAGAAAUAGCAUUAUCACAAUCAAUGCAUUUAAGGCAUGGUGGUUCAAAUCCUUCCUGAACAGAACUGAUCUGUUCGGCUCGAAGUGACUCGUUUUCCUUUUGAAGAUCUUCAUGAUCCGUUUUUCAAGAUGUUGCUUCUUUUGAAGAUAAUCAUAGGAAAGCUUUUCAUGAGUAGUUGAGAGAGUCUCAAGACGAUCUUCGAGUUCCUGAUACUUAACAUGAAGAUUUUUUAUGUCUUCAAUUAAGGAUUCAGAACGAGUCAUUUCAGCACCCAACAGAUCAUCGCUUCUGUCUAACAGUUUUUGAAUAUGUUCCAUGGCCUUUUGUUGUUCAGUUGCAAUUUUAGCAAGUGUUUUGUAACUGGGUUUUGAAUCACAAUCAGAGUCAUCGUCACUAGAUGUUUGAUAGUGAGUAGUGCGUGUGUUUACCUUGGCACCACGUGCCAUGAAGCAGUAGGUAGGAGUAGAGUCGUCCUUGUCAUUUGCAUCGGUGAUGGUGAUGGAGUCAUUGUCUUCAGUGUUGAAGAUGGACUUGGCGACGUAGGCUGUAGCCAGACUCGCAAUGCCUGAAUCAGACUCCUCCUCAGACUCCACCUCUGCCUCCUCAGAAGCGGACUCCUCCUCUGAAUCCAUUUCCUUGCCAACAAACGCACGAGCCUUGCCAGAUGAACUCUUCUUGUGUGAUGAAGACUUUGAGGAAGACUUGGACGAAGACUUUGAGUAUUUCUUUGUCUUCUUAUCGUCAGAGUCAUAUUCCAUGCUCUAAUUCUUCUUUCUGUUCUCAUUGUCCCACUGUGGACACUCAGAGAUGAAGUGUCCAGUUUUCUUGCACUUGUGACAUGUUUUCUUCUUGUAGUCAUGCGCAGAAGCUUCAUCAUUCCUUGAGCUUGAUCGUGAAGACUUUCUGAAGCCUUUCUUCUUGGUGAAUUUCUGGAACUUCUUCACUAGCAUUGCAAGUUCCCUUCCAAUGUCUUCAGGAUCAUCAGAACUGCUGUCAGAUUCUUCUUCAGAUGAGGACACAGCUUUUGCCUUCAAGGCACGAGUUCGCCCAUAGUUUGGACCGUAGAUAUCUCUUUUCUCAGAAAGCUGAAACUCAUGUGUGUUGAGCCUCUCAAGUAUGUCAGACGGAUCGAGUGUCUUGAAGUCUGGAUGUCAAAUGAACUGUCAAGUGAUCUUAGCAGCGUCUUAACGAUUUCAUGUUUGGUGAUCUCAGUGGCGCCGAGGGCUUGAAGCUCAUUUGUGAUGUCAGUGAGCCGGUCAAAUGUGUGAUGGACAUUCUCAUUGUCAUUUCGCUUGAAGCGGUUGAAGAGAUUGCGAAGAACACUGAUUCUCUGAUCUCUCUGGGUUGAGAUGCCUUCAUUGACCUUGGAGAGCCAGUCCCAAACCAGCUUGGAUGUCUUCAAGGCACUCACACGGCCGUACUGUCCCUUGGUCAGAUGACCACAGAUAAUAUUCUUGGCAGUGGAGUCCAGUUGAGUGAACUUCUUGACAUCAGCCGCAGUGACACCUUCUCCAGCCUUGGGAACGCCGUUUUUGACGACAUACCAUAGGUGGACGUCAAUGGCUUCAAGAUGCAUGCGCAUCUUAUUCUUCCAGUAGGGAUAUUCAGUUCCAUCGAAGACGGGGCACGCAGCGGAGACUUUAAUUAUCCCUGCAGUCGACAUAGCUAAAACUUUAGGUGGUUAAACCAAAUCACACAGAACAAGGGAGCACCUUGCUCUGAUACCAAUUGAAAGUGCGUUAUAUCGGCUAGGGGGUGAAUAGGUGAUUUUAAUGAAAGUCUUCAAAACGUGGAAGUUAUGAAGACAAACAGAGUGAACAAGCCUAUCACUAUGCAGCGGAAGUUAGAUUACACAACGCAAGCCAUGGUCAAGUAUACAAUAUAGUGAAAGCACGGUGACAAAUAGCUUCAGUGUAAUGAGGAUCAGGUUGGAAGAAGUUAUGAAGCCAAACAGAUCAUACAGUCAAGUUGUGAGGACAGAAGAUAAAGCAAGCAUGCAAUAGCUUCACAAUGUGUACUGGUAAGUAAAGGGAGGCGAAGAUGAAACCAGUGACACGUUGAAGAGAAUGAUAUGUUGGACCAGUUCCAGUUGCUGUGACAACUAUACGUCUGGUUGGAGCGGCUAGGUAUUUAAACCAAAGGACACACAGUCCCGGACACCCAGUCCUGAACACGCAGCUCAGGACACCCAGUCCUCACCGUUUUCUCCUUGAGCUAAGGUCACACAGACCCCGCCCAAUCACUCUGGUAAGUCUUCAAGGUAGACUCCCAAACCUUCACAGACUUCGUUCACCGGCAAUCCACAAUUCCUCUUGGAUGCUCAGAACGCGACGCCUAACCGUCUGGAGGAUGCACAGUCCUCAAGUGUAAUAAGUCUUCAGAUCACUCAGACAAGAAGACUUAAGUGAUGCCCAAUUACUCUGGCUCUGGGUGGUUAGGGCUUUUCUCCUCACUAAGGAUUUUCUCUCAAAGGCUUAGAGGUGGGUUGCUCUCAAACGACAAAAGCAGUGCACUGAAAUCUGAGCAGCCAACCGUUUAUGGUUGUAGGGGUGGACUAUUUAUAGCCGCUUGGCAACCCUGACCUGAUUUGUCCGAAAUGACCCUGUGUCACUAAGGAACUGACACGUGUACUAACGGUCGGAUUUUGAACUCUCACGGCAACUUUACUUGGGCUGCAAGUAAAGCUGACUUGUCUGACUCUGGACAAGAUUUUCUCUCAUUGUCUUCACUCGAAGACAUAGGAUUUGAAUUAGGCAUCACUUCAGUCAUCCUGACUGGUUCUCUUGGACCCCACUUAACAGUACGGUGGUUCCUAUGACACAACAUGAAUAAAGUAAAACUACGAAGGAUCUAAGUCUUCGAGUUCCAAAGGCUUCAUGGGGAGUCUUCAUAUGUCAUUGUCUUCGACAUGAAUGUCUUCAUGAACCACCAUUGUCUUCAAUGUCUUCGUACAUUUUUAGGGGUCAUCUCUGGUAACUAAACCGAAUCAAUGAGGGACUUCUACUAGUGUUAUCCUGCAAUUCUCACAAACACAUUAGUCCCUCAACUAGGUUUGUCUUCAAUACUCCAAAACCAACUAGGGGUGGCACUAGAUGCACUUACAGGUCUGGGUACAGACACUAGAAAGAAAGAAGGCUCCUCGAGGCCUGUCUAUCUACAUAGGGCCCUCCAUGGCCAGGAUCACCACCUGGGUGGCUAGUCACUCAUCGAAGUCAAGGUCUACAUAGAACCCAUCGGAGGGGGCGGUGUUGUCGUCUGAAAACAGUAAUUAAGCAAACAUGAGUACAAAGGUACUCAGCAAGUCUUACAACAGAACCUACUAUACAUGCUUAUUCUCAAGAAGGCGGUGGGGAUAUUGCAGCAAGCCAGCUUUGACUCUUGGCUAAACUAUCCUACGGAACUUCUCUAGUAAAAUAGUUUUCGCACACGAGUCCACUACUCACCAACACAAUACUCCAACGGGGAUCCUCCCUCAUCAUCCUACGAGAGGGCCAUCCUCGGUACUCACACUUAUCUUGAGUCUUUUAGUAGUAUCCAUUUACUUGUCUAUGAACUGUAUAGGCAACUAAGUAGUCCUUUACCGCGGACGCGGCUAUUCGAAUAGUUUUAUACCCUGCAGGGGUGUACUUCGUCAUACACGCUUUCACCACUUAUCGCCGUUUACACGACAUGUACUCGGCAACCUUCAAGCGGAAGCCCAGCGAGGGUGUCGGCCACGGCCUACCUAAACACUUAAGUCUCUAGUCCUGCUUUAUCGCCUAUCCAAGUUCCAUCCGCAGGGAUUCCGGCCGAGGUUUCCACAUACGGCCCCGAACGAUGUGAACAGGAUCCCGAGACGCCAAACGGGUGCCCGGCAUACCCGGCCACGGUGUAUCUACCACAACAUAGCCCACCCCUAGGGUCAGCGCUACGCACGGCCGCCAACACAUAACCUACAAACACCAGAAACUAUUUGCAACUCCUGGAGAGAGUACUAGGGUGAUUAAGAAGCCGAUAGGGUCAAUUAAGGAUCCCAAUGCAUGGUAGUAGCUGAAUCUUAAAUCAUACAUACAGAUCUGAGUUCUUAGGGACGGUCUCAAUGAAACAACCCACCAUGUACUCCUACAUGGCCUCUCAUCGAUACCUUUACCAAAACAUGUUCAACACAUUCCUCAUAUUACCGACAUAAUCAUAUCACUCUAGCCCAUCACCCUGAUGAACCAGACCUGACACAACUCUAAGCAUAGCAGGCAUACCAAGGUACAAAUCACAUACAUGGCUCAAUCAACUCCUACACAUGCUAGUGGGUUUCAUCUAGUUACUGUGGCAAUGAAAGGUCAUGCAGAGGAUAAGGGUUCAACUACCGUAGCACACAGCAGUUUGAAUCGCGUUAUCUUAAUGCAGUAAACAAGAGUAGAGGCGAGAAUAUGGGUUGUAUCGGAAUGAUCAAUGGGUUGCUUGCCUGAUGGAGUGGUAGUGGGAUACUGCCCUUCAGUUGGAUACUCGUGAAUAUCCUCGGAGGCAGAACCUACCACGAAGAACACAUCGGAACACAAUCAAUACAUGACGAUAUGCAACAAUAUGAUGCAUGCUAUGACAUGGCAAUAUGAAUGUGUCUUGGCCUAAUGCAAGCUAAAAUAGAAAGGGAUGAACUCAUUUGAAUCAAAGAUACAAAUAUUAUCUCAUUAAACAUGGCCUUAAUAUUGCAUUUACUUAUUCUGCUUAAACAGAAAGGUAAACUUGUUUUGUCAUGCAUGAAACCAUUACAGGUGGAUAGAUUGAAUUUUUCUGAUAAUUUUUCAUAUAUAAAUUAUUUCAUUUGGAGUUACAGUUGAAUUUCUAUGAUUUUUAGAAUUUUUAAACAUUACUGCGUCAGCAUUGCGUCAUGCUGACCUCAGCAGGUCAAAGGCGCCAGCCCAGGUCAAACCUGACUGGAGGGCCCCUUCUGUCAGUCUCUUAAUUAAAUAACAGGACUAGAUUAACACUAAUUAGCUGUCAGUGGGGCCUGGGCCCACAUGUCAGUGACUGAUUAAAAUAAAAUUAGUUAAAACUAAUCCUAGAUUAGUUAGCAGACCAGCCCCACCUAUCAUAGACUCAGGGGGGGUCUACCUGGGCCCACCCAGGGUCAAACUAGGUCAAACUCGCCGGCGUUGAGCCGCCGGCGAGGCCCGAGACGGUGGCGCAGCUCGGAAAACGCCUAUAGGGCACGAGCGAGGCCGUUCUUGGGCUCGUUGGAGAGCUCUUGCAGUCGCGCAUCUAGUGGUGGUGGUGGCGGGCCUACGGUGGCCGGAGACGACGACGGCGAGCUCCAAGGCAGCGGCCGGAGUUCGGCCAUGUGCGGGGUGUGGGCUGCGGCGUGCAAACUUGGAAACUGAGGCGCUAGCGAGGCACUACGCGAUGCGGCAAGCACGUUGCGUAGCACGGGAUGACCAAAUGGUCGCCGGAGCGGCGCCAGCGACAAGCUCGAGCAGAGACGAGCUUCGGCCAUGGUGGAACUAUGGCCUAGAGGGUGCAAACGCAUGGAAAAGAAGAGGGGAAAGGUGGCGGACCUCACGGGGAGGUCGAUGAGUAGCUCAGUGGGCUCGGGGGUGACCGGAGCGAGGCGAAUCGAUGAGCGGCGUCCGGCGGGUACCGAGGUUGAAGACGAUCCGAUGGCGGCGAUGCAGGGCCUCCGGCGAUGCGUGGGGAGGGCGAGGGCGUCACGGCGGAGCUUCUGGACAGGUCAGAGAGGCGAGGGGGUGACAGAGGGCGCGACUACGGCGGUGAGACGGCGACGGGUGCAUCGGCCAUCGCGGGAGAGGGAGAGGGGGACGUGGGGGAGAGUGAGAGAGGAUGAGAGGGGGACAUGUGGGUCGCGUGGCAUUCCCUGGACGUCUCCCGGCGUCGGCGAAAGCAGGAGGUGGCCGACGUGUGGCCGCGGGCGCCGGCCACGCGCUCCGCGUCCUUCUGGCGCGAGGAGGACGACGACGGGCAGCGCCAGUAGGCUAGGCCGAGCCCGGUGGGCUGGCCAGCACAGGUAAGGCCCAGGUGGGCUUCUCCCUCUCUUUUUUUAAUUUGUUUCUGUUUUCUAUUUAACUGUAACUGUUGGGCUUUAUUUAAAAUACUAAAAUAUUUCCAGAAAUCCUGAAAAUAAUUGUGGGCUCUGCUUGGAUUAUGUCCAACAGCAAACAUUUAUUUCCAGAAUUAUUUGAGCAUUUAAAUUAUUUAAUAGCAUUUAAAUGCCCAAAUUCAAAUACUUAUGAUUUAAAUCAAUGACCUUCUAUUGACCUAGAAAAAUUGUGCAUCAAUUUUGCCAGAGGUUCUAACCCAAGACAAAGAGGGUGAACUUUUUAGAAGGGCAUUUCAGGUUCAUUGAAAAUAAUUUUAGUAAACCCUAGUUGUUUCCAGGGGGUGUUGGGGGUUUCUCCCUUCCCCAAUUCAAAUUUAAGAGGAAUUUAAACAUGAUGGAGAUUCUAAUGCUUGAACUAGCUAGGGUGUGACAUGACUCUUUAUUUGUUAGUUUACCAUAAUCAUCCUUGCUGUACACACCUUUUGAGAGGGCCAUACAUGAUUUGGAAUUUGUUAGAAUACUCUAUGUGCUUCGCUUAUAUCUUUUGAGUUAUAUAGUUUUGCUCUAGUACUUCACUUAUAUCUUUUAGAGCACGGUGGUGGAUUUGUUUUAUAAAAACUAUUGAUCUCUCAUGCUUCACUUACAUUAUUUUGAGAUGCUUAAUAGCAUGGUAAUUUGCUUAAAAUCUUAAUAUGCUAGGUAUUCAAAGUUAGUAAAAUUUUCUUAAGAGUGUUUUGAAUACUAAGAGAAGUUUGAUGCUUGAUGAUUGUUUUGAGAUAUGGAGGUAAUAAUAUCACAGUCAUGCUAGUUGAGUAGUUGUGAAAUUGAGAAAUACUUGUGUUGAAAUUUGCACGUAUGGUAAACGUUGUGUAACAAAUUUGAAACAUGAGGCGUUAUUUGAUUGUCUUCCUUAUGAGUGGCGGUCGGGGACGAGCGAUGGUCUUUUCCUACCAAUCCAUCCCCCUAGGAGCAUGCGCGUAGUACCUAGGUUUUUGAUGACUUGUAGAUUUUUGCAAUAAGUAUGUGAGUUCUUUAUGACUAAUGUUGAGUCCAUGAAUUAUACGCACUCUGACCCUUCCAUCCUUGCUAGCCUCUUAGGUACCAUGCAUUGCCCUUUCCCACAUUGAGUGUUGGAGCAAACUUCGCCGGUGCAUCCAAACCCCGUGAUAUGAUAUGCUCUUUCACACAUAAACCUCCUUAUAUCUUCCUCAAAACAGCCACCAUACCUACCUAUUAUGGCAUUUCCAUAGCCAUUCCGACAUAUAUUGACAUGCAACUUUCCACCAUUCCGUUCAUCAUGACACAUUCAUCAUUGUCAUAUUGCUUAGCAUAAUCAUGUAGUUGACAUAGUAUUUGUGGCAAGGCCACCGUUCAUAAUUCUUUCAUACAUGUCACUAUUGGUCCAUUGCAUAUCCCAGUACACCGCCGGAGGCAUUCAUAUAGAGUCAUACUUUGUUCUAGUAUCGAGUAGAAAUUAUUGAGUUGUAAAUAAAUAGAAGUGUGAUGAUCAUCAUUAAUAGAGCAUGGUCCCAAAAAUAUAAAAAAGGAAGGGCCAAAAAAAGGCCAAAUAAAAAAAUGUAAAAAAGGGGGGCAAUGCUACUAUCCUUUUUUCCACACUUGUGAUUCAAAGUAGCACCGUAAUCUUCAUGAUAGAGAGUAUCUUGAUUUGUCAUUUUCAUCUACUAGUGGGAAUUUUUCAUUAUAGAACUUGGCCUGUAUAUUCCAACAAUGGGCCUCCUCAAGUUCCCUAGGUCUUCGUGAGCAAGCAAGUUGGAUGCACACCCACUUAGUUUCUUUUGUUGAGCUUUCAUACAUUUAUAGCUCUAGUGCAUCUGUUGCAUGGCAAUCCCUACUCCUUGCAUUAACAUCAAUCGAUGGGCAUCUCCAUAGCCCAUUGAUUAGCCUCGUUGAUGUGAGACUUUAUCCUUUUUGUCUUCUCCACAUAACUCCAGUCAUUAUAUUCUAUUCCACCCAUAGUGUUAUGUCCAUGGCAUGCAAUCAUAUAUUGCGUGAAAGUUUAUAGGUUUGAGAUCACUAAAGUAUGAAACAAUUGCUUGGCUUCUCAUCGGGGUUGUGCAUGAUGAGAGCAUUCUUGUGUGACCAAAAUGAAGCAUGAUUAAACUAUAUGAUUUUGUAGGGAUGAACUUUCUUUGGCCAUGUUAUUUUGAGAAGACAUAAUUGCUCAGUUAGUAUGCUUGAAGUAUUAUUAUUUUUAUGUCAAUAUGAACUUUUGUCUUGAAUCUUUCGGAUCUGAAUAUUCAUACCACAAUUAAGAAGAUUUACAUUAAAAUCAUGCCAACUAGCACUCUGCAUCAAAAAUUCUGUUUUUAUCAUUUACCUACUCAAGGACGAGCAGUAAUUAAGCUUGGGGAUGCUUGAUACGUCUCCAACGUAUCUAUAAUUUUUGAUUGCUCCAUGCUAUAUUAUCUACUGUUUUGGACAAUAUUGGGCUUUGUUAUCCACUUUUAUAUUAUUUUUGGGACUAACCUAUUAACCAGAGGCCCAGCCCAGAAUUGUUGUUUUUUGCCUGUUUUAGGGUUUCGAAGAAAAGGAAUAUCAAACGGAGUCCAAACGGAAUGAAACCUUCGGGNNNNNNNNNNNNNNNNNNNNNNNNNNNNNNNNNNNNNNNNNNNNNNNNNNNNNNNNNNNNNNNNNNNNNNNNNNNNNNNNNNNNNNNNNNNNNNNNNNNNNNNNNNNNNNNNNNNNNNNNNNNNNNNNNNNNNNNNNNNNNNNNNNNNNNNNNNNNNNNNNNNNNNNNNNNNNNNNNNNNNNNNNNNNNNNNNNNNNNNNNNNNNNNNNNNNNNNNNNNNNNNNNNNNNNNNNNNNNNNNNNNNNNNNNNNNNNNNNNNNNNNNNNNNNNNNNNNNNNNNNNNNNNNNNNNNNNNNNNNNNNNNNNNNNNNNNNNNNNNNNNNNNNNNNNNNNNNNNNNNNNNNNNNNNNNNNNNNNUGUUGCUCCACCGACGUACUCCUUCCUCCUAUAUAUACCUACGUAUCCCCAAACGACCAUGUACGGAGACAAAACCCUAAUUCCACCGCCGAAACUUUCUGUAUCCACGAGAUUCCAUCUUGGCGCCUGUUCCGGAGCUCCGCCGGAGGGGGCAUCGAUUAUGGAGGGCUUCUACAUCAACACCAUAGCCUCUCCGAUGAAGUGUGCGUAGUUGACCUCAGACCUACGGGUCCAUAGUUAUUACCUAGAUGGCUUCUUCUCUCUUUUUGGAUCUCAAUACAAUGUUCUUCCCCUCUCUUGUGGAGAACUAUUCGAUGUAAUCUUCUUUUUGCGGUGUGUUUGUUGAGACCGAUGAAUUGUGGGUUUAUGAUCAAGUCUAUCUAUGAAUAAUAUUUGAAUCUUCUCUGAAAUAUUUUAUGUAUGAUUGGUUAUCUUUGCAAGUCUCUUCGAAUUAUCAGUUUGGUUUGGCCUACUAGAUUGAUCUUUCUUGCAAUGGGAGAAGUGCUUAGCUUUGGGUUCAAUCUUGCGGUGUCCUUUCCCAGUGACAGUAGGGGCAGCAAGGCACGUAUUGUAUUGUUGGCAUCGAGGACAACAAGAUGGGGUUUUCAUCAUAUUUUAUGAGUCUUUCCCACUACAUCAUGUCAUCUUACUUAAGGCGUUAAUCUGUAUUUAACUUAAUACUCUAGAUGCAUGCUGGAUAGCGGUCGAUGAGUGGAGUAGUAGUAGUAGAUGCAGGCAGGAGUCGGUCUACUUGUCUUGGACGUGAUGCCUAUAUACAUGAUCAUACCUAGAUAAUCUCAUAACUAUGCUCAAUUCUGUCAAUUGCUCAAUAGUAAUUUGUUCACCCACCGUAGAAUACUUAUGCUCUCGAGAGAAGCCACUAGUGAAACUUAUGGCCCCCGGGUCUAUCUUUAUCAUAUUAAUCUCCUACUACUUAGUUAUUUCCUAUGCUUUUUUACUUUGCCUUUAUUUUACUUUGCAUCUUUAACACAAAAAUACAAAAAAAUUAUCUUUAUCAUAUCUACCAAAUCUCACUCUCGUAAGUGGCCGUGUAGGGAUUGACAACCCCUAUUCGCGUUGGUUGCGAGGAUUUAUUUGUUUUGUGCAGGUACGAGGGACUGGCGCAUAGCCUCCUACUGGAUUGAUACCUUGGUUCUCAAAACCUGAGGGAAAUACAUACACUACUUUGCUGCAUCAUCCCUCACUCUUCGGGGAAAACCAACGCAGUGCUCAAGAGGUAGCAAGGGUUCCUUUUUGUCGACGAUCUGAUGUUUCAACCUUGUUUUCCAGGCGGCCAACGCGUCGCUAAACUUGGUCAUGGCGUGUUUUUUUAUCUUCUUCAUUGCCAGGUCCUUAUCUGGAUCUUUAUUAUCCUUUUCAUUACGGUCCGGGAACAAGAAUAUCUGGUGCAGCCUCUUUAGGAGGGAGGGCCUCAUAUUAUCUAUCUUCUGUAGUUUCCCAUCGUUGAUCGUGGCAGUUGUCCAUACAAUGCAACCUAUUUGAUUGCCGUAGCACGAUCGCGCUUCCUCAGGCGCUAUUGUCUCAAAAAUACCGUCGUCCAACUCCGUGACCACCAGUCUAGUACUCAGGAGCUGGUUUGGGCGCCGUGGCCUCUUUGCUUUCGGUUCUAGACCAACUCCGCUAGUCUCGGCGCCGGUCUCAGUCUCAUCGCCGGUCUGCAUGUCGGUAUCAGUCCCCGAUGCGACAACACAGUCGCUGCAACAUGGGUAAGGGAGACCUCCGCGCGUUUGUACAUAGGCACAGGGUGAAUCCCGGUGAGAGAUGGCCAUUGGCGCAUGCAAGUAGACGACGACGUCCCCGACGAAGAGCAGCCGGCCAGCUCGCCUCACUCUCCUUUGAUUAGAAAUGAAAGAUUGGGAAGAAGCAGACUGGAGCCUGCAGGGAAAGGAUAAGGUGACGAUGCAGUCUCCACUCGUUCGGGGCGACACACGUACUGAAUGUAUGAGAAACGUGACGUGGCAGAGACCCCAAGAUACUCCCUCCAUUUAUUUUUAGUCUGCAUAUAAAGUUUGGUCAAAGUCAAGAUUUGUAAAUUUUAACUAACUUUAUAAUAAAAAAAUAUCAACAUUCACAAUAUGAAAUCAAUAUUACCAGAUGUGUCAUGAAAUGUAUUUCCAUACUAUAUAGUUUUGGUAUUGUAGAUGUUCAUAUUUUUUAUAUAAAUGGGAAGUAGAGGCACUCUUGCAUAUAAUGAAGUUUAUAAUAUAUGUGCUUAUAUUGUACUACAAUUGUUUGAAUAGCUUAGCAUAUGUUCAGAUGUAUGAUAUCUGUAAUUUAAGCGCUUGAAUUUUACAUAUAAAUAUUUAUUAAUAAAUAUGUACCCCUAUAAUAGCUAGGCCGUGCAUUUGCACGGGUAGAUGACUAGUGAUUACAAUCUUGUUUGUGUGCAAGUCAAGCUUAUCUAGUUUACACGUAACAACUUGUAGAACGUUACAAAAUUUAUGCUUGCUAAUAACUUCUAGAACACUACAACACUUGACAUGUAAAAGGAAUUUGACGAGUCAUGGCCUACUAAAGCAAGUUACAUUACUAGUCUUAUCUAUCUUAACAGACCACACAAGAUUACAAACUAAGUACCGUGACAGCCAUGCUUAUCUAGUUUAUGCGUAACAAUUUGCAGAAAAUUACAAACUUAGUUUCAGAAAAAUAGGCAAUCUAGAUUAGUGUUUGAGCUGUAAAGUGAAUAAGAUGAGUCAUGCAUGUUAUCACACCUUUUUGGUGGUGGAAUGAUAGUGCAACAACAAGGAACUUUAAUGACCAGUCCAAGAAUACACUUGUAAGUAGUGCUACCAAACAGAACAUACCAAAUGAUGAUUUUUAGAAGCAUCCAAGCACUUUCCACACAAACAAAUGCCAAUUGUGAAAGAGAUCAUUCCAUGGCAGCUAUAAAUAGCCCCAUAGCAUGACGAUCAUCCUUCCUCAUCCAUCAUUCUUAUUAGUAGAGCGCAUCAUUUAAGCCAAGCAAGCUGUGGUCAAUACAAAUCCACCAUGAAGACCUUUCUCAUCCUUGCCCUCCUUGCUAUCGUGGCGACCACCGCCACAACUGCAGUUAGAGUUCCAGUGCCACAAUUGCAGCCACAACAUCCAUCUCAGCAACAGCCACAAGAGCAAGUUCCAUUGGUACAACAACAACAAUUUCUAGGGCAGCAACAACCAUUUCCACCACAACAACCAUAUCCACAGCCGCAACCAUUUCCAUCACAACAACCAUAUCUGCAACUACAACCAUUUCCGCAGCCGCAACUACCAUAUUCGCAGCCACAACCAUUUCGACCACAACAACCAUAUCCACAACCGCAACCACAGUAUUCGCAACCACAACAACCAAUUUCACAGCAGCAGCAGCAGCAGCAACAACAACAACAACAACAACAACAACAAAUCCUUCAACAAAUUUUGCAACAACAACUGAUUCCAUGCAUGGAUGUUGUAUUGCAGCAACACAACAUAGCGCAUGGAAGAUCACAAGUUUUGCAACAAAGUACUUACCAGCUGUUACAAGAAUUGUGUUGUCAGCACCUAUGGCAGAUCCCUGAGCAGUCGCAGUGCCAGGCCAUCCACAAUGUUGUUCAUGCUAUUAUUCUGCAUCAACAACAAAAACCACAACAACAACCAUCGAGCCAGGUCUCCUUCCAACAGCCUCUGCAACAAUAUCCAUUAGGCCAGGGCUCCUUCCGGCCAUCUCAGCAAAACCCACAGGCCCGGGGCUCUGUCCAGCCUCAACAACUGCCCCAGUUCGAGGAAAUAAGGAACCUAGCGCUACAGACGCUACCCGCAAUGUGCAAUGUCUACAUCCCUCCAUAUUGCACCAUCGCGCCAUUUGGCAUCUUCGGUACUAACUGAGAAGAAAAUAACUCUAGUACUAGAUAUAUGAAACACCGUUUUCUCAGUCCAUGGUUUGGUCGUUGUAGCGGUGAAAAAAUAAUGUGACAUGCACUAUCAGGUAAGAACCCGAACUAUACUAGUUCAAACUUGGGAAUAAAAGACAAACACAGGUCUUGUCUACAUAUUUAUGUUGCAUCUAUUUAUAUAUUAAAAGUAAUAUAAGGUGAACCAGGAGCAAGGUAAAUAUGCUAGAAAAUUGCACGUUAAUUAGAAAUUACUAGCCCUCGAUCUGAUAAAUCUUAACGAACAUAUAUAAUGCUCUGGGCCUCCAACGACUGUACGUGACACAUCUGAACGAACAUAUGUUAAAGAAAAUAUAUUUGGUAAAUGGUGGGCUUCUUUAAAAAGAGAACUCACGUACAUGCACCAACUAAGAAAAACACAUACAUGUAAACGGGAAAAGGAUGAGAUUUUCUCACGUACGUGCUCCCUGGCUCCACCCCGUUGAAAAAAUAUACAUCUGGAGGCCACUUUGUUUCCUCAUCAAAAAAACUUACGUUAAAAAGAUUGCAUGCAUCCCAGGGAAAAUAGUCAAGAAGAAGUCGGACUUUUCCUUACAAAAACAAGGAACGUGUUAAGUUGACUUCAAAGAAAAAAGGAACAUGUUAAGUUAAAAAAAAACAAGAAACCUGUUAAGUUAGAAAAAAAACAAGGAACGUGUUGUCCAAGGAAAGAGGAAGAAGAAAGUUGGUUUCAGUGAGUCAUGUGAAUUGUAGAAGAAAUAGGUAAACAAGGCUAGCUCCCCUGGGGGUUGUCAUAUUACAAUCAUUUGUAUUACUUUCCUACCAAUCCUGAACUAGCUAUGACCCUUAUAGCGAGCCUCACUUUACCGUUUCAGAUAGAAACAUAUGGCAGUACUGUACGUACUCGAGAGAAGUUGCUCCCUUCCAUGACAAGGACUAGUUAAGUUUCACUAUCUCCUUUCUCAACUCACUAUAUCCCAGCGGCGGAUUAAUAUAUAUACGUUGAAAAGCAAGGGGAUAAAUUGAACGAAAUGAAGAGCAAUCCAGAAUCCUAUUUUGUAUAUGUGUCAAAUCUUACAAAAAAAAAAGAAUACACACACGUACGUUCAUGCACUUGGAAAAUAGAAAAAAAAGGAACAUCACGUAUGUAUACACUUCGGAAACUCAUUACAUGACCAUGUCUGAUAUACUCCUCUAAUGCUUCAUAUUAGUGCCUAAUAAUUUAUAUUUAAAAUUCAAUUUACUGAUCAAAUAUCCCCACUGUUUAAAUUUUAAUUUGGCACAUUGUUUGGCUAUAGUAUGAACCUAAAUUUCCUCUUAUUAUUAUAUAUCAUGGUAAUAAUCCAAAGGCGACUAAUCUGCGCCGGCGCACCGGCGCAAUCAAUUCCGCUGGACACAGCGCGGCCGUUUGAUUAGAUUGCAUUUAACCGUCAGAUCUGGAAUCGUUUUCUUUCCAAUUAAACAGAUUCAACCAAACAGCAGAGGGGAAAACAAAGCAGCGCCGCCGCCAACACUAGCCAUGGACGACCGAUGUAGCAAAACCUUGAAGAACCGCCGCCGGUCGCCACCCUCGCUGCUGGUCGCCGCCCUCGCCGUCGGUCACCGCCGGUCGCCGCCCUCGCCGCACUCGUGGUUGCAGGCUUGCAUCUCCGCCUCCGGGGGACAUGGCCGCAUGUCCGGUAGCGCCGGCCGCCGGCCGGUGCACCUGUCGUUGUGGUCGCGCUGUACCUCGCCGUGUGCCCUCCCGUGGCUCUUGCUGGUUCCAACAAAAAACGAUACCGGUUGUAGCAAAAAAAUAUCGCUUCCAGCAAAAAAGCUUACCGCUACAGCCCGCCAUCGUCAUUGUAGCAAAAAUGUUAACCCGAUGUAGCUUCUGUGGUUGCCGACUGCAGCAAAAAAUGACAUGGUUGUAGCAAAACACAAAAGAAAAACGCCGGCCGGCCUCUGUGUAUGGUGGUAACAAACCCCAUAGCCGGUGGUAGCGAAAAACUUCAUAGUGCGCAGCAAAAAAAUGUUGUCACCCGUCGUCGAGGUUGCAUCAUCUUCAUGAAUUAUGUCGCAAAAAAACGUUGUCGCCGGUAGUAGCAAAUGAAGCCGCCGGUAGUAGCAAAACAAGACACUGGUUCCAGCCAAAAAAAAUCAGCGACAGAACCUUUGGUUGGUUCCAACAAAAAAACUUGUCGGUCGUAACAUCCCUCGCCGCCGGAUGUAGCAUCUCCCGGGGCUGGUUGCAACACUCCAUAAAAAAAAGUUGUCUAUGAGCGCAUCCAUGGUGACUGCUGCACCGUCAGCAACGAGGGGAAGAGGAGGCAAUGAAAAUCGUUCGAGUCAUAGCUCCACAGGACGCGGCUGCAGCAUGGGGAGUCCAAAAAUCUGUCACAAGCAACAUGCGCCUCGCCAUCCUCCUGCGCAGGAGAGAGAAGAAAAAGGAAUAAGAGGAAGAAGAAAGAAAACGGGAGAAAGAAAAAAGAAACGAUUGGUGGUUGGCUCAGGCAAUUAGUCAAGCGAGGGGCACGCGGGGCGCAGGAUACAGCGCAAUCGAACGAAGCGCGCGCGUCCGGCGAAGACUCGGCCGGACUGCCGGCUGGAAACGUUUCCCUAAUCCAAAGGCUUUAUCUGAAUGACAACUCGUCUGGGUUACCGGCUAACUAGAAAAAAGAUAAAUAUGCUAGAGAAUUUCAUAAUAAUUAGAAAUAUCUAGCCUUUAAUUAUGUAAAUCAGAAAAUCACAACCGUUGGAUUUACUUUAAAGGUAAAUUUCUCUAAAUUCCCACCAUUGCCAGUAUGUAGAAACAUGUGCUGCUUCAAUUCUCCCAUAAUCACCAAUCAAUCAACAACACAAAACAUACCUCAGUUAAAAAAACUGAACAAAAAAAAAGAAAAAAGAAGAAAGGACAAGAUACACGCAUGUACACGACAGCCUUGGCUUGAAACACAUCAGUAGAUCAAGUGUCCGCCUCCCUUACACAGAAUAAACUCAUAGGGAAGAAAAUAAUUGUGCAACCUAACCUUAUACGUACUAUUCUAUCCUCACGUCCCAUGAGGUUUACUAGCCUACCGCCGCCGCAUCAUGCCAUCCCCUCCUUUCAGCUCCCAUGCUUUCCAGCACCCUCAUUGCCGCGCCACUACUUGCCUAGGGAUAUUGCUGCUCAGACCGUGGAGCUUAACCUGCUUCUUCUUCAGCAAAUAUGGUACUGCUUUAGGAUCCUUCUCACAUCAGCACGUAUGGGCCUCAUUAUACUGCAGCUCCUGGACCUCCUACAAUUGGUUGGCUAUGGCCAGUUGAUCGAUGUGCCGAAGUCCAGGUCUGUUUGCUGGCACAUAUGCUUUGGAAAUAGGCCACUAUGUUUGUACUUCAAAAUUGUUUCUGUAUUCUUGAGUGGUACAUCCUUUUAAGCGCCAGUUUUUUAUGUCAAUUCAUGCUGACAACACUUAACCUAGCCUUUCAUCUUCACGUACUAAAUACAGGAGCAAGUAAAAACAACAGACCACCUAAUUGCUCUGCAUGUACUACAUAGGAAAAUUUGUCAUGUUCUACGAUCGCACCAUCCCACACUUCUCUCUUGGUAUGGGCGCCAAUUGAGGGAUUGAUAAAACUGAAACGAAGACGUCACGGGGCUGGAAGUACCGCUAGCCUGGUUUGCACUGCAACCUACUCAACGCCAUCAGAAACUAGCAACUGAGGCAGUUGUUGAUCGAUUCUCUCAAAUUGCUCUCAUGUAAGUACUACCCCUUGCAUGUGCGUACAUACCUUUGUUCCAUUCUCAAACAGAUAGAACAUUUAUGAUCGGUGCAUGGCUAUUUUUCAUCACAUGACAUCCAGAUAACAAGCAUGAAAGGACUACAUUGGAGAUCAAAAAAUAUUGGUUCCUGGCUAGAGGACCACUACCUAUGGACUUGUCUCCAUAGAAUUUGUUCCCAAGAUGUUAUUUUAAUUAACCUCUUUAGCUUUCUUCCAUUGCAAACGGUGAUGUGCAUCUUGGUAUAUACGUGACCAUCUUGCACAUGUAUACACAAGAGGCUCAGACGGAGGUGCUGGAUUCUGGACGAGGGAAUAUGAAGCAGCAGUGAGCGAAGAGUAAAUAAUGGUGGGAGUACCGAUUGGUGUUAUGAAGAAAAAUGCCAUCCAAAGAUUGAUUAGUGUCAUGGAAGAUUAAUUUCUGAAUGCGAAUAUAUAUGUUACAUUGGUUUGGAUCUUUUUGAGAUAAUUGCACAUAAAUUAGGUUCUUUCUUAUUUCAUAUGUAUACCUUAUUUCAGUAAAAGUUCACAACGAACUUAGUAGGACAAAUAUAAUUUUGUUUGUUCUUUCUGUUGUCCGCCACCAAAGCUCAAUUUGAACUCUCUAGAAAUGGACAAUGAUUUAUGCAUUCUAUAUCUUCUUGAUUCAUUAGCCAUGACAAGGAAAUAAAAGGAUUGACUGAUAUAGCAUAACUUUGGAACGAUCUGUUCGUAGAGGUUACUACAAAUUAGAGUAGUGUCUGCUGGAAUUUUGCCAGUAGGUCUUUGGCCCAAAGCCCAACUAAAAUUCUGAAAUUCUCUUGGCUCAUUUAUGCACACAUGUGAGUUGAGUGAGUGAGACUAAAGUUUAGUCCCACCCCGGAGUUGAGAGAGAGUUGCACCUCUUUAUAAGGUGAGCUCUUCUACCACUUGUAUGAGCAUGAGAAGAGGAGACCUACACGCGCGCUCCUCCUCCUCGCUCGCCACGCCUCGCCGCGCCGCGCCGCGGGUUGCGGGAUUGAGCCGAGCCGAGGACGUUGUCUAUAUUUUUGCUGCUCGGGAAAAAUUAAUGAGUCAUUAAUUAAUAAUUAAUGGACGCAUUAAUUACUGAACCGUUUCCGAUUUUUUUGGAUCGUGACGAAUCGGACGCGGGGUUUACUCCCAGGACCUACCCGGCCCGCACUAUAUAGUCAGGCAGACGUCUACCCUAGCCGCCGCCGCUUCAUAUGGUUUCUCACCAUCGUUACAGAUCAUUGCGCCACCAAGCAAGUUUUCUCCAUCCCUCCUUUCGGCGUGCACCGGGAGAAGGGAUAGCAGACCUCCGGAACCCCGCCUCUCGUGAUCCUGUACGGGAGAGGGGCGAUCAGGCUUUUGGGGAGCACACUCGCACUACUGUUGGCAGCGACGACUUCGCAAACGAGGACUUCUUCCCCGACCUCGGCAACCUCAUCCUCGACGACAUGGGCGACAACGUCAACGCCGGCGGUGCUACACCCACUGCACCGUAUGUUAUUCUCUCCUUCUUGUUCGAGGUCGUGGUAGAAUUCAAAGUAUAUGUGCCCUAGAUGUGAUCUGUUCAUCUACUAUGGUAGUUCGCAUGAUUAGUUUAAUCUCUGCUAUUGCUGUCAUGAUCUAUUUCCUAUUUAUUCGGAUUAAAUCUCGUAGUAAUUUGCUCAUUUUUCCAACAAUCCAAAAACCUGAUUAAUGGAAAUUUACUCCGAGUGGUUUUGCUGCGCAUCUGAAAGCCGCUUGCCUUUAAGGGGGCGCAAUAUAAGAGGUGGCUCACAAGAGUAGUCUACUGGUUUCAGAUCAUGGGCUGCUAUGACGCCACCAAGGGCAAGCCUGAGGGCGAUCUUAAUCCAGCACAGCUGGAUGCUAUGACAACGGCAAGAACACGUGGGCUACGCUCGAGGCCAAGUUUGGUGCCUCGGACGCCGGCAGCGAGUUGUACGUCAUGGAGCAAUUCUAUGACUCCAAGAUGACUGAUGAGCGCCCUGUUGUACAGCAGGCUCAUGAGAUACAGUUGCUCGCAAAAGAACUUGAGUACUUCAUGUUGGGGAACGUAGUAAUUUCAAAAAAAUUCCUACGCACACGCAAGAUCAUGGUGAUGCAUAGCAACGAGGGGGAGAGUCUGAUCUACGUACCCUUGUAGAUCGCAACGGAAGUGUUGACACAGCGUAGAGGAAGUAGUCGUACGUCUUCUUCCCGAUCCGACCGAUCCAAGCACCGUUACUCCGGCACCUCCGAGUUCUUAGCACACGUUCAGCUCGAUGACGAUCCCCGGGCUCCGAUCCAGCAAAGCUUCGGGGAGGAGUUCCGUCAGCACGACGGCGUGGUGACGAUCUUGAUGUUCUACCGACGCAGGGCUUCACCUAAGCACUACAACGGUAUGAUCGAGGUGGAAUAUGGUGGCAGGGGGCACCGCACACGGCUAAGGAACGAUCUCAAUGAUCAACUUGUGUGUCUAGAGGUGCCCCCUGCCCCCGUAUAUAAAGGUUGCCAGGGGGAGGGCUGGCCGGCCAAGCUAUGGAGGCGCAGGAGGAGUCCUACUCCUACCGGGAGUAGGACUCCCCCCAAUCCUAUUCCUAAUAGGACUCCCAAGUGGAAAGAGAGGGAGAGAGGUGGCCGGCCACCUCUCCUAGUCCUAAUAGGACUAGGGGAGGGGGGAGGCGUGCAGCCCACCUUGGGCUGCCCCUUUCACCUUGCCACUAAGGCCCAAUAAGGCCCAUUUGGUUCCCGGGGGGUUCCGGUAACCUCCCGGUACUCCGGUAAAAUCCCGAUUUCUCCCGAAACACUUCCGAUGUCCAAACAUAGGCUUCCAAUAUAUCAAUCUUGAUGUCUCGACCAUUUCGAGACUCCUCAUGAUGUCCGCGAUCACAUCCGGGACUCCGAACAACCUUCGGUACAUCAAAAUGCAUAAACUCAUAAUAACUGUCAUCGUAACGUUAAGCGUGCGGACCCUACGGUUCGAGAACAAUGUAGACAUGACCGAGACACGUCUCCGGUCAAUAACCAAUAGCGGGACCUGGAUGCCCAUAUUGGCUCCUACAUAUUCUACGAAGAUCUUUAUCGGUCAGACCGCAUAACAACAUACGUUGUUCCCUUUGUCAUCGGUAUGUUACUUGCCCGAGAUUCGAUCAUCGGUAUCCAAUACCUAGUUCAAUCUCGUUACCGGCAAGUCUCUUUACUCGUUCUGUAAUACAUCAUCCCGCAACUAACUCAUUAGUUGCAAUGCUUGCAAGGGUUGUAUAAUGUGCAUUACCGAGAGGGCCCAGAGGUACCUCUCCGACAAUCGGAGUGACAAAUCCUAUUCUCGAAAUACGCCAACCCAACAUCUACCAUUGGAAACACCUGUAGUACUCCUUUAUAAUCACCCAGUUACGUUGUGACGUUUGGUAGCACCCAAAGUGUUCCUCCGGCAAACGGGAGUUGCAUAAUCUCAUAGUCAUAGGAACAUGUAUAAGUCAUGAAGAAAGCAAUAGCAACAUACUAAACGAUCGGGUGCUAAGCUAAAGGAAUGGGUCAUGUCAAUCAGAUCAUUCAUCUAAUGAUGUGAUCCCAUUAAUCAAAUAACAACUCUUUGUCCAUGGUUCGGAAACAUAACCAUCUUUGAUUAACGAGCUAGUCAAGUAGAGGCAUACUAGUGACACUCUGUUUGUCUAUGUAUUCACACAUGUAUUAUGUUUCCGGUUAAUACAAUUCUAGCAUGAAUAAUAAAUAUUUAUCAUGAUAUAAGGAAAUAAAUAAUAACUUUAUUAUUGCCUCUAGGGCAUAUUUCCUUCAGUCUCCCACUUGCACUAGAGUCAAUAAUCUAGAUCACAUCACCAUGUGAUUAACAUCGAUAGUUCACAUCAUCAUGUGAUUAACACCCAUAGUUCACAUCGCCAUGUGACCAACACCCAAAGGGUUUACUAGAUUCAGUAAUCUAGUUCACAUUGCUAUGUGAUUAACACCCAAAGAGUACUAAGGUGUGAUCAUGUUUUGCUUGUGAGAGAAUCUUAGUCAACGGGUCUGCCACAUUCAGAUCCACAUGUAUUUUGCAAAUUUCUAUGUCAACAAUGCUCUGCAUGGAGCUACUUUAGCUAAUUGCUCCCACUUUCAAUAUGUAUCUAGACCGAGACUUAGAGUCAUCUAGAUUAGUGUCAAAACUUGCAUCGGCGUAACCCUUUACGACGAAUCUUUUUAUCACGUCCAUAAUCGAGAAACAUAUCCUUAUUUCACUAAGGAUAAUUCUGACCGAUGUCCAGUGAUCUACUCCUAGAUCACUAUUGUACUCCCUUGCCAAAUCAGUGCCGGGUAUACAAUAGAUUUGGUAUACAGCAUGUCAUACUUUAUAGAACCUAUGGCCAAGGCAUAGGGAAUGACUUUCAUUCUCUUUCUAUCUUCUGCCGUGGUUGGGCUUUGAGUCUUACUCAACUUCACACCUUAUAAUACAGGCAAGAACUCUUUCUUUGACUGCUCCAUUUUGAACUACUUCAAAAUCUUGUCAAGGUAUGUACUCAUUGAAAAAACUUAUCAAGCGUCUUGAUCUAUCUCUAUAGAUCUUGAAGCUCAAUAUGUAAGCAGCUUCACCGAAGUCUUUCUUUGAAAAACUCCUUUCAAACACUCCUUUAUGCUUUAUAGAAUAAUUCUACAUUAUUUCCGAUUAACAAUAUGUCAUUCACAUAUACUUAUCAGAAAUGUUGUAGUGCUACCACUCACUUUCUUGUAAAUACAGGCUUCACCGCAAGUCUGUAUAAAACUAUAUGCUUUGAUCAACUCAUCAAAGCAUAUAUUCCAACUCCGAGAUGCUUGCACCAGUCCACAGAUGGAUCGCUGGAGCUUGCACAUUUUGUUAGCACCUUUCGGAUUGACAAAACCUUCUGUUGCAUCAUGUACAACUCUUCUUUAAUAAAUCCAUUAAGGAAUGCAGUUUUGUUUAUCCCUUUGCCAGAUUUCAUAAAAUGCGGCAAUUACUAACAUGAUUCGGACAGACUCAAGCAUAGAUACGAGUGAGAAGCUCUCAUCGUAGUCAUCACCUUGAACUUGUCGAAAAACUUUUGCGACAAUUCUAGCUUUGUAGAUAGUAACACUACUAUCAGCGUCCGUCUUCCUCUUGAAGAUCCAUUUAUUCUCAAUUGCUUGCCGAUCAUCGGGCAAGUCAACCAAAGUCCAAACUUUGUUCUCAUACAUGGAUCAUAUCUCAGAUUUCAUGGCCUCAAACCAUUUCGCGGAAUCUGGGCUCAUCAUCGCUUCCUCAUAGUUCGUAGGUUCGUCAUGGUCAAGUAACAUGACCUCCAGAACAGAAUUACCGUACCACUCUGGUGCGGAUCUCACUCUAGUUUACCUACGAGAUUCCGUAGUAACUUGAUCUGAAGUUACAUGAUCAUCAUCAUUAGCUUCCUCACUAAUUUGUGUAGUAGUCACAAGAACAGAUUUUUGUGAUGAACUACUUUCCAAUAAGGUAGAAGGUACAAUUACCUUAUCAAGUUUUCUACUUUCCUCCCACUUACUUCUUUCAAGAGAAACUCCUUCUCUAGAAAGGAUCCAUUAUAAGCAACGAAUGUCUUGCCUUAGGAUCUGUGAUAGAAGGUGUACCCAACAGUCUCCUUUGGGUAUCCUAUGAAGACAUAUUUCUCCGAUUUGGGUUUGAGCUUAUCAGGAUGAAACUUUUUCUCAUAAGCAUCGCAACCCCAAACUUCAAGAAACGACAACUUUGGUUUCGUGCCAAACCAUAGUUCAUAAGGCGUCGUCUCGACGGAUAUAGAUGGUGCCCCUUUUUUUAACGUGAAUGCAGCUGUCUCUAAUGCAUGACCCCAAAAACGAUAGUGGUAAAUCGGUAAGAAACAUCAUAGAUUGCACUAUAUCCAAUAAAGUACGGUUAUGGCGUUCGGACACACCAUUAUGCUGUGGUGUUCCAGGUGGCGUGAGUAGUGAAACUAUUUCACAUUGUUUUAACUGAAGACCAAACUUGUAACUGAAAUACUCUUUUCCACGAUCAGAUCGUAGAAACUUUAUUUUCUUGUUACGAUGAUUUUCCACUUCACUCUGAAAUUCUUUGAACUUUUCAAAUGUUUCCGACUUAUGUUUUAUCAAAUAGAUAUACUCAUAUCUGCUCAAAUCAUCUGUGAAGAUCAGAAAAUAAUGAUACCUAUCGCGAGCCUCAAUAUUCAUCGGACCACAUACAUCAGUAUGUAUGAUUUCCAACAAAUCUGUUGCUCGCUCCAUUGUUCAGAAGAACAAAGUCUUAGUCAUCUUGCCCAAAAGGCAUGGUUCGCAAGCAUCAAGUGAUUCCGAAAGCCCAUCAGCAUGGAGCGCUUUAUACCAAUAUGACCUAAACGGCAGUGCCACAAAUAAGUUGCACUAUCAUUAUUAACUCUGCAUCCUUUGGUUUCAAUAUUAUGAAUAUGUGUAUCACUACGAUCGAGAUCCAACGAACUUGUUUCAUUGGGUGUAUGACCAUCGAAGGUUUUAUUCAUGUAAACAGAACAACAAUUAUUCUCUGACUUUAAUGAAUAACCGUAUUGCAAUAAAUAUGAUCAAAUCAUAUUCAUGCUCAACGCAAAAACCAAAUAACACUUAUUUAAGUUCAACACUAAUCCCGAAAGUAUAGGGGAGUGUGCGAUGAUGAUCAUAUCAAUCUUGGAACUACUUCCAACACACAUCGUCACUUCACCCUUAACUAGUCUCUAUUUAUUCUGCAACUCCUGUUUUGAGUUACUACUCUUAGCAACUGAACCAAUAUCAAAUACUAAGGGGUUGCUAUAAACACUAGUAAAGCACACAUCAAUAACAUGUAUAUCAAAUAUACUUUUGUUCACUUUGCCAUCCUUCUUAUCCGCCAAUCACUUGGGGUAGUUCCGCUUCUAGUGACCAGUCCCUUUGCAGUAGAAGCACUUAGUCUCAGGCUUAGGAUCAGACUUGGGCCUCUUCACUUGAGCAGCAACUUGCUUGCCGUUCUUCUUGAAGUUCCCCUUCUUCCCUUUGCCCUUUUCUUGAAACUAGUGGUCUUGUCAACCAUCAACACUUGAUGUUUUUCUUGAUUUCUACCUUCGUUUAUUUCAGCAUCACGAAGAGCUUGGGAGUUGUUUCUGUUAUCCCUUGCAUAUUAUAGUUCAUCACGAAGUUCUACUAACUUGGUGAUGGUGACUAGAGAAUUCUGUCAAUCACUAUCUUAUCUGGAAGAUUAACUCCCACUUGAUUCAAGCGAUUUUAGUACCCAGACAAUCUGAGCACAUGCUCACUAGUUGAGCGAUUCUCCUCCAUCUUUUAGCCAUAGAACUUGCUGGAAACUUCAUAUCUCUCAACUCGGGUAUUUGCUUGAAAUAUUAACUUCAACUCUUGGAACAUCUCAUAUGGUCUAUGACGUUCAAAACGUCUUUGAAGUCCCGAUUCUAAGCCAUUAAGCAUGGUGCACUAAACUAUCAAGUAGUCAUCAUAUUGAGCUAGCCAAACGUUCAUAACGUCUGCAUCUGCUCCUGCAAUAGGUUUGUCACCUAGCGGUGCAUCAAGGACAUAAUUCUUCUGUGCAGCAAUGAGGAUAAAACUCAGAUCACGGAUCCAAUCCGCAUCAUUGCUACUAACAUCUUUCAACACAAUUUUCUCUAGGAACAUAUCAAAAUAAACACAGGGAAGCAACAACGCGAGCUAUUGAUCUAUAACAUGAUUUACAAAAUACUACCAGGACUAAGUUCAUGAUAAAUUUAAGCUCAAUUAAUCAUGUUACUUAAGAACUCCCACUUAGAUAGACAUCCCUCUAAUCCUCUAAGUGAUCACGUGAUCCAAAUCAACUAAACCAUAACCGAUCAUCACGUGAAAUGGAUUAGUUUUCAAUGGUGAACAUCAUUAUGUUGAUGAUAUCUACUAUAUGAUUCACGCUCGACCUUUCGGUCUCCGUGUUCCGAGGCCAUAUCUUUAUAUGCUAGGCUCGUCAAGUUUAACCUGAGUAUUCUGCGUGUGCAAAACUGGCUUGCACCAGUUGUAGAUGGACGUAGAGCUUAUCACACCCGAUCAUCACGUGGUGUCUGGGCACGACGAACUUUGGCAACGGUGCAUACUCAGGGAGAACACUUCUUGAUAAUUUAGUGAGAGAUCAUCUUAUAAUGCUACCGUCAAUCAAAGCAAGAUAAGAUGCAUAAAAAGAUAAACAUCACAUGCAAUCAAUAUAAGUGAUAUGAUAUGGCCAUCAUCAUCUUGUGCUUGUGAUCUCCAUCUCCGAAGCACCGUCAUGAUCACCAUCGUCACCGGCGCGACACCUUGAUCUCCAUCGUAGCAUCGUUGUCGUCUCGCCAAUCUUAUGCUUCCACGACUAUCGCUACCGCUUAGUGAUAAAGUAAAGCAUUACAUCGCGAUUGCAUUGCAUACAAUAAAGCGACAACCAUAUGGCUCCUGCCAGUUGCCGAUAACUCGGUUACAAAACAUGAUCAUCUCAUACAAUAAAAUUUAGCAUCAUGCCUUGACCAUAUCACAUCACAACAUGCCCUGCAAAAACAAGUUAGACGUCCUCUACUUUGUUGUUGCAAGUUUUACGUGGCUGCUACGGGCUUAAGCAAGAACUCAUCUCACCUACGCAUCAAAACCACAACGAUAGUUUGUCAAAUAGAUUCCGUUUUAACCUUCUCAAGGACCGGGCGUAGCCACACUUGGUUCAACUAAAGUUGGAGAGACAGUCGCCCGCAAGCCAUCUAUGUGCAAAGCACGUCGAGGGAACCGGUCUCGCGUAAGCGUACGCGUAAGGUUGGUCCGGGUCGUCUCGUCCAACAAUACCGCCGAACCAAAGUAUGACAUGCUGGUAGGCAGUAUGACUUGUAUCGCCCACAACUCACUUGUGUUCUACUCGUGCAAAUAAUAUCAAACCAUAAAACCUAGGCUCGGAUGCCACUGUUGGGGAACGUAGUAAUUUCAAAAAAUUUCCUACGCACACGCAAGAUCAUGGUGAUGCAUAGCAACGAGGGGGAGAGUCUGAUCUACGUACCCUUGUAGAUCGCAACGGAAGCGUUGACACAACGUAGAGGAAGUAGUCGUACGUCUUCUUCCCGAUCCGACCGAUCCAUGCACCGUUACUCCGGCACCUCUGAGUUCUUAGCACACGUUCAGCUCGAUGACGAUCCCCGGGCUCCGAUCCAGCAAAGCUUCGGGGAGGAGUUCCGUCAGCAUGACAGCGUGGUGACGAUCUUGAUGUUCUACCGACGCAGGGCUUCGGCUAAGCACUACAACGGUAUGGUCGAGGUGGAAUAUGGUGGCAGGGGGCACUGGACACGGCUAAGGAACGAUCUCAAUGAUCAACUUGUGUGUCUAGAGGUGCCCCUACCCUCGUAUAUAAAGGUUGCCAGGGGAGGGCUGGCCGGCCAAGCUAUGGAGGCGCAGGAGGAGUCAAACUCCUACCGGGAGUAGGACUCCCCCCCCCCAAUCUUAUUCCUAAUAGGACUCCCAAGGGGAAAGAGAGGGAGAGAGGUGGCCGGCCACCUCUCCUAGUCCUAAUAGGACUAGGGGAGGGGGGAGGCGCGCAGGCCACCUUGGGCUGCCCCUUUCACCUUUCCACUAAGGCCCAAUAAGGCCCAUUUGGUUCCCGGGGGUUCCGGUAACCUCCCGGUACUCCGGUAAAAUCCCGAUUUCUCCCGGAACACUUCCGAUGUCCAAACAUAGGCUUCCAAUAUAUCAAUCUUUAUGUAUCGACCAUUUCGAGACUCCCCGUCAUGUCCAGGAUCACAUCCGGGACUCCGAACAACCUUCGGUACAUCAAAAUGCAUAAACUCAUAAUAACUGUCAUCGUAACGUUAAGCGUGCGGACCCUACGGUUCGAGAACAAUGUAGACAUGACCGAGACACGUCUCCGGUCAAUAACCAAUAGCGGGACCUAGAUGCCCAUAUUGGCUCCUACAUAUUCUACGAAGAUCUUUAUCGGUCAGACCGCAUAACAACAUACGUUGUUCCCUUUGUCAUCGGUAUGUUACUUGCCUGAGAUUCGAUCGUCGGUAUCCAAUACCUAGUUCAAUCUCGUUACCGGCAAGUCUCUUUACUCAUUCUGUAAUACAUCAUCUCGCAACUAACUCAUUAGUUGCAAUGCUUGCAAGGCUUGUAUAAUGUGCAUUACCGAGAGGGCCCAGAGGUACCUCUCCGACAAUCGGAGUGACAAAUCCUAUUCUCGAAAUACGCCAACCCAACAUCUACCAUUGGAAACACCUGUAGUACUCCUUUAUAAUCACCCAGUUACAUUGUGAUGUUUGGUAGCACCCAAAGUGUUCCUCCGGCAAACGGGAGUUGCAUAAUCUCAUAGUCAUAGGAACAUGUAUAAGUCAUGAAGAAAGCAAUAGCAACAUACUAAACGAUCGGGUGCUAAGCUAAUGGAAUGGGUCAUGUCAAUCAGAUCAUUCAUCUAAUGAUGUGAUCCCAUUAAUCAAAUAACAACACUUUGUCCAUGGUUAGGAAACAUAACCAUCUUUGAUUAACGAGCUAGUCAAGUAGAGGCAUACUAGUGACACUCUGUUUGUCUAUGUAUUCACACAUGUAUUAUGUUUCUGGUUAAUACAAUUCUAGCAUGAAUAAUAAAUAUUUAUCAUGAUAUAAGGAAAUAAAUAAUAACUUUAUUAUUGCCUGUAGGGCAUAUUUCCUUCACUUCAAGUGUGUGUUGCCGAACAAAUUUGUUGCCGGAGGCAUCAUUGCCAAGCUUCCACCUUCGUGGAACAAUUUUGCUACUUCCCUGAAACACAAGAGACAGGAGUUUUUCGUUGCGGAUCUCAUUGGUACUCUUGAUGUUGAAGAGAAGGCGAGAGCAAAGGAUACACGUGCUCGAGUUGCUGAGGGAGGUUCUAGUGCCCACAUGGUACAGAAGAAGAUCUUCCAGCCCAACAAGUUCAAAAACAACAAGAACAAAACUUAGGGCAAAGGCAAGUUUGAUACAAAGAACAAGCCAUCACAUUCUACCAACUUCAAGAAGAACUCUCAUAAGAAGGGGAAGGGACUUUGCCAUGUCUGCGGUGAUCCUAAUCACUGGGCUCCGAAGUGUCCUAACCGCUUUGAGGAGCGCGAACAUGAGAAGAGCGGCAAGUCUGCUAAUGUUGUCAUCGGUGAUACUGAUAUGAAGGAAUCAGGGUACGGUAUUUUUCCUACCAUCCUUUCAGUAUUCCAAAUCCCUGAUUGGUUAAUUGACAUCGGUGCCAAUGUACAUGUUUGUGCUGAUGCCUCCAUGUUUUCUUCUUACCAGGCCACUUGGACUUCUCCUGUGCUGAUGGGGAACGGGUCACAUGCCAUCGUUCGAGGUGUUGGUGCGGUCAAUCUGAAGUUUACUUCGGGGAAGACCGUGCGUCUGAAGAACGUUCAUCAUGAGCCGUCCAUCAAUAAAAAUCUCGUUAGCGGUUCCCGUUUAUGUCGAGAUGGUUUUAAGUUGGUUUUCGAAUCCAAUAAAGUUAUAAUUUCUAAGUAUGGACAAUUUGUUGGAAAAGGCUAUGAGAGCGGAGGCUUGUUUCGCCUGUCUUUGUCAGAUAUUUGCACUAAAGUUAUUAAUAAUGUUUGCCACAACAAUGAGUCUGAUAUUUGGCAUUCACGACUUUGUCACAUUAACUUUGGUUGCAUGACCCGGCUAGCCAAUAUGAAUUUAAUUCCGAAAUCUCUACUGUCAAAGGCUCUAAGUGCCAAGUAUGUGUGAAAGCUAAGCAACCUCGCAAAUCCCAUAAGACUGCAGAGGCGACAGACUUGGCGCCACUAGAGCUUAUACAUUCUGAUAUUUGUGAGAUGAAUGGCGUGUGGACAAAAGGUGGAAAGAGAUACUUCAUGACGUUGAUUGAUGACUCCACUAGAUAUUGUUAUGUGUAUCUUAUGAAAUCAAAAGAUGAGGCUUUGGCUUUCUUCAAAAACUAUAAAGCUGAGGCAGAGAACCAACUUGAUCGAAAAAUUAAACGGCUUAGGUCCGAUCAUGGUGGAGAGUAUUUUUCCAAUGAAUUUGAUCUAUUUUGUGCGGAACAUGGUAUAAUCCAUGAGAGGAUGCCUCCCUACUCACCCCAGUCAGAUGCGGUAGCCGAAAGAAAGAACCAAACUCUAACUGAUAUGGUUAACACCAUGUUAGACACUUCGGGUCUAUCCAAGGAAUGGUGGGGGGAGGCGCUAAUGACUGCGUGUCAUGUCCUAAACCGAGUUCCCACAAAGCAUAAGACCAUGACUCCAUUUGAGGAAUGUUAAAGGAAAAGGUUGAAACUCUCUUACCUACGUACUUGGGGUUGUUUGGCGAAAGUCAAUAUACCAAUUCCCAAGAAGCGCAAGCUUGGACCAAAAACCGUGGGUUGUGUUCUUCUUGGGUAUGCUUUUCAUAGCAUCGGCUAUAGAUUUUUGAUAAUAAAAUCUGAGGUAUCCGACAUGCAUGUUGGUACGAUUAUGGAGUCGAAUGAUGCAACUUUCUUUGAGGACAUAUUUCCUAUGAAGGAUAUGUUGAGUUCAUCAAAUCAGGAGACACCUACUCCACCUAGUGAGGAAUUCACUGUAAUUCCUGAACCCACCAUUGCGAUGGAACACAUAGAGAAUCCUGUUGAGGGUGACAAUGGAACUCCUGUGAGGAGUAAGAGACAUAGGACUACAAAGUCCUUUGGUGAUGAUUUCAUUGUGUACCUCGUGGAUGACACACCCAGGACUAUUUCAGAAGCCUGUGCAUCUCUUGAUGCUGACUACUGGAAGGAAGCUGUACAUAGCGAGAUGGAUUCCAUCUUAGGUAACAGAACCUGGGAGAUCACUGACCGUCCUUAUGGGUGAAAACCUGUAGGAUGUAAGUGGGUGUUCAAGAAGAAGCUUAGACCUGAUGGUACGAUUGAAAAGUACAAGGCACGGCUUGUGGCCAAGGGUUAUACCCAGAAAGAAGGUGAAGACUUCUUUGAUACUUACUCACCCGUGGCUAGAAUGACCACAAUUUGGGUGCUACUAUCACUUGUUGCCUCACAUGGUCUUCUCGUUCAUCAAAUGGACGUUAAGACAGCUUUCCUCAAUGGAGAGUUGAAGGAGGAAAUUUACAUGGAUCAGCCAGAUGGUUUUGUAGUACCUGGUUAGUAAGGAAAGUUGUGCAAGUUAUUAAAGUCUUUAUAUGGCCUUAAACAAGCUCCUAAAGAGUGGCAUGAGUAGUUUGAAAGAACAUUAACUGCUGCCGGCUUUGUAGUAAACGAUGGUGACAAGUGCGUGUACUAUCGCUAUGGUGGUGGCGAAGGAGUUAUUCUUUGUCUGUAUGUCGACGACAUAUUGAUCUUUGGAACGAAACUUGAUUUAAUCAAGGAGGUUAAGGAUUUCUUAUCUCGCUAUUUUGAGAUGAAGGAUCUAGGAGUAGUUGAUGUUAUCUUAAACAUCAAGCUGUUGAGAGAUGAGAAUGAUGGGAUCACACUGCUUCAGUCUCACUAUGUGGAAAAGGUCUUGAGUCGUUUUGGGUAUAGCGACUGCACACCUUCUCCAACUACAUAUGAUGCUAGCAUGUUGCAUCGAAAGAAUCGACGGAUUGCUAGAGAUCAACUGAGGUAUUCUCAUAUUAUUGGCUCGCUUAUGAUUUGGCGAGUGCCACGAGGCCAAACAUCUCGUUUGCUGUUAGCAAGCUGAGUCGAUUUGUGUCAAAACUAGGAGAUGAUUAUUGGCAUGCGCUUGAGAGAGUUAUGCGCUAUUUGAAAGGCACCGCGAGCUAUGGGAUUCACUACACCGGGUAUCCAAGGGUACUGGAGGGUUAUAGUGACUCAAACUGGAUAUCUGAUGCUAAUGAGAUUAAGGCCACAAGUGGUUAUGUUUUUACACUUGGUGGUGGCGCUGUUUCUUGGAAGUCCUGCAAGCAGACCAUCUUAAUGAGGUCAACUAUGGAAGCAGAACUCACAACAUUAGAAACUGCUACUGUUGAAGCAGUGUGGCUUCGUGAGCUCUUGAUGGACUUUCCUAUGGUUGAAAAACCAAUACCCCCUAUCCCAAUGAACUGUGAUAAUCAAACUGUGAUCGUCAAGAUAAACAGUUCUAAGGACAAUAUGAAGUCCUCAAGGCAUGUGAAGAGGAGACUGAAAUCUGUUAGAAAAUUGAGGAACUCCGGAGUUAUUACGUUGGAUUAUAUCCAAACGUCAAAAAAAUUGGCAGAUCCCUUCACAAAGGGUCUAUCACGUAAUGUGAUAGAUAAUGCAUCGAUGGAGAUGGGUUUGAGACCCACCGCAUGAGUUGUCCAUAGUGGUAACCCACUCUUUGUGAUCGGAGAUCCCGUGAAGUAGAAGUGGGAGACAAGCUGUUGGUCAGCUGGGAGGAGAGUAUCCCUAUAUUACCUGUCCCACUCCAUGAAGAUGCAACACUCUCCUAAUCUGCAUGGCAGGUUGAUACUUAUCUUAAUGUGUUCCAAGUGGCUUAUUCGGGUAAGCAGAGAUGUUGUCCUGCGGAACAUCUUCUGAGGAACACACCUAUAUGAAUUUGAUUGUUAACGUCGCAGUCUGUGAGAAUUGGGUGUUCUCUAAUAAAUUCAUGAAAAGGCCCUGGAGUAUGACGUAUAAGCUCCACCCGCAGGGAAGCCUUGCGGCAGCCCAGUAUCGGUCAAGAAUUUGUGUGAAACUAGUCUCGCAGAAAAUUUGUAGUUCAAGGCAUAGUCCACUAUUCAAGUUGUGAUCUAGUGUAGCAUAAAUCUCUAAGUGGAAGUUCAACUUCAAAGUCUCCACUAAGCCCCGGUAUAUAAACAAUGUUUUGGAACUAAAUGAUGAGAUGUGCCAAUGAGACUUUGUGGGGGAUUGUUGGAAUUUUGCUAGUAUGCCUUUGGCCCAAAGCCCAACUAAAAUUCUGAAAUUCUCUUCGCCCAUUCAUGCACACAUGUGAGUGGAGUGAGUGAGACUAAAGUUUAGUCCCACCCCGGAAGUUGAGAGAGAGCACCUCUUUAUAAGGUGAGCUCUUCUACCACUUGUAUGAGCAUGAGAGUAGGAGACCUACACACGCGCUGCUCCUCCUCGCUCACCACGCCACGCCUGGUCACGACGCGCCGCGGGUUGCGGGAUUGAGCCGAGCCGAGGUCAGAGCUAUGCACGUUGUCUAUUUUUUGCUACCCCGGAAAAUUAAUGAGUCAUUAAUUAAUAAUUAAUGGACGUGUUAAUUACUAAACCGUUUCCGAUUCUUUUGGAUCAUGACGACUCGGACGUGGGGUUUACUCCCACGACCUACCAGGCCCGCACUAUAUAGUCCGGCAGACGUGUACCCUAGCUGUCGCCGCUUCGUAUGGUUUCUCACCACCGUUCCAGAUCAUUGCGUCGCCAAGCAAGUCUUCUCCAUCCCUCCUUUCGGCGUGCACCGGGAGAAGGGACAGCAGGCCUCCGGAACCCCGCCUCUCGUGAUCCUGUAUGGGAGAGGGGCGAUCAGGUUUUUGGGGAGCGCACUCGCGCGACUUCUGGCAGCGACGACUUCGCGAAUGACGACUUCUUCCCUGACCUCGGCAACCUCAUCCUCGACGACAUGGGCGACAACGUCAACGCCGGCGGUCCUGCACCCGCUGCACCGUAUGUUAUUCUAUCCUUCUUGUUCGAGAUCGUGGUAGAAUUCAGGUUUCUAGUAUAUGCCCUAGAUGUGAUCUGUUCAUCUACUAUGCUAGUUCGCAUGAUUAGUUUAAUCUCUGCUAUUGCUGUCAUGAUCUAUUUCCUAUUUAUUCGGAUUAAAUCUCGUAGUAAUUUGCUCAUUUUUCCAAUAGUACCAUCUAAUAGAUGAUGUAAAUCUCCUCUAGUUUGACGUUGUUGAGCUAAUUUACAAAAAAAAAACCUCAUCAUUAUUGGACGUCCUUAACAGCUCAAGAACAAGUUGGGGUCGAACUAAUGGAUUUUACACUUUUACAUUAAAGGUUUAGCUAAAGCUAGCAGGUGUUUUUAAACCUGAAUUUUUUUUUCCUCCUGAAUUUCUUUGUAUUUUCUUAUUGACACUAUUUAUACAAUCAUCUGACAAAGAUUAGCUAAAGAUGUUUGUAGAUACGUUGAAACCUGAAAAGCUUCUUUGGUUAUCCUUUUAAUAGUUCUACGUUUAAUUUCUCAUAGGUCAUAAUUCUUAUGUAAUACCAAGAUGCAUUGUGGUAGUGUACAUGUGUUCAAUUCAGGUUGUUAUUCACAAUUUGCGACAAAAUUUAGCUCACGCUACAUUUAAAUAUGUUGAAAUGUGAAUGCUCUUUUUCUUCUCCUUUCUACACCUUGCAUCGGAUUGCAUCCCUUUAGUUAUCCAACAUUUUGUACAACAUGUAGAGAUUAGGAAGUUCAUCAUAGUUUGUCUAUUUCCGUGCUAAUAAAUGUAUGAAAUCUGCAUUUCCAAGCUACUAGGACAAGUAAAAAAUAAUAAUUUUACUAUAGGAUUCAAAAACAGCAGUUCUGAAGUGCACUUUAUUUAUUUUUGAAAGUGAUCACAUUUUGUUUCAUUUUUCUAUAGACAAAUCUACUAAUACAUACUCACGAUAAAACUAUAAAAAUUCUAGUCCGCACAUUGGGCGGGCCACCCGGCUAGUUAGUCUAAAGAUAACAAAAUGAGUCUGGAAUUUGAAUUAAAUUGAAGUAUUUUCUUGGACUUUCAAAUUAAGUUUUAUUAAAGUAGUAAGGACUAUCCACAUCCUUGGCUUGCCCCUGAUCAAUUAUUUCCAGAGAAGCAUUCGAUUCAUCAAUCAAUUACAUUGAUUUUAGUGGCUGGUACUUCUCCUCAACAUCAGUAUAUUCACCGUGGCCACUCCAAAUCGGCAAGAAUGAGGUACCAGUGCUCUGCAGCAGUGCAAGCUAAUUGCUUCUCAUGUGAAGGGGUGCGGGCGCAGGAGAGGUAUUUCUGGUGGGCCAAGGGACUAAGAAGCGACUGUGGCAGCGGUAUAGAUGCCCGCAAAGCCCCAUAGUUUGUUUUUCGUUUACAGGAAAAAUGCACAUCCAUACCAACCUUGGGAAUAUAGGACCGUAUUGGAUGGAAAACCAUGUCCGGAUGGUUGCGAGCGGUUUGAGGGUUAGCUUUUGUAACGCCCGGUUAGUUAUGCUAUAGCAAUUCCCUGCUAAUGAUGUCACGUCACCACGAUUACUAUUGUUAACCUCACAAUGAUUCAAUCCCCUUCAAAUUCAAAUUUAAAAUAAAGGUAAACAUCAAAAGUUUUCAAACAUUAAAACUAAAAUCUUUGAGAGGUGACAAAUAAUGCAUAAGUAAUUAUGGUGGAGAAACCACACUUUAAUCAAAUGUUUAAAUACUCUAAAAUGAAAAAAACAGUUGCUUAAACUAUUAUUUAAAUGCUUUUAAAAUAGUAAAAAUCUUCUAACUAAAUUAUUUGGGUACCAAACUUUUGGUGGCAGUGGUAUAUUUAGUAGAAUUAAUUUAGAUGCUAAUUAUAUAAUUUACAAAAUUAGAGUAAAUUGAAAAAUAGGAUAAAACGGAAAAGGAAAGACAAAACAAAUAAAAGCAAAAGGGGCCAACCCCUCGCUGGGCCUCGACCUAGCUGCCACUAGGCUAGCUAGGCUGGCCCCGGCGCCUCCCUUAACCCCCCCCCCCACUCCCCAUCGAACCCAAGCCCGAUCGCCCCACUUCCCCCACACCCCCUCGCCAGCCUCCCCACCUCUUGAUCCCAUCUGGAUCGGGGAGGGUAUUGCCCCCAUCGACCCCGUUGCCGUCGCCGGAUUGCCCGCCGAUGUCGCCAGGCCUCCUCCCCGCCGCCCGUCUCCGGCUCGCCUCCCCUCUCGCUCCUCUUCCCCGACCCGAUCUAGAUCGUGAACGAGCAAUGAGCUCGAAGCCCCCUUCACCGGCGCCAUCACCGUGCGCCACCACCACCGCCUGAGGACCUCACCGUCGCCGAAUCUAGCGUCGCCUCCUCGUAUCCCUCCCCUACUCGCGUCCUCAAGCCAGGACGAGCCCCUUCUCGGCAACGCUGUGAGACGCCCCCGUUUCCCUCCUCUUUCCACCGCGUUCAUCGCGCCGCCCGCCGUGCCCCUCGCCGUGCGCACGCCCACCACCGCACCAGCCCCCGCUCCGCGCACGACCCUACCCGCGCCCGCGCCAUGAUCCCCUUUUCCGCCCUACCUUCCUGCGCUCGCCGCGGUCCCGAUGCUCCCCCGCGCCCUCUUUCGGGGGCGCCGACCUCCCCUGUCCCGCUGCUCGGCGCCGUGCCUCGCAAUCGCUCUACUGCUAAGUUACUACUGCGCUGCGGCCGUCGCCUCUUCCUUCUGCUCCGCUAGCGCCGAAGCUCCCGAUUGGCUCCACCACUUCUCACGUUAAACCGCCGGCCUAAAUGGCCUAACCCCGGGCUAAUGAACCCCCACUAACCCACUGACACCGGGACCCACAUUCCCUAAUUAACCAUUUAAUAAAUUAAAACUCUUAAAUUAACAUUAGUGUAUGACAUGUGCGUCCCCUAUUAAUUAAUAAUUUUACUGCUAGUUUUCUUAGUUUCUGUUUUUCUGCAUAUUUCUUUUGUAUUUGAACAGGCUUUAUACAAUAAUAUUUAGCGUCUCAUACACAUACAAAUGUAAUUAUAGCAUAUACAUACAAAUAGUCUCAUCAAAUCAUGUGAUCAUCAUAAUCAUCAUCCAUCACAAAGUGAUCUCUCGUCAUCAUCUCGAAAAUAGCGAUACUAGUCUCGAUUACUUGCAACUACAUCGUCAUCCAUCUAAACAAUGAUAUACGCGAGAAGAGCUAUCACUAUGAGUGAGAGCGGAACUAUGCAGUACAUGAGUUUGUAUCCCUCUCUCACAUUAGCGUGAACCUAAACUAACUACUGGCUGUUGCUCGGAAACCGGAAAACGGUACACCUGGGCCUGACACUCCGGCCACUCGUCGUAUACUCCUGGCGUAGCACUUCUUCGCCAUCGAUGAUCUAUGCACCUGCAUCGUCACAUGAGUCGAUGAUAUGCAACAUAUAUAGUUGAGCAACAGAAAGAGACAGACGUGGCAAAAGUAGAAGCAACAUAUCAUAAGCAUAAAUAACAAAGCUCAUCGUACGCAAAAUGCCCUAACUAGAGUGAUCUGCGCUAGUCAAGGAGGACGGUUUAAUUACAUCACAAAUAAUGUUUCGUCGUGCAUUACUCAAAGUUCCGUCAUACAGAAAGUAUGAACUAAAUGGACACAUUGUCAUAUUUCGAAAAUCACUCCCACAUGUCGUGCCAUCCAUCCAAGUCAAGGAGAUAGUGCCCGAGCUUAGUGAAAGGCUUUAGGUCAAGAUGCUGAGUGGCUACGCGUGUUCGGACGUCUUCCCACGACAUUUGUCCUUCUUCAUAGAACAUCCCUGUUUUUUCGACGACCUCCUUCAUCACUAGAAGAAAAAGGGCCUGUUGUCCCGGUUCUGGAACCGGGACUAAAGGGUCGGUACUAAUGCCCUGUCCCUUUAGUCCCGGUUCAAUCCAGAACCGGGACAGAUGGGCCUCCACGUGGCCUGUGCGCGGAGCCCAGGCAGGAGACCCUUUGGUCCCGGUUGGUGGCACCAACCGGGAACAAUAGGCAUCCACGCGUCAGCAUUUCUGUGGUUGGGGUUUUUGUUNNNNNNNNNNNNNNNNNNNNNNNNNNNNNNNNNNNNNNNNNNNNNNNNNNNNNNNNNNNNNNNNNNNNNNNNNNNNNNNNNNNNNNNNNNNNNNNNNNNNNNNNNNNNNNNNNNNNNNNNNNNNNNNNNNNNNNNNNNNNNNNNNNNNNNNNNNNNNNNNNNNNNNNNNNNNNNNNNNNNNNNNNNNNNNNNNNNNNUGGUGUUUCAUAUAUUGUGUUAGCUAGCUAUAAUUAAUAGAGAAAAGUGUCCUCUCUUAUGUCCGUGCUUGGUCGACGCUACGUACUAUACAUACGUAUAGAGAGGACUAGACACGCUAGCUAGCUAGUAAGCAAACGAAGGAAACAGAAGAUCGUCAUGAACAUAUAUGCAUACAGGACUAGACACGCUAGCUAGCUAGUAACCAAACGAAGUUCAACUAGUAAUGGCGCACCACUCCCACGGUGCGCCAUUAGUAGUUUUGAAAAAAAUUAAUUUUUUUUUUUACUAAUGGCGCACUGUGGAUGUGGUGCGCCAUUAGUAUUUGGACACUAAUGGCGUACCAACACAUGGUGCGCCAUUAGUAUAUAGUAAUGGCGCACCACAGGUCUGGUGCGCCAUUAGUGUCAAUUCCAUCUAUAGCCCUUUUCCUAGUAGUGUUAGGGACGGUCUCAAUGAAACAACCCACCAUGUACUCCUGCAUGGCCUCUCAUCGAUACCUUUACCGAAACAUGUGCAACACAUUCCUCAUAUUACCGACAUAAUCAUAUCACCCUAGCCCAUCACCCAGAUGAACCAGACCUGACACAACUAUAAGCAUAGCAGGCAUAGCAAGGUAGGAAUCACAUACAUGGCUCAAUCAACUCCUACACAUGCUAGUGGGUUUCAUCUAGUUACUGUGGCAAUGACAGGUCAUGGAGAGGAUAAGGGUUCAACUACCGUAGCACACAGCAGUUUGAAUGGCGUUGUCUUAAUGCAGUAAACAAGAGCAGAGGCGAGAACAUGGGUUGUAUCGGAAUGAUCAAUGGGUUGCUUGACUGAUGGAGUGGUAGUGGGAUACUACCCUUCAGUUGGAUACUCGUGAAUAUCCUCGGAGGCAGAACCUACCACGAAGAACACAUCGGAACACAAUCAACACAUGACGAUAUGCAACACUAUGAUGCAUGCUAUGACAUGGCAUUAUGAAUGUGUCUUGGCCUAAUGCAAGCUAAAAUAGAAAGGGAUGAACUCAUUUGAAUCAAAGAUUCAAAUAUUAGCUCAUUAAACAUGGCCUUAGUAGUGCAUUUCCUUAUUCUGCUUAAACAGCAAGGUAAACUUGUUUUGUCAUACAUGAAACCAUUACAGAUGGAUGUAUUGAAUUUUUCUGAUAAUUUUUCAUAUAUAAAUUAUUUCAUUUGGAGUUACGGUUGAAUUUCUAUGAUUUUUAGAAGUUUUAAACAUUUUCUGGAAUUUCCUGAAUAAAAAUAAAUCCAGAAAAUGCAUUACUGCGUCAGUAUUGCAUCAUGCUGACCUCAGCAGGUCAAAGGCGCCAGCCCAGGUCAAAACUGACUGGUGGGCCCCUUCUGUCAGUCUCUCAGUUAAAUAAUAGGAUUAGAUUAACACUAAUUAGCUGUCAGUGGGGCCUGGGCCCACAUGUCACUGACUGAUUAAAAUAAAAUUAGUUAAAACUAAUCCUUGAUUAGUUAGCAGACCGGCCCCUCCUGUCAUAGACUCAGGGGGGUCUACCUGGGCCCACCCAGGGUCAAACUGGGUCAAACUCGCCGGCGUUGAGCCGCCGGCGAGACCCGAGACGGUGGCGCAGCUCGGAAAACGCCUACAGGGCACGAGCGAGGCCGUUCUUGGGCUCGUUGGAGAGCUCUUGCAGCCGCGCAUCUAGUGGUGGUGGGGGCCGGAGACGACGACGGCGAGCUCCAAGGCGGCGGCUGGAGUUCGGCCAUGUGCGGGGUGUGGGCUGUGGCGUGCAAACGUGGAAACUGAAGCGCUAGCGAGGCACUACGCGAUGCGGCAAGCACGUUGCAUAGCACGGGAUGAUCCAAUGGUCGCCGGAGCGGCGCCGGCGACAAGCUCGAGCCGAGACGAGCUUCGGCCAUGGUGGAACUAUGGCCUAGAGGGUGCAAACGCGUGGAAAAGAAGAGGGGAAAGGUGGCGGAGCUCACAGGGAGGUCGAUGAGCAGCUCAAUGGGCUCGGGGGUCACCGGAGUGAGGCGAAUCGAUGAGCGGCGUCCGGCGGGUACCGAGGUUGAAGACGAUCCGAUGGCGGCGAUGCAGGGACUCCGGCGAUGCGUGGCUCAGUGGGGAGGGCGAGGGCGUCACAGCGGAGCUUCUGGACAGGUCAGAGAGGCGAGGGGGUGACGGAGGGCGCGACUACGGCGGUGAGACGGCGACGGGUGCGUCGGCCAUUGCGGGAGAGGGAGAGGGAGACAAGUGGGAGAGUGAGAGAGGAUGAGAGGGGGACGUGGGGGUCGCGUGGCAUUCCCUGGACGUCUCCCAGCAUCGGCGGAAGCAGGAGGUGGCCGGCGUGUGGCCGCGGGCGCCGGCCACGCGCUCCACGUCCUUCUGGCGUGAGGAGGACGACGACUGGCAGCGCCAGUAGGCUGGGCCGAGCCAGGGGGCUGGCCAGCACAGGUAAGGCCCAGGUGGGCAUCUCCCUCUUUUUUUUAAUUUGUUUCUGUUUUCUAUUUAACUGUAACUGUUGGGCUUUAUUUAAAAUACUAAAACAUUUCCAAAAAUCCUGAAAAUAAUUGUGGGCUCUGUUUGGAUUAUUUCCAACAGCAGACAUUUAUUUCCAGAAUUAUUUGAGCAUUUAAAUGCCCAAAUUCAAAUACUUAUGAUUUAAAUCAAUGACCUUCUAUUGACCUCGAAAAGUUGUGCACCAAUUUUGCCAGAGGUUCUAACCCAAGACAAAGAGGGUGAACUUUUUAGAAGGGCAUUUCAGGUUCAUUGAAAAUAAUUUUAGUAAUCCCUAGUUGUUUCCAGGGGGGUGUUGGGGGUUUCUGCCUUCCCCAAUUCAAAUUUAAGAGGAAUUUAAACAUGAUGCACAUUCUAAUGCUUGAUCUAGCUAGGGUGUGACAACUCACCCCCACUCAAAAGAAUCUCAUCCCGAGAUUUAGGAUCCUCUGGAAAGAAGGUGGGGUACUCGAGUCGAAGACGAUCCUCCCUUUCCCAAGUGGCUUCUUUCUCGGAAUGGUGUGACCAUUGAACCAUGAGAAACUUGAUAUUAUGACGUCGAGUAGUAUGCUCGGCUUGAUCAAGGAUACGAACGGGAUAUUCCUGAUAAGAGAGGUUAUCUUGUAGAUCAAGCGUUUCGUGGUCCACUCCACGGAUAGGAUCCGCGAAGCAACGCCUGAGUUGUGAAACGUGGAAGACAUCAGGAACUCUGGAAAGAUGCGGAGGUAGUUCCAAUUGGUAGGCAACUUCUCCUUGUUUGGCAAGAAUGCGAACGGGUCCAAUGUAACGAGGAGCCAAUUUGCCUUUGAUACCGAAACGAUGGGUUCCUUUUAACGGGGUAACCCGAAGGUAAGCCUUCUCAUCGACUUCAUAAGUCAUAGAGUUAUGUUUAUGAUCAUAUUGACUCUUUUCACGAGAUUGGGCUGUUUUCAAUUUCUCACGAAUAACGCGAACCUGCUCUUCCGCUUCCUGAAUCAUAUCCGGGCCAAAGAGUUGUCUUUCCCUGGUUUCUGACCAGUUAAGGGGUGUUCGAUAUUUUCGUCCAUAGAGAACUUUGAAAGGAGCUUUGCCCAAGCUAGCUUGAUAACUAUUGUUAUAAGCAAACUCUGCGAAUGGGAGGCAUUUCUCCCAACUCAUUCUGAAUGAGAUAACAGAAGCUCAGAGCAUAUGUUCCAGAAUUUGAUUGACUCGCUCUACUUGACCACUUGACUGAGGAUGGAAGGCGGUACUAAAAGAGAGACGAGUUCCCAUAGCAUUUUGGAAACUUUCCCAAAAUCGAGAGGUGAAGAGACUCCCACGCUCUGAGUUAUUUUCCAAUGGGACACCAUGGAGAGACACUAUUCGGGAGAUGUAUAAAUCGGCUAGCUGGCUAGCAGUGAUACUCUCACGAACAGGUAGGAAAUGGGCUACUUUGGAAAGACGGUCGAUGAUGACGAAGAUGGCAUUAUUCCCUCUCUUGGUCCUGGGAAACCCAGUAAUGAAAUCCAUACUGAUUUUAUCCCAUUUCCAUUCAGGAAUAGCCAAAGGUUGAAGGGUGCCAGUAGGCCGUUGAUGCUCUGCUUUAACACGAAUACAGACGUCACAGCUAGCAAUGUAUCGAGCAAUUUCUCUCUUCAUCCUAGUACACCAAAACCUCUCGCGUAGGUCUUGAUACAUUUUUGUGCUACCGGGAUGAAUGGUGAGAGGGGAUUCAUGAGCUUCCUUAAGGAUCAAUUGGCGUAGAUGUUGUUUCUUGGGAACCACCAAACGGUUCUCAAAGAAGACAGCACCCCGCUUAUCCAUGGAAAAACAUUUAGCAACUCCGCUAGCAAUGUUUUCCUUAAUCCGGGAUAUGCCCUUAUCAUACCGCUGGGCAGUUAUGAUCUGAUCCAUAAGGUUAGGUUUCGCCACCAGGGUGGAUAGGAAUCCUCGAGGAACAAUGUGAAGAUUAAGCUUACGGAAUUCCUCAUGGAGAAGUGGUUGACUUUGUUGUAACAUCAGGUUGUUACAACAGGAUUUACGGCUUAGCGCAGCAGCCAUGACAUUGGCUUUGCCCGGUGUGUAGGUUAUUCCUAAGUCGUAAUCCGAGAUCAACUCAACCCAACGUCUUUGCCUGAGAUUCAAAUCUGGUUGGGUGAAGAUAUAUUUCAAGCUUUGGUGAUCGGUGAAGAUCUCGCAACGAUUACCGAGGAGGUAAUGUCGCGAAGUUUUAAGUGCAUGGACUACAGCUACCAGCUCUAGAUCAUAUGUGGGAUAAUUUUCCUCAUGUGGGUGUAAUUGCCAUGAAGCGUAGGCAAUUACCUGAGGAUCUUGCAUGAGUAUGCAACCUAGUCCUUGUCGCAGAUGUCAGGCGUCUUUUCAGUUCCUGAAAGCUGAACUCGCACUGUGGAGUCCACUCGAACUUUUUAUCUUUCUUGAGGAGUUCAAUUAGAGGUUUAGCAACCUUGGAGAAACUCUCGCCGAAGCGGCGGCAAUAGCUCGCUAAGCCAAGGAAGCUCCAAACUUGCUUGACCGUCUCAGGUGGAGUCCAAUCAAGGACCGCUUGAACUCGCUCGGGAUUGACGGCAAUACCCUUACCAGAGAUUACAUGGCCUAGAUAGGUUACUUCUGGCAACCAAAAUUCACACUUGGAGAACUUGGCAUAAAGGCGAUGCUCUCGAAGUUUCAUCAAUACCAGCCUUAGAUGUUCGGCAUGUUCCUCUUCAUUCUUGGAGUAGAUGAGUAUGUCAUCGAGGUAUACUACGACGAAUUUAUCCAAGUACUCCAUGAAAACCGAGUUCAUUAACCGGGAGAAGGUAGCCGGGGCAUUGGUUAAACCGAAGGACAUAACGGUGUACUCGUAUUGGCCAUAACGAGUAACAAAGGCCGUUUUGGGAAUGUCCCCGUUUCUGAUUUAGAUUUGAUGGUAGCCCAACCUCAAAUCCAUCUUGGAAAAGACUGAGGAUCCAGCGAGCUGAUCAUACAGAUCGUUGAUCCUGGGAAGUGGGUAUUUGUUCUUGAUGGUGACAAAGUUGACAGGUCGGUAAUCCACAACCAUUCGAUCUGUUCCAUCCUUCUUCUUGACGAAGAGGAUGGGGCAAGCCCAAGGAGAGGAACUAGGACGGAUGAAACCCUUUUUCAAGGACUCAUCGAGUUGGUUCUUAAGCUCGGCUAGUUCUAAGGGUGCCAUCUUGUAGGGUCUUCUAGAAAUUGGAACGGUUCCUGGAACAAGGUCUAUCACAAACUCGACAUCCCUGUCAGGUGGAACACCUGGCAGUUCUUCUGGAAAGACAUCCGGAAAGUCUCGGACUACCGGAACAUCCUCAAGGUCUGGAAGGGGGUUGGCAUUUAGGGAGUAAAGUUGGCGCUUGGCCACUCGAGUUAAGACAUUAACUGUCUUGCCCAAUGGGUGAGUAAGUUGAACGGUUCUAGUGGCACAGUCAAGCUUAGCAUAAUGAGCUGACAUCCACUCCAUACCUAAGAUGAUGUUUAUGUCCGAGGACUUGAGAGCUAUUAAGGAUACAAGGAAGACAAGUCUAUCGACAAGAAUUUCGUUCCCAUGGCUUACUCUAGAAGUUUGCCAUCUAGAGCUAGGGGUUUGAAUUUCCAUGGUAGAGGGCAUGUCACAGAAUGUCGUGUUGUGCAAUCGAGCAUAGUUCUCGGAUAUGAAUGGAUGAGAUGCUCUAGUAUCGAAAAGAACAGAUGUCGGAUGGCAGUUAACAAGGAGCGUACCAAGGACGAGGUUGGGAUCCUCAUGAGCCUCCUCGGCUGAAACAUAGUUGACAUGGCCACGUGCAGUGGUGGCUGGCUUGGCGUAGAAUGUUUUCCCCGCGGGCUUACCACGGCCAACGGACUUUCCAGUUUGAUUGGGGUUGUUGUUCUGGGGACACUCUCGGCUAUAGUGACCCGGCUCUCCACACUUAAAGCAUGUCACCACAUUGGGGCGUGGAGCAGCAUUAGCAGUAGGGCCACCAUAGGGCUUGGGCGGUGCAAAUUGCUGGUUGGGACGUGGUGCCUCAAAGGAUGGCCUCGGGAUGAACCUGGGUGGCAGUGCCGUGCUUGGAAUCCACACCCGGCGCUUCUGAGCUCUAGAGCCGGAUGAAGAGCCAAAAUCACGGGAGUGCUUGCAUGAAGCGUCAUAAUCAGUCUGGCCUUUCUCAGCACUGAUGGCUUUAUUGACCAACUUCUGAAAGGAGGUGCACUCGGGCAGACGAAGAUCGCGGUGAAGCUCAGGGCUAAGUCCCUUGCGGAACCUUGCCUGCUUCUUAGCAUCAAUAGAUACCUCUUUAGGGGCAUAACGUGCCAGAUUCCGAAAUUCACGACCGUAAGCAUCCACAGUCAGUCUUCCUUGGGUGAAGUUGCAGAACUCCUCCCUCUUGCGAUCCAUGAGACCUUCCAGAAUGUGAUGCUCACCGAAAGCCUCACAGAAUUCAGCCCAAGUAGUGAUUUGGCCGACCGGGCGCAUAGCUUCGAAGUUUUCCCACCAAAGGCUAGCAGGGCCUUCGAGGUGAUAGGCAGCAUAAGUAACCUUGUCGGCUGCGGCUGCGUUGGCAGAACGUAGCUUGUGGGUGAUGCUGUGAAGCCAGUCAUCCACAUCGAGGUACUCGACGGAAUGGUUAAACUUUGGUGGGUAUAGCUUGAUAAAGUCAUUGAUUGACACCAAUCAUUUCGUGGGUGGCGUGCAGUGUUCUGCUCAAUCCGCUCCAACAGGCGGUUGGUCUGACGCUUCUUUAUUUCCGCCUCCAGCAUUACUUCGGCCAGAGAAGGCGGGUGAGGCAGAUUUUCACCUCUAGCAGCACUGGCUUCCCCCUGCUCCAGGGCAGCAGGGUUGCUGCGGGUGUUGACCAUCCUAGGAGAAAACAAGACAACGGUUUAGACAAGGAUGUCUCAAAUUAGCAAGGAUGUGCAGAAUGUAAUGGAUAACACGGAAUGCAGAGAUGUUCAUCCGUAUGUCAUGGUAAUAUAAAACUGCCAUAUAUAUACCAACGGUCAUACACAUCAUACAUAGUUUAGUACAAGCCCAGGCUACAAUACAACUAUGAUGAAAGACGUUACAUCUCAUCGGAGGCAUUCCAAGCUCCUAUACAUUAUUGUCUACACCUCCAAAAUUGAUUACACGCAAAGUCAUAUUCCAAAAGUCACGCAGGACAGUGGAGAUACAGCUACUACAAUACUAGUGGUACUACUACUAACUCAGACAGCUCCGUAGUAGUCCUCAUAGAAGUCACCUCCAUAGCCUGGAAGUUCAACGGGACCAUCCGGGAACAGACGGUCCUGAGGAGCCUGUGGACCAUAGGGGCUAGGAUGGUGUCUUGGACCAACAAACGGUGGCCUGCGGGAACCACGGGGUGGGGUGAUGCCUCCCACAUCACGCCAAUCCACCACGUCUGGCAAAGCAGACCUCACAGGAUACAGAUCCCUUGUAUCCAUACAUCUAGCUUGCACCGCAGGUGCAAACCGAGCCAAUGUGGCCCAAUGAUCAGCACGGGUAUUAAAAAGCUCCAGCCUCAAGGCCCGAUUCUCUCGGUCCUUAUCUUCGAGCAUCUCAGCAGUGGUACGAGUUAAUGAAUCCUCCUGAGUGGAGACAGCAUAGAUAGCCUGAAGAUACCCUUGCGCUCCCGGAAGUGAAGCUGGCAUGUAUCGGAAGUCGGUGUUCCGAAGCAGGCCAGUCCGGACUCGCAUGAUGGUCAUCAUGUAAUAGGCAGCAUCCUGCACAGCAAUCUCAACAGUAACCCCGAGUCCAUAGGAAUAGUGAAGGGGCUCGGUAGAUCCAGGAUAAGAAGGAAAUAUCCUGACAGUGCAGAAAUACUGGCUUUGAUUAAAGUCUCGGAAUUGCUCUUCGACGGUGUAUUCGAGAUACCAACGGUAACCCGUCUCGAUCAUGACCCGGACUAACAUAGCAGUAUGACCGGGCACGUCGAGCCACCGGGUUAGGCGAACCACUUGGUUUUGAGCACGGUUGGCCAUCUGAAAGCACAACCACAAUGCAAAGACAUCAGAAUUUCUAGGGAAAAUUGGACAGCAUAACAGCUGUAAAUGCUCAGAAAAAGAUUUGAGACAUCCACAACAGUUCGCAAUACCACUCAAUAACAUCAUAUCAAGGUUCUGAUCCAAAUAGCAACAUACUAAAAAUAGUAGAAACUGAACUGGGGCUUGUAACAACAAUCCUAUAAGCUACUACGGAUUAGUAACACGUGAACCUGAUAGAAGAAGAGAGCCUAGUCCUUAACCCACGUUGAAUGAGAAGGGAAUGACUCAGAUAAGAGGCAUAGGGUAAAGGAGUAAAAGAGACUUACGUUCCCUCCCACAAUCAAUUCCCCUACAUAUAACUAAAGCAUUUCCAGACUCGACAUCGACCAGUUUGGCUCAACGAACCUACAAGCAGUCUGGCUCUGAUGCCAACGCUGUCAGGACCCCGAUUCCAAGCCACAUCGAUCUAGCCGGUAACACCUCAUAUCACUUUGCGGCCUCACGCACGAUAUUCCACGGGUGUCGCCUUACCAUGGCCCGGGACCGUUUGCGCCUUUUGGCUCACGUAUAUGAUAGUGUUGUUAGCAUCCAUAUGACAGAGAACCUGGGCCGACAUGGCUAGUCGUGAACCCAAAGCGGCACAGACCUAUGGAGACAGGCAUACAUGAAUCACAUCGAGCAUGUCGGUCAUCAGCGAGUGAUUCCGGGCUGUAGCACUGGGCUAACAGGACUCCGGGGAACCCGGGCUGUAGCAGGCUAGGCAGGACUCCGGAAGUCACCGCGUGACAUUUCCCCGAAGGGACAGACAUAGGAACGAAGUGAAUCACAUGCCGGCCAUUCAAGUGUCCUAAGUAGUAGUGCUGGGCUAGCAGGACUCCGGUGAACCAGGCUGUAGCGGACUACUAUGGCUCGAGGAACACUAGACUACAUUUCCCCAUAAGGAAGGCUGCCAAGGAUAAACAACUAGAUUGUUGGAUCCCACUCAUACCAAGCAUUUCAAUCAUACACACAAUAUGCCCGAUAUGAGUACAUACAACAUGGCAUCACAACAAAACUCUACAACUCAAGUACUUUAUUUAAAUGCUCCAGAGAGCCAUACAUAACAUGUUCAUACAGAUAGGGGUCACAUGACCCGACACUCAAGUCAUACAAUCAUACAAGCACAUGCGGAAGCAACCGGUCUGAGUACAGACACUAGAAAGAAAGAAGGCUCCUCGAGGCCUGUCUAUCUACAUAGGGCCCUCCAUGGCCAGGAUCACCACCUGGGUGGCUAGUCACUCGUCGAUGUCAAGGUCUACAUAGAACCCAUAGGAGGGGGCGGUGUUGUCGUCUGAAAACGGUAAUUAAGCAAACAUGAGUACAAAGGUACUCAGCAAGUCUUACAACAGAACCUACUAUACAUGCUUAUUCUCAAGAAGGUGGUGGGGAUAUUGCAGCAAGCCAGCUUUGACUCUUGGCUAAACUAUCCUACGGAACAUCUCUAGUAAAAUAGUUUUCGCACACGAGUCCACUACUCACCAACACAAUACUCCACCGGGGAUCCUCCCUCGUCAUCCUAUGAGAGGGUGUCGGGGGUGUCUGAUCCCUCGCACACCUAUGGGGAUCAGCGGACCGAGCCCCUUUUGGUUCGGUAGGGGGCGGUGGAUGCACAAAGAGUAGAUCGAGGCGAAACACAUGAGCGAGACAAUCGAUUUACCCAGGUUCGGGCCACACGGAUGCGUAAAACCCUACUCCUGCUUUGGUGGUUGUAUUGAGUUUUUUCUCGGGAGCAGCUGGCGAGACCGAGCGUGAGAAUGGCUGUCCCCCCCCUGUUGCGCAUGGGCCUCCUUUUAUAUGUCUAAGGGGUCACCGACACGUGGCAACAGAGGUAAGGGUAAAAAUGUAAAAGGGGUGGUAGUUGGCUCCACCGCCUACAUGUCGCAUCCUACCUAACUCUGACGGCAGGGGACAAGGGCAUUAAAUGCCCGUCUGUGUCACCUUGACGGCCCAGAGAGGGACCACUAGGAACGCCACCGUUUGCCACGACGGUUCCUUGUCAGCGUCUGCUUGCCAUUGCAUGCCCCCGGCUGCACAGCCUCCCGCCACGUACGCCAGGAAUGGCCCCAGGGCGACACGUUGGUGGGUGAGCUGGAGCGCGGGCUGCGGGGUAGUGGCUUGCCGCGGCAAGUGCCUUGCCGCGGGUGUUGUCUUGUCACGUCCGGGAGCUUGCCGCUCACCGGGUCUUGUCGGGGCACGCGGUGCGCCGCAGCGAGUCUCUUGAGAUGCUUUGGUUGUCUUCCCGGCAAGCUCCUCUUGCCGGGGUCUCGUCUCCUUCCCGGCAAGCUCCUCUUGCCGGGGCCUUGUUCCCUUCCCGGCAAGCUCCUCUUGCCGGGGCCUUGUUUGGAUCUUGGAUACUUUGUUCUUGAAUGGCUCCAGAGGAACCAUGGAGGGUCUUGGCGGUCGCCCGGCAAGCCUUGCCGCGGGUCGCUGCGACUACCCAUGCACAAGUUCGGGGUACUAAGGUACCCGUACUUUAGCACACCGACAGGAGCCCCCAGGCCUGGGCCAUACACGGUGCCGAGCGCUGUUGGGCCAGGCCCAAAACAGUGCAAGGGCACGCGCGGCCUGGGUCACGCCAUAACUGAUUCCGUAUCCACCGCGCUCUCCCCAAACGGCACGCGUCAAACGCGGCAUCGUGGGAGAGAUCGUGGGCGGUUUUCGAGGUGCCCACUCCCCACGAUCACGGGGUGGGGAGAGACCGCCCCAUCCGUCGCCUCGGUUCUGCACGCCUGCCACGCGGUUCCCGUGCACUUGGGGUCGCGGGCGGCGGAAGCGGGAAACGGGGCCGUCGUGGGUCGAGGGAGUGGGUCGGCCCCGGCUCCCCGCGUCUUGAUUCGCUGAGCGGGGCGGCCGAGCCCCCACCUUGCUCCUUUAUAAAGAGCGGGAGGGGAGGACGGGAGCCUGCAUCCUCCCAUCUUCUCCUUCCUUCAGCUCCUGCUCCCCUCCCCCCAUUCGCCAUGGAGAGAGGGAACCCUGGUCCUUCGUCAGUGGCGGCAAGGGUUGCCGCCAGGCAGCGCAUCCCUCCCUCUCCCGCACCCGUGGCGGCGGAGCCAGCCAUAAGGGGAAGAGGGAGGGGGCGAAGUCGUGGACGAGGCCGUGGCGCUCGGGGAAGAGGUGGGCGAGGCGGCGCGUCGGCUUCGCCUCCGCCGGCGGCUCUUCUUCCCGCGGUGGCCCAUGCCGGGGACGACCCUUGCGAGUUAUUCGUCAGGCUGCGCCGGGCGCCCCGCCGUCGCCUCUGACUCCCGGAUCCGUUUGCGGAAGUGGUGGAGUUGGACCCGCCCGAGACGCUGAGGCUGCAGAUGAGGGCUGUGGGAUCAGCGGCACGCGGGUCCGCGCCGAAUUCCCAGCCCCCGGCGUGAUUUAUCUUGGCCGAGGGUGGAAGACGUUCGCCCGCAUCCACAGCUUGACACCGGGGCUGACCCUCCACUUCAAGUUGGUGGAGGGUGAUCUCCUCUCCGUCAAGGUCUUCGGGUGCUUCAGCGUCCGGGCCCGGUGCUGCGUGGAAAGCUCCUCCGAUAGCGAAGGCUCCUCCUCGAGCAAGAGUGACGAGGAGGGAACGACAGCGGCGACGAGGGGAGCGGGCGGCAGGAUGGCGGGUCCGACUAGGUGUCGGGCGCCGCUCCGCGCGGCACCAGCAACCCCAUCAUCCGGGUCGCCGGCUCCUUGAACUCCCCGGGGGCGUCUCCUUGGGCGGCUGGCGUAGGGAGGCUGCGAAAGAGGAAGAGGGCAGGCGGCAAGGCCGUCAGGUCGGAGUACGAUGGCGUGGUGCCCUCGACAGCGUGCUGACGUCCUGCCGCCUCGUCUUCGAGCCCCCCUUCCGGCGCUGCCAUCACCAUCCAGCCUUGAAGGCCCCCGGGAUGUUCUCUUGGUGUCUUCUGGCACCCGUAGUUCCCCUAGGCACUCCUUUUGCCCUUCUCGCCUCCUUGACCUACCUCCUGAAAAGAGGGGCAGGAAAGAGAUUACGGGCAUCUUAUCUUUUUGAUUUGUAAGCCCUCGGGCCUUAGUUGCAUCUAAAACUUGUAAUCCUCUCUUUCAUGUUUUCCAUUCUCCAUGUACUGUACCUGCGUGGAAUGUUUUAAUGAAAAGGGGAUGCUUGCCAGGUUACUCGUCUCGCGGGUAGAACCCAUGCCAAGGAGCAAAUCCUUGGUAUCUCACAGAUAGACACUCCCUCCCCAGCAACAGGCCCUGCCACAUACCCACGUCGCUCGACCUUUCUCACGCUCUUGACGGAGGCAGAGACGAGGCGGGUGCGGCCCCUCGUUUCAUCCCUUUCCCGCCGCGACUGCGACCAAAGCUUGGCCCUGGGGCCCCAGGGACCAAAGCUAAGGGAGCACGGUGGCUUUCGGGAAGAAGCGAGGUUUUGUAUUCCCAGUCCAAAAGAGAAUGCACGAAGAGGGAUGAAAGACUUAUCUGAGACUGCAGCCCCCGGCAACUCUGGCUUGCCGUGGGGUGAACCUUGGUACUUGCAGCCUCCAGCAACUCUGGCUUGCCGGGGUUCGGAUGCCGGCACGUCCUUCUUCUCCCUUUCGUCCUCACGCGGUCCGACAAGGAUAUGCAAGCCCUGCGAACCAAAGGAAACAAAGGAAGGACAAAGGGACGCACACUAGACCUCUAAGUUAGGGGUUAGCUGCUGUUAGGCACUAUCAACCCUAACCGAGGACUCGACUCGACCUAGCAUGCAUGCUGUAACUCUGGGCGCCAGCGCUUCAUUAUCUUGUGCUCAAGGUCUGUGCCUGGCUUUGUACAAAGGAUUACAUGCAACAGCGUCAAGACUUGUACAAAAGGGUGGUUGCCGGACAGGGUCCGACAACCGCGCCUUACGGGUAAAACUUACAAAGAAGCUUGAUAUUCCAGGAGUUGCUCACUAGUACGCCAUCUUCGGUCUCCAGGCGGACAGUGCCAGGCCUGGUGACUCGUUUCACCCGGUAAGGGCCUUCCCACUUCGGCGUCAACUUGUUGGAAUUCUUGGCGGACUGAACGCGCCGAAGAACAAGGUCGCCUUCCUCGAGGCUCCUAGCAUUAACUUUGCGGCUAUGAUAGCGGCGCAAAGCUUGCUGGUAGCGAGCGGCUCGCACAGCAGCCUGGAGACGAUCUUCCUCAAGGAGCAGCGCGUCAUCUUGCCGCAGCUGCUCUUGCUCAAGCUCAUCAUAGCACUCGAGGUGACCCGUAUACGAGUUCCAUGGGGAUAACUGCCUCCGCUCCAUAGACUAGAGCGAAGGGUGUCUGCCCGGUGGCUCGAUUUGGCGUCGUCCUGAUCGACCAAAGAACCACCGGCAGCUCCUUGAUCCAGUUGCGUCCGCGCUUGUGCAGCCUGUCAAAUGUUCUGGUCUUGAGCCCGUGCAGCACUUCAGCAUUCGCCCUCUUAGCUUGGCCGUUGCUUCUCGGGUGAGCGACAGAAGCAAAGCAGAACUUGGCGCCAAGAUCUUGGACGUACUGCAUGAAGGCGCGGCUUGUAAAUUGUGUACCGUUGUCGGUGAUUAUCCUGUUAGGGAUUCCGAAACGGCAAACAAUCGACCUGAAGAAUUUGAUCGCGGACUGCGCCGUCACCUUCCUCACUGGUUCCACUUCCGGCCACUUUGUGAACUUGUCGAUUGCAACGUACAAGUACUCAAAGCCCCCGACGGAUCGGGGGAAGGGGCCGAGGAUAUCGAGCCCCCAGACCGAAAAUGGCCAGGAUAAAGGGAUCGUCUGGAGAGCUUGAGCUGGCUGGUGUAUCUGCUUGGAAUGGAACUGGCACGCUUCACACUUGGUUACUUGUGCAGUUGCAUCCUGGAGGGCUGUCGGCUAGAAGAAGCCUUGUCGGAAUGCUUUUCCGACAAGAGCUCUUGCGCCAAUGUGGUGACCACAUAUGCCUCCAUGUAUCUCUGCCAACAGCUUCUGUCCAUCUUCCCGAGGAAUACACUUCAAUUUCACACCGUUGAGUCUUCUUCUGCACAGUGUGUUGUCAACAAACUGGUACAUACUGGACUGCCGGGCUACUCUUUCUGCUUCUUCUGGUUCCUCGGGAAGCUCUCCUGUCUGAAGGAAACGGACGGUCUGCUACGCCCAUGUUGGAGCCUGUGGCUCGACAACAAGGACUAAAGGCACAUCUGCUGCUGUGGGAACGCCUACUUCUACGGCAGGAGCCUGCGACUCUGCCGGAGCUUGACAUUCCCCGACAAGCUUGCCGGAGCAGAGCUUGCCGGGAGUGUCUGCUGCAAUGGAACAAACCCUGGGGCUUGCCGGAGUAGACUGCUCCUCAGCACUCUUGGCGUCGAUCUUGGGGACCUUCUUGGCGGCGUCUUCGGGGAGCUUUGCCGGGAGAUAGUCACCAGAGAUCAACUUCCUCUUCUUGCUCUGUCCACUUGAUGGUGCCACGGAUGGCUGAGUUAGCUUGAGCACAAAGGUCCCUGGUUCCACAGGUAACUUAAGUGCUGCGCACUUUGACAGGCGAUCGGCAAUGUCAUUCUCAGCUCUUGGAACAUGUUCCAUUUGCAGGCUGUCAAAGCGCUCUUCCAGCUUCCUCACUUCAUCAACGUAAGCUUCUAUCAAUGGACUUUGGUAAUCUUUGUUCACUUGGCGGACGACAAGCUGCGAGUCACCCCUAACAAUGAGCUUCUUAAUCCCAAGUUCUGCCGCGAUCCUGAGACCGGCAAGCAAGCCUUCUUACUCUGCAGUAUUGUUUGUCGCUUGCUCCUUGGGAAAGUGCAUCUGGACUAUGUACUUGAGGUGCUCCCUGGUGGGUGCGACAAGCAGUACACCAGCACCGGCGCCUUGCAGCGAGAAAGCACCGUGAAAGUACAUGAGCCACUCUUUGCUUGCUUCCUUGGCGGGGAUGCUCGUCUCCGGAAUUUCUUCGUCUGGAGUUGGCGUCCACUCUGCUAUUAACUCUGCCAAUGCUCCGCUCUGGAUUGUUGAUGUACUCUCAAACUUGAGGCCAAAGCUUGACAGUUCCAGUGCCCACUCGACAAUCCUGAAUGUUGCUUCUGGAUUUUGCAAUAUCCUUUUCAGCGGAAAGCGAGUGACAACUGUGAUCUCGUGUGCUUGGAAGUAAUGACGUAGCUUUCUCGAGGCCAUGAGGAGGCCGAAAAGCAGCUUCUGCACACUAGAGUACCUUGACCUAGCCCCCUGUAAAAGGGAGCUGACAAAGUAAACUGGGUGCUGCACCAUUUUCUUCUGUAUCUCCUCUUGUAUCUGCGCAGAUCCUUGGUUGUCGGGACCAGAGCUUGUCGGGGAAGCCCCCUGCUUGUCGCUGGAUGUGCUUGCCGCGGCCGCUGGCUCGUCGUCGGCCUCCCUUUCCGCUACUAACGCAGCACUAACCACUUGAUUGGUUGCCGCUAUGUACAGGAGCAACUUCUCUUGUGGUUUAGGCGCGACAAGUGUUCGGGUGGACGACAGGUAUCUCUUCAAGUCUUGCAGCGCAGCCUCCGCUUCCGGAGUCCAUCUCAUUGGACCUGCCUUUUUCAAAAUUUGAAAAAGGGCAGGGCGCGCUCAGCAGACCAAGGGAUAAACCUGCUAAGAGCAGCUACGCAGCCGGCAAGCUUCCGUACAUCCGUGACGCGCUUUGGUGCUUCGAUCUGCUCAAUGGCCCUGAUCUUGUCGGGGUUGGCUUCGAUUCCCCGCUGAGACACGAAGAACCCGAGAAGCUUGCCGAAAGGGACUCCAAACACACACUUCUCGGGGUUGAGCUUGAGGUUGAUCUUGCGCAGAUAUGCAAAAGUCUCUUCUAAGCCUUGGAUCAGAGUUGCCCUGUCUUUGCUUUUGACCACUAUAUCAUCCAUGUAAGCUUCUACAUUUCUGUGUAUCUAUGGCUUCAAAGCAAUAUGGACUACUCUGGCAAAUGUUGAACCAGCAUUCUUUAAUCCGAAAGGCAUCCGUACGAAACAGUACGUGCCACAUCGAGUAAUGAAUGCGGUUUUCUCCUCAUCCUCUUCCGCCAUGAAGAUCUAAUGGUAUCCUGAGUAUGCAUCAAGAAAUGAAAGCAACUCACAUCCGGCCGUGGAGUCAACAAUCUGGUCAAUGCGCGGCAAGGGAAAUGGAUCUUUUGGACAAGCUUUAUUAACAUCAGUAAAGUCAAUACAAAGCCUCCAUUUCCCAUUCGCCUUGCGCACUACAACCGGAUUGGCCAACCACAUGGGAUGGAGCACCCCUCUAACGAGGCCUGCUGCUUCCAAUUUCUUGAUUUCUUCGGCUAUGAAUUCUUGGCGCUCCACCGCCUGUUUCCUGACCUUCUGCUUGACGGGCCGCGCAUGAGGACAAACUGCAAGGUGGUGCUCAAUUACCUCCCUGGGAACACCGGGGAUGUCAGACGGUUGCCAUGCAAACACGUCGACAUUCGCCCGCGGGAAAGUAACGAGUGCGCUUUCCUAUUUAGGGUCAAGCGUGGCACUGAUGGUGAAGGUACCACCAGUGCCGUCCUCCUUGGCGGGCACCUUCUUGGUAAGUGGUGGAGCGGCCAUCGUCUUCUUACUCUUGCAGCCGGAGCUCGAUGGUGCGUCCUCGACGGCAGCGCAGCACUCCGAAGAGGUGCGCCUGCCGGAGUAGGCAUCAGAGCACUCGCCGGGCUUGGUCUUCUUCUUGCCGGUGGAGCUCGAUGGUGCGUCCUCGACGGUAGCGCAGCACUCCGAAGAGGCGCGCUUGCUGGAGUGGGUACUAGAGCUCUUGCCGGACUUGGUCUUCUUCCCCCUGGGAGCUUCAGCGGCAAGUGUCUCGCGGUCUGUCGCGGCGGCAGCUUCCCGGUAGAUCUUGUCGGCGCAGAUAAGGGCGUCCUUCUUGUCGCCAGGGACAGAGAUGACGCUUAUCGGGCCCGGCAUCUUGAGCAUGUUGUAGGCAUAGUGAUAGGCUGCCAUUAACUUGGCGAGCGCGGGACGGCCAAGUAUCCCAUUGUAGGGCAAUGGGAAAUCGGCAACGUCGAAGGUGACCCUCUCAGUCCUGAAGUUCAUCUCACUGCCGAAUGUCACCGGCAGCGCGACUUUUCCCUUCGGCUUGCUCCUUCCCGGGUUAAUUCCUUGGAAUGUACCGGUUUCUUCGAGCUCACUGUCUGGGAUCUGGAGUUUCUGGAGCACAGCGGAGGAGAUCAGAUUCAGGCCGGCCCCGCCGUCAACUAGCAUCUUGGUGACCUUGAGGUUGCGGAUUGUUGGGGAAACCAACAACGGCAAGCACCCGACCGCAGUCGUGCGAUCAGGGUGGUCCUCAAUGUCAAAGAUGAUCGGCGUGCUGGACCACUUCAGAAGCUUGCGUGAUUCGACAGGUGGCUCUGCCGCAUUAACUUCCCGGAGCCACUGUUUGAGUUGGCGGUGGGAAGUGUGCAGAGAAGCGCCACCGUCAACACACAAGACUUCUGUAGCCUUCUGAAACUCCUGCUCGCUGUUCUCAACAUCAUCCAUGUCUUCGUCGUCGUCUUCGUCUUCGUCCUUAUCGCGGCCGCGAGGAGGUCUGUCUCCUUGCCGCUGCUUGGCCUUGCCACGGCUCCCUCCCGGGCCAGCGCGGUUCUUGCCGGCUUCUCCAUCGCCUCCUUGGGCUCUCUCCUUGUCGCGCCGCUCGUACUCACCUCUUUGUUGCUGGACAAGCUGCUCGACCCUCUUGCAGUUCUGGAGAUCAUGGCCCUUGGUGCGGUGGAUCUUGCAGUACUGCUUGUCGGAGCUGCCCUGCUUGUCGGCGGCCGCCACAGCCUGGCAGUUGGUACACGCGGCAACCUCUUUGCCGGAGCUGACAACUUUGGCUUGCUUGGCGGGGCCGUCAUCGCUGGACUGCUCAACGACCAGUACCUCUUUGCCGCUCUUCUUCUUGUUGGGCCUCCGGUUUUUGCUUGCCGGGGCGGCAUCCUCACUGUCAGAUAUCCCUGCUCUAGCAUCCUCUCCGGGGAGUUUCCUCCCUUCUUCAGCGCGUGCGCACUUGUCGGCCAGGGCGUACAGCUCGCUGACGUCCUUGAUCCUGCUCAUCGCCAUCUCCUCCCGCAUCCUGCAAUUACGCAUGUUCUGAUGGAACGCGCUGAUAACCGCGGUAGGGUGGAUGUCUGGGAUGUUGCGCUGCACGCGGCUGAAUCUCUGGAUAUACUUGCGCAAAGGUUCUCCUUCCUUCUGGGCAAGCAGGUGGAGGUCACUCUCUUGGCCGUGUGGUUUGUGGCCGCCUGUAAAGGCGCCGACAAACUGGUGGCACAAAUCCGCCCAAGAGGAUAUGGAGUUGUCCGGCAAGUGCAUGAGCUAGGAUCUGACUUCGGGCUUGAGCACGAGCGGGAAGUAGUUGGCAAGGACCUUGUCGUCUCGUCCCCGGCAGCUUGCACCGCAAUGGUGUAGAUGCUGAGGAACUCCGACGGGUGUGACUUGCCGUCGUACUUCUCCGGCACGUCUGGCUUGAAAUGCUUCUGGUUGGGCCACUGGACUUGCCGCAGCUCAUGGGUGAACGCGGGACAACCCGCCGCGUACGGCAAGUUACCUGGCUCUCCGGGUGCAUGCAUGUCAACAGAGGGCCCAGCGCACAGGUCAGAUUGACGCCGCGCUUCCCUUCGGCGCUCGAUGCAUGUUCAAGUGUCUUCUUGCUGUCUCUGAUGAAGAACUUGGCGUUGAUCGCGGUGAGCUCGCGGAUCUGACGACGCGGUGGAGUAGCCGUCGAGGUGGAUCCGGUGAGUCGGCGAUCUCGGCCUUCGGGGCGGAGAGUGCACAGUGGUUGCACCCUCACCGGUCUUGUCGCCACCGGCUCGCGCCUGGCUGACUUGCCGCGGCAGCGAUGCGCUCUGCUGCCGUGGGUUGUCACCAUUGGCGCAGCCGAUGAUGCUCUGAAUAGUGGCCCUCCAGUCAUCGAUCUUCUCUAGUGCUGGAGGGUAGUCUAGGAGCAGCUGGGCACGCGCCAACGGUUCCGUCGGAGUGGUGGGCGGCGGCAGCGAACGGUGCGAGGAGCGAGAUAUGCUCGGACUCCUAACCACGUUAGAAGGAGCAACAUCCCGUCCAAGCGACCGCGCCGCGCUCGCGCCAGCACGUUGGCGUGCCUGCUGAUCCUGAGCACUUCGGGAUCCGCCAGCUUGAUCUUGGCCCAGCAGGCGUAUGGUACAGUGGGUACCAUGACGCUACUGGUCCCGCGCCUCCUGGGAUGGGCGCGGUGCGUGUACGGACACCGAGGUCUCGGAGUGCGCGCGGUCGUCGUGGGAGGCGACCGCGCUACCGACGUGCGCCGCAGCCAGGCACUUGGACCUGGCAGUGCCAUGAGUCUCCCCGUCGGCGCCCGCCCUUCCGCCGGCGCCUACUUCACCCGCCGUUCGCUCCGGCGAUGGCGGGCUCGACGCGGACGGAGCGGCUACCUCCGAAGCCUUCUUCUUCGGCGGCAUGUUGAUGAAGACGAUGAAGAUUCGGCUCGCGCGAACGCCGGAUCAGGUUCGCACUACCUCGACGCACCCCCUACCUGGCGCGCCAAAGAUGUCGGGGGUGUCUGAUCCCUCGCACACCUAUGGGGAUCGGCGGACCAAGCCCAUUUUGGUUCGAUAGGGGGCGGUGGAUGCACAAAGAGCAGAUCAAGGCGAAACACACGAGCAAGACGAUUGAUUUACCCAGGUUCGGGCCGCACGGAUGCGUAAAACCCUACUCCUGCUUUGGUGGUUGUAUUGAGUUUUUGCUCGGGAGCGGCGAGUGCUACAGUACACUCAAGCAGCUGGCGAGACCGAGCGUGAGAAUGGCUGUCCCCCUCCCCCUGUUGCGCAUGGGCCUCCUUUUAUAUGUCUAAGGGGUCACCGAUACGUAGCAACAGAGGUAAGGGUAAAAAUGUAAAAGGGGUGGUAGUUGGCUCCACCGCCUACAUGUCGCAUCCUACCUAACUCUGAUGGCAGGGGACAAGGGCAUUAAAUGCCCGUCUGUGUCACCUUGACGGCCCAGAGAGGGACCGCUAGGAACGCCACUGUUUGCCACAACGGUUCCUUGUCAGCGUCUGCUUGCCACCGCAUGCCCCCGGCUGCACAGCCUCCCGCCACGUACGCCAGGAAUGGCCCCAGGGUGACACGUUGGUGCGUGAGCUGGAGCGCGGGCUGCGGGGUAGUGGCUUGCCGCGGUAAGUGCCUUGCCGCGGGUGUUGUCUUGUCGCGUUCGGGAGCUUGCCGCUCACUGGGUCUUGUCGGGGCGUGCGGUGCGCCGCAGCGAGUCUCUUGAGAUGCUUUGGUUGUCUUCCCGGCAAGCUCCUCUUGCCGGGGUCUCGUCUCCUUCCCGACAAGCUCCUCUUACCGGGGCCUUGUUCCCUUCCCGGCAAGCUCCUCUUGCAGGGGCCUUGUUUUUCUCUUGGAUACUUUGUACUUGAAUGGCUCCAGAGGAACCAUGGAGGGUCUUGGCGGUCGCCCGGCAAGCCUUGCCGCGGGUCGCUGCGACUGCCCGUGCACAAGUUCGGGGUACUAAGGUACCCCUACUUUAGUACACCAACAGAGGGCCAUCCUCGGUACUCACACUUAUCUUGAGUAUUUAGUAGUAUCCAUUUACUUGUCUAUGAACUGUAUAGGCAACCAAGUAGUCCUUUACCGCGGACGUGGCUAUUCGAAUAGUUUUAUACCCUGCAGGGGUGUACUUCGUCAUACACGCUUUCACCACUUAUCGCCGUUUACACGACAUGUACUCGGCAACCUUCAAGCGGAAGCCCAGCGAGGGUGUCGGCCACGGCCUACCUAAACACUUAAGUCUCUAGUCCAGGUUUAUCGCCUAUCCAGGUUCCAUCGGCAGGGAGUGCGGCCGAGGUUUCCACAUACGGCCCCGAACGAUGUGAACAGGGUUCCGAGAUGCCAAACGGGCGCCCGGCAUACCCGGCCAGGUGUAUCUACCGCAACAUAGCCCACCCCUAGGGUCAGCGCUACGCACGGCCGCCAACACAUAACCUACAAACCCAGAAACUAUAUGCAACUCCUGGACAGAGUACAAGGGUGAUUAAGAAGCCGAGAGGGUCAAUUAAGGAUCCCAAUGCGUGGUAGUAGCUGAAUCUUAAAUCAACAUACAGAUCUCAGUUCUUAGGGACGGUCUCAAUGAAACAACCCACCAUGUACUCCUACAUGGCCUCUCAUCGAUACCUUUACCAAAACAUGUUCAACACAUUCCUCAUAUUACCGACAUAAUCAUAUCACCCUAGCCCAUCACCCAGAUGAACCAGACCUGACACAACUCUAAGCAUAGCAGGCAUAGCAAGGUAGGAAUCACAUACAUGGCUCAAUCAAAUCAUACACAUGCUAGUGGGUUUCAUCUAGUUAUUGUGGCAAUGACAGGCCAUGUAGAGGAUAAGGGUUCAACUACCGUAGCACACAACAGUUUGAAUCGCGUUGUCUUAAUGAAGUAAACAAGAGCAGAGGCGAGAACAUGGGUUGUAUCGGAAUGAUCAAUGGGUUGCUUGCUUGAUGGAGUGGUAGUGGGAUACUGCCCUUCAGUUGGAUACUCGUGAAUAUCCUCGGAGGUAGAACCUACCACGAAGAACACAUCGGAACACAAUCAACACAUGACGAUAUGCAACAAUAUGAUGCAUGCUAUGACGUGUCUUGGCCUAAUGCAAGCUAAAAUAGAAAGGGAUGAACUCAUUUGAAUCAAAGAUUCAAAUAUUAGCUCACUAAACAUGGCCUUAGUAGUGCAUUUCCUUAUUCUGCUUAAACAGCAAGGUAAACUUGUUUUGUCAUGCAUGAAACCAUUACAGAUGGAUAGAUUGAAUUUUUCUGAUAAUUUUUCAUAUAUAAAUUAUUUCAUUUGGAGUUACGGUUGAAUUUCUAUGAUUUCUAGAAGUUUUAAACAUUUUCUGGAAAUUCCUGAAUAAAAAUAAAUCCAGAAAAUGCAUUACUACGUCAGCAUUGCGUCAUGCUGGCCUCGGCAGGUCAAAGGCGCCAGCCCAGGUCAAACCUGACUGGUGGGCCCCUUCUGUCAGUCUCUCAGUUAAAUAACAGGAUUAGAUUAACACUAAUUAGCUGUCAGUGGGGCCUGGGCCCACAUGUCAGUGACUAAUUAAAAUCAAAUUAGUUAAAACUAAACCUAGAUUAGUUAGCAGACUGGCCCCACCUGUCAUAGACUCAGGGGGGGUCUACCUGGGCCCACCCAGGGUCAAACUCGCCGGCGUUGAGCCGCCGGCGAGACCCGAGACGGUGGCGCAGCUCGAAAAACGCCUACAGGGCACGAGCGAGGCCGUUCAUGGGCUCGUUGGAGAGCUCUUGCAGUCGCGCAUCUAGUGGUGGUGGUGGCCGGGCCUACGGUGGCCGGAGACGACGACGGCGAGCUCCAAGGCGGCGGCCGGAGUUCGGCCAUGUGCGGGGUGUGGGCUGUGGCGUGCAAACGUGGAAACUGAGGCACUAGCGAGGCACUACGCGAUGCGGCAAGCACGUUGCGUAGCACGGGAUGACCAAAUGGUCGCCGGAGCGGCGCCGGCGACAAGCUCGAGCGGAGACGAGCUUCGGCCAUGGUGGCACUAUGGCCUAGAGGGUGCAAACGCGUGGAAAAGAAGAGGGGAAAGGUGGCGGAGCUCACAGGCAGGUCGAUGAGCAGCUCAGUGGGCUCGGGGGCGACCGGAGUGAGGCGAAUCGAUGAGCGGCGUCCGGCGGGUACCGAGGUUGAAGACAAUCCGAUGGCGGCGAUGCAGGGCCUCCGGCGAUGCGUGGCUCGGUGGGGAGGGCGGGGGCGUCACGGCGCAGCUUCUGGACAGGUCAGAGAGGCGAGGGGGUGACGGAGGGCGCGACUACGGCGGUGAGACGGCGAUUAGAAAGAAAGAUUUGGUUCACUCGUACGUGAAAAAAGGAACAAGCGCUUGAUGCCUUCCUUUGCAUCGAUGCCAGACGCGGUGCUGGGAAUCGACAAGAUAACCGCCAAUCUACCAGGAUUAAAUUCCUAGCGCCUCCUUCUAGCGCCUCCCACUGAAAAUGCCCUAACGAUUUUUGAGGGAUUUUUUUACUGUGUCCUACUUCACGAAUCACGAGGCAAAUCAAGUAGGCGGCAUGGCCUGGCCGGUGAGUGCCAUUGCACUUACUUGCCCCAGCAAUUUUCCGCGUGCAUUGUAGAAUUCUUUCUCCGAGUCCUGUGAAUUAAAGAUGGUGCAGACAAAAGUAUAUCCUGUAUGCGUACAUGUGCAUGAUCAGAACAUGUUUUUACGUGCGUCUACUAUAAAUCAUGACCAUUUUUAACACAAAUCAUGACCAUUCAUGAUUAGUGAAUCAUACUGUCUUAACUUAUGUGAAAUCAUGUGGAGUAAUAUAAUAUAAUAUAAUAGAUAGAUAGAUCCAUGUUGUAUUAUUUUUUGUUUACAAAAAAUAUCUGUCAUUACACAUUUUGAUUUAUGCAUUUGUUUACAAAAAAAACAGUAACAUUUCAUGGUGGAAAGUUUGUAUUGUUUCAUACUGAACACCAAUGUUUUCCUGUAAAAGAAAAUAAUGCCUACGCAUAUGCUUUUAUAUUAUUAUUAUUCUUUCAAACUUAUUCAUACAGUAUUUUUGAUUGUGCAACCAUAAUUUUUAUUGUCUCUCUCGUUCCACUACAUGCUCUUACUCAAUGAUUUUUUUUAUAACGGGUGUUUUUAUUAACUCAAAAUAUAGUAUCAAGCGGAUACAAAACAUAAUGAGCCACACCUGGUCUCUGCAUAACUAAGAUGCAUACAGCUAAAAGCAGAUGUCUGACAAAAAUAAGAUAAGAAAAUCGACAUAUCGACAACAGUGAGUCAUAUAGUUCCGACACUAUGCCUCUGUUGAAGGACGGGGUGGAGCGAUCUGAAGAUUAUGCUGCCCUCCAUGUUGAGUAAAUACCUCCCUGGCCACUUGUUCCAACCGCAUAGACGCCGCCACGAAUAAUGGUCGGUACUCUGUUCGGUGUAGCAUACACCAUGUAGGAAGUGAGUGCUCACUUCUAGUUACUAAAUUAUGUACACACUAAUAGAAAAAGGGCCAUUUGUCCCGGUUCGUAAGGCCCAUUUGUCCCAGUUGGGGAACCGGGACUAAAGGGUCGGUACUAAAGCCCUACACAUUUAGUCCCGGUUCUUACACCAUCCGAGACAGAUGGGGCUCCACGUGGCCGCUACAGCUUGCCGUGGCAGGGGGGCCUUUUGUCCCGGUUGGUAGCACCAACCGGGACCAAUAAGCUACCACGCGUCAGCAUUUGAGGGCUAGGUUUUUUGUUUUUUUUCNNNNNNNNNNNNNNNNNNNNNNNNNNNNNNNNNNNNNNNNNNNNNNNNNNNNNNNNNNNNNNNNNNNNNNNNNNNNNNNNNNNNNNNNNNNNNNNNNNNNNNNNNNNNNNNNNNNNNNNNNNNNNNNNNNNNNNNNNNNNNNNNNNNNNNNNNNNNNNNNNNNNNNNNNNNNNNNNNNNNNNNNNNNNNNNNNNNNNNNNNNNNNNNNNNNNNNNNNNNNNNNNNNNNNNNNNNNNNNNNNNNNNNNNNNNNNNNNNNNNNNNNNNNNNNNNNNNNNNNNNNNNNNNNNNNNNNNNNNNNNNNNNNNNNCAAAUGAAGUAAACCAUUAAGUACAGAAGUUCGUCAUGAACAUAUGCAUACAAACAUAAGUGAUAUCGACCUCUCCUUCUCCGACAGAUAGGUCGAACAACAAGUUUCCGUAUAUCUAUCCGGCGCUACUAGCUACAUAUAUACAAUAUUAAGAUCUCUUACAAUAUAAUCCCCUAAUUAUAAAUGAACUCAGCUUCGAGAUGGUAUUCUCCGGCUUUAUUGAUGACGUGGUCAAGAAAGAAUCCCUCCAAUUCCUCUUGAAUUGCUUUGAUGCGAUCUUGUGGUAGGAGUUCAUCCCGCAUCUGCCACAUCUAAUUUGAAGAAGGGGGUCAAUCACCAGUAGAAUAACAGCCAUUUGUCCUGGUUCAUAAGGUUAAUUUGUCCCGGUUGGGGAACCGAGACUAAAGGGUCGUUACUAAAGCCCUACACCUUUAGUCCUGGUUCUUACACCAACUGGGACAGAUGGGCCUCCAUGUGGCUGCUGCGGCGAGCCCAGGCCGGAGGUCCUUUGGUCCCGGUUAGUGGCACUGAUACGUCUCCAACGUAUCUAUAAUUUUUGAUUGCUCCAUGCUAUUAUGUUAUCUAUUUUGGAUGUUAAUGGGCUUUAUUUUACACCUUUAUAUCAUUUUUGGGACUAACCUACUAAUCGGAGGCCCAACCCAAAUUGCUGUUUUCUGCCUAUUUUAGGUUUUCGAAGAAAAGGAAUAUCAAACGGAGUCCAAACGGAAUGAAACCUUCGAGAACGUGAUUUUCUCAACGAACAUGAUUCAGGAGACUUGGAGUGUGCGCCAAGAAACAAGGGAGGAAGGCACGAGGCAGGGGGGGCGCGGCUACCCUCUUGGGCACGCCCUCCACCCUCGUGGGCCCUCCGCUGCUCCACCGACGUACUUCUUCCUCCUAUAUAUAUCCACGUACCCCCAAACAUCCAGGAGCACCACGAAAACCUAAUUCCACCGCUGCAACCUUCUGUACCCAAGAGAACCCAUCUUGGGGCCUUUUCUGGAGGUCCACCGGAGGGGGCAUCGAUCAGGGAGGGCCUCUACAUCAACUCCAUGGCCUCUCCGGUAAUGUGUGAGUAGUUUACUUCAGACCUACGGGUCUAUAGUUAUUAGCUAGAUGGCUUCUUCUUCUCUCUUUGGAUCUCAAUAAAAAGUUCUCCUCGAUUUUCUUGGAGAUCUAUUCGAUGUAACCUUCUUUUGCAGUGUGUUUGUCGAGAUCCGAUGAAUUGUGGGUUUAUGAUCCAGAUUAUCUAUGAACAAUAUUUGAUUCUCCUAUGAAUUCUAUUAUGUAUGACUGGUUUAUCUUUGCAAGUCUCUUCGAAUUAUCAGUUCGGUUUGGCCUACUAGAUUGAUUUCUUGCAAUGGGAGAAGUGCUUAGCUUUGGGUUCAAUCUUGUGGUGUUUGAUCCCAGUGACAGAAAGGGAACCAAUACGUAUUGUAUUGUUGCCAUCGAGGAUAAAAAGAUGGGGUUUAUAUCAUAUCGCAUGAGUUUAUCCCUCUACAUCAUGUCAUCUUCCUUAAAGCAUUACUAUGUUCUCUUGAACUUAAUACUCUAGAUGCAUGCUAGAUAGCGGUCCAUGUGUCGAGUAAUAGUAGUAGAUGCAGAAUCGUUUCGGUCUACUUGUCUAGGACGUGAUGCCUAUAUACAUGAUCAUACCUAGAUAUUCUCAUAACUAUGCUCAAUUCUGUACAAUAUGGUGCACGGGGUUACAUCGGCCUGUAAAGACAUUUAUGCGAUGUGAGACAUCCGAAAAGCAACGAAAACGGGAGAUUAUACAUUUAUUGAAGAGGGCCGGUGUGACAGAUACCGUGAGGGCGUCGAGCUCAGCCAAAGACGACGGACAGCUGAGCACGGCCUGUGUCAGAGCCGGUGCGGGAGCAAGUGCAGGUGCAGGUGCUGGUGCAACGCUAGUCGAGCUGCUCCUGAAGAAGUCAACAAUGGGAAAGUCCGCUGCAUUUUUUCUGCAUUUUGCGUGCUCCAAUUGAAAAUGGCUGGAACCAAGACAGUAGACAUAUCUGCAACCACCUGUUUUCCAGCAGCUACCGCUGUCGCGACUGUCUCAGAUGAUUUCUUCUCAACCGCAAUCUCAACCUUCUUGUCGAUGUUUUAUUCGGUUAACCUCCAUCUUUCCUUUCUCUCCUCUGUGGUCUCACGGUAGUACUUCUUCCACGUGGCCCCGUCUCCGACACCGUGAACGCGUCCAUACGACGACCGAGUCUCCACCGGGAGUCCUUUCAAUAUGUUCAAUGCCCGGUUGAAUGGAGUGUCCCACUUGGGCCUUGCCAAUGCCUCAGACGGCGAGUCGCUUUCGGCCGCAAUCUUGUGCUGCUCUCUUUACAAAAGGAACACGGAUCAUUUACAAAUAUGACUAAACGUGCAGUCAAAUUGAUCAGAAACUAAAAUUACCGGCAGUCUCAUGAACUCCGUCGUGAUCGGGUCCGUCUUGAAAACCUUCUUGACUUAGUCCCAAUGGUGCCGUGCCUUGAGGACGUCAUCCUCCUACGGGAUGGUGAAGUCCGCCAAGGGGUCUGGGAUGCCAGAUUUUCGCAUUCCGUGUCCUCCUUGGCCCAUAUGGACCUCUUCCUGCCGUAACCACUGCUUCCGAGGUGGUGGCGCCCCAUGUUCCUUUGUGGAAGCCCCUUCAUGUACUUCGACUUUGUUUUGGCAGCUUCGGCCUCGCAAGCCGCCUUGAAUAUUUCAAAGUGCUCUCCCAUGAUUGUCAGAUUAUCCUUUACAAUCUCGGAGUAGGGUUGAUACGUCUCCAACGUAUCUAUUAUUUUUGAUUGCUCCAUGCUAUAUUAUCUCCUAUUUUGGACAAUAUUGGGCUUUAUAAUCGACUUUUAUAUUAUUUUUGGGACUAACCUAUUAACCGGAGGCCCAGCCUAGAAUUGUUGUCUUUUGCCUGUUUUAGGGUUUCGAAGAAAAGGAAUAUCAAACGGAGUCCAAACGGAAUGAAACCUUCGGGAACGUGAUUUUCUGAACGAACAAGACCCAGGAGACUUGGACCCUAUGUCAAGACACAAAAGAGGAGGACACGAGGUAGGGGGCGCACCUACCCCCCCCCCCCCCUCGAGGCACGCCCUCCACCCUCGUGGGGCCCCUGUUGCUCCACCGAUGUACUCCUUCCUCCUAUAUAUACCUACGUACCCCCAAACGAUCAGAUACAGAGCCAAAACCCUAAUUCCACUACCGCAACUUUCUGUAUCCACGUGAUCCCAUCUUGGGGCCUGUUCCGGAGCUCCGCCAGAGGGGGCAUCGAUCACGGUGGGCUUCUACAUCAACACCAUAGCCUCUCCGAUGAAGUGUGAGUAGUUCACCUCAGACGUACGGGUCCAUAGUUAUUACCUAGAUGGCUUCUUCUCUCUUUUUGGAUCUCAAUACAAUGUUCUCCCCCUCUCUUGUGGAGAACUAUUCGAUGUAAUCUUCUUUUUGCGGUGUGUUUAUUGAGACCGAUGAAUUGUGGGUUUAUGAUGAAGUCUAUCUAUGAAUAAUAUUUGAAUCUUCUCUGAAUUCUUUUAUGUAUGAUUGUUUAUCUUUGCAAGUCUCUUUGAAUUAUCAGUUUGGUUUGGCCUACUAGAUUGAUCUUUCUUACAAUGGGAGAAGUACUUAGCUUCGGGUUCAAUCUUGCGGUGUCCUUUCCCAAUGACAGUAGGGGCAGCAAGGCAUGUAUUGUAUUGUUGCCAUCGAGGACAACAAGAUGGGGUUUUCAUCAUAUUGCAUGAGUCUAUCCCUCUACAUCAUGUCAUCUUGCUUAAGGCGUUACUCUGUUUUUAACUUAAUACUCUAGAUGCAUGCUGGAUAGCGGUCGAUGAGUGGAGUAAUAGUAGUAGAUGCAGGGAGGAGUCGGUCUACUUGUCUCAAACGUGAUGCCUAUAUACAUGAUCAUACCUAGAUAUUCUCAUAACUAUGCUCAAUUCUGUCAAUUGCUCAACAGUAAUUUGUUCACCCACCAUAGAAUAAUUAUGCUCUUGAGAGAAGCCACUAGUGAAACCUAUGGCCCCUGGGUCUAUCUUUAUCAUAUUAAUCUCCUAUUACUUAGUUAUUUCCUUUGCUUUUUCCUUUGCCUUUAUUUUACUUUUCAUCUUUAUCACAAAAAUACCAAACAUAUUAUCUUUAUCAUACCUAUCAGAUCUCACUCUCGUAAGUGGCUGUGUAGGGAUUGACAACCCCUAUUCGCGUUGGUUGCGAGGAUUUAUUUCUUUUGUGCAAGUACGAGGGACUCGCGCGUAGCCUCCUACUGGAUUGAUACCUUGGUUCUCAAAAACUGAGGGAAAUACUUACGCUACUUUGCUGCAUCAUCCCUUCCUCUUCGGGGAAAACCAACGUAGUUCUCAAGAGCUGGCAAGAUGGAUUUCUGGCGCCGUUGCCGCGGAGGUCUACGCAAAAGUCAACAUACCAAGUACCCAUCACAUACCCUUAUCUCCCUCAUUACAUUAUUUGCCAUUUGCUUCUCGUUUUCCUCUUCCCCACUUCACCCUUGCCUUUUUAUUCGCCCUCUCUCUCUAUCCUCCCUCUCUUUCUCUAUUUGCCUCUUUUUCCCUACUUGCUUUCUGUUUGCUUGUGUGUUAGUUGCUUGCUUGUCACGAUGGCUCAAGAUAAUACUAAAUUACGUGACUUCACCAAUACCAACAACAAUGAUUUUAUUAGCACUCCGAUUUCUCCUCUUACCGAUGCUGAAUCUUGAGAAAUUAAUACUGCUUUGCUGAAUCUUGUCAUGAAAGAUCUGUUUUCCUGCCUUCCUAGUGAAGAUGCCGCUACCCACAUAAAUAGAUUCGUUGAUUUGUGUGACAUGCAAAAGAAGAAAGGUGUGGAUAAUGAUAUUGUUAAAUUGAAGCUAUUUCCUUUUUCGCUUAGAGAUCGUGCUAAAGCUUGGUUUUCGUCUUUGCCUAAAAAUAGUAUUGAUUCAUGGAAUAAGUGCAAAGAUGCUUUUAUCUCUAAGUAUUUUCCUCCUGCUAAGAUCAUCUCUCUUAGAAAUGAUAUUAUGAAUUUUAAGCAACUUGAUCAUGAACAUGUUGCACAAGCUUGGGAGAGAAUGAAACUAAUGAUACGUAAUUGACCUGCCCAUGGUUUAAAUUUGUGGAUGAUUAUACCAAAUUUUUAUGCCGGAUUGAACUUUGCUUCUAGAAAUCUUUUAGAUUAGGCCGCAGGAGGCACUAUUAUGGAAAUCACUUUAGGAGAAGCUACUAAACUCCUAGAUAAUAUUAUGGUUAAUUAUUCUCAACGGCAUACCGAAAGUUCUACUAAUAAAAAGGUGCAUGCGAUAGAAGAAAUUAAUGUUUUGAGUGGAAAGAUGGAUGAACUUCUGAAAUUAUUUGCUAAUAAGAGUAUUUCUUCUGAUCCUAAUGAUAUGCCCUUGUCUACUUUGAUUGAGAAUAAUAAUGAAUCUAUGGAUGUGGAUUUUGUUGGUAGGAACAAUUUUGGUAACAACGCGUAUAGAGGAAAUUUCAACCCUAGGCCUUAUCCUAGUAAUCUCUCUAAUAAUUAUGGUAAUUCCUACAGCAAUUCUUAUGGAAAUUAUAAUAAGAUGCAUACUGAUUUUGAAUCUAAUAUUAGAGAAUUUAUUACUUUGCAAAAGAAUUUCAAUGCUUUGAUUGAAGAAAAAUUGCUUAAGAUUGAUGAUUUGGCUAGGAACAUUGAUAGAAUUACUCUUGAUGUUGAUUCUUUGAAACUUAGAUCUAUUCCACCUAAGCAUGAUGUCAAUGAGUCUCUCAAAGCCAUGAGAAUUUCCAUUGAUGAGUGCAAAGAAAGAACCACUAGGAUGCGUGCUAAGAAAGAUGCCUUUAUAAGAGCGUGUUCUUCUAGUUCCUAUGAAAAUAAUGAUGAAGAUCAAAAAGUUAUUGAUGUGCUCCCUAUUAAAUCUUUGUUUUGCAAUACGAAUCUUGAUAAUCAUGGGACUGAAUAUGAUCCACCUUUACCUAGAAGGCGUUCCAAGAAUUCAGAAUUUGUUGAUCUUGAUGGUAAAACUGAUAAAGGUGGGAUUGAAGAAAUUAAAACCCUAGAUGUUGCUAAACCCACUAUUAUGGAUUUCAAGGAACUUAACUAUCAAAACUGCCCUUUGAUUGAUUGUAUAUCCUUGUUACAAUCCGUGCUAAAUUCUCCUCAUGCUUAUAGUCAAAAUAAAGCAUUUACUAAACAUAUCGUUGAUGCCUUGAUGCAAUCUUAUGAAGAAAAACUUGAAUUGGAAGUUUCUAUCCCUAUAAAGCUUUAUGAUGAGUGGGAACCAACUAUUAAAAUUAAAAUUAAAUAUCAUGAAUGCUAUGCUUUAUGUGAUUUUGUGUGCUAGUGUUUCCACGAUUCCAAAGACUUUGUGUGAUUUGUUAGGUUUCCAUGAUUUUGAUGAUUGCUCUUUAAACUUGCACCUUGCGGAUUCCACUAUUAAGAAACCUAUGGGAAGAAUUAAUGAUGUUCUUAUUGUUGCAAAUAGCAAUUAUGUUCCCGUAGAUUUUAUUGUUCUUGACAUAGAUUGCAAUCUUUCAUGUCCUAUUAUUCUUGGUAGACCUUUCCUUAGAACGACUGGUGCAAUUAUUGAUAUGAAGGAAGGAAAUAUUAGAUUCCAAUUUCCAUUAAGGAAAGGCAUGGAACACUUUCCUAGAAAGUAAAUUAAAUUACCUUAUGAAUCUAUUAUGAUAGCCACUUAUGGAUUGCCUACCAAAGAUGGCAAUACCUAGAUCUAUCCUUGCUUGUUAUGCCUAGCUAGGGGCGUUAAACGAUAGCGCUUGUAGGGAGGCAACCCAAUUUUAUUUUUACUCCUUGAUUUUUGCUCCUGUUUAGUAAUAAAUAAUUUAUAUAGCCUCUGUUUUGCUUGUGUUCUUUGUGUUUAAUUAGUGUUUGUGCCAAGUAGAACCGUUAGGAAGACUUGGGGAAAGUCAUGUUACACUUGCUGUAAAAAACUGAAACUUCAGCGCUCACGAGAACUGCUGCCGUUUUUAUUUGGAAAGUGCUAUUUAGUUAAUUAUUUUUUCAGAUAAAUUCCUCACAUCCAGAAAUUUAUUUUAGAAUUUUUGGGGUUCCAGCUCUUGAGCUAGCUACAGAGUACUACCGACUGUUCUGUUUUUGAAAGAUUCUGUUUUUCGUGUGUUGUUUGCUUAUUUUGAUGAAGCUAUGGCUAGUAAAAUAUUUUAUAAACCAUAGAGAAGUUGGAAUACAGUAGGUAUAACACCAAUAUAAAUAAAUAAUGAGUUCAUUACAGUACCUUGAAGUGGUCUUUUAUUUUCUUUCGCUAACGGAGCUCAUGAGAUAUUCUACUUUAAGUUUUGUGUUGUGAAGUUUUCAAGUUUUGGGUAAAGAUUUGAUGCAUUAUGGAACAAGGAGUGACAAGAGCCUAAGCUUGGGGAUGCCCAUGGCACCCCCAAGAUAAUCUAAGUACACCUAAAAGCCAAAGCUUGGGGAUGCGCCGGAAGUCAUCCCCUCUUUCAUCUACUUCUAUCGGUAACUUUACUUGGAGCUAUAUUUUUAUUCGCCACAUGAUAUGUGUUUUGCUUGGAGCGUCUUGUAUUAUUUGAGUCUUUAUUUGUUAGUUUACCACAAUCAUCCUUGCUGUACACACCUUUUGAGAGAGUCAUACAUGACUUGGAAUUUGUUAGAAUACACUAUGUGUUUCGCUUAUAUCUUUUGAGUUAUAUAGUUUUGCUCUAGUACUUCACUUCUAUCGUUUAGAGCACGGUGGUGGAUUUGUUUUAUAGAAACUAUUGAUCUCUCAUGCUUCACUUAGAUUAUUUUGAGAUUCUUAAUAGCAUGUUAAUUUGCUUAAAAUCCUAAUAUGCUAGGUAUUCAAAGUUAGUAAAAUUUUCUUAAGAGUGUUUUGAAUACUAAGAGAAGUUUGAUGCUUGAUGAUUGUUUUGAGAUAUGGAGGUAAUAAUAUCAAAGUCAUUCUACUUGAGUAGUUGUGAAAUUGAGAAAUACUAGUGUUGAAGUUUGCAUGUCCCGUAGCACGCACGUAUGGUAAACGUUGUGUAACAAAUUUGAAACAUGAGGUGUUAUUUGAUUGUCUUCCUUGUGAGUGGCGGUCGGGGACAAGCUAUGGUCUUUUCCUACCAAUCUAUCCCCCUAGGAGCAUGCGCGUAGUACCAAGGUUUUUGAUGACUUGUAGAUUUUUGCAGUAAGUAUGUGAGUUCUUUAUGACCAAUGUUGAGUCCUUGAAUUAUACGCACUCUCACCCUUCCAUCCUUGCUAGCCUCUUCGGUACCGUGCAUUGCCCUUUCCCACAUUGAGAGUUGGAGCAAACUUCGCCAGUGCAUCCAAACCCCGUGAUAUGAUACGCUCUUUAACACAUAAACCUCCUUAUAUCUUCCUCAAAAUAGCCACCAUACCUACCUAGUAUGGCAUUUCCAUAGCCAUUCCGACAUAUAUUGCCAUGCAACUUUCCACCAUUCCGUUCAUCAUGACACAUUCAUCAUUGUCAUAUUGCUUAGCAUAAUCAUGUUGUUGACAUAGUAUUUGUGGCAAGGCCACCGUUCAUAAUUCUUUCAUACAUGUCACUCUUGGUCCAUUGCAUGUCCCGGUACACCGCCGGAGGCAUUCAUAUAGAGUCCUACUUUGUUCUAGUAUCGAGUAGUAAUUAUUGAUUCGUAAAUAAAUAGAAGUGUGAUGAUCAUCAUUAAUAGAGCAUGGUCCCAAAAAGAAAAAAAGGAAGUGCCAAAAAAGGCCAAAUAAAAAAAUAUAAAAAAGGGGGGCAAUGCUACUAUCCUUUUUUUCCACACUUGUGCUUCAAAGUAGCACCGUAAUCUUCAAGAUAGAGAGUCUCUUGAUUUGUCACUUUCAUAUACUAGUGGGAAUUUUUCAUUAUAGAACUUGGCUUGUAUAUUCCAAUAAUGGGCCUCCUCAAGUGCCCUAGGUCUUCGUGAGCAAGCAAGUUGGAUGCACACCCACUUAGUUUCUUUUGUUGAGCUCUCAUACAUUUAUAGCUCUAGUGCAUCCGUUGCAUGGCAAUCCCUACUCAUUGCAUUAACAUCAAUUAAUGGGCAUCUCCAUAGCCCAUUGAUUAGCCUCGUUGAUGUGAGACUUUCUCCUUUUUGUCUUCUCCACAUAACCCCACUCAUUAUAUUCUAUUCCACCCAUAGUGUUAUGUCCAUGGCUUGCAAUCAUAUAUUGCAUGAAAGUUUAUAGGUUUGAGAUCACUAAAGUAUGAAACAAUUGCUUGGCUUGUCAUCGGGGUUGUGCAUGAUGAGAGCAUUCUUGUGUGACGAAAAUGAAGCAUGACUAAACUAUAUGAUUUUGUAGGGCUGAACUUUCUUUGGCCGUGUUAUUUUGAGAAGACAUAAUUGCUCAGUUAGUAUGCUUGAAGUAUUAUAAUUUUAUGUCAAUAUGAACUUUUGUCUUGAAUGUUUCAGAUCUGAAUAUUCAUACCACAAUUAAAAAGAAUUACAUUAAAAUCAUGCCAUGUAGCACUCCGCAUCAAAAAUUCUGUUUUUAUCAUUUACCUACUCGAGGACGAGCAGGAAUUAAGCUUGGUGAUGCUUGAUACGUCUCCAACGUAUCUAUAAUUUUUGAUUGCUCCAUGUAUAUUAUCUAUUGUUUUGGACAAUAUUGGGCUUUAUUAUCCACUUUUAUAUUAUUUUUGGGACUAACCUAUUAACCGGAGGCCCAGCCCAGAAUUGUUGUUUUUUGCCUGUUUUAGGGUUUCGAAGAAAAGGAAUAUCAAACGGAGUCCAAACGGAAUGAAACCUUCGGGAACGUGAUUUUCUCAACGAACAAGACCUAGGAGACUUGGACCCUCCAUCAAGACAUAAAAGAGGAGGCCACGAGGUAGGGGGCGUGCCUACCCCCCCCCCCCCCGGCGCGCCCUCCACCCUCGUGGGCCCCCCUGUUGCUCCACCGACGUACUCCUUCCUCCUAUAUAUACCUACUAUUGGGGAACGUAGCAGAAUUUUAAAAUUUUCUAUGCAAGAUCAAUCUAUGGAGUCAUCUAGCAACGAGGGAGAGAGGAGUGCAUCUACAUACCCUUGUAGAUCGCGCGCGGAAGCGUUCAAGAGAACGGGGUUGAUGGAGUCGUACUCGUCGUGAUCCAAAUCACCGAUGACCAAGUGCCGAACGGAUAGCACCUCCGCGUUCAACACACGUACGGUUGGGAAGACGUCUCCUCCUUCUUGAUCCAGCAAGGGGGAAGGAGAGGUUGAUGAAGAUCCAGCAGCACGAUGGCAUGGUGGUGGAUGCAGCAGGAUCCCGGCAGGGCUUCGCCAAGUGCAAGCGGGGAGGAGAGGUGUUACGGAAGGAGAGGGAGGCGCCAAGAGAAAGGGUGCGGCUACCCUCCCUCCCCCCCUCUUUAUAUAGGGGCCUUGGGGGGCGCCGGCCCUAGGAGAUGGAUCUCCAAGGGGGGCGAAGGCCAAGGGGUGGCUUCCCCCCCAAGCCAAGUGGGGGGCGCCCCCACCCCUAGGGUUUCCCAACCCUAGGUGCAGGGGAGGCCCAAGGGGGGCGCACCAGCCCACUAGGGGCUGGUUCUGCUCCCAAUUCAGCCCAUGGGGCCCUCCGGGAUGGGUGGCCCCACCCGGUGGACCCCCGGGACCCUUCCGGUGGUCCUGGUACUAUACCGGUGACCCCCGAAACCUUUCCGAUGGCCGAAACUGUACUUCCUAUAUAUAAAUCUUUACCUCCGGACCAUUCCGGAACUCCUCGUGAUGUCCGGGAUCUCCUCCGGGACUCCGAACAUAUCCUGGGUUACUACAUACUAAUAUCUCUACAACCCUAGCGUCACCGAACCUUAAGUGUGUAGACCCUACGGGUUCGGGAGACAUGCAGACAUGACCGAGACGCCUCUCCGGUCAAUAACCAACAGCGGGAUCUGGAUACCCAUGUUGGCUUCCACAUGCUCCAUGAUGAUCUCAUCGGAUGAACCACGAUGUCGAGGAUUCAAUCAAUCUGUAUACAAUUCCCUCUGUCAAUCGGUAGGUUACUUGCCCGAGACUCGAUCGUCGGUAUCCCAAUACCUCGUUCAAUCUCGUUACCAGCAAGUCACUUUACUCGUGCCGUAAUGCAUGAUCCCAUGAUCAACCACUUGGUCACAAUGAGCUCAUUAUGAUGAUGCAUUACCGAGUGGGCCCAGAGAUACCUCUCCGUCAUACGGAGUGACAAAUCCCAGUCUCGAUUCGUGCCAACCCAACAGACACUUUCAGAGAUACCUGUAAUGUUCCUUUAUAGUCACCCAGUUACGUUGUGACAUUUGGCACACCCAAGGCACUCCUACGGUAUCCGGGAGUUGCCCAAUCUCAUGGUCUAAGGAAAUGAUACUUGACAUUCGGAAAAGCUACAGCAAACGAACUACACGAUCUUUGAGCUAUGCUUAGGAUUGGGUCUUGUCCAUCACAUCAUUCUCCUAAUGAUGUGAACCCGUUAUCAAUAACAUCCAAUGUCCAUAGUCAGGAAACCAUGACUAUCUUUUGAUCAACGAGCUAGUCAACUAGAGGCUCACUAGGGACGUGUUGUCUUCUAUGUAUUCACACAUGUAUUACGAUUUCCGGAUAACACAAUUAUAGCAUGAACAAUAGACAAUUAUCAUGAACAAAGAAAUAUAAUAAUAACCAUUUUAUUAUUGCCUCUAGGGCAUAUUUCCAACAGUCUCCCACUUGCACUAGAGUCAAUGUCUAGUUACAUUGUGAUGAAUCGAACACCCUUGAAGUUCUGGAGUUGAUCAUAUUUUUCUCUAGGGAGAGGUUUAGUCAAUGGAUCUGCCACAUUCAGGUCCGUAUGUACUUUACAAAUCUCUAUGUCUCCAUUUUGAACAACUUCACGAAUGGAGUUGAAGUGACGCUUGAUAUGCCUGGUCUUCCUGUGAAACCUGGGCUCCUUGGCAAGUGCAAUAGCUCCAGUGUUGUCACAGAAUAGAGUCAUCGGGCACGGUGCAUUGGGUAUGACUCCUAGGUCGGUAAUGAACUCCUUCACCCAGACUGCUUCUUGUCCUGCCUCCGAGGCUACCAUGUACUCCGCUUCACAUGUAGAUCCCGCCACAACGCUUUGCUUGCAACUCCACCAGCUUAUUGCCCCACCAUUCAAAAUAUACACGUAUCCGGUUUCCGACUUAGAGUCAUCCAGAUCUGUGUCGAAGCUAGCAUCGACGUAACCCUUUACGACGAGCUCUUCGUCACCUACAUAAACGAGAAACAUAUCCUUACUCCUUUUUAGGUACUUGAGGAUAUUCUUGACCGCUGUCCAUGUUAGGGAACGUUGUAAUUUCAAAAAAAUUCCUACGCACACGCAAGAUCAUGGUGAUGCAUAGCAACGAGGGGAGAGUCUGAUCUACGUACCCUUGUAGAUCGCAACGGAAGCGUUGACACAACGUAGGGGAAGUAGUCGUACGUCUUCUUCCCGAUCCGACCGAUCCAAGCACCAUUACUCCGGCACCUCCGAGUUCUUAGCACACGUUCAGCUCGAUGACGAUCCUCGGGCUCCGAUCCAGCAAAGUGUCGAGGAAGAGUUCCGUCAGCACGACGGCGUGGCGACAAUCUUAAUGUACUACCGACGCAGGGCUUCGCCUAAGCACUACAACAGUAUGAUCGAGGUGGAAUUUGGUGGCAGGGGGCACCGAACACGGCUAAGGAACGAUCUCAAUGAUCAACUUGUGUGUCUAGAGGUGCCCCCUGCCCCCGUAUAUAAAGGUUGCCAGGGGGUGGGCUGGCCGGCCAAAGGAGGAGGGCGCAGGAGGAGUCCUACUCCUACCGGGAGUAGGACUCCCCCCCCCAAUCCUAUUCCUAAUAGGACUCCUCGAGAGAGAGAGAGGGAGAAGGGGGCCGGCCACCUCUCCUAGUCCUAAUAGGACUAGGGGAGGGGGGAGGCGCGCAGCCCACCUUGGGCUGCCCCUUUCGCCUUUCCACUAAGGCCCAAUAAGGCCCAUUUGGUUCCCGGGGGGUUCCGGUAACCUCCCUAUACUCCGGUAAAAUUCCCGAUUUCACCCGGAACACUUCCGAUGUCCAAACAUAGGCUUCCAAUAUAUCAAUCUUUAUGUCUCGACCAUUUCGAGACUCCUCGUCAUGUCCGUGAUCACAUCCGGGACUCCGAACAACCUUCGGUACAUCAAAAUGCAUAAACUCAUAAUAACUGUCAUCGUAACGUUAAGCGUGCGGACCCUACGGUUCGAGAACAAUGUAGACAUGACCGAGACACGUCUCCGGUCAAUAACCAAUAGCGGGACCUGGAUGCCCAUAUUUGCUCCUACAUAUUCUACAAAGAUCUUUAUCGGUCAGACCGCAUAACAACAUACGUUGUUCCCUUUGUCAUCGGUAUGUUACUUGCCCGAGAUUCGAUCGUCGGUAUCCAAUACCUAGUUCAAUCUCGUUACUGGCAAGUCUAUUUACUCGUUCCGUAAUACAUCAUCUCACAACUAACAUCUUAGUUAUAAUGCUUGCAAGGCUUCUGUGAUGUGUCUUACCGAGAGGGCCCAGAGAUACCUCUCCGACAAUCGGAGUGACAAACCCUAAUCUCGAAAUACGCCAACCCAACAUCUACCAUUGGAGACACCUGUAGUACUCCUCUAUAAUCACCCAGUUAUGUUGUGACGUUUGGUAGUACCCUAAGUGUUCCUCCGGCAAACGGGAGUUGCAUAAUCUCAUAGUCAUAGGAACAUGUAUAAGUCAUGAAGAAAGCAAUAGCAACAUACUAAACGAUUGGGUGCUAAGCUAAUGAAAUGGGUCAUGUCAAUCAGAUCAUUCAACUAAUGAUGUGACCUCGUUAAUCAAAUAACAACUCUUUGUUCAUGGUUAGGAAACGUAACCAUCUUUGAUUAACGAGCUAGUCAAGUAAAGGCAUACUAGUGACACUCUGUUUGUCUAUGUAUUCACACAUGUAUUAUGUUUCCGGUUAAUACAAUUCUAGCAUGAAUAAUAAACAUUUAUCAUGAUAUAAGGAAAUAAAUAAUAACUUUAUUAUUGCCUCUAGGGCAUAUUUCCUUCAGUCUCCCACUUGCACUAGAGUCAAUUAUCUAGAUUACACAGUAAUGAUUCUAACACCCAUGGAGCCUUGGUGCUGAUCAUGUUUUGCUCAUGGAAGAUGCUUAGUCAACGGGUCUGCAACAUACAGAUCCGUAUGUAUCUUGCAAAUCUCUAUGUCUCCCACCUGGACUAGAUCCCGGAUGGAGUUGAAGCGUCUCUUGAUGUGUUUGGUCCUUUUGUGUAAUCUGGAUUCCUUUGCUAAAGCAAUUGCACCAGUAUUGUCACAAAAGAUUUUCAUUGGACCCGAUGCACUAGGUAUGACACCUAGAUCGGAUAUGAACUCCUUCAUCCAGACUCCUUCGUUCGCUGCUUCCGAAGCAGCUAUGUACUCCGCUUCACAUGUAGAUCCCGCUACGACGCUUGUUUAGAACUGCACCAAUUGACAGCUCCACCGUUUAAAGUAAACACCUAUCCGAUUUGCAAUUUAGAAUCGUCCGGAUCAGUGUCAAAGCUUGCAUCAACGUAACCUCUUACGGUGAGCUCUUUGUCACCUCCAUAUACGAGAAACAUAUCCUUAGUCCUUUUCAGGUACUUCAGGAUGUUCUUGACCGUUGUCCAGUGAUCCACUCCUGGAUUACUUUGGUACCUCCCUGCUAAACUUAUAGCAAGGCACACAUCAGGUCUGGUACACAGCAUUGCAUACAUGAUAGAGCCUAUGGCUGAAGCAUAGGGAACAUCUUUCAUUUUCUCUCUAUCUUCUGCAGUGGUCGGGCAUUGAGUCUGACUCAACUUCACACCUUGUAACACAGGCAAGAACCCUUUCUUUGCUUGAUCCAUUUUGAACUAAUUCAAAAUCUUGUCAAGGUAUGUGCUUUGUGAAAGUCCAAUUAAGCGUCUUGAUCUAUCUCUAUAGAUCUUUAUGCCUAAUAUGUAAGCGGCUUCCCCGAGGUCUUUCAUCGAAAAACUUUUAUUCAAGUAUCCCUUUAUGCUAUCCAGAAAUUCUAUAUCAUUUCCAAUCAGCAAUAUGUCAUCCACAUAUAAUAUCAGAAAUGCUACAGAGCUCCCACUCACUUUCUUGUAAAUACAGGCUUCUCCAAAAGUCUGUAUAAAGCCAAAUGCUUUGAUCACACUAUCAAAGCGUUUAUUCAAACUCCGAGAGGCUUGCACCAGUCCAUAAAUGGAUCGCUGGAGCUUGCACACUUUGUUAGCUCCCUUUGGAUCGAUAAAACCUUCUGGUUGCAUCAUAUACAACUCUUCUUCCAGAAAUCCAUUCAGGAAUGCAGUUUUGACAUCCAUCUGCCAAAUUUCAUAAUCAUAAAAUGCGGCAAUUGCUAACAUGAUUCUGACAGACUUAAGCAUCGCUACGGGUGAGAAGGUCUCAUCGUAGUCAACCCCUUGAACUUGUCGAAAAACUUUUGCGACAAGUCGAGCUUUAUAGACAGUAAUAUUACCGUCAGCGUCAGUCUUUUUCUUGAAGAUCCAUUUAUUCUCAUUUGCUUGCCGAUCAUCAGGCAAGUCAACCAAAGUCCAUACUUUGUUCUCAUAUAUGGAUCCCAUCUCAGAUUUCAUGGCUUCAAGCCACUUUGCGGAAUCUGGGCUCACCAUCGCUUCUUCAUAGUUCGUAGGUUCAUCAUGAUCUAGUAGCAUGACUUCCAGAAUUGGAUUACCGUACCACUCUAGUGCGGAUCUCACUCUGGUUGAUCUAUGUGGUUCAGUAGUAUCUUGUCCUAAAGUUUCAUGAUCAUCAUCAUUAGCUUCCUCACUAAUUGGUAUAGGUGUCGCAGAAACAGUUUUCUGUGAUGUACUAUUUUCCAAUAAGGGAGCAGGUACAGUUACCUCGUCAAGUUCUACUUUCCUCCCACUCACUUCUUUCGAGAGAAACUCCUUCUCUAGAAAUGAUCCAUUCUUAGCAACGAAUGUCUUGCCUUCGGAUCUGUGAUAGAAGGUGUACCCAACAGUCUCCUUUGGGUAUCCUAUGAAGACACAUUUCUCCGCUUUGGGUUCGAGCUUAUCAGGUUGAAGCUUUUUCACAUAAGCAUCGCAGCCCCAAACUUUAAGAAACGACAACUUUGGUUUCUUGCCAACACUACAGGAAUCGGCUACUUUGCCAUGUGCCACGGCGGACGGCAAAGGCCCGAACGGCGGACGGCAAAGGCCUUUGCCGUCAGCGGCGGACGGCAAAAGGCUCCGGCAAAGUAGGCUUCGGUAAACAGGUUCUUUGCCGUCUACUAUUGACGGCAAAGUCUUUGCCGUCUGCGGCGGACGGCAAAGAGAGAGCAGCAGACGGCAAAGACGGCGGACGGCAAUAAUUGCGCUGUCAGUCCGUUAAGUGGCUAACGGAAGGCCUUUGCCGUCCGCCGCUGACGGCAAAAUUUCUAGGGUCUUUGCCGUCCGCCGUAUGAUGUCAUCUACACGUCACUACGUGGCAGGUUCUUUGCCGUCUGCCACUGACGGCAAAGUCUUUGCUGUCUGCCACUGUAGGCAAACUGACCAAAUGGGUCAGCUCCCAGGAAGCACAGGUGGACGCCACGUGGCUUCUUUGCCAUCCGCGGCAGACGGCAAAGAGCCCGUUGCCGUCGGUGGUAGACGGCAAAGAGCCUGCAUAUUGGCUCUUUUUUCUGUUUUUUCAUAUACCCAACCAUUUUCACAGCAAAUAGAUGAUACAUAUAUAUUUUUCACAUGGCAAGUUCACAGCAAACAUAUGAGAUAUCCAACACAUAUAAUUGCAUCAUACAUGCAUAGUUCCAUCAACCAUACAUAGCAAGUUCGACAUACAUGCAUCCAACCAUACAUAUUACAAUAGUGUCAUCCUACCAUACAUGCAUAGUUCAUAGAUACAAAGGAAACAUAGUUCAUCCAAACAAGCACUCCAUCUAUGCAAGCUUCCGUGAAGUGAAUGAAUUCUGCAAAAUGGGAAAUAAGAAAGUUAGAAGAAGAAGAUUGGAAGAAGAAGAAGUAGAAGAAGAAUAUAUAUAUAUAUAUGACAUUUAUGCGCUAAUUUAGGUGAAAUUGAUCAUUUGUGAGCUAACUUAGGUGAAAUGGAUCGUUUAUGAGCUAACCUAGGUGCAAUGGAUCGCUUAUGAGCAAACUUAAGUAAAAUGCAUCAUUUUAGAGGUAACCUAGGUAAGAUGGAUCAUUUUGGAGCUAACCUAGGUAAAAUGGGUCAUUUUAGAGCUAACUUCGGUAGAAUGGAUCAUUUAUGAGCUAGGUAAGGUUAAAUGGAUCAUUUUAGAACUAACUUAGGUAAAAUGGAUCGUUUAUGAGCUAACUUAGGUAAAAUGGAUCGUUUUUGAGCUAACUAAGGUGAAAUGAAUCGUUUUUGAGCUAACUAAGGUGAAGGGCAUCAUUUUUGAGCUAACUAAGGUGAAAUGGAUCGUUUUUGAGCUAACUAAGGUGAAAUGAAUCGUUUUUGAGCUAACUAAGGUAAAAUGGAUCGUUUUUGAGCUAACUUAGGUGAAAUGGAUCGUUUUUGAGCAAACUUAGGUGAAAUGGNNNNNNNNNNNNNNNNNNNNNNNNNNNNNNNNNNNNNNNNNNNNNNNNNNNNNNNNNNNNNNNNNNNNNNNNNNNNNNNNNNNNNNNNNNNNNNNNNNNNNNNNNNNNNNNNNNNNNNNNNNNNNNNNNNNNNNNNNNNNNNNNNNNNNNNNNNNNNNNNNNNNNNNNNNNNNNNNNNNNNNNNNNNNNNNNNNNNNNNNNNNNNNNNNNNNNNGGAUCGUUUUUGAGCUAACUAAGGUGAAAUGGAUCAUUUUUUAGCUAACUAAGGUGAAAUGGAUCGUUUUUGAGCAAACUUAGGUGAAAUGGAUCAUUUAAGAGCUAAUUUAGGUGAAAUGGAUUGUUUUUGAGCUAACUAAGGUGAAAUGGAUCGUUUUUGAGCAAACUUAGGUGAAAUGGAUCAUUUAAGAGCUAAUUUAGGUGAAAUGGAUCGUUUUUGAGCAAACUUAGGUGAAAUGGAUCAUUUAAGAGCUAAUUUAGGUGAAAUGGAUCGUUUUUAGCUAACUUAGGUGAAAUGGAUCGUUUAGGAGCUACUCUAGGUAAAUUGGGUCAUUUUAGAGCUAACUUGGAUAAACUAGAUCACUUAUAAGCUAACCUAGGUAAGAUGGGUCAUUUUGGAGCUAACUUAGGUAAAAUGGAUCGUCUAUGAGCUAACUAAGCUAAUUAUGCAAUUUUUGACAUAAGUAAGCUAAGUAUAGAUUGUUUUAGAGCUAACUUAGGUAAAAUGGAUGGUUUUGGAGGUCAGUAAGCUUAUUUAGUCAUUUUGGAGGAGAAGAAGCUAAGUCUACGUCAUUAUGGUAAGCAUUGGAGGAAAUAAAGCUAAGUCUAGGUCUUUAUGCAUGUGUUAAGCAAAACACUAGAUAAACUUACCAAGAUCCAGGAGGUGUAGGAGUGGGGUGGCUCGUGUCGGUAGCUGGAGAAGGAUCGUGCGAUGCUUGUCUGGAGUUACGCUGCACCAAAGAUCAUUUCCAAUGUCUUGUUAGCAUGAUGACACUCAAAUGUUAAGACUAGUAAGUAAUGUCCAUUCAAAUAAAACUCACCGUGGUCCCAGGAGCAAUCACUGGCAUCGGCGGAGCGGUCUGACCUGUCUUCUCGCACACAGACUGCACAUUUGGUUUUGACGACUCAGUCAUACUAGUUAGUAAUGAGACAAACACUACAUGAAUGUUUUGGCUAAUCUGCAGAUGAAACUUACCACAAGGAGCUCGUACAUGGCCCUUGCCUGCAUGUCAUUCCGUGCCCUCUCCUCCUCCACCAUCUUUGUCGUCCUCUCCUCCAACUCCCGCUGCCUCUCCGCCGCCUCCGCCAGAAGUUUCUCCGUUCUAUCUCUCUCACUCUGUAUGGCAGCCUGCAACACCACUCACAUGACAAUUUGUAAUCAUUGAUGGAAGCGCACACAAUGUAAUGGAGAAAGAUAACUGAGUAUGUAUCACUAACCUUGAUGGCGACUUGCACUGGCCGUUCACGAGGCCUUAUCUUAGGAGCGGAGCUCGACUGGCGCGCCUUGAUCUCCGAGAGAGUGCUAGGACAACGGAUAAGUCCAUCUCCAAUGGCUAUGGAGCCAUGGGACCUCCCGUCACCAGAUAUCAUCAACAGCUCUGGAUCAAUGGGACCCUGGCUCGGGUUAAAGUCCUCCCCUUUCCUCGCCUUCCCCUCAUCUCUAUAUCUCACGAGCUUGUUGUGGGAGGAGAUGUUGGUGAAGUUGUUUGCAUCAUCGAGGUCAGACUGAGAGAAAGCCUUGACUUUCUUGAAAGAGGCAGUGUGGGCCAUGGCAUACAGGUCGUACACCUCUGGCACCUUAUCCGCCUUAUUAUAGCAUGCCUGAAAGAGAGAAACAAUGAAAAUUAGUAAUUAAAGGGCUCAAGCUAGCAUGAUGAAUGAAUUGCAUGAAUCAUGAAGCAAACCACAUACCCAGUUGCGCCCGAACUGAUAUAAGUUGGAGCUGCCUUGAUGGUGUGGCACACCUUCCAUUUUUGCACGUUUGUCCUUGGCCUCCUUGUGGGGGGCUAGCCAUCGUUGUGAGCACCACUCAUCGACCAACACCUCCCAACAAUCCAUCCGAUCCGCACACCAUCUCGGAGGCGCCUAAGUUAGCAAAUAGAAACUUGAGCGCUACGGCUAAGAAUUACUAAAUGAAGGAACUUAAGUAGAGAAGGCCUUGAGAAUUACCUUCAUGUAAUGCUCCUUACUCAGGAACUUAUCGCAGCAUGCCGGCUUGGUCUUCUUGAUACCACGCAAGGCGUAGUAGUCUCGAACAGCCUGCACCCGAGCCUCGUGCCGUAAGUUCUGGAGUAGGCGCUUGCAGACGUUCUCGAUAACAUGUGCCGCGUCCUCCUCGUAUCCCUCCUCACACCUGUAGAAUGUCUGCAAUCAAAUGAGACAAUGUUGAUUAGUACAAUUAAUAACUAGCUAGUUGAAGAUUUUUAAAUGUGUAAAGGAGAAAUUACCCAGAACUUUCUGAUCACCAUGUCUGCCCUCGUGUCACACACGACACCGUCGAUAAUCUCAUUUGGCAGGGCCGGGGCAGCCACGUAGUGCUCCCAGCUCAAUCCAAGCUCUGGAAGCCGACCCUCACCAGGCAACGUGACAAACCCCGGGAAGUUUUGCCGGCAAAGAACUCCAAGGACGGAGUUGGGCCGGCGGACACUAUGAUGGUGGUCCCAACCCCUGCAGCAUGACAAGGCCAACGCAUUAGUUAUUUGAAAAAAUGUGAAUGCACAAGGUACAAAAAUAUUAAAUGCACUUACGUACCUCUCCCCAUCAGGGAAAAUCAACCACCUCUGCUCGCGGGUCACCGGCACGGACGGGAGCCGUGUAGCACCACGCUGGUAGACGGUGCCCCCCUCCUCCUCAAGAUCAGUCGGCUCCCCGCCAUCAUCAGCAUGACCACUCGGCUCCUUGGGCUGAUCCGGCCAGGUACCCCAUCCGGACGUGUGCUCCUCCGGGGUCAUGUGGGCCGAACUCUCGUGGGCUGAAGACCCGUGGACCGGAGGCUCAUGGACCGGAGUUCGUGUAGCCUCCUCCUCGGACGAGUCCACCCUAGCAGUCACGUGCUUGGGUGAAACGGUUGGGGGUGGCGGCGAGGAAGGCACCGUAGCAGUCACCCUACCUCCUCUCCCAGGACCACGUGCCCCACCUCCUCUCUUCCUACCUCGUCCCCUGCUGGGCACCAUGGUCGACGAAGAAGGGCCCGGCGGUGUGGCCAUACUGUCCAGCAACGCUCGGCGGAGAGGUGCGUCUGGAAUGGAAGACCUCAGACCACGCUCCCGACCAGUGCCCACCAUCUUUCAACACCUGCCAUGACAAACAGUAAAUGAAAUUAGUACAACAUAAAAAAGGACCGACAUGAAUAAUAAUAUGUGUAUCACUUAAGUGUAUCAUCAUCAAGUACAACAUAAAAAAAUGUAAUACCGGACACUACUAAUAAUCUCGAUCAGUAUCAUCAAUAAAUGCAUAAUCAUCAUCAUCACUAUAAUCAAUGACGGGCUCAUAGGGUUCAUUGGCAUCAACAUGUGCAAGGCCACCUUGACGUAAUCGGUCAAGCAUUGACAGGUCAUCCGCAGCAGUAACCUCUUCUUGUUCCGGCUCUUCUUGUUCCUCCUCUGGGGUGAUGUCGGAUUCAUUGUCGCUGUCUACUUCAAUGUUUUGGGGUGAAGUAUAGCGGUUCUUGAAACGCUUUUUGGAAAGACGUGUCUCUUGGAAGAAUUCUCCUUCAUAUGUGUCUGGGUUAAUGUGAGGUUCAUAAUCCUCUUCCUUUGCGGGAGAAAGUCUAGCACGUGGCGGCACUUCAUAAACGACAUCCCAACCUUUCAGAUUUGGAUUAGUUUGGCAGGCCCACGGUAGAUAGAAUACUUGGGUCGCCUGUUGAGCCAUAAUAUAGACAUCAAGAACAUCUAAACGAGUGCUUUGGUUGAUUUCAACUAGCCCUACAUGUUCAUGAGUCCUUCUAGUCUCGUUUGGCUGAAACCAAUAACAUUUGAAGACUACGACAUUUUGUGGGUUUUCACCAUAGAACAGAAGUUCAUAAAUUGCUUCAACUCUCCCAUAAUACUCGGUACCUCCUUUGCCGAUAGCAGAUACACAACAAUUUGUUGACUUUGGGUCCGCCAUAGAUAGCUCUUUGCCAUAGGUACGAAAGCGAUACCCGUUGAUGUCGUACUUGUCAAAUGAACGGACCUUAUAGUCAAAACCAUUAGCGACUUGUCUCAAUUCGGCGUCCAUAGAGUCUGGAUUAGCCUACAGGUUUAAUAUGAAAGGAUUGUUGCAUUAUGCACAAAUUAGCGAAUGAAAUGAAAUUGUCUAAUAGAAAUUACCGUUUGUUUGAACCAAGAGAUGAAACCGGGAUAGCCACCUCCUUGCUUUGCGAGAAGCUCAUACUCUUCGACAGAAUCCUUUUGGAUCUCCGCUCCAUACGAGAAUAUGGUGACGUAUCGACUGUAUGACAUAUCCAGGAAUAAGAGUAGUUCAAAGGAAAUAGAAGUUGCGAAACAAUGUAUCGAGAACUUACUCGAUGUACGGCCGCACUUCUAUCAGGUUGUUGAAGAUAUACAAUGAAAUGGUCCGCCAUUCUUUGUUAUCCAAAGAUACUGGAUGUGAAACACCAGCUGGUGCGAGAUUCCCUUUGAAUAGGCUGAGGUUGGAUCCACCCUUUUUAGGCUCGUCAGCAUUGUACCGAGGCUUCGGAUUAUGCAAAUGACGAUUUUUGGCUUCGUAGUGCGCUGUUACGAAGUUUGCCACCUCCUCUGUGAUGAAUGCCUCAGCCAUCGAUGCUUCAAUUCUACGUUUAUUUUUACAUUUUUCUCGAAGCGUGUUCUGCAUCCUCUCAGUUGGGUAGCACCAACGAUUUUGCACGGGCCCCCCCAAUCUUGCCUCGGUCGGGAGAUGCAAAAUCAAAUGCUGCAUUGGAUUAAAGAAGCCCGGUGGAAAGAUUUUCUCUAACUUGUAGAUCAACUCCGGCGCCAACUCUUCCAUUUCUUCUAGCACGCCAGGAGAUAGUUAUUUCGCACAAAGAACACGGAAGAAAUAGCUGAGUUCUGCCAGUACUAGCCAUUCAUCCUCAGGGAUGAAGCCACGCAACAUCACCGGCAUUACCCGCUCAAUCCAUAUUUGCUCCCCUCUUUAGAUUCGCUGCAUACCCAUCGGGGAACAUCAACUGCUGUUGCACCCACAAGAGAAUUUCCCUCAUAGCUGGCCUUCCAAGAUUGAACCAUGCCUUUGGCUUCGUCUAGUUCUGCUUUCCUUUCGGUUCUUUCAUGUUUUGUAACGGCCUAUCACAUAGCGCCUCCAGAUCGACUCUAGCCUUAGUAUUAUCCUUUGACUUCCCAUCCAUGCCGAACAAUGUACCAAAAAGUGCCUCGGUGAUAUUCUUCUCAGUGUGCAUCACGUCGAUGUUGUGUGGGCAAAGGAGGUCUUUGAAGUAAGGCAGAUCCCAUAAGCAUGUUUUGUGAGUCCACGCAUGCUUAGUAUUAUACCCCUUGAAGUACCCUGGACAUUGUGGAUCUGGCUCGAGAGCGUUUAACUGAUCCAGGGUCUGUUGGCCUGUCAAUGCAGGUGGUGCAGAGUUUUUGACAACUCUACCCCUGAUGAAGUUCUUCUUGUCUUCCCUGAACUUAUGGCGAGGAUCCAGGAACUGUCUAUGCAUGUCGAAGCAAGAAAACUUGCGACCGGCCUGAAGCCAACGAAACUCAAGAGCUCCCUGGCAUGUGGGGCACGGGAACCUUCCAUGCACACACCAGCCAAUGAAUAGCGCAUACGCCGGCAAGUCAUGCGUCGAGUACAUGUACUAGACACGCAUUAUGAAGUUCCGUUUGCUAAAGGCAUCGUAUGUCUUGAACCCAUUAUCCCAAGCUUCUUGCAAUUCGUCCUUAAGCGGCUGCAUGUACACAUUCAUAUUUUUGCCCGGAUAGUUGGGUCCUGGAAAUAUCAACGUUAGGAAAAUGUUCUUUCUUUGCAUAAUCUGUGCGGGGGGGAGAUUGAGUGGAAAGACAAAUACGGGCCAACAACUGUAUUGGGCUGCCAUCAUACCAAACACACUGAACCCAUCCGUGCUGAUGCCGACUCGAGAAUGCCUCGGAUCUGCCGCUUUGUCAGCAUGUAAUUCAUCAAACUUUUUCCACGCAACACCAUCCGAUGUGUGUACCAUCAUCAGAUUCCCAUCUGCAUCUAGUGCGGUUCUUUUGCCUGUUUUGUGCCAUGUCAUCUGUCUGGCCGUCUCUUUGACCAUGAAAAGACGUUGAAGUCUUGGUACAAUUGGCAUAUACCGAAGAACACUAACGGGGAUUUUGGUCUGUGUCUUCUCACCCAUACCGUUGUCUACCACAAUAUACCUGGAAGACUUGCAAAUGGGACAAUAGUUCAAGUCCGCAUAGUCAAGCCUAAAUAAGGCACAUCCUUUCUCACAGGCAUGUAUCUUCUCAUAGGGCAUCUUCAGUGCAUGGAGGAUUUUGUCCGACUGGUACAGGUUUGCAGGCAUUACAUGUCCUUUGGGUAGAAAGCGUCCAAAUACUGUCAUAAUUGCGUCAUAGCAUUCUCUACCCAAGUUGAACUGAGCCUUCAGAGCCAUUACUUGUGAGAUGGCAUCCAACUGACAAAGCUCAGUGUGCUCGCGGAGCGGACGUUUCGAAGACUCCAACAUUUCAUUGAAGGCCUUUGCAGAUUCCUCCAUCUCCUCGUCCGAAUCCCGAGCAUCAUCAUAGUCUUGCACCAUGUUUUCCAUCCCGGUACCAUGCUCGUCGGUGCGACGACGAUCCACCUCAGCUCGGUCACGUUGGGCAGACUCACCAUGAAAUGUCCAGACCGUAUAAUCGGGCGUAAAACCACUCUUCUGCAGGUGUUUGCCCAUUUCAGCCUCUCUCUUCUUUUCCCAAUUGCCGCACCGGAAAUAGGGGCACCAGGUUUUCUUUUGGCCAUUUGCAAAUGCGGCUUGCACAAACCCCUUAGUUUUUGUGAACCAUUCAGCGCUCCAUUUGUUCUGACCAGUGUGACCGGUAUACAUCCAAGCACGGUCACUCAUCUUGACUUUCAGAGCUACUGGACACACAACAAUUAUAUAUGUAAUUCACCAUGUAUAUAUUCAUCAGUUGAUCUACUGUGUCAAUUUUAUUACGUCCAUGCAACCUACACUCUAAUAGGUAAUGAUAGGUCCUAAUCCCACCCGUGUAUGUGUAGAUUGGGUUCAUUUUCCCAUGCUAUGCUCCGGAUCCGACGCAAAAUUUCGGCAGCACCUCCCCGUUAUUCUCCUGAUACACGUCUCUGCAAUAAACAGAGAGGAUGUGUACCCGGAGAACAACAGGGGAGGCACUGACGAAAUAUAUGCGUCGGAUCCGGAGCAAAGCAUAUGGGAAAACGAACCCAAUCUACACAUACUCGGGCUGUCCAUGGAUAGCGUUGGACAAUUCGAAAGAAUCAAGGUUAUAAAUAUGCAAAUGCAUGCAUAUUUAUAAAUAUGACGCUUUCGAAUGGGAGACACAUAUUGGUUACGCAUACUGAUGAUUCAAGACACAUAUAUAGCUAGCUAUCAAGUUUCAUCGGAAUAGAUCAAAUAAUUAAUGGGGGAGGAGGACUUGUCAUUUGUGCUCACCCACGAACGAAGGGCAGAGCUCGUCAAACGCACGGCGAGGUCGUCGAACACCAAACCUCGCAGCGAUGAAACAACUGCACAUUUAAAACUACACGAUCAACACAAUUAUAUAUGAUGUUUUUCAUAACUAAAUCGAAAAAUAUAUAACCUAACUAAUAAUUCACAAAUAUAUGACCCCGUCGGCCUCUGGAAGGCCGAAGAACACCUUAAUUUUCGGGAGGUGUCGGUGGUCGGGGUGCCCUGUCGGUGUCGGGGUGCCGUGUCGGGGUCGGGGUCUCGGGGUCGGGGUGUCGGGUCGGGGUGCCNNNNNNNNNNNNNNNNNNNNNNNNNNNNNNNNNNNNNNNNNNNNNNNNNNNNNNNNNNNNNNNNNNNNNNNNNNNNNNNNNNNNNNNNNNNNNNNNNNNNNNNNNNNNNNNNNNNNNNNNNNNNNNNNNNNNNNNNNNNNNNNNNNNNNNNNNNNNNNNNNNNNNNNNNNNNNNNNNNNNNNNNNNNNNNNNNNNNNNNNNNNNNNNNNNNNNNNNNNNNNNNNNNNNNNNNNNNNNNNNNNNNNNNNNNNNNNNNNNNNNNNNNNNNNNNNNNNNNNNNNNNNNNNNNNNNNNNNNNNNNNNNNNNNNNNNNNNNNNNNNNNNNNNNNNNNNNNNNNNNNNNNNNNNNNNNNNNNNNNNNNNNNNNNNNNNNNNNNNNNNNNNNNNNNNNNNNNNNNNNNNNNNNNNNNNNNNNNNNNNNNNNNNNNNNNNNNNNNNNNNNNNNNNNNNNNNNNNNNNNNNNNNNNNNNNNNNNNNNNNNNNNNNNNNNNNNNNNNNNNNNNNNNNNNNNNNNNNNNNNNNNNNNNNNNNNNNNNNNNNNNNNNNNNNNNNNNNNNNNNNNNNNNNNNNNNNNNNNNNNNNNNNNNNNNNNNNNNNNNNNNNNNNNNNNNNNNNNNNNNNNNNNNNNNNNNNNNNNNNNNNNNNNNNNNNNNNNNNNNNNNNNNNNNNNNNNNNNNNNNNNNNNNNNNNNNNNNNNNNNNNNNNNNNNNNNNNNNNNNNNNNNNNNNNNNNNNNNNNNNNNNNNNNNNNNNNNNNNNNNNNNNNNNNNNNNNNNNNNNNNNNNNNNNNNNNNNNNNNNNNNNNNNNNNNNNNNNNNNNNNNNNNNNNNNNNNNNNNNNNNNNNNNNNNNNNNNNNNNNNNNNNNNNNNNNNNNNNNNNNNNNNNNNNNNNNNNNNNNNNNNNNNNNNNNNNNNNNNNNNNNNNNNNNNNNNNNNNNNNNNNNNNNNNNNNNNNNACUAAAUCUAAACCUAAAACAAAACUAAAACUAAACCUAAAACUAAAACUAAAACUAAAUCUAAACUAAAACUAAAAAGGAAAAAAACAGAAAAAAAAUAGAAAAAAGGAGGUUGGGGCUCACCUUCUGCAGCGCCGGUGGAGGAGGGGGCGGGGCGGUGGAGGAGCUGGCUGGGGCGCGGGGCGGCCUGGGGCGGCGCGGGGCCGGGCCCGAUGCGGUGGGGCGCGGGGCGGCGGUGCGUGCGGACCCUAUGGUUCGAGAACAAUGUAGACAUGACCGAGACACGUCUCCGGUCAAUAACCAAUAGCGGGACCUGGAUGCCCAUAUUGGCUCCUACAUAUUCUACGAAGAUCUUUAUCGGUCAGACCGCAUAAUAACAUACGUUGUUCCCUUUGUCAUCGGUAUGUUACUUGCCCGAGAUUCGAUUGUCGGUAUCCAAUACCUAGUUCAAUCUCGUUACUGGCAAGUCUCUUUACUCGUUCCAUAAUACAUCAUCUCACAACUAACAUCUUAGUUAUAAUGCUUGCAAGGCUUAUGUGAUGUGUCUUACCAAGAGGGCCCAGAGAUACCUCUCCGACAAUCGGAGUGACAAACCCUAAUCUCGAAAUACGCCAACCCAACAUCUACCAUUGGAGACACCUGUAGUACUCCUUUAUAAUCACCCAGUUACGUUGUGACGUUUGGUAGUACCCAAAGUGUUCCUCCGGCAAACGGGAGUUGCAUAAUCUCAUAGUCAUAGGAACAUGUAUAAGUCAUGAAGAAAGCAAUAGCAACAUACUAAACGAUCGGGGGCUAAGAUAAUGAAAUGGGUCAUGUCAAUCAGAUCAUUCAACUAAUGAUGUGACCUCGUAAAUCAAAUAACAACUCUUUGUUCAUGGUUAGGAAACAUAACCAUCUUUGAUUAACGAGCUAGUCAAGUAAAGGCAUACUAGUGACACUCUGUUUGUCUAUGUAUUCACACAUGUAUUAUGUUUCCGGUUAAUACAAUUCUAGCAUGAAUAAUAAACAUUUAUCAUGAUAUAAGGAAAUAAAUAAUAACUUUAUUAUUGCAUCUAGGGCAUAUUUCCUUCAGUCCAGUGUUCCAUGCCGGGAUUACUUUGGUACCUUCCUACCAAACUUACGGCAAGGUUUACAUCAGGUCUGGUACACAGCAUAGCAUACAAGAUAGACCCUAUGGCCGAGGCAUAGGGGACGACACUCAUAUUUUCUCUAUCUUCUACCGUGGUCGUGCAUUGAGCCGUGCUCAAUCUCGUACCUUGCAAUAUAGGCAAGAACCCCUUCUUUUACUGAUCCAUUUUGAACUUCUUCAAUAUCUUGUCAAGGUACGUACUCUGUGGAAGACCAAUGAGGCGUCUCGAUCUAUCUCUAUAGAUCUUGAUGCCUAAUAUAUAAGCAGCUUCUCCAAGAUCCUUCAUUGAAAAACACUUGUUCAAGUAGGCCUUUAUGCUUUCCCAGAAUUCUAUAUCAUUUCCCAUCAACAAUAUGUCAUCCACAUCCAAUAUGGGAAAUUCUACAAAGCUCCCACUCAGUUCUUGUAAAUGCAGGCUUCUCCAUAAGUCUGCGUAAACCCAAACGCUUUGAUCAUCUCAUCAAAAUGAAUGUUCCAACUCCGAGAUGCUUGCACCAGCCCAUAAAUCGAGCGUUGGAGCUUGUACACCUUGUCAGCAUUCUUAGGAUCGACAAAACCUUCUGGCUGCAUCAUAUACAAUUCUUCCUUAAGGAAACCAUCAAGGACUGUUGUUUUGACGUCCAUUUGCCAUAUCUCAUAAUCAUAGAAUGCGGCAAUUGCUAACAUGAUUCGGACGGACUUCAGCUUCGCUACGGGUGAGAAAGUCUCAUCAUAGUCAACCCCUUGUACUUGCCGAUAACCCUUAGCGACAAGCCGAGCUUUAUAGAUGGUCACAUUACCAUCCGCGUCUGUCUUCUUCUUAAAGAUCCAUUUAUUUUCUAUGGCUCGCCGACCAUCGGGCAAGUCAGUCAAAGUCCAUACUUUGUUUUCAUACAUGGAUCUUAUCUCGGAUUUCAUGGCUUCCAGCCAUUUCUCGGAAUCCGGGCCCGCCAUUGCUUCUUCAUAGUUCGAAGGUUCACCGUUGUCUAACAACAUGAUUUCCAAGACAGGGUUGCCGUACCACUCUGGUGCGGGACGUGUCCCCGUGGACCUACGAAGUUCAGUAGCAACUUGAUCUGAAGUUUCAUGAUCAUCAUCAUCAACUUCCUCUCUAGUCGGUGCAGGCACCUUAGGAACAUUUUCUUGAGCUGCGCCACUUACCGGUUCAAGAGGUAAUACUUCAUCAAGUUCUACUUUCCUCCCACUUAUUUCUUUCGAGAGAAACUCUUUCUCUAGAAAGGACCCAUUCUUGGCAACAAAGAUCUUGCCUUCGGAUCCGAGGUAGAAGGUAUACCCAAUAGUUUCUUUAGGGUAUCCUAUGAAGACGCAUUUUUCCGAUUUGGGUUCGAGCUUUUCAGGUUGAAGUUUCCUGACAUAAGCAUCGCAUCCCCAAAGUUUUAGAAAUGACAUCUUAGGUGUCUUCCCAAACCAUAAUUCAUACGGCGUCGUCUCAACGGAUUUCGACGUAGCCCUAUUUAAAGUGAAUGCGGCAGUCUCUAAAGCAUAGCCCCAAAAUGACAGCGGUAAAUCAGUAAGAGACAUCAUAGAUCAUACCAUAUCUAAUAGAGUGCGAUUAUGACGUUCGGACACACCAUUACGCUGAGGUGUUCCAGGCGGCGUGAGUUGUGAAACUAUUCCACAUUUUCUUAAGUGUGUGCCAAAUUCGUGACUCAAGUAUUCUCCCCCACGAUCUGAUCGCAAGAACUUGAUUUGCCUGUCAUGUUGAUUCUCAACCUCACUUUGAAAUUCCUUGAACUUUUCAAAGGUCUCAGACUUGUGUUUCAUUAAGUAGACAUACCCAUAUCUACUCAAGUCAUCAGUGAGGGUGAGAACAUAACGAUAGCCACCACGAGCCUCAACACUCAUUGGACCGCACACAUCAGUAUGUAUGAUUUCCAAUAAGUUGGUUGCUCGCUCCAUUGUUCUUGAGAAAGGAGUCUUGGUCAUUUUACCCAUGAGGCAUGGUUCGCACGUGUCAAAUGAUUCGUAAUCAAGAGACUUUAAAAGUCCAUCUGCAUGGAGCUUCUUCAUGCGUUUGACACCUAUGUGACCAAGGCGGCAAUGCCACAUGUGGGACUAUCAUUAUCAACCUUACAUCUUUUGCUAUUCACACUAUGAAUAUGUGUAACAUUAUGCUCGAGAUUCAUUAAGAAUAAACCAUUCACCAAUGGAGCAUGACCAUAAAACAUAUCUCUCAUAUAAAUAGAACAACCAUUAUUCUCGGAUUUAAAUGAGUAGCCAUCUCAAAUUAAACGAGAUCCUGAGACAAUGUUCAUGCUCAAAGCUGGCACUAAAUAACAAUUAUUGAGGUUUAAAACUAAUCCCGUAGGCAAAUGUAGAGGCAGCGUGCCGACGGCGAUCACAUCGACCUUGGAACCAUUCCCGACGCGAAUCGUCACCUCGUACUUCGCCAGUCUCCGUUUAUUCCGCAGCUCCCGCUUUGAGUUACAAAUGUGAGCAACUGCACCGGUAUCAAAUACCCAGGAGCUACUACGAGUACUGGUAAGGUACACAUCAAUUACAUGUAUAUCACAUAUACCUUUAGUGUUGCCGGCCUUCUUGUCCGCUAAGUAUUUGGGGCAGUUCUGCUUCCAGUGACCACUUCCCUUGCAAUAAAAACACUCAGUCUCGAGCUUGGGUCCAUUCUUUGGCUUCUUCCCGGCAACUUGCUUAGCGGGCGCGGCAACUCCCUUGCCGUCCUUCUUGAAUUCUUCUUACCCUUGCCUUUCUUGAACUUAGUGGUUUUAUUCACCAUCAACACUUGAUGUUCCUUUUUGAUUUCCACCUCUGCUGAUUUCAGCAUUGAAUAUACCUCAGGAAUGGUCUUUUCCGUCCCCUGCAUAUUGAAGUUGAUCACAAAGCUCUUGUAGCUUGGUGGAAGCGACUGAAUGAUUCUGUCAAUGACCGCGUCAUUCGGGAGAUUAACUCCCACCUGAGUCAAGCGGUUAUGCAACCCAGACAUUUUGAUUAUGUGCUCACUGACAGAUCUAUUUUCCUCCAUAUUACAGCUGAAGAACUUGUCGGAGACUUCAUAUCUCUCGACCCGGGCAUGAGCUUGAAAAACCAUUUUCAGCUCUUCGAACAACUCAUAUGCUCCGUGUCUCUCAAAAUGCUUUUGGAGCCCCGGUUCUAAGCUGUAAAGCAUGCCGCACUGAACGAGGGAGUAAUCAUCAGCACGUAACUGCCAAGCGUUCAUAAUGUCUUGGUUCUCUGGGACAGGUGUGUCACCUAACGGUGCUUCUAGGACAUAAUCUUUCUUGGCAGCUAUGAGGAUGAUCCUCAGGUUCUGGACCCAGUCCGUAUAGUUGCUGCCAUCGUCUUUCAGCUUGGUUUUCUCCAGGAACGCGUUGAAAUUGAGGACAACGUGGGCCAUUUGAUCUACAAGACAUAUUGUAAAGAUUUUAGACUAAGUUCAUGAUAAUUAAGUUCAUCUAAUCAAAUUAUACAAUGAACUCCCACUCAGAUAGACAUCCCUCCAGUCAUCUAAGUGAAACAUGAUCCGAGUUAACUAGGCUGUGUCGGAUCAUCACGUGAGACGGACUAGUCAACAUCGGUGAACAUCUUCAUGUUGAUCGUAUCUUCUAGACGACUCAUGCUCGACCUUUUAGUCUUCUAUGUUCCGAGGCCAUGUCUGUACAUGCUAGGCUCGUCAAGUAAACCUAAGUGUAUUGCGUGUGUAAGUCUGGCUUACACCCGUUGUAUUCGAACGUUAGAAUCUAUCACACUCGAUCAUCACGUGGUGCUUCGAAACAACGAACCUUCACAAUGGUGCACAGUUAGGGGGAACAGUUUCUUGAAAUUAUUUCGAGGGAUCAUCUUAUUGAAGCUACCGUCGUUCUAAGCAAAUAAGAUGUAAAACAUGAUAAACAUCACAUGCAAUCAAAUAGUGACAUGAUAUGGCCAAUAUCAUUUUCUCCUUUUGAUCUCCAUCUUCGGGGGUCCAUGAUCAUCAUUGUCACUGGCAUGACACCAUGAUCUCCAUCAUCAUGUCUUCUUGAAGUUGUCUCGUCAUCUAUUACUUCUACUACUAUGGCUAACGCUUUAGCAAUAAAGUAAAGUAAUUACAUGACGUUUAUGUUGACACGCAGGUCAUAAAAAAUAAAGACAACUCCUAUGGCUCCUGCCGGUUGUCAUACUCAUCGACAUGCAAGUCGUGAUUCCUAUUACAAGAACAUGAUCAAUCUCAUACAUCACAUAUAUCAUUCAUCACAUCCUUUUGGCCAUAUCACAUCACACGACACAUGCUGCAAAAACAAGUUAGACGUCCUCUAAUUGUUGUUGCAAGUUUAUACAUGGCUGCUAUAGGUUUCUAGCAAGAACGUCUCUUACCUAUGGCAAAACCACAACGUGAUAUGCCACUUUCUAUUUACCCUUCAUAAGGACCCUUUUCAUCGAAUCCGAUCUGACUAAAGUGGGAGAGACAGACACCCGCCAGCCACCUUAUGCAACUAGUGCAUGUCAAUCGGUGGAACCAGUCUCACAUAAGCGUACGUGUAAGGUCGGUCCGGGCCGCUUCAUCCCAUGAUGCCACCGAAUCAAGAUAAGACUAGUAACGGCAAGCAAAGUGACAAUAUCCACGCCCACAACUGCUUUGUGUUCUACUCGUGCAUAGAAACUACGCAUAGACCUAGCUCAUGAUGCCACUGUUGGGGAAUGUAGCAGAAUUUUAAAAUUUUCUAUGCAUCACCAAGAUCAAUCUAUGGAGUCAUCUAGCAAUGAGGGAGAGAGGAGUGCAUCUACAUACCCUUGUAGAUCGCGCGCGGAAGUGUUCAAGAGAACGGGGUUGAUGGAAUCGUACUCGUCGUGAUCCAAAUCACCGAUGACCAAGUGCCUAACGGACAGCACCUCCGCGUUCAACACACGUCCUUUUGGGAAGACGUCUCCUCCUUCUUGAUCCAGCAAGGGGGAAGGAGAGGUUGAUGAAGAUCCAGCAGCACCACGACGUGGUGGUGGAUGCAACAGGAUCCCGGCAGGGCUUCACCAAGCGGAAGCGGGGAGGAGAGGUGUUACGGAGGGAGAGAGAGGCGCCAAGAGCAAGGUUGCGGCUGCCCUCCCUCCCCCCCUCUUUAUAUAGGGGCCAUGGGGGGGCGCCGGCCCUAGGAGAUGGAUCUCCAAGGGGGGCGAAGGCCAAGGGGUGGCUCCCCCCCCCCCAAGCCAAGUGGGGGGCGCCCCCACCCCUAGGGUUUCCCAACCCUAGGCGCAGGGGAGGCCCAAGGGGGGCGGACCAGCCCACUAGCGGCUGGUUCCCCUCCCAAUUCAUCCCAUGGGGCCCUCCGGGAUGGGUGGCCCCACCCGGUGGACCCCCGGGACCCUUUCGGUGGUCCCGGUACAAUACUGGUGACCCCCGAAACCUUCCCGAUGGCCGAAACUGUACUUCCUAUAUAUAAAUCUUUACCUCCAGACCAUUCCGGAACUCCUCGUGACGCCCGGGAUCUCAUCCGGGACUCCGAACAACUUUCGGGUUACUAUAUACUAAUAUCUCUACAACCCUAGCGUCACUGAACCUUAAGUGUGUAGACCCUACGGGUUUCGGAGACAUGCAGACAUGACUGAGACGCCUCUCCAGUCAAUAACCAACAGCGGGAUCUGGAUACCCAUGUUGGCUCCCACAUGCUCCAUGAUGAUCUCAUCAGAUGAACCACGAUGUCGAGCAUUCAAUCAAUCUGUAUACAAUUCCCUUUGUCAAUCAGUACGUUACUUGCCCGAGACUCGAUCAUCGGUAUCCCAAUACCUUGUUCAAUCUUGUUACCGGCAAGUCACUUUACUCAUACCAUAAUGCAUGAUCCCGUCAUCAACCACUUGGUCACAUGAGCUCAUUAUGAUGAUGCAUUACCGAGUGGGCCCAGAGAUACCUCUCCAUCAUACGGAGUGACAAAUCCCAGUCUCGAUUCAUGCCAACCCAAUAGUCACUUUCAGAGAUACCUGUAAUGUAACUUUAUAGUCACCCAGUUACGUUGUGACGUUUGGCACACCCAAGGCACUCCUACGAUAUCUGGGAGUUUUGUUGGAAAUAUGCCCUAGAGGCAAUAAUAAAAGCAUUAUUAUUAUAUUUCCUUGUUCAUGAUAAUUGUCUUUAUUCAUGCUAUAAUUGUGUUAUCCGGAAAUCGUAAUACAUGUGUGAAUAACAGACACCAACAUGUCCCUAGUAAGCCUCUAGUUAACUAGCUCGUUGAUCAACAGAUAGUCAUGGUUUCCUGACUAUGGACAUUGGAUGUCAUUGAUAACGAGCUCACAUCAUUAGGAGAAUGAUGUGAUGGACAAGACCCAAUCAUAAACAUAGCAUAAAGAUCGUGUAGUUCGUUUGCUAGAGUUUUUCCAAUGUCAAGUAUACUUUCCUUAGACCAUGAGAUCGUGUAACUCCCGGAUACCGUAAGAGUGCUUUGGGUGUACCAAACAUCACAACGUAACUGGGUGACUAUAAAGGUAUACUACGGGUAUCUCCAAAAGUGUCUGUUGGGUUGACACGGAUCAAGACUGGGAUUUGUCACUCCGUAUGACGGAGAGGUAUCACUGGGCCCACUCAGUAAUGCAUCAUCAUAAUGAGCUCAAAGUGACCAAGUGUCUGGUCACGGGAUCAUGCAUUACGGUACGAGUAAAGUGACUUGCCGGUAACGAGAUUGAACGAGGUAUUGGGAUACCGACAAUCGAAUCUCGGGCAAGUAACAUACCGAUUGGCAAAGGGAAUUGUAUACGGGGUUGCCUGAAUCCUCGAUAUCGUGGUUCAUCCGAUGAGAUCAUCGUGGAGCAUGUGGGAGCCAACAUGGGUAUCCAGAUCCCGCUGUUGGUUAUUGACCGAAGAGUCGUCUCGGUCAUGUCUGUCUGUCUCCCGAACCCGUAGGGUCUACACACUUAAGGUUCGGUGAUGCUAGGGUUGUAGGAAUAUGUAUAUGCAGUAACCCGAAUGUUGUUCGGAGUCCCGGAUGAGAUCCCGGACGUCACGAGGAGUUCCGUAAUGGUCCGGAGGUAAAGAAUUAUAUAUGGGAAGUGCUAUUUCGGCCAUCGGGACAAGUUUUGGGGUCACCGGUAUUGUACCGGGACCACCGGAAGGGUCCCGGGGGUCCACCGGGUGGGGCCACCUAUCUCGGAGGGCCCCAUGGGCUGAAGUGGGAAGGGACCCAGCCCAAAGUGGGCUGGGGUGCCUCUCCCCUAGGGCCCAUGCGGCUAGGGUUUGGGGGAAACCCUAAAAGGGGGCGCCCCCUUGCUUGGGGGGCAAGCCCCCCACCCCUUGGCCGCCGCCCCCCCCUCCCCCUAGGAAAAUAGAUCUCCUAGGGCCGGCGCCCCCCCCCCUUGGCCCUCCUAUAUAUAGUGGGGGAGGGAGGGCUAUUCUCUCAUGCCUUUGGUUGCCUCCCUCUCCCUCUCCGACACCUCCUCCUCCUCCAUAGUGCUUGGCGAAGCCCUGACGGAGUUCUGCAGCUCCACCAUCACCACGCCGUCGGUCUGCUGCUGGAGCCAUCUUCCUCAACCUCUUCUUCCCUCUUGCUGGAUCAAGAAGAAGGAGACGUUACGCUAACCGUACGUGUGUUGAACGCGGAGGUGCCGUCCGUUCGGCGCUAGGAUCUCUGGUGAUUUGAAUCACGUCGUGUACGACUACUUCAUCCACGUUCUUUGAACGCUUCCGCUCGCGAUCUACAAAGGUAUGUAGAUGCAUCCGAUGACUCGUUGCUAGAUGAACUCAUAGAUAGAUCUUGGUGAAACCGUAGGAAAUUUUUUGUUUUCUGCAACGUUCCCCAACAGUGGUAUCAGAGCUAGGUCUAUGCGUAGUUCUUCUUGCGCGAGUAGAACACAAUUUGUUGUGGGCGUAGAUGUUGUCAACUUUCUUGCCGCUACUAGUCUUAUCUUGCUUCGACGGUAUUGUGGGAUGAAGCGGCCCGGACCAACCUUACACGUAUGCUCACGUGAGACAGGUUCCACCGACAAACAUGCACUAGUUGCAUAAGGUGGCUAGCGGGUGCCUGUCUCUCCUACUUUAGUUGGAGCGGAUUCGAUGAGAAGGGUCCUUAUGAAGGGUAAAUAGAAGUUGAAAAAUCACGUUGUGGCUUUCACGUAGGUUAGAAAACGUUCUUGCUAGAACCCUACUUCAGCCACGUAAAACUUGCAACAACAAUUAGAGGAUGUCUAACUUGUUUUUGCAGCAAGUGCUUUGUGAUAUGAUAUGGCCAAAGUUGUGAUGAAUAAUACAUAUGUGAUGUAUGAGAUGUUCGUGCUAUUGUAAUAGGAAUCACGACUUGCAUGUCGAUGAGUAUGACAACCGGCAGGAGCCAUAGGAGUUGUCUUUAUUCUUUUAUAUGACCUGCGUGUCAUUGAGAAACGCCAUGUAAAUUACUUUACUUUAUUGCUAAACACGUUAGCCUUAGUAGUAGAAGUAAUAGUUGGCGAGCAACUUCAUGGAGACACGAUGAUGGAGAUCAUGAUGAUGGAGAUCAUGGUGUCAUGCCGGUGACAAGAUGAUCAUGGAGCUCCAAGAUGGAGAUCAAAGGAGCUAUGUGAUAUUGGCCAUAUCAUGUCACUAUUAUUAUUUGAUUGCAUUUGAUGUUUAUCAUGUUUUGCAUCUUGUUUACUUAGAACGACGGUAGUGAAUAAGAUGAUCCCUCAUAAUAAUUUCAAGCAAGUGUUCCCCCUAACUGUGCACCGUUGCGACAGUUCAUUGCUUCAAUGCACCACGUGAUGAUCGGGUGUUUGAUUCAAACGUUCACAUACAACGGGUGUAAGACAGAUUUACACAUGCAAACACUUAGGUUGACUUGACGAGCCUAGCAUGUGUAUAGACAUGGCCUCGGAACACAGAAGACCAAAAGGUCGAGCAUGAGUCGUAUAGAAGAUACGAUCAACAUGAAGAUGUUCAUCGAUGUUGACUAGUCCGUCUCACGUGAUGAUCGGACACGGCCUAGUUGACUCGGAUCAUGUUAUACUUAGAUGACUAGAAGAGGGAUGUCUAUCUAAGUGGGAGUUCAUUCAAUAAUUUGAUUAGAUGAACUUAAUUAUCAUGAACUUAGUCUAAAAUCUUUGCAAUAUGUCUUGUAGAUCAAAUGGCCAACGUAGUCCUCAACUUCAACGCGUUCCUAGAGAAAACCAAACUGAAAGAUGAUGGCAGUAACUAUACGGAAUGGGUCUGGAACCUGAGGAUUAUCCUCAUAGCUGCCAAGAAAGAUUAUGUCCUACAAGCACCGCUAGGUGAAGCUCCCGUCCCAUGGAACCAAGAUGUUAUGAACGCUUGGCAGACACGUGCUGAUGACUACUCCCUCGUUCAGUGCGGCAUGCUUUACAGUUUAGAGCCGGGGCUCCAAAAGCGUUUUGAGAGACAUAGAGCAUAUGAGAUGUUCGAAGAGCUGAAAAUGGUGUUUCAAGCUCAUGCCCGGGUCGAGAGAUAUGAGGUCUCCGACAAAUUCUUCAGUUGUAAGAUGGAGGAAAAUAGUUCUGUCAGUGAGCACAUACUCACUAUGUCUGGGUUACAUAAUCGCUUGACUCAGCUGGGAGUUAAUCUCCUGGAUGAUGCGGUCAUUGACAGAAUCCUCCAGUCGCUUCCACCAAGCUACAAGAGCUUUGUGAUGAACUUCAAUAUGCAGGGGAUGGAAAAGACCAUUCCUGAGGUAUUUACAAUGCUGAAAUCAGCAGAGGUAGAAGUCAAGAAGGAACAUCAAGUGUUGAUGGUCAAUAAAACCACUAAGUUCAAGAAGGGCAAGGGUAAAAAGAACUUCAAGAAGGACGGCAAGGGAGUUGCCGCGCCCGGCAAGCAAGCUGCCGGGAAGAAGCCAAAGAAUGGUCCCAAGCCCGAGACUGAGUGCUUUUAUUAUAAGGGAAGCGGUCACUGGAAGCGGAACUGCCCCAAAUACUUAGCGGACAAGAAGGCCGGCAAAACAAAAGGUAUAUGUGAUAUACAUGUAAUUGAUGUGUACCUUACCAGUACCCGUAGUAGCUCCUGGGUAUUUGAUACUGGUGUAGUUGCUCACAUUUGUAACUCAAAGCAGGGGCUGCGGAAUAAGCGGAGACUGGCGAAGGACGAGGUGACGAUGCGCGUCGGGAAUGGUUCCAAGGUCAAUGUAAUCGCCGUCGGCACGUUACCUCUAUAUUUACCUUCGGGAUUAGUUGUAAACCUUAAUAAUUGUUAUUUAGUACCAGCUUUGAGCAUGAACAUUGUAUUGGGAUCUCGUUUAAUUCAAGAUGGCUACUCAUUUAAAUCCGAGAAUAAUGGUUGUUCUAUUUAUAUGAGAGAUAUGUUUUAUGGUCAUGCUCCUAUGGUGAAUGGUUUAUUCUUAAUGAAUCUCGAGCGUAAUGCUACACAUAUUCAUAGUGUGAGUACCAAAAGAUGUAAGGUUGAUAAUGAUAGUCCCACAUACUUGUGGCACUGCCGCCUUGGUCACAUAGGUGUCAAACGCAUGAAGAAGCUCCAUGCAGAUGGACUUUUAGAGUCUCUUGAUUAUGAAUCAUUUGACACGUGCGAACCAUGCCUCGUGGGUAAAAUGACCAAGACUCCGUUCUCAGGAACAAUGGAGCGAGCAACCAACUUAUUGGAAAUCAUACAUACUGAUGUGUGCGGUCCAAUGAGCGUUGAGGCUCGCGGUGGCUAUCGUUAUGUUCUCACCCUCACUGAUGACUUGAGUAGAUAUGGGUAUGUCUACUUAAUGAAACACAAGUCUGAAACCUUUGAAAAGUUCAAGGAAUUUCAGAGUGAGGUUGAGAAUCAACGUGACAGGAAAAUCAAGGUUCUACGAUCAGAUCAUGGAUGCGAAUACUUGAGUCACGAAUUUGGCACACACUUAAGAAAAUGUGGAAUAGUUUCACAACUCACGCCGCCUGGAACACCUCAGCGUAACGGUGUGUCCGAACGUCGUAAUCGCACUCUAUUAGAUAUGGUACGAUCUAUGAUGUCUCUUACCGAUUUACCACUAUCUUUUUGGGGCUAUGCUUUAGAGACUGCCGCAUUCACUUUAAAUAGGGCUCCGUCGAAAUCCGUUGAGACGACACCGUUUGAAUUAUGGUUUGGGAAGAAACCUAAGCUGUCGUUUCUAAAAGUUUGGGGAUGCGAUGCUUAUGUCAAGAAACUUCAACCUGAAAAGCUCGAACCCAAGUCGGAAAAAUGCGUCUUCAUAGGAUACCCUAAAGAAACUGUUGGGUAUACCUUCUACCUCAGAUCCGAAGGCAAGAUUUUUGUUGCCAGGAAUGGAUGCUUUCUAGAGAAGGAGUUUCUCUCGAAAGAAGUAAGUGGGAGGAAAGUAGAACUUGAUGAAGUGUUACCUCUUGAACCGGAAAAUGGCGCAACUCAAGAAAAUGUUCAUGAGGUGCCUGCACCGACUAGAGAGGAGGUUAAUGAUGAUGAUCAUGAAACUUCUGAUCAAGUUGCUACUGAACUUCGAAGGUCCAUAAGGACACGUUCCGCACCAGAGUGGUACGGCAACCCUGUCUUGGAAAUCAUGUUGUUAGGCAACGGUGAACCUUCGAACUAUGAAGAAGCGAUGGCGGGCCCGGAUUCCGACAAAUGGCUAGAAGCCAUGAAAUCCGAGAUAGGAUCCAUGUAUGAAAAUGAAGUAUGGACUUUGACUGACUUGCCCGUUGAACGGCGAGCCAUAGAAAAUAAAUGGAUCUUUAAGAAGAAGACAGACGCGGAUGGUAAUGUGACCAUCUAUAAAGCUCGGCUUGUCGCUAAGGGUUAUCGACAAGUUCAAGGGGUUGACUACGAUGAGACUUUCUCACCGGUAGCGAAGCUGAAGUCCGUCCGAAUCAUGUUAGCAUUUGCCGCAUUCUACGAUUAUGAGAUAUGGCAAAUGGAUGUCAAAACGGCAUUAAUUAAUGGUUUCCUUAAGGAAGAAUUGUAUAUGAUGCAGCCGGAAGGUUUUGUCGAUCCUAAGAAUGCUGACAAGGUGUGCAAGCUCCAACGCUCGAUUUAUGGGCUGGUGCAAGCAUCUCGGAGUUGGAACAUUCGCUUUGAUGAGAUGAUCAAAGUGUUUGGGUUUACUCAGACUUAUGGAGAGGCCUGCGUUUACAAGAAAGUGAGUGGGAGCUCUGUAGCAUUUCUCAUAUUAUAUGUAGAUGACAUACUUUUGAUGGGAAAUGAUAUAGAACUCUUGGACAGCAUCAAGGCCUACUUGAAUAAGAGUUUUUCAAUGAAGGACCUUGGAGAAGCUGCUUAUAUAUUAGGCAUCCAGAUCUAUAGAGAUAGAUCAAGAUGCCUCAUAGGUCUUUCACAAAGCACAUACCUUGAUAAGAUAUUGAAGAAGUUCAAUAUGGAUCAAUCUAAGAAGGGGUUCUUGCCUGUGUUACAAGGUAUGAAAUUGAGCUCAGCUCAAUGUCCGACCAUGGCAGAAGAUAUAGAAGAGAUGAGUGUCAUCCCCUAUGCCUCAGCCAUAGGUUCUAUUAUGUAUGCCAUGCUGUAUACCAGACCUGAUGUAAACCUUGCCGUAAGUUUGGUAGGAAGGUACCAAAGUAAUCCCGGCAAGGAACACUGGACAGCGGUCAAGAAUAUCCUGAAGUACCUAAAAAGGACUAAGGAAAUGUUUCUCGUUUAUGGAGGUGACGAAGAGCUCGUCGUAAAGGGUUACGUCAACGCUAGCUUCGACACAGAUCUGGAUGACUCUAAGUCACAAACCGGAUACGUGUAUAUUUUGAAUGGUGGGGCAGUAAGCUGGUGCAGUUGCAAGCAGAGCGUCGUGGCGGGAUCUACAUGUGAAGCGGAGUACAUGGCAGCCUCGGAGGCAGCACAUGAAGCAAUUUGGGUGAAGGAGUUCAUCACCGACCUAGGAGUCAUACCCAAUGCGUCGGGGCUGAUCAAGCUCUUCUUUGACAACACUGGAGCUAUUGCACUUGCCAAGGAGCCCAGGUUUCACAAGAAGACAAGGCACAUCAAGCGUCGCUUCAACUCCAUUCGUGAAAAUGUUCAAGAUGGAGACAUAGAUAUUUGUGAAGUACAUACGGACCUGAAUGUAGCAGAUCCGUUGACUAAACCUCUCCCUAGAGCAAAACAUGAUCAACACCAGAAUUCCAUGGGUGUUCGAUUCAUCACAAUGUAACUAGAUUAUUGACUCUAGUGCAAGUGGGAGACUGUUGGAAAUAUGCCCUAGAGGCAAUAAUAAAAGCAUUGUUAUUAUAUUUCCUUGUUCAUGAUAAUUGUCUUUAUUCAUGCUAUAAUUGUGUUAUCCGGAAAUCGUAAUACAUGUGUGAAUAACAGACACCAACAUGUCCCUAGUAAGCCUCUAGUUAACUAGUUCGUUGAUCAACAGAUAGUCAUGGUUUCUUGACUAUGGACAUUGGAUGUCAUUGAUAACGAGAUCACAUCAUUAGGAGAAUGAUGUGAUGGACAAGACCCAAUCAUAAACAUAGCAUAAAGAUCGUGUAGUUCGUUUGCUAGAGUUUUUCCAAUGUCAAGUAUCCUUUCCUUAGACCAUGAGAUCGUGUAACUCCCGGAUACCGUAAGAGUGCUUUGGGUGUACCAAACGUCACAACGUAACUGGGUGACUAUAAAGGUAUACUACGGGUAUCUCCGAAAGUGUCUGUUGGGUUGACACGGAUCUAGACUGGGAUUUGUCACUCCGUAUGACGGAGAGGUAUCACUGGGCCCACUCGGUAAUGCAUCAUCAUAAUGAGCUCAAAGUGACCAAGUGUCUGGUCACGGGAUCAUGCAUUACGGUACGAGUAAAGUGACUUGCCGGUAACGAGAUUGAAUGAGGUAUUGGGAUAACGACGAUCGAAUCUCGGGCAAGUAACAUAUCGAUUGGCAAAGGGAAUUGUAUACGGGGUUGCUUGAAUCCUCGACAUCGUGGUUCAUCCAAUGAGAUCAUCGUGGAGCAUGUGGGAGCCAACAUGGGUAUCCAGAUCCCGUUGUUGGUUAUUGACCGGAGAGUCGUCUCGGUUAUGUCUGCCUGUCUCCCGAACCCGUAGGGUCUACACACUUAAGGUUCAGUGACGCUAGGGUUGUAGGAAUAUGUAUAUGCAGUAACCCGAAUGUUGUUCGGAGUCCCGGAUGAGAUCCCGGACGUCACGAGGAGUUCCGGAAUGGUCCGGAGGUAAAGAAUUAUAUAUGGGAAGUGGUAUUUCGGCCAUCGGGACAAGUUUCGGGGUCACCGGUAUUGUACCGGGACCACCGGAAGGGUCCCGGGGGUCCACCGGGUGGGGCCACCUAUCCCGGAGGGCCCCUUGGGCUGAAGUGGGAAGGGACCCAGCCCAAAGUGGGCUGGGGCGCCUCUCCCCUAGGGCCCAUGCGGCUAGGGUUUGGGGGAAACCCUAAAAGGGGGCGCCCCCUUGCUUGGGGGGCAAGCCCCCCACCCCUUGGCCGCCGCCGCCCCCCCCCCCUAGGAGAAUAGAUCUCCUAGGGCCGGCGCCCCCCCCCUUGGCCCUCCUAUAUAUAGUGGGGGAGGGAGGGCUAUUCUCUCACGCCUUUGGUUGCCUCCCUCUCCCUCUCCAACACCUCCUCCUCCUCCAUAGUGCUUGGCGAAGCCCUGACGGAGUUCUGCAGCUCCACCAUCACCACGCCGUCGUGCUGCUGCUGGAGCCAUCUUCCUCAACCUCUUCUUCCCUCUUGCUGGAUCAAGAAGAAGGAGACGUUACGCUAACCGUACGUGUGUUGAACGCGGAGGUGCCGUCCGUUCGGCGCUAGGAUCUCCGGUGAUUUGAAUCACGUCGUGUACGACUACUUCAUCCACGUUCUUUGAACACUUCCGCUCGCGAUCUACAAAGGUAUGUAGAUGCAUCCGAUGACUCGUUGCUAGAUGAACUCAUAGAUAGAUCUUGGGGAAACUGUAGGAAAAUUUUCUGCAACGUUCCCCAACAAGUUUCACAAUCUCAUGGUCUAAGGAAAUGAUACUUGACAUUCGGAAAAGCUACAGCAGAUGAACUACACGACCUUUGAGCUAUGCUUAGGAUUGGGUCUUGUCCAUCACAUCAUUCUCCUAAUGAUGUGAUACCGUUAUGAAUGACAUCCAAUGUCCAUAGUCAGGAAACCAUGACUAUCUUUUGAUCAACAAGCUAGUCAACUAGAGGCUCACUAGGGACGUGUUGUGGUCUAUGUAUUCACACAUGUAUUACGAUUUCCGGAUAACACAAUUAUAGCAUGAACAAUAGACAAUUAUCAUGAACAAAGAAAUAUAAUAAUAACCAUUUUAUUAUUGCCUCUAGGGCAUAUUUCCAACACCUACGUACCCCCAAACGAUCAUAUACGGAGCCAAAACCCUAAUUCCACCGCCGCAACUUUCUGUAUCCACGAGAUCCCAUCUUGGGGCCUGUUCCGGAGCUCCGCCAGAGGGGGCAUCGAUCACGGAGGGCUUCUACAUCAACACCAUAGCCUCUCCGAUGAAGUGUGAGUAGUUCACCUCAGACCUACGGUUCCAUAGUUAUUAGCUAGAUGGCUUCUUCUCUCUUUUUGGAUCUCAAUACAAUGUUCUCCCCCUCUCUUGUGGAGAACUAUUCGAUGUAAUCUUCUUUUUGCGGUGUGUUUGUUGAGACCGAUGAAUUGUGGGUUUAUGAUCAAGUCUAUCUAUGAAUAAUAUUUGAAUCUUCUCUGAAUUCUUUUAUGUAUGAUAGGUUAUCUUUGAAAGUCUUUUCGAAUUAUCAGUUUGGUUUGGCCUACUAGAUUGAUCUUUCUUGCAAUGGGAGAAGUGCUUAGCUUUGGGUUCAAUCUUGCGGUGUCCUUUCCCAGUGACAGUAGGGGCAGCAUGGCACGUAUUAUAUUGUUGCCAUCGAGGACAACAAGAUGGAGUUUUCAUCAUAUUGCAUGAGUCUAUCCCUCUACAUCAUGUCAUCUUGCUUAAGGCCUUAAUCUGUUUUUAACUUAAUACUCUAGAUGCUUGCUGGAUAGCGGUCGAUUAGUGGAGUAAUAGUAGUAGAUGCAGGCAGGAGUCGGUCUACUUGUCUCGGACAUGAUGCCUAUAUAUAUGAUCAUACCUAGAUAUUCUCAAAACUAUGCUCAAUUCUGUCAAUUGCUCAACAAUAAUUUGUUCACCCACCGUAGAAUACUUAUGCUCUCGAGAGAAGCCACUAGUGAAACCUAUGGCCCCCGGGUCUAUCUUUAUCAUAUUAAUCUCCUACUACUUAGUUAUUUCCUUUGCUUUUUACUUUGCCUUUAUUUUACUUCGCAUCUUUAUCACAAAAAUACGAAAAAAAUUAUCUUUAUCAUAUCUAUCAAAUCUCACCCUCGUAAGUGGCCGUUUAGGGAUUGACAACCCCUAUUCGCGUCGGUUGUGAGGAUUUAUUUGUUUUGUGCAGGUACAAGGGACUCGCGCGUAGCCUCCUACUGGAUUGAUACCUUGGUUCUCAAAACCUAUUUGAUUGCCGUAGCACGAUCGCGCUUCCUCGGGCGCUAUUGUCUCAAAAAUACCGUCGUCCAUCUCCGUGACCUCCAGUCUACUACUCAUGAGCUGGUUUGGGCGCCGUGGCCUCUUUGCUUUCGGUUCUAGACCAGCUCCGCUAGUCUCGGCGCCUGUCUCAGUCUCAUCGCCGAUCUGCAUGUCGGUAUCAGUCCCCGAUGCGACAUCACAGUUGCUGCAACAUGGGAAAGGGAGACCACGUCAGUGCUGGGGGGUCUGAAAAUCGGAACACACUUUCGCGCGUUGCGGGCCGCCUCUCAGACAGCUACUGGGGAGGCGGCGGAGUACCUGGGUGCGCGGCGAAUCCCCGGGAACUCGGUGACCAACUUCCUUCCCGUGUGGCGCAUGGAGACGACGGCGACCCCGGCGAAGAGCAGCUUAGCCGCGAGCUGCACAGCCUCGUCCACCUCCUAAGUUGGGACCUCCGUGCGAGCGUUGCGGGGCCGCCACUCGGAUGGCUUCUGGAAGGCGGUUGUACAUGGGCACAUGGUGAAUCCCGGCGAGAGCUUGCCAUUGGCGCGCUCAAGUAGACGACGACGUCCUCGACGAAGAGCAGCCCGGCCAGCUCGCCUCACUAUCGUUUGAUUAGAAAUGAAAGAUUGGGAAGAAGCAGACUUGAGCCUGCAGGGAAAGGAUAAGGUGACGAUGCAGUCUCCACUCGUUCGGGGCGACACUCGUACUGAAUGUAUGAGAAAUCUGACGUGGCAGAGACCCCAAGAUACUCCCUCCAUUUAUUUUUAGUCUGCAUAUAAAGUUUGGUCAAAGUCAAGAUUUGUAAAUUUUAACUAACUUUAUAAUAAAAAAAUAUCAACAUUCACAAUAUGAAAUCAAUAUUACCAGAUGCGUCAUGAAAUGUAUUUCCAUACUAUAUAGUUUUGGUAUUGUAGAUGUUCAUAUUUUUUUAUAUAUAUGGGAAGUAGAGGCACUCUUCUAUACUAUAUUCAGAUGUAUGAUAUCUGUUAUUUAAGCGCUUGAAUUUUACAUACGAAUAUUUAUUAUUAAAUAUGUACCCCUACAAUAGCUAGGCCGUGCAGUUGCACGGGUAGAUGACUAGUGAUUACAAUCUUGUUUGUGUGCAAGUCAAGCUUAUCUAGUUUACACGUAACAACUUGUAGAACAUUACAAAAUUUAUGCUUGCUAAUAACUUUUAGAACACUACAACACUUGACAUGUAAAAGGAAUUUGACUGAGUCAUGGCCUACUAAAGCAAGUUACAUUACUAGUCUUAUCUAUCUUAACAGACCACACAAGAUUACAAACUAAGUACCGUGACAGCCAUGCUUAUCUAGUUUAUGCGUAACAAUUUGCAGAAAAUUACAAACUUAGUUUCAGAAAGAUAGGCAAUCUAGAUUAGUGUUUGAGCUGUAAAGUGAAUAAGAUGAGUCAUGCAUGUUAUCACACCUUUUUGGUGGUCGAAUGAUAGUGCAACAACAAGGAACUUUAAUGACCAGUCCAAGAAUACACUUGUAAGUAGUGCCACCAAACAGAACAUACCAAAUGAUCAUUCCAUGGCAGCUAUAAAUAGCCCCAUAGCAUGACGAUCAUCCUUCCUCAUCCAUCAUUCUCAUAAGUAGAGCACAUCAUUUAAGCCAAGCAAGUUGUGGUCAAUACAAAUCCACCAUGAAGACCUUUCUCAUCCUUGCCCUCCUUGCUAUCGUGGCGACCACCGCCACAACCGCAGUUAGAGUUCCAGUGCCACAAUUGCAGCCACAAAAUCCAUCUCAGCAACAGCCACAAGAGCAAGUUCCAUUGGUACAACAACAACAAUUUCUAGGGCAGCAACAAACAUUUCCACCACAACAACCAUAUCCACAGCUGCAACCAUUUCCAUCACAACAACCAUAUCUACAGCUGCAACCAUUUCCGCAGCCGCAACUACCAUAUUCGCAGCCACAACCAUUUCGACCACAACAACCAUAUCCACAACCGCAACCACAGUAUUCGCAACCACAACAACCAAUUUCACAGCAUCAACAGCAGCAGCAGCAACAACAACAACAACAACAACAACAACAAAUCCUUCAACAAAUUUUGCAACAACAACUGAUUCCAUGCAUGGAUGUUGUAUUGCAGCAACACAACAUAGCGCAAGGAAGAUCACAAGUUUUGCAACAAAGUACUUACCAGCUGUUGCAAGAAUUGUGUUGUCAGCACCUAUGGCAGAUCCCUGAGCAGUCGCAGUGCCAGGCCAUCCACAAUGUUGUUCAUGCUAUUAUUCUGCAUCAACAACAACAAAAACAACAACAACAACAACAACAACAACCAUCGAGCCAGGUCUCCUUCCAACAGCCUCAGCAACAAUAUCCAUUAGGCUAGGGCUCCUUCCGGCCAUCUCAGCAAAACCCACAGGCCCAGGGCUCUGUCCAGCCUCAACAACUGCCCCAGUUCGAGGAAAUAAGGAACCUAGCGCUACAGACACUACCUGCAAUUUGCAAUGUCUACAUCCCUCCAUAUUGCACCAUCGCGCCAUUUGGCAUCUUCGGUACUAACUGAGAAGAAAAUAACUCUAGUACUAGAUAUAUGAAACACCGUUUUCUCAGUC
rnacentral:lncRNA from 1 species